AGAGUGCAGAUCCGGCCGUAACUAUUGUGAAGCUUUCCUCAAGUAUUCUCAUGCACACAGCCCUUAUCUGGUCAAGUUCUCUGAUUCAAUAUAAUCAAUUUCCGAGUAGUACUGACGACAGCUUCUCUGUAAAGCUCUUCAACCACAAGCAUUUCUACAAGGCAAAAGACUAGGACGUAUUGGAAUGAAUAUCAAUAAGGGAAUGUCUUAUGAAUUUAGUUUAUAUCCUAAUAUAAGACAAUCAGUAAAUAUUGGAUGCAAUCUAAGGGCUAACAUUUGAUUGAUCAUUAUACGAAAAAAAAAAAAGGUGCAAAAAUACAAAACAUAGCUGAUUGAUGGCCUCUCACAGUCAGUUAUAUGACAAAGUAGCCACCACAACAAACUUUUUUUUUUGAACUGAUUAAGCAUCAGGUUACUGUAUUACACAUAGAGAUAUAUAUAACUGCUAUGACAGCAAGUCAUUAUACUGAUAUUUACAAUCAGAUAUAUACAUGAGACUUAUAUUAUUACAUUUUUAUUAUAUGAAGUACAUGCCCAUCCAAAUCUCCCUCACGGAGGAGGGAUGUCUCUACUCCACUCACAUUUCGCAAGGGAGAAAGACGUUAUAAGAAGUUUUCACCACAACAAACUUGAACUUGGGUGGAGGUCUCAUUAGUAGUAUACCUCAGAAAUUAAGACAAAGACUUUAAAAUGCAAACUUAUGGAGCAAUUUAAGCACUGAAACUAAUAACAGUACGGUAUUAGCAAUUGACCUCUGCUUUUGCUUAGACAAAGGUUUUCAUCACAAUGGACUCAUUAGUUGCCCUUGCCUCACACGUUUGGAUGCUAAGGGGAAAAAGGAAGCUUGAAUUAGUCAAUCUCAUUUCUAAUGGCAUUCACAGAGAACUUAUAAAACAAAAAAAAAAAAAAAUUAUAAAAAAAAAUUCAUCCAUAAAAAGCUUAGUAACGGAAAAAUCGACUCUUUUAUCUGCCACUGACGAAAAAAAAACUGAAGUAUUAAAUAGAUAAAGAAUUUAAUUUUUUUCUUGGAAAAACUAAUAAUAAAUUAACAAUUAGAUAAUACUAUUAAUUAGAGAUCUUUAAUAUUAAGGUUGUCAAAGAUAGAAUGUGUAUAAAAAUUCUUAAUUAUAAGAUAAUUACUAACUAAAAAGAGGCCUAAAAAAGAAGAUUUGCUAUUAUAAGUAAUACCAAAAAUAAAAAGGGAGACUUCCUAAUUGUGUAAUUGGUUAAAAAAGAGGAUUUGCUAUUAUAGGCCUAAUUUGCCUAUGCUUAAAACCGUUCCUGGAUGUAAAAAAAUAAAAAUUAUUGUUAAAUUCCUGACUAAUAAGGUCAUUGAAAGUAUUCAAAGGACCUGAACUUAUAGGAAAGCCAGCCAUGAUGAACUAUACCACGUUGCAAGUGAGCUCGUAUCUUCACCCCUUGAUCUGCCAUCGGCAUUUCUCUUCCACUCACUAUACCAUCCUUUUCAAUCGAUUUUUAUAGAUCAUAAGAGACCAUGUGGCCCACCUUAUUUUUAUUUUGGAUCCAUAACCCAAAGCUGGCCCAAGUUCUGAUUCCAGAAUCAUUUGUCUACAAAGUGACCUCAUUCCGGCAAUUGGUUUAUGCUAAUAGCACGUGCAAUUUUCAUUUUCUUCUUUUUAUUAAUUAAUUUCAUCAUUAUUAUUUGCUUAUUAUUUUAAAAUUAAAGCUAGCAUUUUUCAAAUUAAUUAAUUAAAUUGUAUUAAUGAAAUUAAUCUUUCAUUUUCUUUUCUCUUUCAAUGCACAAAGCCAAACAACCAUUCUCGCUUCAAAUACCGAAGAGCUCCUGACUACGGCUGUCAAUGCUUCUAUAUUUACGUGCUGUGCUGCAUCACUCUUAGCGAAAGCUUGAAUGAAUGAUUAAAGACAAAAGCUUAUAUAAAAGCAGAUGCCGGAGGCAGUCAAAAAGCAUUUGAGAGAGAAGCUAAACAGCAAAUCAUCAAACGCACUUCAAUGACUUUAUUUUGAUUUUGAUUUUUGUUUCGAAAGAAGUAGAAAAGUCCAUGGGUCACGAUAACUGCUUGUCCUAUGCCGUGACCUCAUUGUCCACCGCUAGUGUCAAAUAGAUUAAUCUUUCUAGUAGAUUAAUAUAAUUUAUAAUUUUAAUUUCAGUAUUAAUUUUUAAAAUGUUAGUUGUUAUAUUUAUUUUAAUAAUAUAUCUAUUUUUAGUAUAAAAAAUUUAAAUGUAUAUUUAGAUUAAAUAGAAUUUAUAAUUAAUAUAAUAUAUCUCAUGUAUUAAUGAUAUUUAAAUUAUUUUAUAUAAUAUUAAGCCUAACUUAGAAUUAUAUAUAUUUAUUUUAAUAUUAUGUUUCUAUAUAUUAUAUAAUAUUAAGCCUAACUUAGAAUUAUAUAUUAUGUUUCUGAGCCUCUCUCUAUAACACUAUAUAGAACCCUAAGCCUAAGUGUCACGGGAUGAGUGUUUUGCGCAGCUAACCCGUGCGGCACUUAGACAACUUUGCCGAAUGUUGCUAAGUAAGCCUAGAGAUUCUCGAACAAGAGAAGAGAGCAAUUGAGCCAAAGAAACUUGUAUUGCACAAAGAGAGAUUACAAUGCUUGUUGGAUACAAAUGCCUAAUGCCAUCCCAUAUUUAUAGGGGAGGCUUUGUCAAACUUGGCCUAACUUUGCCAAACUUUGCCAAACUCUAGAGUAUUCUACAAUUUCCUAGCUAUUUACAUGUGCUGGAAUUGUAUAAAGAAUUCUAGAAUAUUUACAUGUUCACAUGUGCUAGAGUUUCCUAGAACCUUCCGGAAUUGGGCCAAGCUAGCACUCUUGGCUUUGUGUUGGCUCUCUAGCUCGAAAUUGGGGCAAUUGGGCUAGCGAAUUGGGCGGUCCGCAACAACCUCCCCCACCUAUGCUCGCGGCGUCCUCGUCGCGCUCUCAUGCUUGAACCUCUGGAUGUGCUCAGCGAAUUGCCACAAACCAUCUUCACGUUCCCAAGUGGCUUCACUCUCGGGGAGGUUUUUCCAUUUCACCAAGUACUCGCUAUGUGCUGGCACGCCCCUCCUCGAAACCGUGCGGUCCGCAAUGAUGUAGUCCACAUCUUUGUCGAAUGCGGUGACAACGGCAGUUGGUGCGCGCCUUGAUUCUCCGCGACCUGGUUCUCCCAUGUCUUCGUGAUAUGGCUUGAGAAGGCUCACAUGGAAGACCGGAUGGAUCUUGAGUCUUGGCGGAAGUUGGAGUUGAUACGAGACGUUGCCCACACGUCGAACAACUCGGAAGGGUCCCUCGUAGCGCCUCACUAACCCCUUGUGAACUUUCCGCAAUGUCUUGAAUUGUUGGGGUAGGAGCUUGAUCAUGACUUGAUCUCCUUCCUUGUACUCAACAUGCCGUCUCCUUGUAUCCGCCCAUUUCUUCAUUUUCCUCGCGGCUUUGUCGAGGUAGGCUCGCGUGAUGUCCGCUUCCUCAUGCCAUUCGCGGGCGAGCUUGUGUGCCGCGGGGCUUUUCCCUCCGUAAGUCGAGGCUAUGGCAUUGGGAGUCAUUGGCUGGAAUCCCAUGAUGAUCUCGAACGGACUCUUGCCCGUAGCCUCGCUUCGCUGCAAGUUAUAAGAAAAUUGGGCGAUGUCGAGUAGCUUCGCCCAAUCCCGCUGGUGAGCGCUCACAUAAUGCCUCAGAUACAUCUCGAGGAGGCCGUUAAUGCGCUCGGUCUGCCCAUCCGUUUGUGGGUGGAAGCUUGUCGAGAACUUGAGAUCGGUCCCCAACAUCUUAAAGAGUUCCGUCCAAAACCGCCCAGUGAACCAAGGGUCUCGGUCGCUCACAAUGCUCUUCGGAACUCCCCAAAGCUUCACAAUGUGCUUGACAAAUAGGCGGGCUGCCUCAUCCGCUUUGCAAUCCACUGGUGCGGCAAUGAAUGUGGCGUACUUGCUGUGUCGGUCGACAAUGACCAUGAUGCUUCCGCAACCUUCGGACUUGGGCAGCGAUGUGAUGAAGUCCAUGGAGACACUUUCCCAUGGCCUUGUUGCUAGUGGUAGCGGCUCCAACAAUCCCGCUGGAAGUUGAUGAUCCACCUUGUCUUGUUGGCACACAAGACAAGUUCGCACAUAUGCCUCGAUGUCGUCCCUCAUGUGCGGCCAAAAAUACGAGGCUUGAACUAGUGCGGUGGUGCGCUCGAUUCCUGGGUGACCAGCCCACUUGGAGUCGUGGCACUCCUUGAUAACUUCCUUCCGCAAAUUUCCCCACCUUGGCACAAACAGCCGAUCUCCCUUGGUGAGGAGGAUGCCUUCCUCUUGCCAAAAUCGCCUUGUCUUCCCUUCGAGCACCUUCUCCAGCAAAUCCUUUGUUAGCGGGUCUUGUUGGAGGCCUUCCUUGAUGCGUGAGACAAGGUCGGACUUCGGUUGGCUCAUGCUAAGUGUUGCCAAUUCCGCCUUGCGGCUUAGAGCGUCCGCAACGACAUUGGCUUUCCCCGGUUUGUACUCUAGCCGAUAGUCGAAUUCCGCAAGGAAAUCUUGCCACCGUGUUUGCUUCGGACUCAACUUCUUUUGAGUUUGAAAGUAGCUUGUCGCCACGUUGUCCGUUAUGAUCGUGAAGUGUGAGCCAAGCAAGUAAUGUCGCCACACUCUUAGACAAUGGAUGAUGGCUGUCAUCUCCUUUUCUUGCACCGUGUAGCGGCGUUCCGUAUCAUUUAGCUUUCGACUCUCGAACGCUAUUGGGUGGCCUUCUUGCAUAAGGACUCCACCUAUGGCGAAAUCCGAGGCAUCUGUUUGAACUUCGAAGGGCUUGGUGUGGUCCGGAAGAGCGAGGACUGGUUCCUCCGAAAUUGCCUUCUUCAACUCCUCGAAUGGACGUUGGCACUCUUCGGAUCAAUGCCACGUUCUGUUUUUCUUGAGCAUAUCCGUCAAGGGUGCCGCCUUGGCUGAAUAGCCCUUGAUGAAAUGGCGGUAGUAAUUCACCAACCCAAGGAACGAGCGAAGCUCGGGUACUUUCGAGGGAGGCUCCCAAUCGAGGAUGGCCUCUACUUUGUCAUUCUCCAUCAUGAUCUUCCCGCCCGCAAUCUUAUGGCCAAGGAACUCCACCUCUUGUUGGGCAAACGAGCACUUCUCUAGUUUGAGGAAGAGCUCAUUGUCUUGAAGUACUUGGAGGACUUUUUGCAAGUGUUGGGCAUGAUCCUCGAGUGUGGUGCUAUACACCACGAUGUCGUCCAAGUACACGACCACGAAGCGGUCGAGGAAUGGUUGGAGUACCUUGUUCAUGAGUGUGCAAAAUGUGGCGGGUGCAUUAGUAAGGCCAAAAGGCAUCACAAGGAAUUCGAAAGACCCGUACCUUGUUGUGCACGCUGUCUUUGGUUCGUCUCCCUUGGCGAUGCGCACUUGGUAGUACCCGGAGCGCAAGUCAAGUUUGGUGAAGUACCGCGCUUUGCCAAGCUGGUCGAACAAGUCCGCAAUCAAUGGAAUCGGAUACUUGUUCUUGAUGGUGAUCUUGUUGAGCGCUCUAUAGUCGAUGCACAUCCGCAGCGAUCCAUCCUUUUUCUUUUGGAAGAGGACCGGUGCACCGAAUGGGGCCUUUGAGGGGCGAACGUAGCCUGCGUCCAGCAAGUCUUUGAGCUGUCUCCGCAACUCCUCUAAUUCGGGUGGCGCCAUGCGGUAGGGCGCCAAGGCUGGUGGCUUCGCGCCUUGUUCUAGCUCAAUCGCAUGAUCUACCUCUCGCGGAGGUGGGAGCUUCUUCGGAAGUUCUGGAGGCAUCACGUCCUUGUACUCAUUGAGGACGGCUUGAAUUCGCGGAGGGACUUGGCUUGGCGACGUUCCGCUAUUUCCUUCCUCGUUUAGUUCCCGAAUGGAGACCAAGAAGCUUGGGUCCUUCUUGAAAGCCCUCUUGAAUUGCAUGGCGGAGAGUUUCUUCUCCUCGGACUUGCCUCGUUCGGUGGGUACCAUGCAUGCUUUGCUCCCAUCGAGGAUGCUUAGGGAGUUUGUAGCGGGCAGCGGGAAGGCAUGGACUUGGUCGAAGAAUUCCAUGCCAAGGACCAUCUUGAAGUCAUCCAUGGGCACAAUGGAGAAAUCAAGCUUUCCGCUCCAUGUACCGAGUGUGAUGUGCACGCCUUGUGCAAUUCCCGCAAUUGGUUUGGCGGGUGAGUUUACUGCCUUCAUUGUGCCUCCUUCCUUGGUGGCCUUGAGGCCUAAACGCUUGGCCUCGUCUACGGACACGAAAUUGUGUGUUGCUCCCGUGUCUAGCAGCGCGCGAACAGACUGGCCGUUUACCUUUGCGCUAACAUACAUGAGCCCUUUCUUGGCUAGUGCGGGCUGUUGGCGGUUGAGUGCCCCGAGGCGUUGGAGAGAACCCAUGCUGAGUUGGGGUUCCUCCGUGGACAUUGUGGGGUUGCUCUUGAGUUGGGCAGCAAGAACAUUAAGCGACCGCUUCUCCGGACAGUCGCGUACCCAAUUUGGACCGUUGCAUAUGAAGCAUGGGCUUCGCGGCUUUGGCGCCUCCUUCUUGCCCUCCGAUUUUCCUUGCCAACUCUUGUUGCUAGACGGCUUUUUCUGCCCCCAAUCUUUGCGGUUGUUACCCUUGUCCUUGCGACUCUCUCCCCCACCUUUGCCUUGGUUGGCCUUUUUGUCCUUGGAUUGGGUAGAGUAUUCGGUGAGCGACUCCGCAACGGCGAUGGCGUCGUCAAGUGUUUGAACACCACGCCUAUCAAGCUCGGUCUUGGCCCAAUCCUUGAGGCCAUCUUGGAAGUAGAAGAGUGAAUCUUUGUCGGACAUGUCACUUAUCUCCAACAUGAGGGUAGAGAACUCGUUAAUGUAGUCCCGAAUGCUACCCGAUUGCUUGAGGCGACGUAAGCGCGCUCGCGCUUCCUUCUCUGCAUUGCUUGGGGUGAACUGCUUUCGGAGUUCUUGCUUGAAGUCGGCCCAAGUGUCGAUGGUGCAAAUGCCCUUGCCCAUCUCGCCAUGCUUGCGACGCCACCAUAGUUGUGCAGCGCCUCUAAGAUAGGUGGGUGCAGUGCCCACUUUCGAUGCCUCAUCUCGUACACCCAUGGCAUCGAAGUAUUGAUCCAGCCCGAACAGGAAGUUGUCCACGAUUGUGGCAUUGCGUGUGCCAUCGUAGGUGUCGGGCUUUGGCACAUCAAUGCGGCGCGCAUCACUCGAGUUUGCGGAAGCUGGACUUGCGGAGAGUGUGCGCUUGUGCCAUGCCCAAUCCGAGCGGACUUCAUCCACUUCCGCACGGACAGCACGUAGUUCGUCCUGAACAAAACUACGAAGUUUUAGCAACUCAUCAUGGAAAGAAUGAAACUCACCUCGGAGAAUGUUCGCUUGCUCAUGCAUGAGAGCUUUUGUGGCCACCGUGAACUCGGCGUAUUCUCCCUCGAGAUUGUCCACUCUUCUCUCUAAUCCCUCAAGGCUAUCUUGAGUGGCGGACAAGGCUAUUUCGAGAGUGCCUACACGAGGCUCCAAAGCAUCCACGGAUGGGGCCUUGGACUUGCCGCGAUUCUUGCCUUGGGCGCGUUCUCCCUCUCGGCCGCGGCUUGGUUCUGGUGGAACAUCCACACCAACAAAACCCUCUUGUGCUACGUUUGAAGGGUUGGCCAUUGCUUUGUGAGCUAAUUUGCGUGCGUGCAAACCUUAGCUCUGAUACCACUUGUCACGGGAUGAGUGUUUUGCGCAGCUAACCCGUGCGGCACUUAGACAACUUUGCCGAAUGUUGCUAAGUAAGCCUAGAGAUUCUCGAACAAGAGAAGAGAGCAAUUGAGCCAAAGAAACUUGUAUUGCACAAAGAGAGAUUACAAUGCUUGUUGGAUACAAAUGCCUAAUGCCAUCCCAUAUUUAUAGGGGAGGCUUUGUCAAACUUGGCCUAACUUUGCCAAACUUUGCCAAACUCUAGAGUAUUCUACAAUUUCCUAGCUAUUUACAUGUGCUGGAAUUGUAUAAAGAAUUCUAGAAUAUUUACAUGUUCACAUGUGCUAGAGUUUCCUAGAACCUUCCGGAAUUGGGCCAAGCUAGCACUCUUGGCUUUGUGUUGGCUCUCUAGCCCGAAAUUGAGGCAAUUGGGCUAGCGAAUUGGGCAGUCCGCAACAUAAGUCUCACAUUCGCAACCGCCCCACAUAUCAGAACCACAGCGAACUGCCUCCGACCCUUCGGACCCAAAAAAAUGAUUGUAUUCCUGCUCUUUCACUUUAAUAAUUUUUUGUAUUAUUCCAUAUCUUUCACUUUAAUAACCCAAAAGCUUUCCUCUGUUUCAACCCAAAAGCUCAAAUUCCUUUUUUCAAUCGAAAAUUGUGUUUGCCUAAUUUUUUAACCAUUUUUAUAUGUCCGUUAAACUUGACAGCCAAUGUGGUCUAUUCGCUAAACAGAGUAAACGAUAACAAUCAAUGGAAAUUGAAACAAAACCCACCAAUCAACAAAACAGAAUAGCCGAGGAAUCCAAUUUCAGGAAACAGCAGUUUCAAAACUCACCAGAGACAAAUGAUAAAACGAAGCUACGCCGUUCCUCGAUCGGUGAUAACUGGCUACAAGGUUUCUUCGCAUUCGUUGGCCUAAUUUUUUAACCAUUUUUAUAUGUCCGUUAUGCUUGACAGCCAAUGUGGUCUAUUCGCUAAACAGAGUAAACGAUAACAAUCAAUGGAAAUUGAAACAAAACCCACCAAUCAACAAUGUGGUCUAUUCGCUAAAUGGUUAAAAAAUCUAACCUUUGUUCACAAUAAUUGUAUUUGCCUCACUGUUUUUGUUUUAUGAGAUCUAUAAUUGAUCUUGGGAUAUUACUUUCUAGUUCUCAUGCAAGCAAGUUACUACCUUCCCACUGCAUCUCCUCCUUUAUCUGCUAUUCAAGAGUUGCGUGCCAUAAUCUGGUGUUACCUCUGCAAGAUUGUGAAUGAAUAUAACGCCUCUAAAUUUAUUUUAUACAUAAUGCUGAUGCUGAAUAAUAUAUUGUAGCUCCUGUCAUAUUCUACUUUGACUUUUUAUAUUCUGUUUCAUAUAAAAAUCUUAUUCAACUUUAGUUGUUCAUGAGCAAAUGUCACAUGUAUAAGCCCAAAUGAUGUUUAAAGGUAGCGCGGCUACCUUUAGUUUGAGCUGACAAUGGAUGAAAAAGAUAUUGAAACUGAUAUUUUGCUGUUUUUCUGAUUUUUCAAAGUAUUUUAGAUCCUGACUUUUGUUAAGUUGUUUCCAACACCUCGUGCCAAAUGAAAGCACAAUCUUUCUGAUUCAGAUGUCUUGUUAAUUAUGCUUCAUUUUUUCAUUAAAGAUUGGAUGGUUACAUGGAUUGAUGGAGUUGGAGUUCAACCAAUAAUUCUAAUUUUUUGGACUUAAAAUGCCUUUUUCUUCUGUAUAAAAACUUUAGUAAGUGCUAUUGAGUUGACAGAAGUUGCAUACUUACAGGUUGUUUCACACUUUUUAGUAGUUUUACAUAUAUGAAUUUCUGUUUUUUGAAUUGCAGAAAGGAGGUGGAACUAUUGAUUUGGAGCCUUAUCUUACUCACUCAUCGACAACGGAGCCUACCCUCACUCCCAUGGCAGUGGAACGGACAACGACUACUAGGGCUGCAACAUCAGUUGGUUUGGGUCUGUUUUGGGUUUAUUGUCAUUUAUUUGGGUAUGUUUUGAUAGCGAAUUUUGAUAUGUCAAUAGAAUGUGUAAUUGUUUUGGGUUGAGCUGGUAAUUAUGCUGGAUUAGAUUGGUUUGGUUUUGGUGCUUCUCUGAUGGAACACUGCUUUUUUUAGAAAUUUUGAAUGUAAUAUGAGACUACAUUUAGUUUAAUUGAACACUGCAUCUAGUCUAAUUACUAGAAGUGUGGCAUUUGGUUUGGUUUAUCCGAUAUUCUCCAGAAUUUCACUUGCAUCUGGUUUUGUUGCAUAUGUUUGUUUGCUUGCAUUUGAUGGCAGUAGCAGACUGUUUGUUUUUGUGACAUUUGAUGGCAGUUUGGUCUGUUCUUGGUGUUGAUUUAAGAUUCUUCCUGUUGUGCUGAUGUUAAUUGCAGGUGCUUGAAUCAGCUAGGGUUGCUGGUUUAUUCAGAUGGUUGACUCAGGCGUUGCUACUGGUUAAUUCAGGUGGCUGACUCAAGUUGUUCAUUUAAUGUUAGGAAGCAAAUUAGGAAUUAAUGAAGUAUUCAUUUAACUAUAAUUAUUGUAGUUAUUUUAUUUCAUAACUGAAUUAUAAUCUAUGAUACUUGUGAACAAAUUAGAGAAUUUUUAUAUAUGAAUUAUAUAUAUGUGUGUGUAUGUACAUUUUGCUAUUUAUAUAAUAAUUUAAAGAAUAUAUUUCAAUUCCCACAAAAAAAAGGCUCCAAUUUCAAUAAUUCCCGCCAAAUAAUUAAAUUUUUUUAAUUUACCACCAAAAUAUAUCUUAAGUUAUUCUUGCUAGAUUUAACAAAAAUAAUUUGUAGGAUUAACAUUUAAUUAAAAUAAUUAAAUAAUUUUAUUAUUCCAAUUAAAUAUGUCAUGCUUAUACGACAGACAAUAAUCAUGAAUGGGAAGUAUUAGUAACAUAUUCUUCCUUGGGAUUUCAGGCAAAUGAAAAAAAGAUUGAGAAUGAUUUCAAGAGGACAGGUGGAUGAUAAAUAUUCAUUUUUGUAUAUUUGGCUAAUGUCCUCAUUAGUGGAUUUUUAUGGUAUUGAUCUUUUUCUUUUUUUAAAAAAAUUUUCAAUUAGUUGCAGCCCUAGAGGAAGAGCAGGCUGAUCAAAUUGAUUUGUCUUGUUUUUCGGGCAAUCUACGACACGAUGACCGUGAUAAUGCUCGUGACUGCUGGAAACUUUCUGAUGGAAAUAACUUUAGAGUUCGUAGCAAGCAUUUUUGUUAUGACAAAACAAAGGUUCCCCCAUAUUUUGUUUGUUUGUUAUGGUAUUUAUAUAUCCUGCAUAGGCUAGGUAGACAGGUUAUGAUGUAGUUUGGUUGGCUCUUCUUGUGCUUUGUGCAAUUUGUAACUGCAGAUACCUGUGGUAAAACAUUUAAUGGAUCUUGUUGCUGUUGAUUGGUUCAAAGACACAAAGAGAAUGGACCAUGUAGCUAGGCGUCAAGGCUGUGCUGCACAAGUAACUAUUCUUUUCUUUUUAUUUAAAAAAAUAAAACACAUUGCCAACAAGGAUCUCUUCAUUGAACAUGUGUCUAGUUCUGAUAAGCUAGCUGAUGUGCUUACCAAACCUCUGAGUUUUGAUCAUUUUGCCUAUAUGCAAACUAAGGUCAAUGUCUGCCCAUGACCUUGAGCUUACGGGGGCAUUUUAAGAAUAACAUAUGCUGAGUCAUCAAGCCAUGCUGGAAGUCAGUUUUGCAGUUAGUUAGAGAGCUUAUCAGCUUCCCUCCAAAAGUUUGUUAUGUGUAUUAGAAUCUGGGCUCACGAGUUUUGUGAGAUUGUAACCUUGAGAAGAUUCUCACACUACUAUAAAUUGUAUUGUGACUCAAUUAAUAAAAUAAGUUGAAGCUUUGCAUUUUCUCUCAGUCAAAAUUUUCUCUCUAUUUUUCUAAGUAACCAAACAAGAUCUACAGAGCAUUUUGUAUUUUAACUGGAGCGGCUGAUUGGUGCUGUACGUGUUACAUUUUUACUUUUUUAACUCAAGUCUGCUGUUGUCCCAAAGUUGGAACUAGAGAUAUCAUUUCACCUCAACUGUGUUUUUUUUUUAAUUAAAAAAAUCAUUUGUUUUAGGUAUACAUACAUGUAUUUUAAUUCUAUUUUCCUUGUAAUUUCUCCUUUACUUUGAAUGAAAGUCAUUGGUGUUUUCGAAUGGGAAUUUUGCAUUAAAAAAUUAAGAAUAGUUAAUAGGAAAUUUCCUGAUUCUUUAGUUACUAUUUUUGGUAUGAGUGUAAUUAGUAGUAAAGUUGGUUUCUACUCGCAAACAAGUGAACUGCUCGAUUCCCAAGUGCUAUUAACCAGUUUCCAACUUUUUAAUAUACACUAAUUGUUCCUGUUUAAUAGCUACUACUAUUAAAACUCAACAGCUAACAAAAAUACUAAAAAAAAAUGAUUUUUUCUUAUGAUGCUGUGAAAAAAAUUACGGGUUUACUUAUUUCCACGAGAUCUUGUAUAGUGUUCUUGUAUAGUGGAAUUAAGAUUGUCUUCCCGAUGGUGCAAUUCACCCUCUUCCUUUACAGUCACUUGCACUUUGUGCAGCUUUGGUGUGGAUAAGAUUCCCAGGGAAAAAGUCUUCAUGUUCGGACAAUGUGUCACAAAUACUCGUUCCAAUGAUGGGAAUUCAAGAGUGUAAUUCUCCAAACAAAAGCUGGUAAGCCUUGGUAAAUCAUCAAGUUCCAAAAGUUUUAAUUCUUUGAAAGCAAUACGAUUCUCCUUCGUUUCUUCUCCAGCAUGUCCUACGAUUUGUUCUAAUUUUUUGCAGUUCCAUACAUAAAGAUUCACCAGACUAGUAGGAAUUCCAACCUGAAAAUAAGCAGAGAGUGUGUGUGUGUGUUAAAAAAGUAAAAAUGUAAGAGUGUCAUUCAACUAAGCUCAAAGUAUGUUUGAUAAUACAAUUAUACGUUUUAUGAACAUAACAAACUGUGAAAUGUCUACUAGAUAUUUUUUGUUAAACAAAAAACGUAACAAGAUAAAUAAAUAAAUAAAUAAAAGCCAGAUAAACAAAGAUGAUAAAAAUGUAUUUACACUAUUUAGUAUUAGGGACGUAGAAAGAAUUUAAGGCAAUUUCUAAAUAUUUUAGACUUAUUUUGCAUCUUGAUAUAAGUUUUUAAGCAUAAAUUUGCACAUUUCAACUAUUCCUUUAAAAAGAACUCAACUAAAAUGCCUCUUUUUCCCUUUUCCUUGGUCCCCUUUUUUUUAUAUAUAUAUAAAAAUGGAAAAAAAAAUUUGGAAAAGACUUCUUAGUACUGUCAACAAGGGAUUGCUGUAAAGUGGAUCUUUAUUAAGUACUUCCAGACUCGAGGAAAUUUCUUUACAAUCUCAAAAAAAUAGUAAACAAUCAUGAAUUUGUGGUUAAUUAAUGGCAUAAUCAAUUCUUAACUAAACUGGAGAUAUUAAUUAAAUUUGAAGACUUUUUUUUUCCGAUCGAAAUGUGAAGAACUAUGGAACAGAGAAAUAUAUAGAUGAAUUUGUGAACUUAUAAGAUGAGUGACUAUCCUUUAAUUUUUGAAAAUCGUACUUAUUAAGAUAUGAGCAAAAACAAUUAAAUUGAAUUAUAUUAUGCUGUUGAAUCUGUUUAAAAAAAUUAUAUUGUUGAUUCUAAUGCUGGUGAACCUAAAAACUAGACUUAAAACGUAGAUUUCAGAGUGGUGGUUUGAAGUACAAUAUUUGAAAUAAAUAAUUAGUGGCUGAAUAUCAUUUGUAAACACAGAAAUGAUUAAAAAAUUGUUGAAUGUUAUUUGAAAAAAAAAAUCGAAAUGAAUACAGAAACCUUACCAAUGGAGGAAAAAUAUUCAUUAGGUUAUCACACUCUUCUAUCUCCAAAUUCUUCAAUUUCCUGAAAGACUCUGAAGCAAGCUGGUGGUGCCAUAUUGUUCUUAGGUUAUCCAUCCACGCAAUAUAUAAUACCUCCAACCUAGGAAGUCGUACCUGGCAGUUAAAGAUUAAAUAACUAAUUAAUCAAUUAAUGGCAUAAUCAAUUGAUAACUAAAUUAGAGGCGGAUAUUAACUAAAUUUGAAGACUCAAGGAAAAGACAAAUCAAGUAUUGUGACUAAAAUUAUUUUUUUAAUUAAAAAAAAAACCUUUUCAUCAAAGAGAGGAGGAGGUUGCAUUUCAGAAUGAAUGGUAUCUUCUGGUGAGCUCGUAGAGAUGAAUCUUAACAUAUUACUGCAACAACCAAUCAUGAGGUUUAGCAAAGAAGGGAAUUCAACAACUAAAUCUGUAUGAAUAUGUCCCAUAUUGGCAAAGCUACUUAGUCUUGGAAGCCAUUCUAGCUGCAGGGAGUGUAGCUUAGGAAAAACCUUUAAUUCAAUCAACUUUCCUUCAUCUCUUUCUGACCAUCCCGUGGUGUCGACUACCCCUUCCAUUGACUCACAAUAGCUUAUCUCAAGAUGUUGGAGUUGCAAAAGGCUAUUAACCAUAGAAUAUGAAAACAGAUACUUCAGACGAUAACACCUUUCCACAGUCACUUUUGUUAAAUUUUGACAACAGUACAUUCUUUGAUUAUGAUCGGCCCAUAAUUUUUUCAUGUUUCUUAAGUCCCUGAGAUUCAAUUCCUCUAAGCUCGGAAGAAUAACCUGCAAAGAAAACCCGUACAUUUUUGUUCCUUCAAGUACAACCGUCUAGUAUAAUAUUCUUUUGAUGAUCGAAGAUUAAUCGUGAUAAUAAAUUAAUCAAUUAAUUAUUGAACAGAAAAUUAUCACCUUUGGAGCAGGAUCAUCAUCAGCAAUGAGUUCCUUGAAUCCCAAAGAAGUUGUUGGUUUGUCCAUGUCGGGUCCUAUAAACAAACAAAAACAAUAUACAUAAUUAAUCUUUGUCGUUGUCUUUUUUUUAAAAAAAUAAUUGAGGCGAAGUCCAUAAAUCCACCAACACUUAAUUUCAACACUUACCAACAAUCAUUUCCAGAUCAUCGCAAAAAAACACUUCUACCUUUUGAAGCCGCAGUAGGUUUUUGGCCAUGGAGAAUGAGAAAAGAUGCUUCAAUUCGUGACAGUCUGAUACUUUUAUAAUCCUUAAGUUGCUGAAAGAUUGAUCUUCUGUGAGUUGGAUGUCACAUAUUGUCUCCAAAUUGAUCAAACGACGAAGAGACAAUGACUCCAGCAAGGGGAAGACUUUGCGACGAACCCGUCCAACUGAACAGACAAUAUGCAAAAUCUCAGAACAACUUUUUACAGAAAGAUGCUUCAAUCGUGGAAAACCUUCCCCAUCAUCUAAUUCAUGAACAACAUUCUGAACACCCUUCAGUUCUCCUAGAUAGAGAUAUUCAGUUCUCUUCAACAACAGUUUCAUCCUGUAAUUCUGCAAAAGAAUGCCAAACUUUUCUAGCCCCUGGAGCUUCAUCAAUCUUGAUAAUCCAGUUUUAACGGACCAGCUGCUCCACCACUUAUUUCCUAUACAUAUCUUAUAGCUUUGCAAUUCCACAGAGACCAAAUCCUGCGGUAGAAUUUCGGCAUCCCGAACGUGUAUCUCCAAAGUAGUUAGCUUUGACAACCCCUUCAACUCAACAAGACUGGCGUUACUUCCUCCUUCAACCUUCUCCCACAGUGAAAAGCUGUUACCAAUAUAUAGUUCUUCUAAUCGAGAUAAUUUUGAUAUGACAUUUGGAGCUAUCACCACAAGGCUGCUACAAUUGCUCAAAUCUAGCAACUGUAAUCUCGUCAAUUGUCCAAUUACAAGUGGCAACUCCUUAACAUCAGAAUCUCGGAAGCUGAGAAUCUCUAAUUUCCUUAGCUGUCCAAUUAUAGUUAUAUCGUUCAGUCGGCAACCAUCUAAACAUAAUGUUUGAACGUUAAUGAGGCAACCAAGUGAUGAAGGUAAUGAAGAGAAAAAUAUUCCAGUAAAAUCUAAAACUUUGAGUUCUUCUGUCCCUUCAAAAAAGAGGUCUGAAAUUUGCAAAGAGCUAUCACGCUUUGAAAACAACAAAAGAACUCGAGACGGGGACAUUCCAACCUUUCGGGAAGCUCUUGAAUAUCUCUAUAAGGUAAAGAAAUAGCUAUUGGACCUUCCCGUAUUGUCUCUUCCAUCUUUUUCUCCACGUAGGCAACAUUUGGAAUAUUAAACAUGAGCUCCUCUUCUGCAAUUGAUACAGUAACAGCAUGAAUGAUGUCAUGCAUUUUAACUUCAUCUUCGGCAUCACUGUCCAACAAUAAGCACGAAGAUUUGAGUUUGCCGAUCAACGUAUGCACUCUACUCCUUGCUUCUUCCAGUGUGUAAACGUUUUUAAAAUAGCCCAUACCCAUACCAUAUCUCAAUAAGUCAGAAACAUGUAUACCACGACCUUCAUUAUAUAGACCACAAAGAAGGAACAGAGAUUUUGCUUCCUUACUUCCCAGUAAGUCGUAACUCAAUUUUAUGGAGAUGUACACAUUUCUUUCCAUUCCAUCAAUUUCUUUUGCAUUGGAACUUCUUAGCUGACGCAGCACAUCCUUCCAAGUGUCAAGCCUCUCAUUUUUCAAAGCUUUUGCAAGUGUAAUCAGUGCAACAGGCAAUCCUCCGCAUUUUUCAACGAUCUCAUCUGCUAAAGGUUGAAAAGCAGAUGCUUUUGCAGAAUUACACACUAUCUUUCCAAACAAUUGCAAUGCUUCUUCCUUUGAUAAAACUUCAAUUGAGAAAUCCUUCUGAGAUUUCAUAUCAUUGCGCAAUAAAUCUCGACUUCUAGACGUCAAUAUUAUUGUGCGUCUUCUCCGAUCGUCCUCUCUAUCUUUCUCAUCAACAUCCCCAUAAGGAAUUCCAACUGUAUCGAACUCAAGUUUUGUCCAAAUAUUAUCCAGUAUAAUGAGGAGCCGCUUCUCUUGCUUCAACCUUUGACACAGUCGAGAAGCUCUUUGAAAUUCAUUCUCAUUCAAGUCAAAUUCCAUGCCUAAAUCAAAAGCAAGUUUGUCUUGAAUUUUAUGAUGAUCUGGGGUCUGUGUUAUCUCAGCCAUAACGAACUUAUCGAACAACUUAUCUUCCAUCACUUGGUUUGCAACUUGUUUGACCAGCGUGGUUUUGCCCACGCCGCCCAUCCCAUAGACCCCAAUUAUGUUGACUUUGUCAUCCUUCACCGCCUCCACAACAUCUUGAAAUACUUUCAUUCUUGAAUCAAACGCCUCGAAAUCUUUCACUUGCAUAUGUUCUGCCCGCUUUGGAGCAGGACGGUAGGAAACAUUGGAGAAGUUGCCUUUUCCCACGAGACUAGCGGCAGCUUCUGCCGCCUUUGCUGCUUGUUUACUAAGCUUGUAACGAGAAAUCAAGUUUGGGCAUAAUCCUUUGAAGCAGGACUUCUUAGCUCUAUCUUCAUCAUCAAUGACGGAUUUUGCAACCCCUUCACUGAUGAAUUCAUUAACGCUAUGUAGCCAGUCUGUGACACCCUCAUAAAGCUCAUCCCCUUGUAGCCUAGCAUGAUUAACUGGUUGCUGCACCAUUUCUCUCUUAUAUCCCAGCUGCUUCACUUGAACUUUUAGCUCAUCUAUGUAGCUCUGGUACUUGAACACAUAAGAUAUCUGCCGUGUAAUCGGGUUGAACAGUGACUUUGCACCUUCUGAUACACAGUUGGUUAAAAAAGCGAGACACGCUUCUAUAGCCAUUGCCUGUUGCUUAACAAUAUAUAUCUAGUUUUUUGGCUGUUGAAAAAAAAAAAUGGAUUCAAAUAAAUUAAAUGAACUAGCGGGGAAGAAAAAGAAAGAAACGACAACAAACAACUUUUUAGAAAAAGGUUUCAGGGGCCUGAAUGGAAAACCAACAAUUUUUUGAGGAAAGAAAACUUUUUUGGAAGAUGGAUGCAAAUUAACCAUUAAUAAUACUGCAUAAGAACACAGAAGUUGACAAUAAACAGUAACUUAAAACUCAAGAAAAUUAAAUGACAAGAUUAAGACAAACAAGAGAUAGUUUUUGUCGGACAUUAAGAAACAACUGCUAUCAAGAUCAAAGAUUAGAAAUUAUGCUAUUGAAAGAAAUUAUUAAAGUAUUUAGAACAAACGCACCUCUUCAAUUAUCUAGGAUCACGGAGUUUAUGAGCUUCACUCUUGGCCUUCGAUUUAUAAGAAAAAAUUUAAUGAGCAAAAGAUCACUGUUGACUGCAGAAGAAUGUGAGUAAGCAAUACAAUUGAAUUGUAAAAGAACAAGACUUAAAGCGUGCACCCCGUGUUCAUAUAAACAGAACACAUGUUCAUUUUUAACAAAGUGAUCAAUAACUAUAUUCGUUAUUUAAUUGAUAUUGUAACCAAUUCUAAGAGAAUAUAAUAAUAAUCAUUCAAUCCAUAAAUUUAGAAUUAGAUUUUUUUAACUCUUUAUUUAAAUAUAAACCUUAAUGGAAAAUUAUAAAAGUUUAGAGAUAAAAUUUUUCAAUCACCAAACGAAAAAAACAGGGGAAUGAAAACAGAGGAAUCUUGUUUUAACUAUUUUUUUUUCCUCAACUCUUGUUCUUAUAUUAAUAAUCUUGUUUUGAUGAUAGUGCUCGUGACUGCGGGAAAAUUUGUACUGGAAACAACUCAAUUUCGGAAGAAAACUUAAUUUUGCAAGUGAUGAAUUUGAACUCGUUGGAUUGGUUGAUUUAUGAUUGACUGAAUUUCACUUUUGCCCAAAAGAUCUUUAACCAAAGUUUAAUAGCCAUCAUGUACUCCUUAAAAGCAAUUUUUUUUUUUAGAUUUGACUGAAUUUGAACUUGUUGGAUUGGUUGUUUUUAGAUUAUUAAUAUGAGAUAUUACAACGUAAAUAUUUUCAUGUGGUUGAGCCCUAUUCUAAAAUCUGUAUAGUUAGCUUUAGAAAAAGGGCUUUUCCUGCUGAUCUGUAAUCUUCAAAUAAACUUAGAUACAAAUAAUGAAAUAAAAGACAACAAACACGCNNNNNNNNNNNNNNNNNNNNNNNNNNNNNNNNNNNNNNNNNNNNNNNNNNNNNNNNNNNNNNNNNNNNNNNNNNNNNNNNNNNNNNNNNNNNNNNNNNNNNNNNNNNNNNNNNNNNNNNNNNNNNNNNNNNNNNNNNNNNNNNNNNNNNNNNNNNNNNNNNNNNNNNNNNNNNNNNNNNNNNNNNNNNNNNNNNNNNNNNNNNNNNNNNNNNNNNNNNNNNNNNNNNNNNNNNNNNNNNNNNNNNNNNNNNNNNNNNNNNNNNNNNNNNNNNNNNNNNNNNNNNNNNNNNNNNNNNNNNNNNNNNNNNNNNNNNNNNNNNNNNNNNNNNNNNNNNNNNNNNNNNNNNNNNNNNNNNNNNNNNNNNNNNNNNNNNNNNNNNNNNNNNNNNNNNNNNNNNNNNNNNNNNNNNNNNNNNNNNNNNNNNNNNNNNNNNNNNNNNNNNNNNNNNNNNNNNNNNNNNNNNNNNNNNNNNNNNNNNNNNNNNNNNNNNNNNNNNNNNNNNNNNNNNNNNNNNNNNNNNNNNNNNNNNNNNNNNNNNNNNNNNNNNNNNNNNNNNNNNNNNNNNNNNNNNNNNNNNNNNNNNNNNNNNNNNNNNNNNNNNNNNNNNNNNNNNNNNNNNNNNNNNNNNNNNNNNNNNNNNNNNNNNNNNNNNNNNNNNNNNNNNNNNNNNNNNNNNNNNNNNNNNNNNNNNNNNNNNNNNNNNNNNNNNNNNNNNNNNNNNNNNNNNNNNNNNNNNNNNNNNNNNNNNNNNNNNNNNNNNNNNNNNNNNNNNNNNNNNNNNNNNNNNNNNNNNNNNNNNNNNNNNNNNNNNNNNNNNNNNNNNNNNNNNNNNNNNNNNNNNNNNNNNNNNNNNNNNNNNNNNNNNNNNNNNNNNNNNNNNNNNNNNNNNNNNNNNNNNNNNNNNNNNNNNNNNNNNNNNNNNNNNNNNNNNNNNNNNNNNNNNNNNNNNNNNNNNNNNNNNNNNNNNNNNNNNNNNNNNNNNNNNNNNNNNNNNNNNNNNNNNNNNNNNNNNNNNNNNNNNNNNNNNNNNNNNNNNNNNNNNNNNNNNNNNNNNNNNNNNNNNNNNNNNNNNNNNNNNNNNNNNNNNNNNNNNNNNNNNNNNNNNNNNNNNNNNNNNNNNNNNNNNNNNNNNNNNNNNNNNNNNNNNNNNNNNNNNNNNNNNNNNNNNNNNNNNNNNNNNNNNNNNNNNNNNNNNNNNNNNNNNNNNNNNNNNNNNNNNNNNNNNNNNNNNNNNNNNNNNNNNNNNNNNNNNNNNNNNNNNNNNNNNNNNNNNNNNNNNNNNNNNNNNNNNNNNNNNNNNNNNNNNNNNNNNNNNNNNNNNNNNNNNNNNNNNNNNNNNNNNNNNNNNNNNNNNNNNNNNNNNNNNNNNNNNNNNNNNNNNNNNNNNNNNNNNNNNNNNNNNNNNNNNNNNNNNNNNNNNNNNNNNNNNNNNNNNNNNNNNNNNNNNNNNUAAACUUUUUUUUGGGGGGGGGGGGGGGGAGCAUGCAAAUUUACCAAAAGAAAUAAUAAGAGCACAGGCUUUAACAAUGAAUAGUAACUUAAAACUCAUGCAAAAUAAGUUACAAUAUGAAAACAAACCAGAGAAAAUUUUUUCUUGGAAAGUAGAUGGAACUUAAGAAAGAGCAGAUGUCAAGAUCAAGGAUCAGGGAUUCUACUAUUAAAAAAAAAAAAAAAUUAUUCAAGGAUUUAGAAAACGUGCACCUCUUUAAUUAUCUGGGAUUAGAGAGUUGGUGAGCUUCUCUAUUUGGCCUUCAAUAUUUAAGAACAAGUUGAAAGAGGAAAAAGAUCACUGGUAACUGCUGAGGAAUGUGUGAGAAAAGAGUUGAUGAGAGCAAUAACAAUGACCUGCAAAAGAAAAAGAAUUAGUCACGCACCGCUUUUCUAUAUCAUGUAUUUGGUUAUUGUUGCCCUGUUGACGCAUGUUGAAGAAGAAAGCACUAGUACACAACUCUAUGUUUUCAUAUAUUCUAAAGAAAUAAUUAAGUUUUCAUAGAAUAAUACCUGUUGUGUUUGAAUAAUUUGGUAUCUACAUUGCUUGUGUACUGUGAAAUUGAAAUGAAUAUUGAUUGACAGAGCAAUGUAUAUACCUAAUAAAACAUAAAGCAAAUCCUUGAACGAAUGAUUCGGGACUAAAACUUUUAUAAAAGCAAAUACCGGAAACACACAAAAAGCAUUUAAGAUAGAAACUAAACAGCAAAUAAUCGAAGUAAGAUCAAUAAUAUAUGAUUUGAUUUAUGCAUAUUCAAAAACCAAAAUUUAAAAUAAAAUAAAAAAUAAAGUUUGAUUUAUUCUUUCCACAAAAAACAGGGGAGUGAAAACAGAGGCAGCUUGUUUUACCAAUUUUUUCUUCUUAAUUUCCGGCAAAAAAAAAAAUUCAAUAAACAGGGGAAUGAAAACAAAGGAACGAAAACAGAGGAAACUUGCUUUUCAGGCUAUCUUGUGACAUGAUGAUAUUGCUCGUGAAUGCAUGAAAAUUUCUAAUGCAAACAGCUCAAUUUGGGAUGAUAAGCUUAAGUUUGCAAGUGAUGCAAGUAAAUAAGUUUUUGCGGUUAAUUGAAUCUUUAAUACUCUGGGCCCUAUUCUAAAAUUUGUAGGUUGCUUCAGAAGAAAGGGCGGUUCUCACUCAUCUUUAAUCUCCAAGUAAAAUUAGAUACAAAGCAAAUCUAAUAAAAUGACAAACAAACAAACAAAACAAAGAAAAGACAGGAGGCAAACAACAUUGAUCUUAAGCCAACUGAUAUUUAAACAGAGAAUUCUUUUCUUUUAUUUUUUUAACCACCUUUUGCUCAAGGAUUAGAGUUUUUAUAUUAACAGAAAGGUUUCAGGGGUCUGAAUAAAAGCCCACAAUUUCUCUAAUUGUUUUUUUUUUUUUUUUUUUGGGAAAAAUGGAUGCAAAUUAUCCAAAGCUAAUAAUAAGAACACAGACAUUACAAAUGAACAAUAACUUAAAACUCAAGCAAAAUAAAUGACAAGAUGAAAACAAACAAGAUAAAUUUUUUCUUGGAAAUUAGAUGGAAAUUAAGGACUGCUAGUAAAAGAUAUUAUUAGAUGAUUUAGAACAUGUGUACCUCUUUAAUUGUCUGGGAUCAAAGAAUUGAUGAGCUUCUCCAUUCGCAUUGAAUAUUAAGUAAGAACGGGUAUUCAAAGAAAUUAUUAGGAAAAAUUUUAAUGAGUAAAAGAUCACUGUUAACUGCAGACGAAUGUCCUAGUAAAAUGUUGAUUUGUGUAAUAACAAUGAAUUGCAAAAGAAGAAAACUUAAUCAUGCACCCCUUUUAUACCCGAGUUUUAAGAUUUAAUUUUUGAAGUUCAGAAUCAAGACCAAAAGCCGAAGCUUUAACAAGGCAUGCAGUGAGAUACAAGAAAUGGAUCGGGUAAAAUACUUUAAAAAAUGUUGUUCAACUCAAUUAACUUGAAGAAAGCACUAAUUUCAUAUGUUCUAAUGAAAUAAUCAAGUUAAAAGUUUUCAACGAAUAAAUACCUGUUGCGCUUGAAUAAUUUUGGCAUAUACAUUACUUGUAUCCUGUGAAAUUGAAAAGAAUAUUGAUAUGCAGAGCUUAUUAGUAGAGAGAAAGCUUUGUAAGAUGCCUGAUAAAAGAGAAACCAAAAGCUUGAAUGAGGAAUGACAUCUUAGAAAGAAACUAAACAUCAAAGUAGGAUCAAUAAUGACUUGAUUUAUGCUUUUUUGUUAUUUCAUUUGUUCUGUCAACAAAUGAUGCCUCGUUAUUACGAGUUCCAACCUGGACGUUAUGCACAAAUUGUUUUUAUGUUUAACAGAAAAAAAUGAAAGCAGGUCACCAUACAAAAUUGCAUGAACAAAUCUUCAAUUUAAUGAUUAUAAAAUAAAAUAAAUUUUAUUAAUAGAUUAUGGGUAUGUUAACGUUAGGGAUUUGAUCAGAUGAUCAUAUGAUUUACUAAACGCUUUAACAAGAACAAGAAAAAGAAUUAAUGGGUUAAAAAAAAUUUAAAAAUAAAAUAAGAGAGAAGUAAAGAACUUAUUUGCAAUUACCAAACUGAAAAAAUGCGAAAUGAAAACAAGGGAGCCCUGUUUUUCCUCACAUUUUUUUUCUCUCUUUUUCAAGUGGUGAGAAUGAUAGCAGAAAAUGCGAGCUCACUAUUUUCAUUUGUUGGCCUAAAAGCCUUCCUCCAAGAGAUGCAUAAAUUUUAUUUGUACAUUUGUUCCAUUUUAAGUACACAUUGUUGCAUGCAUUUUGAACUGUAUUAUCAAUCCUUUUUGUUUUCAGUUGGUUAGUUCAUAAUAACAAAUGAAUUAUAUUAUUUUGCAUGGAUCGAAAUUUAACUUUCCCUCUUUAUUUGUCCCACAACUAAAUAGUCUCAUCUUUUGUAGUAAGCUCGCAGUACGUACGGGGAACUACUGUAUGGGUGCUUUAGCCUAAAAUGAAGAUCUAUUAAAAAUUUCCCUAAUAUCAUGAUAUUAAACAUUAAAUAAUAUCAACAUUUUGACUUCCAUUUUGUUUUUUGGAUGGAGGAUGUUCCAUCUUCUAUUUUAGGUGCUUUGUAAGACUUUUAAUUGAACAAUUGAUGCAAUCAGUAACAAAGGCUUUACUUACAUAUGCAAGUAAAAUUUGCAGGUUGCUUCAGAAGAACGGGCAGUUCUCACUCAUCUUUAAUCUCCAAGUAAAAUUAGAUACAAAGCAAAUCUAAUAAAAUGACAAACAAACAAACAAAACAAAGAAAAGACAGGAGGCAAACAACAUUGAUCUUAAGCCAACUGAUAAUUAAACAGAGAAUUCUUUUUUUUUUUAACCUUUUGCUCAAGGAUUAGAGUUUUUACAUUAACAGAAAGGUUUCAGGGGUCUGAAUAAAAGCCCACAAUUUCUCUAUUUUAUUUUUAUUUUUAUUUUUUGAAAGGAGCUUCACUAUUGGCCUUGAACAUAUAAGAAUAAGCAAAAGAUCAAUGUCAACUGCAAAGGAAUGUGAGUAUGUCAAAGUCAUGGGCGGUUUGGCACCAUUAACAUAUUUCAAAAUGGCCACCCUAAUUGAAGGAAAUUAAAGGCCAAGUAGAUGCCGCCCAAGGAAAGAAACAAAAGAGAAUGAAGAAAAAGAAGAAAGAGAGAAGAAAAAGAGAUGUCGGGCCGAAGAAGGAAAAGAAAAGAAAAAUUAAUAAAAUAAUAAUAAUAAUUAAAUAUUAAACAAAUAGUAGCUAAUUUUGGCUAUAAAACCGCUAGCUCCCUUCAUUUGUAAAUCAUCUAGUUCUUCAGUUCUUUUCUUUAUUUAGAGAGCGAUUUUAAGAGUCUAGUGAUUUGAGAGUUUAGGUGUAUUGGGAUUUUGGGUAGUGAGCUAAAAUACCACAAUACUUGUAACUUCUUUUCACUAGUAAAAUACUUUCCUUCUGUUUUCACCUGUGAACGUAGGCUAAAAGCUGAACCACGUAAUUUCUUGUGUCUAUUUUUUGUACUUGUUCUUUAUUUUCUUCCAAUUUCACUUUAGCUGCGUGUUUGCUUCACUCACCAAUUUUGUAAUAGUGAAUCAGAGCUAUUAGUUGUAUUUUUUGGAGUCGGGUACUGUUCACGUAAGGGGUACUAUUCACGUAUAUGGCACUGUUCACGUAUACGGUACUAUUCACGUAAAACGAUGGGAGGAUCCAAGAAUUUUGCGGUGCAAAGCAGGGAAUAGUGGUGUGAGUAAAACAACUGUGUGGUUUUGUACAUGUCUAGGAAAGUUCUAUCACAAAGGCGAUAAGAGCUUAAGGAGUCUGGGUUUUAAGUGGGACCAUUGUGACCCCUCCAAUGUUUCCUGGGAACUUUCUUGGUGUGCAUUCUCACACAUACUCACAACUAUUCAAGGUGGUACACUUGCUUGUGUGCGGUAUUUAUCAAUAAAAUGGCGGCAAAGUAUGAAAUUGAGAAAUUUAACGGAAACAAUUUUUCAUUGUGGAAAAUGAAGAUGAAAGCUGUAUUGAGAAAAAAUAAUUGCUUAGCAGUAAUUGGAGAAAGGCUUUUGGAGAUAACUGAUGACAAGUGGAACGAGAUAGAUGGCAACACCAUUUCUGAUCUACACUUGGCACUUGCAGAUGGAGUAUUAUCUAGUGUGGCAGAGAAAAAUACAGCGAAGGAAAUAUGGGAUACUCUCACAAAAUUGUAUGAGGCUAAGUCACUACACAGCAAAAUCUUCUUAAAGAGGAAACUUUAUACUCUUCGAAUGGUGGAAUCUACAAUGGUGAUCGACCACAUCAACACCUUGAAGACUCUAUUUUCACAACUCACAACGUUGGGUCAUAAUAUAGAGGAGAAUAAACAUGUAGAGCUUGUACUUCAAAGUCUACCAAAUUCGUAUGAUCAACUCAUCAUCAACCUAACGAACAACAAUCCAGCGGAUAGUCUAGUUUUCGACGAUGUUGCAGCUUUCCUAUUAAAUGAGGAGAGCAGGCGAAAAAAUAAGAAAAACAGACAAGCAAUUUCGCAGCAAGCGGCGGUGCUAUCGGUGACGAGAGGGAGAUCAACGGAACGUGGCCCUAGUGGGAGUCAAAAUCAUAGUAAAUCAAAAUCCAGAAGUAAGAAGAAUGUUAAAUGCUACAACUGUGGCAAGAAAGGACACGUCAAGAAAGAGUAUUGGAGUAACUAGAAGAGAAAAGAGGAUAAAGAACCUGAGUCAUCAAAUGCUCAGGGGUGUGUAGCAAGUACCUCAGAUGAUAGCGAAAUUCUUUACACUGGGGCAAUAACUAUUUCAGAAGGCAGAAAACGACUAUCUAAUGUCUGGCUUAUAGACUCAGGAGCUACCUGGCACAUGACGGAGAGAAUGGUUCUAGACAUAUGAACCUAUCUCAGGAGGAUCUGUAUAUAUGUGAGAUGAUCAUGCCUUGGAGAUCGCUGGUAUUGGUACUAUCAAAAUAAAAAUAUUUGAUGGUACAAUUCGCACAAUUGGGGAGGUACGACAUGUCAAUGACCUGAAGAAAAAUCUAUUGUCUUUGGGACAAAUAGGCAGUUAUGGGUGCAAAACUCAUGUGGAGAAUGGAAUUAUGAAGAUUGUUAAAGGAGAGCUUGUAUUGAUGAAGGCAGAAAAGAUCGGUGCUAAUCUAUUCAUGCUUAAAGGAGAGUCACUACAGGAGGCUGAUGCGUGUGUCGCAUCAAAUGGAGAAGAGUUAAUGAUGAUGUGACAUCUCAAACUUGGCCACAUGUCGGAACAUUGUUUGAAGAUUCUCUCUGAGCGAAAAUUACUUCCAGGGCUUAAAUCGGUAAGUUUACCUUUUUGCGAGCAUUGUGUUACCAGUAAGCAGCAUAGAUUAAAAUUUAGUAGAUCUAUUCUAGAAGUAAAUAUAUUCUAGACUUGAUUCAUUCUGAUGUUUGGAAAUCACCGGAUAUAUCCAUGGGAGGUGCAAAGUACAUGGCGACUUUCAUUGAUAAUUAUUCCAGAAGAUGUUGUGUGUAUCUAAUUAAGAAAAAGUUAGAUGUAUUUCCAGUGUUUAAAGAAUACAAAGCGCGGGUGAAACUUGAAUCUGGUAAAAAGAUUAAGUGCUUGAGGACGGAUAAUGGUGGAGAGUAUACAGACGGCGAGUUUCUUGCUUUCUGUAAGCAAGAAGGUAUUUAGAGACAGUUCACCAUAGCAUACACUCCUCAACAAAACGGAGUGGCGGAGCGGAUGAACAGAACUCUUACAGAAAGAAUAAGAGCUAUGUUGAGGACUGCUGGUCUACCUAAUUCAUUCUGGGCAGAAGCAGCCAAAACUGCUUGUUAUAUAGUAAAUCGGUUGCCAUCUACAGCUAUUAGGCUAAAGACAACGAUGGAGAUGUGGACUGGAAAGCCAACUGAUUAUUCCUACCUACAUGCAUUUAAAUGUCCUGUGUACGUGAUGUACAAUGCCCAAGAAAGAACAAAGCUGGAUCCAAAAUCUAGAAUAUGUAUCUUCUUGAGAUAUGCUGAUGGAAUAAAGGGGUAUCGUCUGUGGGACCCCACUGCCCACAAGAUCGUUAUCAGCAGAGAUGUUAUCUUCAUAGAAGAUCAACUGCAAAGGAAAGAUGAAGAUGAUAGUAGUGUAAAAGAAAAGUCAGAGACUAUACCGGUAUAUGUGGAAAAUAAUCCAUAAGAUUCAGAUUCUUCUGAAGCAGAACCAGAGCACGAGCAACAAAAACCAGUCGAGUCUGAGGCUCCAGAAGUUCGUCGGUCAACUCGUGAGAGACGACCGCCAAUGUGGCACUCGGAGUAUGUUACAGAGAUCAACGUUGCAUACUGUCUUCUAAUAGAGGAUAGAGAGCCUUUAACUUUCCAUCAAGCUUUAGAAAGCUCAGAUGUUGCUUUGUGGAUGACAGCAAUGCAGGAAGAAAUAAAGCUCUACAUAAUAACAAGACAUGAGAACUUGUACCACUACCACGUGGAAGAAAAGCCAUUGGAAACAAAUGGGUCUACAAAAUCAAACGUGAAGGCAAUGACCAAGUAGAGCGGUGUCGUGCGAGAUUGGUGGUGAAAGGAUAUGCUCAGAAAGAAGGUAUUGACUUCAACGAGAUAUUUUCGCCGGUGGUUUGCCUCACGACGGUCAGAGUAGUCUUGGCAAUGUGUGCUACAUUUGACCUACAUUUAGAGCAGUUAGAUGUGAAAACUACAUUUCUUCAUGGAGAACUUGAAGAAGAAAUAUAUAUGCUCCAACCAGAAGGUUUUGCAGAAACAGGAAAAGAGAACUUGGUUUGCAGGUUGAACAAAUCUUUAUUCGGUCUCAAACAGGCGCUGAGGUGUUGGUAUAAGAGAUUUGAUUCCUUUAUCAUGAGCCUUGGAUACAACAGACUCAGUUCAUACCAUUGUGCAUAUUAUAAAAGGUUUGCAGAUAAUGAUUUCAUUAUUUUACUAUUGUAUGUGGAUGACAUGUUGGUAGCAGGCCCUAACAAAGAUCGAAUCCAAGAAUUGAAGGCACAGUUGGCUAGGGAGUUUGAAAUGAAGGACUUGGGACCAGCAAACAAGAUUUUAGGAAUGCAAAUUCACCGAGACAUAAAUAACAGGAAGAUUUGGCUUUAGCAGAAGAAUUACUUGAAGAAAAUCUUGUGGCGCUUCAACAUGCAAGAUUGUAAGUCAAUUUCUACCCCACUUCCUGUUAAUUUCAAAUUAUCCUCAAGUAUGUGUCCUAGCAAUGAAGCAGAGAGGAAGGAGAUGUCUCGAGUACCGUAUGCAUCAGUAGUGGGAAGUUUAAUGUUCGCUAUGAUAUGUACUAGACCAGACAUUGCACAAGUAGUGGGAGCAGUCAGUCGAUACAUGGCGAAUCCCGGUGGAGAGCAUUGGAUAGUUGUGAAGAGGAUUCUGAGAUACAUCAAAGGAACCUCAGAUGUUGCAUUAUGUUACGUAGGAUCAGAGUUUACUGUCAAGGGCUAUGUGGAUUCAGAUUUUGCAGGAGAUCUUGAUAAAAGAAAAUCCACUACUAGUUAUGUGUUUACACUUGCGGGAGCAGCUGUAAGCUGGGUUUCGAAACUGCAGACUGUUGUGGCUUUAUCUACAAUAGAAGCAUAAUACAUGGCAGCUACACAAGCUUGCGAGGAAGCUAUUUGGAUACAAAGAUUAUUGGAGGAGCUCGGGCACAAACAAGAGAAAAAUUAUGUGUUUUGUGACAGUCAGAGUGUCUUUCACAUUGCAAGAAAUCCAGCCUUUUAUUCCAAGACAAAGCAUAUAGGAGUUCAGUAUCACUUCGUUCGAGAAGUAGUGGAAGAUGGAAAUAUGGAUUUACAGAAAAUCCAUACGAAGGAGAACCUAGCAGAUGUUUUGACUAAGCCGAUAAAUGCUGACAAGUUUAUCUGGAGUAGAUCUUCUUGUGGCCUAGCAGAAACGUAGGCAACAUGAUUAUGGCGAAGCAGAAAGGAUGUUGUGGACAUUGAUUGAUUCUCAAUCUAAUCUCCAGGUGGGAGAAUGUCAAAGUCAUGGGCGGUUUAGCAUCAUUAACAUAUUUCAAAAUGGCCACCCAAAUUGAAGGAAAUUAAAGGCCAAGUAGAUGCCGCCCAAGGAAAGAAACAAAAGAAAAAGAAGAAAAAGAAGAAAGAGAGAAGAAAAAGAGAUGUCAGGUCGAAGAAGGAAAAGAAAAGAAAAAUUAAUAAAAUAAUAAUAAUAAUUAAAUAUUAAAUGAACGGUAGCUAAUUUUGGCUAUAAAACCGCUGGCUCCCUUCAUUUGUAAAUCAUCGAGUUCUUCAGUUCUUUUCUUUAUUUAAAGAGUGAUUUUAAGAGUCUAGUGAUUUGAGAGUUUGGGUGUAUUGGGAUUUUGGGUAGUAAGCUAAAAUACCACAAUACUUGUAAAUCAUUUUCACUAGUAAAAUAUUUUCCUCAUGUUUUCGCCCGUGGACGUAGGCUAAAAGUCGAACCACGUAAUUUCUUGUGUCCAUUUUUUGUGCUUGUUCUUUAUUUUUUUUCCAAUUUCACUUUAUCUGCAUGUCUGCUUCACCCACCAAGUUCCUAACAGAGUAAAGAUUUCAUCAGAGUAAGUAAUACAAAUGAAUUGUAAAAGAACAAGACUUAAGCGUGCACCCCGUGUUUUGUUUUAUUCGUAUAAACAUAACAUGUUCAUUUUUAACAAAGUGGUCAAUAACUCUAUUCGCUAUGAAAAUGAUAUUGUACCCAAUUUUAAGAGAGCAUAACAAUAACCAUUCAAUGCAUAAAUUUAGAAUUUUUUUUUUGUAAUUCUUUAUUUAAAUAUAAACGUCGAUGGAAAAUUAUAAAAAUUUAGAUAUGAAAUUUUAAGUCACCAGACAAAAAAAAAAAAAAAAAAAAGGGGAACAGAAAUAGAGGAAUCUUGCUUUACCUUUUUUUUUUUUUCCUUUAACUCUUGUUCUUAUAUAAAUAAUCUUGUUUUGAUGAUUGUAACUCGUGACUGCGGGAAAUUUUCUAAUGGAAACAACUAAUUUCGGAAGAUAAGCUUAAUUACGCAAGUGAUGAAUUUGUUCAAUUGACUCUGUACUUGAACUAGUUGGAUUGGUUGAUUGAUGAUUGACUAAAUUUGAAUUAAGUUUAAUAGCUAUGAUGUGCUCCUUAAAAGCAAACGUAAAUCUUUUUUAGAUUUGACUGAAUUUGGGAACCUGUUGGAUUGAUUGUUUUUAGAUCAUUAAUAUCGGUUACUACAACGUAAAUAUUUUAUUGUGGUUGAGUCCUAUUCUCAAAUCAGUAGGUUGCCUUAGAAAAAGGGCUUUUCUCACUGAUCUUUUUUUUUUCUUUAAUUCACACGCACUUGAUUAUUGACUUCUUUCAUGAAGAAAUAAACUUGUAAUGACUUAAAGAUUUAAUUUCAAGUUAGAAUCAAUACCAAAAGACGGAGGUUUAACAAAGCCGUUUAGUGUGAUAAAAGUACUUUAAAAAAUGUUGUUCGACCCAAUUAAGUUGAAGAAAUAACAAAGUUUUCAUGGAAUAAAUACCGGUUGUGCUUUAAUGAUUUUGGCAUAGACAUUGCUUGUGUACUGUGAAAUCGAAAUGAAUUACUGUGAAAUUGAAAUGAAUAUUAAGUGACAGCGCGAUGUAUAUGCCUAAUAAAAGAUCAGCAAAAGCUUGGAUGAAUGAUUGAGGACCAAAACUUUUAUAAAAGCAUUUUUGAGAGAAACUAAACACCAAAUUAUCAAAGUAAGAUCAACAGUAUAUGAUUUGAUUUAUACAUAUUCAAAAACAAAAUAAUGAUUAAUAAUAAAGUUUGAUUUUGUAUUGCCAACGAUGCUUUUUUGUUGUUUCAUUUGUUCGACGUGGCCUUAUUUACAAAUUGGUUUAUGUUAACAGAAACAUAAAAUUCACAUCACACAAAAUUCCACGAACAAAUAUUAAGAGAACGUAAUAAUAAUCACUCAAUGCAUAAGGGUAAAUUUAGAAUUACAUAUUCUUUUUUAUUUAAUAAAAUCCCAACGGGAAGUCAUAAAAAUUUAGAUAUAAAAUUUUCAAUCACCAAACAAAAAAACAGGGGGAAUGAAAACACAGAAAACUUAUUUUAACUUUUUUUUCAUCUAACUCUUGUUCUUAUAUAAUAUUUUCCCUAGUAUUUCAGGCAAAAAAAAAAAAUCAAUAGAGAGCAAGUUGCUCAAAUUGAUUUAUCUUGUUUUUCAGGCAAUCUUGUGAUAUGAUGAUAAAGCUCAUGAAUGCUAGAAAACUUCUAAUGCAAACAACUCUAUUUGGGAUGAUAAGCUUAAUUUUACAAGCGAUAAAUAUAAAUAACUUUUUGUGGUUAAUUGAAUUUGUAAUUACUCUUAGCCCUAUUCUAAAAUUUGUAGGCUGCUUCAGAAAAGAAAAAAAAAAAUUCUUACUCAUCUUUAAUCUUCAAGUAAAAAGCAAAUCUAAUAAAAUGAAAAACAAACAAACAAGUAAAAGACAGCAAACAAACAACAUUUAACCAACUGAUAUUUAAACAAGGAAUUCUUUCUUCUUCCUUUUUCUUCCCCCCCCCCCCCCCCCCCCCGGGGCUCAUGGAUUAGAGUUUUUGCUAUUAACUGAAAGGUUUCAAGGGUCUGAAUAAAAUCCCAGACUUUUUUUUUUAAUUAACCAAAGCCAUAUAAUAAGAUCACAGACUUUAACAAUGAACAAUAAUUUGAAACUCAAGCAAAACCAAUGACAAGAUUAAAACAAACCAGAGAAAUUUUUUCUUGGAAAGUAGAUGAAAACUAAGUAAGAACUGCUAUUAAAGGAUAUUAUUAAAGGAUUUAGAACAUGUAUACCUCUUUAUUUAUAUGGGAUCAGAGAGUCGAUGACCUCCUCUAUUCGCUUCGGAUAUUAAGUAAGAACUGCUAUCAAAAGAAUGAAUUGAUGAGAGAAAUAACAGUGAAUUGCAAAAGAGGAAGACUUAAUCACGUACCCCUAUUAUACCCGAUUUUUAAGAUUUAAUUUUGAAGUCCAGAAUCAAGACAAAAGACGAAGCCUUAAAAAAUAUGCAGUGAGAAUAAUUAAGUUGAAGAAAGCACUAGUUUAUGGCUCAGUGUUUCAUAUGCUGUAAUGAAAUAAUUAAGUUGAAGUUUUUAACGAAUAAAUACAUGUUGUGCUAGAAUAAUUUUAGAAGAAUAUUGGCUUAUAGAGCAUAUUAGUAGGGAUAAGAUAGAAUAAAUGAAAUAAUAAAAAGCAUAACUGAUCAAGUCAUUAUUGAUCUUACUUUGAUUAUUACAUUGCACAUUAGUUUCUUUCUAAAAAUGUCAUUCUUCAUUCAAGCUUUUGCUUUAUCUUUUAUCAGGCAUCCUACUGUUGAUGCCCAAAUCUGAUCUAGUCUAUUAGUGACUUAAUAUCAGACUUCUACACUAGCAUUAGAUUUAUUUGGUAGAGAAUCGAUUGGUCAAUUGUCAAGAUGUCCUGCAACCACUAGCGAUUAACCUGCGAAUACCUGAAAUCAUAGAAGACGGUCAGAGGCGCUGGAAGUUUUUCCGGCGUGAACCCUCUAACGCUCAAGUCAGUUUCUGGGCCUUUGCCAAAAAACUUGUGCCACCACUCAUAUGGCUUAAUAAACAUUAACUUAAAAACCAAAAGCUUUUUGAGUAACUUGCAGAAAAAUGAAAUAGAGUGUAAAAGAAAGGAUUUUCCAUGAGAAGAAGAGAGAAAAAGAUGCCUUACAGACCCCGAAAAAAUAAAUAAAUCCUCCUUUUAAGGUCACGCCCCACUCCCCUCUUUUCCCCUUUGUUCUCCUCCACUUACGGAAGUUAAGGAUGAGUAAAAGUAAUGCCUCUACUCUCCAUUUUUUUCUCCUUUUUCCGUUACCAAACACUAGUCCCCCAGUUUCUAGUGUUGAGAGUUUUAACGAAUCAAGACUGGAAACUAUAUGAAUUUUAAAGUGACCUUGAUGUGGUUGGCAUAAAUCGGCUCGGGAUUGCUAAAAUUAACCUUACUAUUUGCAAAAAAUUUCAAGUUUUAAACUUUUACAUGCCUUUAAAUAUACCAUUUUCCUACUUGCAUAAUCAUGUAAAGCAGGUUUCAUAAGUUCACGUAUUUAUCUCACCUAAAGUAGGUUUUGAGACUUAGUCAUUUAUCUGCUUUAGAAUAUUUUUCACUCAUAUAACUCUUGCUCGCCUAAUCUUGGUCGGGCAAGAGCAGGCAAACUUUGACUUCAUCUCACUGCGAGGAGGUUUAAAGACUGUAAGCCUUUUACUUGAAGUACCCUUUGUUUUUUUUUUUUUUAACUUUCUGCUCGCCUUCACAUGGUUGAGCAGAUUCUGGCAAGCUUGAUUUCUUAUCUCGCCAUCGAGCAGACUUUGAGACUUUAAAGUCUUUUGUGUGCCUUAGAAACUUUCUUGGGAUUUUUGUUCUCUGCUCGCCUUUACAUGGUCGAGCAGAUUCUGGCGAGCUUGGCUUCCUGUCUCGCCAUCAAGGAGGCUUUGCGACUUUGGAGCCUUUGCUUGCCUUAGAAACUUUUUUGGAACUUUUGUGGUCUGCUCGCCUUCGCUUAGUCGAGCAGAUCCUGGCAUGCUUGGCUUCCUGUCUUGCCAUAAAAUAGGCUUUGAGACUUUGGAGCCUUUGCUUGCCUUAGAAACUUUUUUGGAAUUCUCAUUUUUUGCUCGCCUUCACAUGGUCGAGCAGAUUCUGGCGAGCUUGGCUUCCUGUCUCGCCAUUGAGGAGGCUUUGAGACUUUGAAGCCUUUGCUUGCCUUAGAAACUUUUUUGGAACUUUUGUGGUCUGCUCGCCUUCGCUUGGUCGAGCAGAUCCUGGCAUGCUUGGCUUCCUGUCUCGCCAUAAAAUAGGCUUUGAGGCUUUGGAGCCUUUGCUUGCCUUAGAAACUUUUUUGGAACUUUUGUGGUCUGCUCGCCUUCGCUUGGUCGAGCAGAUCCUGGUAUGCUUGGCUUCCUGUCUCACCAUAAAACAGGCUUUGAGACUUUGGAGCCUUUGCGUGCCUUAGAAGAUUUUUGAAACUUUUUUGGUCUGCUCGCUUUCGCUUGGUCGAGCAGAUCCUGGCAUGCUUGGCUUCCUGUCUCACCAUAAAACAGGCUUUGAGACUUUGGAGCCUUUGCGUGCCUUAGAAGAUUUUUGAAACUUUUUUGGUCUGCUCGCCUUCGCUUGGUUGAGCAGAUCCUGGCAUGCUUGGCUUCCUGUCUCGCCAUAAAACAGGCUUUGAGACUUUGGAGCCUUUGCGUGCCUUAGAAGAUUUUUGAAACUUUUUUGGUCUGCUCGCCUUCGCUUGGUCGAGCAGAUCCUGGCAUGCUUGCUUCCUGUCUCGCCAUAAAACAGGCUUUGAGACUUUGGAGCCUUUGCGUGCCUUAGAAGAUUUUUGAAACUUUUUUGGUCUGCUCGCCUUCGCUUGGUCGAGCAGAUCCUGGCAUGCUUGCUUCCUGUCUCGCCAUAAAACAGGCUUUGAGACUUUGGAGCCUUUGCGUGCCUUAGAAGAUUUUUGAAACUUUUUUGGUCUGCUCGCCUUCGCUUGGUCGAGUAAAUGUGGCUUCCUGUCUCGCCAUAAAACAAGCUUUGAGACUUUAGAGCCUUUGCGUGAUGAUGGGUGUCGAAGCCAACAAAAAUAAAUUCCUACUCUAAAUAAAUUGUGUAUAGUGAUUGAGCAGGGUCGUGUCCACAGAGAUCGGUAAUUAUUUAAAUCCUUUUGAAACGUAAAAAUAAAAUGGGGGUUUUGUUGACAAUAAUAAAAAUCAAAUUAAAAUAACGAGAAUGCAAAUUAAAGUUGUAAUUCAAAUUGGAGAAAGCUCUGGUUGAAGGAAUUAACUCAGCUUGAUUCGACUACUGAUCAUUGAUUCAAAUAAAGAUUAUUAUUACUUAUGAAUAGACCGGUUAUAGCUAUUGAGACCCUCUAAUAGCCAAUCUCUCCUUAACUAGUCGAUAACCAAGGUACGACCGUUGGAUAUUUCCCUAAUCAAAUAGACAACCCUAGAUACGAUCAUAAGAUUUAAUCAAUUGACAGCCUGAAAAACCAGAGAGACCCAAAUCCUAAUCAACACAUAUGAUGAUUCAUUUAAAUUAGAUUGUUUAUUCUCACAACACAACUCUCUGCUAUGUUAUUUGUCACAAAUAUUAAAUUCUUCAUACGAUGAAUCCUUUAAUUGACAAUAGAUUAAGUUGAUAAUUAAAUAGUGGCCAAUUACCUAAUUAACAAACAUAAUCAUGAAACUAAUUCAGAGAAUAAACAAAUACCCAAAGAGCAAUAAAACAAUUAAAGCACAAGAAAGAUCUCACAGUAGUGAUGAAUCAAAGCUUCAUUAUCCUUCAACCAGAAAAUAAGUUUAGUUCUCCAUAGAGAGAAGAGAAAAAUUAGCUCUAGGGUUUCUUUCUUUUUCUCCAAUCCCAAAAAAUCCCCCUUUUCACAAUAGAUUCCUCCCUUAAAUACUCUCUCUCUCUUCUCUUUUAGAGUUCUAUUUAAAAUAAAAUACUAAUAUUUGAAAUAUUAAAUUCGUAAUAAAAAAAUAGCCAAAAAUACAAAACACGUUAAACUAAAAACUGCAAGUCCGCAGUUGACAGCACGCGCCCACGCCUUAUCAACAAAGUUCUUCUGCCGCUCAUAAUUUCUCCAAGAAAACAAUCAUCCUUAAACAUCAUCUUAUAGCUCAAUUUUAUCACCAAUCAAUAGAAUUGCACCUACAAAAGUAAAACACAAGUAAAUCACUAUUAUUAAAUGCAAAACAUCGAUAUUAAGGGAAGUAAACAAUGCAAAACUAGUGCAUAAAUUGCACUCUAACACGUGCCUUCAAUGUGCUCUUAUUUGAGGUUUUUGCUUUAAAUCCUUACAUAUGGAUAACCAUCAAAAAUUUAAUUUCGGACUUGUAACUUAUAACUUGUCCAGAAAAUAGCUCUCAUUUACAACUUGCGCUUUAGCUAUUUAUAUAUGUUUGGGCCUUUGAUGGAUAAACAUCCUUGGUGUUUUUAUUACCAUCUAUAAUAUUUGGUUAGCAAUAUUAUUAAAGACCUUUGCUAAAGGUGCAGAGCACCAUUUACCAACACUAAAGAUAUUAAAAUUUAUAUAUAAAAUAAAUCAUAUUAUAUAAAAUAUGUAAUCAACAAAUAAAUGGUACCAUAAAAGUUUAAGCAAAGUCAUAUCACUGUAUCAAGGAAAUACGAUCUCAUGCUAACCCAAGUUCCAUCAAUCCUUCGGUCAAGCAUGUUGUGUGCUAAUAUAUGACUAUGCUAUAUAUUCUAUAAUAUGUAAUCUUAACUAUUUUCUAUUAACGACUUAAUAAGUCAAAACCCCAUCCAUCAGAUUUUUGAAGUCAAGUAGUGGAUUUAAAGGAUAAAUAUAAAACUGAGGUAUUAGAACAAGUGCACCUGAGAUUGUGCUCUGCAUUAUUUCAUUAGUACUUCAUCAAACAAAUCUCGAGCUUGACUCUGCUUUGCUCCCUUCUUAGAAUUAUUCUUGCAAUAUUUUAACAUGGGCACAAAACGGAUAAAAUAUGAAGGAAACAAAAAUCCAACUUCAUCAAUUCUUUGAAGCUUGAAGACAUGCCUAUCAAGCAUAUAUGUAGUGUAUGUAGUGUAAUCAGCAACAAACUCACUUUUGAACUUUCAUAUCCCUUGAGGCGAUUUAACGAAUAGCUCCUGAUUUGAAUUUUAACAAUUCGGCCUCAACUUGUAAUGAACCGAGUUUCAUACCAGAAUUGUCUAAAUACUUUCCCUGCAUAUUCUUCACAUGAAAACUAGCAGCAUGAUUGAUUGAUGGGGUGUAAAACCAGCAGGAAAUAUCUUGAAGAAACCACAGAUCCGUGGAUUUUUUAUGCUUACCACCAAAUGAAUUUAACAAUUUGUGUGAUCUUUAUUUUAAGAAAUUGAACAUUGCUAAUACCGCAAAUCGAUUGCUCUUUUGAACAGACUUUAUAUCUUGAGUUCGAUGAAAAGAGAACAAUCAAUCAAGAAAUAUAAAUACAUCAGCAAAAUAAUGAUGGUAGCAGCAUUACACAUCUAAUUAGCCAUAACGAAGCUGAAUAAUUAGCCAUAAUAAAUCUGAAAUGUUAACAUUAUGUCAAGCAUGUUGUUGGAAAAUACUAAAUUAAUUCAUUUGCAAGUAUAAUAGCAUGUAAUCUUGAAUUAUGAAUGAAGCCCAUUCUAACAAGCUAAUUUUGUGAAGGAACAUUAUCAACGAAUUCCAAGGGAUAAUAUUCAAUUUCAGCAAAUAUAUCAUGCACGGUAUUGAAACAUGCAUGUUAUUAAAGAAUUUCCAAGCAUCUCUCAGUUGAUAAAUCAAUCAUCAUAGCAAUUGGAAAUUGAAUUUUAAUGACAAUAUACUUAAAGCAAUAAAUAAGCCAAAACCUUUACAGGUAAGCAUUCCAUCCAGCCUUGAUUGGCUUCCGUGUUUGAGCCAGCUUAUCAAUUUGUGCAUGAUAAUAUUAUGCCUUUGGCUUGGCCGGAUGCAAAAUUGGUAGAGACAAGAAGUUGGCUUUUUGUAUCGAUUCCCCACAGACGGUGCCAAAUGUUGAUGCCCAAAUCUGAUCUAGUCUAUUAGCGACUUAAUAUCAAACUUCUACACCAGCAUUAGAUUUAUUUGGUAGAGAAUCGAUUGGUCAAUCGUCAAGAUGUCCUGCAACCACUAGCGAUUAACUUGCGAAUAUUUAAAAUCAUAGAAGACGGUCAGAGGCGCCGAAAGUUUUUCCGGCGUGAACCCUCCGACGCUCAAGUCAGUUUCUGGGCCUUUGCCAAAAAACUUGUGCUACCACUCAUAUGGCUUAAUAAACAUUACCUUAAAAACCAAAAGUUUUUUGAGUAAUUUGCAGAAAAAUGAAAUAGAGUGUAAAAGAAAGGAUUUUCCAUGAGAGGAAGAGAGAAAAAGAUGCCCUGCAGACCCCGAAAAAAUAAAUAAAUCCUCCUUUUAAGGUCAUGCCCCACUCCCCUCUUUUCCCCUUUGUUCUCCUCCACUUAUUGAAGUUAAGGAUGAGAUAAAAGUAAUGCCUCCACUGUCCAUUUUUUUUCUCCUUUUUCCGUUACCAAACACCUACAAAUCUUAUCCCUACUAAUAUCCUCUAUAAGCCAAUAUUCUUCUAAAAUUAUUAAAUGCCAUUCUUCAUUCAAGCUUUCAUGGACAUUAUUUACAAAUUGUUCUUGUAUUUGACAGAAAAAUGAAAACGCCUCGUCAUACAAAACUGGAUGAACAAAUCUUCUGUUUAAUUGUGAUAAAAUAAUAAAUUCCAUUAACAGAUUCAGCUGUAUGUUAAUGUGAGGGAUUUGAUCAGAUGAUCAUAUAAUUUACUACACGCUUUAAGAAGAACAAGAAUUGAUGACUUAAAAAUUAAAAAAUAAACAAAUAAAGAGUAGAUACAAAGAAUGUUAUUUGCAAUCACCAAACUGAAGAACAUGGGAAUGAUAACAGAGGACGGUUGAUGCAACAUUAUGAAGUCAAAAUUAAGAAAGGCCUUUUUUCCUUUUUUUUUUUUACAUUAUUCUAUUUAAUCUUACAUAAGGCGCACACUACGAAUAUAAAUUAAAUUCAUAAUUAAGAAUAAACGAUAAACCCUAACAAUCAUCUAGCAAGUACCGUGUAGACUGCAUCAAAAAUUUAGAUUUAAAUUUUUACAAUCACCAAAUGGAAAAACAGGGGACUGAAAACAAAGGAGCCCUGUUUCCAGAAACCGGGGAGUUUCCGGGUUUCUGGAAACAAACUCAGAAACGAAUGAACUGGCUGCCGGCGGUACUUUCUAGAUAAAUCGCUUGGUGUAUAUAAGCUUUCAUGGUCUGGUUUUAGUCUGGUUAGGUUCAGCCACUGUGACUGUUAGGGAUUCUCGUAAACUGAAUUUAAAGUUGCGGCUUAAAGUGUUUACCAACUUAAAACCAGAGCUAUAAAGUGUUUGAUGAAUUAUUUUUUAAUUUAAAAAAAAAAAACUGAUUUAGCGGGAUAAAAUAAUGCUCCAUUCCGUUUAGUAUGUGAAGUCCAGAGUAUUACCUACUACUAACUAAAUCCGCUUGAUUCACAAGACUACCAAGAGAUAACUGAAUCUUCAAUGUAAUAAAAUAAUAAUCAGCCUCACAGGAUACAUAAAAAGCUCAUUUAUCACAAUCAUAUCCUAGUGCAUCAUAAAUUUAGAUUAUUUACUUUUACUAUUAGGAAACCUACUUAUAUAAGGCGCAAACCACAAAUUCUAAAUUAAAUACCUAACUAGGAAUAAAAGAUAAACCCUAACAGUCAUACACCAGGUGCCGUGUAGCCUGCAUCAUAAAUUCUGAUUUAAAUAUUUGCAAUCACCGAACAGAAAAACAGGGGAACGAAAACAGAGGAGCCCUAUUUUUCCAUUUUUUUAACCCUUAACUCUUGCUCUUCUAAUUAUAUUUUUCCUUGGAAUUUCAAGUAUGAGAUGAAUUUGGAGAAAGUAAAUAAAUUUGAAUUACGUGAAAAAUUCUAAUUUUUUUAACCCUUAACAGUUGGUAUAUUUUUUUUAGGUCAUAUAUUAAUAAUUUCUUUUAAAAAAAAUUUAUAAUAUCAAUUAAUAUUAUAACCUACAGAUUAAUACAGAUAAAAAUAUGAUUGAUUUAUCUCCACCACCUAAGUCUUAGCCAAAUUUAAUUAAAGAUUAAUUUAAUAAAUUACCGAAAAUAAUAAAGUAAACGAAAAAUAAAGCACGCAAUUAAGUAAUCAUGCUUCUAAAGGGCUAAUUAACCAUAAUAGGCAUAGGUAUUAAUUUGACUUCUAUGAAAGUCCCUUCUAGUUUCUCAAAAUUCAAAAAUUACAAUAAAAAGCCAAAGAAAAAGUCAAUGCUUCUAAAGUAGAAAAGUUUGAGUACUAGAUAGGCUGCCCAAAAUACAUUUUCAUUACUCACAUAUCUCUAUAGAAAGUAAUUUUUUUAAUAAAAACAACCUAUUUGGCUAAUAUUCAGUCGUCUUUUUUGUUGAUGGAAUUAUCCUCUUAACAAUAUUUUAAAAAGUUUACAUGAAUAUUCCUUUUUUUUUAAAAAAAAGAAUUAAUAACGUGUAUUGUUAGGAUAAAAAUGAUCAUCAAUACGUAUGUAUAUAGGCACAAAUAUAUGAAAAAAAAUCAAGUUUAAGUACAAUGUAUAGGUCAAUGCCUAAGAGUCAAGCCUAAAUUAGGGCAACAUAUAACUACAAAAUACAAUUUCGUACACUACAAAAUUUUGAUAUCAGCAGUAGGGGUAUAAAAAAAUCAUUGUUGCCAAAAAUCCAAAAGCUAACUAGAGGUUUGGUUUUGUUUCAAAAAUUAAAAAAACAAGUCAAUUCGUAAAAUCAAAAACAGAAAAAGAAAAACAAAAUAUAGAGGAAUUUACAGUUUAAAAAGAAAAACCAAGCCAAAACGAAAUUGAAUCGAAAGUCGAACCAACUCAGUUCAGUUUGAUUUGAAUUUUAUUUUAUAAAAAAAAAUGAUCGGAACCAACUAAACUGUAUUAUGUUAUAAAUUAUUAUAUAACAUAAAUUUUUGAAUACCUUUGUGACGAGCACAAUUUAAAAUUUUAUGAUUUUAAAUUUUAACAUUAAUGGAGAGUUAAUACUCCACCAUUUUCCAAUUUUUACAAUACAUAUUACUAGUUUAGAUAUGCUGUAUAUUAUUGUUAUAAUUUUUCGAGCAAGAUAAUAUUUGUCAAUUGGUGUUAUGACAUCAAAAUACUUGGUAUUAGUUAGUGCUAAGUGCUUCUUUUUCUUAAAAAAAGCGGUUCCUUAGUUUUAAAACAAAAAUCAUUAUCCUGAAAUUCUCCAUUUGCUUUGUUAACAGAUAUAACAAAAUAAAGUGAUAAAAGUUUAAUUUAUAAAACUUCGGCAUUUAUAUCUAUCAGAUUCAACACUUUAGUGUCAUAGAUUUAUUUCGGUGGAGCACGAUGUGGGUCGGGCCAGGCUUAGAAUUUUAAGCACGAGAGCCUUAAAAAUAUGAUAUGAUUAGAGAUGGACUGAGCACAGCACGAUGAAAAUGCCCACAAUAAGCACAUUAUAUUUUUUUUUUAUUGAAAAUAAACUUAAAAUUUUAUGUUUUAUAAAUAACUUGAAGUUGAAUUUUUUAAAUUCAUUUAAUUCUUAGUUUAAAAAAAUAUUAUAAUUAAUUUAUAUUCAUAAUUUAUUAAAUAAAUAAUUGAUAUCAUGAUUUUAAUGAAUAAAAUUAUAAAUAUCACGAUUUUAUAAAUAUGCAUUAAUAUUAUUGUGAACUAUGAUCUAUGACUCUAUGUAACUCUAAGUUAACAAUUAAGUUAGCCCUUAAGAAAAUAUUAUUAUUAUUGUUGUUGUUGUUGUUGUUGUUGUUGUUGUUGUUGAGUAUUAAAAAAAUUAUAAUACUAAGAGAUCAAACUUAGUAAUUAAUAUUAAAUUUUCUUACUAUUAUUAGUUUAUUAUUAUUGAAUAUAAACUUGAGUUUUGAUUUUUUGAUUCUAUUAAAUUUGAAUAAAAGUAUAGACCUAAGAAAAAUAUAUAGACUUGAAAAAAAUAUGCCAACAGUUUAGUAUGCCCCUUAAAAAAUUUAAAAAAAAAAAGAAAAAAACUUAGUGAGCUUUUUUUCUUAGGCAUGGCACGGCAUGUAUCGGCAUGUGUGCUAGGCCGAACCUAAACAAAAAAAUAAAUAAAUAAAUCUUGACACGACACAACACAAGCAUAAGCACGCAUGGGCCUUACUUACCGCCCGACCCAUUGAGCAUCUCUAACUGUAUCUAUCUCCGCCAUAAUAAAUUAAACAUCGGGUAACUACUAGACUAGGCAUUAGCACAUAAACUAACUAACUAUAGUACCAAAAAGAAUGAUGCGACAUUGUAAAAGAGAUGGGGCAAAGGGCAGAAUGGGAAACGAAUGAACCAAAUAAUAGUAUAUAAUAAUAUGAAUUUGGUAAAAAUAAAAAAUAAAUAAAGUAAAGUGGUGACACGUACCUCCUUUUAUUUCUCGAUCGAGUAGUGCAGAAAGUGGAGUGUGUGUGUGUGUGUUAAUUGUGAAAUGUCAGCCAAUUUUUUCUCUCUCAUUCUGAAACAGCUCAGCAGGAAUGGUGUACACUAGAGACGUCUGUCUGUCAGUCAGAACUGCCAAAAGAGCAAAACGGGUGCACGUACAAAUUAAAGCAGCCAAUCAGCGAUAUAUUUCAGUUACUUAAAGCUAGCACAGAGGGAACAAGCAAUGUGCAGGGCCAAAAGAGAUGAGACCCCUGAACCCGAACCCUCCUGAAUGAUCUGAUCACAUCUGAUUCGAUGUCUCGAGUCAUUAGAUUUAACAUAUUUUAAAAAUAUUUCUCAGUUAAUAUGUGAUUUAAUUAAAGGUCAAGUUUACAUCUGAAACUGAACUUAUUAAAAAUUAAUUUGAAAUAACAUCUAAGCUAUCUAUUUGUUUAUAAUAAAAUUUAAUUGUCAUAUCAGAAUUAUUUUCCGUUAGACUUUACAAUAAGUUAAUCCCAAAUAAAUUGACAAUUUCAAUUUUAAAGUUAGUUUGUAACUUUAAAAUAAUUUUCUAAUAAAAAUUUAAUCUGAAACAUCUGCAAUAAUAUCAAGUAUUUUGAUGUCAUAACACCAAUGUUUCACAUGCACACACAAGUCAUAUAUAAGUUAAUAAAAACAUCAUUUGUUAUUAACAAAAUCAUGUUAAUUUUUAAUUCUUAAAUUAACUCCCUGUUAAAUUUUGGCUAAAUCAUUAUUGCAAUUUAUAAAUUAAUAUUUAUAAAAAAUUAUGAAUCAUCCAAAAAGCUGCUUGAUAUAGAUUAAUUUCAUGGUCAUCAAUUUUUUUUUUAUUUAUACACCUUUAAAUUAUCACUUGUAUCAUAUGAAAAGACUAUAUUACCCCUCUAACAUCAUCAUAUUUAAACGGCAACUAAGCUAUGGUGAACGACAUUAUAUUUUGUCAACUUAAGAUGAAUGACUGAUAUACGCUAAAAGUAUUGUAGUAAAUUUGAUAAUAAAGUAUACAAUUGAUAAUUUUCCUAUUUAUAAUUUAUCCCCUUAAUUAUGAGUAAUUUUGUUUUUGUCUUCAUUUGUCCCUUUCCUACAAAACCAUUACUAAUGUACAAGUUACAUAUAUAAAACAUUCUUCUUUAAUCAAGUUUGGAAUAUUUUCAUCCUUAUGUAAAAUUAUGCAUAUAUCUUUUGAGUUUCUCAAUUGUACUUGAAAAAAAAAAUUACAUUUAAUCACGGUUGGUUAUCCAUAAAAAAUUUUAGGUGGAAAGUUCACGCGUUUUAAAAUUUAAUUGUGGAAUUAUAUUACAUUUAUUAUUUAGUUUCAAUUUAAUCAUGUAUCAAAUUCAUGUUUUAAAACAUGUGGAAAUUUAUAAUAUAUAAUGAUUCUAUGUAAAUAUAUUAUCUCAUUUCUUCAUUCUUUUGUUAUUAGUUCUCCUCCACUGCAUUAGAUAUAUUUUGAAGUUUUCUAAUGUAAAUGUUACUAACAAAUACGCAUUGAAUAAUUAUCGGGUAGUUUAUAUUAUAAUUUAAUAAUAGCCACAACAUAAAUGUACAAUUUGGUGAUAGUAAAUGACAUUACAUGAAAAUGAAAUCAUCAUGUUGCAAACAAGAUGCAACCAAGGGAUUGCAAACAAUGUUAAGUUACUAUUGGGUCACUUGAACUCCUGGGCUCUCUCCUGUGUAAUUUAUAUUAGACUGUCGCGUACAAAACGCAGACAUAUAUAUACAUACAAGUAGUGCUUUGGCAACAGACACAAUAACCAAGAAGCAGCCCUUGUUUUCAAAUUCAUUCAAAUGCCAGCCUGCAGUUUUGAAUCCUUCAAAUGCCAGCCUGCAGUUUUGAAUCCUUCAAAUUGUGCUCCACCUUUUGAGGGGACGAUGAAGAGUGAAAGAAGAGACAAAUGGCAGAAUAUCAUCCAUUGCAAUGCCUCGUUUCUUAUAUUUCCAUGCCCGAACAGCAAAUUCCACCAAUCUUUUUGCUGCCUUUUCCCUAUCCACUACUGAAGAAACAAUCUCCACCGCCUCUUGGUUCGAAAUCACAUCCCAAACCUGAAGAACAAUCCAUAAUUGAUCUUUCAAACAUUGACAUUAGUUCAGAUCAAAAGAUAAUUCCAAUAUGUGGAUACGUACCCCGUCCGAUGCCAGAAUGACAAAUUGGUCUCGUGUUGUUAUGUUUCUUUGCGUUACAUGGAGCACGGAGAUUAGGCCAUAGUCCUUGACACAGUAAUCACCCAAGGCUCUUGAUAUGGCUAGUCCCGGAGUCUCACCAUUCGGCAUCCAGACUCUGUAUACGCCCGGCUCAUCAUUUAAGCAAAACACAAGCCCUUUGGACUGCGUUAUUCGCUCCGCUUCCUCUGUAUAGGCCAGUGAAGACAAGAACCCGUACGCAGACCUUAAAACACACCCAUAUAUACACCUACACGAGGCAGAAAUAUUUAAGAGAAGAUGAGAUAAUUGAGAUCUGAUUGGUAAAAUAUUGUUAAUUAGUAAAAAAUAAUUAAUAUACUUGCUAUUUAAGUAUUUUACUAAUAUUUUAAACAUCGGUAUUCAAUGAUGUUAAUAUGUGAUUUUAAUAUUAAAUUUAUGUUCUCAUUUAUAACAGUAUGGUCAUCAGUAUUCACAACACAUCAUAUAUUAAUGUAUGGGUUUAUUAAUAUUAACAAACAUUUAUUUCCAAAUAAAUAUGGUAGCCUUAGUAUUUAAGAAUAUUCUUUAUUGUCUAGUCGUCUGUCCAAGGAAGAACGGGCCAUCAUCAAAUUUAUCAAGGGCCUUCUCUAAGUAAUCAAAAGCAGGACCUGUGACAAAUUAAAACUUUUUCCGUGAGUUCAGCACAUAUAUAUACAUAUUCAAAAUGCAUUCUAUUAUAAACAAGUAAGCAAGUUUCAAAUCCUACCAGCUUGUUUUGCUGGGUCUCCUUUGAAUGAAGUAUACACAUCGUUGGUGAAGGUAUCGAUGUGGGAAAACAGUUCAUCAGCAAACUUUCGUUUCUCAGGAUCCUACAAUAUUUUCACAACAUUACUUUACUCAAAGUUGAGAGAGAGAGAGAGAGAGAGAGAAGCUUUUAUUAAAAGCAACAAUGUAAUCAGCAAAAUCUUACAUCAGGUAAAAGUGAAGGCCCUUCAAAAUUGCUGUCAACAUAUUUAAUCAAAUCAAGAGAUUCUCCAAUAACUUUGCCAUUGUGCUCCAGUGCUGGAACCUGUAAAGAAGAACUCUAAUAGGUAAAUAUACUUCAUAACUCCAGCAAUGAUCUCUAAUCUUGCACGAAAAUGUAACAAUCAGUUUAACUCUUUCGUUGUGUUUUCUUGCAAGCAAGCAACUUGCUCAAAUCAGAAUAUGUUAAGAUUUUACUAGGCACACAAAGCACAAAGACACCAUUCCAAUUUUAUUCAGGAACUCCUCCGCACAGAUUACAAGCAUUUCAAUUUCAAAGAUGGGGCAUAAGUGUUGGAGAAUUAACAAAUAAAACACACAAAAAACACACUAUUUUAUUUCUUCAACAACACUCCUCACCAAUUACAACUCUUAUCUUUCACUCUCUACACCUUAGAGAUUUUGCUACUUCACUUGAUGAUUAAACCAAAGGGGAGAGGGGGUAUUUAUACAUGAAACAAACUAAUCACAACCAUUCAUUUAUUCAACUAAUACACAAAUCCUCACCAUCCAUUAAAACCUACCACUCACCUACUUCACCAACCACACCUAACACACCUAACACAAAUAAUUCAAACCUCACCAACCAUACCUACUCAUGGAACCUUCCAUGAGUUGGGCUUGAUUUGGAUCAAGUUUAUGAUCCAACACCUCCCCUUAAACUUGAUCCUGUGACACCAAGCAAACUUCUGAAUCUUAUAAAGUCUUCUUGCUUGAGUGGCUUAGUGAAGAUAUCAGCUGUUUGAUCAUGUGAUUUUACAUACUUGAUUUGCACUUCUUUUGUUGCAAUACACUCUCUUAUAAAAUGAUAGCGAGUGUCUAUGUGUUUACUUCGAUCAUGAAAGACUGGAUUCUUGGAUAGGGCAAUUGCUGAUUUGUUAUCAACACAAAUCUCGGUUGGCUCUUCUUGUGCCAAACUCAACUCCUUCAGCAAAUUUCUGAGCCAAAUUGCAUGACAAACACUUGAUGUGGCAGCUACAUAUUCAGCUUCACAGGUGGAUAGCGUGACAAUUGGUUGCUUCUUUGACAUCCAUGUGAAAGCAGUAUCUCCCAUGAAGAACACAAAUCCUGUGGUGCUCUUUCAAUCAUCUACAUCUCCACCCCAAUCGCUAUCGCUAUAUCCAACAAGCUUAUAGUCAUUAGAAAAUGAGUACAGCAAGCUGAAAUUAGUUGUACCUUUGAUGUAGCGAAGGAUUCUUUUUGCAGCUUUAAAAUGGGUGGUCUUUGGAUUCUCCAUGUAUCGGCUCACAAGUCCAACAGCAUAAAGGAUAUCUGGUCUUGUGCAUGUCAAAUAACGUAGGCUUCCAACCAAACUUUUAAAGAAUGUUGGAUCUAUAUCUUCGCCUUCAUCAAGUUUGGAUAACUUGACUCCGCAUUCCACUGGCGUGCUUAUAGGCUUGCAAUAAUUCAUCUUGAUCCUUUUGAGAAUCUCCUUUGCAUAGCUUUCUUGGGAGAUAAAUAUGUCUUCUUCCUUUUGCUUGACUUCAAUGCCGAGGUAAUAUGCCAUCAGUCCGAUGUCAGUCAUCUCGAACUCUUUGAUCAUCACUCUCUUGAACUCUUCAAACAAGCUUGGAUUACUUCCAGUAAAGAUGAGAUCAUCCACACACAGGCACACAAUCAAAAUAUCUCCAUCUUUUUCUUUGACGUAGAGAGCAUGUUCAUAUGGGCAUUUAGUGAAGCCUUUCUCUUGAAAAUACUUGUCAAUUCUGCUAUUCCAUGCCCUUGGUGCUUGCUUUAACCCGUAGAGAGCUUUCUUCAAUCUCAAAACUUUGUCUUCAUGUCCUUUCACCACAUAGCCUAUUGGUUGUUCGAUGUAAACUUCUUCUUCAAGGAAUCCAUUCAAGAAAGCAGACUUCACAUCCAUUUGAAAAAUCUUCCAUUUGUUCUGAGCAGCCAAAGAAAUAAUAAGUCUAAUAGUUUCAAGUCGAGCUACAGGAGCAAAUACCUCGUCAUAGUCUAUGCCAGCCUUUUGACUAUAGCCUUUUGCAACUAGCCUUGCCUUGUGCUUUUCAAUUUCUCCCUUCGCAUUUCUUUUUGUUUUAUACACCCAUUUGACACCGAUCGCCUUGUGACCUUUUGGAAGAGUAGUAAGCUCCCAAGUAUCAUUCUUCACAAUGGCUUUGAUUUCUUCAUCCAUUGCAGUUCUCCACUUCUCAUCUAGUAUAGCUUCUUAGAAGUUGACUGGCUCACAAUCAGCAAAGAGGCAAAAGAGAGUGAGAUUAUCAUGUCUCUCAGUUACCUCAUAGAGAUCUUGAAGACUCCUUGUACGUUCUUCGAUUCUUUCAUUUAAGAAAGACGGCGGUGAAUCUCUGCAUGUGGUUGGUGCUGGUGAGAUAGGUGGAGUAGCAAGCUAUUGUUGUUCGUCUACUUGUUUUAUCUGUGUAUGAUCAUUUUCUUCAAUGGGAAAGAAGUUGAAGUCAUCCACACCAGAGCCAAAAUCCCAUUCUCCUUCUUCAUCAAAAAUUACAUCUCGACUGAUCACGAUCUUCCCGUUGUUUGGAUUGUAAAGCUUGUAUCCUUUGGAGUUGUUGUCGUAGCUGAUGAAGAUGAACUUCUCACUUUUGUCAUCCAGCUUGGCUCUACUUUCGUCUGGUACAUAUACAUGGGCAAUGCUUCCGAAAACUCUUAGAUGGGUGAUGCCGGGUUUUCUUCCACUCCAAGCUUCUUGUGGCGUCUUGCCCCACACGCUUCUUGUUGGAGAUCGAUUGGAUAAGUAGACUGCACAUGCAACUGCUUCAGCCCAAAAUUCUUUAGGUAGCCUCUUACUCUUAAGCAUGCUUCUUGCCAUGUCGAGGAUGGUUCUGUUCUUCCUUUCUGCAACACCAUUUUGUUGGGGGGAUCUUGGAACUGUCAAAGGGCGUCGAAUUCCAUUUGCUUCACAAAACUCUAAAAAUUCUUUGGAAGUGAACUCACCACCUCGAUCAGAUCUCAUGGCUUUAAUCUGGUAUCCACUUUCUUUUUCCACUGCAGCUUUAAACUUCUUGAAAGCUUCAAAGACUUCUGAUUUUUGCUUCAAAAAAUACACCCAAGUUUUUCUUGAAAAAUCAUCUAUGAAGAGAAGGAAGUAGUUACUUUUACCAAGGGAGUUUGGCUUGAAUGGACCGCACACAUCAGUAUGAAUAAGCUCGAGUGGCUUCUGAGCUCUUGAGUUUGACUCCUUUGGAAAGCUCUUUCUGAACUGCUUGCCAAGUAAACAUCCUUCACAAAGUUGAUCAGGGUGAUUGAUGUAUGGUAAGCCUUUCACCAUGUUCUUCUUAGAUAGUAGCUCCAGUCCUCCAAAGUUGAGAUGCCCAUAUCGAAGAUGCCAAGUCCAGGAUUGAUCUUUGUGACAGGCUUUGAGACAUUUUGCAACAUCAUUUUGAAUAUUUAAUGGAAACAUUCUAUUCUUUGACAUUUUCACCUUUGUAAUUAGAUUUCCUUUAUCAUCUCUUAGGAAAAGACUAUAAUCUUUUAAGUGAAUAUCAUAGCCUUUUUCAAAAAGUUGACCCAAACUAAGAAUGUUGCUUUUCAUAUUGGGCACAUAGUAAACAUUCGAAAUUAUUUGGUGACUACCAUCUUUUGCACGAAAAAGAAUGUUACCUCUACCCUUCACUGGUACUUUUGAAUCAUCUCCAAAAGCAACACUGCCAUUCACAGAUUCACUUAGCUGCACGAACAUGCUUUUGUUCCCACUCAUAUGAUUGCUAGCACCUGUGUCAAGAUACCAUGUAUUUUCUUGACCCCCACUUGUGUCAUUGCGUGCUAGUAAAAGUGUGCCAUCUUCACCAUUUUUCUCUUCAGCAUAGUUCACUCUCUCCUCAAUUCUAGUGCUUGGAGCUCUGCAUUCUGAAGCAUAAUGCCCAAACUUUUGACAAUUAUAGCACUGUACUUGAGAUUUGUCAUACCCUCGAUCUUGGAUUGCCUCUGCCUCGUCCUCUGCUUGAGCUUUCUCCUUUUGGCCAUAAUUGGAGUUGUUAUUGAAAUUCCCAACCCUCGUCCAUGACCCACGACCUCUACCUCGUCCCUCGACCUCUACCUCGGACAUAGUGUCUUCUCUCGUUGUCGGAGCUUUCUUCUCUUUUCUUUGGAUUGACUUCCAUCUUGAGAAGUUGUUCUUCGAUUCCCUGCUUCUUUUUUUGUUUCUCUUCAUAGGCUUGUAACCUUCCUUAAAGUUGCUCGAUCGUCAUAUCUUCCACGAACCUUCUUUACUUGCUCCGCUCCUUUGUAAGAGGUCUCUAGUUUCUCCCAUGCUUCUUUUGAGGAGGUUGUACCAGCAAUCUUUUCAAAAGCAUCUUCAUCUAAUGAUUGAAAGAUGAGAUACUUUGCUUUAUUCUCUUUCUUCUUCAAGUCUUUUAAAUUCUCCUUCUGCGCCGCAGUUAAAGUGGCUUCAUUUUCUGGCACAAUAAAGCCUUUCUCCACGACAUCCCAUACGUCAUGUGCACCCAAUAGAGCUUUCAUUUUAAUACUCCAAUUGUCAAACUUACUUCCCUUUAAUUGUGGAACUUAAAAUGACAUCAUACCAUUGUUUGCCAUAACUCACAAAUUGAGUGAAAAUUUGGAGAUUCUGAAAGCACAGAUGGAUCCGGCACGUCGAAAAACCUUGGGAAGGACUCGAGUCAACUUUCAGUCAACGGUCAACGUCGGUCAACGGUCAACACCGGCUUGGUAGUCUUGGUUUGGUCCGGAUUGGUUCAGCUCCAGUUGGCUCGGUUCGACUCGGCUCGGUUCAGCUCGGCUCGGCUUGGUUCAGUUCGGCUCAGCUUGGUUCAACUCGGUGAGUCGACUCAGCUUCAGGACAGAAAACUUCCGAUGGCAAGUGUGGGUGCGUUCGGUCUCGGAUCGGGAUGAUUUUUGCGGCGUCACGUUCCUCUCGUCAAGAUCUUCGAUUUGAUAUGCUAUAUGACUAUAUAUAGCAUCAAACACUAGCUCUGAUACCACUUUGUUGGAGAAUUAACAAAUAAAACACACAAAAAACACACUAUUUUAUUUCUUCAACAACACUCCUCACCAAUUACAACUCUUAUCUUUCACUCUCUACACCUUAGAGAUUUUGCUACUUCACUUGAUGAUUAAACCAAAGGGGAGAGGGGGUAUUUAUACAUGAAACAAACUAAUCACAACCAUUCAUUUAUUCAACUAAUACACAAAUCCUCACCAUCCAUUAAAACCUACCACUCACCUACUUCACCAACCACACCUAACACACCUAACACAAAUAAUUCAAACCUCACCAACCAUACCUACUCAUGGAACCUUCCAUGAGUUGGGCUUGAUUUGGAUCAAGUUUAUGAUCCAACAAUAAGGACACAGAGUCACAUAAUUAGGCUAUUUGGUAUUGAGGUGCUGUAGUUUUUUUAGCUACAGCUGCCACGGACCCAAAAAAAAAAAACUGUAACUAUAAAAUAAAAGUUAAAAAUGCGUAAUAAAUAUGAAUUUUAAAUUAAGAUUUUGACAAAAAUAGUAGAAAUAUUAUAAUUUUACAAAACACUUUUAACUCUAUACCUUUUAAUCCACGGCCGCCCUACCUCAAUACCNNNNNNNNNNNNNNNNNNNNNNNNNNNNNNNNNNNNNNNNNNNNNNNNNNNNNNNNNNNNNNNNNNNNNNNNNNNNNNNNNNNNNNNNNNNNNNNNNNNNNNNNNNNNNNNNNNNNNNNNNNNNNNNNNNNNNNNNNNNNNNNNNNNNNNNNNNNNNNNNNNNNNNNNNNNNNNNNNNNNNNNNNNNNNNNNNNNNNNNNNNNNNNNNNNNNNNNNNNNNNNNNNNNNNNNNNNNNNNNNNNNNNNNNNNNNNNNNNNNNNNNNNNNNNNNNNNNNNNNNNNNNNNNNNNNNNNNNNNNNNNNNNNNNNNNNNNNNNNNNNNNNNNNNNNNNNNNNNNNNNNNNNNNNNNNNNNNNNNNNNNNNNNNNNNNNNNNNNNNNNNNNNNNNNNNNNNNNNNNNNNNNNNNNNNNNNNNNNNNNNNNNNNNNNNNNNNNNNNNNNNNNNNNNNNNNNNNNNNNNNNNNNNNNNNNNNNNNNNNNNNNNNNNNNNNNNNNNNNNNNNNNNNNNNNNNNNNNNNNNNNNNNNNNNNNNNNNNNNNNNNNNNNNNNNNNNNNNNNNNNNNNNNNNNNNNNNNNNNNNNNNNNNNNNNNNNNNNNNNNNNNNNNNNNNNNNNNNNNNNNNNNNNNNNNNNNNNNNNNNNNNNNNNNNNNNNNNNNNNNNNNNNNNNNNNNNNNNNNNNNNNNNNNNNNNNNNNNNNNNNNNNNNNNNNNNNNNNNNNNNNNNNCUGGAAAGAGCUCAAGCUAAUUAAUUGAUUUUUAUCUUUUGGAUGCACUUAAUUGUAAUUAACCGGAUCAAAUUUUGAAACCAAAAUAAUUCACGGGGCAUUCUAGCUUCUAGCUAAUUCAUCCAAAAAAAUAUAAAAUUAUAUAAAAAUAAUAAAAAUACGUGUGAUGUCAGCUUGAUGCGUACAUUCAAAGUUCCAAUUGAAAACAAAUAGAUAUUCAUUUUUCUUGUCAAAUUAUUGAAAGAGACAUCUCUUAAUUUCUUCCAUCACCAGCAACGGUUGAGUGACCUUGUCUUACAUUGUGCAGCAGCCUCCUCGAAGUUAAAAAAAAAAAAAAAAAAUAGCCCAUUAUCUUGGCUUUUGGCUGGAUCCAAAUUUUUGUUAAAUACAAAUAAAUAUAAUAUCAACUUAAAUAUUCCAAUAAACCUUCUAAUAUCUUCUUUGAACAGUUUUAUUUUUAUUUUAUGAGGAGGGAAGAGUAAACCAUUAAAACUAUAAUUCAUCAUAAAUUUAUUGUACCAAUUUUUUUUUUAAAUCCAUAAUUUUGUGAAAUAUAAAUUUUAAGAAUUGAAAAAUAUCAUUAUAGCUUUCAUAUCCAAAGUUAAUUUUGAUAUUUUUGUACAAUUACAUAAUCUUCAAAUGUGGAUAAUGUAAAAGAUGAAAAUUGUCAAAUUAUUAGAUAAUUGUUUUUACAAAAUUUUAACGAUCAGAAAAAUCUUAAUUUAUAUGUCUUAGUUUAAAGAAUUGGUAUUAUCAAAUGUUACUUAAAUGUAAAUAUAAUAUAAAUAUUUUGUGUAUUUAUAUGUUACGUUUAUGAUUUGAUCACUGUUUAUCUAAAUUUUAAUAAAAUCAGACAUAUUUAUGUAAUUUACUCAUAAAAAAAUAAUCCAUGAUUUAAUUUGCAAUGAUCAAAUUGUUGUAUUUUGUCAUAUCAAAAUACAUAUUUUUGUACAAUUACCCAUAAAGUUUAUGCUACAAUCAAGCUAUUUAUAAUAUAAGUGUGAUUUUUGAAUUUAAUAUUGAUAUUAGUAUUAAAUAUGAUAAUAGAAAAAUAUUUUAUUAGAUAUUAAUUGGGUCAUUUGUGUUAUUGUUUUUAAAAAUUAAUGACCUGCAACAUUAAUUGUCAAUAAUGGGUUUUUUUAAAACAUGCUGGUGCCCGGAUGUAAAUGCCGGUACCUCCCAAGUCAGUAGCCUUAUUAUAACAGUGUAUUCCCGUCAGCAUAUUGGCCUGCCCCUGUACCAUUACUCCAAUUGAUGCUGAAAAUAUAACAACAUCAGUGACCGCGUUGUCGUUUCCCGUGAUGUUUAUUCCGAUGCCGGAGAAAUCCUUUUCGCGAUCAUCCCCGCCGAUGUUGAUGUGUUGGCCGAUGAAGGAAUUUCUUAUAUACGUUUCGUGGCCAUCUUGGAUGGAAAUGCCAGCGGUAGUGAAAUGCGAAAUGUAACAAUUGUCCACUGUGGUUCUUAUUGAAUUUAUAAUGGCAAUGCCGCCACCCCUAAAAUUGGAGUCCAACAUAAGCUCCUUCAAAGUAAUGUAUUCGUAUAAUGACGAUGAUGAUGACGAUCUUAACUCUAUGAGAUGUCCGUUGCCCGAAAAAUCAUCCGAUGCUCGGAGGGACCCACCGUGUACCUAUGUAUACAUAUAUAGAUGUUAAAAGUAAGAAUUAAAGUAAGAAUUAAAUUUUAAAUUAAUAUGUGAUUUGGUAUGAUUCCUAGUUACAAAAUUUUGGCAUUUUGUAUUCGGUUUUGUAGUCCUUCAUAAGACUGGCAAAAAUCAUUAUCAAUUAAACAUUAUGUUGUUAUAUUUUUUUAAUGAUCUUUAUUUUAUUUGCUUUAAACAAUAUCUAUUUUUCAAAAACAAUACUUUUGACAAGCAAACCCUAAAGUGGGAUUGAAGCAGAGAUGAAAGAGAAAGCAUGCAUUUUGCACAUGUUUAUAAAAACAAGAGAGUAUAUUUAAUCUCAAUCUGUAAUUCUGUAUAAUGUAUUAUUCUUAAGUUUGAAUCAAAUUAUUCUUGAUUCCAUCUGCCAAUCCAUCUCGGGCCAUUGAAUUAUGCAUAGCUAUUAUGGUAAUGGUCUCUUUAUUCUCCUCACAAUCAAUUAAUUGUGAUGACCAUACUGUUCUCACGAUUCUCAACCGCAAAAAAUUUAAAUAUUGUAUUGUACAUUUUUAUAAACAAAUUUUAUGUCAUCUCCAUUAUUGUGGAAUUUUAAUAUCCUAAUACAAUAUUAUGAUAGUAAUUGGGUCAAUAUGGGUAUUGGGUCAUAUUAUCGUUAUAAAUAUUAAUUUAUUAUAACUGAGUGUGUAAAGUAUCUUUUUUUAUUGUUGUACCAUAUUUAACUUUUGGCUGCAAAUAUAUAUAUACUUAGCAUUAUUUAUAUCAAUAAGUUAAUAUAUAUAUCCUUUUCUUUAGCAUCAAAUUUAAGUUUUUAAAAAGUUAUGAUAAUUCACUAAUUUGGUAUUUAGGAAAUUAAAUCCAUAUCAAUUUAUUAGAUAUCUUAAACCGUAUGUAAAAAUAGAAUAUUGACCAUUAUUCUAUUAGUAAUAUAUCCAUUAAAGAUUUUGACGUGCUAUGGUCUAAAAAAAUUAACUUGGCGGGAUGUUAUGAUUAUAUUCAAGGUGAUAGGCAAGAAAGUUAUGAGGAGACCCCAUUGAAGCCUAUAUAUUAUAGUAUGCAUAAAGACUCAAAAAGUGCACUUGAAAUAACAGUUGUCACUGACAGGUUAAGAUAAGCUACCAAAUUGGCACUUAAAGGAAGAAAUUCUAGUAUUAGUGUCAUAUUUUAUGCCAUAUUAUGUAAUGCAUAUUAGUAAUGAUUUCUUCAUAAUAUCGCAUAUAUAUAAAAGUUCAUCCUAGCUAGAUGCAUUGUAGAUUUUGUAAGAAUUAUUUUACUCUGUCCAAAUGAGUUCACAUUAUUAUCCAAUUUUCCUUUUUUUAAGUUGAUUUAUGAAAGAAAAAAAAAAAUGACACCAAUGUUUUCCACGUCGCCGCAAGUCUCAUCGAUAAAAGUCCAUCUACAAAUUAGUUCAUAAUUCUUUUUGUAACUUCGCUAAAAGCUAGUCAAGUCAUUGCUAGCAAGCCUCAAAAGCACGAAGUACGCGAAUCACGGCGAUAACUGAUAAUAACUUGGUUGUCCGGUUUCGCAUACUAAUUAGCUUGAUUGAAAAUCGUGAAGUAUGGGGCACGACUAACGCAACGCAUACGUCUCAUGCAUUAGGCAAAUAUUGUACGCGACCCAUGUUGAGAGCACAAAUCCACUAUCUACAAGUACUAUAUAUAGAGCUGCAAUGCGUGCUUCAAGUAUUCACAACUUACCCCCAGCUGGCUAGCUAGCCUCUAUAAUUUGAAGGGAAAAAAAAAAAAAAAAAACCUUGUUCAACUUGCAAAUACCUACCAAUUAUUAUGGAGAAAAGCUUUGAUAUCAUUGCCCUGUCUAUGAUCAUUCUGGUGACUUAUUCAUCUAAAAUGGUGUCGGUCGCCGGCCGGUCGCUGCAUGAACCAUCCAUUGUUGAGAAGCAUGAAAAAUGGAUGGCUGAGCAUGGGCGCACUUACAAGGACGACCUGGAGAAGGAAAAGCGGUUUAAGAUAUUCAAAGAAAACCUUGAAUACAUUGAGAAAGCCAAUGAGGAGGCGAAUCGGACGUACAAGUUAGGCACCAAUGAAUUUUCAGACUUAACUAAUGAGGAGUUUCGUGCUUCAUAUACAGGAUACAGGGUGCCAAGCCAGUCAUCUUCAUCACGGCAAUCCACAACAGCAUCCUUCAAGUAUCAAAACCUGACUGACGUUCCAACUAGCAUGGACUGGAGAGAGAAAGGAGCUGUCACUCCUAUUAAGAACCAAGGUCAAUGUGGUAAGUAAAUCGUAUACUAAAUAUUUAUGAAGUAACUAUAAUAGAUUAUUUAGCCUCCAACCUCUUUCAGAACUCAAACUCAGUUGACCAUCAGCUAAUUAAUAAAAACAGCUUGACAACCGUCUGCCAAACCCCUGCUGGGGCAUGUUUCAUGUAACUUAAUCAAGCCUUUUUUUUUUUUUUUUCCCUUAAUAUGUACGAUGCAGGAGACUGUUGGGCAUUUUCAACUGUGGCGGCGGUGGAAGGGGUGACUGAGAUUAGUAGUGGUAAUCUUAUUCCACUUUCGGAGCAGCAAAUACUAGACUGCUCAAUAGAUGGUAACCGUGGAUGCGGUGGCGGUUGGAUGGACAAUGCCUUUAAAUAUAUUAUAAAAAACCAGGGUAUUGCCUCAGAAGCGGAUUAUCCAUACAAGGAAGUCCAAGGGACUUGUGAAGACGCACAGGUCAAGGCAGCUGCUAAAAUUAGUAACUUUGAAGAUGUAAAACCCAAUGAUGAGCAGGCUUUACUCCAAGCUGUAGCCAUGCAGCCAGUAUCAAUUUGCAUUGAAGGAAGUGGACCAGACUUCCAGAGUUACAAAGGCGGUAUUUUUAACGGAGGAUGUGGAACUCAGUGUUCUCAUGCUGUUGCUAUCGUUGGAUAUGGGGCAACUGAAGAUGGAAUGAAGUAUUGGUUAAUUAAGAAUUCAUGGGGGGAGAGCUGGGGUGAGGCCGGCUACAUGAGGAUUCUCAGAGAUGUUGAAGCACCUGAAGGUCUCUGUGGCAUUGCCACUAAACCUUCCUACCCAGUUGCAUGAGUAGCAGUAUUUUAUAUUAUAAUAUUAUUAGCCGCCUCUUAGUAAUGAUGUCUUCAAGCCUACACAUGCAUUAGCCUCGAAAGGCUUAUACGAACCGUAUGAAUCGUAUGAUUCUGUGGUUUUACCUAUGUUGAGUAUUUCAUAAGUUGUAAUUGAACGCCAAUAUUUGGUAUUAGUUAAUGUUAAAUCUCUCGUUUAAAUAUAAGUUUGAUCUUUGCAGUAAUUAGUCAUUUACAUUUAAUGUCACGGAUACUCAAUUCGACCAAGAAAUACAUAGUUUAUAUCUUAGUUACUCUGAUAUUUUAUGUGGCAUGUUAUAUGUAGUUCAUUGAUCAAGUUGUAAGAAUAGUAUGUAAAUAAUUAAUAAUAAAUUUAUUUAUUAUCAUUUAUGAGACAAUAAAUGAUUAGUGGAACAUUAAUUAAAAUACAAACUAUUAUUAUUUAUUUAAGAAAUAUAUAUUGGUCAAUGAAAUUAAUGCAAGACAAAAAGUAACUGAAUUUUGAUUACACGCUUGAUGUCUGGAAGUACAAUGAUUAUGAAUUUGUGUUUAAUUAGGUCAAAGUUUUAAGUUAAAAUAAUCAAACCUAUAUACUCACACUAACUUUUAAAGUUUGAGUGGAAUUUGCCCGCUUUAAUUGGGGUCUCAUACAGCAAAAAAUUUUUGGCCAUCUUGAAUUUCUUUUUCUAUUUACUUAUAAAAAUUUAAAGGCUUGGUAAUUUCCCUCCCCCAAAUUCUGUCUUUAUUCCUAAGUAAAUUAGUUAGUCAUUAUUUCAAUAAUUAAAAUUAUUCUAAGUUCUAAAUUUUGGGCGUGGAGGGAAAGUUAAGCGCAAGUAGCCGUGACUGAUUAAUAUUAAACAAUAUAAUUUAAUGCAUUUUUUUCUUCAUCUAUUUUUUUAAUAUUAGUUUUUGAACAAAAUAGUAGAACGAUAGUUAGAAUUUAUUAAUCAAAUUUUUUUACUUUCAUAUCCAUAUUAUAUUGUCAAUAAUAGUGUCAUGUAAUUAUAAUUAAAAGUAUUUGCAAAUAAUUUUGAAAGUCGACCGCCUCAUCAAAAACUCAGGAUGGCCGAGUGGUCUAAGGCGCCAGACUCAAGUCUGGUCUUCGAAAGAGGGCGUGGGUUCAAAUCCCACUUCUGACAAUGUAAUUUUUUAUUUUUUAUUCAUUUUUUUACAACGUUACGACUAAACGACGUCAUUUUCAUUAAACGGCAAGUCGUUUCAGUCGUCUUCUUUAACGGAAUAAAAAAUAUCUAAACCGAAGACCAAUGUUUCCAAACCCGCUAUAAACCCUACAGAUAACCCUCAUUGCCACUCGCAUCACUGAGUUCUUAACCUGAGUUAAAAUGGCCGAGUCCGCAUCCGAACUCAGUGAGUUCCGGAUUUUUCCGGCGGACUCACCGCCACCACAACCGAAUUCAACCGGAGUUCCGGUUCAUAAUCUAACACCAGAGGAGCUCGUGGCCAAAGCCAUAGCUCCAGUUAAGAAACAGUUUCUUCGUCAUUAAAUUCCAAAAUAAAUUUUAACAUAAUAAUUAAUUCUUUUAAUAGAUAAAAUUUUCUAUAUGCACGAUUGAAUUCAGCCCCAAAAUGUUAAUUAAAAAACAAUUAUCCAAUAUUCAAGAUAGUUUGAAUCGUCAUUCUCAUAUCGUUAUAAUGUCAUGAAAUAAUUGUACAAAAACAAAUGACCAAUAAAUUCACAAACGUAUAAUAUUGCCUAAUGUAAAUAACUUAUUAAUUAAUAUUGAUAUAUUAUUAAUUACUUAAUGUUUUACCUUUUUAUAAAACAUAAAAUUAUGUUUACUUCCAUUCAAGAUAUCCCAAAAAAAUUAAUCUUUUUGGAUGAUUCAUAAUUUUCAAGAGGAUGUUUUUACACCAUACCAUCGUCAAAUUGAUAAGGGCCAUGUUAUUUUUUAUUUAAUUGAUUUAAAUUUCAACUAGAGAGCUAUUGGAAUCGAUCACUGUAAAAGUUAAGUUGUGAUGUAAUCACACAAUCUUGAGAUCUGCUAUUAGAAAAAUAAUUGAAGAACCAAAUCCCAAUGAAAAUACAUCCAAAAUGAUGUCGUUUUGAAUUUGUUCCCAAAAAAAAAAAAAAAUUAAACUCACUAAAAAACAACAUGUGUGUUUUUGUUAACCUUUUAUCGAAUUGUAAUUUAAAUAUUUAUCAUGUACUUUUAUAUUCUAUUCAGGGCUGGCUCAACCAUAUUUGAGGCCUUAGGCAAAUGGUUUUAAUUAGUUUUUCUUAAAAUUUAGGACAAAAAAUAUGUUUAUUAGUUAUGAGUGAUGAUACAGCCACAAACUCUUGUACAAACUGACGUGGUAUUAAUUCAUUGGUUGAAUGAAAAUAUAAAAUAAUAAAAACAAAUCACGUGAGCCAAGUGAUAUUUAAUUCAACCAAUCUUAUCAUGCCACAUCAGUUUGUACAAGAGUUUGUGGUUAUAUCAUUACUCAUUAGUUAUAUAAUAUUUAUUGAAAAUCAAUUCUUUAAACACUCUCUAAAAUGUAAAAUUAUUAAAUAAAAUUAUAUUACACUAUUGUCAAUCCUUGAAAUUUUAAUUCAAUUAUAAUAUUUUUACUUUUUUUUUUAACUCAAAUUACAUCUUUUAUACUACUUCUUUUCUACAUUAAAUUAAUUUUUUUAUUCUUCUAUUUUCUAAAGUUUUUUGAUAUAGUUAUUUAUUUCACAAUAGAAAAAAAAAAGCACACAAAAAAUAGUAGAUGAAUAAAAGAAUGUAUUAAAAAGAAAUAAGAACACAUAAAUAAUACGAUUAAUUAAGAGAAUAAUAAAAAAUAAAAUCUGAAAUUUGAAAUUUGAGAUGAAAUCAUAAAUUAACUUUAUCUUUAUAUUAAUUAUUUGAAGAUUUGAGUAAUGACUAAUAGCCAUAGAGAAUAGAAAAAAACUAUUAGAUUUUUUCUUUUUUUUCUUGAGUGGAAAGUAGAGGAAGCAAGAUUUUUUUUCCCCUCUCUCUCUUUCUUGCUCUCAAAAACGAAGAACAUAUGCUGUCUUCAUUGUUAGAAGAAAAAUUUAAUGGAUAAGUAAUAAAAUGUGGGGCUUUUAUAGAGGUUUAAAAUGAAUAUAAAACUUUUAUAUAAGUUGUUAAUUCUAACAAUGAAAUAACGAAUUUAUAGGAUUGAAACUAUUAAUUUAUCGGUUUUGUAGGAAUUAAAACUACUAAGUACUACAUUAAAUAAACUUUAUAGGAACUCGGUAGUUUAUUUGAGAAAAGAUAAUUACAAAAUAAUAAUAAAUUAGAUGCAUGAUAAUGACUUUUAAAUUCACUUUCCUCUUUUAUAUACAAAAUAAUCAUCUUAUAGGAUUUUCUUGUAAAGUAGGGCUCUAAGCAACCGCCUAAGUUGUCUAGAGAUCGAACUGCUACUGAUUCUAUUACUAAUUUUGAAAUUUUCAGACAUAUUUAAGCUCCACUAUUUUAUUUUUUUAAUCAAAAUAGUAUGUUUAUUAAUAAUGAUUAUAAAAAAAAGAUAAUGAUUCAAUAAUGUUGUUUAUAUAUAUUGAAUCAACUUUAAAAGUCAACAUUUACUUUACACACUCGUAUAAAUGCUAAAAUAACCCUUUAUUUAUGUAUUUUUUAAGGCUGUAGAAUGUAUUCAUUACAAAGAUACAGUACAUUUAAUUUGUGGUAUUCAAAAUUUGAUGAUUACCAUUUUUGAGUUGAUGGUCUUAUGCUUCAUAUUUGCAUUAAUUUUAUGUUUAAUAGUAUGACAGUGAUUUCAUGUAAAGUUUUAUUUCCUAAUUACAAUUUUAAAUUAAUGUUCCUAAAUUUCAUAUUAUCAUUAGUUUCAUAUAUCUUUUAUGUUCAAUAUUAAUGAUUUCAUGUAAUACUCCAAUGAAUUCUAGCUUAAUUAUUACAAUUGUAAGUAGAUGAUCAUAUUAUUUUAUGCUUAAUUUUAUAAUUAAAUUAACGAAUGAAACUGUUGCUACCUUUUCAUAAUUAUUUAUUUUCCAGGAAUCAUUUUUUAGCACUUCUCAAUGUCAUUAUUUGAAAAUUAAAUGAGGGGUUGGGUUUGUAUUCAUUACAUCGGAUGAUUUAUAUUUAAAUAAAUUAUUUCAAUCUCAUAUCGUUAUAUUAUGGGUGAUUUUAUAUCCACAUUUAAAUUUUUAAAGUUGUUAUCUUAACUUUUUAAAAUCAGAGUUGUGUUUAUUUAUCAAUUUAAAACGUCAAUAAUCUACUAUUGGCGUAACAAUUGAUAUUCUCAUUUUGGAAUCAUCAAGAAUCUUAAAAUUUUCAAAGCCACCAUGCUCAAUUUAUACACGAAAAAGAGGAGGGGGGGGGGGGGGGGUAAGAUGCAUGAUCAGAAAUGAAUUUGGCAAGUAUUUGAUUGAGUUGAGAGGUCACUAAUCUCACUUAAUUUGCGAAUCACAAUAUGAUUGUUUUCAAUCGGCACCAAAACGAAGGGCUGGUUUUGGUUAUUAUAGUGCCUUGUUCUAUGAAGGAUUUUGGUUACCCACAUAUGGGAUUGAUCUUUGCUUCUACUCAGUAUAAAUUCUUGAAUUAUACUAUAUAUAUAAAAAAAUAAAAAUUAUAGAACAUGCUAUAAGCGUAUAAAUUGAGACUUUCGUUAAAUUUUAAUUUAUAAUAUUUUUCCGGAGAAAAGUAAUUAGCAUGAAACACAACAGCGGUGAAUCAUCUCAUUUUUCAAGAAAUAAUAUUUGUCAGAGCUUUUUUUUUUAUAUUAGUUUAUAAUUAACUUUAAUAUGUAAUAAUAUAGCAUAUUCUGGGAAACCUGUUGGGAUAAUUGUUUUUAAUAUUAUUAUGAUAUUACACAUGAUUGGCAGUCGCAACUCAUCAUCAUCAUCUGAAACCAUAUUAACAAACAUUUAUUUAACAAUAUUCUUUAUGUAAACAGGAUUACCCUAAACCCAAUUAAUAUCUGCAGGGAUCAGACGACUGUUAGAACAUAUGUUAAAUUUGUAUAAUAUAUGAUUUAAAAAUUUAAAAAAUAAAUUUUUCUUUUUUGGAGAUAACAGUUGGUAUAUUUAGGAUUAGUAAAACUAAAUGUUUUAUUUUUAUUCUAUGUGCUCCAUCAUGGCAGUAGUUAUUUUUUUGCGAUUAAACAUACUAUUUUGAUUUAAAUGGAUUACAAAAUGGCACAUUUUUUUAACCCUUAACAGUUGGUAUAUUUUUUUUUAACCCUUAACAGUUGGUAUAUAUUUUUUAAUAAGAUUAUUAAUGCAUCAAGUAAUCUUGUUUUGAUGAUUGUAACUCGUGACUGCGGGAAAAUUUCUAAUGGAAACAACUCAAUUUCGGAAGAAAACUUGAUUUUGCAAGUGAUGAAUUUGAACUCGUUGGAUUGGUUGAUUUAUGAUUGACUGAAUUUCACUUUUCCUCAUAAGAUCUUUAACCAAAGUUUAAUAGCUAUCAUGUACUCCUUAAAAGCAAUUUUUUUUUUUAGAUUUGACUGAAUUUGAACUUGUUGGAUUGGUUGCUUUUAGAUUAUUAAUAUGAGAUAUUACAACGUAAAUAUUUUCAUGUGGUUGAGCCCUAUUCUAAAAUCUGUAUAGUUAGCUUUAGAAAAAGGGCUUUUCCUGCUGAUCUGUAAUCUUGAAAUAAACUUAGAUACAAAUAAUGAAAUAAAGGACAACAAACAAGCAAUACUGAUACAAAGCCAACAGAUCAGAGUUUUUGGUACAAAUCCAAUAAAAGACAAUAAACUUAGGACCUUUUUUUCUUGCUUUCUUUUGUUGAAGGAUUAGAGUUUUUGGUAUUAUCAGUAAAGGUUUCAAGGAGUAAAAGCCUAUAAACUUUUUUUUUGGGGGAGCGCCGCCGGGGGGGGCGGGGGAGAGCAUGCAAAUUAACCAAAAGAAAUAAUAAGAGCACAGGCUUUAACAAUGAAUACUGACUUAAAACUCAUGCAAAAUAAGUUACAAUACUAAAACAAACCAGAGAAAUUUUUUUCUUGGAAAGUAGAUGGAACUUAUGAAAGAGCAGAUGUCAAGGAUUUAGAAAACGUGCACCUCUUUAAUUACCUGGGAUUAGAGAGUUGGUGAGCUUCUCUAUUUAAGAACAAGUUGAAAGAGGAAAAAGAUCACUGGUAACUGCUGAGGAAUGUGUGAGAAAAGAGUUGAUGAGAGCAAUAACAAUGACCUGCAAAAGAAACAGAAUUAGUCAUUCACCGCUUUUCUAUAUCAUGUAUUUGGUUAUUGUUGCCCUGUUGACGCAUGUUGAAGAAGAAAGCACUAGUUCACAACUCUACGUUUUCAUAUAUUCUAAAGAAAUAAUUAAGCUUUCAUAGAAUAAUACCUGUUGUGUUUGAGUAAUUUUGGUAUAUACAUUGCUUGUGUACUGUGAAAUUGAAAUGAAUAUUGAUUGACAGAGCAAUGUAUAUGCCUAAUAAAACACAAAGCAAAUACCGGAAUUCCCCUUUUAAGGUGAAGGCCUUACUCAAUUCCUAUUGGAAUUGCAACGAAUGAUUCGGGACUAAAACUUUUAUAAAAGCAAAUACCGGAAACACACAAAAAGCAUUUAAGAGAGAAACUAAACAGCAAAUAAUAGAAGUAAGAUCAAUAAUAUAUGAUUUGAUUUAUGCAUAUUCAAAAACCAAAAUAUAAAAUAAAAUAAAAAAAUAAAGUUUGAUUUAUUCUUUCCACAAAAAACAGGGGAAUGAAAACAGAGGCAACUUGUUUUACCAAUUUUUUCUUCUUAAUUUCCGGCAAAAAAAAAAAAUUCAAUAAACAGGGGAAUGAACACAAAGGAACGAAAACAGAGGAAACUUGCUUUUCAGGCUAUCUUGUGACAUGAUGAUAUUGCUCGUGAAUGCAUGAAAAUUUCUAAUGCAAACAGCUCAAUUUGGGAUGAUAAGCUUAAGUUUGCAAGUGAUGCAAGUAAAUAAGUUUUUGCGGUUAAUUGAAUCUUUAAUACUCUGGGCCCUAUUCUAAAAUUUGUAGGUUGCUUCAGAAGAAAGGGCAGUUCUCACUCAUCUUUAAUCUCCAAGUAAAAUUAGAUACAAAGCAAAUCUAAUAAAAUGACAAACAAACAAACAAACAAAACAAAGAAAAGACAGGAGGCAAACAACAUUGAUCUUAAGCCAACUGAUAUUUUAAACAGAGAAUUCUUUUCUUUUAUUUUUUUUAACCACCUUUUGCUCAAGGAUUAGAGUUUUUAUAUUAACAGAAAGGUUUCAGGGGUCUGAAUAAAAGCCCACAAUUUCUCUAAUUGUUAUUUUUUUUUUUAUUAUUGAAAGGAGCUUCACUAUUGGCCUUGAACAUAUAAGAAUGAGCAAAAGAUCAAUGUCAACUGCCGAGGAAUGUGAGUAAAGAUUUCAUCAGAGUAAGUAAUACAAAUGAAUUGUAAAAGAACAAGACUUAAGCGUGCACCCCGUGUUUUGUUUUAUUGUACGUAUAAACAUAACAUGUUCAUUUUUAACAAAGUGGUCAAUUACUCUUUUUUUUUUUGGUACAAAGACGUGCCUAGCAUAGACUAGGGCAAAACAAAACGGGGGUGUGAAACCCCAAUACAAUUAUGACGAAUCCAAAACCCAGCCCCUAAAGGAAGAGAAUUGAAAAUGUGCAAUCCAACAGGGAGUGAAAGAGCAGAGUUUGCAAGAAAGUCAGCUGCAAAAUUUGAUUCUCUGUAAACAUGCUUGACCUGCACUUGCCAGGUUUUGUUAAGCAAUUCCUUAAUACCCCUGACAAGAGAAGCAUGUGCAUUUGGCCUAAUCUCGUCAUCCGCCACCAAAAGAGUAACACAAAGGCUGUCAAUCUCCACAUGAAGCUGCCGAAUUCCAUUAUCCCAAGCCAGACAUAACCCUUGAUAAAGGCCCCAUAACUCAGCACCAGUGAUGGUACCCACACCAAUAUUCAUUCCAAAACCAAUUAUCCACUCUCCAUAACAGUUUCUAAUCAAGCCAUCUGCACUAGACAGACCAGAACUUUUACGAGCUCCAUCUGUGUCGAGUUUAAACCAAGGCCAAGUAGGUGCCACCCAUCCAAAAUAUUCUCAAUCUUCAUGGCAGCAGGAACCAAACAACUCUAAUUAAUCUUUUGAAUUUCUUCUGUACGGAUCUUAAUAUCCAUUACAACAGUACUCUUGCUGUUGCUGGUAAAAACACCAUUAUGCAGAUUUUGGUUACGCCAAAACCAAAGCCUCCAAACUGUGACCCCAAAAAGACACGGCCAGUCAAACAUACCAUCAUACUUCCACAAGUUCCUCAAAUUAUAUAACAUCCAAUCUCGGAGAUUCAAACUAAAAAAUUAAUGACUAAUCCCAUGGGGUAUCAAUGACGACCAGACAUGCUUAGCACUGGGGCAAUCCCGUAGCACAUGAAGAGUAUUUUCAACAACACAGCCACACUUUGCACAGCUCAUAUCAUCAACAAUAUGUCUCCGGAAAAGUUCUGCUUUAGUUUUAAGUCUAUUUUGACCCACCACCCACAGAAAGGUUUUGAUACGUUGGGGACCUCUCCACUGCCAAAGAAUGCGCCAAAAUGAUUCUUCAUUGUGAACCUCCAUUUUUGACAAAGCCCUAUAUGCUGAAUUAGUAGUGAAAUCUCCUGACUUAGAAUAUGCCCAGUUCAUGUAAUCAUCCUCAUCAUUUACACUGGGAGGCUUGGUGGCUGCAAUUUUGAGAAGUAAAUGAUGGGGCAAUAAAUUCUCAAAAAGCCGCCAAUUCCAAGUACCCUCAACAGUGAUAAACCUCACCACGCACUCCUCAAGCUGCUCUAAAGGUAUCGGCUGCAAAGCGAAAGUAUACAAAGGGUAUUCCUCUGUUACCCAAUUAUCCCACCAAAAUCUAACUCGGUUGCCAUUUCCAAUGUCCCAUUUGAUCCCUUUUAAAACCUCAUGCCAAAUGCCUCCCACAGCCUUCCACAUGUAAGAGCCACAUUUCGUAGGUAAUGUGCUGGGGAGAGCAUUAGGAGCCAGCCCAUACUUAGACAAGAGAACCUUCAACCAUAAACUAUUUGGAGAAGCAAUUAAACCGCCCCCAAUCUUCAUGAGCAGAGCAUCAUUCAUUAAAUUAAGCUGCUUAAGACCAAGGCCUCCGCUAGGUUUCGGUUGACAUAUUGUAUCCUAUUUCACUAAACUGAUUUUCUUCUUGUCUGCUGUCCCGCUCCAAAUAAACCUCCUACAAGCCUGAUCAAUUUUCUCCCGAAUACCAAACGGAAUCCUCGUGGUCUGCAUUGCAUAAAUAGGAAUCGCCUGGAUUACCGAUUGAGUGAGAGUGAUCCUACCCGCCAAGGACAAAUGUAUCGCAUUCCACCGCAACAAAUGUUGGUUCACUUUGUCCAAAAUUCCCUGAUAAGUUAGCUUAUUAACCCGUGAAUGAAUAAUUGGCAUUCCUAAAUAUUUCCCUAGGUUUUUUGUGACAGAAAAACUGAAGGAAUCACCAAUUUCCUUAGCCUCAGCAAACUUUACGUUGUGGGAGAAAAAAACUUAUGUCUUUGUUUUACUAACUUUCUCUCCAGAGCUCAUACAAUAAACAUUCAACACUUCAUUUAUAACCAUUGCUUGCCUAGAGGAAGCCUCUGCAAGCAAGAUAAGAUCGUUAGCAAAAAAUAAGUGAGAUAAAGAGGUACCUGCACGAGACAGUUUAAUAGGUUUCCAGUACCCUCUCUUCACAGUGUCAUUUACUCCAUGGCUUAACCUUUCUAUACAUAACACAAAGAUAUAUGGGGAAAUGGGGUCUCCCUGUCUAAUACCCCUAGAAGGGGUAAAACUCUCCGUAAUUUCUCCAUUCCAUAGAAGUUGCAUAGUCGCCGUUGUAAUACAUUCCAUAAUAAGCUGAACCAAAACAGUAGGCAAUCCAAACUCCCUCAAGGUUUCAUAAAUAAAAUCCCAGCUUAAACGAUCAUACGCCUUUUCCAAAUCCACCUUAAUGGCCAUCUGCCCAAUCCUCCCUUUCUUACGUCUCAUCUAAUGAAUAACUUCCUGAGCAACCACUAUGUUUUCCGUUAUGUGUCUCCCCGGGAUAAAACUAGUCAGGGUAGGAAUGAGGUCAGGCAAGAUAGAUUUCAGCCGGUUAGCUAAUAACUUAGUGAUAGUUUUAUAGAUAACCGGGCAAAGACUAAUCGGACGAAAAAGCUUAAGGCUAAUAGGAUUAUCCGACUUAGGAACCAACACAAUCAGAGUUUUGUUCAGCUCCUUAAGGAUCUCGUUGCCAUUAAAAAUACCUUUUAUAAGACUACAGACAGAUUUUCCCACUACAUGCCACUGGGUCUGGUAAAAGAGAGCAUGCAACCCGCCUAUUCCAGGGGCUUUCAAAGCCUUCAUGCUGAAGAUCACAUUCUUAAUUUCCUCAUCCUCCACUGCUUGUCCCAAAGCUUGCAUUCGACUUUCCUCAAGGACUGGGAAGGCGUUAACAACAUGGUAUGGAUGAUAGAUUGCAUCCUCUUUGGGAUAGAGCUUUGAAAAGAAGGACACAGCAUAAUCUCUAAUCUCAUCAUUAUUCAACAACCAAUAACUCUAUUCGUUAUGAAAUUGAUAUUGUACCCAAUUUUAAGAGAGCAUAAUAAUAACCAUUCAAUGCAUAAAUUUAGAAUUAGGUUUUUUUUUGUAAUUCUUUAUUUAAAUAUAAACUUCAAUGGAAAAUUAUAAAAAUUUAGAUAUAAAAUUUUAAAUCACCGGACCAAAAAAAAAAAAAAGGGGAACGGAAAUAGAGGAAUCUUGCUUUACCUUUUUUUCCUUUAACUCUUGUUCUUAUAUAAAUAAUCUUGUUUUGAUGAUUGUAACUCAUGACUGCGGGAAAAUUUCUAAUGGAUUUGUUAUGCAAGUGAUGGAUUUGUUCAAUUGACUCUGUACUUGAACUAGUUGGAUUGGUUGAUUGAUGAUUGACUAAAUUUGAAUUAAGUUUAAUAGCUUAGCUAUCAUGUACUCCUUAAAAGCAAACGUAAAUCUUUUUUAGAUUUGAAUGAAUUUGGGAACCUGUUGGAUUGAUUGUUUAUAGAUCAUUAAUUUCAGAUACUACAACGUAAAUAUUUUCUUGUGGUUGAAUACCGGUUCUGCUUUAAUGAUUUUGGCAUAGACAUUGCUUGUGAACUGUGAAAUUGAAAUGAAUAUUAAGUGACAGCGCGAUGUAUAUGCCUAAUAAAAGAUCAGCAAAAGCUUGGAUGAAUGAUUGAAGACCAAAACUUUUAUAAAAGCAUUUUUGAGAGAAACUAAACACCAAAUUAUCAAAGUAAGAUCAACAGUAUAUGAUUUGAUCUAUACACAUUCAAAAACAAAAUGAUGAUUAAUAAUAAAGUUUGAUUUUGUAUUGCCAACGAUGCUUUUUUGUUGUUUCAUUUGUUCGACGUGGCCUUAUUUACAAAUUGGUUUAUGUUAACAGAAACAUGAAAUUCACAUCACACAAAAUUGCACGAACAAAUAUUAAGAGAACGUAAUAAUAAUCAGUCAAUGCGUAAGGGUAAAUUUAGAAUUACAUAUUCUUUUUUAUUUAAUAAAAUCCCAACGGGAAGUCAUAAAAAUUUAGAUAUAAAAUUUUCAAUCACCAAACGAAAAAACAGGGGGAAUGAAAACACAGAAAACUUGUUUUACCUUUUUUUUUUUCAUCUAAUUCCUGUUCUUAUAUAAUAUUUUCCCUAGUAUUUCGGGCAAGAAAAAAAAAAUUCAACAAAGAGCAAGUUGCUCAGAUUGAUUUAUCUUGUUUUUCAGGUUAUCUUGUGAAAUGAUGAUAAUGCUCAUGAAUGCUAGAAAACUUCUAAUGCAAACAACUCUAUUUGGGAUGAUAAGCCUAAUUUUACAAGCGAUAAAUAUAAAUAACUUUUUGUGGUCAAUUGAAUUUGUAAUUACUCUUAGCCCUAUUCUAAAAUUUGCAGGCUGCUUGAGAAAAAAGAAUAUUUCUCACUCAUCUUUAAUCUUCAAGGAAAAAACAAAUCUAAUAAAAUGACAAACAAACAAACAAACAUAUAAAAGACAGCAAACAAACAACAUUGAUCUUAUGCCUACUGAUAUUUAAACAGAGAAUUCUUUCUUCUUUUUCUCUUCAUGGAUUAGAGUUUUUGCUAUUAACAGAAAGGUUUCAAGGGUCUGAAUACAAUCCCAGACUUUUUUUUAACUUUGUUUUUUGUGGGAAAAUGGAUUCAAGUUAACCAAAGCCAAUAAUAAGAUCACAGACUUUAACAAUGAACAAUAACUUAAGCAAAACCAAUGACAAGAUUAAAACAAACCAGAGAAAUUUUUCUCGGAAAGUAGAUGAAAAGCAAGUAAGAACUGCUAUUAAAUAUUAUUAAAGGAUUUAGAACAUGUAUACCUCUUUAAUUAUAUGGGAUCAGAGAAAUGACCUUCUCUAUUCGCUUCGGAUAUUAAGUAAGAACUGCUAUUAAAAGAAUGAAUUGAUGAGAGUAAUAACAAUGAAUUGCAAAAUAGGAAGACUCAAUCAUGCACCCCUUUUAUACCCGAUUUUUAAGAUUUAAUUUUGAAGUUCACCAAUCAAGAACAAAGAAAAAACCUUAAUAAAGAAUGCAGUGAGAAUAAUUAAGUUAAAGAAAGUACUAGGUUAUGGCUCUGCGUUUCAUAUGCUGUAAUGAAAUAAUUAAGUUGAAGUUUUUAACGAUUAAAUACCUGUUGUGCUAGAAUAAUUUUAGAAGAAUAUUGGCUUAUAGAGCAUAUUAGUAGGGAUAAGAUUUGUAAGAUGCCAGAUAAAAGAUAAAGCGAAAGCUUGAAUGAAGAAUGGCAUUUAAUAAUUAUAGAAGAAUAUUGGCUUAUAGAGCAUUUUAGUAGUGAUAAGAUUUGUGGACAGAAUAAAUGAAAUAAUAAAAGGCAUAACUGAUCAAGUCAUUAUUGAUCUUACUUUGAUUAUUACAUUGCACAUUAGUUUCUUUCUAAAAAUGCCAUUCUUCAUUCAAGCUUUCGCUUUAUCUUUCAUCAGGCAUCCUACAAAUCUUAUCCCAACUAAUAUGCUCUAUAAGCCAAUAUUCUUCUAAAAUUAUUAAAUUCCAUUCUUCAUUCAAGCUUUCAUGGACACUAUUUACAAAUUGUUCUUGUAUUUGACAGAAAAAUGAAAACUCCUCAUCAUACAAAACUGCAUGAACAAAUCUUCAAUUUAAUUAUGAUAAAAUAAUUAAUUCCAUUAAUAGAUUAUGUUGUUUUUUUUUUUUUUGUCUUGACCACAAGGUAUCCUGGGAAGGGCCCCAACUGUGGGAGGCAUUUUUAAGCCCGUACCACAACCCAUACUAGAAGUCCCCACUCGAACCGGGAGGCACAAGUUCUCCCAACAAAGGCGACUUCCCUGCAAUUCGAACUGGGGAGCAAACCCAGUCAAUCCACUUAAGGGGACUCCAUUGCCAGUGGAGCCAACACUUUGUUGGUUAUGUUGUAUGUUAAUGUGAGGGAUUUGAUCAGGUGAUCAUAUAAUUUACUAAACGCUUUAAGAAGAACAAGAAUUAAUGAGUUAAAAAUUAAAAAAUAAAUAAAUAAAGAGUAGAUGGAAAGAAUGUUAUUUGCAAUCACUAAACCAAAGAACAGGGGAAUGAUAAGAGAGGACGGUUACUGCAACAUUAUGAAGUCAAAAUUAAGAAAGGCAUUCUUUUUUUUUUCACAUUAUUCUAUUUAAUCUUUCAUAAGGCGCACACUACGAAUCUAAAUUAAAUUCAUAAUUAAGAAUAAAAGAUAAACCCAAACAAUCAUCUAGCAGGUGCCGUGUAGACUGCAUCAAAAAUUUAGAUUUAGAUUUUUACAAUCACCAAAUGGAAAAACAGGGGAAUGAAAACAAAGGUGCCGUGUUUGUAGAAACAGGGGAGUUUCCGGGUUUCUGGAAACAAACUCAGAAACGAAUAAAUCUCUUGGUGUAUAUAAGCUUUCAUCAUCUGGUUUUAGUUUGGUUAGGUUUAACUACAUUUCCUGGGUAGCAUUACUUAUGCUAGUAUAUUCAUUUCUACCCAAGCCACAGUGACUGUUAGGAGUUCUCGUAAACUGAAUUUAAAGUUGCGGCUUAAAGUGUUUACCAACUUAAAACCAGAGCUAUAAAGUGUUUGAUGAAUUAUUUUUUCAUUAAAAAAAAAAAAACUGAUUUAGCGGGAUAAAAUAAUGCUCCAUUCCGUUUAGUAAGUGAAGUCCAGAGUAUUACCUACUACUAACUAAAUCCGCUUGAUUCACAAGACUACCAAGAGAUGACUGAAUCUUCAAUGUAAUAAAAUAAUAAUCAGCCUCACAGGAUACAUAAAAAGCUCAUUUUUCACAACCAUAUCCUAGUGCAUCAUAAACUUGAUUAUUUAAUUUUACUAUUAGGAAACCUACUUAUAUAAGGCGCACACUACAAAUUCUAAAUUAAAUUUUCAACUAAGAAUAAAAGGUAAACCCUAGCAGUCUUCCACCAGGUGCCGUGUAGCCUGCAUCAUAAAUUUUGAUUUAAAUCUUUGUAAUCACCGAACAGAAAAACAGGGGAAUGAAAACAGAGGAGCCCUCAUUUUUUUAACCCUUAACUCUUGUUCUUCUAAUUAUAUUUUUACUUGGAAUUUCAGGCAAACAACAAAAAAUAGUGACAACUAUUCAGAGAGAACAGGUGGAUGAUAGCAAAAAUAUUUUUAAUUAAUAUGCAUGAUUAACUCUUGUUCUUCAUUAUUGGUAGUCUCUGUGGGCUCAUUUCGUCUCCAGACCUGAUAUUGUAUAUCUCUUUUUGAAUAUGCAUGCUGCUGAAUAAAGAUGAUUACUUCCAAAUUUUUGUUGCUUUUUUUUUUUUUUUUUGGGCUUUGGUGCAUGAAGAAUGUGGAAAUAGAAAUAGCUUUCGAAGUUUAAUGGCUUGCUUCAUUAGUAAAGAAAGACAAGGAUAUCUGUCCCUUUUUGUUACUGAAUUAUUGAUCAAUUGACGGUUGAAGUUGGUUAUAUUAAUUUGUUGUACAAGAAUUGAAGCUUAUAUCUUAGCCGUUUCGUGAAGUGUCAAAUAUGUUCUUUCCUUGCAAUUGUUCAAAAUAUGUUAUUCUUUUGAAGUCACUAUUACAUAAAGGGUGUUGUAAAAUAGGGAAAGGCGGGUUUAUGAUUAGAUUUUAAUAUGUUUAAUUCAAGGAUUAACCGAAGCUAUUAACCAACGGCUACUAACCGAAAACCGAAUUUAACAAUAAACACUAACUCAGAAUUCAAGAAAAUUAAAUGACAAGAUUGAGACAAAUGAGAGAUAUUUUUCUUGGACAUUAAGAAAGAACUACUACCAAGAUCAAGGAUUAGAGAUUAUAUAUGCUAUUAUUAAUAGAAAUUAUUAAAGGAUUUAGAACAAGUUCACCUCGUUAAUUAUCUGGGAUGAUGAGUUUCUAUAUUCACCUUGAAUAUAUAAUAACAAUUUUAGUGAGCAAAAGAUCACUGGUAACUGCAGAGGAAUGUGUGAGUUUAAGAGCUUAUUAGAGUAAGCAAUACAAAUGAAUUUUCAAAUUAUGUACUUGGUCAUUGUUGUCCUACUGACGCACGUUUUUUUUCAUGAAUAAUUGCCAGAUCAGAAAAGAAUAAAUUCGGUUGAUUGAAAGAUUGCUGAAGUAAGUAAAACAAUCUUCAUAUCGAACAUGAUUCCAAUUAAAUUAAUCUUUUUAUAAGAUGACUAAUAAAAGAUAAAAGUAGAAGCUUUGAUGAAUGAACGAUGACCAAAACUUUUGUAAAAGCGGAUGCCGAUAAAAUAAACAAAAGGCACUUUAAAAAGAAACUAAAGUGCGAUCAUCAAAGUAAGAUCACUAAUGAUGCUUCGCUAUCACAAGGUCCGCAUGGACAUUAUUUACAAAUUGUUCUUAUGUUUCACAGAAAAAAAUGAAACACUGUUCAUCAUACAAAAUUGCAUGACCGAAUCUUCAAUUUUUAUAAUUAUAAAAUAAUGGAUUAUGGGUAUGUUAAUGUUACGGAUAUGAUCAGAUCAUCAUAUAAGUUACUAGAAGCAUUAACAAGAACAAGAUCUAAUGAGCUAAAAGUUUUUUUUUUAAAAAAAGUUAAAUAAAUAAAGAGUAAAAGUAAAAAAAUGUUAUUUGCAAUCACCAAAAUGAAAACAGAGGAGCCCUGUUUUUCCUCUUGUUUCUACUUCUCUCUUUUUCAAGUAGUAGAAAAUGAUAUCAGAGUAUGAGAGCUCACUGCUUUCAUUAGUUGGAAAGUGUCGCCUAAAACACUUCCUCUGCUGGGUGGAAUUGUUGGCUUGAAGAGAUGAGUUCUUGUCACGAGCACAAAUUUUAGCUGUACAUUAUUUCCUUUUAAAUGCACCAUUGUUGCACAGAUUUGAACCAUAUGAUCAUUAGUUUUUUGUUUUGAUUUGGUUAGUUCGUGAUGACAAAUGAAUUAUUUUCAUCACAUUGUCAUUAUGGUAAAAAGUUGCCCUCUUUGUUACUUCCACAGCUAUUUAGUUUAAUAUUUUGUAAUAAGAUCACAAAGUGCGUGGGAACUAUUGUUCGGGUACUUUAGCCUAAAAUGAAGAUCUAUUAAAAAUUUCCCUGAUGUCAUGAUAUAAAACAAUAAAAGGUACCAACUUCAGCUUAAAUUCAUAUAAAAUUAAACCUUACCACAUACUGUAUUGAAACAAAUUACUCAUCUUUAUUGGUAACAUCAUCACCUUCAUAAAAUAUAUGGUAUCGUACAAAGUUCUUGCGCUGGGUUCGGGCAUCUAACAACGAGGACACAGCAACCUAUUCGCUAGGUUAGAGACCAAAUAGCCAACAGCAAAAUGUGCACGACGCAUGUCACUAUCAUGAAAACAACAUUCUUUUUCUUUUUUUUUUUCCCCUCAAUAAUUUCAGAUAUAAUAUUUUAACUAAGUUUGUAACACUGUUGAUUGAAAUUAUCAAGUACGAAUGUGUGUAGAUUUUAACAUGUGCACUCAUAAUUAUUAUUGUGCAGUUUUAGACUUGGUUGGGUAUUGAGGUGCUAAAACUUUUGCCGUAAGAAAAAAAAGUUUUGCAAAAGUUUUAAGUAUAAAAUAAAAGUUAAUAGUAUAUAAUAAAUUUAGUUUUUUUAAUAAUAAUUUUGAUAAAAUUAUAAAAGAUAUAAUAAAUUUUUUAUCAUAUAAGUGUAAAAUCAAAUCAUCUUAACUUUUAAACUACAACAACUAUAACAUUUUAACUGUUCAAUCUCAAUCCUAAAUAGACCCUUAAUUUAUAAUUAGAUUGUCACUAAAAGAUUUUAAGUAUGUAUUUUAGAAUUUAACGAAUACACUUUUAAACUACCUUUGUCAGAUGAAAUGUUGGGAAAUUUUUAUUAAGCUCCAAAAGUGUUUGAAAUAAAUUUAUGUUUUUAUGAUACCAAAAAAAAAAAGAUUUAUGAACAUUUUUGUGAAGCUUAGGCGAAAAUUUUUGUUAGGCUCUAUUGGGCUAGAUGAGCAGCUCGGGCAGUUAAUUAUCGCCCAAAAAGCCCAACCCAGAUUACAACAAGCUGGGAUUUGGUUAGCUCGUUGACGGCCAUUUGGGUAUGCAUGAAUUGGGUGGAUGAUUAAUAAAUACGAUUUAUUAAUUAUUUCGCCGAUUUGAAUAUUCUCCUAAUUUAAUCUUUUCUAAUAUUAUAAUAACGAGAUUUUGACAUGUGUUAUACCUGUGUUAUUUUAAUAAUCCAAUAGAUAAUAUCUACUUUAUUUUUAUCUUUCGUUAUUAAAUACAAAAACACUAAUAGAAAAAAAAAAUGACUUAACUCUUUUUAUAUUUUUAAUUUUUAUUUAUUUCCGUUUAUUGCUUUCCUAGCAAUGUUCAUCUUUUUACUCUACAACAUCCAUAACCUUAACUUUGGAAAUAAAAGAGAAUAUGCGAAAGUAUAAGUAGGAGAAAGACUUCAUUGAAAUCAAACGAAUUGGGCAACGUUAGAUUUUUCUUUAAAAUUCUCAUGCGAUAUUAAUUAGUAGUAUUAUCGUUGUUGCCUGCCUACUUCUAACCUCAACCAAUAUAUGAUCAAUGCUUGAUUUGGUCAAUCUAAAUAAUUAUAAUCGAUGAUAGGAUAUUGUUGAAGGGCGGCCCUAAGGAUGAGAGAGGGAAUGCGUGUGCAAGCCACAUGUGUGAAGAAAAAGAAAAACGCAAGAGUGAAGAUGACGGCGAUUAAGAUCGUGUUUGAUUUCUUUUCCUGUUUAAUUUUAGUUAAUAUGCUGUUGUUAGUUCCAAAAUUUGAGUUAGCAACAAAAUGACAUGUUUUUGUGUUUAAUAAGGAAAAAGUAAAUAAUAGAUUUUCUAUAGGAUUCUUGGAAUGGAUUAGAUUAGACUAUGGAGAGAAAUAUAUUUGAAAAUAUUAGUGUUGAGUCAUUCUAAUGUCUUUAAUAGUAAAUUCAAUUAAGAAUAUUUUAGUAAUAUAAUUUUUUAUUAAAAUUAGAGUGUUCAAAGUUAGUAAUAAAAAAUUCAUAUAACUCUGGAUUUUUUUAUUGAAUUUAUAUAACUCUGGAUUCUUUUUUUUUUUUUUUUUUCCAACACUGAUAUGGUUCUGUUCUGUGUAUUUAUAUACAAUUUAAUGUUUACAUACAAGUUAAAUUAUAUACAAUCCUUCAAGUCGUAACUCAAUUUUAUGGAGGUUUAUACAUCUUUCAACGAUCAAUUUAAUAUUUAUAUACAAACCUCCGCAUCUUUCAACGAUCUCAUCUGCUGAUUUUUUGUAUUCCUGUUCUUUCACUUCAAUAAUUUUUUGUAUUAUUCCAUAUCUUUCACUUUAAUAACCCAAAAGCUUUCCUCUGUUUCAAUCGAAAGAAAACCCUAGCUUAAACUAAGAGAAAAUUUACAUAUUAAAGCUAAUUAGUACUGAAUUUUUUCUGGUGGUGCGACCAGAGGUGGAAACAGGGUAUGAAAAUGCGUUACUGGUGAGGUUGCUGCUUAAGAUGAGAAUGCAUUCUUUUCAAAAAUCCUUGGUAGGUGUUAUCUAAUUAUCUUUGAUGGAAUAUUAAAUGGCUAAAAAUCUGUCAUACGUUCAAACUUUGUUUUUGUUUAGAAGAAUGGUGUUGACUGUAUAUUCGUUUGGAAGAAUGGUGUUGAUUGUAUAUUCAUUUGCUUAGCCUUUUGACAGAUGGAUUUGGAACUGACGACAAAUGUGAUUCAAUUUACAAGGUUUUCGAGGGGCUCACCGUGGAAGGGAUAUUGAAGAACUGGUCUAAGAUAAAGCCUAUGAUUGUGAAAGAUUGGAGUGAGAAUAUAGAUGCUCUUUUUCAUCUUUUUGGCAAGGUCAGAGAUGAAUGGAUAGAUAAGGAUUUAUUUGACUACUUGGACUGGUGCUAAUAGGUAUUUUAGGCAAGCUUUUUGAGAUAACACUGAGCAAGUUAUACUACUAUUUUGCACAUGAUGAUCUCGAAAAGUAAAAUAAAAUAAAUUAUUAACUUUUACUUUCAUCUUUUGCAUAGCAAUCAAUGUGGUGCUUGUUCUGUGACAACUUUGAUAAUCUACUUAAUUAUUGGUUAGCAUUUGGACCAAAAAAGUUCUUAUGAUUUACAUGUUUUGUAGAAAUGCAUGAACCUUAAAUGUGCUGAUCAGGGAGUUUAAUUAUUGCACCUUGAAAUUCAUUUAUUGUUAACUAAUUGGCUUUCCUUUGCAUAAAGCCACUUAUAAGGCUUGAGUGGACGUCUUUAUGGGCAUAUUAUUUGUAUUUCUAUAUGCAUGCCUUUAUCAUUUAAUGUGCUGCUUUUAUUUCUUUAUGCAUGCCUUUAUCAUUUAAUGGCCAGCUCCCUCUCCUCUUUUGUAAUUUGAAUAGUAGUAUGGGCCUCCAUUUUACAAAUCUUUAACAUCUUUUGCUGUAAAUUAAUUUUUCUUUCAAAUAUUCACUACUAGAAAAAUAGUCUUUACUGACUUUACAAUAGUAUCAGAAAUUACUUUCACUGACACUUGUUAAUUGUGUCAGUAAUCUGGGAGUCAGAAAAAUAGUGACACUUAUAAGUGGUGUCAGUGAUUACUAUUACUACAGUAUCACCGAUAUUAUGACACCAUAGUGUUAGUAGUUAUUGAUAUUUUAUUAGUGUCUAUAAUUACUGUUACCAUGGUAUCACUAAUUAAUAUAUUUUUUUAAAAAUAAAAAAUUGAAUUGGAUCAUUGCCUAUUGAUUUAUUUGUAAAAUUAAAAGCACCACAAAAUAACAAAAAGAAAUUGAUUUAUAUCACAAAAUCUUUCAUUUCACAUUUAAAUAUUAUUAGUAUAUAACUAAAUAAUCCAAAUUCAAUACAUAAAAAUUUCUACCAUCCAAUCAAAUGCCUACUACUUGUGGCUAAAUUUAUAAAUCUAGAAGUUAAAUUGAGAAUGAUGACUGUCUUUCACUCUUUGAAUAUGAGUAGUAUAAUUGCGUUAUCACACCAGCAGCUUCUCCAUUUAAUAAACUGUAUGGGUUAUGAUACAAGUGAAGUUGAGGAAUAAACACUUCAAACACAUUGAGCAAAUAUGCAUACAUGGAAAAGGGAGAAAAAAUUAGCUGCCAAUUCCCAACCAUUAGAGAAACAAUGGUUAAUAUAAAUAAAUCUAUUUUGUUCUAAAGAAAAAAUAUUCAUACACUAUUUAUAAGUAAACUCAAUUAUUUCUAAUGGUGGAGCACAUAUGUGUGAACAACAGAGCAUCACAUAGCUCAAAGUACAUUAACUGUUCUGUGUCUUAUUCAUUUUUCACUUUAGCUUUUAUUUUAGCAAUUUUUUGAGAAUAAGCUCCAACUCAGAAGGUGAAAUCCAACUUCCAUAUGUAGACAUUCUUGCAGCUGACAGCAAUUAGUUUGGGACUACGGCUUUUUUGAGCAUCUGGCAUGGAUUACAUUGAGAUAUACAAUUUACAUACAAACAUUAAAGAACUAAAACAUUAUUUAUAUUUAGAGACAAUUCAAAUGUCAGCAAACAUUAUUUAUAUUGGUUUAGCAAGUGGCACGACAAUUUUUUAGAUAGAAAUGUACAGAAACUAUAAAGGAAAAACAUUAUCAAGACACCAUUAAAGAAUCAUAGAGUACCUUUACCGGAUUUGUUUGCUUUGCAGGUGGGCUGUGAUGAUGAUGAGCAUAAAGCAUUUUCAUUUAAGCGGACAAGUGCCUUAGCUUCUUUACUUACUACAGACCACGUGUUCUCCCCAUCUAGCCUUGCACUUCCAAAAUCAUGAAAUCCAUCUUUGUGGAAUGUCUUAAUGCCAGGAGUGCGUGAAAAUUCUGGGAGUGCAUUGGCCUUCUAAAUAAAAAGAAACUCGUAAAUAAUUCUUGUGUCAAGUAACAAGGACAAAAAUUUACUUGGAAGCAGCGCAUCCAUGAAAAGAUAGACGCAGAUAGCUACAGAGACACAGUCAACACAUAAUAGCUAAUCCUAAACCUUAUUGGAUAUAAUACCUCAUUAGCAGAGAUUGCUUCGUCAUCUGAGGUACAUGUUGAUGCCUUCCUUGGCGAGAAGAUAAAACCAACCUCAUCAGGAAAUUCAGGCGUUUCAACCUCGUCUUCCACAAAGACACUUAUUUGCUUCUGUUACAGCGACAUACACAAAUGUCAGUUUCUCCUAAGAAAACUGGUCGGAACCUGAAAAUUCUAUUCAAAUUUAAUCACUUGCCUUUGGUGAUAAACUGCCAGCAAUCCUUCCACAAGUUUCUCCAUGAGUACCUGUAUGUCAGAAACCAAAUCUGUGCUUUGGAACCUAAACAUGAAUAUCGAUGAACAACACCCUCAACAAUCUCAUUAGCGUCAAAAACAUUUUAUUACAAAAUAAUACUACGGUUUCGGAGCGCACCUUUCAGUAUGUCUAGUCGCGAUUGAAGUUGCACUACUUCCUAUCAAUUUACAAAAAUCAUAGCAUGAAUAAAUAAAACAAUUGCCUCUAAAUUUACAAAAUCAACGUCAUCACAUCAAUUACGUGAUGGAUAACAAUUUAAGUAAAUUUUAAUAAAAAAUUAUUCAACAAUUAAAUCGAAUGACAAUUAAAUUAGUAAAUUGAAUACUGACCUCUUUCUCCGAUGGCCCACCCAACGAAACACAAUUAUCUCGUAAAUCGACGUUAAAAUCUUCCUCAUCUGCAAAUCAAAAAAUUUGAAAAACAGAGAAAUGCUUAAAACGCGUACAGUGUUUAGUGUAUACAUAACAUAAGAGUAUUUAAAAAAUAAUGGCAACCCUGUAUGAAAUGUCAAUCAAAUUACCAGAAAUGCUUUGAUCAGAAUCUUCAUCUCCCUGAAAGCGCAUAAGAUCCCGGCAAAAUGAAAAGAAAAAAAUAAAACGAAUUAUCAUCUACAAAAAAAAACAACUUUAGUUGGUUAAAAUCUACAAACUAAGUGCGGCUCGGAUAGCAGAAUAUGACUAGAAAAACAAAAACAUUAUUGAGUAACCAGAACAUCUAACAUCGCAUAUGGGCACCAGAACAAAAUUCAUGCAAAAAUAUGGAAGUUGAAAAAUCAGCAAAUGCCGCUAACCGAGUUAAUGGAAUGCGAAACCUGCCUAGAUAGUGGAGGAGUUCCGGUAAAGGAGGACCAUCAAGCACAGCUAAGGAGGAAGAAUGCAACUUAAAAUAGUUAUAGUUUCAUUACGAAUUAAAAAAGUUUAAUCCUCUAAUUUUCAAUACAAUGGCAUCUCCUAUUCAUGCGCAUGCAUCAGCAGCAUUGUUAUUGAUAGAACUGAAAAAUUGGCACUCGGAUAAUCAUAUGGUUGUAGACACUGCUCCAAAAUAAUCAUUAAACAUGGAAACUAAUAAGGCCACAGGUUCUGGAAUGCCAAAAGCUGCACGCAUAUAUAUGGGUCAGUCACGAAUAAAAAGAAACGAAUUAUCAUAACCUCGACACGAAUGGGCGUAGUCACUAUAGGAUCAGAGCGGCACAGCCCUCAGCCACUAUAGGCAGGGGUUAUAUUAAUGGUUGUGAAUGAAUAAAUUCAAAUAUCAACUUUAGUAAUCAACUUAUUAAUUUACAAGUAUUUUUUUAUAUUAUGAUAUCGUAUACUCUACUAAUUGUAUUUAAAAUAUACACACACACAUACAUACAUAUAUACCAACUUAUAAUUGUGAGGUAAGCUAAGACUCGAAGCUAUUCCUUAACAAUCUAACACUCUAUAUAAUCUCAAGUGUGGAAAACCAGCAGAGAAACCAAGUUGCUUAAACUCUUGUUCAGUCAUGUGUUUACCUUUGGCCCUGUAGAUGGUCAUAACAAAAAUGUCCCCUUCUAAGAGAGCACGAGUCCUCUGACUUUCAUUUGAAUCAUCAGGCAGCACAGGCUCGCAAGCAAUCAGUUUUCCUCCUGCAGGAAUAGCCUUGUAACAAUUCUCCAUUAUCAGCUUGCAUUCAUCAUCAGUCCAUGUAGUUAAAACCCACUUCAUAAAGAUAGCAUCAGCGGCAGGAAUGGACUUAAACAUGUCCCCACCAAUAUGGGUCACUCCAGGGAUACUUGGAGCUUCGGCAACAACCUCAGGCAAAUCAAAAUUGAUCCCUUCACAUAUAAAACGAUGUUUCUAUAAUAUCAUCCUCAGGCAAUCACCUGCACUCCCACCCACAUCAACCAAUCGCUUCACACCUUUGAACCCAUCGUAACCGUCCAAAAUGGACGUCAUGAACGGCACGGACACUCCCGACAUGGCUUUUCGCAUCAAGCCGUUCAUUUCAGGCAUCUUCCCAUAAUAACUAUAUGUCGGCUCGCCAUGGACUUUCACAAAUGGCUCAAUAGUUGGGUCCAGAAUGGCCUCGUGCACCAAAGGCCACGCGCUCAUAAGCGCGUCCUGGUGAUGCUGGAGCACGUAGGGCGCGUACGAUUGACCCUCGGCAUCAGUAACGAGGGAUUUCCCAAUCUCGGUGAGGCUGUACUUCCUUUCGCCUCCAAAUUCGCGAUGCUCCGAGAACACGCCGUAGUUGGUGAGCAAGCGGAGGAUACGUUGCAAGUUCUCGGCGUCCCCACCGCCGGAUGGGAGGAUACGUGUCAAGAUCUGGGAGGCGGAGAGAGGGGUGUUGGCCAGUCUUCCCUUCUUCCCGCCAUCUCUGCACUCGUUAUCUUCCAUUACUGCUUACUGACCUUUGAUUUCGCAGCACCAUGCCGGCCAAACAAAAAGAUAAGACCUGAGCACUUUUUGACAAUUUGAAUGUUAGGGAUUUUUCAGAUGUGGGGAGCUUAGGAGGGAACGAAUACUUUGGUAGAGGGAGUUGAAAAGUUGUAUUUUGGAUAAGAUAAAGAUUUGUUCAUUUGUUUUGUUUUUAUCCACUCAAAAAGUACAAAUUCUAAAAAAAUUAAAAAUAAUUCGUAGUCUAGUGGUCUUUUGAUUCAAUGUAGAAGUUCUAGGUUUAAGCAGUCUUGGGUUCGAAUUCAGACUAAAACAAAAUUAGAAUGAUAAUUUUUAAUUACUGAUACUUAAGCGUCAUUGAUCGCUAUUACUAAAGUUAUUGAUACUUCAGUAUUAGUAAUUAGUGAUACAUAUCUGUUAAACGCGGAAAAUAAUCUAAAUAUAUGUAUAUAUUGAUACUUUUAAAUAAAGUGUCAGAACACAAGUAUCAGUAAAGACCAUUUUUCUAGUAGUGAUUUUGGAGGUCAUUGGAAUUCCUGUAGGUCUAUUUACCAGAUUUUAGUAAGUUUAAGGUUUUAAUUUUGCUUAGACUUUAAUUUUUCUGAAAGAUUGUAGUAUUGAUCCUUAAAGAAAGAUCAUGCUACUUCAAAUUAUUUUGAAGUGUUGCUAGUUAUAGCCUUACAUAUAAAAUUCCAUUUGUCUGGAAAUUUAUUGAUAGCUGUUACAGCAGCAUAUUUUAUGACUCUACUUCUUAGUUAUGUAAGUUCAUUAUGUUUAGGUCAGAGGCAGUCAGCUGUGGGGAAUUGAUAUAUACACAGAUGACUUUGAUCUUGUUGCCGGUAUGUGGUUCUAUGAAUAAUUGUUCACAAUAAUUGUGUUUGCCUCACUGUUUUUGUUUUAUGAGAUCUAUAAUUGAUCUUGGGAUAUUACUUUCUAGUUCUCAUGCAAGCAAGUUACUACCUUCCCACUGUAUCUCCUCCUUUAUCUGCUAUUCAAGAGUUGCGUGCCAUAAUCUGGUGUUACCUCUGCAAGAUUGUGAAUGAAUAUAAUGCCUCUAAAUUUAUUUUAUACAUAAUGCUGAUGCUGAAUAAUAUAUUGUAGCUCCUGUCAUAUUCUACUUUGACUUUUUAUAUUCUGUUUCAUAUAAAAAUCUUAUUCAACUUUAGUUGUUCAUGAGCAAAUGUCACAUGUAUAAGCCCAAAUGAUGUUUAAAGGUAGCGCAGCUACCUUUAGUUUGAGCUUACAAUGGAUGAAAAAGAAAUUGAAACUGAUAUUUUGCUGUUUUUCUGAUUUUUCAAAGUAUUUUAGAUCCUGACUUUUGUUUGGACUUGAUGGUUAUAGAUUGUGUCUAGAUUUGUUAAGUUGUUUCCAACACCUCGUGCCAAAUGAAAGCACAAUCUUUCUGAUUCAGAUGUCUUGUUAAUUGAAGAGAGCUCAUUGUGCUGAGUUAAAACAAGAAAGGAAGCCAGCAGUCAAGAUUCUUCAGCAAUGCCAUGUCAGUGCUGAGUCAGCUGAUUCUGUUAAGGAUUGUUGAAAGCUCACGUGACUAUUAGUUAGUUAAUUAGCUUUUAGUUAGUAAUGCAGGAUUCUGAUUGGUUGAUUAAUUGCAAUGCUUAUUUGAUCAAUUGUAGCUUGGAAAUAAACUGUAUAUAAACAGAGUCUAUAACGAUUGCUUCAAUUAAUGAAAAGAAAAUAUUCCAGAGAGUUCAUCUAUUUUCUCAGUAACCAAACAAGCAUUUAGCUUAAUUUGCUAUUAUUUUACAUGGUAUCAGGGCCACAAUAUGGCAAGCUCAAGCAAUCCAAACGGAAAUUCAAACACAAUCACUGCAAAUCAAUCAAUACAAACCACAUUCUCCUUCAUAUCACCAAUCAAGUUAGAUCGAUCUAACUACAUGCUCUGGCGAAAUCAAGUUCUAGCCUCUAUAAGAGGAAACAGACUUGAAGGUUACAUUAAUGGAGAGAAGGUUGCUCCCAAUCAGUUUAUCACAACUGGAGGAUAUGCUGGAGCAGCAGGUAGUUCUACUCAACAGAAAGAAAAUCCAGAAUAUACAGUCUGGAGAUCACAAGAUCAGACAUUACUAAGCUGGCUGUUGAGCUCAGUCACUGAAGGUAUUCUCCGCCUUGUUCAUUCUUGCAAUACUUCAUAUGAUAUAUGGAAAACAUUGGAGAAAAAGUUUGGUGCAAAAUCUGAAGCAAGAGUACUUCAACUUAGAUAUGAAAUGAGUGUUUUAAGAAAAGAUUCACUGAAUAUAGAAGAUUAUUGUUUGAAGAUGAAACAAAUAGCAGAUAAACUAGCAUGUGCUGGUAAUCCAGUUUCAGAUAAAGAUUUGCUGCAACAAAUUCUAAAUGGUCUUGGACAAGGAUAUCUUGAUUUAGCUACAUUCAUAACAGCAAGUAAACUUGAUUAUGAUGAUGCAUAUGCACUACUACUUACUCAUGAAACAAGACUUGAACAGAGUAUGAAUGAAAAACAGAUGUUCAAUGCAAAUUUUGCCAAUUUUACUCCUAAUAACAGUGGAUAUGGUAUGAUGAAUGCCUUUUAUGCACAAGCAAGAGGCAAUGCUCGAAGAGGUGGAUAUAAUGGAGGUUUUCACAGUGGCAAUCAAGGAGGAAGAAAUAAUUUUCAUACUGGAAGGGGAAUGUUUGUUAACUCUCAUCCAAGAGGUUUUCCCUCUGGAACUGGAAAUUUUGGUAACAGUCAUGGUAGAGGUCAGAUGAUUGGUAAUAAUAAACAGAUGCAAUUUAUGAGAGGUCAAUACAGUAGUAACUCUGGUAUGCCAAACUCUGAUGGUAAUGAUGAGCAAAGUGUUGUAUGUCAAAUUUGUUUUAAAUCUGGGCAUACAACAACAGAAUGUUGGCAUAGAUUUGAAGAGAAUUAUGUACCACAAUACAUGAAGAAAUGAAGAAAUUAGAGAUGAGCUUAUAUGGCAUAUUAUGAUGCACCAACUGAAAAUUCAUGGUCAACUGCUUGUUCAGGAAUGCCUCAAAUGCACAAUCCAUCAUUCACCCCAUACAUGUCUGAUUCAGUGAACUUGUUAGGAGCUGGAGCUGGAGCUGCCUAUGUUGCUAAUUUUGAAGGUCCAGCAGAUGAAGGAUGGUAUCUUGACAGUGGGGCUACACAUCAUUUGACAAACAACAUGGCAAAUAUGCAUGUCAGAGAUGAAUUCAAUGGUAAUGACAAGCUGAUUAUUGGCAAUGGUAAAGGUCUGUCAAUCACACACAUUGGUAGCACUACUUUUUCAGUUCAAGGUUCUAAGUCACAAGCUGCACGUAAAUGCAUUACACUUAAAGAUAUACUGCUUGUUCCUUCUAUCACAAAGAAUUUAAUAAGUGUUUCUAAACUUACUGCUGAUAAUAACCUAUCUAUUGAAUUCUUUGGAUGUAUCUGUUAUGUGAAGGAUUCACUGGAGGGGAAGGUUCUGCUACAGGGUAUUGCUGAGAAAGGUCUAUACAAAUUGCUGAUCAAAUCAUCUUCAAAAUCAUCACUACAACCUACAUACACCUCUUUUCUUUCUCAAAGCUCAAUAAAUCAACCUUUGUCUAUGUUGUCUCUCUGUCAUUUCAGUUCUGCAACUAAUAAUACUUGUUCUGCAAAUUGUUUUCAUUCAAAUAAAAACUCUUGUACUGAUUCAUCAUCAAAUAAAAUGUCUCUAUUUCACAGAAGAUUUGGUCAUCCCAAUGCUCAAAGUUUCAUUCACUUACUUAUACUUGUGCAUCCUAACUUGUUAUCUACAAAUAUGCUUAAUCAAGUAAUAAAGCAUUUAUGUGAAGCAUGUCAGCUGGGCAAAUUUCAUAGACUUCAUUUUCCUAUAACUGAUAUUAAGUCUAAAUCAGCACUAGAACUAAUCCAUACUGAUCUAUGGGGCCCUUCACUAAUAUGUUCUAGAGAAGGUUAUAGAUAUUAUAUUAGUUUUGUGGAUGAUCACACUAGAUACACCUGGAUAUACCCUCUGAAAUUAAAAUCAGAAGCUCUAGAAGUGUUCAAAUUGUUUAAACUUCAAGUUGAAAAUCAGUUUCAAACCACCAUCAAAGCUCUACAAUCUGACUGGGGGGGAGAGUAUAGACCAUUCACUACUUUUCUAAAUGAAUGUGGUAUUCUUUUCAGACACUCUUGUCCCUACACACAUUAUCGAAAUGGCCUUGUUGAAAGAAAACACAGACAGAUUAUAGAAUUAGGCUUAACACUUCUAGCACAAGUUAAACUUCCAUUCCAGUUUUGGUGGGAUGCUUUUCAUACCUCGGUUUAUCAUAUUAACAGACUUCCUACCUCUGCCCUUAAGAUGUCUAUUCCAUAUGAAAAAUUAUACAGACAUAAAGCUGAUUACAACAUGCUGAAAUGCUUUGGUUGUGCUUGUUAUCCAUACUUGAGAGAUUACAAUAAGCAUAAAUUUGAUUAUCAUACAACCAAGUGCAUCUUUCUUUGUUAUAGUCCUUUUCAUAAAGGUUUCAAGUGCUUUCAUCCCUCUGGUCGUGUGUAUAUUGCUAGACAUGUCAAUUUUGAUGAAACUUCAUAUCCAUUCUUUUCAGAUCCUGAUUUUCAUUCUUUGAAUAAAUCUCAGUCCAACUCUUAUGAUUCCAUUACACCUAUACAAGUAUUUCAAUUGUCUACCUUACCUGUCAUAUCAGUUUUUUUGAAUAACAGCAAUGAGUCUCUUUCUCAAGCAUAUACCAGUAGUGAUAACUUUCCUUCAGCAGUAGAUUCAACACAAGUACAUGUCUCAGAUCAACAACUCUCAAACACAAACAAUGUCUCAGAUCAACAACCAAUUUUACCUGCACCUACAACAUUACCUUCUCCAGAUGAAAUUCCACAAACUCAACCUAUUCUAAACUCACCAUCUCUAAACCACCAUCCUAUGAUUACUAGAGGAAAGGCAGGUAUCUUUAAGCCAAAGCUAUGUACUGCAGUUUUGUUGUACAAAGAACCAAAAACUAUUCAGGAGGCUCUCAACAAUGAAAGGUGGUUUCAGGCAAUGAAAGCUGAAUAUAAUGCAUUGAUAUCAAAUGGCACUUGGACAUUGGUACCAAGAACAGAAAAUCAUAAGCUUAUUGGUAACAAAUGGGUUUUCAGAAUAAAAACCAAUACUGAUGGAAGUGUUGAGAAAUAUAAGGCAAGAUUGGUUGCUAAAGGAUUUCAGCAGAUUGAGGGUGUUAACUACUUCGAGACUUUCAGUCCAGUGGUAAAAUCAGCAACAGUUAGAGUGAUCUUAAGUUUGGCAGUGAUGAACCAGUGGCAAAUACGACAAGUUGAUGUGAAUAAUGCAUUCUUAAAUGGAGAUCUAACUGAAGAAGUUUAUAUGAGACAGCCAGAAGGAUUUGUUGAUCCACAAAGACCAGACUCUGUAUGUAAACUGCACAAAGCUCUUUAUGGCCUGAAACAAGCUCCUCGUGGUUGGUUUGACAAACUGAAAAGUAGUCUUAUACAAUGGGGAUUCAAGAAUUCUAAGUCUGACACAUCUCUAUUCUUGAGAAGAACCAAGAGCUCAAUCAUUAUAAUUCUGAUAUAUGUAGAUGAUAUAUUGAUUAUAGGAUCAGAUUGUGUUGAGUUGGAAGAGUUUAUUAAGUUGUUCAGCUCUACAUUUGCAUUAAAGGAUCUGGGGAGACUAUCUUACUUUCUGGGUAUAGAAGUAUUAUAUGGUCAUGAUAGUAUAUACCUGUCACAAAAGAAGUAUAUCCGAGACUUGCUUGCAAAAGUUGACAUGCUUGAAUGCAAGGGAACAAACACACCAAUGAGUAGCAGUAAAGAUUACAGAUUGCAGAAGAGUGUUGAGGGAGAAAUGGGCUAUUAUAUUGAAGAUCCCACUCAUUACAGAAGCAUAGUUGGAGGACUGCAGUAUUUGGUUUUAACUAGACCUGAGAUAGCUUAUUCUAUUUACAAACUAAGUCAGUAUGUGUCUUCACCAACUCUUCAACAACUUAUGGCAUGUAAACGAGUGCUAAGAUAUUUGAAGGAAACACAAGAAUAUGGUCUAAAGUUUGUUAGAGAAGGUGACAUGAAGCUUACAGCAUUUACAGAUGCUGAUUGGGGAAGUGAUCUUGAUGACAGAAGAUCAGUUGGAGCUUAUUGUGUAUACUUGGGAAACAAUUUAAUCUCAUGGUCCUCAAAGAAACAAUCAGUGGUUACCAAGUCAUCAGCUGAAAGUGAAUACAGGGCUCUUGCUGCAGCUGUUUCUGAAAUAACAUGGCUAAAGUCAUUGUUCCUUGAAAUUGGUUUAUGUUGUGAUGAAAGCCAAUCAUAUGGUGUGACAAUGUGAGUGCUGCUGAACUUGCUCGCAAUCCAGUAUUUCACUCAAGAACAAAACACAUAGAAAUUGAUCUACACUUUAUCAGAGACAAGGUUUUGGCUGGAGACUUGAAGAUACUAUAUGUUCCCAAUGCAGAGCAAAUAGCUGACAUAUUAACUAAGCCACUGAACUCUUCUCAAUUCAAACCUAAGGCUCAAACUCAAUGUGGAGCUAUGUCCCUUGAGUUUGAGGGGGGCUGUGAAGAGAGCUCACUGUGCUGAGUUAAAACAAGAAAGGAAGCCAGCAGUCAAGAUUCUUCAGCAAUGCCACGUCAGUGCUGAGUCAGCUGAUUCUGUUAAGGAUUGUUGAAAGCUCACGUGACUAUUAGUUAGUUAAUUAGCUUUUAGUUAGUGAUGUAGGAUUCUGAUUGGUUGAUUAAUUGCAAUGCUUAUUUGAUCAAUUGUAGCUUGGAAAUAAACUGUAUAUAAACAGAGUCUGUAACGAUUGCUUCAAUUAAUGAAAAGAAAAUAUUCCAGAGAGUUCAUCUAUUUUCUCAGUAACCAAACAAGCAUUUAGCUUAAUUUGCUAUUAUUUUACAUUAAUUAUGCUUCAUUUUUUCGUUAAAGAUUGGAUGGUUGCAUGGAUUGAUGGAGUUGGAGUUCAACCAAUAAUUCUAAUUUUUUGGACUUAAAAUGCCUUUUUCUUCGGUAUAAAAACUUUAGUAAGUGCUAUUGAGUUGACAGAAGUUGAAUACUUACAGGUUGUUUCACACUUUUUAAUAGUUUUACAUAUAUGAAUUUCUGUUUUUUGAUUUUCAGAAAGGAGGUGGAACUAUUGAUUUGGAACCUUAUCUUACUCAUUCAUCGACAACGGAGCCUACCCUCGCUCCCAUGGCAGUGGAACGGACAACGACUACUAGGGCUGCAACAUCAGUUGGUUUGGGUCUGUUUUGAGUUUAUUUUCAUUUAUUUGGCUAUGUUUUGAUAGCGAAUUUUGAUAUGUCAAUGUAGGGUGCGUUUGGGAUUGAGGUGCUGUAGCUUUUAAGCUAUAGCCACUGUGAAAAAAAAGUUGUAAUUAUGAAAUAAAAGUUAAUAAUAUAUAAUAAAUAUAAAUUUUAAAUAAUAAUUUUAUUAAAAUUAUUAAAGAUAUAAUAAAUUUUAUAUUAUACAAGUGAAAAAUUAUAUCAACAUAACUUAAAAGCUACAGCAGUUAGUGUUUACCAAACACUUUAGUGCUGUAGCUUUUAAGCUACAGCUGGCCAACCUCAAUCCCAAACGCACCUGUAAUGUGUAAUUGUUUUGGGUUGAGCUGGUAAUUAUGCUGGAUUAGAUUGGUUUGGUUUUGGUGCUUCUCUGAUGGAACACUGUUUUUUUUAGAAAUUUUGAAUGUAAUAUGAGACUACAUUUAGUUUAAUUGAACACUGCAUCUAGUCUAAUUACUAGAAGUGCGGCAUUUGGUUUGGUUUAUCCGAUAUUCUCCAGAAUUUCACUUGCAUCUGGUUUUGUUGCAUAUGUUUGCUUGCAUUUGGUGGCAGUAGCAGACUGUUUGGUUUUGUGACAUUUGAUGGCAGUUUUGUCUGUUCUUGGUGUUGAUUUAAGAUUGUUCCUGUUGUGCUGAUGUUAAUUGCAGGUGCUUGAAUCAGCUAGGGUUGCUGGUUUAUUCAGAUGGUUGACUCAGGCGUUGUUACUGGUUAAUUCAGGUGGCUGACUCAAGUUGUUCAUUUAAUGUUAGGAAGCAAAUUAAGAAUUAAUGAAGUAUUCAUUUAACUAUAAUUAUUGUAGUUAUUUUAUUUCAUAACUGAAUUAUAAUCUAUGAUACUUGUGAACAAAUUAGAGAAUUUUUAUAUAUGAAUUAUAUAUAUGUGUAUGUACAUUUUGCUAAUAAUUUAAAGAAUAUAUUUCAAUUCCCACAAAAAAAUGGCUCCAAUUUCAAUAAUUCCCGCCAAAUAAUUAAAUUUUUUUAAUUUACCAGCAAAAUAUAUCUUAAAGAAAUUUUAGUUAUUCUUGCUAGAUUUAACAAAAAUGAUUUGUAGGAUUAACAUUUAAUUAAAAUAAUUAAAUAAUUUUAUUAUUCCAAUUAAAUAUGUCAUGUUUAUACGACAGACAAUAUUCAUGAAUGGGAAGUAUUAGUUACAUAUUUUUCCUUGGGAUUUCAGGCAAAUGAAAAAAAGAUUGAGAAUGAUUUCAAGAGGACAGGUGGAUGAUAAGUAUUCAUUUUUGUAUAUUUGUCUAAUGUCCUCAUUAGUGGAUUUUUAUUAGGGAUGGCAAUGGGGAGAGGAGGGGAGGGGACCAAUCUCCCCGUACCCAUCCCUGAUAUUUUGCGUAUGUCCCCGUCCCCUCUCCAUCCCCAUCAAAAUUAUUUAAGAGAAUCCCCAUCCCCUCCCCGAAUAAUAACAGGGGAUCCCCGAGGGUCCCCGAUCCCCGAAUAACUAAUACAUUUUUUUUAUUUUCGAUUUUGAGUUAAUCAUAUUAAAAUAAAAAAUUCAAAUAAAAGUAAAGUUCAAAAUAUAUCUUACAUUAAUAUCCAUUACAAAAGUCACAUACAUUAAAUUAGUAAGUAACGCAGCAUGCAAGAGAUACAAACUAUCAUGAACAAAUUAAUAGCCUAAUACAAAAUUGUUACAAAUAAAAUCAAAUUUAGAUUAAAAAUUAACUUUUCAAUGGUGGCGUGGGCACUUUAUAAAUGUGGACUAUUCCCUUUACAUCACAAUAGUUAAGUCGAAGCAAAUCAAGAGUAAAUAUUAGAUUAGAUUAUAUAUUAAAAUUGUGAUUUGCUGUGGGCAAUUAUAACAUCUAAAAAAAAAUAGAUUUAAGAUAAAUAAAAAAUAGAUUUAAGUUUAAAAUAUUUAAUGAAUAUUAAAAUUAAAACAAAAGUUUUGGGCUAAUAGAAUCUGUCCGGUCUUUUUAAUGUCCUAAAUAAAAAUUUAGGACUUUAAUUAGUUAAUUAGGCCUAAAAAUUUAAUAAUAUAAAUAUUUUGAUAUUUUUUAUUUUUACCAAUACUUAUAAUUUUAUAAUUCAAAUUUUAUUAUUUAUUUACUAGUAAUUUUAAAAAAUAAAAAUUAAAUUAAAAAUUAAAAUGGGGAAAUGGGUAGGGGAUGGGGAUUCCACCUCAUCCCUGUCCCCUCCCCGAAUAAGAAAUUGGGUACAAAAAUUUCCCCGUCCCUUCCCCGAAUAAGAAAUUAGGUAUGAAAUUAUCCCCAUACCCUCCCCGAAUGGGGAAAAUCCCCGAGCGUACCCGUCCCCGUGGGAAUUUUUGCCAUCCCUAAUUUUUAUGGUAUUGAUCUUUUUUUUUUUUAAUUUUCAGUUAGUUGCAGCCCUAGAGGAAGAGCAGGCUGAUCAAAUUGAUUUGUCUUGUUUUUCGGGCAAUCUACGACAUGAUGACCGUGAUAAUGCUCGUGACUGCUGGAAACUUUCUGAUGGAAAUAACUUUAGAGUUCGUAGCAAGCAUUUUUGUUAUGACAAAACAAAGGUUCCCCCAUAUUUUGUUUGUUUGUUAUGGUAUUUAUAUAUCCUGCAUUGGCUAGGUAGACAGGUUAUGAUGUACGUGUUUCUCAUAUAGAACUCAAGUCUGCUGUUGUCCCAAAGUUGGAACCAGAGAUAUCAUGACUCUGGUUUCAUUUCACCUCAACUGUGUUUUUUUUUUUUUAAUUAAAAAAAUAUUUGUUUUAGGUAUACAUACAUGUAUUUUGAUUCUAUUUUCAUUGUAAUUUCUCAUUUACUUUGAAUGAAAGUCAUUGGUGUUUUCGAAUGGGAAUUUUGCAUUAAAAAAUGAAGAAUAGUGAAUAGGAAAUUUCUUGAUUCUUUAGUUACUAUUUUUGGUAUGAGUGCCAUUAGUAGUAAGGUUGGUUUCUACUCGCAAACAAGUGAACUGCUCGAUUCCCGAGUGGUAUCAACCAGUUUCCAACUUUUUAAUAUACACUAAUUGUUAGUGUUUAAUAGCUACUGCUAUUAAAAUUCAACAGCUAACAAAAAUACUUAAAAAAAAUGAUUUUUCUUAUGAUGUUGGGAAAAAAAUUAUGGGUUUACUUAUUUCCACGAGAUCUAUAACAUGGUCUUGACUUCACGAAAUUCUUUUAAUUUAAAGCGUGCUGGUGUGAGAAGGUCAGUUUGACGGAUUAAUUCUUUUCAACAGUGGUCAAGAUAAUUUUACUAUACUAAAAAAUAUUCUUAUUCUGAUAAUGCCACAAAUGUUAUGCUGUUUUCUUCGGCUAAUGAUCUUCUAUUAGGAGAGGUUAGAAAUCAAAUGCUUAAAAGACCAAUUGAACGAAUAAUACAGAAAUUUAGGCAGAAUCUAAUCGAAUAUUGCAUGAAACAUGAAACAUCAAUUCAAGUCUUUUCUUAAACGGAGAAUGCAUCAAACAAAAUCCAAAGUGUCUUGCAAGUCUGUAGCAUGAGCAAAAAAUUGUAAAUAUGUUGAACCAAAUUAUUCAAGUACAGAAGAACGAGCAAGCUAAAUCAUGUAUAAGAGAUUGGCCUGGUUCGGGAUAGCUUCUUCACUGUACCUGAAGGGUUGGCUCAAUCUCUUCUUUAGAAUUCUGCAGAUUUUGUAAUUACUCGUGUAAGCAAGCAUACAUUGCCACCAUAAGAAUAAUAAAGCUAGAGUAAUGAUAUGACCACCACCUCUUGUGCACAAACAAUAUUGUAUAAACUAAUGCGACAUAAUAUGAUUGGUUAAACAAAAACAUUACAUGGCCCUCAUAAUUUAUUUAUUUAUUAUUAUUAUUAUAUAUUUUCAGUCAACCAAUCAUAUUAUAUUACAUUAGUUUCUAUAAAAUAAUUUGCUAAAUAGCACCAAAACUUAAUUGAUACUCACCAUUUCAUUGAACAAUUUUUUCAUGGUGUCAUUGAGAUUGCCUUCCCAACAUCCUUUAUCAUCAUCUUUUUCUUCUUCGGUGACGUUCACUUUGUUUAGCAUUGGUGUGUCUAAGACUCCUUGAGAGAAGAUCUUCAUUUUUGGACACUGUCUCACAACUACUUGUUUCAAGGACGGGAAUUCAAGAGCGUAAUUACCUAAACAAAAGCUUGUUAGGCUUGGCAAACAAUCAAGUCCCAAGUACUUCAAUUUGUUGAAAACAAUGCAAUCUUUCGAUUCUUCUCCAACCUGCGACUGUAUGAUUUCUUCCAUCAUUUUGCAAUCAGUUAUCUUCAUUCUUCUGAGAUUAACCAGAUUUUUAGAUGCUGAGAGCGUCAACACAUUUAUCAACCCGUGACACUUCGAUACUUUCAAAACCUCAAGGUUUUCCAAAUGCCACGAAGGUGGUACUAAUUUUUGCAACUUACCACAUUCCGAUAUUUUUAGACUUUCCAAAUUUGCAAAUACUUUGUUGGAUUCGGCAUUUUCCUUCCAGAGAUGCUGCAAUUUGUGUAAUCCAGACAACUCUAACCCCCACAAUUGAGGGAAAGCAACCUGAAAAUCAACAAAAUUAAGUUGUAAAUGAAAAUAUGUAUCCAAUCUCUGCAGUCUUCCUCUGCAUAUUUUAUGGACAAGAUUAAUCACGGCAUUUUAUAUUUUAUUUUCCAAAUUAGUAUGCUUUGCAGUAGGAUCCCAAAUAUAAGUAUCAAAUCGAUUACUCUUUGAAACACAUAAAUGAAAUCUGAUGCUAAAUCCAAUAUGAAUUAGCUAGGAAAACAGAGAUGUUACACACAUAAUUAAUAUAGUUCAUCACCUCGUGUUACCAGGCAUCCAAUUAAUUUCUGACAUUUUUAUAAUUCAUACUAUAAAGUUAGUUAAUAACGGAGGUUAUAUUGUUAAAUCAGAUAUAAAUUAAGACGACAUGCAAAAAGAUGAGUCAUUAAAUUUGAUUUGAUUCUAAUGAAAUUACAUCUGUGCGAAUGAAAGUGAAGGGAAAAAUAAUAAUAAUGAUUACCUUUUCAUCGAAGAGAUGUUGUAUUUGAUUAGCUACCAAGAGGUUCUCUUCUGAUUUUAAUUUUUGAGCUUCCUUAUUAUCUGCUGUCAUGUGCAGUACAGAUGUAGAAUUGGAUAUGAAUGUUUCCAUAUCAGGGCAAUUCUCAAUAGUUAGAUAACUCAGCAGUUCAAUUAUAUUCCCAGUGAAGUUGCAGAAUCUUUUGAGUUUUGGAAGAUCAAUGAGCCUUAGGUUGGAAAGCUUAGGAAACAGGGGGCCUAUAUGUUCUUUGUCAGCAUUAAUUAGCUCUUCCAAAUGGAGCACCUCUUCUAGUGAAUCACAAUUCGUCACUGCCAGGCAUUCCAAAUUGUUCAAGCACCGUAGCAGAUUGGCAGGAAUAGCACUCGACAUAUUCGUGCAGUCAUCCACUUCCAGCUUUCUUAAAUUGUUGAAGAAGCUGACAGGCAGUUCUUGGCCAUGCCAUAUUUCUUUCAAACGUGGAAAACGUGAGAGUUGCAAAUACUCUAUAUCACGAAAUCCAAUCUGCACAAACCAAAACAAUUGCACUGGAUAUAUACAAUUUUUUUUUAAAGGCAUUAGAUAUAUAUAUAUAUAUAUAUAUACACACACACACACACACACACAUUAAACUUACAUGUUUUGUGUUUUAACUUCUAAAACUACAUAUACAAGGUAGGUGUAUAUGUUUAAAUGUGCAAGCGUAGGGGAGAUGCAUGAACAAUUUGGGUGAAUCGAUUAACACAGACCAUCUUUUUGUAACAUAUUUUUAAAUGUGCAAGUGCAAGGGAGAUGCAUGAGCAAUUUGGAUGAAUUGAUGAGCACAUACCAUUUCUUUGUAACACUUCUGUAUAGUGGAAUUAAGAUUGCCUUCCCGAUGGUACAAUUCACUGUCUUCCUUUUUACUAACUUGCACUUUGUACAGCUUUGGUGUGGAUAAGAUUCCCUGGGGAAAAGUCUUCAUGUUCGGACAAUGUGUCACCGAAACUCGUUCCAAUGAUGGGAAUUCAAGAGUAUAAUUCUCCAAACAAAAGCUGGUAAGCCUUGGUAAAUAAUCAAGUAUCAAAACUUUUAAUUCGCUGAAAGCAAUACGAUUCUCCUUCACUUCUUCUCCAACAUGUCCUACGAUUUCUUCUAAUUUUUGGCAAUUCGAUACAUUAAGAUUCACCAGACUACUAGGAAUUCCAACCUGAAAAUAAGCAAAAGUGUGUGUAUAUUAAAAAAGUAAAAAUGUAAGAAUAUCAUUCAACUAGCACCACAACAGAAAUGGCUUUUUGCAACAAAAAGAUUUUGUUGCCUAAAGUGCCAAUUUUGUUGCCAUAGGUUAUUGCUACAAAAACAAGCUUGUCGGCCCGGUCGUCGGCCUAGCACUGUCGCCCUCUAUGUUUAACAACAUAUCAAAACAUUUCUCGCCUCAAACUUCCUUUCGCAACAAAACAGAUUCGUUGUGAAGGAGUCUUCAACUUGUUUAGAGAAUAAUUUGGCAACAAACAUUUUUGUUGCGCUAAACAGUUUUACACAACAAACUAAUUUUGUUUCUAUAUAGUUAUUUACUACAAAACUAAUUUGUUGCUAAGAAAUAAAGUACAUUUUAUAAAAAAAACGUGUACCAACAAAGGUGUUUGUUAGCUAAGAUCAUUUUAGGCAACAAAACUACUUUGUUUCUUUAUGUUGAAAAUUUUACAAAUUUGCAAUAAAUAUUUAUAUAUUUUUAGAAACAAAUCAAUUUUGUCAUUAAAAAAUAGUACAAUUUUUUUUUAAUAAUAUCAUGGUAUAAAAGGAAGCAAACCAAGUUCGUUGGGAAAGAUACCAAUUUUUUCCCCCACCAUGACAAUAAUAAACUAGAAAUAUAUGUUGAGAAAUCUAACAAAAAAAUCAUUAAUGUCAUUGAACUAAUUUAAAAGUUAAAGGCCCAUUCAGUAUCCAAGCUAUAUAUAUAUAUAUACAAAACUGACUUUAAGAAUCACAUAUGAUAGUCAAAUACAAAAGUGGAUUGUCAUCUAUCCCAAAAAUGUAAUGAGCAAAAAUUAUAAACGAUCUCUAAUUACAACUACUCCAAACUCCAAAUACUUAAAGAUAUGACAUGCACCAGCAGUAACCAAAAAGAUCAAGUGAUGACCAAUUCAAAAUACUAACAAGUUCAAGAUACUCUAAGGACAUCAUUGAAAUGAGUAAUCAUUGAGUAGCUGAAUCUGUAAAGCAAAAAGUGGAUCCUUGAGAAGAAAAAAAUUGCUGCAUCAUACCCUCAAAUUGGGACAAUCUGGACUCCAAUUGAUCAAUAGUCUUCUUUUGUUCUUGAAGCUCAACAUCUUGUGAAUCCAAUCUACUUUGUUGUGAAGAUAUAAUACCAUGCAAUCUGUCAGCCUCAGAAGUAUCAACACCAUGGUUUGAAGUUGGGCGUGGUCCGUUGCCAAGUCCUCGAAAAUAGCCUGUUUUCUUUCCAAGUACUUCAAUGCAUAUUUCCUUUUGAGUUAGUGGUUUUGCUUCUUGAGGAUCUAUUUGUUGCUGUUGUUGUAUCUCUACCAUUUGGUCCUAUACAUAAAGCUUUGUUAGUAAAUGAAGGAAGAAAAAAAAGAAUUUUAUUAAUUAAAUAGUUGAAAUUUAAUCCAUUGGUCAUGGAAUUAAUUUGUAUUAAGGCAUAAAUUGAAAAAAAAAAAAAAGAAACUUGCUGUUAUACUUAUAAAUCUAAUUAUUUGAUAUUUCAAAUAAUAAAGUUAAUUAGAGCAUGAAAGAAAAAUUAAGAAAAAAAAACUCAAUGAGUAAACUUUCAUCAACAGUAUGUAGGUGAUAAGAAAUAAUAAAAUUAAAAAUUUUGUUUCCAACAAAGCAUCUUACAUGGUUUAAGUGUGCCAUCUCAUUCACCCAACCUUUUGUCUUGCUGAAAUGAUUGACGCGAAAUAAUUCUAUUUCACCAUCAACCAUGUCAUCCUCAAGAUAAUUAACAAAAGGUCUUGAUCCCCCACAAUGGACAUAUGGGAGCUUAGCACGAUUAGCUUUGUUUUUGGUAGAUUGAGUCUACAUUAAAAAAAUAUAACAGUGGAAAAUAAGAUACAUAUACAAGCAUAUUGACAACUAGUUGGACAAUUUAAAGUUCAUAAUAUGAAUAUCAUUGGACCUGGAAACUUGCGGAAUUGUAAAUGUUAUGACAAAGCCAAGCCCAAUCAUCUGGACAUAUGCCUGGAUAUGAAUGCUUAAGUGCCUCUUCAAAGGAUGGAUAAUCCAAGUAAUGAUCAUACAUCCAAUGUCUCAUAUCAUGAUAUCUCCCACCCAUAAUGUUAUUCACACAUCGACGAACAUGUGGUACGUUCAAAUCAAUCUCAAACUUUGACUGAAUUUAGGAAAAAAAAGAUAUCUCAGUUUAUAAUUAAAAAAAAUGACAUAUGAAGAAUAUUAAUAAUCAUAAGUACUUACUAAUAGUCGAUCAAACAAAACCUACCAAUUAAACUCUUUAAAUACCAAAUUCUAGAGUUGUAACAACACCUUGCACAAACUCUUGGCUGGGCAUAACAGGCUAAGAUUGGGGAAUUGUAGAUGCGACAACAAUUUCUGCUCUUACACGUUUGGUAACUCUAUGUCCAGGACCCAUCUAGUAAUUAUUAAAAAUAUACAUUAGAGUUUAUUAAUAAUCAACAUAAAAAUAAAUCAAGAUAACUAUAAUUUUGUCAAAGAAAUUAUAACAUGAAAGAUCCUAUUACUGGGCAUAGAUCCUAAAUUCAUUUGACUAUUGUCCACAAACUCAGGUUCUUCACCAUGAAAAACCCAUGAAAAAUCCAUUAACUUUAAUUUAACAAAUUAAAAAUUGAAACAAAGACCCACUUAAUAAAUAAUUAAAGCAAAACCCACUAAACAAAAUCAAACUCAACAGGCCAAUAUAUAAAAUAAAACUAAAUUUACUUGAAGAAAUCGUUGUCUUGAGUGGUGCCUUCCAAGUACAACUCUUCAAUGGCUUAAAGCUUGGGCAGAGAGAAUGACUCCAAGGCAGGGCAAAAGAAACAAGCGAAGAGUAAAGUGGAAAUAUUCUAGAAGCAAUAUUUUAAUUAAGAAAAAAUUGGAGAUGGAAACUUUACUUCGGUUAGCACGCGGUUUAUUAAAUAAAGGGCGCGGAAAUAAAAAAUUAAAAAGCCUCCCACAAAGUCAUGUUUGCUUUUAUAUUAUCUUUAUAUUUUCAUUUAUUAAUUUAAUAUUUUUGUUAACCUUUGCGCAACAAAAUUAAUCUCGUUGCAAAAAACUCUGAGAGUACAAAACAAAUUUUCUCGCUAAUCACAACCUUUUGCAAUAUUUCAUUUGUUGCAACUGAUUUAAGUGUUUGUUGUGGAAAAACUUGAGCAACGAAACAUAUUUUGCCUUCAUUAAGCUUGUUAGGCAACAAGAACACUUUUGUUGCCAAACAUAGCGUAGGGCAAGAAAAUAUUUUGUUGCCAUAUAUUCUAAUUUUCUUGCCUAUUCCACAUCAUUAAGAAGAAUAAAAUCUGUUUAGCUAUAGCGAUAAAGACUAAUUUUUGUUGCAAGAUAUGAAUUUUAGCAAUAAAGUAAGUUUUGUUGCAAUAGAAUUUGUAGCCAAUACUCUAUUUUCUUGUGGUGUAGGUUCAAAGUAUGUUUAAUCAUACAAUUAUACGUUUUAUAAACAUAACAAACCAUGAAAUGUCUACUAGAUAAUUUUUUGUUAAACAAAAAAAGCAACAAGAUAAAUAAAUAAAUAAAAGCCAGAUAAACAAAGAUAAUAAAAAUGCAUUUACACUAUUUACUAUUAGGAAUGUAGAAAGAAUUUAAGGCAAUUUCUAAAUAUUUUAGACUUAUUUUGCAUCUUGAUAUCAGUUUUUAAGCAUAAAUUUGCAAAUUUCAACUAUUCCUUUUGGGGAAAAAAAAAUCAACCAAAAUGCCGCUUUUUCCCUUUUCCUUGGUCCCUUUUUUUUAUGUACAUUUAAAAAUGGGAAAAAAAAUUGGAAAAGACUUCCCAAUAUUGUCAACAAGGGACUGCUGCUGUAAAGUGGAUCUUUAUUAAGUACUUCCAGACUCAAGGAAAUUUCUUUACAAUCACGGGUCAGUUGUAAAUAAUCAUCAAUUUGUGGUUAAUUAAUGGCAUAAUCAAUUCGUAACUAAACAAGAGAUAUUAAUUAAAUUUGAAGACUUUUAUUUUCUUUUUUUUCUUUUUCCAAUCGAAAUGUGAAGAAUUAAGGAAAAGAGAAAUAUAUAGAUGAAUUUAUGAACCUAUAAGAUGAGUGACUAUCCUUUAAUUUUUGAAAAUCGUACUUUUUAAGAUAUGAGCAAAAACUAUUUAAUUGAAUUAUAUUAUGCUGUUGAAUCGUGUUUGAAAAAUUUAUAUUGUUAAUUCUAAUGCUGACGAACCUAAAAACCGGACUUAAAACGUAGAUUUCAGGGUGGUGGUUCGAAGUACGAUACUUGAAAUAAAUAAUCAGUGGCUGAAUAUCAUUUGUAAACAAAAAAUGGUUAAAAUAUUGUUGGAUGUAAUUUGAAAAAAAAAAAAAAGAUUCGAAAUGAAUACAGCGAACUUACCAAUGGAGGAAAAAUAUUCUUUAGGUUAUCACACCAAUUUAUCUCCAAAUUCUUCAAUUUGCUGAAAGACUCCGAAGCAAGCUGGUGGUGCCAUAUUCUUCUCAAAUUAUCCAUCCUCCCAAUAUCUAAUACCUCCAACCUAGGAAGUCGUACCUGGCAGUUAAAGAUUAAAUAACUAAUUGAUCAAUUAAUGGCAUAAUCAAUUGAUAACUAAAUUAGAGGCGGAUAUUAACUAAUUUUGAAGACUCAAGGAAAAGAAAAAUUAAGUAUUGUGACUAAAAUUAAUUUUUUUUAUUAAAAAAAAAACUUUUCGUCAAAGAGAGGAGGAGGUUGCAUUUCAGAAUGAUUGGUGUCUUCUGGUGAGCUCGUAGAGAUGAAUCUUAACAUAUUUCUGCAACCACGAAACUUGAGGUUUAGCAAAGAAGGGAAUUCAACAACUGAAUCUGAAUGAAUAUGUCCCGUAUUGGCAAAGCUUGUUAGUUUAUAAAGCCCAUAGAGCUGUAGGGAGUGUAGUUUAGGAAAAACCUUUAAUUCAAUCAACUUUCCUUCAUCUCUUUCUGACCACCCCGUGGUGUCGACUACCCUUUCCAUUGACCAACAAGUGGUUAUCUCAAGAUGUUGGAGUUUCGCAAGACUAUUAACCAUAGAAUAUGAAAACAGAUACUUCAUACGAUGACAACUGACCACGUGCAGCUUUGUUAGAUUUUGAUAACAGUACAUUCCUUGAUUAUGAUCGGCCCAUAAUUUUUUCAUGUUUCUUAAGUCCCUGAGAUUCAAUUCCUCUAAGCUCGGAAGAAUAACCUGCAAAGAAAACCCGUACAUUUUUGUUCCUUCAAGUACAACCGUCUAGUAUAAUAUUUUUUUGAUGAUCGAAGAUUAAUGGUGAUAAUAAAUUAAUCAAUUAAUUAUUGAACAGAAAAUUAUCACCUUUGGAGCAGUAUCAUCAUCAGCAAUGAUUUCGUUGAAUCCCAAAGAAGUUGUUGGUUUCUCCCUGUCGGGUCCUAUAAACAAACAAAAACAAUAUAUACAUAAUUAAUCUUUGUUUUUUUUUGGUCCAAAAUAAUUGAGGAGAAGUCCAUAAUCACACCAACACUUACCAACAAUCAUUUCCAGAUCAUCGCAAGAAGCCACUUCUACCUUUUGAAGCUGCAGUAGGUUUUUGGCUAUGGAGAAUGAGAAAAGAUGCUUCAAUUCGCGACAGGAUUUUACUUCGAUAAUCCUUAAGUUGCUGAAAGAUUGAUCUUCUGUGAGUUGGCUGUCACAUAUUGUCUCCAAAUUAUUCAAAUAGCUAAGAGACAAUGACUCCAGCAAGGGAAAGACUGUCCAAUGAACCCGUCCAACUGAACCAACAAUAUGCGAAAUAUCAUAACAAUAUUCUACACGAAGAUGCUUCAAUCGUGGAAAACCUUCCCCAUCAUCUAAUUCAUGAACAACAUUCUGAACACCCUUCAGUUCGAUUAGAUGGAUCUCUUCAGUUAACUUCAGCAACAUUUUCGUCCCAUAAUUCUCCCAAAGAGUGCUAACAUUUUCUAACCCAUGGAGCUCCACCAAUCUUGAUGUUUCAGAAUUAACGCGCCACCACGCUUCUCCUAUACAUAUCUUAUAUCUUUGCAAUUCCACAGGGACCCAAUCCUGCGGCAGAAUUUGGGCAUCCCGAACGUGUAUCUCCAAGGUACUUAGCUUUGACAACCCCUUCAAUUCAGCAAGACUGGCGUUACUUCCUCCUUCAACCUUAUCCCACUGCGAAAAACUGUCACCCAUAUAUAGUUCUUCCAAUCGAGAAAAAUUUGAUAUGACAUUUGGUGCUAUCACUACAAGGCUCCUACAAUGUUGGGUGCAAGCGGAAGUGCAGAAAAAUUUUUAUUUAAGAACAGAGUAUUUUGCUGGAAAUUUCUGAAACUUUAUUGCUUAAUUCAUUUUUUUCGUUUCUCUCUUCCUUUUCAUACAACCAGAGUUCUAUAUUUAUAUGCAUUAUAGACAACUCUAGAGAUUACAUUAAUCAUGCUUUACAUUUCCAAAGCUACAUUGCAAACAUCAAUUCUACCCUUUACUUCAUGUUGAAAAACAAACCAAAUAACCCUUCAAACUUCUUGCUCAAUUUACUAGAUUAUUAAUUAUAUCUCAACACCCCCUCUUAAUUAGUAAUCUUCAAUUGCUUCUUGAAUUUUUCAAACUUCUCAAUGUUGAUUGCUUUGGUCAGAAAAUCUGCUGGCUGCUCAUUAGUGCUGAUAAACUCCAUAUUAACUUCUCCUUUGUUUACUAAGUCACGGAUGUAGUGAUAACGCAGCUCAAUGUGCUUAGAUUUAGCAUGAAAUACGGGGUUCUUUGUUAGAGCAAUGGCUGACAUGUUGUCACAAUAAAUUGUUGUUGCAGCAUCUUGAUUGAAUUGCAAAUCCUUGAGAAUUCUUCUAAGCCAAACGGCUUCACAAGCUGAUUCAGUUGCUGCAAUGUACUCUGCCUCGGCUGAGGAUAAAGCUACUGACUUCUGCUUCCUUGAGCUCCAUGAAAUCACAUUUGUACCAAGACAAAAUAAAUAACCUGAUGUGCUUUUUCUGUUAUCAAGGGAACCAGCCCAGUCACUGUCAGUAAAACCAACAAGCUUGCAAUUGUCUUCUUUUUCAUACAUGAUCCCCUGCUUUUUUGUUCCUUGAAGAUACCUUAAGAUUCUCUUUGCUGCAAUAUAAUGGGACUUCCUUGGAUCAUUCAUAAAUCUAGAAAGAACACUAACUGAGUGCAAAAUGUCAGGUCUUGAGUUGGUUAGAUAAAUCAAUGAACCAACCAAGCUUCUAUAGAUUCUUGCGUCAGCCUUUUCUUCUUUUUCAUCAUGUUUCAAUUUUUCAUUCAAACCCAUAGGAGUAGGUGCUGGUUUGCAUUUGAACAUGUGGAAUUUCUUCAACAAAUCUUCUACGUAUUUUUCUUGACAAAAGAAGAUUUUACCUCUGGCUUGCUUCACUUGAAUGCCAAGAAAAUACAUCAUUAAGCCCAAGUCAGUCAUCUCAAAUUCAUCUAGCAUGCUUUUUUUAAACUCUUCCACCAUUUUCAGAUUAGUGCCACAAUAAAUUAGAUCAUCAACAUAAAGGCAAACAAUAAGGAAAUCAGUACCUUCCUUUUUGACAUAAAGAGAAGGUUCACUUGAGCUUCUGUCAAAUCCAUUUUUAACAAAAUAUCUAUCAAUUCUACUAUUCCACGCUCGAGGGGCUUGCUUCAAGCCAUACAAGGCUUUUCGGAGUCGAUAAACUUUGUUUUCUUCACCUUUUACUUCAUAUCCUUUAGGCUGCUCAACAUAAACCUCUUCUUCAAUUUCACCAUUUAGAAAUGCCGAUUUUACAUCUAGCUGAAACACAUUUAAUUCCAUUUGGGCUGCCAAGGCAAGAACAGUUCGAAUAGUCUCCAUUCGAGCUACGGGAGCAAACGUUUCUGUAAAAUCAACUCCAGGCAGCUGAGAGUAUCCUUUGGCAACGAGCCGCGCCUUAUAUUUUUGAACUGAACCAUCUUCAUUGUACUUGAUUUUGAAGAUCCAUUUCAGCCCAAUUGUUUCUUUUCCAUUUGGCAAAUUAACCAUCUCCCAAGUUUUAUUUUUCACAAUGGUGGCCAUUUCCUCGUUCAUUGCUUUGAUCCAAUCUUCAUUUCUUGAGGCCUCCUCAAAGUCUUGAGGCUCACAAGAAAAUAAAGCAAGUUCACAUGACUCAUAAAUUUCUCUCAUUGACUUUAUCUUCCUUGGAGGGCUUUCAUCAUCCGAAGAAACUUUCUGCUGCUGAAUUUNNNNNNNNNNNNNNNNNNNNNNNNNNNNNNNNNNNNNNNNNNNNNNNNNNNNNNNNNNNNNNNNNNNNNNNNNNNNNNNNNNNNNNNNNNNNNNNNNNNNNNNNNNNNNNNNNNNNNNNNNNNNNNNNNNNNNNNNNNNNNNNNNNNNNNNNNNNNNNNNNNNNNNNNNNNNNNNNNNNNNNNNNNNNNNNNNNNNNNNNNNNNNNNNNNNNNNNNNNNNNNNNNNNNNNNNNNNNNNNNNNNNNNNNNNNNNNNNNNNNNNNNNNNNNNNNNNNNNNNNNNNNNNNNNNNNNNNNNNNNNNNNNNNNNNNNNNNNNNNNNNNNNNNNNNNNNNNNNNNNNNNNNNNNNNNNNNNNNNNNNNNNNNNNNNNNNNNNNNNNNNNNNNNNNNNNNNNNNNNNNNNNNNNNNNNNNNNNNNNNNNNNNNNNNNNNNNNNNNNNNNNNNNNNNNNNNNNNNNNNNNNNNNNNNNNNNNNNNNNNNNNNNNNNNNNNNNNNNNNNNNNNNNNNNNNNNNNNNNNNNNNNNNNNNNNNNNNNNNNNNNNNNNNNNNNNNNNNNNNNNNNNNNNNNNNNNNNNNNNNNNNNNNNNNNNNNNNNNNNNNNNNNNNNNNNNNNNNNNNNNNNNNNNNNNNNNNNNNNNNNNNNNNNNNNNNNNNNNNNNNNNNNNNNNNNNNNNNNNNNNNNNNNNNNNNNNNNNNNNNNNNNNNNNNNNNNNNNNNNNNNNNNNNNNNNNNNNNNNNNNNNNNNNNNNNNNNNNNNNNNNNNNNNNNNNNNNNNNNNNNNNNNNNNNNNNNNNNNNNNNNNNNNNNNNNNNNNNNNNNNNNNNNNNNNNNNNNNNNNNNNNNNNNNNNNNNNNNNNNNNNNNNNNNNNNNNNNNNNNNNNNNNNNNNNNNNNNNNNNNNNNNNNNNNNNNNNNNNNNNNNNNNNNNNNNNNNNNNNNNNNNNNNNNNNNNNNNNNNNNNNNNNNNNNNNNNNNNNNNNNNNNNNNNNNNNNNNNNNNNNNNNNNNNNNNNNNNNNNNNNNNNNNNNNNNNNNNNNNNNNNNNNNNNNNNNNNNNNNNNNNNNNNNNNNNNNNNNNNNNNNNNNNNNNNNNNNNNNNNNNNNNNNNNNNNNNNNNNNNNNNNNNNNNNNNNNNNNNNNNAACUUGAUGGUGACUGCCUUUUCGGACCUUGAAAUUCUUGUUUUAGGAUUUCCCAAGCAUUUUUGGCCUUUUUGACACCAAAUAUUCUGGGGAAAAUUGACUUACUAACACCUUGCUGGAUAUAUCGAAGUGCCGUGGCAUUUCUCUGUAUGUUUUCUUUGUACUGCUGUUGAUGUGCUGGAGUCCAAUCUGAAGAACUUGCUGAUUCUGGUGGUUCAGCAUAUCCAUCUUCAACAACAAGGUGUUGGGUGCAAGCGGAAGUGCAGAAAAAUUUUUAUUUAAGAACAGAGUAUUUUGCUGGAAAUUUUUAUUUACAAUUGCUCAAAUCUAGCAAUUGUAACCCCGUCAAUUGUCCAAUUUCAAGUGGUAACUGCUUAAUGUCGGAAUAUCGAAAGCUAAGAAUCUCCAAUUUCUUUAGUUGUCCAAUUGCCGCUACAUCUUCUAGUUGGCACCAGUCUAAACACAAUGUUUGAAGGUUAAUGAGGCGACCGAGUGACGAAGGUAAUGAAGAGAAAGGAAUUCUAGUAAGACUUAAAACUUUGAGUUCUUCUGUCCCUUCAAAAAAGAGAUCUGAAAUUUGCAUAGGGCCAUUACCCUUUCUAAACAACAAAAAUAACUGGAGAUUGGGACAUUGCAACCUUUCAGGGAGCUCUUGAAUAUUUCUCUGGGGUAAUGAAAUGGCAAUUGGAUCUUUCCGUAUUGUCUCUUCCAUCUUUUUCUCUAAGUCGGCAACAUUUGGAAUAUUAAACAUGCGCUUCUCUGCGGCAAUUGAUACGGCAACAACAUGAGUGACGUCAUGCAUUUUAACUUCAUCUUUAGCAUCACCGUCCAACAAUAAGCAUGAAGAUUUGAGGUUGUCGAUCAACCGAUGCACUCUACUCCUUGCUUCUUCCGAUGUGUAAACAUUUUCAAAUAAACGCCAACCCACACCAUAUCUCAAUAAGUUAGAAACUUGUAUGACAUAACCUUCACUGUAUAGACCACAAAGACGGAACAGAGAUUUUGCCUCCUCACUUUCCAAGAAGUCAUAACUCAAUUUUAUGGAGGUGUAAACAUUUGCUUGCAUGCCAUGAAUUUCUCUUGCAUCCGAUCUUCUUAGCUGAUUCAAUGCAUCUUUCCAAAAGUCAAGCUCCUUAGUUUUCAGAGCAUUUGCAACUGUACUCAGUGCAACAGGCAAACCUCCGCAUCUUUCAACGAUCUCAUUGGCUGUACUUUGAAAAGCAGAUAUUUUAGUUGAAUCACCCACUAUCUCCUCAAAUAACUGCAAUGCUUCUUUUGGUGGCAAAGCAUCGAUCUGGAAAUUUUUCUGAGAAUUCAUAUCAAUGCGCAAUAAAUCUUGCUUUCUAGACGUCAAUAUUAUUGUGCAUCUUCUCUGAUCAUCCUUUCUAUCUUUCUCAGCAACAUCCCCGGUUGGAAUUCCAAAUUUAUCCAACUCAAGUUUUGUCCAAAUAUUAUCUAAUAUAAUGAGGAGCUGCUUCUCUUUCUUCAAUCUUUCAUGUAAUCGUUCAGCUCUUUGGAAUUCAUUCUCAUUCAGGCCAAAUUCCAUGCCUAAAUCAAAAGCAAGUUUGUUUUGAAUUUUAUGAUGAUCUGGGGUCUGUGUUACCUCAGCCAUAACGACCUUAUCGAACAAGUUUUCUUCCAUCACUUGCUUUGCAACUUGCUUGACUAUCGUGGUUUUACCCACGCCGCCCAUCCCGUGGACCCCAAUUAUGUUGAGCUUAUCAUCCCUCAACGCCUCCAUAACAUCUUGAAAUACUUUCAUUCUUGAAUCAAACGCCUCGAAAUCUUUCACUUGAAUAUGUUCUGCCAGCUUUGGAGUAGGACGGUGGGAAACAUUAGAGAAGUUGCCUUUUCCCACGAGACUAGCGGCAGCUUCUGCGGCCUUUGCUGCUUGUCUACUGAGCUUGUAACGGGAAAUCAAGUUUGGGCACGAUCCUUUGAAACAGAACUUCUUAGCUCUAUCUUCAUCAUCAGUGAUGGAUUUUGCAGCGCCCUGAGUGAAUUCCUUGACACUAUUAAGCCAGUCUGCAACAUCCUUAUAAAUCUCAUCUCCUUGUUGAGUAGCCUGAUGAACGGGUAUUUCCACCCUUUCUCUUUUGUGUUCCAGCUGCUUCACUUGAUCUUUUAGGCCAUCUAUGUAGCUCUGGUACUUGAACACAUAAGAUAUCUGCCGUAUAAUCGGUUUGAAUAGUGACUUUACACCUUCUGAUACGAUGCUGGAAAAAGCAGCCAGACCCACUUCUGCAGCCAUUGCCUGUUGCUUAACAGUAUAUAUAUAUAAAUAUAUAUAUAUAUAUAAAGUGAAUAAAAAUGUCAAAUAAAGGAAUACAAAUAAAUUAAAAUGAACUAGAGGGAAAGACAGAGAAAGAAUAGACCGCAAACAACAUCACGAUAUUGAUCUUGAACCAACUGAUACCUAAGUGGAGAAUUUCUUUUUCUAUCUUAAGGAUCAGAGGUUUCGCUAUUAACAGAAAGGUAUCCUUCAAGGAAAGUUGAUGGAAAUUAAGAAAGAAUGGCUAUCAAGAUCAAGUAUUCUGCUACUAAAAAUAAAUGAUAUGAUUAAGAAAAACCAGAGAAUUUUUUCCUAGGAAAGUUGAUGGAAAUUAAGAAAGCACCGCUAUGAAGAUCAAGUAUCAGAGAUUCUGCUACUAAAAGAAUAUUACAGGUUUUAGAACAAGUGCACCUCUUUACCUGUCUGGGAUCAGAGUUGAUGAGCUGCUGUAUUCACCUUGAAUAUAGAAGAAAUAUUACAGAUUUUGACUAAAGAGGAAUGUGAGGAACGAGUUGAUGAGAGUAAUAACAAUGAAUUUCCAAAAGAAGACGACUUGAGCAUUAAGCAUGCACCCCCUUUUUCAAUCAAAUAUUGGUACGUAUGUACGUAGGGACCAUUAUGCGUAUAUGAAGUCCAUUAGUUGCAAUCAGAAACCCUGGACCAAUUUAAAUGACACUCGAUUUUUGAUAAGAAGAAGGCAAGGAUAAGGACAAAGUCAAUCAAUCACCAACAGUAAUUACUUCAAUCUUUGUCAAUCUACUUAAAUUGUCGAUCAACAUGAAAAUUGUUUAAAUUGAUAUUUGUAAAUCAAUCAAUUUUCUAGUUACUAUGAUUAUAGCGUUUCACCUUUCAUAUUGGAUUUUAUCUUUUCGAAAGUUUUCAAAUAUGAGUGUCAAUAAUUAUUGAGACUCCAAGCCGUGCUCUCAAGAUCGUGCUGACACAUCACUAUUAACUUUAUUUAUGCAUAUUUCAAAGAAAAAAAGUUAUGGUUUUGUAUUGCCAGCCCUGCUACUUUUUGUUUUUUUUCAUUUGUAUUAUUUACGAUUUUUUUUUAACAGAAACAUGAGAACUCAUCAUCGUACAAAAUUGUAUGAAAAAAUCUUCAAAUUUAUAAAAGUAAAUUUCAUUGACAGAUUGUGGAUAUGUUAGCAAGAAUAAGGAUAAGAAUGAGUUAAGAAAUUAAAAAGAAAAAAAAUAUAGUGUAAGUAAACAAUGUUUUGGUACAUUUGGUAUUGUUUUCAAAAUAUUUUGAAAAGAAAAAUUUUCAAUCAUCCACCUAAAAAUUAUUUUAUUAUCCAAAAGUUAUGAAAAUUUAAAUAUACUUAAUUUUAUACCCAUUAUUACAAUGUGUAUCAACUGUUUACUAAAAAAAUAAAGUUACUCCUAAAACGUAAUCACCACUACAAUUUUAUGUUCGCUUCUAUUUUGUCACUUUGAACGAAUAACUUUGAGUAAAUGACUGAUAAUUUCUCUUUUAUAAGCUACAAGAAGUUAAAAAAAGAAAAAAGAAAAAAUAGGAUGAUAAUUUCUCUUUUAUUUGCCUCAGAUGAUUUAUUGUUUCGGGUCUAAGAUUUUAAAUAUUCAACUUAAAAGAUUAAUAUAUUAUAAAUUAAUUAAUUAAAUAAUCAUUAAGCAAAUAAAUUGUGUCCCUGGAUGUCAAUUCCUUUAAUAUUGACGCAACUAUUUUUUUCUGGCAAAUAAUUAUUAAUGCACUUACGGAACUUUGCAUAUCUACACAGCGAUUUUAAAUAUUACUGGUAACUGCUAAGAAAUGUGCGAGAAAGGAGUUGAUGAGAGUAAUAACAGCGACUUGCAAAAGGAAAAGACAGAAUCAUUCACCCCUUUUUGUAUCACGUAUUUGGUUACUGUUUCCCUGUUGACGCAUGUAUAAAUUUGAGUGGUUUUUCUCCACGUUUUUGAGUGGUCUUUCUGCACUUUUUAACAAUAUGAUAAUUGACAGGUUAAUUAUUUUAUAUCUUUUAUAAAAUUACUAUUAAAGGAGAUUUUCUGCACGCAUGUAUAAUAUUUUAUAUCUUUAUUUAUAUUACUAUUAAUUUUAAAUUAAAAUUAUUUAUAUUUAUUCAUAUUCAAAUAUUUAUUAUUAGUUAUAUUAACUAUAAUAUAAUUAAAUAAUACAUUAUUUAGUUAUAUUUUCAAUAUAAUAAAAAUUAAUAAUAUAAUAAUAAAAUUUAUUUAAACAUUUAUUAACAUGUAAUAAAUUUUGUUUUUGUGUACAAUACAAUAAAUUGAUAACUAAAAUAAAUAUUAUUAACAUUAUUUUAUUAUUUUAUUACCUCAAUAUUAUUAGUAAUUAUAAGAAUUCCUUGAAAGUUAAUGAUUUUACUUUUUUGAUUAAUAAGGAUAAUUUUAUAUUUUUAUAGUAUGUAUGACGGCUUGCCUCCUGCAUGCGUCUAAGUGCAACCUUCCUAUAUAAUCGGUUGCUUUGCUUGUGAAACUACAUCAAACCCUAAUCCUGAUCCUGAUCCUGCUGAGAUGAGUGUUAUAUAUGCUGAAGCAAAUUAAACACGCACAUCAUCAAUUUGAUUCGAUAUGCGCACCGUCUUACGUAUAAAUACCAAAAGAAAUCAUAAUAUACAUCUUAGUACUGAUAGUCGUGAUCACAAAUUAGGAACACAAUAUAUACACAUGCAUAAUAUAAAGAAAACACGAGGUAAAUUAAAAGCGUGUAAAUAUUCAUUUUUUUCAAAUAUUGAGAUGUAGCUAUAAAAGAAAAAAUAAAUUAAAAAAUUUUAAAUUUUAAUAUGGCCAUCGUAGAGUUAGAAUCCCCGCUCCAACCCAAUUUGGAGAUGUGCUUGGUCUAUUUAUGUUUUGGAAAAAGAAAAACCAAAGGAAAAAAAAAUACACACACGACCAAAUCAAGCAAUUCAUCAAAUAAAAAAUAAAAAAAGGAAAGAAAUUUAAUGACUUGCAUGCAAUUUUGGAUCUGAAAUUAAAAUUACAUAAAAAUUAAGGAUUACCUACCUUAAUAUUUACAGCUUAUUUGAUGGACUCAACAGGUUUAAGCAACAUCAAAAUGUUUGUGGCUCCUUAAAUGAGCCCCCGACAUGGUGCAAAUGACAACAUCGACUUGUUUGACAGCUCCAACAAGGCUACGAUGAUCAGAAAAUGAGCCCUCAAUCAACAAGCUAAGAUUGGCUUCUCUAUCCUCUUCUCCCCACAACCAGCGCCUUGCUCUUUGUCAUUUUUCCUCUUGUUAGUUUUCUUCUACAUAUAAUUAUUACACUGGGAAGUACACACCCCUCUUUUCUUUUUAUAGUACCUUACUAUUAUAUCUUUACAAAACAAUAUCACCCUAAGACAGAUAUGUAUGAAAUAAAUGAAAUAAAUAUAUAAGGAACUGACGAAAUAAAAUUAUCAUGACCAUAGACUUUUCUAAUUUAUUUUUUCCUUUAAAAAACGACAAGGAUAAGUUUGGGAAAAUGAUUAUAUUUUUAAUAAAAGAAUUCUUUUUUAUUAUAAGGAUCCACCUACGUUACAAUAGUGAUACCAUACUACAGUUUUUGUCUUUAUUUAGUUGAGUCGUUGGAUGUUUUACUGGUCAAUCUAAUGGCUGAAAUUAAUUAUUAGAUAAUUGAUGCGGCAACCUGCAACCGUUGGAGCCGGUUGCGUUUUAAUGUAAUGUAAUAUCAUUUGCGAGCUUGUGCUGAGAAAGUUUGUUGUACUGCAUCAAUGGAACUGAUUUGGUCAGGAUUUAUGGAUAUAGAGAAAGAGGAGUGUUAGAAAAGAAAACGGUGCAGAAGAUUGUCCCUUCAUCCAUUUGGCCUUUGGUAGGGGCUUCCUUUGAUUUUCACCUGGACUUCAUAAAUUCCUCAAAUUUCCUUCUUGAUAACAGUAAUCCUGCAUUCGGAGAGAGGUAAGUCACCAUGUUUCGUCACAAACGUGGCCAUCUCUUCUCCAUUCGAUUGGUUGCUUUUUAAAUCCAAUGGUUAUAUUAGAUGAGGACAAAAAUUGUGGUAUGGUACCACUGUUGUAACAUAAGUGGAUCCUUAUUAUAAUACUUUUUGUCUUAAUUAAUUUAAAAAUAUUGACUCUUAUAUUUUAAUAAAUAUAAAUAUAAUAUUAUAAUAAAAUAUAACAAUAUAUACAAAUAUUUAAAAAAUUUAAGAUUUUAUUAAAAUAAAUUUUAUAAUAAAUACAAAUAUAUUAUUAAUAUAAUUAUAAUAAUUUGCAUUUUAAAAAGUAAUACUGCUAUAAAUUUUUUAAAUUAUAUUACUCUACCAAAAAAAUAAACUAUUAAAUUAUAUUGAUAUUUAUUAAAAAAUUUGCAAUUAAUUCUUAUUAUAUUUUUAAUUGGAAUUUUUUUCUUGUGAUAUAACAACAAUUGCUACAGUUUUUUCCCUAAAUAAAGAUGGAGUUAUAAAUUAUUUGUAUAAGUGUCAUGAAAGUAAUAGUUGAAUAACAAUAAUGGGGCUUUAGGCAAUUUUUUUAUGAGGUCUUCUUACAAUUUCAACACUUAAACAGACUUGUCCUUGAUCCCAAUUUAUUUACUGCAUUUGGGCCCACGAUGAGAUAAAUAUAUUCCUGUGAGAUGAAAAACAUCAGGAGAAGAAAAUGUUUUAUUAUAAUAAAAAAAAAAGUGGUCCAUAUGUUACCUGUUACCUGCAGAGGAAUGUGAUUAUAGAGAGCUUAUGAGAGUAACGACAAUGAUUUGCAAAAGAAGAAGACUUAAUCAUGCAGCCCUUAGUAUUUAUCAAAUGAUUAGUGAUCAUUUCUUUUAUAAAUAAAAUGCCAACAGCAAAAAGAAAAAAAAAAGGUUAAAUUUAUUAAGUCUUAUUUUAAUUUUAAUUUCUUUUAUUUUCAUUCGCCGAAGAGGGAAUCUCUUUUCCUAAUGUGACAUAAUUAAAGCAAUCUAUAAAUAAUACAAUAAUCAGAUAAUAUAAUAAUUAAAAAGACGCACAUGUUUAUAAUAAUAAUGAUGGGAUCCAUAUGUUUAUACUGAUUAAAUUGGUGGACCAGAAUUUAUUUGACCUUACUUGUUUUCUAUUUAAUUAAAAAUUGAAACGACAGAGAAAAAAUGUCGUACUGAUGGUUUCGAUUGUGGAGUUCCGCUGUGGAUAGCACAUCCAAUAGUGAAAAAUGAAGCUUUCGUCAACUAUCUCACAUCCACGCGUACCAUCAUGCAUAAUUGGAUAUUGCAUUAUUUCUUUAGAAAAGCAAGAUUAAUUCUUUUAACAAGCAAACGCAUAUACAUAGAAUAAUUAUAUGUAUUUGUUGGUUCAAGAAACUUAACUGACAAGAUUGAGACAAACAGGAGAUUUUAAUUUUUUUUGGACAUUAAGAAAUAACAGCUGUCAAGAUCAAGGAGAUUAUGCUAUUAACAGAAAUUAUUAAAGGAUUUAGAACAAGUUAACCUCUUCAGUUAUCCGGGAUCAUACGGUUGAUGAGCUUCUCUGUUUGGCCUUGAAUAUUUAAGAAUAAUUUUGAUGAGCAAAAAGAUCACUGGUAACUGCUGAGAAAUGUGUGAGAAAAGAGCUGAUUAGCGUAAUAACAAUGAAUUGCAAAAGAAAAAGACUUAAGGGUAAUUUUUGGAAACCUCCCCUGAGGUUUGCCCUUGCUACACUUAGAGAGAAUGUAUGCAUAUAUUGACAUAUAGCACCCCUGACCGUGUAUGAGCGUUAGAGUGCCGUUUGGUUGUUAAGGGCAAUAACGUAAUUGCAAAAAUAAAGAGGCUGACUGCAGAAAGAACGCAAUAGCUUUUGCUUCCUCUCCAUGUCUUCGUUCUUGUUCUUUCUCUCGCUCUCAAAAGAAUUUGGAGGCAGAAAAGGAAAAAAAAAAAAUUCUUCUUUUCUUUCUCUUUUCCCCCCUUCCUCUCCACCCAUUUCGUUCUUUUAUCAGUAAAGCUGAAAAACAAAGGCCACUAUUCCUGCAUCACCACCAGUUUGUCGUAUUGCUUUGCUAGUCAACAAAAAUUCUAACCCCAUGUUAAAAAAUAACAUCAAUAUUAAUGCUUCUUCUUCUUAUGAUUCUUUCACCUCUUUAGAAAAUGGUGCACUAGUUAUUCAUAACAAAAGAGAAAGAAAACCAGCAGGCACCCCAUGUAGCUUUCUUUUUCAAUUUUCUUUUGUAUAUGGGUUAAAUUCUUUUAAGGCGAAUUGCAAGUUUUAAUUUUUGUUUUUCCGUUUUUUGUUUGAUACGCACACACGCAUAAAUCCAGAUGAGAGGUGGUUUUUAUAUGCUGUUCAAUCUAAUUAUAAAGCACAUCUAAAAAAUUGUGGUACUAGAGGCCAUUCUUCUGACUGUGGCCGAGUGUUUUCCAGGUUCUUCUCUUUCUCCUAAAUUUACUCCCUUUUUUAUUCUUUCAACAAAAAUGAGAUUCUUUGCUCCUUCAAGUGGAACCUCGGGGGCAAAUUACCUCCACAAAUUGACCCACGGGCCACGGCUACUAGAUUUGGAGGGGAGAGAGAGUGACCUACGGCUGCUGGAAUUGGAGGGGGGAGAGAGUGACCCACGGCGGCUGGAAUUGAAGGGGGGAGAGAGAGUGAACCGUGCGUUUUGUGCUAGAUUUGGAGAUCCGAGGGGAGAAAGAGAGUGUGACCCGUGACCCACAACUGUUGGAUUUGGAGGGGAAAGAGAGUGAGAGCUGUCGACGGAGCGUGGUGAGGAAGAAUGGGAAAUUGGUGGCUUGGUAAGAUUAGUGGCAUGAGCUGUGAGGGAGAGCGAGAGAGGGUGUGCUGCGAACGUUGCGUGUGUGUUGCAAAUGGUGUUGCACAGUUCUUUCAAUCAAACCCUAAGAUCCUCACAAAAUCAUGCCAAAAUAUUGAUUCACCAGGCCUUUUAAUUAAGUUAAAAGCUUCUGUUUUGUUAUCUUCUGCAAUGAAAGAAGCAUCGUCAAGUCUGCAACUCCACGUUGCUGCAAGUAUUGUCAGUUAUUGAACUGUGCAGUGAAGGGCAUUAUUGUACUUUCGGUAACAGAGCAAACGGCAGUCUAACACUGAUACACGGUCAGGGGUGCUAUAUGUCAAUAUAUGCAUACAUUCUCUCCAAGUGUAACAAGGGCAAACCUCAGGGGAGGUUUCCAAAAAUUACCCAAAGACUUAAUCAUGCACCCCUUUUCAUAUCACGUAUUUGGUUACUGUUGCCUUGUUGACAUAUGUGUAUAAUAAGGGUCCGCCUAAGUUACAGCUAAUGUAAGUUGAAGAAAGCACUAGUUCACGACUUUACCUUUGGAUAUAUUCUAAAGAGAUAAUUAAGUUUGAUAAAAGAUAAAGCAAAAGCUUGAAUGCAUGAUUGAGGGCGAAGACUUUUAUUAAAGCAGAUGCCGAAAGCACACGAAAAGCUUGAAUGUUGUGGCUCCUUAAGUGAGGCCCAGACAUGGUGCAAAAGACAAAAUCGACUUGUUUGACAGCUUCAACAAGGCUACGAUGAUCAGAAGAUGAGCCCUCAAUCAAGAGAGCUCCCUGCCUCUUAAAUGAUAAAUUAAAAGCAAUUGUAGCUUGUCGACAUCAGGCCAAUUUCAGGCCUUUGAAGAGCACAAAUGACAUGGCCUUGACCAAAGAUUGCCUUCUCUAUCCUCUGCCGACACAUCCACUUCUCUCCACAACCAACGCCUUGCUCUCUGUCAUUUUUCCUCUUGUUAAUUUUCUUCUACAUAUAAUUAUUACGCUGGGAAGCAUACACACACCUCUUUUCUUUUUUUUCUUUUUUUCAAACUACUAAAUAUUAUGGGAAAAUGAUCGAAACCCUUUUUUUUUUUCUUUCUAGUUAACAUUAUCAGGUGUAUUUUUGGCUUUUCACACUUGCAUAAAAAAUUGAUAAAAAUUUGAAACAUAAAAUUCACUUUAUUACCUUUUACUUUUGUAAAUAAACUAAAAGAUAUUUUAGUCUUUUCAUAUAUUUGCCAAACGUUUUUAUAAAUUAAAUGGUGAAAUUGUUUAUAUAGAUUACAAAUAAACAGUAUAAUUAAUUAUAUUUUGUAUGUAUAAAGCAUUAAAUAAUCAGAUAUUUGUGGCUUUUAAAACUCAAGAAAACUCAAGAAAAUUAAAUGACAAGAUUAAGACAAACAAGAGAUAGUUUUUGUUGGACAUUAAGAAACAACUACUAUCAAGAUCAAAGAUUAGAAAUUAUGCUAUUGAAAGAAAUUAUUAAAGUAUUUAGAACAAACGCACCUCUUCAAUUAUCUAGGAUCACAGAGUUUAUGAGCUUCACUCUUGGCCUUCGAUUUAUAAGAAAAAUUUUAAUGAGCAAAAGAUCGCUGUUAACUGCAGAAGAAUGUGAGUAAAGAGUUUAUGGGAGUAAGCAAUACAAUUGAAUUGUAAAAGAACAAGACUUAAAGCGUGCACCCCGUGUUCAUAUAAACAGAACACAUGUUCAUUUUUAACAAAGUGAUCAAUAACUCUAUUCGUUAUUUAAUUGAUAUUGUAACCAAUUCUAAGAGAAUAUAACAAUUAUCAUUCAAUCCAUAAAUUUUGAAUUAGAUUUUUUUAACUCUUUAUUUAAAUAUAAACCUUAAUGGAAAAUUAUAAAAGUUUAGAGAUAAAAUUUUUCAAUCACCAAACGAAAAAAACAGGGGAAUGAAAACAGAGGAAUCUUGUUUUAACUAAUUUUUUUUCCUCAUUUCUUGGUCUUAUAUUAAUAAUCUUGUUUUGAUGAUAGUGCUCGUGACUGCGGGAAAAUUUCUACUGGAAACAACUCAAUUUCGGAAGAAAACUUAAUUUUGCAAGUGAUGAAUUUGAACUCGUUGGAUUGGUUGAUUUAUGAUUGACUGAAUUUCACUUUUGCCCAAAAGAUCUUUAACCAAAGUUUAAUAGCUAUCAUGUACUCCUUAAAAGCAAUUUUUUUUUUAUAGAUUUGACUGAAUUUGAACUUGUUGGAUUGGUUGUUUUUAGAUUAUUAAUAUGAGAUAUUACAACGUAAAUAUUUUCAUGGGGUUGAGCCCUAUUCUAAAAUCUGUAUAGUUAGCUUUAGAAAAAGGGCUUUUCCUGCUGAUCUGUAAUCUUCAAAUAAACUUAGAUACAAAUAAUGAAAUAAAAGACAACAAACAAGCAAUACUGAUACAAAGCCAACAGAUCAGAGUUUUUGGUACAAAGCCAAUAAAAGACAAUAAACUUAGGACCUUUUUUUCUUGCUUUCUUUUGUUGAAGGAUUAGAGUUUUUGGUAUUAUCAGUAAAGAUUUCAAGGGUCUGAGUAAAAGCCUAUAAUCUUUUUCUAAACUUUUUUUUUGGGGGUGGGGGGGGAGCAUGCAAAUUAACCAAAAGAAAUAAUAAGACCACAGGCUUUAACAAUGAAUGCUAACUUAAAACUCAUGCAAAAUAAGUUACAAUAUUAAAACAAACCAGAGAAAAUUUUUUCUUGGAAAGUAGAUGGAACUUAUGAAAGAGCAGAUGUCAAGGAUUUAGAAAACGUGCACCUCUUUAAUUAUCUGGGAUUAGAGAGUUGGUGAGCUUCUCUAUUUAAGAACAAGUUGAAAGAGGAAAAAGAUCACAGGUAACUGCUGAGGAAUGUGUGAGAAAAGAGUUGAUGAGAGCAAUAACAAUGACCUGCAAAAGAAACAGAAUUAGUCAUUCACCGCUUUUCUAUAUCAUGUAUUUGGUUAUUGUUGCCCUGUUGACGCAUGUUGAAGAAGAAAGCACUAGUUCACAACUCUACGUUUUCAUAUAUUCUAAAGAAAUAAUUAAGUUUUCAUAGAAUAAAAUGGUAAGACUUUUAAUUGAACAAUUGAGUGCAAUCAGUAACAAAGGCUUUACAAAUGCAAGUAAAAUUUGUACGUUGCUUCAGAAAAAAAGGGCAUUUCUCACUCAUCUUUAAUCUGCAAGUAAAAUUAGAUACAAAGCAAAUCUAAUAAAAUGACAAACAAACAAACAAAACAAAGAAAAGACAGGAGGCAAACAACAUUGAUCUUAAGCCAACUGAUAAUUAAACAGAGAAUUCUUUUUUUUUUUUUUAACCUGUUGCUAAAGGAUUAGAGUUUUUAUAUUAACAGAAAGGUUUCAGGGGUCUGAAUAAAAGCCCACAAUUUCUCUAUUUUAUUUUUAUUUUUAUUUUUUGAAAGGAGCUUCACCAUUGGCCUUGAACAUAUAAGAAUGAGCAAAAGAUCAAUGUCAACUGCCGAGGAAUGUGAGUAAAGAUUUCAUCAGAGUAAGAAAUACAAAUGAAUUGUAAAAGAACAAGACUUAAGCGUGCACCCCGUGUUUUGUUUUAUUGUACGUAUAAACAUAACAUGUUCAUUUUUAACAAAGUGGUCAAUAACUCUUUUUUUUUCGGUACAAAGACGUGCCUAGUAUAGACUAGGGCAAAACAAAACGGGGGUGUGAAACCCCAAUACAAUCAUGACGAAUCCAAAACCCAGCCCCUAAAGGAAGAGAAUUGAAAAUGUGCAAUCCAACAGGUAGUGAAAGAGUAGAGUUUGCAAGAAAGUCAGCUGCAAAAUUUGAUUCUCUGUAAACAUGCUUGACCCGCACUUGCCAGGUUCUGUUAAGCAAUUCCUUAAUACCCCUGACAAGAGAAGCAUGUGCAUUUGGCCUAAUCUCGUCAUCCGCCACCAAACGAGUAACACAAAGGCUGUCAACCUCCACCCGAAGCUGCCGAAUUCCAUUAUCCCAAGCCAGACAUAACCCUUGAUAAAGGCCCCGUAACUCAGCACCAGUGAUGGUACCCACACCAAUAUUCAUUCCAAAACCAAUUAUCCACUCUCCAUAACAGUUUCUAAUCAAACCACCCGCACUAGACAUACCAGAACUUUUACGAGCUCCAUCUGUGUUGAGUUUAAACCAAGGCCAAGUAGGUGCCACCCAUCCAAAAUAUUUCUCAAUCUUCAUGGCAGCAGGAACCAAACAACUCUGAUUAAACUUUUGAAUUUCUUCUGUACGGAUCUUAAUAUCCAUUACAACAGUACUCUUGCUGGUAAAAACACCAUUAUGUAGAUUUUGGUUACGCCAAAACCAAAGCCUCCAAACUGUGACCCCAAAAAGACAUGGCCAGUCAAACAUACCAUCAUACUUCCACAAGUUCCUCAAAUUAUAUAACAUCCAAUCUCGGAGAUUCAAACUAAAAAAUUGAUGACUAAUCCCAUGGGGUAUCAAUGACGACCAGAUUGCUUAGCACUGGGGCAAUCCCGCAGCACAUGAAGAGUAUUUUCAACAACACAGCCACACCUUGCACAGCUCAUAUCAUCAAAAAUAUGUCUCCAGAAAAGUUCUGCUUUAGUUUUAAGUCUAUUUUGACCCACCACCCACAGAAAGGUUUUGAUACGUUGGGGACCUCUCCACUGCCAAAGAAUGCGCCAAAAGGAUUCUUCAUUGUGAACCUCCAUUUUUGACAAAGCCCUAUAUGCUGAAUUAGUAGUGAAAUCUCCUGACUUAGAAUAUGCCCAGUACAUGUAAUCAUCCUCAUCAUUUACACUGGGAGGCUUGGUGGCUGCAAUUUUGAGAAGUAAAUGAUGGGGCAAUAAAUUCUCAAAAAGCCGCCAAUUCCAAGUACCCUCAACAGUGAUAAACCUCGCCACACACUCCUCAAGCUGCUCUAAAGGUAUCGGCUGCAAAGCGAAAGUAUACAAAGGGUAUUCCUCUAUUACCCAAUUAUCCCACCAAAAUCUAACUCGGUUGUCAUUUCCAAUGUCCCAUUUGAUCCCUUUUAAAACCUCAUGCCAAAUGCCUCCCACAGCCUUCCACAUGUAAGAGCCAUAUUUCGUAGGUAAUGUGCUGGGGAGAGCAUUAGGAGCCAGCCCAUACUUAGACAAGAGAACCUUCACCCAUAAACUAUUUGGAGAAGCAAUUAAACCCCACCCAAUCUUCAUGAGCAGAGAGCAUCAUUCAUUAAAUUAAGCUGCUUAAGACCAAGGCCUCCGCUAGGUUUCGGUUGACAUAUUGUAUCCCAUUUCACCAAACUGAUUUUCUUCUUGUCUGCUGCCCCGCUCCAAAUAAACCUCCUACAAGCCUGAUUAAUUUUCUCCCGAAUACCAAACGGAAUCCUCGUGGUCUGCAUUGCAUAAAUAGGAAUCGCCUGGAUUACCGAUUGAGUGAGAGUGAUCCUAUCCACCAAGGACAAAUGUAUCGCAUUCCACCCCGACAAACGUUGGUUCACUUUGUCCAAAAUUCCCUGAUAAGUCAGCUUAUUAACCCGUGAAUGAAUAAUUGGCACUCCUAAAUAUUUCCCUAGGUUUUUUGUGACAGAAAAACCCAAGGAAUCACCAAUUUCCUUAGCCUCAGCAGACUUUACGUUGUGGGAGAAAAAAACUUGUGUCUUUGUUUUACUAACUUUCUCUCUAGAGGUCAUAGAAAAAACAUUCAACACUUCAUUUAUAACCAUUGCUUGCCUACAGGAAGCCUCUGCAAGCAAGAUAAGAUCGUUAGCAAAAAAUUAGUGAGAUAAAGAGGUACCUCCACGAGAUAGUUUAAUAGGUUUCCAGUGCCCUCUCUUCACAGUGUCAUUUAUUCCAUGGCUUAACCUUUCUAUACAUAACACAAAGAUAUAUGGGGAAAUGGGGUCUCCCUGUCCAAUACCCCUAGAAGGGGUAAAACUCUCCGUAAUUUCUCCAUUCCAUAGAAGUUGCAUAGUCGCCGUUGGAAUACAUUCCAUAAUAAGCCGAACCAAAACAGUAGGCAAUCCAAACUCCCUCAAGGUUUCAUAAAUAAAAUCCCAGCUUAAACGAUCAUACGCCUUUUCCAAAUCCACCUUAAUGGCCAUCUGCCCAAUCCUCCCUUUCUUACGUCUCAUCGAAUGAAAAACUUCCUGAGCAACCACUAUGUUUUCCGUUAUGUGUCUCCCCGGGAUAAAACUAGUCUGGGUAGGUCCAAUGAGGUCAGGCAAGAUAGAUUUCAGCCGGUUAGCUAAUAACUUAGUGAUAGUUUUAUAGAUAACCGGGCAAAGACUAAUCGGACGAAAAAGCUUAAGGCUAAUAGGAUUAUCCGACUUAAGAACCAACACAAUCAGAGUUUUGUUCAGCUCCUUAGGGAUCUCGUUGCCAUUAAAAAUACCUUUUAUAAGACUACAGACAGAUUUUCCCACUACAUGCCAUUGGGUCUGGUAAAAGAGAGCAUGCAACCCGUCUAUUCCAAGGGCUUUCAAAGCCUUCAUGCUGAAGAUCACAUUCUUAAUUUCCUCAUCAUCCUCCACUGCUUGUCCCAAAGCUUGCAUUCGACUUUCCUCAAGGAUUGGGAAGGCGUUAACAACAUGGUAUGGAUGAUAGAUUGCAUCCUCUUUGGAAUAGAGCUUUGAAAAGAAGGACACAGCAUAAUCUCUAAUCUCAUCAUUAUUCAACAUUCAAUAACUCUAUUCGUUAUGAAAUUGAUAUUGUACCCAAUUUUAAGAGAGCAUAAUAAUAACCAUUCAAUGCAUAAAUUUAGAAUUAGGUUUUUUUGUAAUUCUUUAUUUAAAUAUAAACUUCAAUGGAAAAUUAUAAAAAUUUAGAUAUAAAAUUUUAAAUCACCAGACCAAAAAAAAAAUAGGGGAACGGAAAUAGAGGAAUCUUGCUUUACCUUUUUUUCCUUUAACUCUUGUUCUUAUAUAAAUAAUCUUGUUUUGAUGAUUGUAACUCGUGACUGCGGGAAAAUUUCUAAUGGAAACAACUCAAUUUCGGAAGAUAAGCUUAAUUCUGCAAGUGAUGAAUUUGUUCAAUUGACUCUGUACUUGAACUAGUUGGAUUGGUUGAUUGAUGAUUGACUAAAUUUGAAUUAAGUUUAAUAGCUUAGCUAUCAUGUACUCCUUAAAAGCAAACGUAAAUCUUUUUUAGAUUUGACUGAAUUUGGGAACCUGUUGGAUUGAUUAUUUUUAGAUCAUUAAUAUCAGAUACUACAACGUAAAUAUUUUCUUGUGGUUGAGUCCUAUUCUCAAAUCAGUAGGUUGCCAUAGAAAAAGGGCUUUUCUCACUGAUCUUUUUUUUUUUCUUUAAUUCACACGCACUUGAUUAUUGACUUCUUUCAUGAAGAAAUAAACUUGUAAUGACUUAAAGAUUUAAUUUCAAGUUAGAAUCAAUACCAAAAGACGGAGGUUUAACCAAGCAUGCAGUGUGAUAAAAGUACUUUAAAAAAUGUUGUUCGACCCAAUUAAGUUGAAGAAAUAACAAAGUUUUCAUGGAAUAAAUACCGGUUGUGCUUUAAUGAUUUUGGCAUAGACAUUGCUUGUGUACUGUGAAAUUGAAAUGAAUAUUAAGUGACAGCGCGAUGUAUAUGCCUAAUAAAAGAUCAGCAAAAGCUUGGAUGAAUGAUUGAAGACCAAAACUUUUAUAAAAGCAUUUUUGAGAGAAACUAAACACCAAAUUAUCAAAGUAAGAUCAACAGUAUAUGAUUUGAUUUAUACAUAUUCAAAAACAAAAUAAUGAUUAAUAAUAAAGUUUGAUUUUGUAUUGCCAACGAUGCUUUUUUGUUGUUUCAUUUGUUCGACGUGGCCUUAUUUACAAAUUGGUUGAUGUUAACAGAAACAUGAAAUUCACAUCACACAAAAUUGCACGAACAAAUAUUAAGAGAACGUAAUAAUAAUCAGUCAAUGCGUAAGGGUAAAUUUAGAAUUACAUAUUCUUUUUUAUUUAAUAAAAUCCCAACGGGAAGUCAUAAAAAUUUAGAUAUAAAAUUUUCAAUCACCAAACAAAAAAACAGGGGGAAUGAAAACACAGAAAACUUGUUUUACCUUUUUUUUUUCAUCUAAUUCCUGUUCUUAUAUAAUAUUUUCCCUAGUAUUUCAGGCAAGAAAAAAAAAUUCAAUAAAGAGCAAGAAAACUUCACAAGCUCAGAUUGAUUUAUCUUGUUUUUCAGGUUAGCUUGUGAAAUGAUGAUAAUGCUCAUGAAUGCUAGAAAACUUCUAAUAUAAACAACUCUAUUUGGGAUGAUAAGCCUAAUUUUAUAAGCGAUAAAUAUAAAUAACUUUUUGUGGUUAAUUGAAUUUGUAAUUACUCUUAGCCCUAUUCUAAAAUUUGUAGGCUGCUUCAGAAAAAAAGAAUAUUUCUCACUCAUCUUUAAUCUUCAAGUAGAAAGCAAAUCUAAUAAAAUGACGAACAAACAAACAAAUAAAAGACAGCAAACAAAGAGAAGGGUUUCUUUCUUCUUUUCUUCCUCUCCCACACCCCCCCCCCCAACCCCCGCCUCAUGGAUCAGAGUUUUUGCUAUUAACAGAAAGGUUUCAAGGGUCUGAAUAAAAUCGCAGACUUUUUUUAAAAAUUUUUUUUUUUGGGAAAAUGGAUUCAAAAUAACCAAAGCCAAUAAUAAGAUCACCGACUUUGACAAUGAACAAUAACUUUUUCUCGGAAAGUAGAUGGAAACUAAGUAAGAACUGCUAUUAGAGGAUAUUAUUAAAGGAUUUAGAACAUGUAUAACUCUGUAAUUAUAUGGGAUCAGAGAGUCGAUGACCCCCUCUAUUCGCUUCGGAUAUUAAGUAAGAACUGCAAUUAAAAGAAUGAAUUGAUGAGAGUAAUAACAAUGAAUUGCAAAAGAGGAAGACUUAAUCACGCACCCCUUUUAUACCCGAUUUUGAAGAUUUAAUUUCGAAGUUCACCAAUCAAGAACAAAGAAAAAACCUUAAUAAAGUAUGCAGUGAGAAUAAUUAAGUUAGAGAAAGUACUAGGUUAUGGCUCUGCGUUUCAGAUGCUGUAAUGAAAUAAUUAAGUUGAAGUUUUUAACGAUUAAAUACCUGUUGUGAUAGAAUGAUUUUAGAAGAAUAUUGGCUUAUAGAGCAUAUUAGUAGGGAUAAGAUUUGUAAGAUGCCAGAUAAAAGAUAAAGCGAAAGCUUGAAUGAAGAAUGGCGUUUAAUAAUUAUAGAAGAAUAUUGGCUUAUAGAGCAUUUUAGUAGGGAUAAGAUUUGUGGACAGAAUAAAUGAAAUAAUAAAAGGCAUAACUGAUCAAGUCAUUAUUGAUCUUACUUUGAUUAUUACAUUGCACAUUAGUUUCUUUCUAAAAAUGCCAUUCUUCAUUCAAGCCUUCGCUUUAUCUUUUAUCACGCAUCCUACAAAUCUUAUAUACAAACCUCCGCAUCUUUCAACGAUCUCAUCUGCUGAUUUUUUGUAUUCCUGUUCUUUCACUUCAAUAAUUUUUUGUAUUAUUCCAUAUCUUUCACUUUAAUAACCCAAAAGCUUUCCUCUGUUUCAACUAAGCGAAAAUUUACAUAUUAAAGCCUGGCUCAAAUUCCUUUUUUCAAUCGAAAUAAAACGUAGCCACAAAACCCUAAUUCACCACACCAAUUUAUCUCUGCCCGGUAUUCAUUUAAACCCUACCUCGCGGUUCAAUGUCAUUCUAUACGAUUGCAGAUGCCGUUUCAACUUGUCAUUUAGUUAGCGCCAUCCAGUUCUCUAUGGUAAGCCUUAACCCUAACAACUAAUCGACUGUGGUAGCACGUUGCUUGUUAGGAGUGGGGAUACAUUAUUUGAAUAUACGAAUUGGGUGAUGUUAGUGAUUCAUUCCCCUAUUUGUCGUGAAUUGAGAUUUGUGUAUAAUGCUCGUAAGAUUGCUAAAAAUUUCAUAUUUUGUAUUGUUCCAGUUGAAUUUCUUGCUUGUGGAAGAUAGAACAAAAGUUCAAUUUCAUGUUGAUUUAAUUCUUCUUUUUCAUCUUUUUUUUUUCUUCUUUAUAGUCACGCUCUGGCUGGUGCUAUGCUUAGUGCAGUCUAUGGUUUCAAGAUUAAGUCACGUUUAUUUGAUGGCGUCGACUCCAUCAUUAAGAAGCUCUUCUUAUUUUAUCUCAGUUUCAAUUUUCUUUUAUUAUCUGCCUCUACCUGAAAAUGGACGUGUUUUACUAGUAAGCAGACUUUUUUUAUUUAAUUGAUAUUUUAAUUUUAUGUAUAAGAAUGGAGGUUUAUUUUAAAAAAAAAAGAAAUAAAAAAAUAGACUCUGUUGAAGCUAAUUAGUACUGUUUUUUUUUGGUGGUGCGACCAGAGGUGGAAACCGGGUAUGACAAUGUGUUACUGGUGAGGUUGCUGCUUAAGAUGAGAAUGCAUUCUUUUCAAAAAUCCUUUGUAGGUGUUAUCUAAUUAUCUUUGAUGGAAUAUUAAAUGGCCAAAAAUCUGUCAUACGUUCAAACUUUGUUUGUGUUUAGAAGAAUGGUGUUGAUUGUAUAUUCAUUUGCUUAGCCUUUUGACAGAUGGAUUUGGAACUGACGAUAAAUGUGAUUCAAUUCACAAGGUUUUCAAGGGGCUCACCGUGGAAGGGAUAUUGAAGAGCUGGUCUAGGAUAAAGCCUAUGAUUGUGAAAGAUUGGAGUGAGAAUAUAGAUGCUCGUUUUCAUCUUUUUGGCAAGGUCAGAGAUGAAUGGAUAGAUAAGGAUUUAUUUGACUACCUGGAUUGGUGCUAAUAGGUAUUUUAAGCAAGCUUUUUGAGAUAACACUGAGCAAGUUGUACUACUAUUUUGCACAUGAUGAUCAAAACUCUCGAAAAGUAAAAUAAAAUAAAGUAUUAACUUUUACUUUCAUCUUUUGCAUAGCAAUCAAUGUGGUGCUUGUUCUGUAACAACUUUGAUAAUCUACUUUAUUGGUUAGCGUUUGGACCAAAAAGGUUCUUAUGAUUUACAUGUUUUGUAGAAAUGCAUGAACCUUAAAUGUGCUGAUCAGGGAGUUUAAUUAUUGCACCUUGAAAUUCAUUUAUUGUUAACUAAUUGGCUUUCCUUUGCAUAAAGCCGCUUAUAAGGCUUGAGUGGACGUCUUUAUGGGCAUAUUAUUCGUAUUUCUUUAUGCAUGCCUUUAUCAUUUAAUGUGCUGCUUGUAUUUCUUUAUGCAUGCCUUUAUCAUUUAAUGGCCAGCUCCCUUUCCUCAUUUGUAAUUUGAAUAGUAGUAUGGGCCUCCAUUUUACAAAUCUUUAACAUUUUUUGCUGUAAAUUAAUUUUUCUUUCAAAUAUUUUGGAGGUCAUUGGAAUUCCUGUAGGUCUAUUUACCAGAUUUUAGUAUGUUUAAGGUUUUAAUUUUUCUUAGACUUUAAUUUUUCUGAAAGAUUGUAGUAUUGAUCCUUAAAGUAAGAUCAUGCUACUUCAAAUUAUUUUGAAGCGUUGCUAGUUAUAGCCUUACAUAUCAAAUUCCAUUUGUCUGGAAAUUUAUUGAUAGCUGUUACAGCAGCAUAUUUUAUGACUCUACUUCUUAGUUAUGUAAGUUCAUUAUGUUUAGGUCAGAGGCAGUCAGCUAUGGGGAAUCGAUAUAUGCACAGAUGACUCUGAUCUUGUUGCUGGUAUGUGGUUCUAUGAAUAAUUGUUCACAAUAAUUGUGUUUGCCUCACUGUUUUUGUUUUAUGAGAUCUAUAAUUGAUCUUGGGAUAUUGCUUUCUAGUUCUCAUGCAAGCAAGUUACUACCUUCCCACUGCAUCUCCUCCUUUAUCUGCUAUUCAAGAGUUGCGUGCCAUAAUCUGGUAUUACCUCUGCAAGAUUGUGAAUCAAUAUAUUGCGUCUAAAUUUAUUUUAUACAUAAUGCUAAUGCUGAAUAAUAUAUUGUAGCUCCUGUCAUAUUCUACUUUGACUUUUUAUAUUCUGUUUCAUAUAAAAAUCUUAUUCAACUUUAGUUGUUCAUGAGCAAAUGUCACAUGUAUAAGCCCAAAUGAUGUUUAAAGGUAGCCCGGCUACCUUCAGUUUGAGCUUACAAUGGGUGAAAAAGAAUUUGAGACUGAUAUUUUGCUGUUUUUGUGAUUUUUCAAAGUAUUUUAGAUCUUGACUUUUGUUUGGACUUGAUGGUUAUAGAUUGUGUCUAGAUUUGUUAAGUUGUUUCCAACACCUCGUGCCAAAUCAAAGCACAAUCUUUCUGAUUCAGAUGUCUGGUUAAUUAUGCUUCAUUUUUUCGUUAAAGAUUGGAUGGUUGCAUGGAUUGAUGGAGUUGGAGUUCAACCAGUAAUUCUAAUUUUUUGGACUUAAAAUGCUCUGUAUAAAAACUUUAGUAAGUGUUAUUGAGUUGACAGAAGUUGAAUACUUACAGGUUGUUUCACACUUUCUAAAAGUUUUACAUAAAUGAAUUUCUGUUUUUUGAAUUGCAGAAAGGAGGUGGAACUAUUGAUUUGGAGCCUUAUCUUACUCACUCAUCGACAACGGAGCCUACCCUCGCUCCCAUGGCAGUGGAACGGACAAUGACUACUAGGGCUGCAGCAUCGGUUGGUUUGGGUCUGUUUUGAGUUUUAUUGUCAUUUAUUUGGCUAUGUUUUGAUAGCGAAUUUUGAUAUGUCAAUAUAAUGUGUAAUUGUUUUGGGUUGAGCUGGUAAUUAUGCUGGAUUAGAUUGGUUUGUUUUGGUGGUUCUCUGAUGGAACACUGCUUUCUUUUAGAAAUUUUGAAUAUAAUAUGAGACUACAUAUAGUUUAAUUGAACACUGCAUCUAGUCUAAUUACUAGAAGUGUGGCAUUUGGUUUGGUUUAUCCGAUAUUCUCUAGAAUUUCACUUGCAUCUGGUUUUGUUGCAUAUGUUUGCUUGCAUUUGAUGGUAGUAGCAGACUGUUUGGUUUUGUGGCAUUUGAUGGCAGUUUGAUCUGUUCUUGGUGCUGAUUUAAGAUUGUUCCUGUUGUGCUGAUGUUAAUUGCAGGUGCUUGAAUCAGCUAGGGUUGCUGGUUUAUUCAGACGACUGACUCAGGCGUUGUUAUUGGUUGAUUCAGGUGGUUCAUUUAAUGUUAGGAAGCAAAUUAAGAAAUAAUGAAGUAUUCAUUUAACUAUAAUUAUUGUAGUUAUUUUAUUUCAUAACUGAAUUAUAAUCUAUGAUACUUGUGAACAAAUUAGAGAAUUUUUAUAUAUGAAUUAUAUAUAUGUGUGUAUGUACAUUUUGCUAUUUAUAUAAUAAUUUAAAGAAUAUAUUUCAAUUCCCACAAAAAAUGGCUCCAAUUCCAAUAAUUCCUGCCAAAUAAUUAAAUUUUUUAAAUUUACCACCAAAAUAUAUCUUAAAGAAAUGUUAGUUAUUCUUGCUAGAUUUAACAAAAAUAAUUUGUAGGAUUAAUAUUUAAUUAAAAUGAUUAAAUAAUUUUAUUAUUCCAAUUAAAUAUGUCAUGUUUAUAUGACAGGCAAUAGUCAUGAAUGGGAAGUAUUAGUUACAUAUUUUUCCUUGGGAUUUCAGGCAAAUGAAAAAAAGAUUGAGAAUGAUUUCAAGAGGACAGGUGGAUGAUAAGUAUUCAUUUUUGCAUAUUUGGCUAAUGUCCUCAGCAGUGGAUUUUUAUGGUAUUGAUUUUAUAAUUUUCAAUUAGUUGCAGCCCUAGAGGAAGAGUAGGCUGAUCAAAUUGAUUUGUCUUGUUUUUGGGGCAAUUUGCGACACGAUGACCGUGAUAAUGCUCGUGACUGCUGGAAACUUUCUGAUGGAAAUAACUUUAGAGUUCGUAGCAAGCAUUUCUGUUAUGACAAAACAAAGGUUCCCCCAUAUUUUGGUUGUUUGUUAUGGUAUUUAUAUAUCCUGCAUAUGCUAGGUCGACAGGUUAUGAUGUAGUUUGGUUGGCUCUUCUUGUGCUUUGUGCAAUUUGUAACUGCAGAUACCUGCGAGAAAACAUUUAAUGGAUCUUGUUGCUGUUGAUUGGUUCAAAGACACAGAGAAUGGACCAUGUAGCUAGGCGUCAAGGCUGUGCUGCACAAGUAACUAUUCUUUUCUUUUUAUUUUUCCUUUUCCAUUGAUGCGUUAGGAGAAAAUACUGCCUGUGAGAUACUACAAUGUAAAUAACUUCUUAUGGUUCAUUGAAUCUAUAACACACUGAGCCCUAUUCUAAAAUAUGUAGGUUGCUUCUGAAAAAGGACUUUUCUCACUGAUCUUUAAUCGUCAAGUAAGUUUGUUUCAUUUCAGAAGGUAUAAGUUUCAAACUUAUUGUAUUGGGAGGUUGUAUAGUUGUAACCUAAGCAUCUGCAGCUUCCUGGUUCAACACAUUAUAGUAUGGUAUUUUAUUUUGUCACAAGGUAAUUGGUUACGGGAUCACUUUUGCGACGGUUUGUUGAUGGCGAUGAUGAAUUUCGCAAUAGUAGGUUGAAACUUAUUCCAUCUGUUCCUAAGGUAUCCAUCUUGGCCUUCAUGUAUUAGGACUAUAUUAAUGUAUACUUACCCUUUACUACACGGUACACUUCAAUUUGUACAAAGAAGGCAUGCAUUUAGGUGUAAAUGUACUGAUGGGUUGUAUCUUCAAUCUUCAUGUCCUUUUUACCCUCUUGAAUUUGUUUUGCACUUGUUCUUGAUUUGAAGCACUGAAUCAUGCAGGGGUCAUGGAUCGUGCGCCAUAGUGUUGGAAGCACCACUUGUUUAUUAGGGAAAGCGGUUGAUUGUAACUAUCUUCAUGGUCCCAAGUACUUAGAAGUAAAUGCUCUUGGAAUUUCUUUAGUACACGAGAUGUUCCCCUUUCAAAUAGUGUCCGAUAUCAUUAACAUGGUUUAACAUUGUUCAUCUUUCUGUAGAUUGAUGUUGACAUCGGUUCUUCUACUGUUGCUAAUGGAGUUUUGGGCCUUGUAAAUGGUGUAAUUACGACAUUGGUGGUUGACAUGGCUUUCCUUGUACAGGUAUGUAUGAUUGUUAUUUUAUUUUAUUUUAUUUUUUUACCCCCACUUCUAAAUGGACACAAGGGAAAAGACAUGAUUUUGAGAUAUUGCCCUACAAUUUGCAUUUUUGCAUACUUGAAUGUUCUCAGAAUGGUAUAAAUAAUGCUUCGAGUGUCUCUUCUUUAUCUUGCUUUUUUGUAUGCAGGCAAACACUACAGAUGAAUUACCAGAGCGACUGAUUGGAGUUGUACGUGUUUCUAGUCUGCUAUUGUCCCAAAGUUGGAACCAGAGACAUCAUCAUGACUGUGGUUUCAUUUCACCUCAACUGUUUUUUUUUUUAAUUGAAAAAAAAAAUCAUUUGUUUUAGGUAUACGUACAUGUAUUUUGAUCCCGUUUUCAUUGUAAUUUCUCAUUUACUUUGAAAGAAAGUCAUUGGUGUUUUCGAAUGGGAAUUUUGCAUUAAAAAAUGAAGAAUACUUAAUAGGAAAUUUCAUGAUUCUUUAGUUACUAUUUUUGGAAUGAGUGUAAUAGUAUUAAAGUUGGUUUCUACUCGCAAACAAGUGAACUACUCGAUCCCAACUGCGACCACGCUAAUUGUCAUUGUUUAAUAGCUACUACUUUUAAAACUCAACAACUAACAAAAAUACUAAAAAAAAAAUGAUUUUCUUAUGAUGCUGUGAAAACAUUUAUGGGUUCACUUAUUUCCACAAGAUCUAUAACAUGGUCUUGACUUCACGAAAUUCUUUUAAUUUAAAGGGUGCUGGUCUGAGAAAGUCAGUUUGACGGAUUAAUUCUUUUUAAUAAUGGUCGAGUUAAUUUUACUAGACUCAUAAAAUUAUUCUUAUUCUGAUAAUGCCACAAAUGUUAUGUUGUUUUCUUCAGCUAAUGAUCUUCUAUCAGGACUAGUUGGAAAUCAAAUGCUUAAAACACCAAUUGAAUGAAUAAUGCAGAAGUUUAAACAGUAUCUAAUUGAAAAUUGCAUGAAACUUGAAACAUCAAUUCAAGUCCUUCCUUAAACAGAGAAUGCAUCAAACAAAUCCAAAGUGUCUUUCAAGUCUGUAGCAUGACUAAAAAAUUGUAAAUGCCUUCAGAACCAAAUUAUUCAAGUACAGGAGAACGAGCAAGUUGAAUCAUGUACAAGAGGUUGGCUUGGUUCCAGAUAGCUUCUUCACUGUACCUGAAGGGUUGGCUCAAUCUUUUCUUUAGAAUUCUGCACAUUUUGUAAUUACUCAUGUAAGCAAGCAUACAUUACAACCAUAAUAAUAAUAAAGCAAGAGUAAUGAUACGACCACAACCUCUUGUGCACAAAUAAUAUUGUACAAACUAAUAUGACAUAAUAUGAUUGAGUAAUGAUACGACCACAAUCUUUUGUGCACAAAUAAUAUUGUACAAACUAAUAUGACGUAAUAUGAUUGAUUAAACAAAAACAUAACAUAACCCUCAUAAUUUAUUUAUUAUUAUUUUAUAUUUUCAAUCAAGCAAUCAUAUUAUGCCACGUUAAUAGCUAUAGAAAUAAUUUGCUAGAUAGUGCAACACUUCAUUGAUACUCACCAUUUCAUUGAACAAUUUUUUUAUGGUGUCAUUGAGGUUUCCUUCCCAACAUCCUUCGUCAUCACCAUCUUCUUCUUCGGUGGGUUUCACUUUGUUUAGCUUCGGUGCGUCUACGACUCCUUGAGAGAAAAUCUUCAUUGUUGGGCACUGUCUCACAACUACGUGUUCCAAGGACGGGAACUCAAGAGCGUAAUUACCCAAACAAAAGCUUGUUAGGCUUGGCAAACAAUCAAGUCCCAAGUACUCCAAUUUCCUGAAAACAAUGCAAUCUUCCGCUUCUUCUCCAACCUGCGAUUGUAUGAUUUCUUCUAUCAUUUUGCAAUCAGCUAUCUUCAUUCUUUCGAGAUUCACUAGAGUUUUAGAUGUUGAGAGCGUCAACACAUUUAUCAACCCGUGACACUUCGAUACUUCUAGUUCCCACAGAUUUUCCAAAUGCCACGAAGGUGGUACUAAUUUUUGCAACUUACUACAUUCCGAUAUUUCUAGACUUCCCAAGUUUGCAAACGCUUUGCUGGAUUCGUCAUUUUCCUUCCAGAGAUGCUGCACUUUGUGUAAUCCAGAUACUUUAACUCUAUCAAUUGAGGGAAUGCAACCUAAAAAUCAACAAAAUUAAGUUGUAAAUGAAAAUAUGUAUCCAAUCUCUGCAGUCUUCCCCUGCAUAUUUUAUGGACAAGAUUAAUCACAGCAUUUUAUAUUUUUUUUUCCAAAUUAGUAUGCUUUGCAGUAGGAUCCCAAAUAUAAGUAUCAAAUCGAUUACCCUUUGAAACACAUAAAUGAAAUCUGAUGCUAAAUCUAAUAUGAAUUAGCUAGGAAAACAGAGAUGUUACACACAUAAUUAAUAUAGUUCAUCACCUCGUGUUACCAGGCAUCCAAUUAAUUUCAGACACUUUUAUAAUUCAUACUAUAAAGUUAGUUAAUAAUUGCGGUUAUAUUGUUAAAUCAGAUAUAAAUUAAGACGACAUGUAAAAAGAUGAGUCAUUAAAUUUGAUUUGAUUCUAAUGAAAUUACAACUGUGCGAAAGAAAGUGAAGGGAAAAAUAAUAAUAAUGAUUACCUUUUCAUUGAAGAGAUGUUGUAUUUGAUCAGCUACCAAGAGGUUCUUUUCUGAUUUUAAUUUUUGAGCUUCCUUAUUAUCUGCUGUCAUGUGCAGUACAGAUGUAGAAUUGGAUAUGAAUGUUUCCAUAUCAGGGCAAUUCUCAAUAGUUAGAUAUCUCAACUUAGGCAGUUCAAUUAUAUUCCUAGUGAAGUUGAAAAAUCUUUUGAGUUUUGGAAGGUCAGUGAGCCCUAGCUUGAAAAGCUUAGGAAACAGGGGGCCUAUAUGUUCUUUGUCAGCAUUAAUUAGCUCUUCCAAAUGAAGCACCUCUUCAAGUGAAUCACAAUUCCUCACUUCCAGGUAUACCAAAUUGUUCAAGCACCGUAGCAGAUUAGCAGGAAUAGCACUCGACAUAUUCGUGCAGUCAUCCACCACCAGGUCGAAUAAAUUGUUGAAGAAGCUGACAGGCAGUGCUUGGCCAUGCCAUAUUUCUUUCAAACGUGGAAAAUGCGAGAGUUGCAAAUGUAUUAUGUCACGAAAUCCAAUCUGCACAAACCAAAACAAUUGCACUGGAUAUAUACAAUUUUUUCUUUUUGAAAGGCAUAGAUAUAUAUAUACAUUAAACUUAUAUGUUCAAAUGUGCAAGUGCAAGGGAGAUGCAUAAGUAAUUUCGACGAAUCGAUUUAACACAUACCAUUUCUUCGUAACACUUUUGUAUAGUGGAAUUAAGGUUGCCUUCCCAACGGCGCAAUUCACCCUCUUCCUGUUAAGAAUAGAAUUAGUUAGUUAAUGAGUAUGCUGACAUGGCAGCUGAGUCAGCUAAAGGUUGUUAUAGAGGUUGUUAGUAGUAACCUGUGCGUGUGUGCAAUGUGUGUAGAAUCUUCUAUGCACAUAUAAAAAGGCUUGUAAUUUCCAGAUUCAUUAGAUCAAUAAUAACAGAAUUCUCAGCUUACAGAAGUUUUCUUUCUUCCUAUUUUCUUAGUAACCUAACAACAUCACAGUUUCAUAUAAAACUUAAUACUUCCUUUUACUCACUUGCACUUUGCAUAGCUUUGGUGUGGAUAAGAUUCCCUGAGAAAAAGUCUUCAUGUUCAGACAAUGUGUCAUAGAAACUUGUUCCAAUGAUGGGAAUUCAAGAGUGUAAUUCUCCGAACAAAAGCUGGUAAGCCUUGGUAAAUAAUCAAGUUCCAAAAGUUUUAAUUCGCUGAAAGCAAUACGAUUCUCCUUCGCUUCUUCUCCAACAUGUCCUAUGAUUUCUUCUAUUUUUUCACAGAGUGAUACAUUAAGAUUCACUAGACUAUUGGGAAUUCCAACCUGAAAAUAAAGAGUAGCAUUCAACUAGAUUCAAAGUAUGUCAAAAUCAUACAAUUGUUUUAUGAAAAAUAACAAACCAUGAAUGUCUACUAGAUAUUUUUUGUUAAAGAAAAAAAGGAAAAAAUUAAAACAAAAAUAAAUAAAUAGAAGUCCAGAAAAACAAAGAUAAUGAAAAUGCAUUUACACUAUUUAGUAUUAGGAACGGAGAAAGAAUUUCAGCUAAUUUUUAAAUAUUAUAAAUUCAUUUUUCAUCUUGAUGCUAGUUUUUAAAAAAUUUUAAUUUUCAAACAUGCCUAUUUUUAAAAUAACUAAACUAAAACGCUGUAUUUCCCAUUUUUUUUUCCCGAUAUUCAUGCUUUUAAAAAUGGAAAACAUUUCUGGAAAACACUUCCCAACGCCAUCAACAUGGGACUGUUAUAGAGUGAAUAUUUGAGGAAUUUUUUUAAUCAACGGUCGAUUCAAAAUGACCAUCAUGAAUUUGUGCUUAAUCAAUGGCGUAAUCAAUUCAUAACUAAACUAGAGAUAUUAACUACAUUUGAACACUUUUUUUUUUUAAAUAGAAAUCUAAAGACCCAAGGAAAAGAGAAAUAUAUAUGAAUUUGUGAACUUAAAAGCUGAGUAAUUAAGUAUCUUUUAAUUUCUGAAAAUCUUAUUUAUUAGGAUUUAAGAAAAAAAAACAAUUAAAUUGAAUUAUAUUAUGCUGUUAAAUCGUGUUUAAAACAAUUAUAUUGUUGACUUUAAUGCAGGUGAACCUAUAAAUUAGAUUGAAAAUGCAGAGUUCAGAAUGGUGAUUUGAAGUUCAAUACUUUUGUUCCCUCCAGAAGUUUGAAGUACAAUACUUGCAAUAAAUAAUUUGUGAAUGAAAAUUAUUUGUAAACACAAAAAUGAUUAAAAUAAUUGUUGAAUGUUAUUUGAAAUAAAAAUUCAAAAUGAAUAUAGCAAUCUUACCAAUGGAGGAAAAAUAUUCAGUAGAUUAUCACACUCAGAUAUCUCCAAUUUUUUCAAUUUGCUAAAAGACUUCGAAGCAAGCUGGUGGUGCCAUAUUUUUCUCAACUUAUCCGCCUCACUAAUAUGUAAUACCUCCAGACUUGGGAGUCGUACCUGAAGUUAAAAAUUCAAUGCAAUUAGAGAUGUAUAUUAAUUAAAUUUGAAGACUCAACGAAAAGAGAAAUUAACUAUUGAGAAUAAAAUUAAUUUAAAAAAAAAAAACCUUUUCAUCAAAGAGGGGUUGAGGUUGCAUUUCAGUGUGAAUGACGUCUUCUGGUGAGGCAAAGCUACAUAGUUUUGGAAGACCAUCGAGCCGCAGGUAGUGUAGUUUGGGAAAAACCUUUAAUUCAUCUCUUCCUCCUAACCCCCCCGUGGUGUCGACUACCCCUUCCAUUGACUCACAAUCCCAUAUCUCAAGAUGUUGGAGUUGCCCAAGACUAUUAACCAUAGAACAUGAAAACAGAUACUUCACACAAUGACACCUUUCCACAGUCACUUUUGUUAAAUUUUGACAACAAUACAUUCCCUGAAAUUGAUCGAGCCAUAAUUUUUCGAUGUUUCGUAAAUCGAAAAGUUUCAGUUUCUCCAAACGUGGAAAAGAAACCUGCAAAGCAAAACCGUACAUUUUUGUUCCUUCAACUACAACUUCUAAUAUAAUAUUCUUUCGAUGAUUGAAGAUCAAUCGUAAUAAUAUAUUAAUUAAUUAAUUAUUAAACAGAAAAUUAUUACCUGUUGAACAGGAUCAUCCUCUGCAUUGAUUUCUGUGAAUCCCUGAGUAGUUGUUGGUUUCUCCAUGUCGGGCCCUAUAAAUGAACAAAAACAAUAUGUAAUAAACAUCCGUGUUUUUUUUCACCAAAAAAAGAAAAAGAAAAAGAAAAAAAGAAUGAGUCAAUGUCAAUAAUCCUACCAAUAAUUAAUUUCAAUACUUACCAAUAAUCAUUUUCAAAUCAUCGCAGUUUUCCACUUCUACUUUUUGAAGCCGCAAUAGGUUUUUGGCCAUAGAGAAUGAGAAGAGAUACUUCAAUUUUGGACAGCAAUCUACGUUUAUAAUCCUUAAGUUGCUGAAAGAUUGAUCUUCUCUGAGUUGGCUGUAGCAUAUCGUCUCCAAAUUAGUUAAAAACAUAAGAGACAAUGACUCCAGCAAGGGAAAGACUUUGCAACGAACCCGUCUAACUGAACCGACAAUAUGUAAAAUCUCAGAACAACUUUUUACAUGAAGAUGCUUCAAUCGUGGAAAACCUUCCCCAUCGUCUAAUUCAUGAACAACACUUUGAACACCCUCCAAUGUUUCUAGCCAGAGACCUUCAGUUCUCUGCAGCAACAUUUUUGUCCCAUCAUUCUCCUGAAGAAUGCUAACUUUUUCUAGCCCCUUGAGCAUCAUCAAUCUUGGUGCUUCAGAUUUGACGAGCAAUGGGUCAAACUCAUCUUCGGACUCAUCUCCUAUGCGUAUCCUAUAUCUUUGCAAUUCCACAGAGACAAAAUUCGGCGGCAGAAUUUCGGCAUCCGCAACUUCUAUCUCCAAAGUAGCUAGCUUUGUCAACCUCUCCAACUCGACAAGACUGGCAUUACUUCCUCCUUCAACCUUCUCCCACCCUGAAAAGCUGUUACCCAUAUACAAUUCUUCUAAUUGAGAUAAUUUUGAUAUGACAUUCGGUGCUAUCACCUCAAGCAACCAACAAUUGCUCAAAUCUAGCAACUGUAACCGCGUCAAUUGUCCAAUUUCAAGUGGUAACUGCUUGAUAGUGGAACGUGCAAGGAUGAGAAUCUCUAAUUUCUUUAGCUGUCCAACUAUUGCUAUAUCUUUUAGUCGGCAAUAGUCUAAACACAAUGUUUGGAGGUUAAUGAGGCAACCAAGUGAUGAAGGUAAUGAAGAGAAGUGAAUUCGAGUAAAAUUCAAAACUUUGAGUCCUUCCGUCCCUUUAAAGAAGUGAUCUGAAACUUGCAUAGAGCCAUCACCCUCCGUAUGCAAUAGCUCAAGACAGGGACAUUGCAACCUUUCAGGAAGCACUUGAAUACCUCCAUAAGUUAAAGAAAUAGCAAUUGGAUCUUUUCGUAUUGUCUCUUCCAUCUUUUUCUCCAAGUCGGCAACAUUUGGAAUAUUAAACAUGCGCUUCUCAAAUAACUGCAAUGCUUCUUUUCGUGGCAAAGCAUCGAUCGGAAAAUUUUUCUGACAACUCAUAUCAAUGCGCAAUAAAUCUUGCUUUCUAGACGUCAAUAUUAUUGUGCAUCUUCUCUGAUCAUCCUUUCUAUCUUUCUCAGCAACAUCCCCAGAAGGAAUUCCAACAACAUCCAACUCAAGUUCUGUCCAAAUAUUAUCCAAUAUAAUGAGGACCCGCUUCUCUUUCUUCAAUCUUUCACGUAAUCGAUCAGCUCUUUCGAAUUUAUUCUCAUCCGAGCCAAAUUUCAUGCCUAAGUCAAAAGCAAGUUUCUUUUGAAUUUCCUGAUGAUCUGGGGUCUGUGUUACCUCAGCCAUAACGACCUUAUCGAACAACUUAUCUUCCAUAACUUGCUUUGCAACUUGCUUGACUAGCGUGGUUUUACCCACGCCGCCCAUGCCGUAGACCCCAAUAAUGUUGAGCUUAUCAUCCUUCAACGCCUCCACAACAUCUUGAAAUACUUUCAUUCUUGAAUCAAAGGCCUCGUAAUCUUUCACUUGCAUAUGUUCUGCCCGCUUUGGAGCAGGACGGUAGGAAACAUUAGAGAAGUUUCCUUUUCCCAGGAGACUAGCGGCAGCUUCUGCGGCCUUUGCUGCUUGUUUACUAAGCUUGUAACGAGAAAUCAAGUUUGGGCACAAUCCUUUGAAGCAGGACUUCUUAGCUCUAUCUUCAUCAUCACUGAUGGAUUUUGCAACCCCUUCACUGAAUUCAUCAACUUGAUUUAGCCAGUCUGUGACACCCUCAUAAAUCUCAUCCCCUUGUAGUCUAGCAUGAUUAACAGGUUGUUGCACCGUUUCUCUUCUAUAUCCCAGCUGCUUCACUUGAUCUUUUAGGCCAUCUAUGUAGCUCUGGUACUUGAACACAUAAGAUAUCUGCCGUACAAUCGGUUUGAACAGUGACUUUGCACCUUCUGCUACGAUGCUGGAAAAAGCAGCCAGACCCACUUCUGCCAUCGCCUGCUGCUUAACAAAUCUAAUAAUAUGUCAAAGAAAGGAAUACAAAUAAACUAAAAUGAACUAGAGGGAAAGACAAAAAAUGGAAAAGACAGCAAACAGUAUCGCAACAUUGAUCUUGAAUCAACUGAAACAUGAACAAAGCAUUUUUUCUUCUUUCUUAAGGAUCAGAGUUUUUGCUAUUAACAGAAACGUACUUCAAGUGUCUAAAAAAAAUUAACUAUAAAUGAACAAUAACUACAAAACUCAAGCAAAACAAGCCAUAAAAUUUUUAUCUUGGAAAGUGGAUGGAAAUUAAGAAAGAAAUGGUAUAGAGAUCAAGCAUCAGAGAUUAUGCUAUUAAAAGAAAUUAAUUGAAGGUUUUAGAACAAGUGCACCUGUUUAAUUAUGUGGGAUCAGAAAGUUGAUGAGCUUAUGUAAUCGCCUUGAAUAUUUAAGAACAAUUUCAAUGAGCAAAAAAUUUCUGUUACCUGCAGAGGAAUGUGAUUAUAGAGAGCUUAUGAGAGUAAUGACAAUGAUUUGGAAAAGAAGAAGACUUAAUCAUGCAGCCCUUAAUAUUUAUUGAAUGACUUGUGAUCAUUUCUUUUAUGAAUAAAAUGCCAACAGCAAAAAGAGAAGAAAGGGCGAAAUUUACUAAGUCUUAUUUUAUUUUUAAUUUCUUUUAUUUUCAUUCGGCGAAGAGGGAAUCUCUCCCUCUUUUUGUUUUUUUACGGGGAAUCUCCUUACCUAAUGUGACAUAAUGAAAGCAAUCUGUAAAUAGUAAUAUAAUGUAAUAAUUAAAAAUACCCACAUAUUUAUAAUAUUAAUGAUGGGAUCCAUAUGUUUAUACUGAUUAAAUUGGUGGACCAGAAUUUAUUUGACCGUACUUGUUUUCUAUUUAAUUAAGAUUGAAACGAUAGAGAAAAAUUUGUCGUAUUGAUUUGUUUCGAUUGUGGAGUUCCAACACUGAAAGUGAAGAUUUCAUCAACUUUCUCACAUGGACACGUACCGUCAUGCAUAUUGCAUUAUUUUCCUAGAAAAGCAAGAUUAAUUCUUUUAAUAAGCAAACGCGUAGGUGGGAAUCCAUUCAUGAAACAAGUGGAACGACAAUAUCAAACCAAUGAUAAUUCAAAAUCUGAAUCCGCCUGAUGGACGGCAACUAAUCUGAACCAUUCUCCUUUAGUAACAGGGGAAUGAAAUUAUAUCGAUGAUAGAUAAUUUCAAAACAGGGGAAUGAAAACAGAGGAACCUGUUUUUCCUUCCUUUUCUUCUUUCCCCCAACUCUUCUUCUAUUUAUAUUUUCCUUGGAAUUUUCGGCAAACGAAAAAAAAUUGGGAAUGAUUUCAGGAAAACAGGUGGAUAAUAACUAAAAUAUUUAUUUUUAUAUUUUUGAUAAACACACUCACUAUUAAUAGAAUUCAUUAGAUAUCAUAACUUAAAUAACUUCUUGUGAUUAAUUGAGGGUACAUUUGGGAUUUCUUUUAUUUCCCAAUAAUUAGCUUCUAUGUUGAUUCUCAGAAAAUUAAUUUUACGAAUAAUUUAGUAGGGUGUUUGGUAAAUGAUGAUUAUUUGACAACCAGUUUUCAAAUAAUCUACUAUACAAAUUUGAUAAGUAAAAAUUAGAAGUGUAAUAUUCAAGUGCAAAUGUGCAAUGAUAAAAAUGUAAUUGUUUGUUUAUUUGUAGUUUAUUUAGAAUAUUAUUACUAACAUCAUUUUUUUAUUUACUGGAUUUUUAAAGAGUAUAUUCUAUUUUCUUUAUUACAUAUCUAUAUCAAUUUUUUAUUAACUAUUUUAAUUUGUAAUAAAACUAACUUUAAUUUUUUUUAACUAAAAAAUUUGUUAUGCAGUUUGUUAUAUUAAAAAAAAAAUUCGGACGGUGUCUAAACAUGGUCACCAGUGAUUGUUAUAUUAAAAAAAAAUCUAUUCAAUUUUUUCUCUGAUUUUGUGUCGAUAUCUUUCUUACGUAUGUUGAUAUCAUAUUAAAGUGAAUUCAAGACCCUAUAUUAUUUUGCAUAACAUCAAAAUUUAGCCGAAUGGUAAUUAAGAAUUUCCUUUUUUGUUUGUCCCACAAUUAUAUAGUCUCAUUUUUUACAAUAAGCUCACAAUAUGCACGGAAAUGAAGAUCUAUUAAAAACUUCCCUAUAAUAUUAAACACUAAACAAUAUCACCAUGUUAUGCAUAUGGUGCCUCGUCAACAAUUUGAUGUUUAUUUUGUUUCUCGGGUGAAUAUGACUACUUGCGUUGCGAGUCCAUGCUUUUGUCGUUUGGAUGGAGGACGUGCCAUCUUUUUAUUUUAGAUGGUUUGUAAGACUUCUGAUUUAAUGAUUGAAUGCAGUCAAUUAACAAAAGCUUACAUAUUAUGUAGGUGCUGAUAUGUCUGUUCUUGAUAAAGUAGAUUUAUUUACAUCCAAGCCAACGGAGCCAAAGACAUUUCGUUAAUAAAAUACACGAUAAUUAUUUUUGUUAAACUGAUUUCUGGUUAAUAAGACCUAUAACAGCAUUCAAGGAAGCCACCGAACUCAAAGGAAAGGCAUGGUUAAAUAUACUGCGAAGCAUGUGAGUUCGUUUUUUAAUCUCUUGAUCACUCAUAAGCUUUUCUAUACCACUCACUGUAUCAUCCUUUUGAAUCGAUUUUGAUUGAUCAUCAGAGAUCAUGUACCCCACCUUAAGAUGAUUGAUCACAAAUUUGGCAUUGUAAUGUUGGUCACCUCUAAUUGGCCAUGCUAAAAUUGGGACUCGACAACCAAUUGCUUUUACUGUUGAAUUCCAUCCACAAUGAGAUAAAAAUCCACCCGUGAUUGAUGACUCAAUAUCAAUAAUUGUGGCGCCCAUCCAUCUAUUAUCAAAUCCUUUUUACCGACUUUAUUAUCCAAACCACUACGAAAAUAACUGCCUUCAGCUGGUUUGUCCAAAUGACGUAGAGGAUCCAAUCUACCUGCACCACCUUGAAUUACCCAAAUAAACGAUCGAUUUGAUGCUUCUAAAGGAUUAGCUAGUACUAAGUACUCAUCUAAGGUCAGAUCCACUUCAGUACCAAAUGACACAUAUAACACAGAUCCGCGUGAUUUCAAAUUCAACCUUUGAACGAUCUCAUCUUCCGUCAUAUUAGAACUCCGCCGGUUGGUUCUCAUCUCAUGAUCAUCAAGCACUGAACCGGCCGAUUUGUAAAAUUGUUCAGGUAAUAGUGGGCCCACUCCCCACAUCGGCUUUCCCAAUUCAUUGGCUAAAUAAUUAAUAAAUGGUCCCUCAAGACCAUCACACGUGUUGAACAUCAACGCCAUUGAUCCCUCCACUUCCUUCAUCCAGUGUGGUUGAUCACCGGCUUCUGGUGGACCUAUUUUCUCGGAACCGGGUGCACCUCUCAGAGGUGGUGGACCACCAGGAGGGGGCCCAUGAGGCCUGUGUUUUAGGUCCGAUUCAAAUAAAGCCAUAUCCUCGGGUAACCGAGGAAGUAAACGGGCCUCUCCCGGUUUGACAUCUUGGAUGCGAGCCUGCCACAUGGCACACUCCGCAGCUGCCGAGCAAGCACCAGAAGUGAAGAACCCAACAAUGGGAACUUCAAAAAUCUUGAAAACAUCAGCCGUCCAGCCCAUCAUAACGUCGAUGACUGCACAAACGGGUCGGCUUUUGGGUUCCCGGGUUGAAAGGAGGUUUCGAACUUCGAAGGCCUUGAAGCAUUUGGCUGUGCAUGGCAACAUGAGGGUGAGGAGGCGAAGGAGGGUAUUUCAGUAACUUCAAAGAGAGGGUAUUGGUGAAACGAGGAAGGGAUGAUGCUGGGGGCGGAAAUGUGAGAGGGAAUGAUGAGGGUAGAUUUGUAAUUACGAGUAGCGAUUUGCUUGCAUAAUUCAAUGCAUGGAAACAGAUGUCCCUGACCGAAGAAUGGGACAAUCCAAACCUCGGCCUCAGCAGCAGUAGCAACAGAGCUUGACAUCUUUUUGAAUUAUUUGAUACUUAAUUGUUACUGUUUGCUUUUACAUCUUUCAUAAAACACUCUUUGUUAUAUAUAAAGAGAUGACUUAAUGGAGAAGUAAGUGUUUUAGUUUUACAGUUUUACUAGUAGGUGAGCUCUGAGUUUGAUAAUUUGAUUGUUAGUUUUAGUUGGUUAGUUAUGAGAAAGCAUCUUUUAGAAAAUUCAUUCCAGUUUCAACUAAAAUUAAUAAUAUUGUUCAAAUUAAUUACUCGAUAAAUAAAUAAUUAGAGAUAAAUCUAUCCCUAAUCUCACAUUUAUAAAAUAAGGAUUGAAAUAAGUUCUUGUGGAUUCGAACUCAAGCCCUCAAGCCGAGUGGCUGGAUCUUGACUACUUUGACUUAAUUAUUAUUAUUAUUAUUAUUAUUAUUAUUAUUAUUAUUAUUAUUAUUAUUAUUAUUAUUAUUAUAUAUAUAUAUAUAUUUCAUUCUUUCAUUGAACAUCUUUUGUUAUAUAAUAAAGAAGAUAAGUUGACGGAGAAGAGUUUUACUUUUACUAGUAGAUGAGCUUUGAGUUGAGAACGUUAGUUUUAGUUGAUUAAAUAUCUACCAUCCAAAUCAACAUUCCUUAAACUAUUAUUCAAGUGAGAUGUCUGAGUAACAUACGCUUGAGUUAGUUGGUGCCUAACAAUUCGUGUGAUACAUGAAACCAACCAAUAUGAAAACCAAAUCAAGUUGGUAGGAUUACAUUAAUUUAAAUUAACUUUCAAGUUCCAACAUUAUAAGAUAAAUAAAUAGCAUAAACUAAUUUUUUUUUUCAAGUAAAUAUGUUUAUCGUUUAAAAAUUAUUUUUUCUUGCGGUAAAUGCAACACUAAAUAAGGAGUGAAGAGGGUAUUUUGUAGGGUAUACCCCCACCUUUUAUUUCAUUUCAUUAUUAAAAAAUAAAGGCUUGAUUCAACAUUCAAGUAAAAUUAACAAUUCCAUGAUAAAAUUGCUUGAGAAUAAGAAUUAAAAUAAAAAAAGAAAACAGCAACUCAAAAACGACAUACAAAUACCGCAUAGAGGUUUUUCGUCACGAGAUAUUUUUGGGUUGAGACAACAGUUGUAUAACAGAGCAUACAGACUGAAUGACGGUGAGAAUAAGAAGGAAAACGGCGCCACACACCGAAAUGCCAGCCCAUGGAGUAUUGAAGUAAUUUUGUUUCAAGUUUGCCCUCCAUUUGUAGCACGUUCUUUUGCAGUGAUCAUUCAAUCCUUUGCAUAGCCCAGAAAAAUAGAAGCUAUUAGACAGCAGAGUAGUACCUCUAGAAAGGAACACAUAAUCAUUUAUGUAACACAUAAUCAUUUAUGUAAUUCUCUGAGUAAUGCCGUUGUUCAAAGGCAAUGAGAUUACGAAAUAAGGAUUCUGUUUCUAGCUGUAGCUUCAGUUUCGGAAUAUGCGAUGUCCUGUUUUUGAAUUCUAUGGCGAACAAAUCAUUGCUCUUGCUCAAACUGAAGUGGACUCCAGCUUGGUGGAGAUUAGUCACACUUGGUGCGGUUUUACCUUUGUGGUAUUGCUGACCUUCUUGUUUUUCCUGAUUCCUCGAUGAUGGGAGAUGGCAAAUCCUUAGAAAAUCAAGGAAAUGCUCUACCCUAGCCUUAGUGUAAGGAGGGAAUUUUUGCUGAUUACCUUGUACUACCUCUAAACCCUUGAAAUACUCGUAUGUGACUGUGAUGAUGGUUGGAUUUUCAUGUUGGUCGGGGAUUUCAAUUGCCGCUAGAGCAAAAAGAUCCUCAAGAAUGAAGAAAGGAAGCUGAUUCUCAAGCAACCACAUAUCAUACCGUAUAUCCUCUAUUAAAUAGGGUUUAUGAAAUAUAUGAUCAUCUUUUUUUUGAAGUUGACGGAAAUGAUACCUCAAUAAGAGUUCAAUGAUGAAGGCAGCAUCCAGCAGAAUCAUUUCAACAAAUUUAUCACUACUUAGUUCGACUUUUUCUGCAUAAGAACCUCGUAAUUCUGCUUCUCUGAACUUUAUAAUUUGAACAAACUCGUCAAAGCUUAUUUGGGUCCGUUGAAGAAAGUAAUGCAGGUACCGCUGUUUAUGUUCUUCCAUGAACUGUAAGUUUGCUUUGCCAUGCUGAAGAGGGCCAAUUGAGACUACCUGAGGUGUAUGUACCUUUUCAUUUAUCUGACGUAAUCGCUCUGGAACUCUGUAGAUGCAGCAGUUUGAGGGCAAUGGUGAUAAUUUUUUCAACUUAACUUGCAAGCAUUCUUCCAUGUUAUAAACUGAAAACAUGGCGCGAAAUUUAAUCAAUUCAACACUUAAUAAGGCAUAGUAAUUAAAAAAGAAUUAAAAAAAAAAACCAAAUACAAGAGCAUUCUUACACGUACAGAAGCACCUCAAUCCCUACUAUUUGCAGAGCUGUAGCCAGGAGUCAAUGAUAGACCAGACUGAACUAAAAGGAACAACUUUCUUAGGAAUAUGUUAUCGGUAUUUUCUCUGGCCUCAGGCCAUCAACAAAGCAGUUUCAGUGCUUCUUAUAUAAUUCCAUGGAUUAUUCCUUGCCUUUACAGAUGAUAUAAGUCACAAUUCAUAUAUUAAUUUCUCCAGAUUCCGUACAAGUGGACCAUAACUAUGGAAAAAUUCAAAGAAUGCAACAGCCAUUUGAUUGGUCCAUGUCAGAAGUUAAUCUGGGGAAAGAAGCUUGAUCUAGCAGUAAAAUUCUCUCCUUCAAUCAGUCAGUUUGGGGCAGCAACAAGAUCAAAGCCACCACGCAAACAUUUACUAAAGUUUAUAUAAUAUUCACUAGUUUAUAUAAUAUUCUUGAAACUCAUCUUAAGUAAAGCAACAAAAGCCUUCACUGUUUCUUAACAACUUUAUUGCUCUAACACGUAGCAUAACACUUUUAAAUUUGCAUAAAGCACAAUAGUACUUUAGUUUGUAACAACAGCACAGAUAAUAAAUCGCAUUUUAUAGCUUUAACAAAAGCAUACAAAAUUCUUAAACCUUGUUUCAAGCAAUUCAUUAAUGCCACAAGGAUGUCUUUUUGCUUCCUACAGUUUUUAUUGAAAUUCAUAUAUUCUUCUUUAUCAAAUUAAGUAAUUUUCCUUUUUCAAAAAAUCAAGAAGGUUUCGACUGCAUGGAAAUACAGCACACAAUUACUACUAUUCCCGGAGUAAGAAAUUCAUAAAUGCAAUAUAAACAUACAUUUUCAUAAGACAUCAGAAUCAAAGAAUCAUCAAUGCAUCAAAUCUGUACACCCAAAAAAGUUGAAAGCAUCAAGAGAAAAUUAUACCGCAUGGACCCUUUACAACCCUUAUAACGAGUUCAGACAGCCUAAUCCAAUUUAAUAGAUUUGAGGACAGCUACAAUGUGCAAUACAAAAUUUCCCAAUACUAUUUAGAACAAAGUCUAGAAAAUAAAACCUAUAUAUUGUACAAAAUCACGAAAACCAGAAAUGACGAAAAACCUGCGAAUGUAAUUUUUGGGUUUCUUCAACAUAUCUUCCAUCCAAAUCAAACAAGAAUCGAUAAAUCAACAACAUUCAUCUUUAAACGACAUAUUACCACAAUAAAAUUGUCAACCAAGCCUCAUAUAAACCUUUUUUGUGUUUUUUGGUAAAUAUAUUUGUUAUUCUCUAAGAAUACUAGGGAAAAAAGAAACCCACUUUCUUAAUCAAGAAUCAAAUAGUAUAUAUGAAUCUAAGCUGAAGUAAGUCUUGGGUUUGAUGAAAAAGCUUGCAUUGUGAUUUAGAUUGGAAAGGAAGUUGAUUUUUGCUGGUUGAGAGAGAGAGAUUUGAGACUUAAGGAGUGUUGCUAAUCUUCGAUCGUGUAAACAAGGGUAACUGGGUCAUAGUUCAAAAUAAGGGUCCAAAAUUUACUAAAGCUAUUAAGGAGCCCAAAACUCAUAAUGGCUUCCCCAAAAUAAAUAAAAUUUUCUAGCAUUAAGUUUUUGUUUCUUCUUGAGAUUUCCUUGUCGUACUUACCCAUAUUUCGAUAUUGCCUCCAAGUAAACUUAUAUAUAUUGAUUAACAAUAUAAACAAGCACUAUGAAGUUUUAGGCCUGAAAAAACAUUGAGGUUGAAAUGAAAACCAUCUAUUUAAGUAACAAAAUCUUCUGAUAAUUUGAUGCUUAAUAAAUAGAGCAGAGAUGACAUAUUAAUCACGCUAUGAUGUGGAAGUUAUGAUUAUAUUCAUCUUAAGAAUAAGAUCUUUCAAACACUGGCAGAUUAGUAUCAAAAUACUCAGCAUAAGACCUACAAACUAGAAAUCAUGAACCAAUUAUUGAACUCAGUACAUAAGUUGAUCUUUUAUAAGCUAUAAAACAAAUCUGCUAUAACAUAAGAAAGUGGGAUUUAUCACCAGACAAAUAUUUUGGUGAAACUCAAGAUGACGGAAGGAUAUCCAAAACAACCUCCUUAAGGGAAGGCAUCACUUCCUGCUGAUGCAAACAUAUAUAUUUAUUACUCACUUUCUUGAGGACCUUCCAGGAACCUGGGUAGCAUCUAACAGAAAGUGGAAAAGAAUAAAAUGUAAAAUAUAAGUUAAACAGCAGGAAAACAGUGAGUGAUACUAGGCAAGCAUUAAUAGGUUGCCGCAGGAAAAGUGUCAGUAACUAGCUAGCAAACCUGAAAAGGGUUCCUCCAUUGCGACCCUUAAAAUUGUGAAUGUAAUAUAUGGUCUCCAUCACAGGAAAAAGUGUAUUGGAUAGUGCAGCCAGCUUAGUGUUGCGGACCGCCCAAAUUCGUAGCCCAAUUUAUUCACCAAGAGCCCAACACAAGGCCAAGAGUGCUACCUUGGCCCGAUUCCGGAAAAUUCUAGGCAACUCUAGCACAUUGAGCUUGUAAAUACUCUAGAAUUCUCCAUAGAAUUCCAGCACAUGUAAAUAGCUAGGAAAUGGUAGAAUUCUCUAGAAUCUCUAGAGCUUGGCAAGCCUCCCCUAUAAAUAUGGGAUGGCAUUAGGCAUUUGUAUCCAACAAACACUACAACAAGCAUUGUAAGCAACUCAAGCAAUGUAAUUCUCUCUUUGUGCAAUACAAUUUCUCUUAUUCGGCUCUAUUGCUCUCUUCUCUAGUUCGAGAAGCUCUAAGCUUACUUAGCAACAUUCGGCAAAGUUGUCUAAGUGCCGCACGAGUUAGCUGCGCAAAAUACUCAUCCCGUGACAAGUGGUAUCAGAGCUAAAGUUUGCACGCACGCAAAUUAGCUCACGAGCAAUGGCCAACCUUUCAAACGUAGCACAAUAGGGUGUUGUUGGUGUGGAUGUUCCACUGGAACCAAGCCGCGACCAAGAGGGAGAACGCUCCCAAGGCAAGACUCGUGGCAAGUCCAAGGCCCCAUCCGUGGAUGCGUUGGAGCCUCGUGUGACUACUCUCGAAAUCACAUUGUCCGCCGCUCAAGAAAGUCUCGAGGGAUUGGAGGAACGAGUGGACGGUCUCGAGGGGGAAUACGCCGAGUUCACGGUGGCAACAAAAGCUCUCAUCCAAGAGCAAGCGAACACUCUCCGAGGUGAGUUUCGUUCUUUCCAUGAUGAGUUGCUCAAACUUCGUAGCUUUGUUCAGGAUGAACUACGAGCUGUCCGUGCAGAAGUGGAUGAAGUCCGCUCGGAUUGGGCAUGGCACAAGUGCACAGUCUCUGCUAGUCCAGCUUCCGCAAACUCGAGUGAUGCGCGCCGCAUUGACGUGCCAAAGCCCGACACCUACGAUGGCACACACAAUGCCACCAUCGUGGAUAAUUUCCUCUUUGGGCUCGAUCAAUACUUCGAUGCCAUGGGUGUCCGAGACGAGGCAUCGAAAGUGGGCACUGCACCCACCUAUCUUAGAGGCGCUGCACAACUAUGGUGGCGUCGCAAGUAUGGCGAGAUGGGCAAGGGCAUUUGCACCAUCGACACUUGGGCCAACUUCAAGCAAGAACGCCGAAAGCAGUUCGCCCCAAGCAAUGCGGAGAAGGAAGCACGAGCGUGCUUACGUCGCCUCAAGCAAACGGGUAGCAUAUGGGACUACAUCAACGAGUUCACUACCCUUAUGUUGGAGAUAAGCGACAUGUCCGACAAAGAUUCGCUCUUCUACUUCCAAGAUGGCCUCAAGGAUUGGGCCAAGACUGAGCUUGAUAGGCGUGGUGUUCAAACACUUGACGAUGCCAUGGCCGUUGCGGAGUCGCUCACCGAAUACUCUAUCCAAUCCAAGGACAAAAAGGCCAACCAAGGCAAAGGUGGGGGAGAGAGUCGCAAGGACAAGGGCAACAACCGCAAAGAUUGGGGGUAGAAAAAACUGCCUAGCAACAAGAGCGAGCAAGGAAAAUCGGAGGGUAAGAAGGAGGCGCCAAAGCCGCGAAGCCCAUGCUUCAUAUGCAAUGGUCCUGAUUGGGUACGCGACUAUCCGGAGAAGAGGUCGCUAAACGCUCUUGCUGCCCAACUCAAGAGCAACCCUACAAUGUCCACAGAGGAACCCCAACUCAGCAUGGGUUCUCUCCAACGCCUCGGCGCACUUAAUCACUAACAGCCUGCACUCGUCAAGAAAGGGCUCAUGUAUGUAAGCGCAAAGGUAAACGGUCAGUUCGUUCGCGCGCUGCUAGACACGGGAGCGACGCACAACUUUGUGUCCGUAGACGAGGCCAAGCGCUUAGGCCUCAAGGCCACCAAGGAAGGAGGCACGAUGAAAGCGGUGAACUCACCCGCCAAGCCAAUUGCGGGGAUCGCACAAGGCGUGCACAUUAUGCUUGGAACAUGGAGCGGAAAGCUUGAUUUCUCCAUCGUUCCCAUGGAUGACUUCAAGAUGGUCCUCGGCAUGGAAUUCUUCAACCAAGUCCAUGCCUUCUCGCUGCCCGCUCCGAACUUCCUAAGCAUCCUCGACGGGAGUAAGGCAUGCAUGGUUCCCACGGAACGAGGCAAGUCCGAGGAGAAGACACUCUCUACCAUGCAAUUUAAAAGGGCUUUCAAGAAGGACCCAAGUUUCUUGGUCUCCAUUCGGGAACUAAACGAGGUAGGAAAUAGCGGAAUCUCGCCAAACCAAGUCCCUCCGCGAAUUCAAGCCGUCCUUAAUGAGUACAAGGACGUGAUGCCUCCAGAACUUCCGAAGAAACUCCUACCUCGACGAGAGGUUGACCAUGCAAUUGAGCUGGAACAAGGCACGAAGCCACCAGCCUUGGCGCCCUACCGCAUGGCGCCACCCGAAUUAGAGGAGUUGCGGAGACAACUCAAAGACUUACUGGACGCAUGCUACAUUCGCCCCUCAAAGGCCCCAUUCGGUGCACCUGUGCUCUUCCAAAAGAAAAAUGAUGGAUUGCUGCGGAUGUGCAUCGAUUAUAGAGCGCUCAACAAGAUCACCAUCAAGAACAAGUAUCCGAUUCCCUUGAUCGCGGACUUGUUCGACCAGCUUGGCAAAGCGCGGUACUUCACCAAACUCGACUUGCGCUCCGGGUACUACCAAGUGCGCAUCGCCAAGGGAGACGAACCAAAGACAGCGUGCACAACAAGGUACGGGUCUUUCGAAUUCCUUGUGAUGCCUUUUGGCCUUACUAAUGCACCCGCCACAUUUUGUACGCUCAUGAACAAGGUGCUCCAACCAUUUCUCGACCGCUUCGUGGUCGUGUACUUGGAUGACAUAGUGGUGUAUAGCACCACGCUCGAGGAUCAUGCCCAACACUUGCGACAAGCCCUCCAAGUACUUCGAGACAAUGAGCUAUUCCUCAAAUUGGAGAAGUGCUCGUUUGCCCAACGAGAAGUGGAGUUCCUUGGCCACAAGAUUGCGGGCGGGAAGCUCAUGAUGGAAAAUGCCAAAGUGAAGGCCAUUCUCAAAUGGGAACCUCCCUCGAAAGUGCCCGAGCUUCGCUCAUUCCUUGGGCUGGUGAACUACUACUGCCACUUCAUCAAAGGCUAUUCGGCCAAGGCAGCACCCUUGACGGAUAUCAGAACGUGGCAUUAGUUCGAAGAGUGCCAACGCGCAUUCGAGGAGUUGAAGAAGGCAAUUUCAGAAGAACCUGUCCUCGCUCUACCGGACCACACAAAGCCCUUCGAAGUCCAAACAGAUGCCUCAGAUUUUGCCAUAGGUGGAGUCCUUAUGCAAGAAGGCCACCCCAUAGCGUUCGAGAGUCGAAAGCUAAAUGAUACGGAGCGUCGCUACACGGUGUAAGAGAAGGAGAUGACAGCCAUCAUACAUUGCUUGCGUGUGUGGCGACAUUACUUGCUAGGCUCACACUUCACGAUUAUGACGGACAACGUGGUGACAAGCUACUUUCAAACUCUAAAGAAGUUGAGUCCGAAGCAAGCACGGUGGCAAGACUUCCUUGCGGAAUUCGACUAUUGGCUCGAGUACAAACCGGGGAAAGCCAAUGUCGUUGCGGACGCUCUAAGCCGCAAGGUGGAAUUGGCAACACUUAGCAUGAGCCAACCGAAGUUCGACCUUAUCUCACGCAUCAAGGAAGGCCUCCAACAAGAUCCGCUAGCAAAGGAUUUGCUGGAGAAGGUGCUCGAGGGAAAGACAAGGCGUUUUUGGCAAGAGGAAGGCAUCCUCCUCACCAAGGGAGAUAGGCUGUUCGUGCCAAGGUGAGGAAACUUGUGGAAGGAAGUUAUCAAGGAGUGCCACGACUUCAAGUGGGCUAGUCACCUAGGAAUCGAGCGCACCACCGCACUAGUUCAAGCCUCGUAUUUUUUGCCACACAUGAGGGACGACAUCGAGGCAUAUGUGCGAACUUGUCUUGUGUGCCAACAAGACAAGGUGGAUCAUCAACUUCCAGCGGGAUUAUUAGAGCCGCUAUCGCUAGCAACAAGACCAUGGGAAAGUGUCUCCAUGGACUUCAUCACAUCGCUGCCUAAGUCCGAAGGAUGCGGAAGUAUCAUGGUCGUUGUCGACCGAUACAACAAGUAUGCCACAUUUAUUGCCGUACCAAUCGAUUGCAAAGCGGAUGAGGCAUCUCGCCUAUUCGUCAAGCACAUUAUGAAGCUUUGGGGAGUUCCAAAGAACAUUGUGAGCGACCGAGACCCUUGGUUCACUGGGCGUUUCUGGACGGAGCUCUUCAAGAUGUUAGGGACCGAUCUCAAGUUCUCGACAAGCUUUCACUCACAAACGGAUGGGCAGACCGAGCGCAUUAAUGGCCUCCUCGAGAUGUACUUGAGGCAUUAUGUGAGCGCUCAUCAGCGAGAUUGGGCGAAGCUAAUCGACAUCGCCCAAUUUUCUUAUAACUUACAGCGAAGCAAGGCUACGGGCAAGAGUCCGUUCGAGAUCAUCAUGGGAUUUCAGCCCAUGACCCCCAACGCCAUAGCCUCGACUUACGGAAGGAAAAGCCCCGCGGCACACAAGCUCACCCGCGAAUGGCAUGAGGAAGCGAACACCACGCAAGCCUAUCUCGACAAAGCCGUGAGGAAAAUGAAGAAAUGGGCGGAUACAAGGAGACGACAUGUUGAGUAUAAGGAAGGUGAUCAAGUUAUGAUCAAGCUCCUACCCCAACAAUUCAAGAUGUUGCGGAAAGUCCACAAGGGGUUAGUGAGGCGCUACGAGGGACCCUUCCGAGUUGUUCGACGUGUGGGCAACGUCUCGUAUCAACUCCAACUUCCGCCAAGACUCAAGAUCCAUCCGGUCUUCCAUGUGAGUCUUCUCAAGCCAUAUCACGAAGACAUGGGAGACCCAAGUCGCGGAGAAUCGAGGCGCGCACCAACUGCCGUUGUCACCGCGUUCGACAAAGAUGUGGACUACAUCAUUGCGAACCGCGUGGUUUCGAGGAGGGGCGUGCCAGCACAUAGCGAGUACUUGGUGAAGUGGAAAAACCUCCCCGAGAGCGAAGCCACUUGGGAACGUGAAGACAAUUUGUGGCAAUUCGUUGAGCACAUCCAGAGGUUCAAGCACGAGAGCGCGAUGAGGACGCCGCGAGGUUAGGUGGGGGAGGAUGUUGCGGACAGCCCAAAUUCGUAGCCCAAUUUGCUCGCCAAGAGCCCAACACAAGGCCAAGAGUGCUAGCUUGGCCCGAUUCCGGAAAAUUCUAGGCAACUCUAGCACAUUGAGCUUUUAAAUACUCUAGAAUUCUCCAUAGAAUUCCAGCACAUGUAAAUAUCUAGGAAAUGGUAGAAUUCUCUAGAAUCUCUAGAGCUUGGCAAGCCUCCCCUAUAAAUAUGGGAUGGCAUUAGGCAUUUGUAUCCAACAAACACUACAACAAGCAUUGUAAGCAACUCAAGCAUUGUAAUUCUCUCUUUGUGCAAUACAAUUUCUCUUAUUCGGCUCCAUUGCUCUCUUCUCUAGUUCGAGAAGCUCUAGGCUUACUUAGCAACAUUCGGCAAAGUUGUCUAAGUGUCGCACGGGUUAGCUGCGCAAAAUACUCAUCUCGUGACAUUAGGGUAGAAGAAUGACGGAUAAUCUUUAGCUCAUUUAAGGAAAUCCUCUCUGAUCCUUUCAUUGCACAUUCCAAAACAACUCUACUACAACCAAGUUACCAAUUCUUUUUGUUAAGUCAUUGUUAUUUGUUAAAAAAAAAAAAAGUCUUCCUUGCAACAUUUUAUUGAAAGAUAUAACAUGAUCAUCCCUAUUAAUUCCCUUUUAGAUUUCUGUGAGUGAAUUUCAAAUUAUUGUAUUCAAAAAUAGAAGCAAAAGACCCACUUUACUUUCAAUUUCUGCAACAAGAUACCAAUUGAAGGACCAAAAAGUUGUAAACAAGCAAUUCAAUGGGUGGGCAUCUAGAAACUGCUAAAUAGCAUCAAAAUCAUACUAAAUUUACAGAAAGUACAAUAAUAAUGAAAGAAUGGUGAAGGAUACACCCAGACCUUAUCCGGUCAAGUUCUCUAUUGAAUAUAAUCAGUUUCUGGGCAGUAUUGAAGACAGCUUCUUUGUAAAGCUCUUCAACGACAAGCAUUUCUACAAGACGAAAGAAAAGCAAAAUUAAUUACCUUAAGGAAUGAAUAUCAAUAAGAAGACAAGGUGUAAGACUACCAUUGACAUUAAAAUAUGGAUAGGCGACUAGAAACAAUUCAUCUUCUGGCUUCACACGGUCUGCCAUUUUAACCUUCUCAGUGAAUCCAAAAUCCUCAAAGAAUGAAGGUUUUGUUAGAUAGUCCAACUUAAAUAAUGAUCCUUCAAAGACCGAUUUUCUUGCAUAUUUGACUUCAUUUGCCUCUGGGAAAAACUAAAAACCAAAUGACAGACCAAGAUCACGAAACGAAUCAUGAACAUAGAUAUCAGAUAAUCAGAAAUGGGCAUUAAACAGACUACUAACAAGUAGGAAAUGCAUACAGAAAACAUUAUUCAUACACCUUAUGCACAUGAAAUAUAUAUGCAGAGGGAUCCUCUUGUGAAUUUAGUUUAUAUCCUAAUAUGAGACAAUGAACAAUUGGAUGGCAUCUAAGGGCUAACAUUUGUUUGAUUAUUAUAUGAAAAAAAAAAACAAAACAGAGUUGAUUGAUGGCCUUUGAUGGAUUGCCUACACUCUUAAAGUGCAGAGAGCCUGAUUAAUUGCUUUACCUGCCCCCCCCCCCCACACACACUUGGUUUUAUUAUCUCUCUUUUCAAAUAUAUAAUCAUUGGCUGUCUUUCAUCCUGAUCCGGCUCUCCUUCCAGGCCCCAGCUGUGUUUUCUUCAAUUCAGUGAAACAUUCACAUUCAGGUAAGAAUAAACUUGUCCUUCCUCAAAAAUCAGCUUCUCACCAUGAAGCUUUCUUUUUUAAACCAAUUACUAGUCUAGCAUAACGCAUCUAAUUGAAGACAACUCAGAAUUGAAAAAGCCAUACUUUAAUGUCUGUUGUUGGGACCUCAAGACCAGGAACAAAAAGCUUCUUUCUAACAGUUGGAUUAACAAGUAGAAAUAGCUUUUUUUCUGAAGGACCCAACAUUGCAUUGAAAAAUUCAACAAAAGGAAUGGCAUCAUAUUUAGUCCUGCUAGAAUUUUGUGCACUUAACACAAUGGUUAAUAAUUGGCCCAGCGGACACUUUGUCGAACUAUUGGCAACCUUGACUGUGGAAAUGCAUAUUUCAAAUGUUGGCAGGCUCUAGCUUCUUGAUGUACUGUUGAUAGAAAUGCCUAUUUCAAAAGUUGGCAGGCUCAAACUGCCGAGACUUUGGUUUCUUGCAUUUCAAACCCACAAAUAAAACUUUGGCAGAACCCCAGAAAGAGCUACACCUCCCAAAUUUGAUGACAAAUGAAGAGACCAUGCCUAGUGCUUAGUUCGGCAAAUGAGUAAGUUUGAAAGAAAUUAAGGGAAACCUUUCCCACAGAGAGUCAUAUUGAAGGUUACAAUUUGAAGACUUUGUCCCCUGUCGCCCACAACCUUCUUUGAUCUCUUUGCUUAGUCAUAAAUAAUCAAACAUAUGUUAGUCGUUGGAUGCAAUCCACUCACUGACAUCUCAUGUCCACAAUCAAUCAACCAUAUUUUAAUAGAAAUGAAAACAUUUUAAUUAAAAAAGAAUGAGAUAGGAACAAAAUGAAACUUGGCAGACAUGGGUCUAUGAGAUUUUAAAGAUGCUUGGUGAAAGUCGUAUUCAAGAGUUCAACAGUCAGUUCUAUCACCUAUGGCAAAGUAACCACCAUAACUAAAGCAAUUACAAAACAUCAAGAAGCUUGAACUUGGCAAGAGGUCUCAUUAACAGUAUACCUCAGAAAUUAAGACAGACUUAAAGUACAAGCUUUUGGAUUUAUUUAAACACUGAAAAUAAUAUGGGUAGAAGCUCCUAUGGUCACAGCAAACAAUUACAAAGCACAAAACCCAAAAAAUAGAUAUGCAAAAAGCUGCAAAAGAACAUUAUUAGCAAUUGACAUCUGCUUUGCUCAGACAAAGGUUCUCAUAACAAAGGACUUAGUGAUUAUCUUUCAUAUGUUUAUGUUAAGGGGAAAAAGGAAGUUUGUUUUAGUCAAUCUCAUGUCUAAUGGCAUUCAUAAGGAGCCCAAAAAUAAAAGAAAAAAUAAAGAGUUAGUAGGUGUUUCUCGCAGUAUAAAGAAAAUUUAUCAUCCAUGAAAAACUUAGUAUGGAAAAAGCUAACUCAUUUAUCUGCCAAUGGAGAAAAACUUGUUGUCCACCCACUAAGGACCCACCAUUGGGAGAUGGAUCCCAUGGAUGGGAACCACAAAUAUUUUAUUCUAAAUGAAAUGGGUAUUGUACCAUAUCAUUUAAUUUGUAGAUUCCACUGAUGGAACUCAUCAAACUUUUCAAAUGGUAGGUCCUUCAUGGGUAGGCGCAUCACUUCAGCAUCCUUCUCCACCGAUGACUAAAUCUGGACUCAUUUAAAAAGAAUACAAAGCAAAACUAAUUGACACAAAUUGCAUAGAGGUCUAGGAGCCAAAUCAAUGUUGUUAACUCAUCCAAUUAAUACAUUCUCUUAGAGGUCAUACCUUGGUAACUCAUUUCAAAAGAAAUUAAAAGAAAAACGACUGCACAAAUUGUACUGAGCUCAAGAAGACCUGUUCAAGGUGUUCACUUGUCCAACUAAUAAAAGUCAUCAAGGAUUGUAUCGGGGACUUGGGACCAAUCCUGCCUUAACUAGAGAAAGGGAAUUUAGGAUGAAGAAGAUAACCUCUUCUCCUAGAGCCCUUUUGGACAAAAAUGAAUUCCUACUAAUUCUGAGAAUAAAACCAUAGACAUCUAACUUCUGAUAUCUAGUCAAUCUGGUAAAAUCUUGUCAGUUGCACUUGGGGCAGAAAUUAGUUCCACCUUGGUUUACAGGACAGAAAUUCGUCAUAUGCAUGUAUUUAUUUAUGUUUUAUACACAAACGCAUACAUGUACACACAAACACUACCUUCACUUUGAAGAAAAGAUUAAAAUAACACUGCUCACAUACACAAUACUUACUAUUCUAGUUCGUGUAACUUUCUCUGGAGUCACAAACAGGUCACAGAAUUCACGUAUUAACCGCAUACUUCCAGUCAUUUCUAUUCCUCCUUCACCAUCACCUGUCCCACAAUUACAAAAAGUGAGAGGUAAUAACCAACAUAUUUGGGUUGCUCUUCGGUAAGGGGUGGGAGGUAAGGGUUAGUUGUGGAGGGCACCUGGUACAGAAUCAAGGCCAGCUGUUGGGAAUUCGAUCUCUUGUAACAUAUACUUGUUCAUCAUAAACUAUAUACUUAUUCUGCAGUCGAUGUGUGCAUAUAGCUCUUCAAUUAUCCAGUAAUAACUCACCAUCAACUUCCUACCAUCCUUCAUGGCUAAUUCAGCAGCCAUUUUUGCCUGUUUAAAGGUCAAAAGCCCAAACUAAGCAGAUGCUCCUACUCCGAUACUUAUUAUCUAACUACUACAGAACAGAUGAUACACAUCAAGUUGUAUCAAGAGAGACACCAAGUUGUGUUUUCCAAGAGGUUCCAAAGAGGAUCUGUUUCUUUGUGUAAUUUUUAGACUGCUUUGACAACUCAUCUUAAAGGUGCCACUCAUCCAAUAUGAUGUGGUGACAGUAGUUUAGAGUUUUAAACUAAAUGCAGAGCUAAUAGUAUUUUGGAAAUAUAAUCAUCCUAAGAUACUAUAACACAAGGAUUCUUACACAAAAACAACAACUUCGAUGUAGAGAGAAGAUGAUUUCACAAAAGCAGAUGUUUUGAUUUAAGUCUCCAAAACCCCCACCAAGAAAAUGUUCAACGGAUAUAGAAAUAUGAUCCACAUAUCUGUAACUUAAACUGUAAAAGUUGUUGAUGUUGUUCUAAAAUUGCCACAAUCUAUCUACCCCAUGAAUGUUUUUGGAUAAAACAAGAAGCAGGACCCAAUGCCUGUUUUCUAAUAGCUUCAAAAAGGCCAAAUUGGUUUUGAAAUGUCUCCAGCUUUUCAUUUAACAAGUUUAAGGAUCCCUUCGGCAUUGCAAUUGGGGAGCUCAGAUAUAUAAAAGUGCCUGGUAAACUCUUACAGCCGCAGCUUUUGAGCAAAAAUAAUUUUAUCUCAUAAUUGUUUGACUAAAAACAUAUAUCACCUUUUAUCAGUUUUGUAAAAAAUAUUAUUUAUAAGUCAUAUUUACCAAACACAGUCAACUUUUACAUCACAACUAUAGCUUUUUUUUUUUUUUCACCACACAUAUAUAGUUAAAAACUACAAGAACUCGAUAUCAAACAGAUCCUAAAGCGUAAUCUAAUAAAAAGGUAAAUAAACAAAUGCAGAAGCCAGCGUACUUGAUCAAGAAGCUCUGAAUAGUCACUGGGAAAGGGAAUAUCGACGUUAAUGGGGUUAUUGCCAUCGCUUGAAACCGAAUUGGUGAGACAAUUGCGUUUUCUUCUGUACGGCGAAAAUGUGACGAUUGAGUAACAACUUAUAUCGAACUUUAGGUUAAAAUAAUUACUAUGGAAUAUUGGAAUACGAGAUUAUUAGCAUUUGAGUGCUUGAGUGGGAAUCAAGAAAACUUAAAAUAGUUCAGUUAACCCAAAAAGAAAAAGGGGGGAAAAAACCCAUGGAAAGUGCGAUGAAUGUAAAUCCACUUUAAAACUUUAAUCAUAAAUGGUUAACUAAUUUUAAGUAAUUUGGAUUAACUUGACAAAUUGAAAAACCAUGCACUAGAGGAAAAUGUUCAUAUUUGGAGGUCCGAAUUUAUCUACCAUUCAACCCUAUUUUCAGCUCCUGCAUGGAGGAUAAGUUAGUUUGGUGAAUCUACCACUAGCUAAUUAGCUAAUUUUUUUUUUUGAAGAUAGCUAAUUAGCUAAUUAAGAGAGCAUUAACGUUGAUAAUUUGUCCUAUCUAAAAUGAAAAGUAAGAAAUUUACACUAGUAAAUUUUACACAAUCACAGUUGGAAUUUCAAAGAAACAAAAACGGAUCAAUAGUGCAAUUGUAAUUCAAAUUUGCACUUUAGGCCACACGUUCGGCCCAGUUCUUGUAUUAACACUUCAAUACUUGACAUGUGGCCAUUUUUUUAUUCGUCCACGUUCUUUGCAUUCUCAUGGUAGUACUCGAACAAGACAAAAUUUCACGAAUAUUCAGUUGAAUUGUUGUUGAAACAUGUAUAAGAAAUCAAAUCUCGUUAGUUUUGAAUAUUACCAGCAACUCAAAUUAUUUUAACCUAAAGUUCAAUAUAAGUUGUUGUUGGGGGUUAACGGCAUUUUGAACCACAAAGUAAAGAGAGAGAGAGAAGAAACGCUCCCCUUUCAAAUACCGUGCUCUUUUGUACCUGGGAAUUUAAUAAUUCAUGCGAAUAAAAAAAUUAUAAAUUUAGUAAAUUAUUUAUUAAAAAAUAUUGAGAGGUUGUGCAUUAUUUUAUUAGUAAUGACAUAGUAAUCAUCAAAUUAGUUGAAUUAAAAUAGUUGUUGACUCACGUAAUUUAUUUUUAUUAUUUUUAAAAAAAAUGGUCUGCGUUAAUAAGGUUAAGGGUGACAACUGGGAUCAAUAUACAGUUUAUUCGGGUGCUUAAAACCUAAUAAAUAUCCACUAACUCAUAUAUAGUUAAAAUAUAAUUAUUUUUAAAUAAAAAAUUUAAUAUAAACUAAACAAAUUGAUCGGAUUUUGUUUCUCAAGGUACAUCAUUAGAACGUUACUUUUAAUUGAACAAAAGCACACAUAACUAGCACAUUCGCCACAAAAGCCUCGGCUUAGUGGUCGGCUUAUUAAUUAUCCUAAUAAAAUCAUGGUCAUAAAUUUGAGUCCCCGUAGGUUAGGUAGCUUUUUUAGACUACACUAUAAAUACAUGUAUUUUACUUCUCGCGGGUAUUGCUUCUAGUAGUUAUCCAUCCGAGUAUAGAGCUUUGUAGCUUUCUUCAUGACCUUCCCCAAUUUCAAUGCUUGUUAAACAAUCUCCACAGAAAAUGUGAUAGAAAUGUCCCGCUGCCACUUGUUGUGCAUAGUCCAAAUCUGCAAUUUAAGGUCAUCAUUUCAUUUAAUUUUCCGUUAUAUAUAUUCAUCUUUCUUAGAGGCCAAGAAGUCUUCGACAGAAAUGUGAUCUUUUUCUAGUAGCCUCCCGGUGAUGAGCUUCUCCCAAGUUUCAAUUAAUUCGCUUUGAGUGAGGAUAUUUUCUGGUGGCCUCAAAUACAAUGUUUUGUUCAGCACUCGAGGAGCAUCUAUUCUCUUAAUAGUAUAUAUGGCAACAUCAUCGAUAUGCACCAUAGAAAAAAAGAUAAUCAUUUUGUUUAAUAUGAACAUAAAUUCUUACAGUCUAACUCAUAUUAUAGUGAACGAUGUUGUUGUGUGGUGCGUGCAUGCACUAUCUAUAGUUUUAAUAUUAUUAAUAAAGAGUUAAAAGUCUUGAUUUAAUUUUAAAUUGUCAUUCCUCUAACUUCACCGUCUUCAUAGAUCCAGACUUUAUCUUUUGAAGGGCGAGGGUAGCUAUAUUUGAGAGAGGUGUCCGGGGAACCAACCAGCAAAAAACAGCUAGCAGAAACAUAAAUGACAGGGAUUUGAGCAGCCUUGAUUGCCCUUCUCACACAUGUGCUCUGCGUUCUCCCUCUCGCUCUCACUCACUCACGCCCAAAUCUCACCUCACUCACGCCCAAAUCUCACCUCACUCACGCAUCUCUCCUUCUGACCGGUGGUUUUCUCUCUCUCGCCGUGGGUCUCUAGGCUGGCAGGGAUUUCUCGACUUGACUACUAAAACAUAAUCCAAAAACUACUAAGAGAUGUAUAUAUUACUCUGAUAUACACAAUAUGAAGAAACUGCAGUUAUAUUUCAAAUAUUAUAUGAAGGAAGAGGCUGUAUGGAUUAUCCAAAGGUGCUGAAAUUAAGAGACCCACACCAACCGACAGACCCCCGGUGAUAGAGAGAAAGUCGACCGUGAGAUGCAUUCAAGACGGGGGAAGAGUGAGAGAGAAAACUGCCCGGUCAGAAAGAGAGAUGCAUGAUUGAGGUGAGAGAUUUGGGCGUGAAUGAGUGAGGAGUGAGGGAGAGGGUGCCGCGUGUGUGGGAUGCGUACAGUGACAAUUUAUACUUACAUCAAAACGCCGAGUUCGGUGCCAUGUGUAGGGCUAACUGUGGUUUGAAUCUCACUUUGGUAACGGAAAUGACUUUGCAAUUGACAGUUUUUGUCAAAAGUUCGCACUGCAUGAAACUAGUGUUAAUAUAAUUUAAAAAAUUAAUUUCAGUAUUAAUUUUUAAAAUGUUAAUUAUUAUAUUUAUUUUAAUAAUAUAUUUAUAUUUAUAAUAAAAAUUUUAGUUAAAUAUUUGUGUUAAAUAGAAUUUAUAAUUAAUAUAAUAUAUCUUAGGUAUUAAUUAUUAUAAUUAUUCUAUAUGCUAUUGAAAAUCAUUUAAAUUUUUAGAUGUUUAUUUUCAUACUAAGUUUCUAUUUAUUUUAAAAUUUAGUUUAAUAUAAUAUAAGCAAGUAAAGUAUUAAAAUAUUUUUUAGUAUUUUUAAAAUAUUAAAAUUAUUUUAAAAUAUAAGUCAAUUUUUUAAGUUAAUAGAACUAAUAUUUACAGUUUAUUUGAUGGCCUCAACAAGCUAAAGCAGCAUCAAAAUUAUGUGGCUCCUUAUUUUAUUUUUUCCCUUUCAAAAAGGGAAAAGGAUAAGUUUGGGAGAAUGUUUAUAUUUUUAAUAAAUUCUUUUUUAUUAUAAUACUUUUUGUCUUUAUUAAUUUAAAAAUAUUGACUCUUAUAUUUUAAAAAAUAUAAAUAUAAUAUUAUAAUAAAAUAUAACAAUAUAUAUCAAAUAUUUAAAAAAAAUUUAUAAUUUUAUAUUAUAUUAAAAUAAAUUUUUAAUAAAUAAAAAUAAUCUAUUAAAAUAAAGUACAAAAAUUUAAAUUAUUUUCAUUAUCAUCUAAAAUAAAUUUACUAUUAUUAAUGCAUGAAAUAUAUUAUAGUAAUUGUAAAUUUCAUUUAACUCAAAGAUUUAUUUAGAAUGUUUAUAAUAAGUCCAAAUAUAUUAUUAAAAUAAUUAUAAUAAUUUACAUUUUAAAAAUUAAUACUGAUAUUAAUUUUUAAAUUAUAUUACUCUACCAGAAAAAUUAAACUAUUAAAUUAUAUCAAUAUUUAUUAAAAAAAUUGAAAUUAAUUCUUGUUAUAUUUUUAAUUGGAAUUUUUUCAUGUGAUAUAACCACAAUUGCUACAUUUUUUCCCCUGAAUAAAGAUGGAGUUAUAAAUUAUUUGUAUAAGUGUCUGUGUGGAAACUAAUGUGACAUGAAAGUAAUAGUUGAAUAACAAUAAUGGGGCUUUAGGCAAUUUUUUCAUGAGAUUUUCUUGCGAUUUCAACACUUAAACAGACUUGUCCUUCAUCCCAAUUUAUUUACCCCAUUUGGGCCCGUUAUGACAUAGACAUAUUCUUGUGGAAUGAAAAACUUCAUGAGAAGAAAUUGUUUUAUUAUAAUAGAAAAAAGUGGUCCAUAAGUCUAUUCAUUACUUUUUUUAUUCAAUAUAAAUGGCUAACUUUAAAAAUGGUAAAAAUCACAUAACGCGCAAGCGAAAUCUAAGAUUUAUAUUUUUUAAUACUCUCCAAGUCUCUCUUUCUCUUUUUCUUUUUUUAAAUAAAUGUCAAUAUAAAAUUAGAAAAAUUUUAGAUAUAAAAUUUGGCGAUGACCAAACAAAAAUUGUAGAGGAAACCUUGAUAUCAUUGAAAUACUGAUCAUAGACACUACAGUAUAAAUAACUUAUUGUGAUCCACUCAACUUGUAACACUUUAAUCCAUAUUCUAAAAUUUUCAUGUUUGUUAGGAUUUUUAUUAUUGAUACUACUGUAUCAAUAAAAUUAUAAUUUAUUCAUAUGGAAUGAAAACAUCAAGAAAGGACCUCUGAUUUUUAUUAUAACAGAAAAAAAUGGUCCAUAAGUCUAUUAAUUAUUUUAUUUAUUCAAUACAAAUGUCCAACUUUAAAAAUGGUAAAAAUCACACAAUGCACAAGUAAAAUAUUACAAUUACAUUUUUUAACUCUCUUUGAGUCUCUCUCUCUCUCUUUAAAAAAUAAACCUCACUAUAAAAUUAGAAAAAUUUUAGACAUAAAAUUUGACAAUCACCAAACAGAAAACAUAGGGAAAUGAAAAUGGAGGAGCCCUAUUUUCAUUAGAAUAUUGAUCAUAGAUACUAUAAUGUAAAUGAUUUGUUGUGGUUCAUUCAACUUGUCACACUCUAAGCCAUUUUCUAAAAUUUGUAAGGUUUAUAGUAUUUUUAUUAUUGCCAUCAUUGUAUCAAUAAUAUUAUAAAUUAUAUAUUCUAUUGUAAUGAAAAUUUGUGUAAUCUUAGGUAUUUAUUAUAUUAAAUUGUGUGGAUUAAUUAAGAAUAUUUUUGGAGACAAAAGAAGUGUGUGUACGUAGGAUUAAUGAUAAAAAAUUUCUAAAUAAAGAUGAUUGCUUCAUUGACAAGCACAUAUUUAUAUUCCUCUAUUAAUAUUUGGGUUGUAAACUCUAUAAUAAAGUUGGUUGGUGUGAGUGGUUCGGCACUCUCACUCCUUAAGAAAGAUCAGGGGUUCAAGCCUCGCUCUCGUAUGGAGUCACCACUUUGGCCAGCACUUUACCUCUUACGGGCCGACCCGAUGCGAGCAUGAAUUAGUAUGAGUUGUGGUACGGGCUUAAAGGUGCCUCCCAUAGUUUGGGCCCACUUAGGAUCACCUCGUGGUUCAAACAAAAAAAAAGUGAAUAUAUUGUGGUAAGCGAUGUGGGCAAUAUCGGUUGCGAAAUAUUGAGAGAUCAUUAAUGCAUAUAAUUAUUGAAGAUGCAUAUAGAGGGAAGAGUGUAGAUCUGGCUGUAACAAUUAUGAAGCUUUCCCCAAGUAUACUCAUGCUUCCUUAAUUGUUCCGAAGUAUUUUUCAUAGUGUGCAGAUUUACUUUAUGGUGUCUUAAUUCGUCUUAAAUGAUUACUUUAGUUGUUUUGGGAUUUAAUGUCAUUUAUUGUGUUAAUUUUAAACAAUAGAAAAAAUAAGUAAUGGUAACGAAAGACUAAUUUGUGAUAUUGAAGCAUACGGGCUUAACUCAAUCCAAAAAUUAGUAAGUUAGCUCAAGAGUUAAGAGUUGUCCAAAUCUUAUAUGCUGAAUCCAAGUUUAAUACACAAUUGAUGCGGGAUGUUAUUCCUAACACCUUCCAUCAUGCGUAGGAUUGGCAAAAAAAUUCGGGUCAGUCCCACCUAAACCUGCAGGCUUUAUGCAUGGCUCGCAUGAUGAAGUUACGGAUAUUAACCUAAAAAUUUGAAACUUACUAUGAAUGGCCUUGCUUAAAGACUUUUGCAACUUUAAUUUAUAACAAGUAUGUAUAUAUACACACACAUAAGCUUAGAUUGCAUUUGGAUGGCUUUUUUAAUCAAUUCAAACAAUUUGAAAUUUAUCGGAUUAAUCUGAAUCUUAUCUGUAUCCGAUUUUGUCCGCCCCUACUAUUUAUAAGCCCAGGUGACUCUCUUUUACUAAUUAAUAAGAGAAUUUUUGACCUUAUAUCCUUGCUGUGGUGUUAGACUGUUGGUCAUUUUGAUUGUUUCCUACCUUCCAUUUACGCCAGCUAUAACAUUGUAUUAUCACCAUUUUAGCCAUUUAAAUGAAAUUUUAUUUUUGUCAAAAAUAAAAUGACACCCUUAAAAUUAAAAAAGAAAUAGUUAUGUAGACCUCAAAUUUUUAAUAAAGAAUGCCAAUACCCCUUUUAACUACAAGAUUCUUAGUAGAUGAUAACUAAAAAAAUUAACUUCAAAAAUUUUCACUAAAUGUAAAUCUGAUUGAAAUAGUUUAAAUUUUUCUAGUAGACUAAUAUAUAUAACUUAAAUAAUUAAUUUCAUUAUUAAUUUUUAAAAUGUUAACUAAUAUAUUUUUAAUUUAUUAUAAAAAUUUUAAAUAAAUUCUUGGAUUAGAUAGAUUUUACAAUUAAUGUAAUACUGUUGAUUUAUUAAUAAUAUUAAAAUUAUUUUAUAUGAUAUUCAAAAUAAUUUAAACUUUGAUAUAUUUAUUUUAAUAGUAUGUCUAUUUAUUAUAAUUUGGUUUAAUAUAAUACGGGAUUGCAAAAUAUUAAAAUAUUUUUCAAUAUCAAAUUAUUUUAAUAUGUAUAUAUCAUUACAUUUAUUUCAAUAUCGCAUUUAUAUUUAUUAUAAGAUAUAAAAUUAAAGAGUAUUGCAAUAAAGUAAAAAAAGAAAAAAAAAAGUCUUAUUAUCCCUUAUUCACGAUAUGAGGUUCUAUAAAAUUAUUUCCCCAAACGGGUGUCCUUUUCUUAUUUUCAAAAGAAAAACUAAAGUAAGAAUAAGUCCAUGGGUUUCAAAAGACUUAUAGUCCUAUCCCGGAACCUACAUUAUCUGCCACUAUGACUAAUGACAAAUUUUUGGUGGGAUAUAGGAAAAUUGUCAAAAGUUCAUGCUGCGUGAGAGUCUUUGGUGGGAUGUGGAAGGAUUGUCAAAAGAUCACACCACGUGACAUAACCACAAUUGCUACAGUUUUUUUUUUUUAAAAUAUUGAUGGGAGUUAUAAAUUAUUUAUAUAAAUUUGCGUAGACUGAUGUAACAUAAAAGAAGUAGCUGAAUAACAAUAUUUGGUGCUUUAGGUAAUUUUCAGAUGGGCCUUUCUUUUAUUUAGCGACUUUAGUGCUUAAACAAACUUGUGCUCGAUCUUAAUUUAAGCCUAUGAUGACAUAAACAUAUUCUUUUGUGACGAAAACAUCAAGAGAAGACAUCUCAUGUUUUAUUAUAACAGAAAAGAAGUGGUCCAAACGUCUAUUCAUUAUUUUAUUUAUUCAAUAUAAAUGGCCAACUUUAAAAAUCACACAACGCUCAAGUGAAAAUUUAGAAUUACAUUUUUUAAUACUCUCGGAGUCUUUCUCUCGUGCCCCCUUUUUUUCUAAAAAAAUAAACCUUAGUGUAAAAUUAGAAGAAUUUUAGAUAUAAAAUUUAACAAUCGCUAAACAGAAAAGCAGCGGAUUGAAAAUAGAGGAGCUCUGUUAUCAUUGGAAUAUUGAUUAUAGAUAAUAGGGUAUUUUUUAAUUGAGUCCUCAUUAUUUCUAGAAAAAAAUUCAGAGACCAGAAAUUUACUAAAUGAAUUAAUUAAAUCCUUUCAAGUACAAAUUAAUAUCAUUCAAGUCCAUAACUUAACUCUUCAGUUAGAAAUAUUAACAACGUUGAGGACAUUUUAGUAAAAGAACAAUUGAACCCUUCCUCAUUCUUUUAUUUUUGACAGGUGGCAAUAGUUUGCUUACAGGUGGCAAUAGUUUAAAGCAAAGUCAAUUCACCUAACCAAGUUAAAGUUCUUUCAAGCGGAAAAAAAAAAAACCUCUAGAAGAAACUGCCGUAUUCUUCGUGUGAGAGGAGGGAUUGAGAGAACGUGGGAUGGCGUCAAAAAUGUUAUAUAAAUAUACUGUAAUUUUGACCAAAGCUUUGUUAGCAUUGGUUGAGUUCAAGUAUUGGAGAGAAGCCGAGCUUAAAGGUUAGUAACUCUAAUUUUUAAGUGAUUUUUGCAAGUAUUUUCUGAUAAAAUUGUUUCCAUAUUUAGUGAUCUUUGUGAAAAAUUAUGUUUUUCAAGUCUAUUUUUCUAAAUGACAAACUAUGUUUAAUUAUUGGUGGAUUUUUUUAUUGAAUGUUGUAUUUUGUUAAUAUACUUUUUUUAAUUUGCUCUUUAUAUAAUAAUUAGACCAAAUACACCAUAUUUAUAUAUGUAUUUAUUGAACUUAUUUUGCCUAUUUUAUAGGCUUUCUUGAGUUGUUGUAUAUGUACAAUAUUUCAUUUCAACCAAUUGGUAUCGUUAUAUUAAUAAGAUUGAAUUCAUUGUAUUUGCUUUUUUGUUCAUGUAAAAUUGAAUUCUAUGUGUUAUUAUGAGUGGUAAUUUUUAUAUAUAUUAGACUAAAUUCUCUAUAGUUGUUGGGUUAUUUUUUCUUUUCAGUUUUUAUUUUUAUAUGUAUUAGAUUGAAUUUUCUUUUAUACUUUUUUUAAUCGAAUUACAUGUAUAUUUCAUUUAGGUUGAGUUUUUUAUUCUUUGCUAAAUAAAAUUGUAUUAGUUUAGCCAUUUUUUGAUGCAAUACUUUUUUGUUUUAAAAUUGAUGCAGGUAGUCAUGUUACCUUUUUUUUUGUUGGUUAAAAUUAAUGGGGCGGUGUAUGAGAUAGGAUAUAGGGACCCAGAGGAAUAUAAGAUUAUUAGGUUGUUUCAUGAAAUUCUAGAAGUCAUGGUUAAGUAUGGACACAAUGAAAUGGAUUUGAUUGAAAUUUUUGUUGUGUUGCCAUGGACUACAAGUAGGCAGAGGAAGCUAAUUUCAAAUGAUAGUGAAUUGUAUUCGGUUUUUGAGGAGUUUUUUUACUAAUAGUUGUCAUGUUAUUGAGUUUGAGGUGCACACUGGGUUAGGUGGUCAAUCAUGUCAUGAAAGUGUUGUAAUAGGAUCUGAAAAUCCUGUCAAUAUAGGUGUUAGUAUGGGUAGUGAUAAGUUUGAAAAACUUAGUGAGGAUGGCUUUAUCGGAGGGCACUUAUCUGAUGAAGAGAAUGGUCUCUUACAUAUGUAUGAAUCCAUUGUUGAUAAUGAGUGGAAACCAAAUCUAAAUGGUUCAGUUAGUCUAAAAGUAGGAAAUACCUUUGAAUCUGUUGCAUUAUUAAAAGAGGUUAUGGUGAAAUAUGCAAUCCAAGAGGGUUUUGAGUUAAAUAGGAUUAAAAAUGAUGGUGUUAGGUAUACUUGUUGUUGUGUUAAUCCAAAAUGCACUUGGAAACUUCAUGCUUCAUCGAUGGUUGAUGGGAUAACUUUUAAAAUUAGGUAUAUUAAAGGGAAACAUGAUUGCCAGAUUAAAUCAAUUAACAAAGAUGCAACAGCACCUUGGAUAGCUAAAGUUUGUGCUGGACUUAUUCAAACUAACCCAGGAGUUGGUGUAAAUGUCAUAAGAAGUGAGUUAAAAGAUAAACAUGGGAUUGAAUGUGACAAACAAAAACUAUACAGGGCAAAAAAAAUUGCAUUAGAAAACCUAGGUGCUGACCACAUUGCUUGCUAUGGAAAGCUUUUGAAAUAUGCUCACAUUCUAAUGAAAAUGAAUAGAGGUGCUUGUGUUAAGGUAAAGGUUAAAAGGCCAUUGUCAAAUAGCCCAGUUUUUCAAAGGUUUUUUUUGUCAUUUCCUGCACUUAAAGUGGGGUACCUAACUGGGUGUAGACCUUUCAUAGGAUUGGAUGGGUGUCACUUGAAGGGGCCAUACAGGGGAGUAUUGUUAUCUGCUGUUGCAUUAGAUGAUGAUAGUGGAAUUUUUCCAUUGGCUUUUUGCAUAUGUGAGGUAGAGAACUAUGAUAGUUGGAGUUAUUUUUUAUCUUUGCUGUAUGAAUUCAUUGGGGCUGAUGAUCAUAGGUCUGUAACUAUUAUUAGUGAUAGACAAAAAGGUCUUUUAUGGGGAUUGGAAAAAUAUUGGCCUAAUGCUAGUACUAGAUAUUGUGCUAGGCAUAUCUUUGCCAAUUUGAAGUGUAAGUUUCCUGGUUUGAAUGUCAUGGGGUUAUUUUGGAAAGCUUGUAGGGCUGCAAAUCAGUAUGACUUUGAGAGGGCAAUGAGUCAAAUUAGGGCUAAAGACCAAAAUUGUUAUGAAUGGUUGAGAAAAAUACCACCUGCACAGUGGUCUAGAAGCGGGUUUGAUCAUCAUGUGAAAUCUGACCAUGUUACAAACAACAUGACUGAAUCUUUUAAUAAGUGGGUGGAUGAGGUUAGGGAUAAGCCUGUCCUAACCAUUCUUGAGCAUAUUCGUAGACAACUAAUGGUGAGAAUGUUGAAAAAAUAUCAGCUAGGUGAAACUUGGCAAGACCAUUUGACCCCAUAUGCUAGAGAAAGACUAAAUCAAUCCUCAAAUGAGGCAAGGAGAAUUAAGGUCUUUGGAGGUAGAGGGGAGCUGUUUGAAUGUUGUCAAGCUGGCUAUAGAAACAUCCUGGUACAUAUUACAGAUGGUACAUGUGAAUGUGGGAUGUGGCAAGUUAGUGGAGUGCCUUGCAAACAUGCAGUAGCUGCUAUUCUUCAUAAAGGAGGGCAACCUGAAAAUUAUGUGCAUCAUUAUCUGACCAAGGAAUCUUUUAUGAUGACAUACAUGGGGACUAUAAAUCCUAUUCCUGAUGAGUGUGCUUGGCCUGAAGUGGAAGCUGAACCUUCCCCUGAUGUUGUGGUGCCUGUGAAGGUUGGACCACCUGACAUAAAGGCUCCAGUUGGUAGACCGAAAAAGAAAAGAACAAAAGAACCUGGUGAGACCAAACUAACUAGUAAAAGGUUUACUAUCAAAUGUAGUGCUUGCAGAUGUCUUGGGCACAACAAAAGGGGUUGCCCUAAUUUUCCAAAAACCACAAGAACUAUAGAGGUAUAACAUAAGAGUCAUUUUUGUUUUUUAAAUUUCAUUUGGUGAAGCUAACAAAUAUUGAUCUUGAUGUUGUGCAGGGAAGCAAUAGGACUUCAUCAAGUGCACAGGUUUAAUUUAAUUAUACAAUUUUAAUUCAAAAGGAUUUUUUUUUCUUUUGCACUAGAUAUUGCUUAAAACUUGGUGAUAUUGGUUGUGUGCAACGAAGAAAUAAGGCUUAAUCAAGUGGACAUGUUUAAUCUAGUUCUGAAAAUUUAAUUCUAAAGGAUUUUUUUCGUUCUUUUUCAUUAAAUUGCUUAAAACUUGGUGAUUUUUUUUGUGCGCAGGCAAGCGAUAUCACUUCAUCAACUGCACAGGUCUGAUUUUGUAAUUGAAUCUCCUUAUAUAUGUUUUGUUAUGUUAUCAAAUGGAUUAAUAACUUGGUACUAUAUAUGUUUGAUUUGAUCAUGGAAUUAUAUUGAAUAGAUUGAUUCUUUUUUUUUUAUUAAAUGAAAUUGAUGUCUUUUUUUUUUUCUUUUUGGACAGCAUGGAACUAACCCACAAUCUCAAGAAGUAGAUGUCAAUGAUCAAUCAAUUGGCAAUAGUUCUGAACAAGCUAGUUAGGCUUCAAUCAAUGUCACUCAACCAGUGGGGCUGUAUACACAACUAUUGUGGACUGUACUUCAACCUCAAAAUGAAGAAAUUAUCACUGUUAACAAGGAGUAGGAUAAUACAAUUUCACCUUGGGUUGACAUUUAAUUCUCCAUUAUAGAAUUUAGAAGACAAUUAACUAUUUUUUGUGUUUAAAUUUCAGUUUACCUUAGUAUUGUUAAGGUAUUUGUUAGUUUGAAUUUAAUUGACUUUCAUACUUUUAAUUUCAUUUUUAGACCGAAUGUUAUUGUGAUUUUUUUAAUAUUAUAUUCAAUACAUAUGUUAUUUAGUUUAACAAUUAUUAUAUUUUUAUAGAUGUGAUGAAAUUAUAUGGAUAGCAAAUUACAUUUUCAUGUAUAAUUCACUCAAAUUGAUAAAUAGGCUGUUAGAUUGAAAAAAAAAAGUCCAAGGUUAAAAUUGUACUUUAAAUCACUAAUAUGAUUAUAGGGGUAUACCUGUCUUUUAUGUUUAACUUAACAUUUUCACUAAUUUUUUUAACGGAAGAAUUGGGUUAAGGGCUUGAAUGACAUAAAUUUACAGUUGAAAGGAUUUAAUUGAUUCAUUUAGUAAACUUCUGGUCUCUGAAUUUUUUUCUAGAAAUAAUGAGGACUCAAUUAAAAAUUACCCUAGAUAAUAUAAUAACUUGUUGUGGUUCAUUGUAGCACUCUGAGCCAUAUUUUAAAAUUUACUGGUUUGUUAAUGCUUUUAUUAUUGACAUUAUUGUGUCAAUAUUAUUAUAAUUAAUUUAUUCAUUUUAUUGUAAUGAUAAUUUGUCUAGUCUUAGGUACUUAUUAUAUUAAAUUAUGUAAAUUAAUUGAGAAUACUUUUAGAGACAAAAGAAACACGUGUAUGUAGGAUUAAUAAGCGAAGAGUUGUAAAUGAUGGUGAUUGCUUCAUUCAGAGGCAUAUUAAAUAAUUAUGGAGAGUUGCUCUAUUUCGGAAGCAUAUAUUUAUACUUCCCUACCAGGAUUUGGGGUAAGCGAAGUGCUUUAUGUAUUGCAGUAAGGAAAUGUGGGCAAUAUCAGAGCCGAAAUAUUAAAAGAUCAUAACGCAUAUAAACAAUUAGUAUAUUCAAGACACAUAUAGAGGAAAGAGUGCAGAUCCGGCCGUAACUAUUAUGAGGAUUUCCUCAAGUAUUCUCAUGCUUCCUCAACUGUUCUGAACUAUAUAUUCUUCAUUGUGGGCUGUUUUGCUUAAAUACCAACACAAUGAUUCAAUACUUCAAAGGUCAAGGAAAUGUCAAAAUAUGAAAUGAAAAUACUUAAAUAGCCUUCUACCUAACAAAACUUAGUACUUCUAACUGCCUUCGCAGAGAAUCUAUAAAAUAAAAAAAAAAUCAUCCAGGAAAAGUUUCGUAACAGAAAAACCGUCUUUCAAAAAAUAAAAAUAGAAAAACCGACUCAUUUAUCUGCCAAUGAACCAGUCGGGACUCAUUUAAAAAAGAUUAAAAAGCAAAAGUAAAUGACACAAAUUGCAUAGAUAUCUCGGAGCCGCAUCAAAGGACAAAGGUGUUAAUUUGUCCAAGUAAUAAAUUCUCCUAGGUCAAAAGCAAUUAACGAUGAAAACUUUCUUCAUUAAGGGUCUGGCCUACGUAAAAAAAAAACAGAAAAACCACCCCAAGGUCAAAGCACAACCAUAAGUUUUGAGUUGCAGUUUUUAAAUUUUUUUUAUAAUAAAUCAACGUGUAUAAAAAAUAGAUAAUGAUUUUGAAUAAUCUUUUUGAUAAAUAUAGACAUAAAAUUUUAAAAUCACCAAACAGAAAAACAGGGAAUUAAAAGAGAGCCCUUGUUUCUCCUCUAUUUUGUUUGUUUGUCCUCUAUUUUAGCAGGGCAGCUAAAAGGGUUUGGAAGUUGACUGAAUUUUAUGAGGAUGUAAAGCAAUUAGCUCGGCAAGACAUGUUGAGUGUGCUGCAGGAUUUAACUGUGAAGAGAAAAAAGAAUGAGCUGGAGCUUGUUGUUGCGGUGUGCUGGGCCAUCUGGUACUCUAGGAAUCGUUUGGUGUUUGAAGGAAAGGAUGAAGAUCCAAAAAAUUCAGUGGCCAGAGCAAUUGCUAUGGUGGAAUCAUACAGGCGAAUAAAAGUUCCAAAUGAACAAAAUUCUCCAGGCCAUAGCAGAAUCAGUCAACUAGAAUGGGCAAAUCCUCCAAAGGGGUGUUAUAAAGUCAACGUUGAUGCUCCAAUCAAUGUUUCAAACCAAAAGGCAGGGUUGGGGGUAGUCAUUAGAAACUCUGUGGGUAAGGUUGUUGCUGCAGCAGUCCAAGGAACUCCAUAUAGGGGAGAUGUGGCGUGUAUGGAGGCUGAAGCUGUUCUGUUUGGUCUUCAGAGUGCCCAACAAGCAGCUGUUUCCCCAAUAAUUAUUGAGUCAGAUUCAAAGGAAGUGGUGGACCUAUCCUUAAAGAAAAAGAUCAGCAAGACUGAAAUUGAGUGGAAAAUUGCAGAAAUCCAAGCAAAUCUGGAAAAUCAGAAUGUGUCCUCGCUGUCAUAUGUCCCUAGAAACUGUAACUCUAUUGCUCAUUCUAUUGCAAAGAUAGCUCUAGGUUUUGAAAGUCAAGUCUUUUGGCUGGAAAACUUUCCAGAACAUAUCAGGUGUACUCUUGCUAAGUUCAUCAAUUGAAAAGCUUUACUUUUCUCAUCAAAAAAAAAAAAAUAGGGAAAUGAAAAGAUCGUAGGUGGAAAUUUUUUUUCUGCGUUGUAUCUUCUCAAUGCUGCAUGCAUUCAAAUUGUCAUAUUGCGAAAAUCCCUUUUCAAUGUUUCAAUUGCAAUGUCAUUGCCAUUAUUCAUAGUGGCAGACAAUGGACAUCACGGGACAUGGCUAGAAGUCUAUGUUACGGCUUCUGUAAGUAACAGCAGCCAAUGGGGAACUUCCACGGGUGCUAGAGGAGAGAGAAAGAGGUCCCAAUGCAAGGUGAUGGAAAUAGGGAUGGCAAUUGUACCCGCAAACCCGCAAACCCGCCCAAACCCACCCGCCAAAACCCGCCCGUUGCGGGUAAUUUUACCCGUUGCGGGCGGGUUUAGUAUUAUAAAUUAAAACCCGCACAUGGAUGCGGGUGGGUUUGGUAUUAACCUUAUAUCCGGUGGAUACCCGCAUGGAUAUCCACCAAACCCGCAAUAUUUUUUUUCAAAUAUUUUUAAUUUAAUUUAAAUAUAAAAAUGUAUAAAGAAAAUAAUGUCAUUAAUCAAAUUACCAAAUAGACAAAUGCUCAAAGUUGUGUAUGUGUGUAUGUGACCCAUCUCUUAUUCUAAAGUCAUAAGCUAAAGAAAACUAAAGGCAUUACCCUUCGAAUUAGUAUUUGAAAAUAUUAAUCUUAAUUAUUAUUAUAGGCAUUGUGUUGGAUGGGUGCUUAUGGUGGUGAAUGAAAUGAAUAUAUUCUCUUGGAUCUUGUUUUAAAUGAUAAUAUGAAAUGUAAUUAUUAUUUUUAGAUACUAGUUUGUGUUUUUUAAAUAGAUUUGUGUAAUUUAUACUUAAAUUUGAGAAUUUGUAUUGAAUUGAUGUGGAAAUUUUAAUUUUUCAUUGACAUUGUUUAAAUAUAAAAUUGAGUAUGCUAUAUGGAAUUUGAGGUUAUUAUUAUAAAUUUAUAUAUUAAAUAUUUGUGAUUUUAAAUACGGAAACCCGCAAAAAAUCCGCCGGAUACCAUUGCGGGUUUGGUAAUUGUUAAAACCCGCUGCGGGUGGGUUUUUUUAAAAAAAUUAAAACCCGCUGCGGAUUGCGGGUGGAUUUGGUGAUUUAAAUUUUGUGCGGGUUUGGGUUUGAUAAUGGCAAACCCGCUGCGGGCGGUGCCCAUUGCCAUCCCUAGAUGGAAAUGGGAAAGUUCAAAGCUGUUACUUUCAGCUUCUGCACCGUAGCCAUGUCCCACGGGACAAGGCUAGAAGUUAUCAUGACCAUAGACUUUUCUAAUUUAUUUUUUCCUUUCAAAAAGGGACAAGGAUAAGUUUGGGAGAAUGAUUAUAUUUUUAAUAAAAGAAUUCUUUUUUAUUAUAAUACUUUUUGUCUUUAUUAAUUUAAAAAUAUUAACUCUUAUAUUUUAAUAAAUAUAAUUAUAAUAUUAUAAUAACAUAUAACAAUAUAUACAAAUAUUUAAAAAAAAUUAAGAUUUUAUUAAAAUAAUUUUAUAAUAAAUACAAAUAUAUUAUUAAUAUAAUUAUAAUAAUUUUCAUUUUAAAAAGUAAUACUGAUAUUAAUUUUUUAAAUUAUAUUACUCUACUCAAAAAAUUAAACUAUUAAAUUAUAUUGAUAUUUCUUAAAAAAGUUGCAAUUAAUUCUUAUUAUAUUUUUAAUUGGAUUUUUUUCCCGAGAUAUAACAACAAUUGCUACAGUUUUUUCCCAAAUAAAGAUGGAGUUAUAAAUUAUUUGUAUAAGUGUCUGUGUGGAAACUAAUGUGACAUGAAAGUAAUGGUUGAAUAACAAUAAUGGGGCUUUAGGCAAUUUUUUUAUGAGGUCCUCUUGCAAUUUCAACACUUAAACAGACUUGUCCUUGAUCCCAAUUUAUUUACCCAUUUAGGCCCACGAUGAGAUAAAUAUAUUCCUGUGAGAUGAAAAACAUCAGGAGAAGAAAAUGUUUUAUUAUAAUAAAAAAAACAAGUGGUCCAUAAGUCUAUUUAUUACUUUUUUUAUUCAAUACAAAUGGCCAACUUAAAAAAUGAUAAAAAUCACAUAACGCACAAGCGAAAAUUUAGAUUUACAUUUUUUAGUUCUCUCCGUGUCUCUCUUUCUCUUUUUUUUUUAAAAAAAUAAAUAAAUGUCAGUGUAAAAUUAGAAAAAUUUUAGAUAUAAACUUUGGCGAUGACCAAACAAAAAUUGAAAUACUGAUCAUAGACACUACAAUAUAAAUAACUUGUUGUGAUCCACUCAACUUGUAACACUUUAAUCCAUACUCUAAAAUUUGUAUGUUUGUUAGGAAUUUUAUUAUUGACAUUAUUGUACCAAUAAAAUUAUACUUUAUUCAUAUGGAAAGAAAACAUCAAGAAAGGACCUCUGAUUUUUAUUAUAACAGAAAAAAGUGGUCCAUAAGCCUAUUUAUUAUUUUAUUUAUUCAAUACAAAUUGCCAACUUAAAAAAUGGUAAAAAUCACAAAAUGCACAAGUAAAAUUUUAGAAUUACAUUUUUUUAAUUCUCUUUGAGUCUCUGUUUCUCUCUUUAAAAAAUAAACCUCACUGUAAAAUUAGAAUAAUUUUAGACAUAAAAUUUGGCAAUCACCAAACAAAAAAUGUAGGGAAAUGAAAAUGGAGGAGCCCUAUUAUCAUUAGAAUAUUGAUCAUAGAUACUAUAAUGUAAAUGAUUUUUUGUGGUUCAUUCAACCUGUCACACUCUAAGCCAUUUUCUAAAAUUUGUAAGGUUUAUAGGAUUUUUAUUAUUGGCAUCAUUGUAUCAAUAAUAUUAUAAAUUAUAUAUUCUAUUGUAAUGAAAAUUUGUGUAAUCUUAGGUAUUUAUUGUAUUAAAUUGUGUGGAUUAAUUAAGAAUAUUUUUGGAGACAAAAGAAGUGUGUGUACGUAGGAUUAAUGAUAAAAAAUUUCUAAAUAAAGGUGAUUGCUUCAUUGACAAGUACAUAUUUAUAUUCUCUAUUAGUAUUUGGGUUGUAAACUUUGUUUAUAAAGUGAAUAUAUUGUGGUAAGCGAUGUGGGCAAUAUCGGAUGCAAAAUAUUGAGAGAUCAUUAACGCAUAUAUUUAUUGAAGACGCAUAUAGAGGAAAGAGUGUAGAUCCGGCUGUAACAAUUAUGAAGCUUUCCCCAAGUAUUCUCACGCUUCCUUAACUGUUCCAAAGUAUUUUUCAUAGUGUGCAGAUUUACUUUAUGGUGUCUUAAUCCGUCUAAAAUGAUUACUUUAGUUCUUUUGGGAUGAAAGGUCAUUUAUUGUGUUAGUAUUAAACAAUAGAAAAAAUAAGUAAUGGUAACGAAAGACUAAUUUGUGAUAUUGAAGUAUACAUGCUUAACUCAAUCCAAACUUAGUAAGUUAGCUCAAGAGUUAAGAGUUGUCCAAAUCUUAUAUACUGAACCCAAGUUCAAUACUCAAUUGAUGUAGGAUGUUAUUCAUAACACCGCCCGUCAUGCGUAGGAUUGGCAAAAAAACUCGAGUCAAUCCCACCUAGACCUGCAAGCUUUAUUUAUGGCCAGCAUAAUGAAGUUACAGAUAUUAACCUAAAAAUUUGAAACUUACUAUGAGUGGCCUUGGUUAAAGACUUUUGCAACUUUAAUUUAUAACAAGUAUGUACACACACACACACACACACACACACACAUGUUUAGAUUGCAUUUGGAUGACUUUUUUUUAUCAAUGCAAACAAUAUCAAAUUUAUCGGAUUAAUUUGAAUCUGAUCUAUAUCCGAUUUUGCCUACCCCUACUAUUUAUAAGCCCAAGUGACUCUCUUUUACUAAUUAAUAAGGGAAUUUUUUGACCUCAUGUCCUUGCUGUGGCAUUAGACUGUUGGUCAUUUUGAUUGUUUCCUACCUUCCAUUUACGCCAGCUGUAACAUUGUAUUAUUCACCAUUUUAGCCAUUUAAAUGAAAUUUUAUUUUUGUCAAAAAUAAAAUGACACCCUUAAAAUUAAAAAAAAAAUAGUUAUGUAGACCUCAAAUUUUUAAUAAAGAAUGUCAAUACCUCUUUUAACUACAAGAUUCGUAGUAGAUGAUAAAAAGAAAAUUAACCUCAAAUUUUUUCAUUAAAUGUAAAUCUGAUUGAAGUAGUUUAAAUUUUUCUAGUAGACUAAUAUAUAUAACUUAAAUAAUUAAUUUCAUUAUUAAUUUUUAAAAUGUUAACUAAUAUAUUUUUAAUUUAUUAUAAAAUUUUUAAAUAUUAUCCUUGGAUUAAAUAGAUUUUACAAUUAAUGUAAUACUUCUUAUUUUUUAAUAAUAUUAAAAUUAUUUUAUAUGAUAUUCAAAAUAAUUUAAACUUAUAUAUAUUAAUAUUAUGUCUAUUUAUUAUAAUAUGGUUUAAUAUUAUACGGGAUUGUAAAAUAUUAAAAUAUUCUUCAAUAUCAAAUUAUUUUAAUAUGUACAUAUCAUUACUUUUAUUUUAGUAUCGCAUUUAUAUUUAUUAUAAAUAUAAAAUUAAUAAAAUUAAAGAGUAUUGCAGUAAAGUAAAAAAAAAAAGUCUUAUUAUCCCUUAUUCAUGAUAUGAGAUUCUACAAAAUUAUUUCCCGAAACGGGUGUCCUUUUCUCAUUUUCAAAAGAAAAAAUAAAGUAAGAAUAAGUCCAUGGGUUUCAAAAACUUCUAGUCCUAUCCCGGGACUACAUUGCUGCCACUAUAACUAAUGGAAAUGACAUUUCAAUUGACAUUGCCUUUCGCAACAUGAAAAAUUUUUGGUGGGAUAUGGAAGAAUUGUCAAAAGUUCACGCCGUGUGAGAGUUUUUGGUAGGAUGUAGGAGGAUUGUCAAAAGAUCACACCAUGUGAUAAAACCACAAUUGCUAUGGUUUUUAUUUUUUAAAUAAUGAUGGGAGUUAUAAAUUAUUUAUAUAAAUUUGCGUAGAAACUAAUGUAACAUAAAAGAAAUAGCUGAAUAACAAUAUUUGGUGCUUUAAGUAAUUUUUAUAUGAGCCUUUCUUUUAUUUAGCGGCUUUAGUGUUUAAACAAACUUGUUCUCGAUCUUAAUUUACUGACCCCAUUUAAGCCCAUAAUUAAACAUAUUCUUUUGUGACGAAAACAUCAAGAGAAGACAUCUCAUGUUUUAUUAUAACAGAAAAAGAAGUAGUCCAAACAUCUAUUCGUUAUUUUAUUUAUUCAAUAUAAAUGGCCAACUUUAAAAAAAUGAUAAAAAUCACACAACGCUCAAGUAAAAAUUUAGAAUUACAUUUUGUAAUACUCUCUGAGUCUCUCUCUCCUGCCCCCCCCCCCCCUUCCUUUUAAAAAAAAUAAACCUUAGUGUAAAAUUAGAAGAAUUUUAGAUAUAAAAUUUGGCAAUAGCUAAACAGAAAAGCGGCGGAUUGAAAAUAAAAAAGCUCUAUUACCAUUGGAAUAUUGAUUAUAGAUAAUAUAAUAACUUGUUGUGGUUCAUUGUAGCACUGUGAGCCAUAUUCUAAAAUUUAUAGGUUUGUUAAGGCAUUUAUUAUUGACAUUAUUGUGUCAAUACUAUUAUAAUUUAUUCAUUUUAUUGUAAUGAUAAUUUGUCUAGUCUUAGGUACUUAUUAUAUUAAAUUAUGUAAAUUAAUUGAGGAUACUUUUAGAGACAAAAGAAACACGUGUAUGUAGGAUUAAUAAUCGAAGAAUUGUAAAUGAAGGUGAUUGCUUCAUUGAGAGGCAUAUUAAAUAAUUAUGGAGAGUUGCACUAUUUCGGAAGCACAUAUUUAUACUUCCCUAUCAGGAUUUGGGAUAAACGAAGUGCUUUAUCUAUUGCAGUAAGCAAUGUGGGCAAUAUCAGAGGCGAAAUAUUAAAAGAUCAUCCAUGAAAAGCUUCGUAACAGAAAAACCGUCUUUCAAAAAAAAAUAAAAUAAAAUAAAAAUAAAAACAGAAAAACCGACUCAUUUAUCUGCCAAUGAACCAAUCAGGACUCAUUUAAAAAAGAAUACAAAGCAAAAGUAAAUGACACAAAUUGCAUAGAUAUCUAGUAGCCGCAUCAAAGGACAAAGGUGUUAAUUUGUCCAAGAAUAAAUUCUCCUAGGUCAAAAGCAAUUAACGAUGAAAACUUUCUUCAUUAAGGUUCUGGCCUACGUAAAAAAACAGAAAAAAUCACCCCAAGGUCAAAGCACAACGAUAAGUUUAGAAUUGGAAUUUUUAAUUUUUUUUAAUAAAUCAACGUGUAUCAAAAAUAGAUAAUAAUUUUGGAUAACUUUUUUUGAUAAAUAUAGACAUAAAAUUUUAAAAUCGCCAAACAGAAAAACAGGGGAAUUAAAACAAAGUCCCUGUUUAUCCUCUAUUUUGCUUGUUAUUAAAAAGGGAAAUGAAAAGAUUGCAAGCCGAAAUUUUGUUUCUGCGUUGUCUCUUCUCAAUGCUGCAUGCAUUCAAAUUAAACCUUACAUAUGCUAGCAAACUAGCUACUCUGCAUGUAAGUUCUCGAUAAGUCCAAAUAAUAGAAUAAUUGUAAAAUGUUCAAAUUCAGUAAUUAAUUAUACAUAUUUAUUUAUUCAAAAAUUAUUAUUAUUACUAAUUAUUGUCAAUAAUAUAUUAAUAUACUAAUUAAUUGUAAAAAAAUUUAUCAUUCAUAACAAUAAUGAUGAUGAUGAUAAUAAUAAAAAUUCAAAAUAUAUUAAUUAAUUAUAAUAAUAUAUUAAUUAUUUAAUAAUAAUAUAUUUAAAAUAUAUAAAUUGAUUAGAAUAGUUAUAUUAAUAAAUUAUAAACAUAUAUUAAUUAAUCAUAAUAAUUUUUUAAUUGAUGACAAAAUAGAUAUUUUAUAGUUUGUGAGAGGGGGCAAAAUGAUCAAUCUUGGGAAUGGGGGAUUGAUUCCCACCACCUUCCUUAGGAAUCAAUCUUCCAUUCCUCAUUCCUAAUUUGGGUGGUCCCCAUAGUUCUUAUUCGGAUCCCAGCCUCUAUUUUGUGAAGUAAACAUCAUUAAUGAUUUCGAUUUCGGAUUCCGAUUCUCCAAUCCAAGAAGUAAAGGCACCAUUAUUGUUAAUUGGUUCAAACACACAAAGAGAAUGUACCAUGUAGCUAGGCGUCAAGGUUGUGUGGCACAAGGUUGUGUGGCACAAGUAGGGAUGGCAAUUCAACCCGCACCCGGCCCGGACCCGGAUGAAACCCGGAUUUUCCAGUCCGGGUUUAACCCGUACCGGAUUAAAUAAAAUCCGGAUCCGGAUGUCAUUUUAAAAACCCGCAUGUACCCGGGUCCGGUUCCGGGUUUAAGUAAACCCGUACAUCCGGAACCCGGACCCGGAUAUAUAUUAAUUUUAAAAAAUUAUUUUUAAUAUAAAUAGAAAGCAAAAAAAACCCAAAUGGUGCCCUAGAAGCUCAUUACACUUUCCCAGCCGCACAAACAUUUCCUCUCUUAUUCCCUCUUCAGCUCAUCUUCAUCUUCAUCAAAUCAUCGUCGCAUCACUUGCCCAUCUUCGCGGCUGUUCAACUUCAACAUCAUCAUCAUCAUCAUCAUCAGCCGUCGUUUCCUUUCUUUUUCUGCGGCGACCGGUAACUAGCUGUGAUACGGGUUGAACGCCGCCUUUGCCAAUCGCAACCGCGGCUGUGUUCAUCAUCAUCAACCGCCGUCACUUUCAAGAACGAUACUCGAAAAUAUUUUGAUGGGAAUCUUGUUUUUGGUCAUUUUAGUAACAGUGUGUGCAAGUGCGAGUGAGAGAGAGAGAGAACGUGGCUUACUCGAUGCCACUUAUCAUGCUUUCAUCUUUUUUCAUCCAGUGCGGGGUCUGUCUUUGUUGGCUUUUUGGAAAACUUGUUGCUUUUAAUGGUGUAUUACUUCUUUUGAAUAUCCAAUCAAUGUAAACUUAUUUACAUUACCCCUCCAGUUUUCCCAUCACCAUUAAAAGUGCUUUGGUUGCUCCUUGACUGUGCUUUGGUUGCUCCUUGACUCCUGACUUCCUGCUCGCAACAAAAGCUAGUUCUUUAGCUCUCUUUACUAAUUGAACGAGUCACCACAUUGGGUUGCUGAUUCUGGGCAGCCAAACAAAAUUGUUGUUUUUGUUAAUUAGUUUCCAGAUGAAAUAAUUUUUCUUUGAUUUGCUGAAAUCCUGGAUAUGUAUUUCUAUUUGAUUUUUUUAGUCGAAUUUAGUUUUUUUUUUUAAAUUGGAUUCAUCAAUCCGGGUUGGAAACCCGCAGUCCGGAAACCCGGAUUUUUCCGGGUUGAACCCGUACCGGACCCGGAGUGGAAAAAUGCGGGUUUAUUUCCGGGUCCGGUACAGAAAAUAUUCGUCCGGGUCCGGAUCCAGAAUGACUAAACCCGGACCCGGACCCGGAUUUUGCCAUCCCUAGGCACAAGUAACCUUUUUCUUUUCUUUUUAUUUUUUUUUGUUUUCCUUAACGGAUCAGAAGAAAUCGGUGCCUUUGAGAUACUACAAUGUAAAUAAGUACUUGUGGUUCAUUAAAUCUGUAACACUCGGUACCCUAAGGUUUCUUUUGAAAAAGGGCUUUUCUCACUGAUCACCAAUAUCCAAGUAAGUUUGUUUCAUUUCAGAAGGUGCAAAGUUUCAAACUUUUUGUAUUGGGAUGUAACAAACUUUGGCCUUAUAUGCCUGCUGUGACGUUAGACUGUUCAUUUUGAUUGUUUCAUACCUUUCACUUGCGCGCACUGUAGCACUGUAUUAUUCAUCAUUUUAGCUGUUUAAAUGAAAUUUUAUUUUUGUCAAAAAUAAAAUGACACCAUAAAAAUUUAGAAAAAUAAUCAUGUAGAUCCCAAAUUUUUAAUAAAGAAUACCAAUAUUCCCCUUGACUACAAUACCCUUAGUAGGUGGUAAUCAAACAAAUUGACUUAAACUUUUUUACGAAAUGUAAAUAUGAUUUAAAUAAUUUAAAUUUUCCAGUAGACUAAUAUAUAAUUUAAAUAAUUAAUUUCAAUAUUAAUUUUUAAAAUGUAAAUUAAUUUAUUUGUAUUUAUAAAAUAUUUGUAAUUAUUUUAAAAUUUUAACUAAAUCCUUAGGUUAAAUAGAUUUUACAAUUAAUAUAAUAUUUCUCAUGUAUUAAUAAUAUUAAAACUAUUUUAUAUGAUAUUGAAAAUAACCUAAAUUUUUAUAUAUUUAUUUGAAUAUUAUGUCUCUAUUUAUUAUAAUUUGGUUUAAUAGAAUACGAGAUUGUAAAUUAUUAAAAUUUUUAGAUAUUGAAAUUAUUUUAAUAUGUACAUAUUAUUAUAUUUAUUUUAAUAUCCUACUUAUAUUUAUUAUAAAAUAUUAAAAUUAAUUUUUUUAGUUAAUAAAUUUAAAAAAUAUUAUAAUUAAAAAAAAGAGUCUUAUUGCCUGUUAUUCACGAUAUGAGGUUCUACAAAAUUAUUUUCAAAAGGAAAAAUAAGUCCAGGGGUUUCAAUAAAUUCUAGUCCUAUCUGCCACUAUAACUAAUGGAAACGACAUUGCAAUUGACAUUGCUUUUCGCAAUAUGACAAUUUUUUGGAGGGAUAUGGGAGAAUCGUCAAAUGUUCACACUAUGCGGGAGUUUUGAAUGGGAUCGGGGAGAAUUGUCAAGAGUUCACACCACGAGAAACCAAUGAUAGCCAUAAUUACGCUGUCAGUUCUUUGUUUAUUUAUUUUGUUUAUUUCAUACAUUGUUGUCUUGUUGGCAUUGUUUUGUAAAUAUAUAAAAGUAAAGUAAACUAUUAGGGUGCUGCUAAGUUAAACUGUUGUAACUUACAAUCCCUUAAAAAAUAAUGUAAAAAAUUUAACACGUGGUGGGAUCGACAUAUGUUUGAAGAGGCUUUAAGUUACAGUAGUUGUGACUUAGAAAAAUCCAAAUAUUAGACAAUAACACACAUUAACAAUGCAUAUAAUUUGGGUUUGAUUUUUUUAAAAAUUAUUUGAGUAUUAACUAUCCUUAAGAUAUUAAUGUGAAUAUAAUUUAAUAUUAAAUAAUCAAAAUCUGUAUAAUUAUAAUAUAUAUUUCAUACAUUGCAUGUUUAAUCAAAAUCGGAUUGCUUUUUACCUUCCAUUUACGCCCACUGUAGCAUUGUACUAUUCACCAUUUUAGCUGUUUAAAUGAAAUUUUUAUUUUUUUUCAAAAAUAAAAUGACACCCUUAAAAUUUUAGAAAAUAGUCAUGUAAACCCCAAAAUUUUAAUAAAAAACACCAAUACCCUUUUUUACUAUAGUACUCUUAUGGUAGCCACAAAAAAAAAUGACUUCAAAAUUUUUUACUAAAUGUAAAUAUGAUUUAAAUAGUUUAAAUUUUCUAGUAGACUAGUAUGUAUAAUUUAAAUAAUUAAUUUUUAAAAUGUAAUUUAAUAUAUUUAUUUUAAUAAUAUAUUUAUUAUAAAAUUUUAAACAAAUCCUUGGGUUAAAUAGUUUUUAUAAUUAAUAUAAUAUUUCUCACGUUUUAAUAAUAUUAAAGUUAUUUUCUAUGAUAUUGAAAAUAAUUUAAAAUUUUAUAUAUUUAUUUUAAUAUUAUGUCUCUAUUUAUUAUAAUUUGGUUUAAUAGAAUACGAGAUUGUAAACUAUUAAAAUAUUUUUAGGUAUUGAAAUUAUUUUAAUAUGUAUAUAUUAUUAUAUUUAUUUUAAUAUCCUACUUAUAUUUAUUAUAAAAUAUUAAAAUUAAUUUUUUUAGUUAAUAAUUUAAAAAAAUAUUAUGGUUAAAAAAAAGAGUCUCAUUGUCCGUUAUUCACGAUAUGAGAUUCUACAAAAUUAUUUUCAAAAGGAAAAAUAAGUUCAGGGGUUUCAACAAAUUCUAGUCCUAUAUGCCAUUAUGACUAAUGGAAACGAUAUUGAAUUGACAUUGUUUUUUGCAAUAUGACAAAUUUUUGGAGGGAUAUGGGAGAAUCGUCAAGCGUUCACACCAUGCAAGAGCUUUAUGUCACGGGAUGAGUGUUUUGCGCAGCUAACCCGUGCGGCACUUAGACAACUUUGCCGAAUGUUGCUAAGUAAGCCUAGAGCUUCUCGAACAAGAGAAGAGAGCAAUUGAGCCAAAGAAGAAACUUGUAUUGCACAAAGAGAGAUUACAAUGCUUGUUGCUUACAAAGCUUGUUAGAUACAAAUGCCUAAUGCCAUUCCAUAUUUAUAGGGGAGGCUUGCCAAGCUCUAGAGAUUCUAGAGAAUUCUACCAACUAUCUAGAAUUUACAUGUGCUGGAAAGUCAUAGAGAAUUCUAGAGUAUUUACAAGCUCACAUGUGCUAGAGUUUCCUAGAACUUUCCGGAAUAAGGUCAAGCUAGCACUCUUGACCUUGUGUUGGCUCUCUACCCCGAAAUUGUGGGCAAUUGGGCUAGUGAAUUGGGAGGUCCGUAACAUCCUCCCCCACCUAAGCUCGCGGCGUCCUCGUCGUGCUCUCAUGCUUGAAGCGUUGGAUGUGCUCAGCGAAUUGCCACAAAUCAUCUUCACAUUCCCAAGUGGCUUCACUCUCGGGGAGGUUUUUCCACUUCACUAAGUACUCGCUAUGUGCUGGCACGCCUCUCCUCGAAACCGUGCGGUCCGCAAUGAUGUAGUCCACAUCUUUGUCGAACGCGUUGACAACGGCAGUUGGUGCACGCCUUGAUUCUCCAAGACUUGGUUCUCCCACGUCUUCGUGAUAUGGCUUGAGAAGGCUCACAUGGAAGACCAGAUGGAUCUUGAGUCUUGGUGGAAGUUGGAGUUGAUACGAGACGUUGCCCACAUGUCGAACAACUCGGAAGGGUCCCUCGUAGCGCCUCACUAACCCCUUGUGAACUUUCCGCAAAGUCUUGAAUUGUUGGGGUAGGAGCUUGAUCAUGACUUGAUCACCUUCCUUGUACUCAACAUGCCGUCUCCUUGUAUCCUCCCAUUUCUUCAUUUUCCUCGCGGCUUUGUCGAGAUAGGCUCGCGUGAUAUCCGCUUCCUCAUGCCAUUCGUGGGCGAGCUUGUGUGCCGCGGGAUUUUCCCUCCGUAAGUCGAGGCUAUGGCAUUGGGGGUCAUGGGCUGGAAUCCCAUGAUGAUCUCGAAUGGACUCUUGCCCGUAGCCUCACUUCGCUGCAAGUUAUAAGAAAAUUAGGCGAUGUCAAGUAGUUUCGCCCAAUCCCUCUGAUGAGCGCUCACAUAAUGCCUCAAGUACAUCUCGAGGAGGCCAUUGAUGCGCUCGGUCUGCCCAUCCGUUUGUGGGUGGAAGCUUGUCGAGAACUCGAGAUUGGUCCCCAACAUCUUGAAGAGCUCCGUCCAAAAAUACCCAGUGAACCGAGGGUCUCGGUCGCUCACAAUGCUUUUUGGAACUCCCCAAAGCUUCACAAUGUGCUUGACGAAUAGGCGGGCUGCCUCGUCCGCUUUACAGUCGACGGGUGCGGCAAUGAAUGUGACAUACUUGUUGUAUCGGUCGACAACAACGAUGAUGCUUCCGCAACCUUCAGACUUGGGGCAGCGAUGUGAUGAAGUCCAUGGAGACACUUUCUCAUGGCCUUGUUGCUAGCAGUAGCAGCUCCAACAAUCCCGCUGGAAGUUAAUGAUCCACCUUGUCUUGUUGGCACACAAGACAAGUUCGCACAUAUGCCUCGAUGCUGUCCCUCAUGUGCGGCCAAAAAUAUGAGGCUUGAACUAGUGCGGUGGUGCGCUCAAUUCCUGGGUGACCAGCCCACUUGGAGUCGUGGCACUCCUUGAUAACUUCCUUCCGCAAGUUUCCCCACCUUGGCACGAACAGCCGAUCUCCCUUGGUGAGGAGGAUGCCUUCCUCUUGCCAAAAUCACCUUGUCUUUCCCUCGAGCACCUUCUCUAGCAAAUCCUUGGCUAGCGGAUCUUGUUGGAAGCCUUCCUUGAUGCGUGAGACAAGGUCGGACUUCGGUUGGCUCAUGCUAAGUGUCGCCAAUUCGGCCUUGCGGCUUAGAGCGUCCGCAACGACAUUGGUCUUGCCUGGUUUGUACUCAAGCCGAUAGUCAAAUUCCGCUAGGAAAUCUUGCCACCGCGCUUGCUUCGGACUCAACUUCUUCUGAGUUUGGAAGUAGCUUGUCGCUACGUUGUCCGUCAUAAUCGUGAAGUGAGAGCCUAGCAAGUAAUGUCGCCACACGCGCAAGCAAUGUAUGAUGGCUGUCAUCUCCUUUUCUUGCACUGUGUAGCGGCGUUCCGUAUCAUUAAGCUUUCAACUCUCGAACGCUAUAGGGUGGCCUUCUUGCAUGAGGACUUCUCCUAUGGCAAAAUCCAAGGCAUCCGUUUGGACUUCAAAGGGCUUUGUGUGGUCCGGGAGAGUAAGGACAGGUUCCUCCGAAAUUGCCUUCUUCAAAUCCUCGAAUGCGCGUUGGCACUCUUUAGACCAAUGCCACGUUCUGUUUUUCUUGAGCAUAUCCGUCAAGGGUGCUGCCUUGGCCGAAUAGCCCUUGAUGAAGCGGCGGUAGUAGUUCACCAAACCAAGGAAUAAGCGAAGCUCGGGCACUUUCGAGGGAAGUUCCCAUUCAAGGAUGGCCUUCACUUUAGCAUUCUCCAUCAUAAUCUUCCCGUCCGCAAUCUUGUGGCCAAAGAACUCCACCUCUUGUUGGGCAAACGAGCACUUCUCUAGUUUGAGGAAGAGCUCAUUGUCUCGAAGUACUUGGAGGACUUGUCGCAAGUGUUGGGCAUGAUCCUAGAGCGUGGUGCUAUACACCACUAUGUCAUCCAAGUACACGACCACGAAGCGGUUGAGGAAUGGUUGGAGCACCUUGUUCAUGAGCGUACAAAAUGUGGCGGGUGCAUUAGUAAGGCCAAAAGGCAUUACAAGGAAUUUGAAAAACCCGUACCUUGUUGUGCACGCUGUCUUUGGUUCGUCUCCCUUGGCGAUGCGUUCUUGGUAGUACCCUGAGCGCAAGUCGAGUUUGGUGAAGUACCGCACUUUGCCAAGCUGGUCGAACUAGUCUGCGAUCAAGGAAAUCGGAUACUUGUUCUUGAUAGUGAUCUUGUUGAGUGCUCUAUAGUCGAUGCACAUCCGCAGCGAUCCAUCCUUUUUCUUUUGGAAGAGGACCGGUGCACCGAAUGGGGCCUUUGAGGGGCGAAUAUAGCCUGCGUUCAGCAAGUCUUUGAGUUGUCUCCACAACUCUUAUAAUUUUGGUGGCGCCAUGCGGUAGGGCGCCAGGGCUGGUGGCUUCGCGCCUUGUUCCAGCUCGAUGGCAUGAUCUACCUCUUGUCGAGGUGGGAGCUUCUUCGGAAGUUCUGGAGGCAUCACGUCCUUGUACUCAUUGAGGACGACUUGAAUUCGCGGAGGGACUUGGCUUGGCGAAGUUCCGCUAUGUCCUUCCUCAUUUAGUUCUCGAAUAGAGACCAAGAAGCUUGGGUCCUUCUUGAAAGCCCUUUUGAAUUGCAUGGCGGAGAGUGUCUUCUCCUCGGACUUGCCUCGCUCCGUGGGUACCAUGCAUGCUUUGCUCCCGUCGAGAAUGCUUAGGGAGUUUGUAGCGGGCAGCGGGAAGGCAUGGACUUGGUCAAAGAAUUUCAUGCUGAGGACCAUCUUGAAGUCGUCCAUGGGCACAAUGGAGAAGUCAAGCUUUCCGCUCCACGUACCGAGUGUGAUGUGCACGCCUUGUACGAUUCCCGCAAUUGGCUUGGCGGGUGAGUUUACUACCUUCAUUGUGCCUCCUUCCUUCGUGGCCUUGAGGCCUAAGCGCUUGGCCUCAUCUACGGACACGAAGUUGUGCGUUGCUCCCGUGUCUAGCAGCGUGCGAACGGACUGGCCGUUUACCUUUGCGCUAACAUACAUGAGCCAUUUCUUGACGAGUGCGGGCUGUUGGCGAUUGAGUGCGCCGAGGCGUUGGAGAGAACCCAUGCUGAGUUGGGGUUCCUCCGUGGACAUUGUAGGGUUGCUCUUGAGUUGGGCAGCAAGAGCGUUAAGCGACCUCUUCUCCGGACAGUCGCGCACCCAAUGGGGACCAUUGCAUAUGAAGCAUGGGUUUCGCAGUUUUGGCGCCUCCUUCUUGCCCUCCGAUUUUCCUUGCCCGCUCUUGUUAUUAGGCGGCUUUUUAUGCCCCCAAUCUUUACGGUUGUUGCCCUUGUCCUUGUGACUCUCUCCCCUACCUUUGCCUUGACUAGACUUCUUGUCUUUGGAUUGGGUAGAGUAUUCGGUGAGCGAUUCCGCAACGGCGAUGGCGUCGUCAAGUGUUUGAACACCACACCUAUCAAGCUCGGUCUUGGCCCAAUCCUUGAGGCCAUCUUGGAAGUAGAAGAGUGAAUCUUUGUCAGACAUGUCGCUUAUCUCCAACAUAAGGGUAGUGAACUCAUUGAUGUAGUCCCGAAUGCUACCCGAUUGCUUGAGGCGACGUAAGCGCGCUCGCGCUUCCUUCUCCGCAUUGCUUGGGGCGAACUGUUUUCAGAGUUCUUGCUUGAAGUCGGCCCAAGUGUCGAUGGUGCAAAUGCCCUUGCCCAUCUCGCCAUGCUUGCGACACCACCAUAGUUGUGCAGCACUUCGAAGAUAAGUGGGUGCAGUGCCCACUUUCGAUGCCUCAUCUCGUACACCCAUGGCAUCGAAGUAUUGAUCCAGCCCGAAUAAGAAGUUGUCCACGAUUGUGGCAUUGCGUGUUGUUGUGCAAAUUUUAAUGUACUCGCAAGCGCACGAAUCUAUUAUAGUAUAGAUCAAUGGUGACGAGUGUCGAUCCCACGAGAAGGUGGAUUUUAAUUGUGUAUAGAAUUAAUUUUGCAAAUGGUUGAUUGGAUUUGUGGUGGAAAUGAUUUGGAAUAUGCUAAAACUUAAAUUAAAAUGGCGAGAAUAAAUUCUGAAAUUGGAAUUGAAAUGACGAGAAUAAAUUGAAGAGAAUUCUAUUGAAAUGACGUACUUGGGUAUCUGGAUCCGUAUCAACAUGCAUCAUGGGCUAAAUAAUCCGUAUUAAUGCCAAUUAAAUCAUGAGGGGGGAAUCCACACCUCAUGAACCACGCUCUAAUCAAUAUGGUGCUAAGGGCUUAUCGUGCCAAAUAAUAAUAACCUUGUACUAGAGAGCCGGUGUAACCAAGGCGGUAUCUAGACAAGAUCAGUAUUAUUUGUCGACGAUAAGUCAAAUCAUCCACAAAAACUAGAGGGGAAAAGAAAAUAAAUUUACCAAAUAAAGCCCAUGACACAUGUUGAGACUUCACCUUCAACCCAAGCUUGAAAGAAAAUUAGCCACUCAUAAUUGAACUAAGGGCAAAAUGGGAAUUUAUUAAAAUACAAAGAAAAUACAAGAUGGAGAAGGAAUUACAGAAAAUGGAUCCCAAAAAUGGAUUCAGAGAUAUCAAAUUAGGGGGGGGAGGCCCCCUUUUUAUAGAUACAUGGAGUAAAUCAUGGCCAUCGGAUUAAAAACAGUUUGGACGCUCAGGAUUGCGCCACGUCAUCAGUCAACAGUCCACGGUUUGACCACGCGGAUGAACAGUAACACGGUUUGACCUGGAUGAACAGUAACGCGGUUUGGUUGACAAUAAUCCUGUGUGAUGCAUGCACCGUACGCGAGAUUUUUCGUCCACUGAUAUGCUGCCACGUCACCAUCAACAGUACAUAAGAUUUUAGUCCAACAGGAUCGUGACACCUCAUCAGUCAAUGCCACAUCAUCGGUCAAUGCCACAUCAUCGGUCAAUGCCACGUCAUCGAUCAAUGCCACGUCAUCGAUCCGUCUAUGUGAACAGUGUCGUGAACAGUAACGUAGACAGUACCGUAUACGUGAAUAGUACCGUACAUGUGAAUAGUGCCAUUUUUCCUUUUAUGCUCCUCCUAAGGUUUUCGACCGUCCUGAGUUCAAAAGUGAUGUCCGUUUUGCCAUCUGAUCUCUCCUUUAUUGUGAAAUGACUAUAAUGCCCCUAAAAUACAUAAAAUACUUAAUUAAAAUAACACACACGUAAUUACAUCACAAGAAGGUUAAAUACAUAAAAGUAAGGGUUGUUAGUAAGACUUGAAAUGUAAAAUGACGGUUUUCUCCUUUAUAAAUAUGCAUUUUCUAACACUCAACACACCCCCCAACCAGCUUAUUGCUAGUCCCUAGCAAAUAAAGCGAAAACAAAAUUCAAAUUCAAAUUUUUUUUUUUUUUUUUAGAAACACUCGUGUUUAUUCAAUCAGAUUAAUGAUAGCAAUCAAAUAAAAGUAUAAGCAUUAUCUCCAGUCUAAAGCAAUAUCACACCCACAUCAACCAUCCACAUGAAUCGGCCCAGUAGAUUUUGUUAUAGGUACUUUCAAGAAUGACAUGUCAAACCCCAAAAUCUCACUGGAAGUAAUGACACUCUCACAAAUAAAUUAAACCCAAUAAAAAUAGUCACUCCAAUGAAUGGUAAUUGAGAGAGAAAAUAAUAAAGAAGUGAUAUCACAUGCUCUCACCAAGAUGAAAUAAAUAUGCCCUUAGCUUAGAAAUAAUACGAUCUCAAGUCAAAUAAAAUGUUAGUCAACCCACUUUAUAUAUCUUUUUUUUUUUUUAUUAUGCAUCACUACAUCUUUUUAGCCCAUAUAACUAGCUUCUACUUCAAACUAUAGUUCCCUAAAAUCAAGAAGGACUUUUAUUAGGACGUAACGUAGGCUAGGGAUAUGGCUAAUAAAGAAAGGAAAUAAGGAAAACAAAGUGUAUGUUUGAGAAAAAUGCAGAAAUAAUUUUUUUUUUUUUUUGAAGUUGCAAGGUAGAUUUCACCUAUUAUUGUUAUUUUAUUCUUUUGAAACAACAACUUUUGUUUUUAUUUUAAUUUUUUUUUUUACUUUUAUUUGGCAUAACUUCACUGAACAACAUAAUUAUUUACAUUUUCUCAAACAUAAAUAGGUGAUGGAACUUAAAAGACAUUGGGUAAUACUCCAAAUCGGAGUGGGUCAAGAUGAUAAGUUGACAAAGAAAAUGUUUUUUUUUUUUUUUUUUUAAAGGCUCAAAAGGGGUAACUAUGGAUAUUUAAUAACAGGGAUGGCUAGAAAGGCUCAAACGGAUCAAAGAUGGUCUUUCCAUCGUUUUUUAGGGCUCUAAAUAAUUAUCCAUAUCUACUAGUUAAAUGGGCAUCCCAAUAUAGCAACACACAUUUUUUUCUUUUUUCUUUUUUUUUUUACCAUUUUUUUUUAAAGGGUUAACUCAAAAGAAAUCUAGAGAUCGUGUAUAAAAUAAUAAACUGCUAAGUUGUAUAGAGAAUGGGCAAAAGGGUUACUCUCCAAGAAAAUGAUAGGCUCAACUACUCACUUGGCACUUAUUUAUGACAUGUUCAUUCCUUCAAGCAACUCAUAUUUGUCUCCGACAUCAACAUGUAAAGUAGCAAACAUAGCGUAACAUCACUUAAGACCAAAGAUAAUACAAAUACUAAAAUUUGAAAUUAAUCAUGUCAUCCAAUGUUAAAACAAAUAACACAAUUUUUUUUUUUUAAACAACAUUCUACCCCCCAACCUAUUCUAAACAUGAAAGGAAAAUAUGCAUGCAGAAAUGUGAAAAUGAUGUAGAAAAAUUAAUUAGAAAAAGAAAUUUUUUUUUUUUAAACUAAGAAGAUGCGUUUCUAGAGGCACUACACUCCAUAUUCAGCCAUCUUCGACUCAAAAAUUUGAAACUACAUAUUUAUAAAGGAGAAAGAGGAAGAAAACAGGUUUUUUUUUUUUUUUUUUUUUUUUUAAACGAUGAAGAUGCGUUUCUAGAGGCACUACACUCCAUAUUCAGCCAUCUUCAACAUAAAAUGUUAGCAACAGUUAGUUUCUACAACAAAAAAUCAGUAAAAACUUAACCAAGAUUCCACAAUUGUCGACUAUUCCCUCCCCCCAACCAGAACGAAACAUUGUCCUCAAUGUUUUAAAGGAAAGAAGUAGAGUUUAGAAGACAUCACCUGGGUGGUGCAACACAGAAGAAAAUAUUUACAGGCGGAGAGUUAAAUCUAAUUUGUACUUCUUACUGCGGCUACUGUUACCAUCAUUAUUUGGUCGCUCCAACACAAAGGUCCAGGGGUCUGGCUCCGGUUUAUAAGCUUGUAACAUAUCAAGUAGCUCAUUAGCAGUGUGAGCACAAAUAAAGAGUUUUUUCACAUUAGAAGGAAUGAAAUAGUUUUUUAUUGCAUGGUUAAGAAAUGCGAUAAAGCCAUCAUAAAAGUUAUUGACAUUUAACAAACCGAUGGGUUUCUGGUGGAUGUGCAGAUGGGCCCAAGAUGCUAGUGUCAUAAGUGCCUCUAGUGUUGCAAGAUCUCCUGGAAGGAAAAUAAAAGCAUCAGCAUGAUUAAGCAUUUCAGUUAUUCUUUCUUGCAUACCUGAGACGACUAACUCUUCUCCAGUUGAUGAGUCAGACGAACUGCCCAAUGGUUUUAGGAUUCUUGGGAUGAUGCCUAACACUUGACUUCCUCUGAUAAAAGCUGCUUCUGAGACCAUUUUUGAUAACCCUCGGUUACCUCCUCCAUACACCAAAUGUAAUUUUCUCGCUGCUAUGCUUCGACCAAGAUCUAUGGCUGCCUCCACGAACUCUUUAUGUUUGCCAUAGGUAAAUCCAGAAAGCACACAAAUGUUCUUGAAUUGUCUAUUAGGAGUAGCUGCCAUUGUGAUACUUCUCAAAAAUAAUUUGUGAGUGCUUGACAAAAGAUAAAUCACAUUUAAGAAUCUUGGUGACAGUGGAUCACAGCUGUGAAUAAGGUAACAUGUCAGUGUCAAAUAACGCGUAAAGCACGUGGCUCGCGAGUCAAAAAGGAAACAGUAAAAAGGAAAAAGCAAACAGUAACAAAAUUAUUAAAGACAAUAAUGCAAACAAUAAAACAACAGUGAAAUGAAAUAAAAUAACAGUAAAGUAAAAGGAUAUUUACACGUAGUUGCGACUGUGGCUCACAUCUUCCUCUGGUUUUACGUCCAGAAACGGCUUGAACGCCCUCUAUGGGUCGAGGAUAGGCUUCCUAUCCAGUUUUCUUAUAAACUGGCAAACAGGGUCGUUUAUAGUCAGAUUCCCAAGACUAUAUUGUGUAUGCUCUUUCUGGAAUAAUGGCCAUAACUGGAGAAUCGCUCCUUGCACAUAUCCACUGGGAUGCGUUUCAAGAGACAAAAGGAUAUCAUCCAAUGACUCCUUAUUCAAGCCAUCCCUAAUGAAUUGAAUCUUAUCUUCUCUGUUAUCAGACACCAUUCCUAAAGAACAUGGGUUUCUAUCGCAACUCAUUCUGGCACACUUGUGACAAGCAACAGAAAUUCUUCGAGCUCGUCGUUUUCUUGCGUAAUUUCCUUUACCACAACCAGGCAUGUAUGCAAUAAAUUUAGGAGGUAACUCACCUGCCAAUCGUACUUUAGCCUCGAUUAACCAACGGAUGUCUGCAGGUAUGUUAUUCCUCAUGAGCAAUCGCAUGCGUUCAGACCGGGCUUUAUAGAUUGUAAGGAGGGCAUUCUGAGGAAGUGAAGGGAAUCGCUUGUGAAGCUUUGCUAGAAUCUCGUUUCUAUCCAUACCUUCGCCUCAGAAUAUCAGUUAUUAUGGGAAACUGAAGUAACCGACUUGAUUGUCACGGAGUACCGUUAUCCGCCACUUCACCGGGGUAACAAACUAAAGCACACAAAUAGAAAAACAAAUCAAAACACACAAAGAAAAUUAAAAUCGUCCUCUUAUUGAAUUUACCUCAAGCUCCAACUGGAUGUCGUAAACACUUCUCUCAAUGUCUCUGAGUUGGCGUUCUAAACCCUCAACAUAGGCUACUAACUCUGGUGGUUGUAGAGCCCAAAUGCGUUGUGUUUUACAAAAUNNNNNNNNNNNNNNNNNNNNNNNNNNNNNNNNNNNNNNNNNNNNNNNNNNNNNNNNNNNNNNNNNNNNNNNNNNNNNNNNNNNNNNNNNNNNNNNNNNNNNNNNNNNNNNNNNNNNNNNNNNNNNNNNNNNNNNNNNNNNNNNNNNNNNNNNNNNNNNNNNNNNNNNNNNNNNNNNNNNNNNNNNNNNNNNNNNNNNNNNNNNNNNNNNNNNNNNNNNNNNNNNNNNNNNNNNNNNNNNNNNNNNNNNNNNNNNNNNNNNNNNNNNNNNNNNNNNNNNNNNNNNNNNNNNNNNNNNNNNNNNNNNNNNNNNNNNNNNNNNNNNNNNNNNNNNNNNNNNNNNNNNNNNNNNNNNNNNNNNNNNNNNNNNNNNNNNNNNNNNNNNNNNNNNNNNNNNNNNNNNNNNNNNNNNNNNNNNNNNNNNNNNNNNNNNNNNNNNNNNNNNNNNNNNNNNNNNNNNNNNNNNNNNNNNNNNNNNNNNNNNNNNNNNNNNNNNNNNNNNNNNNNNNNNNNNNNNNNNNNNNNNNNNNNNNNNNNNNNNNNNNNNNNNNNNNNNNNNNNNNNNNNNNNNNNNNNNNNNNNNNNNNNNNNNNNNNNNNNNNNNNNNNNNNNNNNNNNNNNNNNNNNNNNNNNNNNNNNNNNNNNNNNNNNNNNNNNNNNNNNNNNNNNNNNNNNNNNNNNNNNNNNNNNNNNNNNNNNNNNNNNNNNNNNNNNNNNNNNNNNNNNNNNNNNNNNNNNNNNNNNNNNNNNNNNNNNNNNNNNNNNNNNNNNNNNNNNNNNNNNNNNNNNNNNNNNNNNNNNNNNNNNNNNNNNNNNNNNNNNNNNNNNNNNNNNNNNNNNNNNNNNNNNNNNNNNNNNNNNNNNNNNNNNNNNNNNNNNNNNNNNNNNNNNNNNNNNNNNNNNNNNNNNNNNNNNNNNNNNNNNNNNNNNNNNNNNNNNNNNNNNNNNNNNNNNNNNNNNNNNNNNNNNNNNNNNNNNNNNNNNNNNNNNNNNNNNNNNNNNNNNNNNNNNNNNNNNNNNNNNNNNNNNNNNNNNNNNNNNNNNNNNNNNNNNNNNNNNNNNNNNNNNNNNNNNNNNNNNNNNNNNNNNNNNNNNNNNNNNNNNNNNNNNNNNNNNNNNNNNNNNNNNNNNNNNNNNNNNNNNNNNNNNNNNNNNNNNNNNNNNNNNNNNNNNNNNNNNNNNNNNNNNNNNNNNNNNNNNNNNNNNNNNNNNNNNNNNNNNNNNNNNNNNNNNNNNNNNNNNNNNNNNNNNNNNNNNNNNNNNNNNNNNNNNNNNNNNNNNNNNNNNNNNNNNNNNNNNNNNNNNNNNNNNNNNNNNNNNNNNNNNNNNNNNNNNNNNNNNNNNNNNNNNNNNNNNNNNNNNNNNNNNNNNNNNNNNNNNNNNNNNNNNNNNNNNNNNNNNNNNNNNNNNNNNNNNNNNNNNNNNNNNNNNNNNNNNNNNNNNNNNNNNNNNNNNNNNNNNNNNNNNNNNNNNNNNNNNNNNNNNNNNNNNNNNNNNNNNNNNNNNNNNNNNNNNNNNNNNNNNNNNNNNNNNNNNNNNNNNNNNNNNNNNNNNNNNNNNNNNNNNNNNNNNNNNNNNNNNNNNNNNNNNNNNNNNNNNNNNNNNNNNNNNNNNNNNNNNNNNNNNNNNNNNNNNNNNNNNNNNNNNNNNNNNNNNNNNNNNNNNNNNNNNNNNNNNNNNNNNNNNNNNNNNNNNNNNNNNNNNNNNNNNNNNNNNNNNNNNNNNNNNNNNNNNNNNNNNNNNNNNNNNNNNNNNNNNNNNNNNNNNNNNNNNNNNNNNNNNNNNNNNNNNNNNNNNNNNNNNNNNNNNNNNNNNNNNNNNNNNNNNNNNNNNNNNNNNNNNNNNNNNNNNNNNNNNNNNNNNNNNNNNNNNNNNNNNNNNNNNNNNNNNNNNNNNNNNNNNNNNNNNNNNNNNNNNNNNNNNNNNNNNNNNNNNNNNNNNNNNNNNNNNNNNNNNNNNNNNNNNNNNNNNNNNNNNNNNNNNNNNNNNNNNNNNNNNNNNNNNNNNNNNNNNNNNNNNNNNNNNNNNNNNNNNNNNNNNNNNNNNNNNNNNNNNNNNNNNNNNNNNNNNNNNNNNNNNNNNNNNNNNNNNNNNNNNNNNNNNNNNNNNNNNNNNNNNNNNNNNNNNNNNNNNNNNNNNNNNNNNNNNNNNNNNNNNNNNNNNNNNNNNNNNNNNNNNNNNNNNNNNNNNNNNNNNNNNNNNNNNNNNNNNNNNNNNNNNNNNNNNNNNNNNNNNNNNNNNNNNNNNNNNNNNNNNNNNNNNNNNNNNNNNNNNNNNNNNNNNNNNNNNNNNNNNNNNNNNNNNNNNNNNNNNNNNNNNNNNNNNNNNNNNNNNNNNNNNNNNNNNNNNNNNNNNNNNNNNNNNNNNNNNNNNNNNNNNNNNNNNNNNNNNNNNNNNNNNNNNNNNNNNNNNNNNNNNNNNNNNNNNNNNNNNNNNNNNNNNNNNNNNNNNNNNNNNNNNNNNNNNNNNNNNNNNNNNNNNNNNNNNNNNNNNNNNNNNNNNNNNNNNNNNNNNNNNNNNNNNNNNNNNNNNNNNNNNNNNNNNNNNNNNNNNNNNNNNNNNNNNNNNNNNNNNNNNNNNNNNNNNNNNNNNNNNNNNNNNNNNNNNNNNNNNNNNNNNNNNNNNNNNNNNNNNNNNNNNNNNNNNNNNNNNNNNNNNNNNNNNNNNNNNNNNNNNNNNNNNNNNNNNNNNNNNNNNNNNNNNNNNNNNNNNNNNNNNNNNNNNNNNNNNNNNNNNNNNNNNNNNNNNNNNNNNNNNNNNNNNNNNNNNNNNNNNNNNNNNNNNNNNNNNNNNNNNNNNNNNNNNNNNNNNNNNNNNNNNNNNNNNNNNNNNNNNNNNNNNNNNNNNNNNNNNNNNNNNNNNNNNNNNNNNNNNNNNNNNNNNNNNNNNNNNNNNNNNNNNNNNNNNNNNNNNNNNNNNNNNNNNNNNNNNNNNNNNNNNNNNNNNNNNNNNNNNNNNNNNNNNNNNNNNNNNNNNNNNNNNNNNNNNNNNNNNNNNNNNNNNNNNNNNNNNNNNNNNNNNNNNNNNNNNNNNNNNNNNNNNNNNNNNNNNNNNNNNNNNNNNNNNNNNNNNNNNNNNNNNNNNNNNNNNNNNNNNNNNNNNNNNNNNNNNNNNNNNNNNNNNNNNNNNNNNNNNNNNNNNNNNNNNNNNNNNNNNNNNNNNNNNNNNNNNNNNNNNNNNNNNNNNNNNNNNNNNNNNNNNNNNNNNNNNNNNNNNNNNNNNNNNNNNNNNNNNNNNNNNNNNNNNNNNNNNNNNNNNNNNNNNNNNNNNNNNNNNNNNNNNNNNNNNNNNNNNNNNNNNNNNNNNNNNNNNNNNNNNNNNNNNNNNNNNNNNNNNNNNNNNNNNNNNNNNNNNNNNNNNNNNNNNNNNNNNNNNNNNNNNNNNNNNNNNNNNNNNNNNNNNNNNNNNNNNNNNNNNNNNNNNNNNNNNNNNNNNNNNNNNNNNNNNNNNNNNNNNNNNNNNNNNNNNNNNNNNNNNNNNNNNNNNNNNNNNNNNNNNNNNNNNNNNNNNNNNNNNNNNNNNNNNNNNNNNNNNNNNNNNNNNNNNNNNNNNNNNNNNNNNNNNNNNNNNNNNNNNNNNNNNNNNNNNNNNNNNNNNNNNNNNNNNNNNNNNNNNNNNNNNNNNNNNNNNNNNNNNNNNNNNNNNNNNNNNNNNNNNNNNNNNNNNNNNNNNNNNNNNNNNNNNNNNNNNNNNNNNNNNNNNNNNNNNNNNNNNNNNNNNNNNNNNNNNNNNNNNNNNNNNNNNNNNNNNNNNNNNNNNNNNNNNNNNNNNNNNNNNNNNNNNNNNNNNNNNNNNNNNNNNNNNNNNNNNNNNNNNNNNNNNNNNNNNNNNNNNNNNNNNNNNNNNNNNNNNNNNNNNNNNNNNNNNNNNNNNNNNNNNNNNNNNNNNNNNNNNNNNNNNNNNNNNNNNNNNNNNNNNNNNNNNNNNNNNNNNNNNNNNNNNNNNNNNNNNNNNNNNNNNNNNNNNNNNNNNNNNNNNNNNNNNNNNNNNNNNNNNNNNNNNNNNNNNNNNNNNNNNNNNNNNNNNNNNNNNNNNNNNNNNNNNNNNNNNNNNNNNNNNNNNNNNNNNNNNNNNNNNNNNNNNNNNNNNNNNNNNNNNNNNNNNNNNNNNNNNNNNNNNNNNNNNNNNNNNNNNNNNNNNNNNNNNNNNNNNNNNNNNNNNNNNNNNNNNNNNNNNNNNNNNNNNNNNNNNNNNNNNNNNNNNNNNNNNNNNNNNNNNNNNNNNNNNNNNNNNNNNNNNNNNNNNNNNNNNNNNNNNNNNNNNNNNNNNNNNNNNNNNNNNNNNNNNNNNNNNNNNNNNNNNNNNNNNNNNNNNNNNNNNNNNNNNNNNNNNNNNNNNNNNNNNNNNNNNNNNNNNNNNNNNNNNNNNNNNNNNNNNNNNNNNNNNNNNNNNNNNNNNNNNNNNNNNNNNNNNNNNNNNNNNNNNNNNNNNNNNNNNNNNNNNNNNNNNNNNNNNNNNNNNNNNNNNNNNNNNNNNNNNNNNNNNNNNNNNNNNNNNNNNNNNNNNNNNNNNNNNNNNNNNNNNNNNNNNNNNNNNNNNNNNNNNNNNNNNNNNNNNNNNNNNNNNNNNNNNNNNNNNNNNNNNNNNNNNNNNNNNNNNNNNNNNNNNNNNNNNNNNNNNNNNNNNNNNNNNNNNNNNNNNNNNNNNNNNNNNNNNNNNNNNNNNNNNNNNNNNNNNNNNNNNNNNNNNNNNNNNNNNNNNNNNNNNNNNNNNNNNNNNNNNNNNNNNNNNNNNNNNNNNNNNNNNNNNNNNNNNNNNNNNNNNNNNNNNNNNNNNNNNNNNNNNNNNNNNNNNNNNNNNNNNNNNNNNNNNNNNNNNNNNNNNNNNNNNNNNNNNNNNNNNNNNNNNNNNNNNNNNNNNNNNNNNNNNNNNNNNNNNNNNNNNNNNNNNNNNNNNNNNNNNNNNNNNNNNNNNNNNNNNNNNNNNNNNNNNNNNNNNNNNNNNNNNNNNNNNNNNNNNNNNNNNNNNNNNNNNNNNNNNNNNNNNNNNNNNNNNNNNNNNNNNNNNNNNNNNNNNNNNNNNNNNNNNNNNNNNNNNNNNNNNNNNNNNNNNNNNNNNNNNNNNNNNNNNNNNNNNNNNNNNNNNNNNNNNNNNNNNNNNNNNNNNNNNNNNNNNNNNNNNNNNNNNNNNNNNNNNNNNNNNNNNNNNNNNNNNNNNNNNNNNNNNNNNNNNNNNNNNNNNNNNNNNNNNNNNNNNNNNNNNNNNNNNNNNNNNNNNNNNNNNNNNNNNNNNNNNNNNNNNNNNNNNNNNNNNNNNNNNNNNNNNNNNNNNNNNNNNNNNNNNNNNNNNNNNNNNNNNNNNNNNNNNNNNNNNNNNNNNNNNNNNNNAUGAACUAUCAGAAAUUGGGUAAAUGAUACCUGCGUCUAAUAGCUUAAGGACUUCUGUUCUAACAACUUCUUUCAUAUUAGGAUUUAACCGACGUUGCAUUUCCCUAGUAGAUUUAGCAUUUUCAUCAAGGUGAAUGUAAUGCAUGCAGUCUACUGGAUUUAUACCUUUGAUGUCUGCUAUGGUCCAUCCUAAUGCCCCUUUGUGCUCUUUUAAAACAUCCAACAACUUACCUUUUUGUUCGUCAUUUAGGGAUGAUGAGAUGAUUACCGGCAGAGUACUUUCUUCUCCCAAAAAUGCAUAUUCCAGAGUGUUGGGUAAUGGUUUGAGCUCGAGUUUCGGUGGUGAUUCUGAUGAUGGAAUGAGUUUCUUCUCUGAUGGUGCUAGUUGUUCAACUCUUGACUUCCAUUUAUUAGUGUCCAUGGAUGGUGCUGAGUCAAGUAGGGCGUUGACCUCUUCGACCGAUCUGUCAAUAUCAAAAUCCAAACCAAAGUGAGUUAAACAUGUUUGUAAAGGAUCAUCACUAAGGUUUGAAAGAAAAGUAUUAUCAACUAUUGUUUCUAUUAAAUCCACAUCAACAAUUCCAUCAUCUGCACUGUGAGGUUGUUUGGCAAUGUUGAAGAUGUUUAGCUCCAUAGUCAUGUUGCCGAAGGACAAUUGCAUAUUUCCGGUCCUACAUUGAAUAUGAGCAUCUGCAGUUGCCAAGAAAGGUCGGCCUAGAAUAAUGGGGAUGUGCUUCCUUGAGUCCUGUAUUGGUUGAGUGUCAAUUACAAUGAAAUCAACAGGAAAAUAAAACUUGUCUACCUGGAUAAGCACGUCCUCCACAAAACCACGAGGUAUUUUUGUGGACCGAUCUGCAAGUUGUAACACCACUGGAGUUGGGUGUAAUUCUCCCAGUCCAAGUUUCACGAAUACAGAGUAAGGCAACAAAUUUACACUAGCUCCUAAAUCCAACAAAGCAUUCUCAAUUGUGUGGUUCCCUAUACUACAUGAGAUAGUGGGGGAGCCUGGGUCUUUGCAUUUUAAAGGAAUUUUAUGUUGGAGUAUAGAACUAACGUUUUCUGUUAAAAAUGCCUUCUUUUGAACAUGCAUAUUUCUCUUUUUAGUACAAAGGUCUUUAAGAAACUUGGCAUAAGAUGGAACUUGCUUUAUAGCAUCAAGUAAAGGGAUGUUAACACUUACCUGUUUGAAGAUUUCGAGAAUCUCACCUGUGGAUUUUCCUUUCUUGCCUUUCGCUAACCUCUGAGGAAAUGGAGCUUUCGGAACGUAUUCUCGUGGGUUGGUUUCUUCUUUCUCCUCCGGUGGUGAGUCUUCAACAUUCACAGGUACAAUUUGAUUUUCUUUUGUCACCGGCAUCUCCACUUUGUUGUCGACUUCCUUUCCUUUUCGCAAGGUCAUGACUGCUUUGACCUCUCCAUGCUGUUGUGGUGAACUGGUACUUGCUUCAUGUACUCCUUUAGGAUUAGGCACUGGUUGACUUGGAAAUUUUCCUUUCUCAACAGUCAUUGCCAAGGUCUGAACUGAAGAAGCAAGUUGUCCCACCAUCUUCUCGAGGCUUGAAACUGAUUGAGCUUGUGAGUUGAAGCCUGCUCUCAACUCAUUUCGUAGUCCAUCAAUGGUGCGGUUCUGUUGCUCAAUCGUAGAGUGAGUAGCAUUCUUGAAAUUCUGGAAUGAAUCCUCCCAUGGUCUGGGUUGAGAGUAGUUUUGGUUCUGAUUGAAUGGUCUAAAUGGGGGCUGAGAGGCUUGAGGAUUUUGAGGAAUUUGUUGCAUUGGUGGAGCUGCUGGUCCAUUCUGUUGGAAUCCUUGAGACCAUGAAAAAUUGGGGUGGUCUCUCCAUCCAGGAUUAUAUGUGUUGGAGUAUGGGUUGUAAUUCGAUGGUUUUCUCAUUACACCUAUGGCAUUGGCUUGAUCUGAGUAUGAGUCAUGGUCAUGUGAUUCUGUUGAUUUAGCAGUCGAUAACGAUGCUAUUUGUCGAGCAAGACCUUCAACCAUCUCCUUGACUUCUUUGAUUUCCGAAGUUGACUCGCCAAUUUGAACCUCAUUUACUCCCUUAAUUCUUCUAGUAUUCCUGAGUGAUCGACUCCGUUGUUGGGAAUUAUCCGCUUGUCGCUGGAAGAAUUCCCAAAUCUCUGAUGCACUUUUUGACAUUAGCUCUCCUCCACUUGUUGCCAUUAGCCAUUCUUGCACAUUUGGUAGUAAUCCCUCCAAAAAGUAUUGACAUUGGUGCCAUUUUUCGUACCCAUGAUGUGGACACUUCAAGAGUAGCCCAUUGAAUCGCUCCCAUGUUUCGAAAAACUGCUCGUCCUCUCUCUGUGUAAACUCUGAAAUUUCCCUGCGAAUAGCAUUGGUUUUAUGCACUGGGAAAUAUUUAUUCAAAAAUUUUGUAACCAUUUGUUCCCAUGAUGCAAUGCUAUUAGCAGGCAAUGUAUUAAGCCAUGAACGAGCUCUAUCCUUUAAAGAAAAUGGGAAUAAUCUGAGUUUAACAUCAUCGUCUGAAAAAUUCUCAUAUUUGAAUGUUUGACAAAUGGCAUGAAAAUCAUUCAAAUGAUUAUAUGGGUCCUCAUUUUCUAAGCCAUAGAAUGUGGGGAGACAAUUUAGCACACUAGGUUUUAAUUCAAAACUCCUAGCAGCUACAUUUGGGUAUCUUAUGCAUGACGUGCUCAAAUUAGCUAAGGGACUAAAAUAGUCCUUAAAUGGCCUCUCCUGUGGUGCUUGUAAAUCUAUUUUAUUUUUAACGUGUUUGUGUGUGCGAAGUGUUUUUUCUAAUUCAAGGUCUAUAGGUUCAAGAUUUGGUAAUAAUGACCUACGACCAUGCAUGCAAAAUAAAUAAAAUAAAAAUAAAGAUGGGAACAAAAACAAAUAAAAAUAAAGAAGAGGGAGAAAUUACGAUACUAACCUUAUUGCGCUAUUACAACCUUUCUAUAAAAAUACACAAAAACAAAUACGUGAAAUAAAUUAACUAAAAAUUAAAUUAAUAAAAUAAACAAAAAUUACAAAGAAAAAAAAUUAAAAAUUAAAUUACAGAAUUUUAAAGAAGAGAAAAAGAAAAGAAAUAAUAACCUUUAAAUGUAGAUUUACUUUUUUUUUUAAUAAAAAAUACAAGAAAACAAAUAAAAGAAAUUAUUCACAAAAAUUAAUUCUAUGAAUUAAAAUUACUUACCUCCCCAGCAACGGCGCCAAAAACUUGUUGUGCAAAUUUUAAUGUACUCGCAAGCGCACGAAUCUAUUAUAGUAUAGAUCAAUGGUGACGAGUGUCGAUCCCACGAGGAGGUGGAUUUUAAUUGUGUAUAGAAUUAAUUUUGCAAAUGGUUGAUUGGAUCUGUGGUGGAAAUGAUUUGGAAUAUGCUAAAACUUAAAUUAAAAUGGCGAGAAUAAAUUCUGAAAUUGGAAUUGAAAUGACGAGAAUAAAUUGAAGAGAAUUCUAUUGAAAUGACGUACUUGGGUAUCUGGAUCCGUAUCAACAUGCAUCAUGGGCUAAAUAAUCCGUAUUAAUGCCAAUUAAAUCAUGAGGGGGGAAUCCACACCUCAUGAACCACGCUCUAAUCAAUAUGGUGCUAAGGGCUUAUCGUGCCAAAUAAUAAUAACCUUGUACUAGAGAGCCGGUGUAACCAAGGCGGUAUCUAGACAAGAUCAGUAUUAUUUGUCGACGAUAAGUCAAAUCAUCCACAAAAACUAGAGGGGAAAAGAAAAUAAAUUUACCAAAUAAAGCUCAUGACACAUGUUGAGACUUCACCUUCAACCCAAGCUUGAAAGAAAAUUAGCCACUCAUAAUUGAACUAAGGGCAAAAUGGGAAUUUAUUAAAAUACAAAGAAAAUACAAGAUGGAGAAGGAAUUACAGAAAAUGGAUCCCAAAAAUGGAUUCAAAGAUAUCAAAUUAGGGGGGGAGGCCCCCUUUUUAUAGAUACAUGGAGUAAAUCAUGGCCAUCGGAUUAAAAACAGUUUGGACGCUCAGGAUUGCGCCACGUCAUCAGUCAACAGUCCACGGUUUGACCACGCGGAUGAACAGUAACACGGUUUGACCCGGAUGAACAGUAACACGGUUUGGUUGACAAUAAUCCUGUGUGAUGCAUGCACCGUACGCGAGAUUUUUCGUCCACUGAUAUGCUGCCACGUCACCAUCAACAGUACAUAAGAUUUUAGUCCAACAGGAUCGUGACACCUCAUCAGUCAAUGCCACAUCAUCGGUCAAUGCCACAUCAUCGGUCAAUGCCACGUCAUCGAUCAAUGCCACGUCAUCGAUCCGUCUAUGUGAACAGUGUCGUGAACAGUAACGUAGACAGUACCGUAUACGUGAAUAGUACCGUACAUGUGAAUAGUGCCAUUUUUCCUUUUAUGCUCCUCCUAAGGUUUUCGACCGUCCUGAGUUCAAAAGUGAUGUCCGUUUUGCCAUCUGAUCUCUCCUUUAUUGUGAAAUGACUAUAAUGCCCCUAAAAUACAUAAAAUACUUAAUUAAAAUAACACACACGUAAUUACAUCACAAGAAGGUUAAAUACAUAAAAGUAAGGGUUGUUAGUAAGACUUGAAAUGUAAAAUGACGGUUUUCUCCUUUAUAAAUAUGCAUUUUCUAACACUCAACNNNNNNNNNNNNNNNNNNNNNNNNNNNNNNNNNNNNNNNNNNNNNNNNNNNNNNNNNNNNNNNNNNNNNNNNNNNNNNNNNNNNNNNNNNNNNNNNNNNNCACUGGAGUUUGCGGAAGCUGGACUUGCGGAGAGUGUGCGAUUGUUCCAUGCCCAAUCCGAGCGGACUUCAUCCACUUCCGCACGGACAACGUGUAGUUCGUCCUGAACAAAACUACGAAGUUUUAGCAACUCAUCAUGGAAAGAUCAAAACUCACCUCAGAGAGUGUUCGCUUACUCAUGGAUGAGAGCUUUUGUGGCCACCGUGAACUCGGCGUAUUCUCCCUUGAGACCGUCCACUCUUCCUUCCAAUCCCUCGAGGCUUUCUUGAGCGGCGGACAAUGCGAUUUCGAGAGUGCCUACACGAGGCUCCAACGCAUCCACGGAUGGGGCCUUGGACUUGCCGCGAAUCUUGCCUUGGGCGCGUUCUCCCUCUCGGCCGCGGCUUGGUUCCGGUGGAACAUCCACACCAACAACACCCUCUUAUGCUACGUUCGAAGGGUUGGCCAUUGCUUCGUGAGCUAACUUGUGUGCGUGCAAACCUUAGCUCUGAUACCACUUGUCACGGGAUGAGUGUUUUGCGCAGCUAACCCGUGCGGCACUUAGACAACUUUGCCGAUUGUUGCUAAGUAAGCCUAGAGCUUCUCGAACAAGAGAAGAGAGCAAUUGAGCCAAAGAAGAAACUUGUAUUGCACAAAGAGAGAUUACAAUGCUUGUUGCUUACAAAGCUUGUUAGAUACAAAUGCCUAAUGCCAUCCCAUAUUUAUAAGGGAGACUUGCCAAGCUCUAGAGAUUCUAGAGAAUUCUACCCACUAUCUAGAAUUUACAUGUGCUGGAAAGUCAUAGAGAAUUCUAGAGUAUUUACAAGCUCACAUGUGCUAGAGUUUCCUAGAACUUUCCGGAAUUGGGUCAAGCUAGCACUCUUGGCCUUGUGUUGGCUCUCUAGCCCGAAAUUGUGGGCAAUUGGGCUAGUGAAUUGGGCGGUCCGCAACAUUUAGGUGGGAUAUGGGAGAAUUGUCAAGAGUUCACACCAAGAGAAAUUAAUGAUAGGCCUAAUUUCGUUGUCAAUUCUUUAUUUAUUUAUUUUAUUUUUUUAUACAUUAUUGUCUUGUUGGCAUUGUUUUGUAAAGAUAUAAAAGUACAAGUAAAAUAUUAGGGGAAGUAAAGUAAAAUAUUGGAGGUGUUGCUAAGUUACAGCUGCCGUAACUUACAGUUCCUUAAAAAAUAAUGUAAAAAAUUUAACACGUGGUGGGACCCACAUUAUGUUUGAAGAGGCCGUAAGUUAUAGCAGUUGUAAAUUAGUAAAAUCCAAAUAUUAGACAAUAAUACACAUUAACAAUGCAUAUAAUUUGAGUUUGAUUUUUAAAAAAAUUAUGUGAGUAUUACCUAUCCUUAAGACAUUAAUGAGAAUAUAUUUUAAUUUUAAAUAAUCAAAAUCUGUUUAAUCAUAAUAUGUAAUUCAUACAUUGCAUGUUAGAUUUGUUUGGAUUUUAAGUUGUUGCUAAUAAAUAUUUAUGUUGUGAAAGUCGAAUUCAAUAGCUACAAAAGCAGAGAUAAUGGUAUUUUAUGUAGUUUUUAAGAAUACAAGGAUAAGACCAUAACGCAUGAGAUAGUGUUAUUUUAUAUUAAAAGACCAUAACACAUGUAUUUGAGCCAUUUAUAUUGAGGACACAUAUAGAGCGAAAAGUGCAGAUCCGGCCGUAACUAUUGUGAAGCUUUCCUCAAGUAUUCUCAUGCACGCAGACCUUAGCUGGUCAAGUUUUCUGAUUUAAUAUAAUCAAUUUCCGCGCAGUACUAACGACAGCUUCUUUGUAAAGCUCUUCAACCACAAGCAUUUCUACAAGGCAAAAGACUAGGACGUGUCGGAAUGAAUAUCAAUAAGGGAAUGUCUUAUGAAUUUAGUUUAUAUCCUAAUAUAAGACAAUCAAUAAAUAUUAGAUGCAAUCUAAGGGCUAACAUUUGAUUGAUCAUUAUACGAAAAAAAGGUACAAAAAUACAAAACAGAGCUGAUUGAUGGCCUCUCACAGUCAGUUAUAUGACAAAGUAGCCACCACAACAAACUUGAACUUGGCUGGAGGUCUCAUUAGCAGUAUACCUCCGAACUUAAGACAAAGACUUUAAAAUGCAAACUUAUGGAGCAAUUUAAGCACUGAAACUAAUAACAGUACGGUAUUAGCAAUUGACCUCUGCUUUUGCUUAGACAAAGGUUCUCAUCACAAUGGAUUCAUUAGUUGCCCUUGCCUCACACGUUUGGAUGCUAAGGGGAAAAAGGAAGUUUGAAUUAGUCAAUCUCAUUUCUAAUGGCAUUCACAGAGAACCUAUAAAGCAAAAAAAUAAAUAAAAAUUUUCAUGUUGCAAGUGAGCUCGUUUUCAAUCGAUUUUUAUUGAUCAUAAGAGAUCAUGUGGCCCACCUUAUUUUUAUUUUGGAUCCAUAACCCAAAGCUGGCCCAAGUUCUGAUUCCAGAAUCAUUUGUCUACAAAGUGACCUCAUUCCGGCAAUUGGUUUAUGCUAAUAGCACGUGCAAUUUUCAUUUUCUUCUUUUUAUUAAUUAAUUUCAUCAUUAUUAUUUGCUUAUUAGUUUAAAUUAAUUAAUUAUAUUGUAUUAAUGAAAUUAGUCUUUCAUUUUCUUUUCUCUUUCAAUGCACAAAGCCAAACAACCAUUCUUUCUUCAAAUACCGAAGAGCUCCUGACUACGGCUGUCAAUGCUUCUAUAUUUAUGUGCUGUGCUGCAGCACUCUUAGCGAAAGCUUGAAUGAAUGAUUAAAGACAAAAGCUUAUAUAAAAGCAGAUGCCGGAGGCACUCAAAAAGCAUUUGAGAGAGAAGCUAAACAGCAAAUCAUCAAACGCACUUCAAUGACUUUGAUUUUGAUUUUUGUUUCAAAAGAAGUAGAAAAGUCCAUGGGUCACGAUAACUGCUUGUCCUCUGCCGUGACCUCAUUGUCCGCUGCUAGUGUCAAAUAGAUUAAUCUUUCUAGUAGAUUAAUAUAAUUUAUAAUUUUAAUUUCAGUAUUAAUUUUUAAAAUGUUAGUUGUUAUAUUUAUUUUAAUGAUAUAUCUAUUUUUAGUAUAAAAAUUUAAAUAAAUAUUUAGAUUAAAUAGAAUUUAUAAUUGAUAUAAUAUAUCUCAUGUAUUAAUGAUAUUUAAAUUAUUUUAAAUAAUAUUAAUCCUAACUUAAAAUUUUAUAUAUUUAUUUUAAUGUUAUGUUUCUAUAUAUUAUAAAAUUUAGUUUAAUAUAAUAUAAGAUUGUAAAGUAUUCAAAUAUUUUUUAAAUAUUAAAAUUAUUAUAAAAUGUAUAUACUGUUACAUUUUUAACAUUGAAGUCAAUCUUUUUUAAGUUAAUAGAGUGAAAAGAUAUAAUAAUAAAAGGCUAUGUAAUCUUUCACUUGCACAUAUUCUGUACUCUCUGGAGCACGACGGUAGGAAACAUGAUUACAGAUGUUAAAUUCGCCUUUUUUCACAAGUUUAUCAGCUUCGUUUGCGGCCUCUGCUGCUUGUUUACCAAGCUUGUAACGAGAAAUCAAAUUUGGGCACAACCCUUUGAAGCAGAAUAUCUUAGCUCUAUCUUUAUCAUCAAUGAUGGAUUUUGCAACCCCUUCACUGAAUUCAGCAACUCUAUUUAGCCAGUCUCUGACACCCUUAUAAAUCUCAUCUCCUUGUAGAGUAGCCUCUCUAACCAGUGUUUGCACCCUUUCUCUUAUAUAUUCCAGCUCCUUCACUCAAUCUUUUAGCCCAUUUAUGUAGCUCUGGUACUCGAACACAUAAGAUAUGUGCCGCAUAAUCAGUUCGAAUAAUGCUUUUGAACAUUGUGAUACAAUGCUGGAAAAAGCAGGGAGACACCCUUCUGCAGCCAUUGCUUGUUGCUUAACAAUAUAUAUAUAUAUAUAUAUAUACAAGUGUCAAAGAAAGGAAUACAAAUAAAUUAAUAUGAACUAGAGAGAAAGAUAGAGAAUGAAAAGACCGCCAACAAUAUCGCUAUAUUGAUCUUGAACCAACUAAUAAUUAAAUAGAGAAUUUCUUUUUCUUUCUUAAGGAUCAGAGGUUUUGCUAUUAGCAAAAAGGUACUUCAAGGGUCUGAAUAAAAAACCAACCAUAAAUUAUCAAAAGCUAGUAAGAACACAGACGUAAACAAUGAACAAUUACUUAAGCCAAACAGACCAUGAUACAAAGCAAAUCUAAUAAAAUGACAAAGAAAGAAAGAAAGAAAAUACAACAAACAGUAUUGAAGUGUUGAUCAUGAGCCAACUGAUAUUUAAACAGAUUUUUUUUUUAAUUUUUAGUCUUUUCUAAAAGGAUUAGAGUUCUUGCUAUUAAUAGAAAGGUUUCAAAGAUCUGACACUAUUAGAAAAGUAUUAAAUAAUGACAAAAAUUUUAUGACAUAUAUGGUUGUAUCUCGAAUGUGUCAUAAAAUUAUGAUAGAUUCAUAAUAUGUAUUCAUAUGCCCAGAAUAUAUGAUAUAUUCAUGACUUAUAACUUAACCGUAGUAAAUAAAUGAUACAUAUAAGUCAUGAUUAAGUUUUGUGACCUUAUAAGAUUGUAAAACAGUGUCGUUUAAAUUAACGACACCGUUCUGUAUAACUUAAAACACAUCAACACUUCAGCCAAAUUUUGGCGGGUAAAAACCCAUUUAGUCCCUAUAUUUUAAGAUUAGUAUACAUUUAGUCCCUAUAUUUUUAAAAAUGCCUCGAAACGUUCCUGCCGUUAAAGUAUUGAUACCCCUACUGUUACUUUUUAUUUCUUUUGGCUUACUUUUACAAUAUUAUAAAAGUGUAAUAUUGUAAAAGUAAGCCAAAAGAAAUAAAAAGUAACAGUAGGGGUAUCAAUACUUUAACGACAGGGACGUUUCGAGGUAUUUUUAAAAAUAUAGGGACUAAACAGACACUAAUAUUAAAAUAGAGGGACUAAAUGAAUUUUUACCCAAUUUUGACUAAGCGUUGAAUAAAUCCCUCUCUCUCCACUGGCGACUACAACCUAAAAUGAAUCAACUCUGAGCCUCUCUCUAUAACACUAUAUAGAACCCUAAACCUAAGAGCAUCUCCAAAAGGCUUUAUAAAUUUUACUCUUUAAAUAUUUAUUUGCUUACCUAUGUGGCUAAUAGAAGAGUGAAAAAAUAUAUUAUCUCUAAAAGACUUUUCAAAUAUAAAUGAGUUAAUAUUAUUUUAAUUAAAUAAUUAUUUUUUAAAAUGAAAAGUCAAUAAUAAUUAAAUCAUCUCUCUCUUUUUCCAACAAAAAUAAUAAAAUAUAAAUUAAAAAGAAAGAAAUCAACUCUCUAAAUUUAAAGAGAUAGAAUAAUUUUUUAUUUAAAAAAUUUUAAUUAAAAUAUUUUAUAAAACUUUAAAUGUUGACUUAACUUUUCAGACAGCUAAUAAAAUAAGAAAUAAAAUCUUAUUUGAAAAGUGUUUUCCUUAUAUUUUAAGUCUCACAUUCGCAACCGACGAAGCUGAAAAAGUUCCCCACAUAUCAAAACCACAGCGAACUGCCUCCGACCCUACGGACCCAAAAAAAUUUAUUGUAUUCCUGCUCUUUCACAUCAAUAAUUUUUUGUAUUAUUCCAUAACCCAAAAGCUUUCCUCUGUUUCAACUAAGCGAAAAUUUACAUAUUAAAGCCUAGCUCAAAUUCCUUUUUUCAAUCGAAAUAAAACGUAGCCCCAAAACCCUAAUUCACCACACCAAUUUAUCUCUGCCCGGUAUUCAUUUAAACCCUACCUCGCGGUUCAAUGUCAUUCAAUACGAUUGCAGAUGCCGUUUCAACUUGUCAUUUAGUUAUUGCCAUCCAGUUCUCUAUGGUAAGCCUUAACCCUAACAACUAAUCGACUGUGGUAGCACGUUGCUUGUUAGGAGUGGGGAUACAUUAUUUAACUAUAUGAAUUGGGUGAUGUUAGUGAUUCAUUCCCCUAUUUGUCAUGAAUUAAGAUUUGUGUAUAAUGCUAGUCAGAUUGCUAAAAAUUUCAUAUUUUGUAUUGUUCCAGUUGAAUUUCUUGCUUGUGGAAGAUAAAACAAAAGUUCAAUUUCAUGUUGAUUUAAUUCUUCUUUUUCUUCUUUUUUUUUUUCUUCUUUAUAGUCACGCUCUGGCUUUGGUGCUAUGCUUAGUGCAGUUUAUGGUUUCAAGAUUAAGUCACGUUUAUUUGAUGGCAUCGAUUCCAUCGUUGAGGAUUGGAUUGUUGAUCAAAUGCACAUAGUAAGCUCUUCUUAUUUUAUCUCAGUUUUAAUUUUCUUUUAUUAUCUGCCUCUACCUGAAAAUGGACGUGUUUUACUAGUAAGCAUAGACUUUGUUUAUUUAAUUGAUAUUUUAAUUUUAUGUAUAAGAAUAGAGGUUUAUUUUGGAAAAAAAAGCAAUAAAAAAACAGACUCUGUUGAAGCUAAUUAGUACUGAAUGUUUUUGGUGGUGCGACCAGAGGUGGAAACAGGGUAUGAAAAUGUGUUACUAGUGAGGUUGCUGCUUAAGAUGAGAAUGCAUUCUUUUCAAAAAUCCUUGGUAGGUGUGAUCUAAUUAUAUUUGAUGGAAUAUUAAAUGGCUAAAAAUCUGUCAUACGUUCAAACUUUGUUUGUGUUUGGAAGAAUGGUGUUGACUGUAUAUUCGUUUGGAAGAAUGGUGUUGAUUGUAUAUUCAUUUGCUUAGCCUUUUGACAGAUGGAUUUGAAACUGACGACAAAUGUGAUUCAAUUUACAAGGUUUUCGAGGGGCUCACAGUGGAAGGGAUAUUGAAGAACUGGUCUAAGAUAAAGCCUAUGAUUGUGAAAGAUUGGAGUGAGAAUAUAAAUGCUCGUUUAAAUCUCUUUGGCAAGGUCAGAGAUGAAUGGAUAGAUAAGGAUUUAUUUGACUACUUGGACUGGUGCUAAUAGGUAUUUUAGGCAAGCUUUUUGAGAUAACACUGAGCAAGUUAUACUACUAGUUUGCACAUGAUGAUCAAAACUCUCAAAAAGUAAAAUAAAAUAAAUUAUUAACUUUUACUUAUCUUUUGCAUAGCAAUCAAUGUGGUGCUUGUUCUGUGACAACUUUGAUAAUCUACUUAAUUAUUGGUUAGCAUUUGGACCAAAAAAGUUCUUAUGAUUUACAUGUUUUGUAGAAAUGCAUGAACCUUAAAUGUGCUGAUCAGGGAGUUUAAUUAUUGCACCUUGAAAUUCAUUUAUUGUUAACUAAUUGGCUUUCCUUUGCAUAAAGCCGCUUAUAAGGCUUGAGUGGACGUCUUUAUGGGCAUAUUAUUUGUAUUUCUAUAUGCAUGCCUUUAUCACUUAAUGUGCUGCUUUUAUUUCUUUAUGCAUGCCUUUAUCAUUUAAUGGCCAGCUCCCUCUCCUCUUUUGUAAUUUGAAUAGUAGUAUGGGCCUCCAUUUUACAAAUCUUUAACAUUUUUUGCUGUAAAUUAAUUUUUCUUUCAAAUAUUUUGGAGGUCAUUGGAAUUCCUGUAGGUCUAUUUACCAGAUUUUAGUAUGUUUAAGGUUUUAAUUUUGCUUAAACUUUAAUUUUUCUGAAAGAUUGUAGUAUUGAUCCUUAAAGAAAGAUCAUGCUACUUCAAAUUAUUUUGAAGUGUUGCCAGUUAUAGCCUUACAUAACAAAUUCCAUUUGUCUGGAAAUUUAUUGAUAGCUGUUACAGCAGCAUAUUUUAUGACUCUACUUCUUAGUUAUGUAAGUUCAUUAUGUUUAGGUCAGAGGCAGUCAGCUGUGGGGAAUCGAUAUAUACACAGAUGACUUUGAUCUUGUUGCUGGUAUGUGGUUCUAUGAAUAAUUGUGUUUGCCUCACUGUUUUUGUUUUAUGAGAUCUAUAAUUGAUCUUGGGAUAUUACUUUCUAGUCCUCAUGCAAGCAAGUUACUACCUUCCCACUGCAUCUCCUCCUUUAUCUGCUAUUCAAGAGUUGCGUGCCAUAAUCUGGUGUUACCUCUGCAAGAUUGUGAAUGAAUAUAAUGCCUCUAAAUUUAUUUUAUACAUAAUGCUGAUGCUGAAUAAUAUAUUGUAGCUCCUGUCAUAUUCUACUUUGACUUUUUAUAUUCUGUUUCAUAUAAAAAUCUUAUUCAACUUUAGUUGUUCAUGAGCAAAUGUCACAUGUAUAAGCCCAAAUGAUGUUUAAAGGUAGCGCGGCUACCUUUAGUUUGAGCUUACAAUGGAUGAAAAAGAAAUUGAAACUGAUAUUUUGCUGUUUUUCUGAUUUUUCAAAGUAUUUUAGAUCCUGAGUUUUGUUUGGACUUGAUGGUUAUAGAUUGUGUCUAGAUUUGUUAAGUUGUUUCCAACACCUCGUGCCAAAUGAAAGCACAAUCUUUCUGAUUCAGAUGUCUUGUUAAUUAUGCUUCAUUUUUUCGUUAAAGAUUGGAUGGUUGCAUGGAUUGAUGGAGUUGGAGUUCAACCAAUAAUUCUAAUUUUUUGGACUUAAAAUGCCUUUUUCUUCUGUAUAAAAACUUUAGUAAGUGCUAUUGAGUUGACGGAGGUUGAAUACUUACAGGUUGUUUCACACUUUUUAAUAGUUUUACAUAUAUGAAUUUCUGUUUUUUGAAUUGCAGAAAGGAGGUGGAACUAUUGAUUUGGAGCCUUAUCUUACUCACUCAUCGACAAUGGAGCCUAUCCUCGCUCCCAUGGCAGUGGAACGGACAACAACUACUAGGGCUGCAACAUCAGUUGGUUUGGGUCUGUUUUGAGUUUAUUUUCAUUUAUUUGGCUAUGUUUUGAUAGCGAAUUUUGAUAUGUCAAUAUAAUGUGUAAUUGUUUUGGGUUGAGCUGGUAAUUAUGCUGGAUUAGAUUGGUUUGGUUUUGGUGCUUCUCUGAUGGAACUCUGCUUUUUUUAGAAAUUUUGAAUGUAAUAUGAGACUACAUUUAGUUUAAUUUAACACUGCAUCUAGUCUAAUUACUAGAAGUGUGGCAUUUGGUUUGGUUUAUCCGAUAUUCUCCAGAAUUUCACUUGCAUCUGGUUUUGUUGCAUAUGUUUGCUUGCAUUUGAUGGCAGUAGCAGACUGUUUGGUUUUGUGACAUUUGAUGGCAGUUUGGUCUGUUCUUGGUGUUGAUUUAAGAUUGUUCCUGUUGUGCUGAUGUUAAUUGCAGGUGCUUGAAUCAGCUAGGGUUGCUGGUUUAUUCAGAUGGUUGACUCAGGCGUUGUUACUGGUUAAUUCAGGUGGCUGACUCAAGUUGUUCAUUUAAUGUUAGGAAGCAAACUAAGAAUUAAUGAAGUAUUCAUUUAACUAUAAUUAUUGUAGUUAUUUUAUUUCAUAACUGAAUUAUAAUCUAUGAUACUUGUGAACAAAUUAGAGAAUUUUUAUAUAUGAAUUAUAUAUGUGUGUGUAUGUACAUUUUGCUAUUUAUAUAAUAAUUUAAAGAAUAUAUUUCAAUUCCCACAAAAAAAAAUGGCUCCAAUUUCAAUAAUUCCCGCCAAAUAAUUAAAUUUUUUUAAUUUACUGCCAAAAUAUAUCUUAAAGAAAUGUUAGUUAUUCUUGCUAGAUUUAACAAAAAUAAUUUGUAGGAUUAACAUUUAAUUAAAAUAAUUAAAUAAUUUUAUUAUUCCAAUUAAAUAUGUCAUGUUUAUACGUCAUACAAUAGUCAUGAAUGGGAAGUAUUAGUUACAUAUUUUUCCUUGGGAUUUCAGGCAAAUGAAAAAAAGAUUGAGAAUGGUUUCAAGAGGACAGGUGGAUGAUAAGUAUUCAUUUUUGUAUAUUUGGUUAGGGGAUUUUUAUGGUAUUGAUCUUUUUUUUUUUUUAAAUUUUCAAUUAGUUGCAGCCUUAGAGGAAGAGCAGGCUGAUCAAAUUGAUUUGUCUUGUUUUUCGGGCAAUCUACGACACGAUGAUCGUGAUAAUGCUCGUGACUGCUGGAAACUUUGUGAUGGAAAUAACUUUAGAGUUCGUAGCAAGCAUUUUUGUUAUGACAAAACAAAGGUUCCCCCAUAUUUUGUUUGUUUGUUAUGGUAUUUAUAUAUCCUGCAUAGGCUAGGUAGACAGGUUAUGAUGUAGUUUGGUUGGCUCUUCUUGUGCUUUGUGCAAUUUGUAACUGCAGAUACCUGCGGGAAAACAUUUAAUGGACCUUGUUGCUGUUGAUUGGUUCAAAGACACAAAGAGAAUUGACCAUGUAGCUAGGCGUCAAGGCUGUGCUGCACAAGUAACUAUUCUUUUCUUUUUAUUUUUCCUUUUCCAUUGAUGCAUUAGGAGAAAAUAUUGCCUGUGAGAUACUUCAAUGUAAAUAACUUCUCAUGGUUCAUUGAAUCUAUAACACACUGACCCUCUUCUAAAAAACGUAGGUUGCUUCUGAAAAAGGGCUUUUCUCACUGAUCUUUAAUCUUCAAGUAAGUUUGUUUCAUUUCAGAAGGUAUUAAGUUUCAAACUUAUUGUAUUGGGAGGUUGUAUAGUUGUAACCUAAGCAUCUGCAGGUUCCUGGUUCGACACAUUAAAGUAUGGUAUUUUAUUUUGUCACAAGGCAAUUGGUUAUGGGAUCACUUUUGCAACGGUUUGUUGAUGGCGAUGAUGAGUUUCGCAAUAGUAGGUUGAAACUUAUUCCAUCUGUUCCUAAGGUAUCCAUCUUGGCCUUCAUGUAUUAGGACUAUAUUAACGUAUACUUACCCUUUUCUGCAUGGUACACUUCAAUUUGUCCAAAGAAGGCAUGCAUUUAGGUGUAAAUGUAUUGAUGGGUAGUACCUUCAAACUUCAUGUCCUUUUUACCCUCUUGAAUUUGUUUUGCACUUGUUCUUGAUUUUAAGCACUGAAUCAUGCAGGGGUCAUGGAUCGUGCGCCAGAGUGUUGGAAGCACCCCUUGUUCAUUAGGGAAAGCGGUUAAUUGUAACUAUAUUCGCGGUUCCAAGUACUUAGAAGUAAAUGCUCUUGGAAUUUCUAUAGUACAUGAGAUGUUCAUCUUUCAAAUAGCGUCCGAUACCAUUAACAUGGUUUAACAUUGUUCAUCUUUUUGUAGAUUGAUGUUGACAUUGGUUCUUCUACUGUUGCUAAUGGAGUUUUGGGCCUUGUAAUUGGUGUAAUUACGACAUUGGUGGUUGACAUGGCUUUCCUUGUACAGGUAUGUAUGAUUGUUUUUUUCCCCCACUUCUAAAUGGACACAAGGGAAAAGACAUGAUUUUGAGAUAUUGCACUGCAAUUUGCAUUUUUGCAUACUUGAAUGUUCUCAGAAUAGUAUAAUGCUUCGUGUGUGUCUUCUUUAUCUUGCUCUUCUGUAUGCAGGCAAAUACUACAGAUGAAUUACCGGAGCGGCUGAUUGGUGCUGUACAUGUUUCUCAUAUAGAACUCAAGUCUGCUGUUGUCCCAAAGUUGGAACCAGAGAUAUCAUGACUCUGGUUUCAUUUCACCUCAACUGUGUUUUUUUUUUUUUUAAAUUAAAAAAACAUUUGUUUUAGGUAUACAUACAUGUAUUUUGAUCCCAUUUUCAUGGGAAUUUUGCAUUAAAAAAUGAAGAAUAGUGAAUAGGAAAUUUCUUGAUUCUUUAGUUACUAUUUUUGGUAUGAGUGUAAAUAGUAGUAAAGUUGGUUUCUACUCGCAAACAAGUGAACUGCUCGAUUCCUGAGUGGUAUCAACCAGUUUCCAACUUUUUAAUAUACACUAAUUGUUAUUGUUUAAUAGCUACUACUAUUAAAACUCAACAGCUGACAAAAAUACUUAAAAAAAAUGAUUUUACUUCUUUCCACGAGAUCUAUAACAUGGUCUUGACUUCACGAAAUUCUUUUAAUUUAAAACGUGCUGGUGUGAGAAGGUCAGUUUGACGGAUUAAUUCUUUUUUAACAGUGGUCGAGAUAAUUUUACUAUACUCAAAAAUAUUCUUAUUCUGAUAGUGCCAUAAAUGUUAUGCUGUUUUCUUCGGCUAAUGGUCUUCUAUCAAGAGAGGGUAGAAAUCAAAUGCUUAAAAGACCAAUUGAAGGAAUAAUACAGAAAUUUAGGCAGAAUCUAAUCGAAUAUUGCAUGAAACAGGAAACAUCAAUUCAAGUCCUUUCUUAAACGGAGAAUGCAUCAAACAAAAUCCAAAGUGUCUUGCAAGUCUGUAGCAUGAGCAAAAAAUUAUUCAAGUACAGAAGAAUGAGCAAGCUAAAUCAUGUAUAAGAGAUUGGUCUGGUUCGGGAUAGCUUCUUCACUGUACCUAAAGGGUUGGCUCAAUCUCUUCUUUAGAAUUCUGCAGAUUUUGUAAUUACUCGUGUAAGCAAGCAUACAUUGCCACCAUAAGAAUAAUAAAGCUAGAGUAAUGAUAUGACCACCACCUCUCGUGCACAAACAAUAUUGUAUAAACUAAUGAGACAUAAUAUGAUUGGUUAAACAAAAACAUUACAUGGCCCUCAUAAUAAUAAUAAUAAUAAUAAUAAUAAUAAUAAUAAUAAUUAUUAUUAUUAUUAUUAUUAUUAUAUAUUUUCAGUCAACCAAUCAUAUUAUAUCACAUUAGUUUCUAUAAAAUAAUUAGCUAAAUAGCACCAAAACUUAAUUGAUACUCACCAUUUCAUUGAACAAUUUUUUUAUGGUGUCAUUGAGGUUGCCUUCCCAACAUCCUUCAUCAUCAUCAUCUUCUUCUUCGGUGACGUUCACUUUGUUUAGCAUUGGUGUGUCUAAGAGUCCUUGAGAGAAGAUCUUCAUUUUUGGACACUGUCUCACAACUACUUGUUUCAAGGACGGGAAUUCAAGAGCGUAAUUACCUAAACAAAAGCUUGUUAGGCUUGGCAAACAAUCAAGUCCCAAGUACUCCAAUUCCUUGAAAACAUUGCAAUCUUUCGCUUCUUCUCCAACCUGCAAUUGUAUGAUUUGUUCUAUCAUUUUGCAAUCAGCUAUCAUCAUUCUUCCGAGAUUCACUAGAUUUUUAGAUGCUGAGAGCGUCAACACAUUUAUCAACUCGUGACACUUCGAUACUUUCAAAGCCUCAAGAUUUUCCAAAUGCCACGAAGGUGGUACUAAUUUUUGCAACUUACUACAUUCCGAUAUUUCCAGCCUUUCCAAGUUUGCAAACGCUUUGUUGGAUUCGUCAUUUUCCUUCCAGAGAUGCUGCACUUUGUGUAAUCCAGACAGUCUUAAAUUCCCCAAUUGAGGGAAAGCAACCUGAAAAUCAACAAAAUUAAGUUGUAAAUGAAAAUAUGUAUCCAAUCUCUGCAGUCUUCCCCUGCAUAUUUUAUGGACAAGAUUAAUCACGGCAUUUUAUAUUUUAUUUCCAAAUUAGUAUGCUUUGCACUAGGAUCCCAAAUAUAAGUAUCAAAUCGAUUACCCUUUGAAACACAUAAAUGAAAACUGAUACUAAAUCCAAUAUGAAUUGAUAAUCAAUACUAUAAAGUUACCAGUUCAUCACCUCAUGUUACCAGUCAUCAAAAUAAUUUAGGACUUUUUUAAUUUAUACUAUAAAGUUAGUUAAUAACUGCGGUUAUAUUGUUAAAUCAUAUAUAAAUUAAGACGACGUGCAAAAAGAUGUCAUUAAAUUUGAUUUGAUUAUAAUGAAAUUACAUAUGUGCGAACGAAAGUGAAGGGAAAAUAAUAAUAAUGAUUACCUUUUCAUCGAAGAGAUGUUGUAUUUGAUUAGCUACCAAGAGGUUCUCUUCUGAUUUUAAUUUUUGAGGUUCCUUAUUAUCUGCUGUCAUGUGCAGUACAAAUGUAGAAUUGGAUGUGAAUGUUUCCAUAUCAGGGCAAUUCUCAAUAAUUAGAUAUUCCAACUUAGGCAGUUCAAUUAUAUUCCCAGUGAAGUUGCAGAAUCUUUUGAGUUUUGGAAGAUCAAUGAGCUUUAGGCUUAAAAGCCUAGGAAACAGGGGGCCUAUAUGUUCUUCCUUAGCACUUAGCUCUUCCAAAUGAAGCACCUCUUCUAGUGAAUCACAAUUCCUCACUGCCAGCCAUUCCAAAUUGUUCAAGCACCGUAGCAGAUUGGCAGGAAUAGCACUCGACAUAUUCGUGCUGUCAUCCACCACCAGCUCCGCUAAAUUGUUGAAGAAUCUGACAGGCAGUGCUUGGCCAUGCCAUAUUUCUUGCAAGCGUGGAAAAUGCGAGAGUUGCAAACGGUUUAUAUCAAGGAAUCCAAUCUGCACAAACCAAAACAAUUGCACCAGAAAUAUACAAUUUUUUUUUUUGAAAGGCAUUAUAUAUAUACACAUUAAACUUACAUUUUUUGUGUUUUAACUUCUAAAAAUAUAUAUACAAGGGAGGUGUAUAUGCUUAAAUGUGCAAGUGAAGGGAGAUGCAUGAUGAACAAUUUGGGUGAAUUGAUUAACACAUACCUUUUCGUCAUAACACUUUUGUAUAGUGGAAUUAAGGUUAUUGCCUUCCCAAUGGUGUAGUUCACCCUCUUCCUUUUCAGUCACUUGCACUUUGCAUGGCUUUGGAAUGGAUAAUAUUCCCUGAGAAAAAGUCUUCAUGUUCGGACAACGUAUCAUAGAAACUCGUUCCAAUGAUGGGAAUUCAAGAGUGUAAUUCUCCAAACAAAAGCCGGUAAGUGUUGGUAAAUAAUCAAGUAUCAAAACUUUUAAUUUGCUAAAAGCAAUACGAUUCUCCUUCACUUCUUCUCCAACAUGUCUUAUGAUUUCUUCUAUCUUAUCACACCACGAUACAUUAAGAUUCACCAGACUACUAGGAAUUCCAACCUGAAAAUAAGCAGAGAGUGUGUGUGUGUGUACGUUAAAAAAGUAAAAAUGUAAGAAUAUCAUUCAACAAGGUUCAAAGUAUGUUUAAAUCAUACAAUUAUACAUUUUAUAAACAUAACAAACCAUGAAAUGUCUACUAGAUAAUUUUUUGUUAAACAAAAAAGGCAACAAGAUAAAUAAAUAAAUAAAAGCCAAAUAAACAAAAGAUAAUAAAAAUGAAUUUACACUAUUUAGUAUUAGGAACAUAGAAAGAAUUUAAUGCAAUUUCUAAAUAUUUUAGACUUAUUUUGCAUCUUGACGCCAGUUUUUAAACAAAAUUUGCAAAUUUCAACUAUUCCUUUUGGGAAAAAAAAAAUCAACCAAAAUGCCGCUUUUUCCCUUUUUCCUUGGUCCCUUUUUUUUUAUGUAUAUUUAAUUUUGGAAACAAAAUUAAAGUGGAUCUUUAUUAAGUACUUCUAGACUCGAGGAAAUUUCUUUACAAUCAAGGAUCAGUUGUAAAUAAUCAUGAAUUUGUGGUUAAUUAAUGGCAUAAUCAGUUCGUAACUAAACAAGAGAUAUUAAUUAAAUUUGAAGACUUUUCUUUUCUUUUUUUCUUUUUCCAAUCGAAAUGUGAAGAAUUAAGGACAAGAGAAAUAUAUAGAUGAAUUUGUGAACCUAUAAGAUGAGUGACUAUCCUUUAAUUUUUGAAAAUUGUACUUAUUAAGAUAUGAGCAUAAACAAUUAAAUUGAAUUAUAUUAUGCUGUUGAAUCGUGAUUAAAAAAAUUACAUUGUUGAUUCUAAUGCUGGCGAACCUAAGAACUGGACUUAAAAUGUAGAUUUGAGAGUGGUGGUUCGAAGUACAAUACUUGAAAUAAAUAAUCAGUGGCUGAAUAUCAUUUGUAAACCCAAAAAUGGUUAAAAUAUUGUUGGAUGUAAUUUGAAAAAAAAAAAAAAAGAUUCGAAAUGAAUACAGCAACCUUACCAAUGGAGGAAAAAUAUUCAUUAGGUUAUCACACCCAAUUAUCUCCAAAUUCUUCAAUUUGCUGAAAGACUCCGAAGCAAGUUGGUGGUGCCAUAUUCUUCUCAAAUUAUCGAUCGACCUAAUAUGUAAUACCUCCAACCUAGGAAGUCGUACCUGGCAGUUAAAGAUUAAAUAACUAAUUAAUCAAUUAAUGGCAUAAUCAAUUGAUAACUAAAUUAGAGGCGGAUAUUAACUAAAUUUGAAGACUUAAGGAAGAGACAAAUAAAAUAUUGUGACUAAAAUAAAUUUAAAAAAAAAAAAAACCUUUUCGUCAAAGAGAGGAGGUUGCAUUUCAAAAUGAAUGGUGUCUUCUGGUGAGCUCGUGGAGAUGAAUCUUAACAUAUUACUGCAACUCUGAAUCUCGAGCUUUAGCAAAGAAGGGAAUUCAACAACUAAAUCUGAAUGAAUAUGUCCCGUAUUGGCAAAGCUUGUUAGCUCUGGAAGCCAAUAGAGCCGCAGGAAGUGUAGUUUAGGAAAAACCUUUAAUUCAAUCAACUUUCCUUCAUCUCUUCCUAACCACCCCGUCGUGUCGACUACCCCUUCCAUUGACUUACAAUCCCAUAUUUGAAGACGUUGGAGUUGCAAAAGACUAUUAACCAUAGAAUACGAAAACAGAUACUUCAUACGAUCACAACCGAACACGUGCAGCUUUGUUAAAUUUUGACAACAGUACAUUCCUUGAUUAUGAUCGGCCCAUAAUUUUUUUAUGUUUCUUAAUCUCGUGAGAUUCAAUUUUUCUAAGCUCGGAAGAAUAACCUGCAAAGAAAACCCGUACAUUUUUGUUCCUUCAAGUACAACCGUCUAGUAUAAUAUUCUUUUCAUGAUCGAAGAUUAAUCGUGAUAAUAAAUUAAUCAAUUAAUUAUUGAACGGAAAAUUAUCACCUUUGGAGCAGGAUCAUCAUCAGCAAUGAUUUCGUUGAAUCCCAAAGAAGUUGUUGGUUUCUCCCUGUCGGGUCCUAUAAACAAACAAAAACAAUACACAUAAUUAAUCUUUGUCGGUUUUUUUUUUUCAAAAUAAUUGAGGCGAAGUCCAUAAAUCCACCAACACUUAAUUUCAACACUUACCAAAAAUCAUUUCCAGAUCAUCGCAAAGACUUAUUAAUACUUUUUGAAGCCGCAGUAGGUUUUUUGCCAUGGAGAAUGAGAAAAGAUGCUUCAAUUUGUGACAGGAUUGUACUCCUAUAAUCCUUAAGUUGCUGAAAGAUUGAUCUUCUGUGAGUUGGCUGUCACAUAUUGUCUCCAAAUUGUUCAAAUAGCUAAGAAACAAUGACUCCAGCAAGGGAAAGACUGUACAAUGAACCCGUCCAACUGAACCGACAAUAUGCAAAAUCUCAGAACAACUUUCUACACGAAGAUGCUUCAAUCGUGGAAAACCUUCCCCAUCAUCUAAUUCAUGAACAACAUUCUGAACACCCUUAAGUUCGUAUAGAUUGAUAUCUUCAGUUUCCUUCAGUAACAUUUUCAUCCCAUAAUUCUCCAAAAGACUGCUAACAUUUUCUAGCCCAUGGAGCUUCAUCAAUCUUGAUGUUUCAGAAUUAACGGGCCAGAUGUCCCACACUUCUCCUAUGCAUAUCCUGUAUCUUGACAAUUCCACAAAGACCAAAUCCUGCAGCAGAAUUUGGGCAUCCCGAACUUGUAUCUCCAAAGUAGUUAGCUUUGACAACCCCUUCAACUCAGCAAGACUGGCGUUACUUCCUCCUUCAACCUUAUCCCACUGCGAAAAGCUGUCACCCAUAUAUAGUUCUUCCAAUCGAGAAAAUUUUGAUAUGACAUUUGGUGCUAUCACCAUAAGGCUGCUACAAUUGCUCAAAUCUAGCAACAAUAACCUCGUCAAUUGUCCAAUUUCAAGGGGUAACUGCUUAAUGUCGGAAUCUCGAAGGCUGAGAAUCUCUAAUUUCUUUAGCUGUCCAACUAUUGCUAUAUCUUCUAGUCCGCAACUAUCUAAACACAAUGUUUGAAGGUUAAUGAGGCGACCAAGUGAUGAAGGUAAUGAAGAGAAAGGAAUUCUAGUAAGACUUAAAACUUUGAGUUCUUCUGUCCCUUCAAAAAAGAGGUCAGAAAUUUGCAUAGAGACGGGCGCCAUGCCCCUUGCUAUUAACAAAAAUAACUUGAGUUGGGGACAUUCCAACCUUUCGGGAAGCUCUUGAAUAUCUUCGUAAGGUAAAGAANNNNNNNNNNNNNNNNNNNNNNNNNNNNNNNNNNNNNNNNNNNNNNNNNNNNNNNNNNNNNNNNNNNNNNNNNNNNNNNNNNNNNNNNNNNNNNNNNNNNGCAUUGAUACAGCAACAUCAUGAAUGAUGUCAUGCAUUUUAACUUCAUCUUCAGUAUCGCCAUCUAACAAUAAGCAUGAAGCUUUGAGAUUGUCGAUCAAUGCAUCCACUCUAUUCCUUGCAUCUUCCAAUGUGUGAACAUUUUUAAACAAACCCAAACCCAUACCAUAUCUCAACAGGGAAACAACUUCUACAGGAUUACCUUCACCAAACAGAGUACAAAGAAGGAACAAAGAUUUUGCUUCAUCACUUUCCAAGAAAUCGUAACUCAAUUUUAUGGAAGAAUACACAUAUGCAUCCAUACCACGAAUUUCUCUUAGAUUGGAACUUCUUAGCUGAUUCAAUGCAUCCUUCCAAAUGUUAAGACUCUUAUUUUUCAGAGCACUUGCAACUGUUCUCAGUGCAACAGGCAAUCCCCCGCAUUUUUCAACGAUCUCAUCUGCAGUGGGUUGAAAAUCAUAUGUUUUUUUUGAAUCACCCACAAUCUUCUCAAAUAACUGCAAUGCUUCAUCUUUGGAUAAAGCAUCGAUCCAGAAAUUUUUCUGAGAAUUCAUAUCAUUGCACAAUAAAUCUCGACUUCGAGACGUCAAUAUUAUUGUGCGUCUACUCCGAUCGUCCUCUCUAUCAUAAGGAAUUCCAACUUUAUCGAACUCAAGUUUUGUCCAAAUAUUAUCCAGUAUAAUGAGGAGCAGCUUCUCUUGCUUCAACCUUUGACACAGUCGAGAAGCUCUUUGAAAUUCAUUCUCAUUCAAGUCAAAUUCCAUGCCUAAAUCAAAAGCAAGUUUGUCUUGAAUUUUAUGAUGAUCUGGUGUCUGUGUUACCUCAGCCAUAACGACCUUAUCGAACAACUUAUCUUCCAUCACUUGCUUUCUAACUUGCUUGACUAGCGUGGUUUUACCCACGCCGCCCAUCCCGUAGACCCCAAUUAUUUUGAAACUAUCAUCCUUCAACGCAUCCAAAACAUCUUGAAAUACUUUCGUUCUUGAAUCGAACUCCUCGUAAUCUUUCACUGGCAUAUAUUCUGUACUCUUUGGAGCAGGACGGUAGGAAACACUAGAGAAGUUGCCUUUUCCCACGAGACUAGCGGCAGCUUCUGCGGCCUUUGCUGCUUGUUUACUAAGCUGGUAACGAGAAAUCAAGUUGGGGAACAACCCUUUGAAGCAGGACUUCUUAGCUCUAUCUUCAUCAUCAAUGAUGGAUUUUGCAACCCCUUCACUGAUGAAUUCAUCAACUUUAUUUAGCCAGUCUAUGACACCCUCAUAAAUCUCAUCCCCUUGUAGUCUAGCAUGAUUAACAGGUUGUUGCACCGUUUCUCUUCUAUAUCCCAGCUGCUUCACUUGAUCUUUCAGGCCAUCUAUGUAGUUCUGGUGCUUGAACACAUAAGAUAUCUGCCGUAUAAUCGGUUUGAACAGUGACUUUGAACCUUCUGAUACAAUGCUGGAAAAAGCAGCCAGACCCACUUCUGCCAUUGCCUGCUGCUUAACAAAUCUAAUAAUAUGUCAAAGAAAGGGGAAAGGAAUAGAAAUAAAUUAAAAUAAACUAGAGAGUGACAAAAAAGGAAAAGACAGCAAACAGAAUCGCAAAAUUGAUCUUGAAUCAACUGAAACAUGAACAGAGCAUUUUUUCUUCUUUCUUAAGGAUCAGAGUUUUUGCUAUUAACAGAAACGUGCUUCAAGUGUCCCAAAAAAAAAAUGAUAAAUGAACAAGCCAUAGAAAUUUUAUCUUGGAAAGUGGAUGGAAAUUAAGAAAGAAAUGGUAUAGAGAUCAAGCAUCAGAGAUUAUAUUAUUAAAAGAAAUUAAUUGAAGGUUGUGGAAAACCUGUUUAAUUAUGGAAAGUUGAUGAGCUUCUGUAAUCGCCUUGAGUAUUUAAGUGCAAUUUUGAUGAGCAAAAAGUUACUGUUACCUGCAGAGGAAUGUAAUUAUAGAGAGCUUAUGAGAGUAAUGACAAUGAUUUGCAAAAGAAGAAGACUCAAUCAUGGAGCCCUUAAUAUUUCUUUUAUGAAUAAACUGCCAGCAGGAAAAAUAAAAAAAAGUGGUAAAUUUACCAAGUCUUAUUUUAUUUUUAAUUUCUUUUAUUUUCAUUCGCCGAAGAGGGAAUCUCUUUUUUUUUCGUAAGGGAAAUAUCCUUUCCUAAUAUGUCAUGAUUAAAGCAAUCUAUAAAUAAUACAAUAAUCAUAUAAUGUAAUAAUUAAAAAGACCCACAUAUUUAUAAUAUUAAUGAUGGGAUCCAUACGUUCCUACUGAUUAAAUUGGUGGACCAGAAUUUAUUUGACCUUACUUGUUUUAUAUUUAAUUAAAAAUUGAAACGACAGAGAAAAAUUGUCGUAAUGAUGGUUUCGAUUGUGGAGUUCAGCUGUGGAUAGCACUUGCAAUACUGAAAAAGAAGCUUUCGUCAACUUUCUCACAUGGACGCGCACCAUCACGCAUAAUUGCAUAUUGCAUUAUUUCUCUAGAAAAGCAAAAGCAAGAUUUAUUCUUUUAAUAAGCAAACGCGUAGGUGGGAAUCCAUUCAUUAAACAAGUGGAACAGCAAUAUAUUAAACCAAUGAUAAGCAUUCUUAAGUGGGAAACCAAUUAUGACGGAUAGUUCAAAAUCUGAAUCCGCCUGAUGGACGGGUUUGACCGCAGAGCUCAAGAUAAUCUGAACCAUUCUCCUUUCGUAACUUAUAGAUAAUUUGAAAACAGGGGAAUGAAAACAGAGGAGCCCUGUUUUUCCUUCCUUUUUUUUUUUUUUUUUUCUUACCCAACUCUUCUUCUUUUGUAUAUUUUCCUUGGAAUUUUAGGUAAACCAAAAAACUUUGAGAAUGAUUUCAAGAGAAUAGGUGGGUAAUAACUAAAAUAUUUAUCUAUAUAUUUAUAUAAAGUUGGGACUACAAGAGAUGAUGUGGCAUCACCAUUUCUAAUUUUUGUAUAUUCUCUAUUAUCUAACAAAUAGAGAAAUUUUCUUUCAGAUUUUAUUUUUCAUCUUUUCAUAAUUAAUUUGACUGUUAUUAUACAAUCAAUAUGUAACAGUUCAUCAAAAGACCCACUAUCUUCUUUAAUUGAAACCUUCUUGAUCAGGACUACAAGAAGUAAUGUGGCACUACCAUUUCUCAUCUUUGUAUAUUCUCUAUUAUCUAACAAAUAGAGAAAAUUUCUUUUAGAUUUGGCUUUUUAUCUUCUCACAAUUAAUUUGACUGUUAUCAUACAAUUAAUAUGUAACAGUUCAUAAAAAAACUCACUAUCUUCUCUAAUUGAAGCCUUCUUGAUCAUAAAUUAAGCAAUAAUUUAUAAAUAUUUUUAAUCACUCUUCUCCUCUGACUCACCUAAAUUUAUAAAUAACAACAAAAAAUAUGAUAUCUCAUGUAAAUAUAAAAGAAUAGAAAAUAGCAAUAGCUCUAAAACAUUUUUUUUUUCAUUUUGGCCCUCACUUGCCUGAUCAUGGCAAAUAUUACAAAUGCAACCAGUAGGAAUGAUUGCCUCAACAACAAUAUGAAACCAGGCUACAAUCUUGCAACAAGACUUGAAGUUAGUGGAGGCCAAAUGGAGUGUUGGAACGUGUUAAUGGAGCUGAAAUCAUGCUCAAAUGAGAUUGUUAUAUUCUUCAUUAAUAGUCAGGCUGAUAUUGGCCCUGACUGUUGUCGCACUGGCCUGCAAUGCUCACCUCUCUCGGAUUCACGGCUGAAGAAGGGAACAUACUGAGAGACUACUGUGAUGCAUCUUCUGCUCCUUCUCCAGGUGGCCUCGCGGUGAUAUAUCAGCUUCAGGUUUCCAAGGUUUUUUGGCUUAGACAGGGUGCAUCUAUGGUACUUCAUAAUUAAAAAAAGUCUUUUUGGUUUUAUCUUUUCUUUAUUUUUUUAUUUUUUUUUUGGAAGUCUUGCCUCUUAAUCGAAUAGAAUAAAUUGUUAAAAUUAGAAUAAGAAAAAAAGGAUAAUAUUAUUUUUUUUCAAAGCCGCGCAAAGGGCGGUUCUAUUUCCUAGUUUUUAUAUAUUUGAUAAGCACGCUCACUAUUAAUAAAACCCAUUAAAUGCUAUAACUUAAAUAACUUCUUGUAGUUGAUUGAGAGUAUGUUUGGAAUUUCUUUUACUUCCCAAUAAUUAAUUUUUACCUUGAUUAUCAGAAAAUUAAUUUUAUGAAUAAUUUAGCCGGGUGUUUGGUAAAUGAUGAUUAUUUGACAAUCAGUUUUUAAAUAAUCUAUUAUAUAAAUAUAGUAAGUGAAAAUUAGAAGUAUAAUGUUCAUGUAGAAAUGACAAAAAUGUACUCAUUUACUUAUUUGUAAUUUAUUUAGAAUAUUAUUAUUUAAAUAAUUUUUCUUAUUCAUUGGAUUUUUUAAGAGCAUAUUCUAUUUUCUUGAUUACACAUUUAAAUAACUUUUUAUUAACUAUUUUAAUCUGCAAUAAAAAUUAACUAUAUUAUAUUUAACUAAAAAAUUUGUUAUGUAGUCCGUAAUAUACACAAAUACUUGAAUUUAUUAAUAAACUUAACUGCAAAAAAGAAAAUGCAUUACAUAUAUCUAAUUUCUUAUUUUCAACGAUUGAAAGAUGUUAUUUAGGAAACUUGUACGAGAUAAUUUAAUUUUGGACUAUUGACAUUAUAUUUACUUAGAAGUGGAAAUAGUGGGUGGAUAAAUUUAAUUUUUCAUUAAUUGCUCAAGAAGCAAGAGGAUUAGUGAUGGAUGGAGAGUUAGUGUAGAAUUGUGAGGCCAUUUGAUUACUGCAAGCAUUAUAAAUUUCUUGUUGCUGAGAUUAAUCUAAUUGAAUUAAUGACUCCAUGAUAGACUUAACAAAGGAUUCUUGUGGCAAGAUUUCUAUUUAUGAGGCCAUUUGAUUACUGUAAGCAUUAUAAAUUUCUUGUGGCAAGAUUUCUAUUUAUGACUCCAUGAUAGACUUAAGUUUUAGUGAGACAAUUGCUGCCUGUUGCAGACAUGAUACCUCUAGUACUUCAGAAGAUAGCAUAUCACGAAACACAUCCAGACUAUACUGAGGUUACAUCGAAAAUUCCUUGGCCCAUCGUGCGAGUGUGUGACAUCCCGCAACAAAAAUUAGGGUAUGUACUAUAUAUAUAAUGUGUUUUGAACAUAAUAAUAAGAAUGCUGAUUUUUAACAAUUAAUUUAUUUUACUUUUUUUAGUGGUGAUUGUGGAGAAUUUUUGUUGCGGUACUUGGAGGUCCUAACCCAUGGACUUGAUGUCAAUUCAUAUUGCAAACAAGAUCAUGUUAUACAAUUUCGAAAAGCCUUGGUUGUCAAAUUAUUUGGGCAUAGGUCAUGGAAAAAAACUUUGUAGUGUACUACCCUUAAAAACUUUGUUGGUGUGUCAUUUUUGGACCAUGAGAUGUGAUAGUUAUAAUGAGGAUGUUGUUGAUAUUUGAUGUCAUUAAAGAUAACUUGACAUCAUUAAUAUGUUUUAUUUCUUUGUUAACUAUAUUAAUGAUAGUGAAGAUAGUUUGUACAAUCUAUGUAAUGUAACAGGAUUGCCAUAUAUGCUCAGGGAAUACUCUGUAAGAAAAUACACGACUGCUGUUAGCUAUUUGCACGGAUACAUGACUGCAGUCGAGUAUUUACAAAUAUACAUGACUAGCUCUCUGUAAGAAAAUACUCGACUGCAAUUGGGUAUUUACACAGAUACACGACUGCAGUCAAGUAUUUAUAAUUGUACAUAACCAGCUCUCUAUAAGAAAAUACUCGACUGCAUUCGGGUAUUUACACAGAUACACGACUGCAAUCGAGUAUUUAUAAUUAUAUUUGACCAGCUCUCUGUAAGAAAAUACUCGACUGUAGUCGGGUAUUUGCACAGAUACACGACUACAGCCGAGUAUUUACAAUUAAAUAUGACUAGCUCUCUAUAAGAAAAUACACGACUGCAGUCGGGUAUUUGCACAGAUACACGACUGCAGUCGAGUAUUUGUAAAUAAACAUGACCAGUUCUGUAACAGCCAAAAUACACGAUUGUACUCGGGUAUGUGGACACGGAAUAAAAAAUCAACUAAAACAUUCAUUAUAUUGAUGACACAAUCAAUAUAAACUUUAACAUAUUAAAUUUCAAAUAAAUGAAACUAACUGUAGUCUGGUUGCCUAUCAAACAACAUAAAUCCAAUACUUAUUCGAAUCGUAAAUAAGUCAUAAUACAAUAAAAGUUGUUUAACAAUCAUCAUAAUUUUUUUGCAUUUUCAACCCAAACACUCGGUCCAUAUUUUAUAAGCCUCUAGUAAUUUGGUUGCCUAUUAAAUAACCCGAGAUACUAUUUCUAUCAAUUGUGCAUACGUUGUAGAAUAGGGCACUAUGAUCCCUCUUGCCUUUGUACCAUUAAAUCUAUAAUGGCCGUUUUGCUCAAUCCAUUCACCACAAAACAUAAUUGGCACACGUACUGAAGUCAUUUCCUGUAAUAAUACAACGGUUGAUUAUACAACAAAUACAAAAAUAAAAAUCAAGCAAUGUAUAUAACGAAGUGUGGAUCUGUCUGCCUAUUUACAUGACUCACGUCGUGUAAUUGGUAGUUUACACGACAAUAGUUAUGUAACUUGCUAAAAUACACAACUAUAGUUCUAUAAACAGUCAGAUGAUAUAUUUAGUAAAAAAAGCUGUAAUCUUUGUACUAAUCGAAUGGUAGGUGUCAUAACAGCUACUAUAUCUUCCAAACUUGCACGAUUGUUGUCGUGUAAAUUCAUACAUACAUGACAAAAGUCGUGUAAGUUGCAAAAAUAUAUGACUCAAUAAAUAAUCAGAGGACAUAUUUCUUCUUAAAAAAAUAUUGGGAUCUGAUAACAAUUGGAACAUUUUACAUAUAUACACAAUUAUAGUAUGUAAGUUCAUACGUACACGAUAGUAGUCGUGUAACUUAUUAACACACACGACUAUAGUCCAGUAAUAGUAAAAGGAUAUAUAUAGUGAAAAAAAAAAUAUUUUUUGCACCAAUAGAAUGAUAAAGUGUCAUGAUAAUUGGAAUCUUUUGCACAUUUGCACGACUACAGUUAUGUAAAUCCAUACAUACAAGACUGAUGUCGUGUAUGUCGGGUGCAGAAAAAAAUUUUGGCAACAACUUCAGGUUUUAACGAAUGUAGUUAUAAAAUCCAUCAAAUAACAGUCAUAUGAUGCAAAUGUAAUGAAAUAUGAGUUGCUUUAGUGUUUAUCACAAACCAAACAAAACCCUAAAAAUAAUAUAAUGUCAAUUAAAUGAAUAAAUAACACAAAAUAAAAAAAAAUUUCAAAUACCUUAUUCAUGGGAUGAAUAAUGCACCCAGCUGCAAAUUAAAAUCUCAAUGCAUUAGCUGUUUGUGAGUGAUUUUGAGUAUGGAGUGAGUUUUCGUUGUGUGGAGUUAAAAAAAGUGAGAAGUAAAGAGUGUUAGAGACGAGUUGUGUGUGUUUUAUAUAUUUUUUUAAGGAUAUUUUAAACAAUGUAUCACAUAAAAAGGUAUAUCUAGAUAAUUUUCAAGCAUGUGAUAUAUUUAACUAAAUACCCUACUUUUAAGGUAUCUUUAAUUAAAAACCCUCUUAUAGUUGAUUGAGGGUAUGUUUGGAAUUUCUUUUACUUCCCAAUUAUUAAUUUUUACCUUGAUUAUCAGAAAAUUAAUUUUAUGAAUAAUUUAGCCGGGUGUUUGGUAAAUGAUGAUUAUUUGACAAUCAGUUUUUAAAUAAUCUACUAUAUAAAUCUGGUAAGUGAAAAUUAAAAGUAUAAUGUUCAUGUGCAAAUGACAAAAAUGUACUCAUUUACUUAUUUGUAAUUUAUUUAGAAUAUUAUUAUUAAAUAAUUUUUCUUAUUCAUUGGAUUUUUGAAGAGCAUAUUCUAUUUUCUUGAUUACAUAUUUAAAUAAUUUUUUAUUAACUAUUUUAAUUUGCAAUAAAAAUUAACUAUAAUAUAUUUAACUAAAAAAUUUGUUAUGUAGUCCGUAAUAUACACAAAUACUUGAAUUGAUUAAUAAGCUUAACUGCAAAAAAGAAAAUGCAAAAAUUUAAUCUCUAUAUAAACUUUUAUGUACACAAAACUAUUGUAAUAAAGUAAUUCAUAGAAAUAUAAUAUUAUAUACAUGUGUAAAGAAAUAUAUAACUAUAAUAUUAUCCACUUGUAGCACUAUUAUUUUUCAAUCUCUCCAUCUCUUGAUCUUCAAGAACGUUAGUACCAUGAUCUGCUUCUUGAGUUCGACCUCCAUUUCCACAGCAUCAACAAGGCAAUCAAUUUGCCGUGAAAGCCUUACAGCUCCUCCCACUUUCCUCCUUUUUGUAGCCACUCUUUUUCCCUUUCUUUAUUUAGUAGCUUCUAUGGAAAUGUUGUGAAAAUUUUAAUAUACUCGCAAGCGCACGAAUCUAGAAAUAGAAUAGUAGUAACGAGGUCGAUCCCACAGGGAUUGUUAUAAAUUAAAAAGUCUAAUUUAAAUCUAAAAUUAAUAUUAAUUCUAACCUAGUUGAGCAAAUUGAGUUUUUAAGAAAAUUAAACCAAUAAAACUAAGGAAGCAAUUAAAAUAAAGGAGAAUUCAAUAAGAUAAGAAUUACCAAGGUUUUAGAAUCCACCACUAUUCAACUAGUAAUUAUCUAAUUAUUAAUUAAUCCCCAAUUUUGGAGUGACAACUCGAAAUCAAUCUAUGUCAUCUCAUGGAUAUAACAAUUAAGCCCAAGUAAUUAAAUCUAAUGUAAGUUCUUUUUCUGCUUAAUAAUAUGACAUCUAAGAAUCUCAUGUAAACAUAUUGAAUAACAAAGAGUCAAAGUUUUCCUAAGCACUCUAUGUAAACAAUUUAAUGAAAGACAUAGAAUCAAAGAUAAUCAUGUAUAAACUUUAUAAAUUCAAGCAUAGAUUUAAUUGAAUAUUAAUCCUAACAAUCAAUAAUGCAUGACAGAAUUGAUGAAAAGAUUUUAUUAAUAUCUAAUUAAUCAUGUGAAAUAAAAACCAUAAUCAUCAAAGAACAUAUAUAGGGAAUUAAUUAAAUAAAAAGAUAAUUAUUUCAUUGAAUAGGGUUUCAUCCUUAACCUCAGUAUAAGAAAAUUAGUUAGACAUACUUGAAUUGAGAGCAACAAAAUAAAUAAAUUCAGCCAUGGGGAAGCCGAAUUGCUGCAGAUUUUCUUCUCUGUCUUGAAUCCUUGCGUCUCCAGUUCUCCCUUCUGACGGCUCUCUUGCCUUUAUAUAAUGUUACUAACUUGCUUAAUCCUUAUUGGAUUCUAAUUGCAUUAAUUCUUCUCCACCGACUUAUAAAGCCCACUCACCAAGGCCUUUUAAAAUUAUUUCCUUACUAAACUUUGAAAGCAAAGCACACGUUUGACCACAAAAGCAAAAGGCCAAUUAAUGAUUUCUUCUUUUAAUGCCCAGCACAUGCAUUCCAAAUUGCCAAAUCUUUGCUUUCCAAAUGCAUGCCCACCGUUCAUCCUUUGAAGAGAUUGACUUCCAAUUUUGGUCUUCUUGACUUCCAUUAAUUCUUGGUUGCAUUUUUGUCUUCCAAUUUAAUCUUUAUUCCUUCUCAAUUUGAAGUGUUUUCAUGCCCUUUUUAUCAACAAUCUCCAAUUAAUUCCCUAUUCAAUAAAACAAUUCAAUUAAUUAAAAAUAACAAAUAAAUAUAACUAGCAAUUAUAUUAUUAAGGGUAAAAUAUGUAUAUAAAUUAUGCUCAUCAGGAAACAAACUCAUCGAACUACCAGUACAUUUUUCAAUUAGAUAGGACUGAUAGUAGAUAUUCAGUACUCUCAGAUGGUGUGCAAACAUGAUCAUCAGUGAUUGUUGUCUUAAAAAGCAUUCUAUUUAAUUGUUCCUCUGACUCUGGCAUGCAAAAUUUCUUGAUUCACGAAUUUCCUACGUAUGUUGAUAUCAUAUUAAAAUGAAUUCAAUAUCACAUNNNNNNNNNNNNNNNNNNNNNNNNNNNNNNNNNNNNNNNNNNNNNNNNNNNNNNNNNNNNNNNNNNNNNNNNNNNNNNNNNNNNNNNNNNNNNNNNNNNNGCAUGUUGUGAGCUUAUUACCAAAAAUGAGACUAUAUAUUUAAGCCGAAUGGUAAAAAACUUCGGAUGGAGGAUGUGCCAUCUUUUUAUUUUAGAUGCUUUCGGAUGGAGGAUGUGCCAUUUUUUUAUUUUACAUGCUUUGUAAGACUUUUAAUGAUCGAGUGCAGUCAAUUAACAAAAGCUUACAUAUUAUUUGUUGAAAAUUGAUUUUAAAAAAAGAAGUCAAAAUGAUGGGUGGUUGAGCCUGUUGGGGAAAAAUCAGGUUUUUAAAUUUUUAUAAAACCUUUUGAAGAUCGCUCUCAUAUAAUAUAUAAGAAUUCGUAUUCUAGAAAUCGUACCUUGUAAAUCUGAGUUUGCUUUUUCCGCUGAAGUGAUUUAGGCUCCUAGAUCACGAUCCGCCACCACCACUCCUGUUAGAUCACGAUCCGUCACCACCACGCUUGUUAGAUCACGAACUGUCUCCAAUGAUCUUCCAGGUUAUGACUCAGGUUCGAUCUGCACUUGACGUGUGGGCGCCUUUAUCACUACCAAAGCAACUAGCACGAGAAAAUUUUUCUCUCAAAAAUGGAGAGAAAAAUCUUAUUCUCUGAUUUGUAUAAAGUGGCUUCUCCACUUUUUCUUUAGAGAAAAAUAAGCCUUUUAUAUCACUCUUUAGUGAAAACCCUAGGCUCCAAAUAAAAUAAAAUCAAAACCCACGUUAUUUACUUUUUCAAUAGGGGACCCACCUUGUAAAAUAACAUAAGGCCCGUUAUACAAAAGCUAAUUAAAUGGAGCCUCCCACUAAAUGAUAUAUUUAGGCUUUUGACCCAAAUUGCUAGUUAUCUUACUUAUUAGUCCAGUAGUGGUGCAAUCAAUUAAAUGAGCUAACCCGGGGAUCAUUUGGGAACAUACAAUAGUGGCUACAAUAAUUAGGCAUGUAAUUAAACUAGCCCAAUUAUUUAAUUCCAAAUCUACUCCACUAAAAGAUUGGAACUGACUUCCAUAAUUGUAUGCUCGAAUAAUAAUUCGUCCCAAGCCACAUUGAUUUCUUUACUGCACAAUCCUUUGUACCACAUCGUUAAUUAAAUUGAUAUCUCAACUGUCCAAUCAAUUUAAUAACAUCUUAUUCCUUGAUCCUUACUGGUUUUCUCUAAUGAUCAUUUUCAACAUACUAAAUAUGUUGACACACUCUGGCCAGAGAAUUCUAUGAUCAAGUACCGAAAACCUAUCAAGAGAUGUGUUGUACAAAUUCUAUAUUGUUAAUCCAUAACUCCAAUACUCAUAAUUGCUCCCACCAAGAUACCGGGUAAUCUUGACCACAAGGAUGUGUCGUGCCCAUUGGUAACUCAAAUGGAAUAACAAUCACAAUCAUGAAAUCAUAAUUAACUCAAGAUUAAGAUUACAGUAAAAUCAAUGCCUAUGAGAUUUAAUAAGUCUGACAGUUAUUACAAAGUUAAUUAAAUCUCAUAUGUGAUCCUGUUCAAUGUAGUCGUACUACAUCAAUAAAUUCAUACAUGAUUAAGACAAAUCAUUCAAUGAAUUUAUUACAGUCUAUACCUAAAUAAAGUGCCCAACUUUAUUUAUCAACUGCGAACUAAAUUUAUUUAAUCAUAAGAUAACUUGUAUUUAUGUCUUCUGUGAAUCCACAUGGUGAUCACAUAAAUACAUAUAAUAUGAUUAAAUGGACUUUAAUACAAAUAUUAAUGCAAUUAAGAUAUUUGAAUAAAAUACCUCAUUAAUUUUAUUAAUCAGAAAAAAUGUUUAUUACAAUUAAAUAAACACAUAUGCUUUUAAAGAGCAUAUUUUCCCAACAGAGCCAUCAUCUUUGAAUUCAAAGAUGGUGGGUGGCCAAGUUAGCCACCAUCAUUGAACAAGAAAAAAUGGGUGGGUGCCGCCCAUGCAAUGAAGAAAAGGGAGAAAAUGAAGCCAAAGUUUGGCUAUAAAUAGAGGGGUUCUCCCUCUCAUUUUUGUAUCCCAGAGAAGAAAUCCCAAAAUUUGAGAAGCAAGAAUAUGUAAGAGAAGCAUUGAGAGCUUCCAACAUGGGAGAGAAAUAUUCUUAAGCAUGUAUUUAUAUUGAAAGAGCAUUUGGCUCCUCAAUAUGGGUAUUACGGGUUUGAUUUGUUAAGGAAUAUUUCUCGCAAUUAUGUAUUUGGGGCUUGGGUGAGAGAAAAUUAUUUAUGAGAGUGUGGUUGUAAUAAUUUUCCACAUAGUGAAAUUUUUUUUUUCUGGUUGUCUCUUGACAACGGCUAUGGUUUUUCUCCGGAUUUGGAGUUUUCCACGUAAAUCUUGUGUUGUGUGAUUGUUGUAUUCUCCAUUUAAAUUUUUUGUUAAUUUGUUGCUUGACAAAUUGCUUGGAGUGAUCUUGGAAGGAAACUCAAUUUCCUAACAGUGGUAUCAGAGCCAUUGAUUGAAGUUUUGAUGUCGAGGUACUGUUCACGUAGACAUUACUAUUUCACGUAUACGAUAUUGUUCAUGUAUACGGUAUUGUUCAUGUGAAGCAGUGGGAGCCAAUCUAAAUUGUCCGUGGUGAAGAGUAUAGGGUCAUUAUAAAGCAAAUAUGUCAGUAGCUGGUAUUUUUCAAACUUGGUGGAGUUUGAUGUUGUUCAAAAAUUAAUGGGAGAAUGAUUUUUUGUUGGCUUGUGGAGAAUUCAAGUCAAAGGUGUAUCCAAUCUGGUAUGCACAAAGAUUUGAAGGUGUGGACAAUUUUGGCACCUCAAGAAAAUUGUCAAGAAGGUGGAGCGGGCUCGACAAAUUACUCCAGAAUCAGUAAAAGAAAUACUGAUAUUUCUCGCAGAUGGUGAAUUUGUUUUUGAUAAGAGAUUGGAUUAGUUCUUUUGGCAUGUAGAUCUCCAAGUUACCAUAAAAGAGAACAUGUUAUUAUCAGUGGGGUCCACAAGUUUGCACGAGGGCAUUGGCUUGGUAUAAAUGCAAGGUGUGUGGUGGAAAAGUUAUGUCAUGGCUGAAGAAUUCUCAGUGAAACCAAGCAUGAGAAUUGCACUAUAAAUUUCAGCAGGAUAUUUUGAUAUGUGCCGAGAAAAAUCUUAGAAUAGUUGAUUCUAAGUGGUAUACUCAUUAUGGUGUAGUGUGAUAAUUCUUUAUAUUGAGAAUUAUAACUAUUGGUGAAGACAAUGUUUUGUAGUAGUGACUAUGAAAUUCUUUUUUUUAAUCAUGGUAGAGAUUGUUGAAAAUUGAUUUUAAAAAAAGAAGUCAAAAGGAUGGGUGGUUGAGCCAUCAUCUUUGAAUUCAAAGAUGGUGGGUGGCCAAGUUAGCCACCAUCAUUGAACAAGAAAAAAUGGGUGGGUGCCGCCCAUGCAAAGAAGAAAAGGGAGAAAAUGAAGCCAAAGUUUGGCUAUAAAUAGAGGGGUUCUCCCUCUCAUUUUUGUAUCCCAUAGAAGAAAUCCCAAAAUUUGAGAAGCAAGAAUAUGUAAGAGAAGCAUUGAGAGCUUCCAACAUGGGAGAGAAAUAUUCUUAAGCAUGUAUUUAUAUUGAAGGAGCAUUUGGCUCCUCAAUAUGGGUAUUACGGGUUUGCUUUGUUAAGGAAUAUUUCUCGCAAUUAUGUAUUUGGGGCUUGGGUGAGAGAAAAUUAUUUAUGAGAGUGUGGUUGUAAUAAUUUUCCAAAUAGUGAAUAUUUUUUCUUUGGUUGUCUCUUGACAACGACUGUGGUUUUUCUCCGGAUUUAGAGUUUUCCAUGUAAAUCUUGUGUUGUGUGAUUGUUGUAUUCUCCAUUUAAAUUUUUUGUUAAUUUGUUGCUUGACAAAUUGCUUGAAGUGAUCUUGGGGUGAAACUUAAUUUCCUAACAUUAUUUAGGUGCUGAGAUGUCUGUUCUUGAUAAAGUAGAUUUAUUUACACCCAAGCCAACGUAACAAAAGCCUAAUAUACACAAUAAUUAUUUUUGUUAGACUGAUUUCUAGCUAAUGAGAUCUUUGAAAGCAUUCAAAGAAGCCACAGAACUCAUAGGAAAGCCCUGAUAAAAUAUACGGCGAAGCAUGUGAGCUCGUUUUUUAAUCUCUUGAUCACUCAUAAGCUUUUCUAUACCAAUGACUAUAUCAUUCUUUUGAAUCGAUUUUGAUUGAUCAUUAGAAAUCAUGUACCCCACCUUUAGAUGAUUGAUCACCAAUUUGGCAUUGUAAUGUUGAUCAUCUCUAAUUGGCCAUGCUAAAAUUGGAACCCCACACCAAUGGCUUCUACCAUUGAAUUCCAUCCACAAUGAGAUAAAAAUUCACCCAUUGAUUGAUGAUUCAAUAUCAAUAAUUGUGGCGCCCAUCCAUCUAUUAUCAAUCCCUUUUUACUGGCUUUACUACCCAAACCACUAUGAAAAUAAUUGCCUUCUGCUGGUCUGUCUAAACCAGUUAAAUGACACGGAGGAUCCAAUCUACCAGCACCAGUUUGAAUUACCCAAAUAAAUGGUUCAUUUGAUACUUCUAAAGCAUUGGCUAGUACUAAAUACUCAUCUAACUUGGACCCACUUCGAUACCAAAUGACACAUAUAACACAGAUCCUCAUGAUUUCAAAUCCAACCAUUGAAUGAUCUCAUCUUCGUUCAUGUUAGAACUCCACCGAUUGGUUCUCAUCUCACGAUCACGAAGCACUGAACCCGCCCCAUUUGUAAAAUUGUUCAAGUAAUAAUGGGCCUACUCCCCACAUUGGCUUUCCCAUUCGAUUGACUAAAUAAUGGGAGAUUGCCAAUUUUCCCCUACUAUAAUCAAUAUAUAUCAUUUAUUCAUUUACUAUUUUUAUAAUGGUCAAAAAUCCCCUUGACAGUAUAAGUUUAUAAUAUUACUUUUAUUUUUAAUUGCUCUUUUAUUUAUAUUUAUUAUAAAUAAAAUAAAUCACAUGAAUAAAAAAUAAAUAAAUAAUUAAGUAUUAAAAACAAGAAAUAUAUGUUUUAAUAUGAGCAAAAAAUUUAAUAAUAAAUUUUUCUUGUAAUUAUUUAUUUUGUGAAUAUUUUCUUAUAAUAAACAUUUAUAAUAUUUUAAAAUUAAAUGUAAAAAGAAUAGGCAAAAUAUUUUAUUAUUUAUCUUAUAAUAAAUUUUUAUUUGUCAUUCAAGUUUUCUUAUAAUAGUUUUUUAUCAUUUUAUAAUAAUUUUCUUAUAUAUUUAUUAUAAGAAAAUUUUCAAAAAAUAAAUAAGUACAAGAAAAAAUUACAUUAUUGAUUUUUUUGCUCAUAUCAAAACAUAUAUUUGUUAUUUUUAAUGCUUAAUUUUUUAUUUAAUUUAUAUUCAUGUGAUUUAUUUAAUUUAUAAUAAAUAUAAAUAAAAGAGUAGUUGAAAAUAAGGAUAAUAUUAUAAACUUAUGUUAUCAGGAAGAGUUUUUGGUCAUUAUAAAAACAGGAAGGAGGUAAAUGGUAUAUAUUGAUUACAAUAGGGGGAAAAUUGGUAAUCUCCCCUAAAUGAUUAAUAAAUGGUCCCUCAAGAUCAUCACAGGUGUUGAACAUCAAAGCCAUCCAUUCCUCCACUUCCUUCAUCCAGUGUGGUUGAUCACGGGGUUCGAUGGACUCAUUUUCUCUGAACCGGGCGCACCUCGCAAAGGUAGUGGACCACGAGGAAGGGGCCCGUGAGGCCCGUAUUUAAGCUACGAUUCGAAUAAAGCCAUAUCCUUGGGUAACCCAGGAAGUAAAUGGGCCUCUCCCGGUUUGACAUCUUGGAUGCGAGCCUGCUACAUGGCACACUCCACGCUGCUGAGCAAGCACCAGAAGUGAAGAACCCAACAAUGGGACCUUCAAAAUUCUUGAAAACAUCAGCCGUCCAGCCCAUCAUAACGUCGAUGACUGCACAAAUGGGUCGGGUUUCGGGUUCCCGGGUUGAAAGGGGUUUUGAAGGCCUUGAAGCAUUUGACUGUGCAUGACAACAUGGUGGUGGUGGUGGCAGUGGUGGAGAUGAGGAGAGUAUUUCAGUAAUUUCGAAUAGAGGGUAUUGGUGAAGAGGGGAAGGGAUGAUGCCGGUGCCGGAAAUGUGAGAGGGAACGAAUAUUUUAACAGGGACGGAGCCAGCGUGGGACGAGGUGGGGCACAGGCCCCAGCUGGCUUUUAAUUUUUUUUUAUAAUUAUACUAAAAUAUGUAUUUUAUUUGUUAUUUAUGAAAAAUGUCUCAGCUGAAUUGUAAAAUUUAAAAUUGACUCCAGUAAUUUUAAAAUAUUUCAUACUGUCCCUAAUUUAUAUUUUUAAUUAUAAAUUAUUUAAUUAGUUAUUAACAUUUCAUGAAACUUUAUUAAAGACACGAGAACAAAUAUUAAAAUAAAAAAUAAUCAUAACAAAAUGUUAGUAUAAUGGUUAAUGGACUAGUUUUUAAUCUUUUUAUUUUUUAUUCAAGUAAAAUUAAUUAUUUAGUCUUUCAACACUGACCAUAAGUUGUAAGUCUUCCUAAUUCUAAUUUAUAAUUUUCUAAUUAAUCUUUUAUCUAGUUUUAAAAUUUAUAAUUUUAUCAUGCAUUUCAUAUUUGUUCUGUGUGUUGCAAUAUUUGAAUAUUUUUGUUAUUAUUAAAAGAUUUUAAGAGCAAAUUAAGUAAUAACCUAGUCUUGUAUAUUGAAAAAUAUAUUUUUGCUUAUAUUGAUAAUUCAUUAUUUUCAACUCAUAAAAUCCCAUUGAGGAGAUUUCGCGGAGAACCAUUGUAAUAAGUAAAUUUAUUAUCAAUGAAUAUUAUAGUUGUAAUGCUAUUUAUUGAUAUCUAAAUUUUUAAAAAUGUAUUAUACUUUAAAUAUGCUUUCAAUUAGAUGCAUACAGACGCACUCUAUAAGAAGUACAAUUGUACAUGUAGCAAGCUCCCAUUUAGAGUUUAUAGGGCCCACAAUACAGUUUCUCAAAUGACGACUUAUCACACGAGCAAUCGUACAUUCGAGUCAUCUUUAAUUUUAAAUGUGCCCCAGCUCUAUCAAAAUCCUGGCUACGUCCCUGGGAACGAUGAGGGUAGAUUUGUAAUUACGUGAAGCGAUUUACUUGCAUAAUUCAAUGCAUGGAAAUAGAUGUCCCUGACCGAAGAAUGAGACAAUCCAAAUCUCAGCCUCAGCAGCAUUAACGACAGAGCUUGACAUAUUUUAUUAAUCAUUUGAUACUUAAUUAUUACUGACUGCUUUUGCCACCUUUCGUAAAACAUUCUUGGUUAUAUAUAAAAGAGAUGAUUUGAUGGCGAAGUGUGUGUUUUACUUUUACAGUUUUACUAGUCGGUGAGCUAUGAUUUUGAUAAUUUGAUUGUUAGUUUCAGUUGGUUAGUUAUGAGAAAGCAUCUUUCAAAAAAUUCAUUACAGUUUCAACUAAAAUUAACAAUACUAUUCAAAUUAAUUACUCGAUAAAUAAAUAGUCACAGAUAAAUCUAUCCCUAAUCACACAUUUAUAAAAUAAGGAUUGAAAUGAGUUUCUGUGGCUUCGAACCCACGCCCUCAAGCCCAGCGGCUGGAUCUUGACUACUUUGACAUAAUUAUUAUUAGUUUUUGUCCAUCUUUCACCAGGCAUCUUUUGUUAUAUAAUGAAGAAGAUAAGUUGACGGAGAAGAGUUCUACUUUUACUAGUAGAUGAGCAUUGAAGGUUAGUUUUAGUUAGUUAAAUAUCUACCAUCCAAACCAAAGUUCCUUAGACUAUUAUUCAAGUGAGAUGUUUGAGUAACAUAUGCUUGAGUUAGUCGGUGCCUAACAAUUCAUGUGAUACAUGAAACCAACCAAAUGAAGUUGGUAGGAUUAGAUUAAUUUAAAUGAAAAUAAAAAUUAGUUUAUGCUAUUUAUUUAUCUUAUAAUGUUGAAACUUGAAAGUUAACUCUUCAACCUGUCAAUUGGUUCAUGACAUGAUCAAAUAUUCAAGUAAAUAAAUUUAUCGGUUAAAAUUAAUUUUUCAUGUGGUAAAAGCAAUACUAAAUAUGGAGUGGAGAGAAUCAUUUGUAGGUUAUACCCCCACCUUUUAUUUCAUUUCAUUUAAAAAAAAAAACAACAACAACAACAAAGGCUUGGUCAACAUCCAAGUAAAAUUAACAAUUCCAUGAUAAAAUUGCCUGAGAAUAAAAAUUAAAAAAAAAAAAAAACAGCAACUCGAAAACGAGAUACAAAUACCGCACAGAAGUUUUUCGUCACGAGAUAUUUUUGGGUUGAGACAACGCUUGUAUAACAGAGCAUACAGCUUGGAUGACGGUGAGAAUAAGAAGGAAAACGGCACCGCAGACCGAAAUUCCAGCCCAUGGAGUAUUGAAGUAAUUUUGUUUCAAGUUUGCCCUCCAUUUGUAGCACGUUCUUUUGCAGUGAUCAUUCAAUCCUUUGCAUAGCCCAGAAAAAUAGAAGCUAUCAGACAGCAGAGUAGUACCUCUAGAAAGGUUAUUUAUAAGCGUUGACGCUGCCUCUUUAUCCGGCAACCAGUUCUCAAUGAUUCCGUUCUGAACAAGCAACUCGACGUCCUUCGCUGUGUUCACGAGAUUAUGAAUAAGGAACACGUAAUCAUUUAUGUAAUUCUCUGAGUAAUGCCGUUGUUCAAAGGCAAUGAGAUUACGAAAUAAGGAUUCCGUUUCCAGCUGUAGCUUCAGUUUCGGAAUAUGCAAUGUCCUGUUUUUGAAUUCUAUGGCGAACAAAUCAUUGCUCUUGCUCAAACUGAAGUGGACUCCAGCUUGGUGGAGAUCAGUCACACUUGGUGCGGUUUUACCUUUGUGGUAUUGCUGACCUUCUUGUUUUUCCUGAUUCCUUGAUGAUGGUAGAUGACAAAUCCUUAGAAAAUCAAGGAAAUGCUCUACCCUAGCCUCAGUGUAAGGAGGGAAUUUUUGCCGAUUACCUUGUACUGCCUCUAAACCCUUGAAAUACUCGUAUGUGACUGUGAUGAUGGUUGGAUUUUCAUGUUGGUCGGGGAUUUCAAUUGCCGCUAGAGCAAAAAGAUCCUCAAGAGUGAAGAAAGGAAGCUGAUUCUCAAGCAACCACAUAUCAUACCAUAUAUCCUCUAUUAAAUAGGGUUUUAUGAAAUAUAUGAUCAUCCUUUUUUUGAAGUUGACGGAAAUGAUACCUCAAUAAGAGUUCAAUGAUGAAGGCAGCAUCCAGCAGAAUCAUUUCAACAAAUUUAUCACUACUUAGUUCGACUUUUCUGCAUAAGAACCUCGUAAUUCUGCUUCUCUGAACUUUAUAAUUUGAACAAACUCGUCAAAGCUUAUUUUGGUCCGUUGAAGAAAGUAAUGCAGGUACCGCUGUUUAUGUUCUUCCAUUAACUGUAAGUUUGCUUUGCCAUGGUGAAGAGGGCCAAUUGAGACUACCUGAGGUGUGUAUACCUUUUCAUUUAUCUGACGUAAUCGCUCUGGAACUCUGUAGAUGCAGCAGUUUGAGGGCAAUGGUGAUAAUUUUUUCAACUUAACUUGCAAGCAUUCUUCCAUGUUAUAAACUGAAAACAUGGCGCGAAAUUUAAUCAAUUCAACGCUUAAUAAGGCAUAGUAAUUAAAAAAGAAUUAAAAAAAAAAAAUACAAGAGCAUUCUUACAAGUACAGAAGCACCUCAAUCCCUACUAUUUGCAGAGCUGUAGCCAGGAUUCAAUGAUAGACCGGACUGAACUAAAAGGAACAACUUUCUUAGGAAUAUGUUAUCGGCAUUUUCUCUGGCCUCAGGCCAUCAACAAAGCAGUUUCAGUGCUUCUUAUAUAAUUCCAUGGAUUAUUCCUUGCCUUUACAGAUGAUAUAAGUCACAAUUCAUAUAUUAAUUUCUCCAGAUUCCGUACAAGUGGACCAUAACUAUGGAAAAAUUCAAAGAAUGCAACAGCCAUUUGAUUGGUCCAUGUCAGAAGUUAAUCUGGGGAAAGAAGCUUGAUCUAGCUGUAAAAUUCUCUCCUUCAAUCAGUCAGUUUGGGGCAGCAACAAGAUCAAAGCCACCACGCAAACAUUUACUAAAGUUUAUAUAAUAUUCUUGAACCUCAUCUUAAGUAAAGCAACAAAAGCCUUCACUGUUUCUUAACAACUUUAUUGCUCUAACACAUAGCAUAACAUUUUUAAAUUUGCAUAAAGCACAAUAGUACUUCAGUUUGUAACAACAGCACGGAUAAUAAAUAGCAUUUUAUAGCUUUAACAAAAGCAUACAAAAUUCUUAAACCUUGUUUCAAGCAAUCCAUUAAUGCCACAAGGAUAUCUUUUUGCUUCCUACAGUUUUUAUUGAAAUUCAUAUAUUCUUCUUUAUCAAAUUAAGUAAUUUUCCUUUUUCAAAAAAUCAAGAAGGUUUCGACUGCAUGGAAAUACAGCACACAAUUACUACUAUUCCCGGAGUAAGAAAUUCAUAAAUGCAAUAUAAACAUACAUUUUCAUAAGACAUCAGAAUCAAAGAAUCAUCAAUGCAUCAAAUCUGUACACCCAAAAAAGUUGAAAGCAUCAAGAGAAAAUUAUACCGCAUGGACCCUUUACAACCCUUAUAACGAGUUCAGACAGCCUAAUCCAAUUUGAUAGAUUUGAGGACAGCUACAAUGUGCAAUACAAAAUUUCCCAAUACUAUUUAGAACAAAGUCUAGAAAACAAAACUUAUAUAUUGUACAAAAUCAUGAAAACCAGAAAUGACGAAAAACCUGCAAAUGUAAUUUUUGGGUUUCUUCAACAUAUCUUCCAUCCAAAUCAAACAAGAAUCGAUAAAUCAACAACAUUCAUCUUUAAACGACAUAUUACCACAAUAAAAUUGUCAACCAAGCCUCAUAUAAACCUUUUUUGUGUUUUUUGGUAAAUAUGUUUGUUUUUCUCUAAGAAUACUAGGGAAAAAAGAAACCCACUUUCUUAAUCAAGAAUCAAAUAAUAUAUAUGAAUCUAAGCUGAAGUAAGUCUUGGGUUUGAUGAAAUAGCUUGCAUUGCGAUUUAGAUUGGAAAGGAAGUUGAUUUUUACUGGUUGAGAGAGAGAGAUUUGAGACUUAAGAGAGUGUUGCUAAUCUUCAAUCGUGUAAACAAGGGUAACUGGGUCAUAGUUCAAAAUAAGGGUCCAAAAUUUACUAAAGCUAUUAAGGAGCCCAAAACUCAUAAUGGCUUCCCCAAAAUAAAUAAAAUUUUCUAGCAUUAAGUUUUUGUUUCUUCUUGAGAUUUCCUUGUCGUACUUACCCAUAUUUCGAUAUUGCCUCCAAGUAAACUUAUAUAUAUUGAUUAACAAUAUAAACAAGCACUAUGAAGUUUUAGGCCUGAAAGAACAUUAGGAUUGAAAUGAAAACCAUCUAUUUAAGUAACAAAUUCUUCUGAUAAUCUGAUGCUUAAUUUAGAGAAGAGAUGACAUAUCAAUCACGUUAUGAUGUGGAAGUUAUGAUUAUAUUCAUCUUAGAAUAAGAUCUUUCAGGCACUGGCAGAUUAGUAUAAAAAAUACUCAGCAUAAGACCUACAAACUAGAAAUCACGCACCAAUUAUUGAACUCAGCACAUAAGUUGAUCUUUUAUAAGCUAUAAAACAAAUCUGCUAUAACAUAAGAAAGUGGGAUUUAUCACCAGACAAGUAUUUUGGUGAAACUCAAGCUGACGGAAGGAUAUCCAAAGCAACCUCCUUAAGGGAAGGCAUCACUUCCUGCUGAUGCAAACAUAUAUAUUUAUUACUCACUUUCUUGAGGACCUUCUAGGAACCUGGGUAGCACCUAACAGAAAGUGGAAAAGAAUAAAAUGUAAAAUAUAAGUUAAACAGCAGGAAAACAGUGAGUGAUACUAGGCAAGCAUUAAUAUGUUGCCGCAAGAAAAGUGUCAGUAACUAGCUAGCAAACCUGAAAAGGGUUCCUCCAUUACGACCCUUAAAAUUGUGAAUGUAAUAUAUGGUCUCCAUCACAGGAAAAAGUGUUUUGGAUAGUGCAGCCAGCUUAGGGUAGAAGAAUGACGGAUAAUCUUAGCUCAUUUAAGGAAAUCCUCUCUGAUCCUUUCAUUGCACAUUCCAAAACAACUCUACUACAACCAAGUUACCAAUUCUUUUUGUUAAGUCAUUGUUAUUUGUUAAAAAAAAAAAAAAGUCUUCCUUGUAACAUUUUAUUGAAAGAUAUAACAUGAUCAUCCCUAUUAAUUCCCUUUUAGAUUUCUGUGAGUGAAUUUCAAAUUAUUGUAUUAAAAAAUAGAAGCAAAAGACCCACUUUACUUUCAAUUUCUGCAACAAGAUACCAAUUGAAGGACCAAAAAGUUGUAAACAAGCAAUUCAAUGAGUGGACAUCUAGAAACUGCUAUAUAGCAUCAAAAUCAUACUAAAUUUACAGAAAGCACGAUAAGAAUGAAAGAAUGGUGAAGGAUACACCCAGACCUUAUCCGGUCAAGUUCUCCAUUGAAUAUAAUCAGUUUCCGGGCAGUAUUGAAGACAGCUUCUUUGUAAAGCUCUUCAACGACAAGCAUUUCUACAAGACAAAAGAAAAGCAAAAUUAAUUACCUUAAGGAAUGAAUAUCAAUGAGAAGACAAGGUGUAAGACUACCAUUGACAUUAAAAUAUGGAUAGGCGACUAGAAACAAUUCAUCUUCCGGCUUCACACGGUCUGCCAUUUUAACCUUCUCAGUGAAUCCAAAAUCCUCAAAGAAUGAAGGUUUUGUUAGAUAGUCCAACUUAAAUGAUGAUCCUUCAAAGACCGAUUUUCUUGCAAAUUUGACUUCAUUUGCCUCUGGGAAAAACUAAAAACCAAAUGACAGACCAAGAUCACGAAACGAAUCAUGAACGUAGAUAUCAGAUAAUCAGAAAUGGGCAUUAAACAGACUACUAACAAGUAGGAAAUGCAUACAGAAAACAUUAUUCAUACACCUUAUGCACAUGAAAUAUAUAUGCAGAGGGAUCCUCUUGUGAAUUUAGUUUAUAUCCUAAUAUGAGACGAUGAACAAUUGGAUGCCAUCUAAGGGCUAACAUUUGUUUGAUUAUUAUAUGAAAAAAAAAAAAAACAGAGUUGAUUGAUGGCCUUUGAUGGAUUGCCUACACUCCUAAAGUGCAGAGAGCCUGAUUGAUUGCUUUACCUGCCCCCCACACACACUUGAUUUUAUUAUCUCUCUUUUCAAAUAUAUAAUCAUUGCCUGUCUUUCAUCCUGAUCCAGCUCUCCUUCCAGGCACCAGCUGUGUUUUCUUCAAUUCAGUGAAACAUUCACUUUCAGGUAAGAAUAAACUUGUCCUUCCUCAAAAACCAACUUCUCACCAUGAAGCUUUCUUUUUUAAAACAAUUACUAGUCUAGCAUAAUUGAAGACAACUCAGAAUUGAAAAAGCCAUACUUUAAUGUCUGCUGUUGGGACCUCAAGACCAGGAACAAAAAGCUUCUUUCUAACCGUUGGAUUAACAAGUAGAAAUAGCUUUUUUCUGAAGGACCCAACAUUGCAUUGAAAAAUUCAACAAAAUGACUGGCGUCAUAUUUAGUCCUGCUAGAAUUUUGUGCACUUAACACAAUGGCUAAUAAUUGGCCCAGCGGACACUUUGUCGAACUACUGGCAACCUUGACUGUGGAAAUGCAUAUUUCAAAUGUUGGCAGGCUCUAGCUUCUUGAUGUACUGUUGAUAGAAAUGCCUAUUUCAAAAGUUGGCAGGCUCAAACUGCCGAGACUUUGGUUUCUUACAUUUCAAACCCACAAAUAAAACUUUGGCAGAACCCCAGAAAGAGCUACACCUCCCAAAUUUGAUGACAUAUGAGGAGACCAUGCCUAGUGCUUGGUUCGGCAAAUGAGUAAGUUUGAAAGAAAUUGAGGGAAACCUUUCCCACAGAGAGUCAUAUUGAAGGUUACAAUUUGAAGACUUUGUCCCCUGUCGCCCGUAACCUUCUUUGAUCUCUUUUCUUAGUCAUAAAUAAUCAAACAUGUGUUAGUCGUUGGAUGCAAUCCACUCACUGACAUCUCAUGUCCACAAUCAAUCAACCAUAUUUUAAUAGAAAUGAAAACAUUUUAAUUAAAAAAAAUGAGAUAGGAACAAAAUCAAACUUGGCAGACAUGGUCUAUGAGAUUUUAAAGAUGCUUGGUGAAAGUUGUAUUCAAGAGUUCAACAGUCAGUUCUAUCACCUAUGGCAAAGUAACCACCGCAACUAAAGCAAUUACAAAACAUCAAGAAGCUUGAACUUGGCAAGAGGUCUCAUUAACAGUAUACCUCAGAAAUUAAGACAGACUUAAAGUGCAAGCUUUUGGAUUUAUUUAAACACUGAAAAUAAUAUGGGUAGAAGCUCCUAUGGUCACAGCAAACAAUUACAAAGCACAAAACCCAAAAAACAGAUAUGCAAAAAGCUGCAAAAGAACAUUAUUAGCAAUUGACAUCUGCUUUUGCUCAGACAAAGGUUCUCAUAACAAAGGACUUAGUGAUUAUCUGUCAUAUGUUUAUGUUAAGGGGAAAAAGGAAGUUUGUUUUAGUCAAUCUCACGUCUAAUGGCAUUUAUAAGGAGCCCAAAAAUAAAAGAAAAAAUAAAGAGUUAGUAGGUGUUUCUUGCAGCACAAAGAAAAUUUAUCAUUCAUGAAAAACUUAGUAUGGAAAAAGCUAACUCAUUUAUCUGCCAAUGGAGAAAAACUUGUUGUCCACCCACUAAGGACCCACCAUUGGCAGGUCUGAUGGAUCCCAUGGAUGGGAACCGCAAAUAUUUUAUUCUAAAUGACAUGUGUAUUGUACCCAUAUCAUUUAAUUUGUAGAUUCCACUGAUGGAACUCAUCAAACUUGCCAAAUGGCAGGUCCUCCGUGGGUAGGCGCAUCACUUCAGCAUCCUUCUCCACCGAUGACCAAAUUUGGACUCAUUUAAAAAGAAUACAAAGCAAAACUAACUGACAUAAAUUGCAUAGAGAUCUAGGAGCCAAAUCAAUGUUGUUAACUCAUCCAAUUAAUACAUUCUCUUAGAGGCAGGGACGGAGCCAGCGUGGGACGAGGUGGGGCACAGGCCCCAGCUGGCUUUUAAUUUUUUUUUAUAAUUAUACUAAAAUAUGUAUUUUAUUUGUUAUUUAUGAAAAAUGUCUCAGCUGAAUUGUAAAAUUUAAAAUUGACUCCAGUAAUUUUAAAAUAUUUCAUACUGUCCCUAAUUUAUAUUUUUAAUUAUAAAUUAUUUAAUUAGUUAUUAACAUUUCAUGAAACUUUAUUAAAGACACAAGAACAAAUAUUAAAAUAAAAAAUAAUCAUAACAAAAUGUUAGUAUAAUGGUUAAUGGACUAGUUUUUAAUCUUUUUAUUUUUUAUUCAAGUAAAAUUAAUUAUUUAGUCUUUCAACACUGACCAUAAGUUGUAAGUCUUCCUAAUUCUAAUUUAUAAUUUUCUAAUUAAUCUUUUAUCUAGUUUUAAAAUUUAUAAUUUUAUCAUGCAUUUCAUAUUUGUUCUGUGUGUUGCAAUAUAUGAAUAUUUUUGUUAUUAUUAAAAGAUUUUAAGAGCAAAUUAAGUAAUAACCUAGUCUUGUAUAUUGAAAAAUAUAUUUUUGCUUAUAUUGAUAAUUCAUUAUUUUCAACUCAUAAAAUCCCAUUGAGGAGAUUUCGCGGAGAACCAUUGUAAUAAGUAAAUUUAUUAUCAAUGAAUAUUAUAGUUGUAAUGCUAUUUAUUGAUAUCUAAAUUUUUAAAAAUGUAUUAUACUUUAAGUAUGCUUUCAAUUAGAUGCAUACAGACGCACUCUAUAAGAAGUACAAUUGUACAUGUAGCAAGCUCCCAUUUAGAGUUUAUAGGGCCCACAAUACAGUUUCUCAAAUGACGACUUAUCACACGAGCAAUCGUACAUUCGAGUCAUCUUUAAUUUUAAAUGUGCCCCGGCUCUAUCAAAAUCCUGGCUACGUCCCUGCUUAGAGGUCAUACCUUGGUAACUCAUUUGAAAAGAAAUUAAAAGAAAAACGACUGCACAAAUUGUACUGAGCUCAAGAAAACCUGUUCAAGGUGUUCACUUGUCCAACUAAUAAAAGUCAUCAAGGAUUGUAUCGGGGACUUGGGACCAAUCCUGCCUUAACGAGAGAAAGGGAAUUUAGGAGGAAGAAGAUAACCUCUUUUCCUAGAACCCUUGAGAAAAUUAUUGAAGAAAUAUGUAUCUCCUUUUCUUAUUUUUACAAUAGGGUUACACAAUACAUAUAUAUAUAUUCUAAACUACAUAAUGUGCUAGAGUAGGAAAGUAAACAACUAACUGCAGACCAAGAAACUAGGAAACAAACUCUAUCUAAAAAACUGAAAUUCUAUCCCUAUCUUUUUUCUUUUCUAUCCCUAUCUUUUUUCCUUAAAAACAGGAUAGAAAACAAGUGACUUUUCCACACUCCCCCUCAAGCUAGUUCGAAGAUAUCAAUCAUUCCCAGCUUGCUAGUUAGUGACUCAAAGCUUGAUUUAUGAAGUCCUUUAGUAAGAAUAUCAGCUAGCUGCUUUGUUGUUGGAACAAAGGUCAUGCAUAUCAAACCACUUUCUAUUUUCUCCUUGAUAAAAUGACGAUCCACUUUGUUGAGUGUUAGAAAAUGCAUAUUUAUAAAGGAGAAAACCAUCAUUUUACAUUUCAAGUCGUACUAACAACUCUUACUUUUAUGUAUUUAACCUUCUUGUGAUAUAAUUACGUGUGUUUUAUUUUAAUUAAGUAUUUUAUGUAUUUUAGGGGCAUUAUAGUCAUUUCACAAUAAAGGAGAGAUUAGACGGCAAAACGGACAUCACUUUUGAACUCAGGACGGUCGAAAACCUUAGGAGGAGCAUAAAAGGAAAAAUGGCACUAUUCAUAUGUACGGUACUAUUCGCGUGUACGGUAUUAACUACGUUACUGUUCACAACACUGUUCACAACACUGUUCACAUAGACGGAUCGAUGACGUGGCAUUGACCGAUGAUGUGGCAUUGACUGAUGAGGUGUCACGAUCCUGUUGGGCUAAAAUUCUUAUGUACUGUUGAUGGUGACGUGGCAGCAUAUCAGUGGAUGAAAAAUCUCGCGUACGGUACAUGCAUCACACAUGAUUAUUCUCAACCAAACCGUGUUACUGUUUAUCCGAGUCAAACCGUGUUACUGUUCAUCCACGUGGUCAAACCGUGGACUGUUGACUUAUGACGUGGCGCAAUCCUGAGCGUCCAAACUGUUUUUAAUCUGAUGGCCAUGAUUUACUCCAUGUAUCUAUAAAAAGGGGGCCUUCCCCCCCUAAUUUGAUAGCUCUGAAUCCAUUUUUGGGAUCCAUUUUCUGUAAUUCCUUCUCCAUCUUGUAUUUUCUUUGUAUUUUAAUAAAUUCCCAUUUUGCCCCUAGUUCAAUUAUGAGUGGCUAAUUUUCUUUCAAGCUUGGGUUGAAGGUGAAGUCUCAACAUGUGUCAUGGGCUUAAUUUGGUAAAUUUAUUUUCUCUUCCCCUCUAGUUUUUGUGGAUGUUUUGACUUCUCGUCGACAAAUAAUAAUAAUCUUGUCUAGAUACCGCCUUGGUUACACCGGCUCUCUAGUAUAAGGUUAUUAUUAUUUGGCACGAUAAGCCCUUAGCACCAUAUUGAUUAUAGCGUGGUUCAUGAGGUGUGGAUUCCCCCCUCAUGAUUUAAUUGGCAUUAAUAAAGAUUAUUUAGCCCAUGAUGCAUGUUGAUACGGAUCCAGAUACCCAAGUACGUCAUUUUAAUAGAAUUCUCUUCAAUUUAUUCUCGCCAUUUCAAUUCCAAUUUUAGAAUUUAUUCUCGCCAUUUUAAUUUAAGUUUUAGCAUAUCCCAAAUCAUUUCCACCACAAAUCCAAUCACCCAUUUACAAAAUUAAUUCUACACAAUUAAAAUCCACCUCCUCGUGGGAUCGACACUCGUCACCAUUAGUCUAUACUACAAUAGAUUCGUGCGCUUGCGAGUACAUUAAAAUUUGCACAACAAGUUUUUGGCGCCGUUGCCGGGGAGGUAAGUAAUUUUAAUUCAUAGAAUUAAUUUUUGUGAAUAAUUUCUUUUAUUUAUUUUCUUGUAUUUUUUUUUAUUAUUAAAAAAAAAAGUAAAUCUACAUUUAAAGGUUAGUAUUUCUUUUCUUUUUCUCUUCUUUAAAAUUCUGUAAUUUAAUUUUCAAUUUAUUUUUCUUUGUAAUUUUUUUUUGUUUAUUUUAUUAAUUUAUUUUUAGUUAAUUUAUUUCACGUAUUUAUUUUUGUGUAUUUUUAUAGUAAGGUUGUAAUAGCGCAAUAAGGUUAGUAUUGUAAUUUCUCUCUCUUCUUUAUUUUUAUUUGUUUUGUUCCAUCUUUAUUUUUAUUUUAUUUAUUUUGUAUGCAUGGUCGUAGGUCUUUAUUACCUAAUCUUGAACCUAUAGACCUUGAACUUGAGAAAACACUUCGCACACACAAGAACGUUAAAAAUAAAUUUGAAAUGGAUUUACAAGCACCACAGGAGAGGCCAUUUAAGGACUAUUUUAGUCCCUUAGCUAAUUUGAGCACAUCAUGCAUAAGAUACCCAAAUGUAGCUGCUAGGAGUUUUGAAUUAAAACCUAGUGUGCUAAAUUGUCUCCCCACAUUCUAUGGCCUAGAAAAUGAGGACCCAUAUAAUCAUCUGAAUGAUUUUCAUGCCAUUUGUCAAACUUUUAAAUAUGAAAAUUUUUCAGACGAUGAUGUUAAACUUAGAUUAUUCCCAUUUUCUUUAAAGGAUAGAGCUCGUUCAUGGUUAAAUACUUUGCCUGCUAAUAGCAUUGCAUCAUGGGAACAAAUGGUUACAAAAUUUCUAAAUAAAUAUUUCCCAGUGCAUAAAACCAAUUCUAUUCGCAGGGAAAUUUCAGAGUUUACACAAAGAGAGGACGAGCAGUUUUUCGAAACUUUGGGAGUGAUUCAAUGGGCUACUCUUGAAGUGUCCACAUCAUGGGUAUGAGAAAUGGCACCAAUGCCAAUACUUUUUGGAGGGAUUAUUGCCAAAUGUGCAAGAAUGGCUAAUGGCAACAAGUGGAGGAGAGCUAAUGUCAAAAAGCGCAACAGAGAUUUGGGAAUUCUUCCAGCGACAAGCGGAUAAUUCCCAACAACGGAGUCGAUCACUCAGGAAUACUAGAAGAAUUAAGGGAGUAAAUGAGGUUCAAAUUGGCGAGUCAACUUCGGGAAUCAAAGAAGUCAAGGAGAUAGUUGAAGGUCUUGCUCGACAAAUAGCAUCGUUGUCGACUGCUAAAUCAACAGAACCACAUGACCAUGACUCAUACUCCGAUCAAGCCAAUGCCAUAGGUGUAAUGAGAAAACCAUCGAAUUACAACCCAUACUCCAACACAUAUAACCCUGGAUAGAGAGACCACCCCAAUUUUUCAUGGUCUCAAGGAUUCCAACAGAAUGGACCAGCAGCUCCAGCUCCACAAAUUCCUCAAGUUCCUCAAGCCUCUCAGCCCCCAUUUAGACCAUUUAAUCAGAACCAGAACUACUCUCAACCCAGACCAUGGGAGGAUUCAUUCCAGAAUCUCAAGAAUCUUACUCACUCCACGAUUGAGCAGCAGAACCGCACCGUUGAUGGACUACGAAAUGAGUUGAGAGCAGGCUUCAACUCACAAGAUCAAUCAGUUUCAAACCUCGAGAAAAUGGUGGGACAACUUGCUUCUUCAGUUCAGACCUUGGCAAUGACUGUUGAGAAAGGAAAAUUUCCAAGUCAACCAGUGCCUAAUCCUAAAGGAGUGCAUGAAGCAAGUACCAGUUCACCACAGCAGCAUGGGGAGGUCAAAGCAGUCAUGACCUUGCGAAAAGGAAAGGAAGUCGACAACAAAGUGGAGAUGCCGGUGACAAAAGAAAAUCAAAUUGUACCUGUGAAUGUUGAGGACUCACCACCGGAGGAAAAAGAAGAAACCAACCCACGAGAAUAUGUUCCUAAAGCUCCAUUUCCUCAGAGGUUAGCGAAAGGAAAGAAGGGAAAUUCCACAGGUGAGAUUCUCGAAAUCUUCAAACAGGUAAGUGUUAACAUCCCUUUACUUGAUGCUAUAAAGCAAGUUCCAUCUUAUGCUAAGUUUCUUAAAGACCUUUGUACUAAAAAGAGAAAUAUGCAUGUUCAAAAGAAGGCAUUUUUAACAGAAAACGUUAGUUCUAUACUCCAACAUAAAAUUCCUUUAAAAUGCAAAGACCCAGGCUCCCCCACUAUCUCAUGUAGUAUAGGGAACCACACAAUUGAGAAUGCUUUGUUGGAUUUAGGAGCUAGUGUAAAUCUUUUGCCUUACUCUGUAUUCGUGAAACUUGGACUGGGAGAAUUACACCCAACUCCAGUGGUGUUACAGCUUGCAGAUCGGUCCACGAAAAUACCUCGUGGUAUUGUGGAGGACGUGCUUAUCCAGGUAGACAAGUUUUAUUUUCCUGUUGAUUUCAUUGUAAUUGACACUCAACCAAUACAGGAUUCAAGGAAGCACAUCCCCAUUAUUCUAGGCCAACCUUUCUUGGCAACUGCGGAUGCUCACAUUCAAUGCAGGACUGGAAAUAUGCAAUUGUCCCUCGGCAACAUGACUAUGGAGCUGAACAUCUUCAAUAUUGCCAAACAACCUCAUAAUGCAGAUGAUAGAAUUGUAGACGUGGAUUUAAUUGAAGCAUUAGUUGAUGAUACUUUUGUUUCAAACCUUAGUGAUGAUCCUUUACAAACAUGUUUAACUCACUUUGGUUUGGAUUUUGAUAUUGACAGAUCGGUCGAAGAGGUCAACGCCCUGCUUGACUCAGCACCAUACAUGGACACUAAUAAAUGGAAGUUAAGAGUUGAACAACUAGCACCAUCAGAGAAGAAACUCAUCCCAUCAUCAGAAUCACCACCGAAACUCGAGGUCAAACCAUUGCCCAACACAUUGGAAUAUGCAUUUUUGGGAGAAGAAAUUACUUUGCCGGUAAUCAUCUCAUCAUCCCUAAAUGACGAACAAAAAGGUAAGUUGUUGGAUGUUUUAAAAGAGCACAAAGGAGCAUUAUGAUGGACCAUAGCAGACAUAAAAGGUAUAAACCCAGUAGACUGCAUGCAUUACAUUCACCUUGAUGAAAAUGCUAAAUCUACUAGGAAAAUGCAACGUCGGUUAAAUCCUAAUAUGAAAGAAGUUGUUAGAACAGAAGUCCUUAAGCUAUUAGACGCAGGUAUCAUUUACCCAAUUUCUGAUAGUUCAUGGGUCAGUCCUGUACAAGUUGUCCCCAAAAAGUCAGGAGUCACAGUAGUUACGAAUGCUGAUAAUGAAUUGAUACCCACUAGAGUAACUACAGGAUGGCGUGUAUGCAUUGAUUAUAGAAAGUUGAAUUCUGUCACACGUAAAGACCAUUUUCCUUUACCAUUUAUUGAUCAAAUGCUUGAUAGAUUAGUAGGCCAUGAAUUUUAUUGCUUUCUAGAUGGCUACUCAGGAUAUAAUCAGAUUCCCAUAGCACCAAAAGAUCAGGAGAAAACUACUUUCACUUGCCCUUUUGGCACAUUUGCAUAUAGGAGAAUGCCAUUUGGAUUAUGUAAUGCACCUGCUACAUUUCAACGAUGCAUGUUGAGCAUUUUUUCUGAUAUGGUUGAACAAUUCCUUGAAGUCUUUAUGGAUGACUUUUCUGUUUUUGGUAACUCGUUUGAUCAAUGUUUACAUCAUCUAACGCUAGUUCUGCAGAGAUGUAUCGAGAAGAAUUUAGUCUUAAAUUGGGAGAAAUGCCAUUUUAUGGUAAAACAAGGUAUUGUUCUCGGUCACAUCAUUUCGAGCAAAGGUAUUGAGGUUGACAAAGCCAAGGUGGAUCUCAUUUCUAAUCUUCCUCCACCUAAAACAGUCAGAGAAGUACGAUCUUUCCUUGGACAUGCUGGUUUCUAUAGACGUUUCAUUAAAGAUUUUAGCAAAGUUUCUAGACCCUUAUGCAAUUUACUUGCUAAGGAUGUACCUUUUAUCUUUAAUGAUUCAUGUCUCAUGGCGUUUGAAAAAUUAAAGCAAUUGUUGACAUCAUCACCCAUCAUUCAGGCCCCAAACUGGAGCUUACCAUUCGAGCUCAUGUGUGAUGCAUCUGAUUAUGCAGUAGGAGCAGUAUUAGGACAAAGAGUUGAUCGAAUUCCCCAUGUUAUUUACUAUGCUAGUAUGACAUUCAAUGAUGCACAGUUGAAUUAUUCAACUACUGAAAAAGAAAUGCUAGCAGUAGUGUUUGCAUUAGAAAAAUUUCGAUCUUAUCUCAUUGGUUGUAAAAUAAUUAUAUUCACAGAUCAUGCUGCUCUUAAAUAUCUUCUCACAAAGAAAGAUGCAAAAGCUAGACUAAUUCGUUGGGUAUUACUUUUGCAGGAAUUUGACUUGGAAUUCAAAGAUAAGAAAGGCACAGAAAAUGUCGUGGCGGACCAUCUCUCUCGUCUCCAUUUUGACACAAUUACAGAGCCAUUAAUAUUAAAUGAGUCAUUUCCAGAUGAACAAUUAAUGAGUGUGGAAGUAUUACCUUGGUAUGCUGAUAUAGUUAAUUAUCUUGUUACAGGUAAACUUCCAGAGCAUUGGACCAAGCAAGACAAGGCUAAAUUCUUUGCGGAAAUAAAGAAUUUCUUUUGGGAUGACCCAUAUUUGUUCAAGUAUUGUGCAGACCAAAUUGUUAGACGAUGUGUCCCUGAAAAUGAAAUUCAGAAUAUUCUUUCAUUCUGCCAUGAACAAGCUUGUGGAGGCCAUUUCAGUGCUAAGAAAACAACGACUAAAGUUUUACAAUGUGGUUUCUAUUGGCCAACUAUAUUUCGAGACGCUUACACUUUCUGUUCUUCAUGUGAUAGGUGUCAACGAAUGGGGAGCAUUACACGAAGGAACAUGAUGCCACUAAAUCCAAUUUUAGUGGUUGAGAUUUUUGAUGUAUGGGGUAUCGACUUCAUGGGACCCUUUCCCUCUUCUUUUGGCCAUCAAUACAUAUUGGUUGGUGUUGACUACGUCUCAAAAUGGGUAGAAGCAAUUCCAUGUAGAACCAAUGAUCACAAAGUGGUGAUAGGAUUUUUGAAAAGCAACAUUGUCUCACGCUUUGGAUUCCCUCGAGCAAUAAUCAGUGAUGGUGGUGCCCACUUUUGUAACAAAGCAUUCAAAGCUCUUUUGACAAAGUAUUCAAUCACACACAAAGUGGCAACCCCUUAUCAUCCGCAAACCAGUGGCCAAGUUGAGAUCUCCAAUCGAGAAAUAAAGCAUAUAUUAGAAAAGACGGUGAGGCCAGACAGAAAAGAUUGGUCAUUAAGACUUGAUGAUGCAUUAUGGGCAUAUAGAACGGCUUUCAAGACCCCGAUUGGGAUGUCACCCUACAGGCUAGUGUAUGGAAAAGCUUGCCACCUACCUGUGGAACUCGAGCAUCGUGCAUAUUGGGCCAUCAAGAAAUUCAACUUUGACAUGCAGCAAGCCAGCUCAGAAAGAAGAUUACAACUGGCAGAACUUGAAGAAAUUCGCAAUGAUGCAUACGAAAAUGCCAAAAUUUACAAGCAACGAAUGAAAGUCUUUCAUGACAAGCACAUUAUGAGAAAAUCGUUCACUCCAGGUCAGAAAGUGCUUUUAUUCAAUUCUCGCUUGCACCUAUUCCCAGGUAAGUUACGCUCUCGAUGGUCUGGUCCAUUUAUUGUUCAUACUAUUUUUCCACAUGGGGCAAUUGAAAUUAAGGACCCAAAGAACGGUGUCACGUUUAAAGUUAAUGGUCAAAGAUUAAAGCCAUAUCUUGAGUACCAACCACAUGGAGAAGACACCGAAAUAAAUUUGAGUGACCCACCAGAUUUGAAUUGAUUUUUUUUCUUUUUGUUGAUUUGAUUUUUCUUUCUUUUUAUUAUUCUUUUGCUAAUUGAAAUUAUUUUUGCAUAAGUGUGUUUGUUUUACCAUUAAGUUUUCUUUUCUCUUAUCAUUGUUAAUCAUGAGUACCAUACUUAGACCGUUCCUCCUGAACAUUCUUAAACCACUUCAACGUGUCAAAACUCAUCUCAAAAAGCAGAUUCAAUUUUGUAAAACACAACGCAUUUGGGCUCUACAACCACCAGAGUUAGUAGCCUAUGUUGAGGGUUUAGAAUGCCAACUCAGAGACAUUGAGAGAAGUGUUUACGACAUCCAGUUAGAGCUUGAGGUAAAUUCAAUAAGAGGACGAUUUUAAUUUUCUUUGUGUGUUUUAAUUUGUUUUUCUGUUUGUGUGUUUUAGUUUGUUACCCCGGUGAAAUGGCGGAUAACGGUACUCCGUGACAAUCAAGUCGGUUACUUCAGUUUCCCAUAAUAACUGACAUUCUGAGGCGAAAGUAUGGACAGAAAAGAGAUUCUAGCAAAGCUUCACAAGCGAUUCCCUUCACUUCCUCAGAAUGCCCUCCUUACGAUCUAUAAAGCUCGGUCCGAACGCAUGCGAUUACUCAUGAAGAAUAACAUACCUGCUGACAUCCGUUGGUUAAUCGAGGCUAAAGUACGAUCGGCAGGUGAGUUUCCUCCAAAAUUUAUUGCAUACAUGCCUGGUUGUGGUAAAGGAAAUUAUGCAAGAAAACGACGAGCUCGAAGAAUUUCUGUUGCUUGUCAUAAGUGUGCUAGAAUGAGUUGCGAUAGAAACCCAUGUUCUUUAGGAAUGGUGUCUGAUAACAGGGAAGAUAAGAUUUAAUUCAUUAGGGAUGGCUUGAAUAAGGAGUCAUUGGAUGAUAUCCUUUUGUCUCUUGAAACGCAUCCUAGUGGAUAUGUGCAAGGAGCGAUUCUCCAGUUAUGGCCAUUAUUCCAGAAAGAGCAUGCACGAUAUAGUCUCGGGAAUCUGACUAUAAACGACCCUGUUUGCCAGUUUAUAAGAAAACUGGAUAGGAAGCCUAUCCUCGACCCAUAGAGGGCGUUCAAGCCGUUUCUGGACGUAAAACCAGAGGAAGAUGUGAGCCACAGUCGCAACUACGUGUAAAUAUCCUUUUACUUUACUGUUAUUUUAUUUCAUUUCACUGUUGUUUUAUUGUUUGCAUUAUUGUCUUUAAUAAUUUUGUUACUGUUUGCUUUUUCCUUUUUACUGUUUCCUUUUUGACUCACGAGCCACGUGCUUAACGCGUUAUUUGACACUGACAUGCCACCCCAUACACAGUUGUGACCCACUGUCACCAAGAUUCUUAAAUAUGACUUUUUGUUAAGCACUCACAAAUUGUUUCUGAGAAAUAUUCCAAUGGCAGCUACUCCUAAUAGACAAUUCAAGAACAUUUGUGUGCUUUCUGGAUUUACCUAUGGCAAACAUAAAGAGUUCGUGGAGGCAGCCAUAGAUCUUGGUCGAAGCAUAGCAGCGAGAAAAUUACACUUGGUGUAUGGAGGAGGUAACCGAGGGUUAUCAAAAAUGGUCUCAGAAGCAGCUUUUAUCAGAGGAAGUCAAGUGUUAGGCAUCAUCCCAAGAGUCCUAAAACCAUUGGGCAGUUCGUCUGACUCAUCAACUGGAGAAGAGUUAGUCGUCUCAGGUAUGCAAGAAAGAAUAACUGAAAUGCUUAAUCAUGCUGAUGCUUUUAUUUUCCUUCCAGGAGAUCUUGCAACACUAGAGGCACUUAUGACACUAGCAUCUUGAGCCCAUCUACACAUUCACCAGAAACCCAUCGGUUUGUUAAAUGUCAAUAACUUUUAUGAUGGCUUUAUCGCAUUUCUUAACCAUGCAAUAAAAAACUAUUUCAUUCCUUCUAAUGUGAAAAAACUCUUUAUUUGUGCUCACACUGCUAAUGAGCUACUUGAUAUGUUACAAGCUUAUAAACCGGAGCCAGACCCCUGGACCUUUGUGUUGGAGCGACCAAAUAAUGAUGGUAACAGUAGCCGCAGUAAGAAGUACAAAUUAGAUUUAACUCUCCGCCUGUAAAUAUUUUCUUCUGUGUUGCACCACCCAGGUGAUGUCUUCUAAACUCUACUUCUUUCAUUUCAAACAUUGAGGACAAUGUUUCGUUCUGGUUGGGGGGAGGGAAUAGUCGACAGUUGUGGAAUCUUGGUUAAAUUUUUACUGAUUUUUUGUUGUAGAAACUAACUGUUGCUAACUUUUUAUGUUGAAGAUGGCUGAAUAUGGAGUGUAGUGACUCUAGAAACGCAUUUUCAUCGUUUAAAAAAAAUUAAAAAAAAACUAAAAAAAAAUUUCAGACAGUUUCUUUUUUUUUUCUUUCUUUAUUCUGUUUUUAUGUUUAUUUUUCUUCUUUUUAAUUUCUCCUCUAUAAAUAUACAUUUUCCAACUUGUGAGUCGAAGAUGGCUGAAUAUGGAGUGUAGUGCCUCUAGAAACGCAUCUUCUUAAAAAAAAAAAAAAAAAAAACCCAUUUUCUUUUUCUAUCAUUUUACGUGUAACUUUUCUAAUUAGUUUUUAUGCAUCAUUUUCACAUUUCUGCAUGCAUAUUUUCCUUUCAUGUUUAGAAUAGGUUGGGGGGUAGAAUGUUGUUUAAAAAAAAAAAAAUUGUGUUAUUUGUUUUAACAUUGGAUGACAUGAUUAAUUUCAAAUUUUAGUAUUUGUAUUAUCUUUGGUCUUAAGUGAUGUUACGCUAUGUUUGCUACUUUACAUGUUGAUGUCGGAGACAAAUAUGAGUUGCUUGAAGGAAUGAACAUGUCAUAAAUAAGUGCCAAGUGAGUUGUUGAGCCUAUCAUUUUCUUGGAGAGUAACACUUUUGCCCAUUCUCUAUACAGCUUAGCAGUUUAUUAGUUUAUACACGAUCUCUAGAUUUCUUUUGAGUUAACCCUUUAAAAAAAAAUGUGUGUUGCUACAUUGGGAGACCCAUCUAACUAGUAGAUAUGGAUAAUUAUUUAGAGCCCUAAAAGACGAUGGAAAGGCCAUAUUUGAUCCGUUUGAGCCUUUCUAGCCAUCCCUUUUAUUAAAUAUCCAUAGUUACCCCUUUUGAGCCUUUUUUUAAAAAAAAAAGAGAACAAAAACAUUUUCUUUGUCAACUUAUCAUCUUGACCCACUCCGAUUUGGAGUAUUACCCAAUGUCUUUUAAGUUCCAUCACCUAUUUAUGUUUGAGAAAAUGUAAAUAAUGAUGUUGUUCAGUGAAGUUAUGCCAAAUAAAAGCAAAAAAAAAAAAAAAAAAACAAAAGUUGUUGUUUCAAAAGAAUAAAAAUAACAAUAAUAGGUGAAAUCCACCUUGCAACUUCAAAAAAAAAUAUAUAUAUUUCUGCAUUUUUCUCAAACAUACACUUUGUUUUCCUUAUUUCCUUUCUUUGUUAGCCAUAUCCCUAGCCUACGUUAUGUCCUAAUAAAAGUCCUUCUUGAUUUUAGGGAACUAUAGUUUGAAGUAGAAGCUAGUUAUAUGGGCUAAAAAGAUGUAGUGAUGCAUAAUAAAAAAAAAAAAGAUAAAUAAAGUGGGUUGACUAACAUUUUAUUUGACUUGAGAUCGUAUUAUUUCUAAGCUAAGGGCAUAUUUAUUUCAUCUUGGUGAGAGCAUGUGAUAUCACUUCUUCAUUAUUUUCUCUCAAUUACCAUUCAUUGGAGUGACUAUUUUUUUAGGUUUAAUUUCUUUGUGAGAGUGUCACUACUUCCAGUGAGAUUUUGGGUUUUGACAUGUCAUUCUUGAAAGUAGUUAUAACAAAGUCUACUGGCCGAUUCAUGUGGAUGGUUGAUGUGGGUGUGAUGUUGUUUUAGACUGGAGAUAAUACUUAUACUUUUAUUUGAUUGCUAUCAUUAAUCUGAUUGAAUAAACACGAGUGUUUCUAAAAAAAAAAAAAAAAAUUAUUUUGAAUUUGAAUUUUGUUUUCGCUUUAUUUGCUAGGGACUAACAUUAAGCUGGUUGGGGGGUGUGUUGAGUGUUAGAAAAUGCAUAUUUAUAAAGGAGAAAACCAUCAUUUUACAUUUCAAGUCUUACUAACAACUCUUACUUUUAUGUAUUUAACCUUCUUGUAAUAUAAUUACGUGUGUUUUAUUUUAAUUAAGUAUUUUAUGUAUUUUAGGGGCAUUAUAGUCAUUUCACAAUAAAGGAGAGAUCAGGCGGCAAAACGGACAUCACUUUUGAACUCAGGACGGUCGAAAACCUUAGGAGGAGCAUAAAAGGAAAAAUGGCACUAUUCAUAUGUACGGUACUAUUCACGUGUACGGUAUUAACUACGUUACUGUUCACAACACUGUUCACAUAGACGGAUCGAUGACGUGGCAUUGACCGAUGAUGUGGCAUUGACUGAUGAGGUGUCACGAUCCUGUUGAGCUAAAAUUCUUAUGUACUGUUGAUGGUGACGUGGCAGUAUAUCAGUGGAUGAAAAAUCUCGCGUACGGUACAUGCAUCACACAGGAUUAUUUUCAACCAAACCGCGUUACUGUUCAUCCGAGUCAAACCGUGUUACUGUUUAUCCGAGUCAAACCGUGUUACUGUUCAUCCGCGUGGUCAAACCGUGGACUGUUGACUUAUGACGUGGCGCAAUCCUGAGCGUCCAAACUGUUUUUAAUCCGAUGGCCAUGAUUUACUCCAUGUAUCUAUAAAAAGGGGGCCUUCCCCCCCUAAUUUGAUAGCUCUGAAUCCAUUUUUGGGAUCCAUUUUCUGUAAUUCCUUCUCCAUCUUGUAUUUUCUUUGUAUUUUAAUAAAUUCCCAUUUUGCCCCUAGUUCAAUUAUGAGUGGCUAAUUUUCUUUCAAGCUUGGGUUGAAGGUGAAGUCUCAACAUGUGUCAUGGGCUUAAUUUGGUAAAUUUAUUUUCUCUUCCCCUCUAGUUUUUGUGGAUGUUUUGACUUCUCGUCGACAAAUAAUAAUAAUCUUGUCUAGAUACCGCCUUGGUUACACCGGCUCUCUAGUAUAAGGUUAUUAUUAUUUGGCACGAUAAGCCCUUAGCACCAUAUUGAUUAGAGCGUGGUUCAUGAGGUGUGGAUUCCCCCCUCAUGAUUUAAUUGGCAUUAAUAAAGAUUAUUUAGCCCAUGAUGCAUGUUGAUACGGAUCCAGAUACCCAAGUACGUCAUUUUAAUAGAAUUCUCUUCAAUUUAUUCUCGCCAUUUCAAUUCCAAUUUUAGAAUUUAUUCUCGCCAUUUUAAUUUAAGUUUUAGCAUAUCCCAAAUCAUUUCCACCACAAAUCCAAUCACCCAUUUACAAAAUUAAUUCUACACAAUUAAAAUCCACCUCCUCGUGGGAUCGACACUCGUCACCAUUAGUCUAUACUACAAUAGAUUCGUGCGCUUGCGAGUACAUUAAAAUUUGCACAACACACUUCAACAUGUUUAGUUCUGUCAUGAUGAAUAGGGUUAUGAGCAAUGUUUAUUGCUGCCUUGUUGUCACAAUACAACUUCAUAGGAACAUCAAUGAUAAUCUUCAAUUCUUCAAGUAGCUUCUUUAACCACAAAAGUUCACAAAUACCAUAUGCUACUGCUCUAAAUUCAGCUUCAGCACUGCUUCUUGCAACCACUGAUUGCUUCUUACUCCUCCAAGUUACCAAGUUUCCUCCCACAAAUGUGCAAUACCCUGAAGUUGACCUUCUAUCAAUAAUAGAUCCAGCCCAAUCUGCAUCAGUAUAUACUUCAACUUGCAUAUUGUUAUUUUUCUUGAAUAGCAGGCCUUUUCCUGGAGUUUUUUUCAGGUACUUGAGAACCUUGUAAACAGCUUCUAAGUGCUCUUUACAUGGAGAGUGCAUAAAUUGACUAAUAACACUUACUGCAAAGGCUAUGUCUGGCCUAGUAUGAGACAAGUAUAUCAACUUACCAACCAACCUUUGGUAACUUUCUCUAUCCACUGAUUUUCCUUCAAUUGCAUAUCCCAAUUUGUGAUAAGGAUCAAUAGGAGUGUCUCCAGGUUUGCAUCCCAACAUGCCAGUUUCCUUGAGUAAGUCUAAAGUAUAUUUCCUUUGAGAAACAAAAAUGCCUUUACUGGAUCUUGCAAUUUCCAUGCCCAAAAAAUAUCUUAAGGGGCCAAGGUCCUUCAUCUCAAAUUCUCUAGCAAGAACCUUCUUGAGAUUUUCCAUUUCUAUUACAUUGCUUCCAGUCAAGAUGAUAUCGUCUACAUAUACAAUGAGGAUCACAACACUACCAUCAGUGAAGUGUUUAAAAAACAUUGUAUGAUCUGCUUGACUCUGUAAAUAUCCAAAGCUAUGAACAGAUUUGGUAAAUCUGUCAAACCAAGCUCGAGGAGAUUGUUUUAAGCCGUAAAGUGAUCUCUUCAGCUUGCACACUUUUUCAAUACCAUAUUCAUUCUCAAAACCUGGUGGCAGAUCCAUAUAUACCUCUUCUUCAAGCUCUCCAUUAAGAAACGCAUUCUUAACAUCUAAUUGUUGUAGUUGCCAUCCUAAGCUUGCUGCAAGAGACAACAAAACCCGAAUGGAAUUCAUUUUUGCCACGGGAGCAAAUGUUUCUUGGUAGUCAAUGCUAUAUGUUUGUGUAAAACCUUUCGCGACAAGCCUAGCUUUGUACCUCUCAAGUGACCCAUCUGCUCUGUAUUUAACUGUAAAAAUCCACUUGCAACCCACUGGUUUUUUUCCUUCUGGUAAUUUAACUAGUUCCCAAGUUUUGCUUUUUUCUAGAGCUCUCAUCUCUGCAUACCCAGCAUCUCUCCAUUCUGGAAUAGAAAGAGCAUCUUGUACAGAUUUUGGAAUUGCUAUGACAGACAGGUUAGCUGCAAAAGCUCUAAAAGAUGGAGAUAAUCUAUGAUAUGACACAUACUUAGAAAUUGGAUGAAGAGUACAAGACCUAGUUCCUUUUCGUAGUGCAAUUGGAACAUCUAGAUCAUUUGUAGUUUCUAAAACAGAUUCUGAAAUAGGAUUAGAAUGAAUGUUACCUGCAAGUUCCAAGUUGCCUGUGUUUGGAUCCGAGUCUUGGCAGUGAGGAGAGGAAUGAUGAUUUGACCUUUUCGAAUUCCGUCGUGUGUAGACUUGAAGCUAUGGUUCUGGAACUCUCUCUAAUGAUUUUUCAUUAUUCAUAAUUGAUGGCAUUGUAGAAGGAACAUGAGGUACACAAGACAUAAUAGGCAUUGGAAGAGAUAAUUCCCAAAAAUGAUCUUCCGGAGUAUGAUUCUCCCCCUGAAGAGAAGUUUUGGGAAAGAAAGAUCUAUUUUCAAAAAAUGUGACAUCCAUUGUGAUGAAGAAUUUUUUAGACAAUGGAUCAUAACAUUUGUAGCCUUUUUGAGUAGGAGAAUAGCUAAGAAAUACACAUUUUAAAGCUCUAGGAUCAAGUUUGCUCAUGUUCUAUGUAUGAAUGUGAACAAAAGCAAUGCACCCAAAAAUCUUGGGUGGUAAAGAUGUGAAAAACUUAGCGGUAGGAUAGAAUUUUGUGAAAACAUUUAAUGGAGACUGAAAAUUAAAGAUUCGGGUAGGCAUGCGAUUUAUCAAGUAUGAUGCUGUGAGAAUGGCUUCACCCCAAAACUGUUUUGGCACCCUAUUUGUGAACAUAAGAGAGCGUGCAACUUCUAACAAGUGUUGAUUUUUCCGUUCAGCAAUACCAUUUUGCUGAGGAGUAUCUACACAAGAGGAUUGGUGCACAAUGCCAUUUUCCAUGAAAUAAUGACCAAGGGCAGUAGAAAAAUAUGCUCUCCCAUUGUCAGUUCUAAAGACUUGGAUUUUUGCUUGAAAUUGUGUUUGAAUCAUGGUAUGAAAGGUUUUAAAAACUGUUGCAGUUUCUGAUUUUUCUUUAAGCAAGUACACCCAACAAACACGAGUGUGGUCAUCAAUAAAAGUUAUGAACCAUUUAGCCCCCGAAAUGUUUGUAACAUGAGAGGGUCCCCAAAUAUCACUGUGUAUGAGAGAAAAAUGUUCAGAUUUUUUAUACGGCUGUGAAGGAAAAGAUACACGAUGAUGUUUGGACAAUACACAAAUUUCACACUGAAACAAAGAAGGAUUUUUAUUCUUGAACAACAAAGAAAACAAGUGUUGUAAAUAAGAAAAACUAGGAUGACCUAAUCGGAGAUGCCACAACAUUAUUUUAUCUUUAAUAGAGAAAGUUAGUUCAUUAUUUGUUGCCUGAGCUUCUCCACACAAACUAACAUCCUCCUCGAAGUAGUACAAACCAUCUACCUCUCUAGCACUGCCAAUUUUCUUCCCUGAACACAGGUCCUGAAAUUCACAAUAGGAAGGAGAGAAUUUAGCAAUGCAAUGAAGAUCCUUGGUAAUUUUGCUAACAGAUAAAAGAUUACAAGACAAAUUAGGAACAUGAAGAACAGAUGUUAACACCAAAUUUGUAGAGAUAGGAAUAGAUCCUUUUCCUGCUGCAGAAGAUAGUGAACCAUCAGCAAUUUUAAUUUUUUGACUACCAGGACAUGGAAUAUAUGAAUAAAAUAAUUUAGAAUGGCUAGUCAUAUGAUCGGUUGCUCCUGAAUCGAUGAUCCAUGGAUCUUUUUUCUCAUAAACAACUCCUAAAGCACUGAAAUCAUUACCUUUCUGGGCUAAAGAACUAGAAGAUGAAGGAUUUGGGAGAGAUUGUGACUGAUUAAGAAACUUGUACAGUUGCUCUAACUGUUCUUUAGUGAAGAGUUGAGAUUCGGAUUCUCCAGUGUUGAUUGUCGGCUGAUUCUCCCCAAAAACUUGAAAACCUCGACUAUGUUUACCAGAGAAUUUAUUGUUUUUCAAAUUUGGAGGUUUUCCAUGAAGCUUCCAACAUGCAUCUCUGGUAUGUCUUGGCUUGUGACAAUAAUCACACCAAACUCUGUCCUUCUCAUCACUCUUCUUCAGGUUUUUUGUUCCCCCAAUCAGUGGAGCUUCUGGUGUAACAGAGAUCAAGGCUGAGUUCUCUGCUGAAGAACCUCCCAUCAUCACAUUCUUUCUACUUUCCUCUCUUUUUACAUAAGAAAACACUUCCCUGGUAGAAGGAAGAGGUUCCUUGCCAAGUACUCGCCCACGGACUUCAUCAAGGUCUGAACUCAAACCUGCUAAGAAUUCAAAUACACGCUCUUUUUCUAACAUCUUCUUGUAUUUAGCACUAUCAGCAGCACAUUCCCACUCGCCAUCAUAGUACUGAUCUAACUCUUGCCAUAAGCCCUUCAAAAUAUUGUAGUAUUUAGUCACUCCUUGACUACCUUGUUUGGUUUCUCGAAUUCUGGUUUUCAGAUCAUAAAUCUGAGCAGAAUUUCCCAAAUCAGAAUAGGUCUCGGUGACAGCAUCCCACAAAUCCUUUGCUGUUGGCAGAAACAAGUAAGUUUGACCUAUCUCCGAUUCCAUUGAAUUCACUAACCAUGACAUGAUCAUUGAGUUGUCAGCAGCCCAAGUAUGAAACUUUGGGUCUUCUUCAGUUGGUUCUUUAAUUGAACCAGUAAGGUAACCAAUCUUCCCUUUACCUCUGAUAAACAUCUUCACAGAUUGGGACCACUGAAGAAAAUUUUGACCAUUCAAUUUAUGGAUUGUGAUCUAAAGUGAUGGACUAUCAUUAGAAACAUAACUUGAUAGUUGUAGAUGUCGUUGCAAUUGCUCUGAAGAUAACUCAGAAGUUUCUUGCUCGCUAUACUUUGAUAUUGGUAUUCAAAUAGAAUUGAAAACUAAAUCCAAGAAUCAAAGAGCGACUCUGAUACCAUGAGAAAAUUAUUGAAGAAAUAUGUAUCUCCUUUUCUUAUUUUUACAAUAGGGUUACACAAUACAUAUAUAUAUAUUCUAAACUACAUAAUGUGCUAGAGUAGGAAAGUAAACAACUAACUGCAGACCAAGAAACUAGGAAACAAACUCUAUCUAAAAAACUGAAAUUCUAUCCCUAUUUUUUUUCCUUUCUAUCCCUAUCUUUUUUCCUUAAAAAUAGGAUAGAAAACAAGUGACUUUUCCACAGCCCUUUUGGACAAAAAUGAUUUCCUGCUAAUUUUGAGAAUAAAACCAUAGACAUCUAACUUCUGAUAUCUAGUCAAUCUGGUAAAAUCUUGGCAGUUGCACUUGGGGCAUAAAUUAGUUCCACCUUGGUUUAAGGACAGAAAUUCGUCAUAUGCAUGUAUUUAUUUAUGUUUUAUACACACACACAUGCAUGUACACACAAACACUACCUUCACUUUGAAGAAAAGAUUAAAAUAACACUGCUCACAUACACAAUACUUACUAUUCUAGUUCGUGUAACUUUCUCCGGAGUCACAAACAGGUCACAGAAUUCACGUAUUAACCGCAUACUUCUAGUCAUUUCUAUUCCUCCUUCACCAUCACUUGUCCCACAAUUACAAAAAGUGAGAGGUAAUAACCAACAUAUUUGGGUUGCUCUUCGGUAAGGGGUGGGAGGUAAGGGUUAGUUGUGGAGGGCACCUAGUACAGAAUCAAGGCCAGCUGUUGGGAAUUUGAUCUCCUGUAACAUAUACUUGUUCAUCAUAAACUAUAUACUUAUUCUGCAGUCGAUGUGUGCAUAUAGCUCUUCAAUUAUCCAGUAAUAACUCACCAUCAACUUCCUGCCAUCUUUCACGGCUAAUUCAGCAGCCAUUUUUGCCUGCUUAAAGGUCAAAAGCCCAAACUAAGCAGAUGCUCCUACUCCGAUACUUAUUAUCUAACUACUACAGAACAGAUGAUACGCAUCAAGUUGUAUCAAGAGAGACACCAAGUUGUGUUUUCCAAGAGGUUCCAAAGAGGUUUUGUUUCUUUGUGUAAUUUUUAGACUGCUUUGACAACUCAUCUUAAAGGUGCCACUCAUCCAAUAUGAUGUGGUGACAGUAGUUUAGAGUUUUAAACUAAAUGCAGAGCUAAUAGUAUUUUGGAAUAUAAUCAUCCUAAGAUACUAUAACACAGGGAUUCUUACACAAAAACAACAACUUCGAUGUAGAGAGAAGAUGAUUUCACAAAAGCAGAUGUUUUGAUUUAAGUCUCCAAAACCCCCACCAAAGAAAUGUUCAACAGAUAUAGAAAUAUGAUCCACAUAUCUGUAACUUAAACUGUGAAAGUUGUUGAUGUUGUUCUAAAAUUGCCACAAUCUAUCUACCCCAUGAAUGUUUUUGGAUAAAACAACAAGCAGGACCCAAUGCCUGUUUUCUAAUAGCUUCAAAAAGGCCAAAUUGGUUUUGAAAUGUCUCCAGCUUUUCAUUUAAUAAGAGAGAGAGAGAGAGAGAAGAAUCGCUCCCCUUUCAAAUACCGUGCUCUUUUGUACCUGGGAAUUUAACUAAUUCUUGCGAAUAAAAAAAUUUAUAAAUUUGGUAAAUUAUUUAUUAAAAAAUAUUGAGAGGCUGUGCAUUAUUUUAUUAGUAAAGAUAUAGUUAUCAUCAAAUUAGUUAUAUUAAAAUAGUUUUUGACUCACGUAAUUUAUUUUUAUUAUUUUUAUAUAUAUAUUUAAUUAAUAAAUUUAUGUUAUAUUCAUUUGUAUAAAAAUGUACAGUUCUAUCCUCACUCUUAUUUUAUUUUUAUUAUUUUUUCAGAAAAUGGUAUGCGUUAUUAAGGUUAAGGGUGACAACUGGGAUCAAUAUACGGUUUAUUCGAGUGCUUAAAACCUAAUAAAUAUCCACUAACUCAUAUUUAAUUAAAAUAUAAUUAUUUUUAAAUAAAAAAAUUUAAUAUAAACUAAACAAAUUGAUUGGAUUUUGUUUCUAAAGGUACAUCAUUAGAACGUUACCUUUAAUUGAACAAAAGCACACAUAACUAGCACAUUCGCCACAAAAGCCUCAGCUUAGUGGUCGGCUUAUUAAUUAUCUUAAUAAAAUCAUGGUCAUAAAUUUGAGUCCCCGUAGGAAUUAUUAGGUUAGGUAGCUUUUUUAGACUACAAAAGCUUUUUUAGACUACUCAUUCAUUUAAUUUUCCGUUAUAUAUAUUCAUCUUUUUUAGAGGCCAAGAAGUCUUCGACAGAAAUGUGAUCUUUUUCUAGUUGCCUCCCGGUGAUGAGCUUCUCCCAAGUUUCAAUUAAUUCGCUUUGAGUGAGGAUAUUUUCUGGUGGCCUCAAAUACAAUGUCUUGUUCAGCACUCAAGGGUCAUCUAUUGUCUUAAUAGUAUAUGUGGCAACAUCAUCAAGAUGCACUAUAGAAAAAAAGAUAAUCAUUUUGUUUAAUAUGAACAUAAAUUCUUACAGUCUAACUCAUAUUAUAGUGAACGAUGCUGUUAUGUGGUGCGUGCAUGCACUAUCUAUAGUUUUAAUAUUAUUAAUAAAGAGUUAAAAGUCUUGAUUUAAUUUUAAAUUGUCAUUCCUCUAACUUCACCGUCUUCAUAGAUGCAGACUUUAUCUUUUGAAGGGUGAGGGUAGCUAUAUUUGAGAGAGGUGUCUAGGGAACCAACCAGCAAAAAACAGCUAGCAGAAACAUAAAUGACAGGGAUUUGAGCAGCCUUGAUUGCCCUUCUCACACAUGCGCUCUGCGUUCUCCCUCCCGCUCUCACUCACUCACGCCCAAAUCUCACCUCACUCACGCAUCUCUCCUUCUGACCGGUGGUUUUCUCUCUCUCGCCGUGGGUCUCAAGGCUGGCAGGGAUUUCUCGACUUGACUACUAAAACAUAAUCCAAAAACUACUAAGAGAUGUAUAUAUUACUCUGAUAUACACAAUAUGAAGAAACUGCAGUUAUAUUUCAAAUAUUAUAUGAAGGAAGAGGCUGUAUGGAUUAUCUAAAGGUGCUGAAAUUAAGAGACCUAUUGAAAAGUCAUGCAUGUGGUAAUUUUUCAAAGAGCUACCAAACAUUUGAAGAAAAAAUGGAAAGUUGGCAAAUUUGUCAAAUUUGCCAAAUGGACACCAUUGACUAUUGGCUUAGGUUAGGUGGAAUGGUAAAGGGGUUGGUGCAAUAGUGCCAUUAUUUUUCCUAUAAAUAGAUGGCACUUUUUCCAUUCUUUUGCAUCCCAAAAUUGUUAAGCUUAUAAGUUUCUAAGCUUUUGAGAGAAGUGAGAGAAGUGUGUCUGGGGAAUUUAUCUUUCCUGCAGAGUGUGAGAGUACUGGGUAUAUUUUGGGUUUCUGGGAAGUGAGAUUCGUUACUCAAAUAUUGUACUCUAUUAAUUGUUAAAUAAACAAUUAUUCUUUCUUGCCUCCGUGGAUGUAGGUUUAAUUACCGAACCACAUAAUUCUUGUGUCCUUUAUUUUUUCUAUAAUUAUUUGGUGCGCUUGAUUCCGCAUUCCAAGCACAACAAGUGGUAUCAGAGCCGAAGGUUCGUACUUGGGGGGAUACGGUACUGUUCACGUAUACGGUACUAUUCCCAUAUACGGUACUGUUCACGAAUACGGUGGAGACGGCCAUUUGUACUUGGGAGACAGUCUAUUGUAAGUAGUGUGUAUUUUUGCAUGUUUAGGAAAGUUCUGUCAACAAAGGCGAUAAGAGUCUAAGGAUUCUGGUUUUUAAUUGGGACCGAGUUCCCGUCCAGUUUCUUGGGAACUUUCCUGGUGCAUUUAUUCAUGCGAAAUUAACAUCAUAGAGACUGUUUUUCAAGUGGAAAUAGUUCGUUGAGAAAAUGGUAGAAGGUGAAACUUCCAGAAUUGGGGAGAGAUCUACCGAGACUAUUUCAGGAGACACUUCAGGUGGGAGACGAGAUUUGUCAAAUCGCUAUUCAGCACCUGUUAUAGGAGGUCAGAAGAUCGAUGUUGAAAAGUUUGAUGGGAAAAUCAACUUCGGCAUGUGGUGGCGCGAAGUUAUGGAUGCCCUUAUUCAAAUCGAUCUCGAUGUUGUUCUGAAAAAUAAAAGACACUUGUAUGAUGAAGAAAUUUGGGAUCGUAUGAAUGAAAAAGCUUGUGGUUAGAUCAGAUCUUGUUUGACCAAGGAGGUGAAAUACUUGGUGAAAGAUGAGGAGUGUGCGGUAACUUUGUGGCGUACAUUAGAGGAAAAGUACUUGGUGAAAAGUCCUGAAAAUCGCCUUCAUGCAAUGAGCCAAGUAUAUGGUUUUCGAAUGAAGCCUGGGGUGUCAAUGCACGAUCAUGUUUCAAGAUUUGAAAAGUUACUUGCUGAUUUGAAGAAUCUUGAUGAAGAUAUUAAGGAUGAAGUCAAGGCUAUGAUUCUGUUACACUCACUACCAGAGGAAUAUAGCCAUUUUGUGACUACUUUGAUAUAUGGGAAGAGUGUGAUCGUCUUCAAAGAUGUUUGCACAACAUUGACUAGCUUAGAGAUUCGGAAUAAUGAUAAAAAUUCUGAACGAGCAUCGUCUGAAGCUUUAGUGAGCAGAGAUUGGGCGAUGGAGAAACAGAAGAAGCGUGGUGGAAAGAACUCUCGAUCCAAAUCGAGAAGCAGAAAUAUAGCUCGAGAUGAGUGUGCCUUUUGUCAUGAAAAGGGCCAUUAGAAGAAAGAUUAUCCAAAUGCUCAAAAGAGAGAUGGGAAGAAACCAGCAGCAGCAAACAUGGCACGGAAAGAUGAGGGAUCUGAUUAUUCACUAAGUAUUACUCCUGCAGCAUACGUGGCUAGUUCGAGCGAGUGGAUACUUGAUACUGGAGCAACCUAUCAUUUGUGUCCCAUUAAGGAAUGGUUUACGGAUUUCAACGUAUUGGAAUCUGGUGCAGUUGUGAUGGGGAAUGAUCAACCUUGUCGCACAAUGGGGAUAGUAACAAUUCGGCUCAAAAUGUUUGAUGGAAUGGUCAGAGAACUCAAAAAGGUUAGAUUUGUUUCAGCUUUAAAGAAAAAUCUAAUUUCUGUGGGUGCUUUAGAAGCUAAAGGCUACAAGGUUACCAUUGAAGAUGGUAUAAUGAAGUUUACACAUGGGGCUAUGGUGAUUCUGCAAGGGGUUCGGCGUCACAAUCUGUACUAUUUGAAGAGAGGUACAACUGAUGAAGCAAAUGUUGUUGAGGCACACAGUGACACCACCAAGCUAUGGCAUGUACGACUAGGACAUGCUAGAGAGAAGUCUUUGCAAACUCUGAUAAGGCAUGGACUCUUAAAAGGUACCAAAACCUGUAAAUUAAAUUUUUGUGAGCAUUGUGUAGUAGGCAAGAAAACAAGGGUUAAGUUUGGUACAGCUAAUCACGAUACUCGUGAGAUCCUUGAAUAUGUUCAUAGUGAUGUAUGGGGACCAACCAAGACUGCAUCAAUUGGUGGAAGCCAUUAUUUUGUUACAUUUGUUGAUGAUUUCUCUAGAAGUGUGUGGGUGUACACCAUGCGAGCAAAUGAUGAGGUUCUAGAGAUUUUCGUGAAAUGGAAGAAAUUGGUGGAGACUCAAACUGGAAGAAAGAUCAAAGUAUUACGAUAUGAUAAUGGGGGUGAAUAUACUUCUGAUCCAUUCUUGCAAGUAUGCCAGAACGAGGGUAUUAAAAGACAUUUCACAGUGAGACAUACUCCGCAACAGAACGGUGUGGCUGAGCGUAUGAAUCGUACUUUACUGGAGAAGGUAUGGUGUAUGUUAUCUAAUGCUGGUUUAGAUAAAAAGUUUUGGGCUGAAGUUGUGAGCUACGCAAGUCACUUGGUAAACCGGUUGCCUUCUGCUGCAAUUGGAGGUAAAACUCCUAUGGAAAUGUGGUCUGGAAAGCAUGCACAAGACUAUGAUUCCCUUCGUAUAUUCGGGUGUCCAGCUUAUUAUCAUGUCAAAGAUGGUAAACUAGAUCCUCGUGCUAGAAAAGCUAUCUUUGUGGGAUUCAAAGGUGGAGUAAAGGACUUCAAGCUUUGGGAUCUCGAAGAUAAAAAGUUUGUGUGUAGCAGAAAUGUCACAUUUGAUGAAGCUUCAAUGAUGAAAGCUUCAAGUUCUCAGCAGGUGGAGAACAAGACCAAAGAGGUAUUGCUGCGGGUGGAGUUUGAUGCAACUCCAUAUGUACCAGUUAGUUCUACAUCAAAGAAGAGUUCAACUAUAGAGGUGACACCUAGAGUUGAAGAAGAGGUUGUUUCUUCUGAUGUCCCACAAAAUGAAGAAACAAUUGAUAAUGUAGAUAAUGAUGAUUUUAUAGCAACAAGGAGGCUAAGAAGAGAGAUAAAGAAACCCGGAUGGCUUACUAAAGAUAUGGUGGUAGCCUAUGCACUUCCAGUUAUUGAUGAUGACAUCCCCAACACUUUCGGUGAAGCAUUACGCAGCAGUGAAAGUGAUCAGUGGAAGUUAGCCAUGGAGGAAGAGAUGAAAUCUCUCCAUCAAAACCAGACUUGGGAACUUGUAAAGUUACCAAAAGGGAAAAAGGCUAUUGGCAAUAAAUGGGUCUACACCAAAAAGCAAGGAUCUCCGAAUAAAAUAACUCCUCGAUACAAGGCAAGGCUCGUGGCAAAAGGUUUUGCUCAAAAGGAAGGUAUUGACUACAAUUAAGUUUUCUCUCCAGUUGUAAAACAUACUUCCAUUCGUAUCCUACUUGCCUUAGUUGCAGAAUAUGAGUUAGAGUUGGCUCAAUUGGAUGUUAAGACCGCGUUCAUACAUGGAGAUUUGGAGGAGGAAAUCUAUAUGAUUCAGCCUUGUGGUUUCAAAGUUGCUGGAAAAGAGAAUCAUGUGUGUAGGUUGAUUAAAUUUUUGUACGGACUGAAGCAAUCGCCAAGGCAGUGGUAUAAAAGAUUUGAUCAAUUUAUACAAGGGCAGAAAUUCACCAGAAGUGAACACGAUCAUUGUGUUUACUUUAGAAGACUACCAGAUAGAGCUUUCAUCUAUUUGUUACUCUAUGUCGAUGAUAUGCUUAUAGCUUCGAAGAAUAGAGAUGAGAUCGAAAGAUUAAAAAAGCAACUGGCUUCUGAGUUUAAGAUGAAAGACUUGGGUGAUGCACAGAGAAUACUUGGGAUGGAGAUUCGUAGAGACAAGAAGAAUGGGAGCGUAUGGUUGACUCAAAAGUCUUAUUUGAAGAAAGUGCUAGAAAGAUUCGGUAUGGAUGACAAAACUAAACCAGUAUGUACACCUCUAGCUUCUCAUUUCAAAUUAAGCUUUUCUUCAUGUCCUAGAUCUCAAGAGGAGCGUGAUUAUAUGGCUCGUGUUCCAUAUGCUAGUGCUGUGGGUAGUCUUAUGUAUGCUAUGGUAUGCACAAGGCCCGAUAUAUCUCAAGCAGUGAGCAUGGUUAGUAGAUACAUGCAAAAUCCGGGUAAAAAUUAAUGGCUUGCGGUAAAGUGGAUUCUCCGAUAUCUGUAUGGGACAGUUGAUGUUGGGUUAUUGUUCAAGAAGGAUUGUGGUCAACAAUGUGUUGGGUAUUGUGAUUCUGAUUUCGCUGGAGACCUUGACAAGCGAAGAUCAACAACGUGCUACGUAUUCACAUUGGGUGGAGGUCCGGUUAGCUGGAGGUCGAUUCUACAAUCGACAAUUGCUCUGUCCACUGCGGAAGCAGAGUAUAUGGCAGCAACUGAAGCUAUAAAAGAAGCUAUCUGGUUGAAAGGUUUAUUAGGUGAUUUGGGAGUAAUCCAGGAGAACAUUGCGGUCUUAUGUGAUAAUCAAAGUGUGAUAUUCCUUGCGAAGAAUCAAACAUAUCACGCUCGGACGAAGCACAUAGAUGUGAAAUAUCAUUAUGUGAGAGAGAUUAUCGAGAGCGGUGUUGUGUUGUUGAGAAAGAUCGAUACCAAAGAUAAUCCAUUAGAUAUGUUGACGAAGGUAGUUUCUGGAGUUAAGUUUCAACAUUGCUUGAAAUUAAUUCAAAUCCUUCGAUUGUGUUAAGAUAUGUCCUUCGGGAAUUUUGAACUACGGUUGGCUUGAUCCCAAAUUUUGGGUACGUAGGCAGUCAUAGAGAUGCAGCCACUUUGGGGAUGAUGAUUGGUUGGUAGUCGGCUCAGAUUUGGACAAAUUUUCACCGAGGUGGAGAAUUGUUGAAAAGUCAUGCAUGUGGCAAUUUUUCAAAGAGCUACCAAACAUUUGAAGAAAAAAUGGAAAGUUGGCAAAUUUUUCAAAUUUGCCAAAUGGACCCCAUUGACUAUUGGUUUUAUGUUAGGUGGAAUAGUAAAGGGGUUGGUGCAAUAGUGCUAUUAUUUUUCCUAUAAAUAGAUGGCACUUCUUCCAUUCUUUUGCAUCCCAAAAUUGUUAAGCUUAUAAGUUUCUAAGCUUUUGAGAGAAGUGAGAGAAGUGUCUGGGGAAUUUAUCUUUCCUGCAGAGUGUGAAGUACUGGGUAUAUUUUGGGUUUAUGGGAAGUGAGAUUUGUUACUCAAAUAUUGUACUCUAUUAAUUGUUAAAUAAACAAUUAUUCUUUCUUGCCUCCGUGGAUGUAGGUUUAAUUACCGAACCACGUAAUUCUUGUGUCCUUUAUUUUUUCUAUAAUUAUUUGGUGCGCUUGAUUCCGCAUUCCGCGCACAACAAGACCCACACCAACCGACAGACCCCCGGUGAUAGAGAGAAAGUCGACUGUGAGAUGCAUUCAAGACGGGGGAAGAGUGAGAGAGAAAACUGCCCGGUCAGAAGGAGAGAUGCAUGAUUGAGGUGAGAGAUUUGGGCGUGAGUGAGUGAGGAGUGAGGGAGAGGGUGCCGCGUGUGUGGGAUGCGUACAAUGACAAUUUAUACUUACAUCAAAACGCCGCGUUCGGUGCCAUGUGUAGGGCUAACUGUGGUUUGAAUCUCACUUUGGUAAUGGAAAUGACUUUGCAAUUGACAGUUUUUGUCAAAAGUUCGCACUGCAUGAAACUAGUGUUAAUAUAAUUUAAAAAAUUAAUUUCAGUAUUAAUUUUUAAAGUUUUAAUUAUUAUAUUUAUUUUAAUAAUAGAUUUAUAUUUAUUAUAAAAAUUUUAGUUAAAUAUUUGUGUUAAAUGGAAUUUAUAAUUAAUAUAAUAGAUCUUAGGUAUUAAUAUAUUAUAAUUAUUCUAUAUGCUAUUGAAAAUCAUUUAUAUUUUUAGACGUUUAUUUUCAUAUUAAGUUUCUAUUUAUUUUAAAAUUUAGUUUAAUAUAAUAUAAGCAAGUAAAGUAUUAAAAUAUUUUUUAGUAUUAUUUAAAAUAUUAAAAUAAUUUUAAAAUAUAAGUCAAAUUUUUAAGUGAAUAUAACUAAUAUUUACAGCUAUUUGAUGGCCUCAACAAGCUAAAGCAGCAUCAAAAUUUGUGGCUCGUUAAUUUAUUUUUUCCCUUUCAAAAAGGGAAGAGGAUAAGUUUGGAAGAAUGAUUAUAUUUUUAAUAAAUUCUUUUUUAUUAUAAUACUUUUUGUCUUUAUUAAUUUAAAAAUAUUGACUCUUAUAUUUUAAAAAAUAUAAAUAUAAUAUUAUAAUAAAAUAUAACAAUAUAUAUCAAAUAUUUAAAAAAUUUAAUAUUUUAAUAUUUUAUAUUAUAUUAAAAUAAAUUUUUAAUAAAUAAAAAUAAUCUAUUAAAAUAAAGUACAAAAAUUUAAAUUAUUUUCAAUAUCAUCUAAAAUAAUUUUACUAUUAUUAAUGCAUGAAAUAUAUUAUAGUAAUUGUAAAUUUCAUUUAACUCAAAGAUUUAUUUAGAAUGUUCAUAAUAAGUCCAAAUAUAUUAUUAAAAUAAUUAUAAUAAUUUACAUUUUAAAAAUUAAUACUGAUAUUAAUUUUUAAAUUAUAUUACUCUACCAGAAAAAUUAAACUAUUAAAUUAUAUCAAUAUUUAUUAAAAAAUUUUGAAAUUAAUUCUUGUUAUAUUUUUAAUUGGAAUUUUUUCAUGUGAUAUAACCAGAAUUGCUACAAUUUUUUUCCCUAAUUAAAGAUGGAGUUAUAAAUUAUUUGUAUAAGUGUCUGUGUGGAAACUAAUGUGACAUGAAAGUAAUAGCUGAAUAACAAUAAUGGGCCGAUUUCAAUUCUUAAACAGACUUGUCCUUCAUCCCAAUUUAUUUACCCCAUUUGGGCCGGUUAUGACAUAAACAUAUUCUUGUGGAAUGAAAAACAUCAUGAGAAGAAAAUGUUUUAUUAUAAUAGAAAAAAGUGGUCCAUAAGUCUAUUCAUUACUUUUUUUAUUCAAUAUAAAUGGCUAACUUUAAAAAUGGUAAAAAUCACAUAACGCGCAAACAUAUUUUAGAUUUAUAUUUUUUAAUACUCUCCGAGUCUCUCUUUCUCUUUUUCUUUUUUUAAAUAAAUGUCAGUAUAAAAUUUAAAAAAAAUUUAGAUAUAAAAUUUGGCAAUGACCAAACAAAAAUUGCAGAGGAAACCUUGAUAUCAUUGAAAUACUGAUAAUAGACACUACAGUAUAAAUAACUUGUUGUGAUCCACUCAACUUGUAACACUUUAAUCCAUAUUCUAAAAUUUUCAUGUUUGUUAGGAUUUUUAUUAUUGAUACUACUGUAUCAAUAAAAUUAUAAUUUAUUCAUAUGGAAUGAAAACAUCAAGAAAGGACCUCUGAUGUUUAUUGUCAUAGAAAAAAGUGGUCCAUAAGUCUAUUAAUUAUUUUAUUUAUUCAAUACAAAUGGCCAACUUAAAAAAUGGUAAAAAUCACACAAUGCACAAGUAAAAUUUUACAAUUACAUUUUUUAAUUCUCUUUGAGUCUCUCUCUCUCUUUAAAAAAUAAACCUCACUGUAAAAUUAGAAAAAUUUUAGACGUAAAAUUUGACAAUCACCAAAUAGAAAACAUAGGGAAAUGAAAAUGGAGGAGCCCUAUUUUCAUUAGAAUAUUGAUCAUAGAUACUAUAAUGUAAAUGAUUUGUUGCGAUUCCUUCAACUUGUCACACUCUAAGCUAUUUUCUAAAAUUUGUAAGGUUUAUAGGAUUUUUAUUACUGCCAUCAUUGUAUCAAUAAUAUUAUAAAUUAUAUAUUCUAUUGUAAUGAAAAUUUGUGUAAUCUUAGGUAUUUAUUGUAUUAAAUUGUGUGGAUUAAUUAAGAAUAUUUUUGGAGACAAAAGAAGUGUGUGUACGUAGGAUUAAUGAUAAAAAAUUUCUAAAUAAAGGUGAUUGCUUCAUUGACAAGUACAUAUUUAUAUUCCUCUAUUAAUAUUUGGGUUGUAAACUCUAUAAUAAAGUUGGUUGGUGUGAGUGGUUCGGCACUCUCACUCUUUAAGAGAGGUCGGGAGUUCAAGCCUCGCUCUCGUAUGGAGUCACCACUUUGGCCAGCACUUUACCUCUUAUGGGCCGACCCGGUGCGAGUGGGAAUUAGUAUGGGUUGUGGUAUGGGCUUAAAGGUGUCUCCCACAGUUGGGGCCCACUCAGGACCACCUCGUGAUUCAAACAAAAAAAAAAAGUGAAUAUAUUGUGGCAAGUGAUGUGGGCAAUAUCGGAUGCGAAAUAUUGAGAGAUCAUUAACGCAUAUAUUUAUUGAAGAUGCGUAUAGAGGAAAGAGUGUAGAUCCGGCCGUAACAAUUACGAAGCUUUCCCCAAGUAUACUCAUGCUUCCUUAACUGUUUCGAAGUAUUUUUCAUAGUGUGCAGAUUUACUUUAUGGUGUCUUUAAUUCAUCUUAAAUGAUUACUUUAUUGUUUUAGGAUGCAAUGUCAUUUAUUGUGUUAAUUUAAACAAUAGAAAAAAUAAGUAACAGUAACGAAAGACUAAUUUGUGAUAUUGAAGCGUACGGGCUUAACUCAAUCCAAAAAUUAGUAAAUUAGCUCAAGAGUUAAGAGUUGUCCAAAUCUUAUAUGAUGAACCCAAGUUUAAUACACAAUUGAUGCGGGAUGUUAUUCCUAACACCUCCCGUCAUGUGUAGGAUUGGCAAAAAAACUCGGGUCAGUCCCGCCUAAACCUACGAGCUUUAUGCAUGGCUCGCAUGAUGAAGUUACGGAUAUUAACCUAAAAAUUUGAAACUUACUAUGAAUGGCCUUGCUUAAAGACUUUUGCAACUUUAAUUUAUAACAAGUAUGUAUAUCUACACACACAUAAGCUUAGAUUGCAUUUGGAUGGCUUUUUUAAUCAAUUCAAACAAUCUGAAAUUUAUCAGAUUAAUCCAAAUCUUAUAUGUAUCCAAUUUUGCCCGCCCCUACUAUAUAUAAGCCCAAGUGACUCUCUUUUACUAAUUAAUAAGAGAAUUUUUGACCUUAUAUCCUUGUUGUGGCGUUAGACUGUUGGUUAUUUUGAUUGUUUCCUACCUUCCAUUUACGCCAGCUAUAACAUUGUAUUAUCACCAUUUUAGCCAUUUAAAUGAAAUUUUAUUUUUCAUUUUAUUGUGUCAAUACUAUCAUAAUUUAUUCAUUUUAUUGUAAUGAUAAUUUGUCUAGUCUUAGGUACUUACUAUAUUAAAUUAUGUAAAUUAAUUGAGAAUACUUUUAGAGACAAAAGAAACACGUGUAUGUAGGAUUAAUAAGCGAAGAGUUGUAAAUGAAGGUGAUUGCUUCAUUGAGAGGCAUAUUAAAUAAUUAUGGAGAGUUGCUCUAUUUCGGAAGCAUAUAUUUAUACUUCCCUAUCAGGAUUUGGGGUAAGCGAGGUGCUUUAUGUAUUGCAGUAACCAAAUGUGGGCAAUAUCAGAGCCGAAAUAUUGAAAGAUCAUAACGCAUAUAAACGAUUAGUAUAUUGAAGACACAUAUAGAGGAAAGAGUGCAGAUCCGGCCGUAACUAUUAUGAGGAUUUCCUCAAGUAUUCUCAUGCUUCCUCAACUGUUCUGAACUAUAUAUUCCUCAUUGUGGGCAGAUUUACUUAAAUACCAACACAAUGAUUCAAUACUUCAAAGGUCAAGGAAAUGUCAAAAUAUGAAAUGAAAAUACUUAAAUACCCUUCUACCUAACAAAACUUAGUACUUCUAACUGCCUUAGCAGAGAAUCUAUAAAAUUAAAAAAAAAAAUUCAUCCAUGAAAAGCUUCGUAACAGAAAAACCGUCUUUCAAAAAAUAAAAAAUAAAAAAUAAAAACAGAAAAACCGACUCAUUUAUCUGCCAAUGAACCAGUCAGGACUCAUUUAAAAAAGAUUACAAAGCAAAAGUAAAUGACACAAAUUGCAUAGAUAUCUCGGAGCCGCAUCAAAGGACAAUGGUGUUAAUUUGUCCGAGUAAUAAAUUCUCCUUGGUCAAAAGCAAUUAACGAUGAAAACUUUCUUCAUUAAGGUUCUGGCCUACGUAAAAAAAAAAAAAAAAAACCACCCCAAGGUCAAAGCACAACGAUAAGUUUAGAAUUGCAGUUUUUAAUUUUUUUUAAUAAAUCAACGUGUAUAAAAAAUAGAUAAUAAUUUUAAAUAAAUUUUAUUUGAUAAAUAUAGGCAUAAAAUUUUAAAAUCACCAAACAGAAAAACAGGGGAAUUAAAACAGAGUCCCUGUUUAUCCUCUAUUUUGCUUGUUAUUAAACAGGGAAAUGAAAAGAUCACAAGCGGAAAUUUUGUUUCUGCGUUGUCUCUUCUCAAUGCUACAUGCAUUCAAAUUAAACCUUACAUAUGCUAGCAAACUAGCUACCUGCGUUUAAGUGUUAGAGUGCAAUUUAUGCACUAAUUUUGCAUUGUUUACUUCUUUUAAUAUCGAUAUUUUGCACUUAAUAAUAGUGAUUUACUUGUAUUUUAUUUUUGUAAGUGCAAUUCUAUUUAUUGGUGCUAAAAUUGGGCUACAAGAUGAUGUUUGAAGAUGAUUGUUUUCUUGGAAAAAUUAUGAGUUUCAGAAGAACUUUGUUGAUAAGGCGUGGGCGCUGGCUGUCAACUACGGACCUGUAGUUUUUAGUUUAACGUGUUUUGUCUUUUUGGUUAUUUUUGUAAUCACGAAUUUAAUAUUUAGAUAAUAUUUUAGAUAUUAGUAUUUUAUUUUAAAAAGAACUCUAGAAGAGAAUUUAAGAGGGGAAUCUAUGGUCAAAGGAAAAAAAAGAAAGGAAACCCUAGAUCUAAAUUUUUCUCUUCUCUCUAUGAAGAACUAAACCUAUUAUUCUGGUUAAAGGUUAAUGGAGCUUUGAUUCAUCAUUACUGUGAGAUCUUUCUUAUGCUUUAAUUGUUUUAUUGAUUUUUGGGUAUUUGUUUAUUCUCUAAAUUAUUGUCAUGAUUAUGUUUGUUAAUUAGAUAAUUAGCCAUUAUUUAAUUAUCAACUUAAUCUAUUGUCAAUUAAAGGAUUCAUCGUAUGAAGAUUUUAAUGUUUGUGACAAAUAGCAUAGCAGUUCGUUAUGUUAUGAGAAUAAACAAUCUAAUUUAAAUGAACCAUCGUAUGCGUUUGUUGAUUAGGAUUUGGGUCUCUCUGGUUUUUCAGGUUGUCAAUUGAUUAAAUCCUAUGAUCGUAUCUAGGGUUGUCUAUUGAUUAGGGAAAUAACCAAUGGUCGUACCUUGGUUAUCGACUAGUUAAGGAGAGAUUGGCUAUUAGAGGGUCUCAGUAGCUAUAACCGGUCUAUUCAUAAGUAGUAAUGAUUUAUAUUUGAAUCAAUGAUCAAUAGUCGAAUCAAGCUGAGUUAAUUCCUUCAACCAGAGCUUUCCCCAAUUUUAAUUUGCAUUCUUGUUAUUUUAAUUUGAUUUUUAUUAUUGUCAACAAUUCCCCCAUUUUGCAUUUUGCAUUUUAAAAGGAUUUAAAUAAUUACUAAUCUCUGUGGACACAACCCUACUCAAUCACUAUACACAAUUUAUUUAGAGUAUGUAUUUAUUUUUGCUGGCUUCGACAACCAUCAAUAAGUUCUCGAUAAGUCCAAAUAAUAGAAUAAUUGUAAAAUGUUCAAAUUCAGUAAUUAAUUAUACAUAUUUAUUUAUUCAAAAUUAUUAUUAUUAUUAAUUAUUGUCAAUAAUAUAUUAAUAUACUAAUUAAUUGUAAACUUUUUUAUCAUUCAUAACAAUGAUGAUGAUGAUGAUGAUGAUGAUGAUGAUAAAAAAUUCAAAACAUAUUAAUUAAUUAUAAUAAUAUAUUAAAUAUUUAAUUAUUUAAUAAUAAUAAUAAUAAAUGCACAAUGUAUAAAUUGAUUAGAAUAAUUAUAUUAAUUAAUCAUAAUAAUUUUUUAAUUGAGGACAAAAUAGAUAUUUUAUAGUUUGUGAGAGGGGGCAAAAUGGUCAAUCUUGGGAAUGGGGGAUUGAUUCCCACCACCUUCCUUAGGAAUCAAUCUUCCAUUCCUCAUUCCUAAUUUGGGUGGUCCCCAUAGUUCUGAUUCGGAUCCCAGCCUCCAUUUUAUGAAGUAAACAUCAUUAAGAUUUCGAUUCCGGAUUCCGAUUCCCCAAUCCAAGAAGUACAGGCACCAUUAUUGUUGAUUGGUUCAAAUGCACAAAGAGAAUGUACCAUGUAGCUAGGCGUCAAGGUUGUGCUGCACAAGUAACCUUUUUCUUUUCUUUUCUUUUUAUUUUUCUUAUUUUCCUUAAUGUAUCGGAAGAAACUGGUGCCUUUGAGAUACUACCAUGUAAAUAAGUACUUAUGGUUCAUUGAAUCUGUAACACUCGGUACCCUACAAUUGCUUUUGAAAAAGGGCUUUACUCACUUAUCGCUAAUAUUCAAGUAAGUUUGUUUCAUUUCAGAAGGUGCAAAGUUUCAAACUUGUUGUAUUGAGAUGUAACAAACUUUGGCCUUAUAUGCUUGUUGUGACGUUUGACUGUUCAUUUUGACUGUUUCCUACCUUCCACUUACGCCUGUAGCACUGUAUUAUUCACCAUUUUAGUUGUUUAAAUGAAAUUUUAUUUUGUCAAAAAUGAAAUGACACCAUUAAAAUUUAAAAAAAUAGUCAUGGAGAUCCCAAAUUUUUACUAAAGAACACCAAUAUUCCCCUUGACUAUAAUACCCUUAGCAGGUGGUAAUAAAAAAUUGACUUAAAAUUUUUUGCGAAAUGUAAAUAUGAUUUAAAUAAUUUAAAUUUUCCAAUAGACUAAUAUAUAUAAUUUAAAUAAUUAAUUUCAAUAUUAAUUUUUUAAAUGUAAAUUAAUAUAUUUGUAUUUAUAAAAUAUUUGCAAUUAUUAUAAAAAUUUUAAAUAAAUCCUUAGGUUAAUAGAUUUUACAAUAAAUAUAAUAUUUCUCAUGUAUUAAUAAUAUUAAAAUUAUUUUAUAUGAUAUUGAAAAUAACUUAAUUUAUAUAUUUAUUUGAAUAUUAUGUCUCUAUUUAUUAUAAUUUGGUUUAAUAGAAUACGAGAUUGUAAAAUAUUAAAAUAUUUUAGAUAUUGAAAUUUUAAUAUGUAUAUAUUAUUAUAUUUAUUUUAAUAUAUUUAUAUUUAUUAUAAAUUAUUAGAGUCAAUUUUUAGUUAAUAAAUUUAAAAAUAUUAUAAUUAAAAAAAAGAAUUCUUAUUGUCUGUUAUUCACAAUAUGAGGUUCUACAAAAUUAUUUCUCCAGACGGGUGUCCUUUUCUUAUUUGUAAAAGGAAAAAUAAGUUCAGGGAUCUUAAAAAAUUCUAGUCCUAUCGACCACUAUGACUAAUGGGAAACGACAUUGCAAUUGACAUUACUUUUCGCAAUAUGACAAAUUUUUGGAGGGAUACGGGAGAAUCGUCAAACGUUCACACCACACGAGAGCUUUAGGUGGGAUCGGGGAGGAUUGUCAAGAGUUCACACCACGAGAAAUUAAUGAUAGGCCUAAUUUCGCUGUCAGUUCUUUAUUUAUUUAUUUUAUUUAUUUCAUACAUUAUUAUCUUGUUGGUAUUGUUUUGUAAAGGUAUAAAAGUAAAGUAAAAUACUAGGGGUACCAUUAAGUUACAGCUGAUGUAACUUACAGUGUUUUAAAAAAUAAUAUAAAAAAUUUAAUAGCUGGUGGGAUCCACAUAUUUUUGAAGAGACUUAAGUUACAACAGUUGUAACUUAACAAAAUCCAAAUAUUUGACAAUAAUGCAUAUAAUUUGGAUUUGAUUUUUAAAAGAUUAUUUGAGCACCACCUAUCCUUAUGAUAUUAAUGUGAAUAUAUCUUAAUAUUAAAUAAUCAAAAUUUGUUUAAUUAUUAUUUGUAUUUCAUACAUUACCUAUUAGAUUUGUUUGAAUUUUACGUUCUUGCUAAUAAAUAUUUAUGUUGUCAAAGUCAAAUUCUAAUGAUUAAAAGAGCAACUAUCCCUUAAAUUUUAAUGGUGAAUUGUAUAUAGUUUUUAAGAAAGUAAGGAUAAGUUGGAUAAUUGACUUAAAUUCUAAUGAUUAAAAGAGCAACUAUCCUUUAAAUUAAAAUGUCAAUUUCUUUAAUUAUAAUUUUUUUUUCAUGUGAUAUAACCACAAUUGCUAUAGUUUUUUUAAAUAAUAAUGGGAGUUAUAAAUUAUUUAUAUAAAAUUUGUGUAGAAUCUAAUGUAACCUAAAAGUAGUUGCUGAAUAAUAAUAUUUGAAACUCUAGGUAAUUUUCAUAUGAGCCCUUUUUAUAUUCAGCAUCUUGAAUCGGGGGAAAUCCGACUUGAAUUGGCGGCUGAUUUUGGUGAUGUAGCUUUCGGUUUAUGGUUGCCUUACAGUGGCGGACGACUGAUUUACGGUCGCCGACUGCUAGGGAUUAUGGUGGUGGUGUAAAUUGACGGAAAAAGUAGAAGGUUUGGUGGCGGCGCGUGUAGGAACCACUCGUGGGUUGUCGUUUCGUGUGGUGACUGCGGGUGGCGAUCAAGGGCUGACGUUGGUCGGUUUUUGGUCAACGGAGGGCGGCCAGUUUGUUGGUGGAGGUGGCUGGCGGUGAAAGUGGCUGAAUGGUGGUGGAUAUCUUGGUGGAGCUACGGGUUUGGGUUGGUGAUUUGCGGCUGUUCAGGCGGCGGUUGAGGCAGCGAUAGCUGCGGCUUGGUCGGCGGUGGCUAGCGAGGUUUGUUGUGGUGUUGGCUGGCUGAUCGGUGGUGGUGGGCGGCGGCGGUGGAGGUUGAUGCGGCGGGUAGGGUUUUCAAAUCGGUUUUUGAUAUUUUUUUUUUUUUUUAUGAAUUUGGUGUGGAUGGGUAUAGGGUAAGAAACACUAGAUAUCAUUCUAGUACUGGACCAAGCCAACGCAAUUAAUUUACCAUCUAGUCGAAGGGUGAUUAGAUAUCGUUCUAACCCAAACGAUAAAAUGAGAUUUUUAACAACGCGUAAUACAAGAUUAGAUGAUGCUCUAAUCCAAACGACUCUACAACGACUCUAUAAGAGAGAUUUUGAUAGAUAAAUCUAGGGAAAAUUAUAAAAGAUGGGUUUUAUUUAAUAAUUAAACCUAAAGUUUUGAAAACAAUGACAAGAUAUUUUUAUUUAUAAUACAGGAAAUCUGCUUCCCUAAGAUAACCUAAAAAAGAAAAGUAAAUCAUAAUUAUAAUAGAAAUGAAAGAUUAAGAUACACACCAUAAUUGACUCAAACUAAAAUAGAAAAUCUUAAAGUAAUAAAUAUUCUAAAAUUGUAAAUUAUCUAAAAUAACAAUAAUUAACUUCCUAAAUCAUUUCUUUGGUGUAAAUCAUUUUACAUCCAACCUCGCUUUAAAGGUUUGAACCAGCGUUACCAACAACAAUGUAUCAAGUUCCAAUCUAGCUUAAGAUCAUGCUGAUACAUCUACUGAUAUCUUUAUUUGAUUAGACAAUAAUGAGUCUAUCUCAUCACUUGUUACCUCUUUCUUGAAGGCUGCAUCUGUUGAGCGAUAACCUCGUUGAAAGUUUAAAGAUCUUCCUCCAUGUUAAAUUAAAUGGGCAUUUGAUUAAGAACUUUAUCUCUAUCUCCUUCUAUCAAAUAACAACCAUCCAAAGGGAAAAAAAAAUUAAAAAAAUCCAUGGGUCACAAUAAUUUCUGGUCAGCCCACAAACCCCCCAUUAUCUGCCACUAUCAAUCAUGAAAAUGAAAAUAAAUGGCAUAUUCCCAAAAUGACGAAAGAUUUUGGGGGAUAUGGGGGAAUUGUCAAAAGUUCACACAACGCGAAACAAGUGUUACAUCCAAUUUUAUUUCGUCAUAUAAUGAUAAUAUCAAAUAAUGACAACCAUCCAAAAGUAUGAUGGGUCUUCCAAAAUUUUAAAAAUGUCGUCAACAUUUAAUUUUCAAUGCUAAAGAAAAUGAAAUGCCCAAAAAUGACACGCAAGACCCACUCACAAACUAAAUGGCCCUUGACCAUAUGUAACAAACUUUGACCUUAUGUCCCUGCUAUGGCGUUAGACUGUUGGUCAUUUUGAUUGCUUUUUACCUUCCAUUUACACCCACUGAAGCAUUGUACGAUUAACCAUUUUAGCUGUUUAAAUGAAAUUUUUAUUUUUUUCAAAAGUAAAAUGACACGCUUAAAAUUUUAGAAAAUAGCCAUGUAGACCCUAAAAUUUUAAUAAAGAACACCAAUACCCUUUUUGACUAUAGUACUUUUAGUCGAUGGUAACAAAAAAAAAAAAUGACUUCAAAAUUUUUUACUAAAUGUAAAUAUGAUUUAAAUAGUUUAAAUUUUCUAGUAGACUAGUAGGUAUAAUUUAAAUAAUUAAUUUAAAUAUUAAUUUUUAAAAUGUAAUUUAAUAUAUUUAUUUUAAUAAUAUAUUUUUAUUUAUUAUAAAAUUUUAAAUAAAUCCUUAGGUUAAAUAGAUUAUAUAAUUAAUAUAAUAUUUCUCAUGUUUUAAUAAUAUUAAAAUUAUUUUACAUGCUAUUGAAAAUAAUUUAAAGUUUUAUAUAUUUAUUUGAAUAUUAUGUCUCUAUUUAUUAUAACUUGGUUUAAUAGAAUAUGAGAUUGUAAAAUAUUAAAAUAUUUUUAGGUACUGAAAUUAUUUUAAUAGGUAUAUAUUAUUAUAUUUACUUUAAUAUCCUACUUAUAUUUAUUAUAAAAUAUUAAAAUUAAUUUUUUUAGUUAAUGAAUUUAAAAAAUAAUAUAAUUAAAAAAAGAGUCUUAUUGUCCGUUAUUCACGAUAUGAGGUUUUACAAAAUUAUUUUCAAAAGGAAAAAUAAGUUCAGGGGUUUCAAAAAAUUCUAGUCCAAUCGACCACUAUGACUAAUGGGAAACGACAUUGCAAUUGACAUUGUUUUUCGCAAUAUGACAAAAUUUUGGAGGGAUAUGGGAGAAUCGUCAAAAGUUAACACCACACAAGAGUUUUAUUUAUUUAUUUAAUUUAUUUCACACAUAUAUUGUCUUGUUGGUAUUGUUUUGUAAAGAUAUAAAAGCACAAGUAAAAUAUUAGGGGAAGUAAAGUAAAAUAUUGGGGGUGCUGCUAAGUUACAACUGCUAUAACUUACAGUUCCUUCAAAAAUAAUGUAAAACAUUUAACACGUGGUGGGACCCACAUUAUGUUUGAAUAGUCCGUAAGUUAUAGCAGUUAUAAAUUAGUAAAAUCCAAAUAUUAGACAAUAAUACACAUUAACAAUGCAUAUAAUUUGGGUUUAAUUUUUUUUAAAUUAUUUGAGUAUUACCUAUCCUUAAGAUAUUAAUGAGAAUAUAUUUUAAUAUUGUGAAGCUUUCCUCAAUUAUUCUCAUGCACCCAGACCUUAUCUGGUCAAGUUUUCUGAUUCAAUACUGACGACAGCUUCUUUGUAAAGCUCUUCAACCACAAGCAUUUCUACAAGGCAAAGGACAAGGACGUGUUGGAAUGAAUAUCAACAUGGGAAUGUCUUAUGAAUUUAGUUUAUAUUCUAAUAUAAGACAAUCAAUAAAUAUUGGAUGCAAUCUAAGGGCUAACAUUUGAUUGAUUAAUAUAAGAAAAAAAAAGGGUACAAAAAUGCAAAACAGAGCUGAUUGAUGGCCUUUAACAGUCAGUUCUAUGACAAAGUAACCACCAUAACCAAUGGAAUUAUAAGACAUCAAGAAACUUGAACUUGGCAGGAGGUCUCAUUAGCAGUAUACCUCAGAAAUUAAGACAGAGACUUUAAAAUGCAAGCUUAUGGAGCAAUUUAAGCACUGAAACUAAUAACAGUGAUGCCAAAAAAGGUGCAGGAGUACGGUAUUAGCAAUUGACCUCUGCUUUUGCUUGGACAAAGGUUCUCAUCACAAGGGACUCAUUAGUUGCCCUUGCCUCACACGAUUGGAUGCUAAGGGGGAAAAGGAAGUUUGAAUUAGUCAAUCUCAUUUCUAAUGGCAUUCACAGAGAACCUAUAAAACAAAAAAGUAAAUAAAAAUUUUCAUCCAUGAAAAGCUUAGUAACGGAAAAACCGACUCUUUUAUCUGCCACUGACCUAAUCCGGACUCAUUUAAUUAAAAAAGAAUUCAAAGCAAAACUAAAAGACACAAAUUGCAUACAAGUCUAGGAGCCAUAUCAAAGGCGUUAUAUAACUUGUCCAAUUAAUAAAUUCUCUUAGGGACCAUGCCGUGCUCACUCAUUUCCAAAGCAAUUAAUGAUAAGAACUUUCAUCAUUAAUUGAUAUGGCCAGUGUAGAAAAAAAUGAAAAACCCCUCCAAGAUUAAAGCACAAGGAUAAGUUUAGAAUUACACUUCUUAAAUUUUGGUUAAUAAAUAAACGUCUAUAUGAAAAUAGAAAAUCUUUUUGGAAUAAAUAAACGUCAAAUUUUUGUUUCUAUCUUACUACCUUCUAAAUCCGCAAUCCCAAGUACUUAGAAGUAAAUGCUACAUAGUACAUGAGAUGUUUCCCGUUCAAAUAGCUCGUCCGAUACCAUUAACAUGUUCAUCUCUCUGUAAUUGGUGUAAUUACGAGAUUGGUGGUUGACAUGGCUUUCCUUGUACAGGUAUGUAUGAUUGUUUUUUUUUUUUUUGGCACUUCUAAAUGGAUACUGUUGAAAAGCUUAAAAUUGAACUGAUAAUUUUGUUUGGAAGCUCAGAAAAUUCAUGAGAAAGUGAAAUAGAAUAUGCUGGAUUUCUUUUCUUUCCAUAACAUACAAAUGACAAACGUAGCAGUAUUUAUACUCGUUGCUUACAUCAUAAAAACAGAAUUAAAGCAAGGUACACAACUAUAACAGCAUCAAAAGCGUGCUUAACUAAUUGGCUGAGCUGGCAUAUACUUCUUUAACUAACAAUGCUGCUGACUGGACUUUAGCUCACACAUGCUUAUCGUGCAGCUACUCUUAGUUCACACGUGCUCAGUGUGCUUCCUUAACAGACACAAGGGAAAAGACAUGAUUUUGAGAUAUAACGCUUGAAUGUUCUCGGAAUGGCAUAACGCUUCGUGUGUCUCGGAGCGGCUGAUUGGUGCUGUACGUGUUUCUCAUAUAGAACUCAAGUCUGCUGUUGUCCCAAAGUUGGAACCAGAGAUAUCAUGACUCUGGUUUCAUUUCACCUCAACUGUGUUUUUUUUUUUAAUUAAAAAAAUAAUUUUUUUAGGUAUACAUACAUGUAUUUUGAUCCCAUUUUCAUGGGAAUUUUGCAUUAAAAAAUGAAGAAUAGCUAAUAGGGAAUUUCCUGAUUCUUUAGUUACUAUUUUUGGAAUGAGGGUAAUUAGUAGUAAAGUUGGUUUCUACUCGCAAACAAGUGAGCUGCUCGAUUCCCAAGUGGUAUCAACCAGUUUUCAACUUUUUAAUAUACACAAAUUGUUAUUGUUUAAUAGCUACUACUAUUAAAACUCAACAUCUUACAAAAAUACUUAAAAAAAAUGAUUUUUUCUUAUGAUGCUGUAAAAAAAAUUACGGGUUUACUUAUUUCCACGAGAUCUUGUAUAGUGUUCUUGUAUAGUGGAAUUAAGAUUGUCUUCCCGAUGGUGCAAUUCACCCUCUUCCUUUACAGUCACUUGCACUUUGUGCAGCUUUGGUGUGGAUACGAUUCCCAGGGAAAAAGUCUUCAUGUUCGGACAAUGUGUCACAAAUACUCGUUCCAAUGAUGGGAAUUCAAGAGUGUAAUUCUCCAAACAAAAGCUGGUAAGCCUUGGUAAAUCAUCAAGUUCCAAAAGUUUUAAUUCACUGAAAGCAAUACGAUUCUCCUUCACUUCUUCUCCAGCAUGUCCUACGAUUUCUUCUAAUUUUUUGCAGUUCCAUACAUAAAGAUUCACCAGACUAGUAGGAAUUCCAACCUGAAAAUAAGCAGAGAGAGUGUGUGUGUAUAAAUAUUAAAAAAGUAAAAAUGUAAGAGUAUCAUUCAACUAGGCUCAAAGUAUGUUUGAUCAUACAAUUAUACGUUUUAUGAACAUAACAAACUGUGAAAUGUCUACUAGAUAUUUUUUGUUAAACAAAAAAGGUAACAAGAUAAAUAAAUAAAUAAAUAAAAGCCAGAUAAACAAAGAUGAUAAAAAUGUAUUUACACAAUUAGUAUUAGGGACGUAGAAAGAAUUUAAGGCAAUUUCUAAAUAUUUUAGACUUAUUUUGCAUCUUGAUAUAAGUUUUUAAGCAUAAAUUUGCACAUUUCAACUAUUCCUUUAAAAAAAAACUCAACUAAAAUGCCUCUUUUUCCCUUUUCCUUGGUCCCCUUUUUUUUAUGUAUAUAUAAAAAUGGAAAAAAAAAUUUGGAAAAGACUUCCUAGUACUGUCAACAAGGGAUUGCUGUAAAGUGGAUCUUUAUUAAGUACUUCCAGACUCGAGGAAAUUUCUUUACAAUCAAGGGUCAGUUGUAAACAAUCAUGAAUUUAUGGUUAAGUAAUGGCAUAAUCAAUUCUUAACUAAACUGGAGAUAUUAAUUAAAUUUGAAGACUUUUUUUUUUUCCCAAUCGAAAUGUGAAGAACUAAGGAAAAGAGAAAUAUAUAGAUGAAUUUGUGAACUUAUAAGAUGAGUGACUAUCCUUUAAUUUUUGAAAAUCGUACUUAUUAAGAUAUGAGCAAAAACAAUUAAAUUGAAUUAUAUUAUGCUGUUGAAUCUGUUUAAAAAAAUUAUAUUGUUGAUUCUAAUGCUGGUGAACCUAAAAACUAGACUUAAAACGUAGAUUUCAGAGUGGUGGUUUGAAGUACAAUAUUUGAAAUAAAUAAUUAGUGGCUGAAUAUCAUUUGUAAACACAGAAAUGAUUAAAAAAUUGUUGAAUGUUAUUUGAAAAAAAAAAUCGAAAUGAAUACAGAAACCUUACCAAUGGAGGAAAAAUAUUCAUUAGCUUAUCACACUCUUCUAUCUCCAAAUUCUUCAAUUUCCUGAAAGACUCCGAAGCAAGCUGGUGGUGCCAUAUUGUUCUUAGGUUAUCCAUCCACACAAUAUAUAAUACCUCCAACCUAGGAAGUCGUACCUGGCAAUUAAAGAUUAAAUAACUAAUUAAUCAAUUAAUGGCAUAAUCAAUUGAUAACUAAAUUAGAGGCGGAUAUUAACUAAAUUUGAAGACUCAAGGAAAAGACAAAUCAAGUAUUGUGACUAAAAUUAUUUUUUUAAUUAAAAAAAAAAAACUUUUCAUCAAAGAGAGGAGGAGGUUGCAUUUCAGAAUGAAUAGUGUCUUCUGGUGAGCUCGUAGAGAUGAAUCUUAACAUAUUACUGCAACAACCAAUCAUGAGGUUUAGCAAAGAAGGGAAUUCAACAACUAAAUCUGAAUGAAUAUGUCCCAUAUUGGCAAAACCUUUAAUUCAAUCAACUUUCCUUCAUCUCUUUCUGACCAUCCCGUGGUGUCGACUACCCCUUCCAUUGACUCACAAUAGCUUAUCUCAAGAUGUUGGAGUUGCAAAAGGCUAUUAACCAUAGAAUAUGAAAACAGAUACUUUAGACGAUAACACCUUUCCACAGUCACUUUUGUUAAAUUUUGACGAAAGUACAUUCCUUGAUUAUGAUCGGCCCAUAAUUUUUUCAUGUUUCUUAAGUCCCUGAGAUUCAAUUCCUCUAAGCUCGGAAGAAUAACCUGCAAAGAAAACCCGUACAUUUUUGUUCCUUCAAGUACAACCGUCUAGUAUAAUAUUCUUUUGAUGAUCAAAGAUUAAUUGUGAUAAUAAAUUAAUCAAUUAAUUAUUGAACAGAAAAUUAUCACCUUUGGAGCAGGAUCAUCAUCAGCAAUGAUUUCGUUGAAUCCCAAAGAAGUUGUUGGUUUGCUAAUUGUUGCACCAAAGAAGUAAGAUUUGAAACUUGUUUUUCUAGAGAAGUAGUACUUACCUCAUUGACUCGCUUAGGUGGCGGCAGUAGAUCGUUCCUAGUGUUGAACUGUUGGGAAUUAGCAGCCAUGUUAGCAAUGAGAUUUCGGGCUGCUUCUGGUGUCUUAUCCACGAGUGCUCCUCCACUAGCGGCAUCAAUCAUACUCCUAUCCAUAGGUAGUAGAACCUCAUAAAAGUAUUGAAUAAGAAGUUGAUCACUUAUCUGAUGGUGAGGGCAACUAGCACAUAGCUUUUUGAAUCGUUCCCAAUAGUCGUAGAGCGACUCUCCAUUAUACUGUCGGAUUCCACAAAUUUCUUUUCGAAUGCUGCCAGCUUUUGAUGCUGGGAAAUAUUUCUCCAAAAAUAGCUGACGCAUCUCAUUCCAUGUAGUGACAGUACCGGAGGGAAGAUAGUACAACCAUUCCUUGGCUGAAUCCGCCAAAGAGAAUGGGAAGGCCAUUAGCUUAACUUGCUCUUCAGAAACUCCGGCUGGUUUCAUUGUGGAGCAGACCACAUGGAACUCCUUCAAGUGGUUAUUUGGAUCCUCUCCUGCAAGACCAUGAAAAGUAGGAAGAAGAUGAAUCAUCCCAGAUUUGAGUUCAAAGUUUACUUGAGGGUUUGGAUUCUCAAUGCAUAAGGGUUGUUGGUCCAAGUUAGGAGCUGCCAACUCUUUAAGUGUUCGGUUGUUAUUCUGAGCCAUUGGUUGGGGUUCUGGGCUGCUUGGNNNNNNNNNNNNNNNNNNNNNNNNNNNNNNNNNNNNNNNNNNNNNNNNNNNNNNNNNNNNNNNNNNNNNNNNNNNNNNNNNNNNNNNNNNNNNNNNNNNNNNNNNNNNNNNNNNNNNNNNNNNNNNNNNNNNNNNNNNNNNNNNNNNNNNNNNNNNNNNNNNNNNNNNNNNNNNNNNNNNNNNNNNNNNNNNNNNNNNNNNNNNNNNNNNNNNNNNNNNNNNNNNNNNNNNNNNNNNNNNNNNNNNNNNNNNNNNNNNNNNNNNNNNNNNNNNNNNNNNNNNNNNNNNNNNNNNNNNNNNNNNNNNNNNNNNNNNNNNNNNNNNNNNNNNNNNNNNNNNNNNNNNNNNNNNNNNNNNNNNNNNNNNNNNNNNNNNNNNNNNNNNNNNNNNNNNNNNNNNNNNNNNNNNNNNNNNNNNNNNGCUAGUCCCCGGCAACGGCGCCAAAAAUUUGGUAGUGUCGUUAAGGUGCACCAAAUUUAAAACCUUACCACUAAUAUAAAUAAUUAGUACAGAGCGAGUAAGGAUCGAUCCCAUAGAGACUAUGCUAGUUAUAUUUAUUAUUAACUCCAAAGCAAGAUUUAAAAUAAAAUAAUAGUAAUAGUAAUAAUAAUAUAAAUUAAUCUAACUAAAGAAAAUGCCAAUUAAAAAUAAAAGGGGGGUUUAUGAAUUUUUAACUAAAUAGUAAGAAAUAAAGAAAUUAAAAUUACGAACAAGAAUUUAAUAAAAACUCUAAUUAAAGGAGAAAGAAAUAAUAAUGAUGAAAACUUUGGUUAAAGGAUCAUUCGCCACCACCAAACAUGCACAUAAUAAAUCAAUUCUAUUAUCAAUUUAUAUUGAAACUAUCAACCAUAGACAACAAUAAGCUCUGUUAGUCUCAAUCUUUCCUUAGUGUGUCGUUAGGUAAAAUAAGCUCUUCACCUAAUCUAUAACCAUUAAAUAAUUUAAAACAAGCUCUUUAAAUUUAAGAUAAUGGAAGCAUUAAACAAAGAAAGAAAUUAGGUUGAUCUAGGCAAUAAACACACAAGCUCAGAUUAUUUAACCUAGGUUAUGUUCUCCAAUUGAAAUCAUUAAUUCCAACCUGCUACUAAUGAUUAAAAUAUCAAGACAAUUACGGAUCAAGAAUUUUAAUCUAGCAAUAAAAUUUAUUCAAGUCCUAUCUAAUUGGCCACUCAAACAAAACAAGAAUAAACCAUGAACAUUAAUUAUAGAAGAACAUAAACAAUCUCAAUUAAAUAAAUUGAAUGAUAGAAUUUAAAUUUAAUUGCAUAGCAUGUUUAGGGUUUUGAAUUCACCCUCAACCAAAUAAAAAUCUAGCCUAACAUAAUUGAAUUGGGAAUAAGAGAAUUGACAAAACCAAUCAUAGAGAUUAAUUCAAGCGGCUGCCUUUUUCUUCAAUUGAAUUCCGGCUGCUGAUUUUUUCUUCUUCUUGCGGCUAUUGAUUUUCCUCUUGCUGCCGAAUUGGAUUUGCCCUCCCAAAGUCUCUUGCUGCCCGAAUUCUUUUCCCUCUAUUGCUUCCGCUUGAUCCUAUUUAUAAUGCUUCAAUUGUGGCUUUUUUUAAAUCCUUGCCUGGAAAGAAUUAAAUUCAAAGCUCAAAACCGCCACCUCAUGCUUCAAUUAAUAAGCCAAUAAUGAUUUCCUAAAGCCAAAAGGCUUUAUUCUCUUUCCUUUCACGUGGCAACUUUUGGUUUGCAUCUUUGUUUUCCAAUUUUGCUUUCAUGUGAUGGCUUGGCUUGUUAAUUGGCUUGGCUUCCUUUUUGACUUCCAUUUUCUAAUUUUAGCUCCAUGUGCAACAUUAAUUUUGCUCGGCCCAUACAAGCUUUAAUUAAAUUUAUUUUCUAAUUCCUUCCAAUUCUUGAUCUCUUGUGCACUUUUGUCUCUCAAUCUUCAAUCAAAUUUUUUUUCUUGAAUGCUCCGAUUUAAUUUCUCUUUAAUUCCAGAAUAUACCUAAAAUAACAAAAUAAAUAAAACUAAGAUAAAAAUUAACAAAAUAAAAUAUAAUUUACUAAAUUAAAAAUUAACUAAAAUAACUAGAAUAUUUAAGACCAAAACAAGAAAAAGAUAGAGAAAUUAAUAGCAAAAUAUAUGAAAAAUAUGCACUUAUCACAAGCCUCUCAUUUUUCAAAGCUUUUGCAAGGGUAAUAAGUGCAACAGGCAAUCCUCCGCAUUUUUCAACGAUCUCAUCUGCUAAAGGUUGAAAAGCAGAUGCUUUUGCAGAAUUACACACUAUCUUUCCAAACAAUUGCAAUGCUUCUUCCUUUGAUAAAACUUCAAUUGAGAAAUCCUUCUGAGAUUUCAUAUCAUUGCGCAAUAAAUCUCGACUUCUAGACGUCAAUAUUAUUGUGCGUCUUCUCCGAUCGUCCUCUCUAUCUUUCUCAUCAACAUCCCCAUAAGGAAUUCCAACUGUAUCGAACUCAAGUUUUGUCCAAAUAUUAUCCAGUAUAAUGAGGAGCCGCUUCUCUUGCUUCAACCUUUGACACAGUCGAGAAGCUCUUUGAAAUUCAUUCUCAUUCAAGUCAAAUUCCAUGCCUAAAUCAAAAGCAAGUUUGUCUUGAAUUUUAUGAUGAUCUGGGGUCUGUGUUAUCUCAGCCAUAACGAACUUAUCGAACAACUUAUCUUCCAUCACUUGGUUUGCAACUUGUUUGACCAGCGUGGUUUUGCCCACGCCGCCCAUCCCAUAGACCCCAAUUAUGUUGACCUUGUCAUCCUUCACCGCCUCCAUAACAUCUUGAAAUACUUUCAUUCUUGAAUCAAACGCCUCGAAAUCUUUCACUUGCAUAUGUUCUGCCCGCUUUGGAGCAGGACUGUAGGAAACAUUGGAGAAGUUGCCUUUUCCCACGAGACUAGCGGCAGCUUCUGCCGCCUUUGCUGCUUGUUUACUAAGCUUGUAACGAGAAAUCAAGUUUGGGCAUAAUCCUUUGAAGCAGGACUUCUUAGCUCUAUCUUCAUCAUCAAUGAUGGAUUUUGCAACCCCUUCACUGAUGAAUUCAUCAACGCUAUGUAGCCAGUCUGUGACACCCUCAUAAAGCUCAUCCCCUUGUAGCCUAGCAUGAUUAACUGGUUGCUGCACCAUUUCUCUCUUAUAUCCCAGCUGCUUCACUUGAUCUUUUAGCUCAUCUAUGUAGCUCUGGUACUUGAACACAUAAGAUAUCUGCCGUGUAAUCGGGUUGAACAGUGACUUUGCACCUUCUGAUACACAGUUGGUUAAAAAAGCCAGACACGCUUCUAUAGCCAUUGCCGGUUGCUUAACAAUAUAUAUCUAGUUUUUGGCUGUUGAAAAAAAAAAUGGAUUCAAAUAAAUUAAAUGAACUAGCGGGGAAGAAAAAGAAAGAAACGACAACAAACAACUUUUUAGAAAAAGGUUUCAGGGGCCUGAAUGGAAAACCAACAAUUUUUUGAAGAAAGAAAACUUUUUUGGAAGAUGGAUGCAAAUUAACCAUUAAUAAUACUGCAUAAGAACACAGAAGUUAACAAUAAACAGUAACUUAAAACUCAAGAAAAUUAAAUGACAAGAUUAAGACAAACAAGAGAUAGUUUUUGUUGGACAUUAAGAAACAUCUGCUAUCAAGAUCAAAGAUUAGAAAUUAUGCUAUUGAAAGAAAUUAUUAAAGUAUUUAGAACAAACGCACCUCUUCAAUUAUCGAGGAUCACAGAGUUUAUGAGCUUCACUCUUGGCCUUCGAUUUAUAAGAAAAAUUUUAAUGAGCAAAAGAUCACUGUUAACUGCAGAAGAAUGUGAGUAAAGAGUUUAUGGGAGUAAGCAAUACAAUUGAAUUGUAAAAGAACAAGACUUAAAGCGUGCACCCCGUGUUCAUAUAAACAGAACACAUGUUCAUUUUUAACAAAGUGAUCAAUAACUCUAUUCGUUAUUUAAUUGAUAUUGUAACCAAUUCUAAGAGAAUAUAAUAAUAAUCAUUCAAUCCAUAAAUUUAGAAUUAGAUUUUUUUAACUCUUUAUUUAAAUAUAAACCUUAAUGGAAAAUUAUAAAAGUUUAGAGAUAAAAUUUUUCAAUCACCAAACGAAAAAAACAGGGGAAUGAAAACAGAGGAAUCUUGUUUUAACUAUUUUUUUCCUCAACUCUCGUUCUUAUAUUAAUAAUCUUGUUUUGAUGAUAGUGCUCGUGACUGCGGGAAAAUUUCUACUGGAAACAACUCAAUUUCGGAAGAAAACUUAAUUUUGCAAGUGAUGAAUUUGAACUCGUUGGAUUGGUUGAUUUAUGAUUGACUGAAUUUCACUUUUGCCCAAAAGAUCUUUAACCAAAGUUUAAUAGCCAUCAUGUACUCCUUAAAAGCAAUUUUUUUUUUUAGAUUUGACUGAAUUUGAACUUGUUGGAUUGGUUGUUUUUAGAUUAUUAAUAUGAGAUAUUACAACGUAAAUAUUUUCAUGUGGUUGAGCCCUAUUCUAAAAUCUGUAUAGUUAGCUUUAGAAAAAGGGCUUUUCCUGCUGAUCUGUAAUCUUCAAAUAAACUUAGAUACAAAUAAUGAAAUAAAAGACAACAAACAAGCAAUACUGAUACAAAGCCAACAGAUCAGAGUUUUUUCUUGCCUUCUUUUGUUGAAGGAUUAGAGUUUUUGGUAUUAUCAGUAAAGGUUUCAAGGAGUAAAGCCUAUAAACUUUUUUUUUGGGGGGGGCGCCGCCGCGGGGAGGGGGGGGGGGGGGAGAGCAUGCAAAUUAACCAAAAGAAAUAAUAAGAGCACAGGCUUUAACAAUGAAUACUGACUUAAAACUCAUGCAAAAUAAGUUACAAUAUUAAAACAAACCAGAGAAAAUUUUUUCUUGGAAAGUAGAUGGAACUUAUGAAAGAGCAGAUGUCAAGGAUUUAGAAAACGCGCACCUCUUUAAUUAUCUGGGAUUAGAGAGUUGGUGAGCUUCUCUAUUUAAGAACAAGUUGAAAGAGGAAAAAGAUCACUGGUAACUGCUGAGGAAUGUGUGAGAAAAGAGUUGAUGAGAGCAAUAACAAAGACCUGCAAAAGAAAAAGAAUUAGUCAUGCACCGCUUUUCUAUAUCAUGUAUUUGGUUAUUGUUGCCCUGUUGACGCAUGUUGAAGAAGAAAGCACUAGUUCACAACUCUACGUUUUCAUAUAUUCUAAAGAAAUAAUUAAGUUUUCAUAGAAUGAUACCUGUUGUGUUUGAGUAAUUUUGGUAUAUACAUUGCUUGUGUACUGUGAAAUUGAAAUGAAUAUUGAUGGAAUGACUGAAUUUCACUUUUGCCCAAAAGAUCUUUAACCAAAGUUUAAUAGCUAUCAUGUACUCCUUAAAAGCAAUUUUUUUUUUUAGAUUUGACUGAAUUUGAACUUGUUGGAUUGGUUGUUUUUAGAUUAUUAAUAUGAGAUAUUACAACGUAAAUAUUUUCAUGUGGUUGAGCCCUAUUCUAAAAUCUGUAUAGUUAGCUUUAGAAAAAGGGCUUUUCCUGCUGAUCUGUAAUCUUCAAAUAAACUUAGAUACAAAUAAUGAAAUAAAAGACAACAAACAAGCAAUACUGAUGCAAAGCCAACAGAUCAGAGUUUUUGGUACAAAGCCAAUAAAAGACAAUAAACUUAGGACCUUUUUUUCUUGCUUUCUUUUGUUGCAGGAUUAGAGUUUUUGGUAUUAUCAGUAAAGGUUUCAAGGGUCUGAGUAAAAGCCUAUAAUCUUUUUAUAAACUUUUUUUUUUGGGGGGGGGGGGGGGGGGGGAGCAUGCAAAUUAACCAAAAGAAAUAAUAAGAGCACAGGCUUUAACAAUGAAUAGUAACUUAAAACUCAUGCAAAAUAAGUUACAAUAUUAAAACAAACCAGAGAAAAUUUUUUCUUGGAAAGUAGAUGGAACUUAAGAAAGAGCAGAUGUCAAGAUCAAGGAUCAGGGAUUCUACUAUCAAAAAAAAAAAAAUUAUUCAAGGAUUUAGAAAUCGUGCACCUCUUUAAUUAUCUGGGAUUAGAGAGUUGGUGAGCUUCUCUAUUUGGCCUUCAAUAUUUAAGAACAAGUUGAAAGAGGAAAAAGAUCACAGGUAACUGCUGAGGAAUGUGUGAGAAAAGAGUUGAUGAGAGCAAUAACAAAGACCUGCAAAAGAAAAAGAAUUAGUCAUGCACCGCUUUUCUAUAUCAUGUAUUUGGUUAUUGUUGCCCUGUUGACGCAUGUUGAAGAAGAAAGCACUAGUUCACAACUCUACGUUUUCAUAUAUUCUAAAGAAAUAAUUAAGUUUUCAUAGAAUAAUUUUGGUAUAUACAUUGCUUGUGUACUGUGAAAUUGAAAUGAAUAUUGAUGGACAGAGCAAUGCAUAUGCCUAAAAAAACAUAAAGCAAAUCCUUGAACGAAUGAUUCAGGACUAAAACUUUUAUAAAAGCAAAUACCGGAAACACACAAAAAGCAUUUAAGAGAGAAACUAAACCGCAAAUAAUCGAAGUAAGAUCAAUAAUAUAUGAUUUGAUUUAUGCAUAUUCAAAAACCAAAAUAUAAAAUAAAAUACAAAAUUAAAGUUUGGUUUAUUCUUUCCACAAAAAACAGGGGAAUGAAAACAGAGGCAACUUGUUUUACCAAUUUUUUCUUCUUAAUUUCCGGCAAAAAAAAUCAAUAAACAGGGGAAUGAAAACAAAGGAACGAAAACAGAGGAAACUUGCUUUUCAGGCUAUCUUGUGACAUGAUGAUAUUGCUCGUGAAUGCAUGAAAAUUUCUAAUGCAAACAGCUCAAUUUGGGAUGAUAAGCUUAAGUUUGCAAGUGAUGCAUGAUAAUCAGAUAUUUGUGGCUUUUAAAACUCAAGAAAACUCAAGAAAAUUAAAUGACAAGAUUAAGACAAACAAGAGAUAGUUUUUGUUGGACAUUAAGAAACAACUACUAUCAAGAUCAAAGAUUAGAAAUUAUGCUAUUGAAAGAAAUUAUUAAAGUAUUUAGAACAAACGCACCUCUUCAAUUAUCGAGGAUCACAGAGUUUAUGAGCUUCACUCUUGGCCUUCGAUUUAUAAGAAAAAUUUUAAUGAGCAAAAGAUCGCUGUUAACUGCAGAAGAAUGUGAGUAAAGAGUUUAUGGGAGUAAGCAAUACAAUUGAAUUGUAAAAGAACAAGACUUAAAGCGUGCACCCCGUGUUCAUAUAAACAGAACACAUGUUCAUUUUUAACAAAGUGAUCAAUAACUCUAUUCGUUAUUUAAUUGAUAUUGUAACCAAGAUCAAGGAUCAGGGAUUCUUAUGCCUACUGAUAUUUAAACAGAGAAUUCUUUCUUCUUUUUCUCUUCAUGGAUUAGAGUUUUUGCUAGUAACAGAAAGGUUUCAAGGGUCUGAAUAAAAUCCCAGAUUUUUUUUUAACUUUGUUUUUUGUGGGAAAAUGGAUUCAAAUUAACCAAAGCCAAUAAUAAGAUCACAGACUUUAACAAUGAACAAUAACUUAAGCAAAACCAAUGACAAGAUUAAAACAAACCACAGAAAUUUUUUCUCGGAAAGUAGAUGAAAAGCAAGUAAGAACUGCUAUUAAAGGAUAUUAUUAAAGGAUUUAGAACAUGUAUACCUCUUUAUUUAUAUGGGAUCAGAGAAUCGAUGACCUCCUCUAUUCGCUUCAGAUAUUAAGUAAGAACUGCUAUUAAAAGAAUGAAUUGAUGAGAGUAAUAACAAUGAUUGCAAAAUAGGAAGACUCAAUCAUGCACCCCUUUUAUACCUGAUCAUAUUAAGAAGUCGUUAAAGAAUAACGACUAAAUUAGGAAUUAAUUCUGAAGUUCAGAAUCAAGAACAAAGACGAAGCUUUAAUAACGCAUGCAGUGAGAUACAAGAAAUGGAUCUGGUAAAAUACAUUAAAAAAAUUUGUUCAACUUCAACCUAGUUAAGCUGAUGAAAGCACUAGUUGUUGGCUCUACGUUUCAUAUGUUCUAAUGAAAUAAUUAAGUUGAAGUUUUCAACGAAUAAAUACCUGUUUCGCUUGAAUAGCUUUGGCAUAUACAUUACUUGUGUCCUGUGAAAUUGAAAAGGUUAUUGAUUUACAAAGCUUAUUAGUAGAGAAAAGCUACGUAAGAUGCCUGAUAAAAGAUAAAGCAAGAGCUUGAAUGAAGAAUGACAUUUUAGAAAGAAACUAAAGUGUAAUCAUCAAAGUAGGAUCAAUAAUGUACCACUUUCCUUGCAAAUCUGGUGGGUUUUCUGAAUAGAUUUUUACAUUAUUCUAUUUAACCAUUUUGGGUUUACCCUAAGCAUUCUUGGUUGGCAUUGUCCUGUAAUCUGCGUGCCCUGGAUACGUGUGAGGGAAAGAUGAGGGUAGAUAUGCAAUUUCAAGAAGCGAUUUGCUUGCAUAAUUCAAUGCAUGGAAAGAGAUGUACCUGACCAGAAAAAAAAGGGCACCAUCCAUAUCUGAGCUUGACUUUUUAGAUGGAUAAAUAUUCUUAUUACUGUUGAUAAUGGAGAAGGGUUCUACUUUUACUUUGCCAUCUUUGAUAUAAAACAGCAUGAUUCCUUUUUAUCAAACACUUGCCUAAGUCUAUUUUUUAUUUUUCUUAUUUUCAGAAAGAGAUUAGCUUAAUUUAAAUUAUAUUCAAGUACAAAGUGUUAUACACUCAUAAAACGAGAAAUAGGCAUGUAUUGAUCACGCGCAAUCUAGUUUUUUUUUUUUUUCUUUUUUUUUAAUCCAGUCUUCUUAUUAAAAAAAAAAGAAUUUAUUUGCUUUAUUUUAAAUUAUUUUUUCAUGCGGUAAAUGCAAUACUGAGUAAUGGGUGAGCAAAAUAUUUACAGGCACACCCCCUUUUAAUGAUUUCGUACUAAAAUUAAAAAUUGACGAUUCCAUGAUAAAGUUCAAAGAGUAAAUGAAGACCCAUAAAUGUUUUUUGGUCAUGAGCAAUUUUUGAGUUGGGACAGCACUCGUAUGAAAAAAAAUAGUUUUUUUUUUUCUUUAAGCAUGAGGAUAUUAAUUCUUUUUUUAUAAAUCAGCGUGAAUAUAAAAUUAAAAAAAUAGUUUUGAAUAACUUCUUUUCUUUUUUCAUAAAUAUAGAUAAAAAAUUUUAAAGUCACCAAACACAAAACCAGGAAAAUGGAAAGGAAGCCCCUGUUUCUCCGCUGCUGCAAGCACAAAUUCGGUUUCUACAGGAGUACCUUCUAAAUGCACCAUUUGUAUUGCUUUGUUUCCACGUAAGCUAACGGAAUUUGAUGAAGACAAAAUAGAUAUGAGUCGUGCUAUUCACACCCCUCGAUAAUUCUCUCAAAAUCCCCUUUCUAAUUAUACCGCCUUGAAUAAUUUCAAAACUGACUUUUCCUCUUAUAAUACCACCUUCAAUUCCCUUAAUACCCUUGUUCGCUAUGAAAAUAAGGAAAAUGCCUACAUAAAAAGCUGGCUCUGAUAAUCUACCUGAAUUUACAUUAGAAAAGAGUGGACUUUGAGAAAUAAGAAGACAAUAUAGGGAAUUUUACCAAAAUAAUCCAUUUUUAUAUACAGGGAAUGGUAUUUUCUAAUAUAAGGAGGAGUGGAGAAAUUAAAUUUAGCAAAAUAAAGAACCUCCAUCGAGAAGCAAAAAUGAUGAUAUCUUUGUCGUGAAGAGAUUUCAAUUCAAUUGCAUACAUUGACGAAACAUUAAAUACGGAAAAAACAAAAAAGAAAUAAUAGAACAUGGGGAUUUCGAGAACUUCUAAAGAGAGAAAUGUAUUUAUAAGCAUUGAAAAUUAGCUCAUUAAAUUUGACAGAAUAAUAUACAAUCUCACUGUUGGCCAGAAAAUAAUAGUAAGAACUUGUGAACAUAUAUAAUCAAUUGCUUAUUACUUAAGCUUUUUCUCCGUUAUUUUGAAUGGGUGCAAAGAGGAGAAGUUUUGUACCCAAAUUCCAACUCGAAUUGUGUAGGCUGCUUGCAAGAGCUUCAUUAGAUUUUUAUUUGUCUUUUAAUAGUGCUACUCGAUAAAUACAGCUAGCUAUCUGUCCUUUUUGUUACUGGACUAUAGAUCAAUUGACAGUUGAAGUUAUAUUAAUUUGUUGUACUGGAAUUGAAGCUUGUAUCUUAGCCAUUUCGUGAAGUGUCAAAUAUAUUUUUAAUUUCCUUAAAAUUGUUCAAAAUAUGUUUACACUUUUAAAGUCACUAUUAUACAUGAGUGCCCUAAAAUCAUUUCCUUAAAAUUGUUCAAGUGGGAUCCUAGUUCUCUAUGGCAGUUGAAGAGGUAAAUGCGCAUAGAGCUAUGCUCUAUCAUAGGCCUCGGCCACUAUAAGAAAUUUGAUUUUUUAAGACGAUAUUUUUUACAACAACUUUAAAUUUGGUCACAAAAUGGUAUUUAUUGUGACAAAUUUUUUAAAUCGUAGCUAAUAAUCUUGUCCUAACUUAUAUUUUUUUUUGUAACCAAUUAUUUUUAUUUUGAGACUUGUUCAUUGGUCAUUAAUUAAAUUUUUUUAUACCAAAAAUUAUUUUAGUCACCAAAAGAUAUAUUUUUUUGGCGCAAAAUCUUCCCUCCAAAAGUGAUUAUUUUGAGACAAUAUUUCACUAUUUAUGACAAAAUAAAUAGUCAUGAAAUAUAAUUAUAGGCGACCAAAUUAUUUGGUAACUAAAAGAGGGGUGUAAAAUUAACUAAACAAUCUAUGACACAAAAUAUUAGUAGCCAAAAUUAUUGUUCUUUUGGCAUAUUUUAAGACCAUUUUUUUGGUCAUAUAUAAUUACCUACAGUGACAAAAUUAAAAAAUAGUCGUUGAAUGUUUUAUCUUGAAUAAUUUUAUAUUUGAUAACCAAUUUUUUUUUCUUUUUGAGACAUAUUACUUGGUCCCUAUUUCAACUUCUUUUUGACUAACUUUAUAAUAGUCACAAAAGACAUUUUUUUUUUUUUUGGCAUAAAAAGUCUGUCCAAAGUUAGCUCUUUUGGGACAAUAUAUAAUCUUUUAUGACAAAAUAUAUAGUGGCGAAAUAUAAUUAUUUUUUACAAAGUUAUUUCGUAGCUGAAAAAGAGGUGUAAAUUUAGUUAACCUAUUUGUGACAUAAAAUAUUAGUCUCCAAAACUAUUAUGCUUUUAGCCAAUUUUAAGACCCGAUUUUGUUGUCAUGGAUAAUUACCUAUUUUCAAAAAACUAAGAGAUAGUAAUCAAAAGUUUGUCUUGAUUGACAUUGUAUUUUAUGAGCAAAAUAUUUUGUUUCAGUGACACUUUACUUGGUCUCUGAUUAGACUUGUUUGUGAUGAUCAAUAGAAAUAUAUAAUAACCACUAAAUUUUUUUGGAUUAAAUUUUAUAGAUACUAUUAAUUAAGUUGUUGACGAAAAUGAUCGAACCAAUACUAAUAUGGGAUACCAUCAACAGCCGUAAUACUUAUGAACCGAGAAAUUAUAAUAUGUAGUGAAAAAGUUUUAACAGUAGUCCCUAGUAUUUAGAAUUAUUUUGACUACUUUAUUUAUUUCCAAAACAUAAAAUUCUCAACCCAAAAUUCCCCGCAUUGUGUUUUAUUUUGUCUCCUCACUCAGUUACUCUUAUUAACUCACGGCUUGACAAAAAAAAGAAAAAAAUUCUCACAGCUUGAUGUUCUCCUCUCUUUAAAAAUAAAAAUCCCCAGUUACUCUGCUCAAACUCGUUAAUAUUUGUUUCCACCACCAAAGCAGCCACUCGUAUCUUUUAUUAAGCAUAACGUUUUUCUUAAAACCUAAUUGAUCAUUCUUUAACGUCUCCAGGAUUAUAUUUGGCACGCUAUUUUUCUCCUUCAAUUGAAUAGAAGUCUAGAACCUUUUUUUUUUCGCAAUUCACUUUUGCUGUGUUUCGUGGUUUGGACUAAGAUCAUGACAAUUAUUGAACGAUGGGGAUAAAUAUCAAAGAAGGAGCUUACAUGCCCUAUAUAUCUCUCUUUGGAUGAAUAACGAAUGUGAGCUUUCAAAGUACAGAGAUUUACAUGUUUUAAUUGUCAUUUACAUUGCUGCAUGCCAAUUGCUUGAUAAAAUACUGCAACAAAUACGCAUUCUCGAUUUUCUUAUAAAUUUAUUUUCUUAAUCUGAAAAAAAUUGAAUGUUCAGAGAAUUUUGAAGGUUUUGGUGUAUGCAUUAAUAUUUCGAUUCUAUUUAUGUUGUUUAACUAAUGAAGAUGAUACAUCUAGCCUCUUUUUGCCCCUUGUUGUUUUUAUUCUUGUGCUUUAUAUACGGUUCAAGUGUGAUACACUUUAGUUUUUCUCAAGUGUUUGUUAGUAUUUCCCGAAGCAAAAUUUGUCACAGACUUUGAGUUCAAAAGUUGAAAUCAUAACUAACAUACUUCGAUUUUUUAUUUUCCUUUUUUCUUCGGUAUCCUUCUAUAUGGCAUUGGUUGAGAAAUUGGUGUACUUAGAUCGUAAUAUUCUGUAGAAAUAAGCCAAUAUUUCAUUACGUACAUUGUUUAAUAUGAUGAGUAUUGUAUAGAAGUUUUACAUAUAAGCUCCUUAUAUAUUAUGCAUUAUGUUUUUAUCAUAUUGUUGCUUGGAACUUUGAAGGAUUGGCCACAGGGCUUUAGUCCUACAUGGACAUUUUAUAUUUAAUAGCUGGUUAGGCAUUUUAUUUGAUGUUAUUUGGACUUGUAGGUGUUAAAAGUUUUGUUCAGUAAUUUUAUAAUUCAGAUUCCCAUUGUGAUAAGAUAGCAAUUUUUUGUGUGUCAGAUUCUGUCAACUGAUAUUUAGCUAAAAUAUCUCACUAACCCCUAUUGGUUAGGUAUUAUUUUAAAUCACAUACUUGAUUUUUAUUUUCUUUUUAUCUGUGGAAUCCCAUGUAUCAUUCAUAAGAAACAAGCUAUUAUAUAAUCUAUUCUUUAGAUCCAUUUAUAUGUAGUGAGCACUCUGAUUUCUAUUAUUUGAAUUUUUUGCUACUGUUACUACUCUUUCGGCCCUUCAAAUAGGGGUUAACAGAAAUGGUGAGUAUAUUAAUACAAAUUCAAACUUUCUUUUUCUAAUUUUAUCCAAAAUAACCUACUAUUUUAUUUUAAUUUCAAACUUUUGUCAUAGUCUAAUGGGCAGUUGUCUUGUCAUUAUUUGGUUUCAAGUAAGAAGAGAGAAAGUUAGUGAGAGGAUGAAAAUUUUGCAAAAACUUGUUCAUAGCUAUGGUAAUUAAGUAGUUUGAGUUCUUUUUUUUGUUGUUUUCUAUGUUGGUUUUGGAUCAUUGUAGUUGCUGAUUGUGAUUUAUUGUCGCCUAUGGUUGCUGACUUUUGUUUACUGUGGCUACUUUAUUAAAGCAAUUUUGGAUAUUGAAGUUUAUGGCCAACUUUUAUUAGACACUUCUGACCUUUAUCGAUAUAUUUUCUGAACCUUUACACUUAAGAUGUGUGUGUGUGUUUUUAAAAAAUACAUGUGAAUGAAAUAGUACUUGAAAUAAUAUAUUUUCUCAACUUUUAUUAGAUAUAGUGAAAUAGUACUUGAAAUAAUAUAUUUUCUCAACUUUUAUUAGAUAAUUCAAAGUAUAUCCCACUUAUUAUCGAUAUAUUUGCUCAAGUCUCAUGUGCAACAUGUGAAUGAAAUAGUACUUGAAAUAAUAGAGACUUUGUUUUAUGACUCAUAUUUUUACAUUUCUUUGCAAGGAACCAUACUUAAUUGUACCUAAUAGAAGAGAUAUCUUUUCACUAUAUAGUCUUAGUAUAAAAAGAUACAUCUUCUAUAUAAGGCACAAUUGAUGGGACAUAUCUUUAUACUAAGACAUCAUUCAUAUUUAUCACACAAUAAUAGAAACUGCAAUGGUAGGUGGAAUAUUAUGAAGUCAAAAUUGAGAACGACAUUAAAUCAUGAAUUCUUUAUGUGUUUACUCGAAUGCCUGACAGUAUUUAGUUCAAUUAACACAGAUUGGAAAUCCAAAUGAUUGAAGAGUUGUAUGAGUUCAAGUUCAGUAUUUAAUUACUAUAUAAUUAUACAUAAAUGUGGAUUUUGCAAGCUUGAACCCAUGUGUGUUAGCCCAUUUCGGCCCAAUAAACAUAUUGUUCUGGAUAAAAAAUAUCAGGGGAUCUCUGAUGUUUCUUUGGUUUAACAUAAAUUUAUUCCUAACUCUAUAACCAUGCAUUAUUUAGACAAAAAUUUUUGCAAUCACCAAACAGUAAAACAGAGAAAUAAAAACGGAGGAGCUCUUUUCUAAAACAGAAGUAGGUGUUUUGUCUGAACGUACCACUUUCUGUUUAAUUAUUAUGUUUACGGAAUAGAUUUUUUUUUAUUAUUCUGUUUUAUGUUUCCGUCUUUACCCUAAGCAUUCUUGGUUGGCAUCGCUGCAUUGUCCUGUAAUCUGUGUGCCUUGGUGAGGAGGGGAAUGGAUAACUGUGGUGCUGGAUACGUGAGAGACAAUGAUGAGGGUAGAUUUGUAAUUGCCAGAAGCGAUUUGCUUGCAAUAAUUCAAUGCAUGGAAAGAGAUGCCUCUAACAAAAAAUGGGACUAUCCAUAUCUGAGCAUUAGAGCUCUACGUCUUAGAUAAAUAAAUAUACUUAUUAGUAUUGUUUUUGCAUAUAUCUUUCACAAAAUUAUUGUAUUCGCUUAUAUAGAGAGGACGAUUUAGAUAAGUUUCAACUAAAAAUUGACAAUUCCAUGAUAAAGUUAAAAAUCACCGAAUAAAAAACUGGAAAAUCCCCUGUUUCUCCUCUGCUUUCUUUUGAUUAUUAUUAAAAAGGGGAAUUAAAAAAUGAGUUGCAAGCACAAAUUUUAUUUCUACAGUAGUACCUUCUAAAUGCACCAUUGUUUGAUACAUUAAAAUUAAACAUUACUUAUGCUAGUAUAUCGGUACUUCACAUGUCCGUUCUUCAUUAAUGUAUAUUCAUUUACACCCAAGCUACCUGUCAGUUUUGCGAAAACUGAAUUUAAAGGUGUGGCUUAAAUUAAAAUAAUAAUCAGCCUCAUAGAAUACAGAGAAAAAAGAUAAUUUAUCACAAUCAUAUCCUAAUGCAUCAUAAAUUUAGAUUAUUUAAUUACUGUUAGGAAAUCUGCUUAGAUAAGGCGCACACUACAAAUUCUAAAUUAAAUUCCUAAUUAACAAUAAAAGAUAGACCCUAUUAAUCGUCCACCAGGUACCUUGUAGCCUGCAUCAUAAGUUUAGAUUUAAAUUUUUGCAAUUACCAAACGGAGAAACAGGGGAAUGAAAACAAAGGAGCCCUAUUUUUUCCAUUUUUGUCCCCCUUAACUCUUGUCCUUAUACAAAUAUUUUUCCUUGGAAUUUCAGGCAUACGAAAAAAUAUUGAAAAUUAUUUAAAGCAAACAGGUGGAUGAUAACAAAAAUAUAUUUAAUUAACCAAAUCAAGACACUAUAUUGGUCGUCAAUGUUUCGGCAUCACUGUCUUCUUCAGAUGUUACUUGUUUUUCACAUUUAUUUUGCGCUGUUGUGGAUUAAUAUGGUUCUGCUGGGUGCACAUUUUUACGUGCUACUGUAUUUUCUCUCAGUCCUUUUUAAAAGAACAUACACCCACAUACUAUGUAGAGUGACCUUUUUUAAUGAGGAAUCUGUCAUUUUAAUAAAAUGAAGAAUAAACUAAAAGGUAGAAGUACACGAACUCUAAUGCAAUAUACCUUUUCUUUUCUUUUACCUUUACUAUAAGAUAGGGAAUGAUAUAAUUGAUAAUGGAACUUGGGGUCAGAGCAGCGGUGUAAUUUUGAGAGGAUUUACAAGAUGGUAAGUGCAAUAAUUAACAGGCUCAUUUAAUAUAUCAAACUGCUAGAUAAUUGUACUAGUUAAACAUAAUUUUCAGAGAAUCUUUUUAAGGGUUUAUUUAUUAAUAUUUUGUUUCUUUCCAGCAUGAACACUUUGUUUUGACACGUGCUUAACAACCUUCAACGAACUGGAACAACCUUCAUCACAUGCUUCCUCACGUGAUUACUUAAAUUGAUAUGUAAAACGUGCUCCAUCCAUGUCGUUUCCACUAAAUCGUUUUUUGUUAAGAAUCAGCUGAGCAGCACGUGAGCUAAUGAAGCUUUUACGGCUUCAAAACGCAGCCGUUUCUGGGAACCAAACUUGAUUCAUCAUCUCACAACUACAGAUGAAUUAUCGAAGUGGCUGAUUGGUGCUGUACGUGUUUUUCGUAUUGAACUCAACUCUGCUAUAAUACAUGCGUGCAUCUGAUACAUGCACAAAAACCACCACUCCCACUCCCACUCCCACUCCCACGCCCUCGCGUCACGCGCCUUACCACUCCCUCGCCUCACCUCACCUCUCUUCUUGUUCCACGGCCAUCAACGGCGGCACGAGUCGGCAACGAUCAACUGCGGCUGUAAAUUGACCACAAUCAUCUCUCUCUCUCGGCUUUGCUCAAAUUUGGCCGAUCUAUGCGCUUGCUUAAGCUUGGCCGAUCUAUGCUUGCUCAAUUACUCUUCCUAUAUUCAGUCGGAGUCAACUGUUUGACAAGAGUCGAAGUCCAAGGUUCUUUUUUACAGGAUUUGAGCUACUUCUUUUAUUCUUCUUCCAUGUUCACUGAUACGAAGCUUUGAUGUGGUGUUCUGAGAGCGGGUGGAAUUUGAGAUUCUCCUUUCUUCUCUAUAUGAAGGUGCUUGUCAUGUGUCAAGAAAAAUAAAAUUAUUUACAAAAGAUUAUUUUAAGGAGAUUUAUUAUUAUUCGUGGAUCGGGAAGCUCAAAAAAUUUUCUUAUGUAGACUCAAAUCAUUUCUAUAGGGCGAAGCAUAUGAAUGAUACAUAUUAUCUUUUUUUGGCCUUAUGUAUUGUUAUUUGCAGUGUGAUUUGGUCUAGCUUAAGAGCUUAAGCUUGCAGGCUGGAUUUGUCUGACAUGGAACAAUUUAAUUUGUUCAUCGUGAUGUUUAUAUCCAUUUUGUACUACUAUCAAUUUCAAUCAUGGCUAAUUUUUAUAUGUAUUUCUCGUGGACUCUCAGGUUCAGUGCACAAGAGGAUGAAGACGAUGGACACCCAAAUUUGAUGUGGAGAACAACUAUUGCAAAUGGUCCUUGAUUUACUUCUCCAAUUGACUUGAAUUGGUUUGACGCAAUUUAUAGUGUAUUUUUGUCAUCUUUGUAUGACUGGCAGGUCGUCCUGAUUUGGUACAUGACUGGACACAGGAAUUGGACUCAUAUUUUUCAAACCAGAAUGCCAACAAUCAAGCAUUUUCUUUUGAAAGCACUGGCGUCUUCUUCAGUGCCAAAAAGGUUAGAGAUUUUCUGUAUCCUGUUUUGUAUUUGAUCAGUUUAGCAUGUGGGUGGCAAUCAAGAAAAGUUAUUAUAACAUUUUUGUGUUCCCGAAAAACUGCUGCUGAUGUGUAGUGCAGGAAAUGAAUUGUUUGUGACUUCUUUUUAUUUGUAUUCUUUCUUUUUUCUUUUCUCCCCAACAGAAUUACGUAUUUCUGAAGAGCUUCUUGAAGUUGAUUACCAUGUAUGCCACUUUCUUUACUCUAUGCUCAGGAUGUGAUUUUGUUUAGGUCAGAACCAUCAUCUAAAGUUUACUUAAUGCUGCCGAGAAGCUGUAGUAGAGCAAUGAAGGCUGUUGGUGUUAUGAAGGCCAGCUGUGAAGAAAUAUUUGAACUUGUAAUGAGCAUGGAUGGGACACGAUACGAGUAUGCUUCUUUUCUAUUUUUUAUUUUUAGUUACUUUAACAUAAUCAAGACUAUAUUGGCUGUCUGUGUAAGCUGAGUAUUAUAUUUCCUCUUGUAUGCUGUGAAAUUCACAUUGUCUCCAGUCCCGAUUCUGUAUGUGCCUUUUUGAAUAUAUUUAAUUAAUCUGCAUGGUGCUUUCUAAAGAUUAUUACAAACUUUUGUUGCUUAAGUAUAUGAAGAAUGUGGAAAUGAAAAUAGCUUUUGAAGUUUGAUGGAUUGCUUCAUUAAUAAAGAAAGACUAGGACUCAUUUUUAUAACUUUUCUCCACUUAGCUAAUGGUAUUUGAUGAAGACAAAAUAGAUGUAGCUAUCUAUAUUUUUUGUUGCUGAACUAUAGAUCAAUUGAUGGUUGAAGUUAGUUAUAUUAAUUUGUUGUACUAGAUUAAAGCUUGUAUCUUAGCCAUUUCAUGAAGUGUCAAAUACGUUCUUUCCUCUUUUUUUUUUUUUUCGAAACAUGUUACACUUUUGAAGUCACUAUUACAUAAAAGAGUGUUCUAAAACAGGAGAAGGCGUGCUGCCUGAAAUUACCUGUUUCCUAGCAAAUCUAGCUGGUUUGCGAAUUAGAUUUUAACAAGUCUCUUGGCAAGGUUUGCUAGUAAUGUGUUCAAAUUAUUCUAUUUAAUUUUACUGUCUGUACCCUAAUAAUUCUUGGUUUGCACCAUUGCAUUGUUCCAUAAUCUCUGUGCGUUGGCUUAUAAAGGCCAGCAAGGCUGAUCAUUUGUCGAAUAGUUAUUUCCAUGAAAUUCCUAUCAAUUUGACUCAGUAUUUAGAGGUCUUGAAGAGGGCAGUGUACUAGACAUGGAUUUCUACCUCUUUUGGUUGUACAAUUGUUGUAUUUCUUGGCCAUCAGAUCUUUUUUAUGUACCUUUCUCAAAGUUCUUGCCGCACGUACACCGUUUUUCAUGUUUUGUGCAGGUGGGAUUGUAGUCUUCUGUAUCGCAGCUUAGUUGAAGAGGUAGAUGGUCAUACGGCUAUUCUCUAUCAUAGGCUUCAGCUGGACUGGCUUCCAAUGUAAUAGUCUCUUGAUUCAAUCAUCUCAUUUAUGCUUUGGUCAGAAUAGAACAUUUAUUGUUCUUCUUUCCCCUUUCCUCUCUUCUGAUGUAAUAUGUGAGGAAAUUACCUAAAAUUUCUGUAUCCCAAUGUAAUUGUUGGCAUUCAGAAAUAAAAUAAAUACACCGUCUUGUUUUUCCCUCGGUUCAGUCCUAAGUUCUCUUUGGGCCUUCUGCAAGUUUUUAAACAUACUGUGACAGUAAAAAAUCUAGUGAUUGAGAUCAUUUUGAUGAAUUUAAUUUUAAUUCUUAGCUGAUACUUUUUCUGGAAUUUUUUUCUUAUGUUUCCUCAAUAUGACUUAAAUAUAGGGCUUAGUCAUGGAUCAUGCACCAGAGUGAUGGAAGCACCCCUUGUUUAUUAGGAAAAGCAGUUGAUUGUAACUAUAUCCGCGGUCCUAAGUAGUUAGAAGUAAAUGCUCUUCGAAUUCCUAUAGUACAUGGGAUGUGUUCCCUUUCAAAUAGCUUGUUCAAUACCAUUAACAUGGUUUAACAUUGUUCAUCUUUCUGUAGAUUGAUGUUGACGUGUUCUUCUAGAGUUGCUAAUGGAGUUUUGGGCCUUGUAAUUGGUGUAAUUACGGCAUUGGUGGUUGACAUGGCUUUCCUUGUGCAGGUAUGUAUGAUUGUUUUUUUCCCCCACUUCUAAAUGACACGAGGGAAGAGACAUGAUUUUGAGAUAUUGUACUGCAAUUUGCAUAUUUGCAUACUUGAAUAGUAACUCAAGAAUCAUUUUCAGAAUGGUAUAAUGCUUCGUGUAUGCAGGCAAAUACUACAGAUGAAUUACCGGAGCGGCUGAUUGGAGCUGUACGUGUUUCUUAUAUAGAACUCAAGUCUGCUAUUGUCCCAAAGUUGGAACCAGAGACAUCAUGACUCUGGUUUCAUUUCACCUCAACUGUUUUUUUUUUAAUUGAAAAAAAAAAUCAUUUGUUUUAGGUAUGCAUACAUGUAUUUUGAUCCCGUUUUCAUUGUAAUUUCUCAUUUACUUUGAAAGAAAGUCACUGGUGUUUUCGAAUAGGAAUUUUGCAUUAAAAAAUAAAGAAUACUUAAUAGGAAACUUAAUAAUUCUUUAGUUACUAUUUUUGGAAUGAGUGUAAUAGUAUUGAAGUUGGUUUCUACUCGCAAUCAAGUGAACUACUCGAUCCCCAACUGCGACCGCACUAAUUGUCAUUGUUUAAUAGCCUACUACUUUUAAAACUCAACAACUAAAAAAAUGAUUUUCUUAUGAUGCUGUGAAAACAUUUAUGGGUUCACUUAUUUCCACAAGAUCUAUAACAUGGUCUUGACUUCACGAAAUUCUUUUAACUUAAAGGGUUCUGGUCUGAGAAAGUUAAUUUGACGGAUUAAUUCCUUUUAAUAAUGGUCGAGUUAAUUUUACUAUACUCGUAAAACUAUUAUUAUUCUGAUAAUGCCACAAAUGUUAUGAUGUUUUCUUCAGCCAAUAAUCUUCUAUUAGGACUAGUUAGAAAUCAAAUGCUUAAAACACCAAUUGAAUGAAUAAUGCAGAAGUUUAAACAGUAUCUAAUUGAAAAUUACAUGAAGCAUGAAACAUCAAUUCAAGUCCUUCCUUAAACAGAGAAUGCAUCAAACAAAUCCAAAGUGUCUUGCAUGUCUGUAAAUAAUUGUAAAUGCGUUUAGAUUAUUCAAGUACAGGAGAACAAGCAAGUUGAAUCAUGUACAAGAGGUUGGCCUGGUUCGAGAUAGCUUCUUCACAGUACCUGAAGGGUUGGCUCAAUCUUUUCUUUAGAAUUCUGCACAUUUUGUAAUUACUCGUGUAAGCAAGCAUACAUUACAACCAUAAUAAUAAUAAGGCAAGAGUAAUGAUACGACCACAGCCUCUUGUGCACAAAUAAUAUUGUACAAACUAAUAUGACAUAAUAUGAUUGAUUAAACAAAAACAUAACAUGACCCUCAUAAUUUAUUUAUUAUUAUUUUAUAUUUUCAGUCAAGCAAUCAUAUUAUGCCACAUUAAAUAGAAAUAAUUUACUAGAUAGUGCCAACACUUCAUUGAUACUCACCAUUUCAUUGAACAAUUUUUUUAUAGUGUCAUUGAGGUUGCCUUCCCAACAUCCUUCAUCAUCACCAUCUUCAUCUUCGGUGGGUUUCACUUUGUUUAGCUUUGGUGCGUCUACGACUCCUGGAGAGAAAAUCUUCAUCGUUGGGCAUUGUCUCACAACUACGUGUGCCAAGGACGGGAACUCAAGAGCGUAAUUACCCAAACUAAAGCUUGUUAGGCUUGGCAAACAAUCAAUUCCCAAGUACUCCAAUUUCCUGAAAACAAUGCAAUCUUCCGCUUCUUCUCCAACCUGCGACUGUAUAAUUUCUUCCAUCAUUUUGCAAUCAGUUAUCUUCAUUCUUUCAAGAUUCACUAGACUUUCAGAUGUUGAGAGUGUCAAUAAAUUUAUCAACCCAUGACACUUCGAUACUUCCAGAGUCGCAAGAUUUUCCAAAUGCCACAAAGCUGGUACUAAUUUCUGCAACUUACUACAUUCAAAUAUUUCUAGACUUUUCAAGUUUGCAAACACUUUGUUGGAUUCGGCAUUUUCCUUCCAGAGAUGCUGCACUUUGUGUAAUCCAGAUAGCUUUAACUUCAUCAAUUGAGGGAAUGCAACCUGAAAAUCAACAAAAUUAAGUUGUAAAUGAAAAUAUGUAUCCAAUCUCUACAGUCUUCCCCUACAUAUUUUAUGGACAAGAUUAAUCACGGCAUUUUAUAUUUUAUUUCCAAAUUAGUAUGCUUUGCAGUAGGAUCCCAAAUAUAAGUAUCAAAUCGAUUACCCUUUGAAACACAUAAAUGAAAUCUGAUCAUAAAUCCAAUAUGAAUUAGCUAGGAAAACAAAGAUCUAACACGCAUAAUUUAUGCGAUAUAGUUCAUCACCUCCUGUCACUAGGCAUCUAAUUAAUUUGAGACAUUUUUUUAAUUCAUACUAUAAAGUUAGUUAAUAACUACAAUUAUAUUGUUAAAUCAGAUAUAAAUUAAGACGACGUGCAAAAAGAUAAGUCAUUAAAUUUGAUUUGAUUCUAAUGAAAUUACAUCUAUGCGAAUGAAAGUGAAGGGAAAAAUAAUAAUAAUGAUUACCUUUUUAUCGAAGAGAUGUUGUAUUUGAUUAGCUACCAAGAGGUUCUCUUCUGAUUUUAAUUUUUGAGCUUCCUUAUUAUCUGCUGUCAUGUGCAAUACAGAUGUAGAAUUGGAUAUGAAUGUUUCCAUGUCAGGGCAAUUCUCAAUAGUUAGAUAUCUCAACUCAGGCAGUUCAAUUAUAUUCCCAGUGAAGUUGCAGAAUCUUUUGAGUUUUGGAAGAUCAAUGAGCCUUAGAUUGGAAAGCUUAGGAAACAUGGGGCCUAUAUGUUCUUUGUCAGCAUUUAGCUCUUCCAAACGAAGCACCUCUUCUAGUGAAUCACAAUUCCUCACUUCCAGCCGUCGCAAAUUGUUCAAGCAUCGUAGCAGAUUGGCAGGAAUAGCACUCGACAUAUUCGUGCAGUCAUCCACCACCAGCCGUGCUAAAUUGUUGAAGAAGCUGACAGGCAGUGCUUGGCCAUGCCAUAUUUCUUUCAAACGUGGAAAAUGUGAGAGUUGCAAAUACCAUAUGUCACGGAAUCCAAUCUGCACAAACCAAAACAAUUGCACCGGAUAUAUACAAUUUUUUUUUUGAAAGGCAUUAUAUAUAUACACAUUAAACUUACAUGUUUUGUGUUUUAACUUCUAAAAAUAUAUAUACAAGACCGGGGUAUAUGCUUAAAUGUGCAAUUGCAGGGGAGAUGCAUAAACAAUUUGGGUGAAUCGAUUAACACAUACCAUUUCUUUGUAAUACUUUUGCAUAAUGGAAUUAAGGUUAUUGCCUUCCCAAUGGUGCAGUUCACCCUCUUCCUUUUCAGUCACUUGCACUUUGCAUGGCUUUGGAAUGGAUAAGAUUCCCUGAGAAAAAGUCUUCAUAUUUGGACAACGUAUCAUAGAAACUCGUUCCAGUGAUGGGAAUUCAAGAGUGUAAUUCUCCAAACAAAAGCUGGUAAGCCUUGAUAAAUAAUUAAGUAUCAAAACUUUUAAUUCGCUGAAAGCAAUACGAUUCUCCUUCACUUCUUCUCCAACAUGUCCUACGAUUUCUUCUAUUUUUUGGCACUUCGAUACUUUAAGAUUCACCAAACUACUAGGAAUUCCAACCUGAAAAUAAGCAAAAGUGUGUGUAUAUUAAAAAAGUAAAAAUGUAAGAAUAUCAUUCAACUAGGUUCAAAGUAUGUUUAAUCAUACAAUUAUACGUUUUAUAAAGAUAACAAACCAUGAAAUGUCUACAAGAUAAUUUUUUGUUAAACAAAAAAAGCAACAAGAUAAAUAAAUAAAUAAAAGCCAGAUAAACAAAGAUAUUAAAUGCAUUUACACUAUUUAGUAUUAGGAACGUACGAAGAAUUUAAGGCAAUUUCUAAAUAUUUUAGACUUAUUUUGCAUCUUGAUGCCAGUUUUUAAACAAAAUUUGCAAAUUUCAACUAUUCCUUUUGGGAAAAAAAAAUCAACCAAAAUGCCGCUUUUUCCCUUUUCCCUUGGUCCCUUUUUUUUAUGUAUAUUUAAUUUUGGAAACAAAAUUAAAGUGGAUCUUUAUUAAGUACUUCCAGACUCGAGGAAAUUUCUUUACAAUCAAGGAUCAGUUGUAAAUAAUCGUGAAUUUGUGGUUAAUUAAUGGCAUAAUCAGUUCGUAACUAAACAAGAGAUAUUAAUUAAAUUUGAAGACUUUUCUUUUCUUUUUUUCUUUUUCCAAUCGAAAUGUGAAGAAUUAAGGAAAAGAGAAAUAUAUAGAUGAAUUUGUGAACCUAUAAGAUGAGUGACUAUCCUUUAAUUUUUGAAAAUUGUACUUAUUAAGAUAUGAGCAGAAACAAUUAAAUUGAAUUAUAUUAUGAUGUUGAAUCGUGAUUAAAAAAAUUAUAUUGUUGAUUCUAAUGCUGGCGAACCUAAAAAAUGGACUUAAAAUGUAGAUUUGAGAGUGGUGGUUCGAAAUACAAUACUUGAAAUAAAUAAUCAGUGGCUGAAUAUCAUUUGUAAACCCAAAAAUGGUUAAAAUAUUGUUGGAUGUAAUUUAAAAAAAAAAAGAUUCGAAAUGAAUACAACGACCUUACCAAUGGAGGAAAAAUAUUCAUUAGGUUAUGACACUUAUAUAUCUCCAAAUUCUUCAAUUUGCUGAAAGACUCCGAAGGAAGCUGGUGGUGCCAUAUUUUUCUCAAAUUAUUCAUCCAGCUAAUAUCUAAUACCUCCAACCUAGGAAGUCGUACCUGGAAGUUAAAGAUUAAAUAACUAAUUAAUCAAUUAAUGGCAUAAUCAAUUGAUAACUAAAUUAGAGGCGGAUAUUAACUAAAUUUGAAGACUCAAGGAAAAGACAAAUUAAGUAUUGUGACUAAAAUUAAUUUUAUUUAUUAAAAAAAAAACCUUUUCGUCAAAGAGAGGAGGAGGUUGCAUUUCAGAAUGAUUGGUGUCUUCUGGUGAGCUCGUAGAGAUGAAUCUUAACAUAUUACUGCAAUUACCAAUCUCGAGGUUUAGCAAAGAAGGGAAUUCAACAACUAAAUCUGAAUGAAUAUGUCCUGUAUUGGCGAAGCUUGUCAGUUCUGUAAGCCAAUAGAGCUGCAGGGAGUGUAGUUUAGGAAAAACCUUUAAUUCAAUCAACUUUCCUUCAUCUCUUUCUGACCACCCCGUGGUGUCGACUACCCCUUCCAUUGACUCACAAGACCAUAUUUCAAGAUGUUGGAGUUGCAAAAGACUAUUAACCAUAGAAUACGAAAACAGAUACUUCAUACGAUCACAACUUCUCACGUACAGCUUUGUUAAAUUUUGACAACAGUACAUUCCUUGAUUAUGAUCGGCCCAUAAUUUUUUGAUGUUUCUUAAUUCCGUGAGAUUCAAUUCCUCUAAGCUCGGAAGAAGAACCUGCAAAGAAAAGCCGUACAUUUUUGUUCCUUCAAGUACAACCGUCUAGUAUAAUAUUCUGUUGAUGAUCGAAGAUUAAUCGUGAUAAUAAAUUAAUCAAUUAAUUAUUGAACAGAAAAUUAUCACCUUUGGAGCAGUAUCAUCAUCAGCAAUGAUUUCGUUGAAUCCCAAAGAAGUUGUUGGUUUCUCCCUGUCGGGUCCUGUAAACAAACAAAAACAAUAUACAUAAUUAAUCUUUGUCGUUGUCUUUUUUUUUUCAAAAUAAUUGAGGCGAAGUCCAUAAAUCCACCAACACUUAAUUUCAACACUUACCAACAGUCAUUUCCAGUUUAUUGCAGGAAGCCACUUUGACCUUUUGAAGCCGCAGUAGGUUUCUGGCUAUGGAAAAUGAGAAAAGAUGCUUCAAUUUAUCACAGGAUUCUACUUCUAUAAUCUUUAAGUUGCUGAAAAAUUGAUCUUCUCUGAGUUGGCUGUGGCAUAUGGCCUCCAAAUUGAUCAAUUUAUAGAGAGACAAUGACUCCAGCAAGGGGAAGACUUUGCGAUGAACCCGUCCAACUGAACCGACAAUGUGUAAAAUCUCAGAACACCUUUCUACCCAAAGAUGCUUCAAUCGUGGAAAACCUUCCCCAUCAUCUAAUUCAUGAACAACAUUCUGAACACCCGUCAGUUCCUCUAGACGGAUAUCUUCAGUUAACUUCAGCAACAUUUUCAUCCCAUAAUUCUCCAAAAGAGUGCUAACAUUUUCUAACCCAUGGAGCUGCACCAAUCUUGAUGUUUCAGAAUUAGCGCGCCAGAUGCCCCACGCUUCUCCUAUACAUAUCCUAUAUCUUGGCAAUUCGACAAAGACCAAAUCCUGCGGCAGCAUUUGGGCAUCCUGAACUUGUAUCUCCAAAGUAGUUAGCUUUGACAGCCCCUUCAAUUCAGCAAGACUGGCGUUACUUCCUCCUUCAACCUUAUCCCACUGCGGAAAGCUGUCACCCAUAUAUAGUUCUUCCAAUCGAGAAAAUUUUGAUAUGACAUUUGGUGCUAUCACUACAAGGCUGCUACAAUUGCUCAAAUCUAGCAAUUGUAACUGCGCCAAUUGACCAAUUUCAAGUGGCAACUGCUUAAUGUCGGAAUAUCGAAAGCUAAGAAUCUCUAAUUUCUUUAGCUGUCCAAUUGCCGCUACAUCUUCUAGUUGGCACCAGUCUAAACACAAUGUUUGAAGGUUAAUGAGGUGACCAAGUGAUGAAGAUAAUGAAGAGAAAUGAAUUCCGCUAAGACUUAAAACUUUGAGAUCUUCCGUCCCUUCAAAAAAGAGGUGUGAAAUUUCCAAAUAGCUAUCACCAUUUGCAAGCAACAGUAAUAACUUGAGUUGGGGACAUUCCAACCUUUCGGGAAGCUCUUGAAUAUCUCCAUAAGGUAUAGAAAUAGCAAUUGCACCUUUCUGUAUGAUCUUUUCUAUCUCUUCCUUCAAGUUGGUAACAUUUGGGAUACUAAACAUGAGCUUCUCUGAGGCAAUUGAUACGGCAACAACAUGAAUGACGUCAUGCAUUUUAACUUCAUCUUCAGCAUCGCCGUCCAACAAUAAGCAUGAAGCUUUGAGAUUGUCGAUCAAUGCGUCCACUCUAUUCCUUGCAUUUUCCAAUGUGCGAACAUUUUUAAACAAACCCUUACCAUAUCUCAACAAGGAAGCAACUUGUAUAGGAGUACCUUCACCAAAUAGAGUACAAAGAAGGAACAAAGAUUUUGCUUCAUCACUUUCCAAGAAGUUGUAACUCAAUUCUAUGGAAGAGCAGACAUUUGCAUCCAUUCCAUGAAUUUCUCUUGGAUUAGAAUUUCGCAGCUGAGUCAACGCAUCCUUCCAAACGGGAAGCUUCUUAUUUUUCAGAGCAUUUGCAACUGUACUCAGUGCAACAGGCAAUCCUCCACAUUUUCCAACAAUCUCAUCUGCUAAAGGUUGAAAAGCAGAUGCUUUUGCGGAAUUGCCCACGAUCUUUUCAAAAAAUUGCAAUGCUUCUUCCUUUGAUAAAACUUCAAUUAGGAAAAUCUUCUGAGAAUUCAUAUCAUUGGUCAAUAAAUGUUUACUUCUAGACGUCAAUAUUAUCGUGCGUCUCCUUAGAUCUUGCUUUCUAUCUUUCUCAUCAACAUCCCCAAAAGGAAUUCCAAUUUCUUCCAACCCAAGUUUUUUCCAAAUAUUAUCUAAUAUAAUGAGGACUCGCUUCUCUUUCGUCAAUCUUUGACAAAGUUGUUUUGCUCUGUGGGGUUUGCUAUCAUUCAAGUCAAAGUUCAAGUCUAAAUCGGAAGCGAGCUUGUCUUGAAUUUUCUGAACAUCUGGGUUCUCUGUUACCUCAGCCAUAACGACCUUAUCGAACACCUUAUCUUCCAUAACUUGCUUUGCAAUUUGCUUGACUAGCGUGGUUUUACCCACGCCGCCCAUACCGUGGACCCCAAUUAUGUUGAGCUUAUCAUUCCUCAAUGCCUCCACAACAUCUUGAAAUAAUUUCAUUCUUGAAUCAAAGGCCUCGAAAUCUUUCGCUUGCAUAUGUUCUGUACUCUCUGGAGCAGGACGGUGGGAAACACUAGAGAAGUUGCCUUUUCCCACGAGACUAGCGGCAGCUUCUGCGGCCUUUGCUGCUUGUUUACUAAGUUUAUAACGAGAAAUCAAGUUGGGGCAAAAUCCUUUGAAGCAGGACUUCUUAGCUCUAUCUUCAUCAUCAAUGAUGGAUUUUGCAACCCCUUCACUGAUGAAUUCAUCAACGUUAUUAAGCCAGUCUGCAACAUCCUUGUAAAUCUCAUCUCUUUGUUGAGUAGCCUCACGAACGGGUAUUCCCACCCUUUCUCUUUUAUAUUCUAGCUCCUUCACUUGAACUUUUAGCUCAGCUAUGUAGCUCUGGUACUUGAACACAUAAGAGAUCUGCCGCAUAAUCGGUUCGAACAAUGCCUUUGCACCUUCUGUUACAAUGCCGGAAAAAGUAGUGGAAACCAGGUCUGCAGCCAUUGCCUAGCCUGUUGCUUUCAUACAUACAUACAUACAUAUAUAUAUAUAUAUAUUAGCUGUUGGAAAAAUUAGAUUCAAAUAAAUUAAAAUGAACUAGGGGAAAGACGGAGAAAGAAAUGACAACCAACAACUUUUUAAAAAAAGGUUUCAAGGGCCUGAAUGGAAAACCAACAAUUUAAAAAAAAAAUUGUAAGAUGGAUGCAGAUUAACCAUUGCUAAUAUUACAUAAGAACACAGAAGUUAACAAUGAACAGUACGUAGAAAAUUAAAUGACAAGAUUAAAACAAACAAGGGCUAUUUUUUCUUGGACAAUUGUACCUAUUUAAUUAUUAAAGAGUUAAUGACCUUCACUGCUGGCCUUGAAUAUAUAAGAACGACCAGAAGAUGAAUAUUAACUGCAGACGAAUGUAAGUAAAGAGUUCAUGAGAGUGAGUAAUACAAAUGAAUUGUAAAAGAACAAGACUUAAGUGUGACCCCAUCUUUUGUUUUAUUAUAUAAAUAGAACACAUGAUCAUUUUUAACAAAGUGAUCAAUAACUCUAUGCGUUAUUUAAUUGAUAUUGUAACCAAUUUUAAGGGAAUUUAAUAAUAAUCAUUCAAUGCAUAAAUUUAAAAUUAGAUUUUUUUAAUUCUUUAUUUAAAUAUAAAUCUUAAUGGAAAAUUAUAAAAAUUUAGAGAUAAAAUUUUUCAAUCACCAAGGAAAAAAAAUGGGAAUGAAAACAGAGGAAUCUUGUUUUACCUUUUUUUUUUUUUCCUUAACUCUUGUUCCUAUACAAAUAAUCUUGUUUUGAUGAUAGUGCUCGUGACUAUGGGAAAAUUUCUAAUGGAAACAACUCAAUUUCGGAAGAUAAGCUUAAUUCUGCAAGUGAUGAAUUUGUUCAAUUGACUCUGUACUUGAACUCGUUGGAUUGGUUGAUUUACGAUUGACUGCAUUUCAAUUCUGCCUAAAAGAUCUUUUUAAUAGCUAUCAUGUACUCCUUAAAAGCAAUCAUUUUUAGAUUUGACUGAAUUUGAACUUGUUGGAUUGGCUGUUUUUAGAUUAUUGAUAUGAGAUACUACAAUGUAAACAUUUUCAUGUGGCUGAGCCCUAUUCUAAAAUCUGUAUGUUGCUUUAGAAAAAGGGCUUUUCCUACUGAUAUUUAAUCUUCAAGUAAACUUAGAUAUAAAGUAAAUCAAAUAAAAUGACAAACAAGCAAUAUAAUAAAAGACAACAAACUGGCAAUAUUGAUACAAAGGCAACAGAUAUUAAACUUUAGGACAUUUUUUUCCUAGCUUUCAUUUGUUGGAGGAUUAGAGAUUUUGGUAUUACCGGAAAGCUAAAAGGUUUCAAGGGUCUGAGUAGAAACCUAUAAUCUUUUUAAAAACUUUCUUUUUCUUUUUUCUUUUUUCUUUUUUUGGGGGGGGGGGGGGGGGGGGGGGGGGAAGAAUGCAAGUUAACCAAACGAAAUAAUAAGAGCACAGGCUUUAACAAUGAACAAUAACUUAAAACUCAUGCAAAGUAAAUUCAAUAUUAAAACAAACCAGAGAAAUUUUUUUUCUUGGAAAAUAGAUGGAAAUUAUGAAAGAACAGAUGUCAAGAUCAAAGAUCUACUAUACACAAACACACACAUUAGAGGAUUUGGAAAAUGUGCACCUCUUUAAUUAUCUGGGAUUAGAGAGUUGGUGAGAUUCUCCAUUUGGCCUUGAAUAUUUAAGAACAACCUCAAAGAGCAAAAAGAUCACCGGUAACUGCCGAGGAAUGUGUAAGAAAAGGGUUGAUGAGAAUAAUAACAUUGACUUGCAGAAGAAAAAGCAUUAAUCAAGCACCCCUUUUUUAUAUCAUGUAUUUGGUUAUUGUUGCCCUGUUUACGCACGUAUAGGAUAAUUAUAUGCAAUCUUUUUUUAAAAAUCCACAUGCACUUUAGGGCUUCUUUCAUAAAAGCAGAUACCGGAAACACACAAAAAUCAUUUGAGAGAGAAACCGAACAGCAAAUCAUCAAAGUAAGAUCAACAAUAUAUGAUUUGAUUAAUGCAUAUUCAAGAACAAAACAAAAAUAAAUAAAUNNNNNNNNNNNNNNNNNNNNNNNNNNNNNNNNNNNNNNNNNNNNNNNNNNNNNNNNNNNNNNNNNNNNNNNNNNNNNNNNNNNNNNNNNNNNNNNNNNNNNNNNNNNNNNNNNNNNNNNNNNNNNNNNNNNNNNNNNNNNNNNNNNNNNNNNNNNNNNNNNNNNNNNNNNNNNNNNNNNNNNNNNNNNNNNNNNNNNNNNNNNNNNNNNNNNNNNNNNNNNNNNNNNNNNNNNNNNNNNNNNNNNNNNNNNNNNNNNNNNNNNNNNNNNNNNNNNNNNNNNNNNNNNNNNNNNNNNNNNNNNNNNNNNNNNNNNNNNNNNNNNNNNNNNNNNNNNNNNNNNNNNNNNNNNNNNNNNNNNNNNNNNNNNNNNNNNNNNNNNNNNNNNNNNNNNNNNNNNNNNNNNNNNNNNNNNNNNNNNNNNNNNNNNNNNNNNNNNNNNNNNNNNNNNNNNNNNNNNNNNNNNNNNNCCCCAGGGGAAAAUCUGGAAUUCCUUUUUUUAAUUUUUUUUUUUUUAAAAAAACCCCACCGGAAAUUCUUAAAAUUUGGAAAAAAAAAUUUUGAGUCCCUUAUUCUGGGGGGGGGGGGGGGGGGGACGAAAACAGAGGAAACUUGUUUUACAUUUUUUUGAUCUUAACUCUUGUUCUUAUAUAAUAUUUUCCCUGGGAUUUCAGGCAAACCAAACAAAAAAAAAAAAAUUCAAUAAAGAGCAAGUUGCUCUAAUUGAUUUAUCUUGUUUUUCAGGCUAUUUUGUGACAUGAUGAUAUGUAAUGCUCUUGAAUGCUAGAAAAAUUCUAAUGCAAACAUUUUUGCAAAUGACGAAUGUAAAUAACUUUUUUUGAUUAAUUGAAUCUCUAAUACUCUUACCCUAUUCUAAAAUUUGUAGGUUGCUUCAGAAAAAAAGGGUAUUUCUCACUCAUCUUCAAUCCUCAAGCACAAUUAGAUUAAAAGCAAAUCUAAUAAAAUAACAAACAAAUUAACAAAAAAAAGAAAAAGAAAAAAAACAAUGUUGAUCUUGAGACAAUUGAUACUUAAACAGAGAAUUCUUUGUUCUUUUUUUACUCCCCCUGGCUCGAGGAUUAGAGUCUUUCUUUGCUAUUAACAGAGAGGUUUUAAGGGUCCGAAUAAAAACCCGCGCUUUUUUUAAAAACUUCUUUUUUUUUUUUUAUUGGGGAAGAUAGAUUCAAAUUAACCAAAGCUAGUAAUAAGAACACAGGCCUUACAAAUGAACAAUAACUUACAACUCAAGCAACAUAAAUAAUAAGAUUAAGACAAACAUGAGAUUUUUUUCUUCGAAAGUAGAUGGAAAUCAAGUAAGAACAGCUAUUAAAAGAAAUUACUAGAGAAUUUAGAACAUGUGUACCUCUUUAAUUAUUUGGGAUCAGAGAGUUGAUGAGCUCUCUAUUCGCCUUGAAUAUUAAGAACUGGUAUUAAAAGAAAUUAUGAAGAACAAUUUUAGUGAGCGAUAGAUCACUGUUAACUUCAGAGGAAUUUGUGAGUAAAAAGCUGAAAAGAGCCGUAAUAAUGAAUUACAAAAGAAGAAGACUUAAUCAAGCACCCCUUUUAUACCCGAUUUUUAAGAUUUAGUCUUGAAGUUCACAAUCAAGAACAAAGACGAAGCUUUAAUAAAGCAUGCAGUGAGAUACAAGAAAUGGAUCGGGCAAAAUACCUUACGAAGCGUUUCAUAUUUUCUAAUGAAAUAAUUAAGUUGAAGUUUUCGACGAAUAAAUACUUGUUGUGCUUGAAUAAUUUUGGCAUAUACGUUACUUGUAUCCUGCGAAAUUGAAAAGCACAUUGGUUUAUUAGAGCUUAUUAGGAGGGAAAAGCUUUGUAAGAUACCUGAUAAAAGAUAAAGUAAAAGCUUGAAUGAAGAAUGACAUUUUAGAAAGAAACUAAAGUGCAAUCAUCAAAGUGGGAUCAAUAGUGACUUGAUAUUUCAAUUGUUCUGUCCACAAAUGAUGCUUCGUUAUUACUAAUUCCAGAUGGACAUUAUUAGAAAAUGAUCUUAUGUUUAACAGAAAAAUAAAAACUCGUCAUCAUACAAAACAGCGUGAAGAAAUCUUCAAUUUGAUUAUUAUAAAAUAAUAAGUUUCAUUACUAGAUUAUGCGGACAUUAAUGUUAGAGAUUUGAUCAGAUUAUCAUAUAAUUUACUAAACGCUUUGAGAAGAACAAUAAUUAAUUUUUAAAAAAUUGAAAAAUAAAUUAAAUAAAGAGUACACGCAAAUAAUGUUACUUCCAAUCACCAAACUGAAAAACAGGGGAAUGAUAACAGACGAGUCCCUGAUUAUCCUCUCUCUCUCUCUCUCUUUUUCAAUCUCUCUCUUUGAUAUCCAUAUCUGAGCAUCAGAGCUUGACAUCUUUGAUAAAUAAAUAUGCUUACUGGUACUGUUUUUGCAUAUGUCUUUCACAAAAUCAUUGUAUACGCUUACAUAGAGAAGAAGAUUCAGAUAACUUUCAAAAUCUGAAUCCGCCUGAUGGACAGGCUUGACCACACAGCCCCGAGACAAGGAAGUCCAAGCAACUAAUCUAAACCGUUCUCCUUUAUUAGCUAGAUUUAGUAUUUGGGUUCUUUAUGUAAAACGACACUAUGAUCUUGAAAUUUUGAUUUAAUUAAUAAAUAGUUAAAUUCUUAAUGUUUCAGGAGUAGAUACAUAGACUCUCUUCUAAUUUUAGUCAUUACAAACAAUGCCAUUGUGCGGUUAUACUAUUGCUUCUUUUAUGAAACCAUUCUCACCAUCACAUAGAUCUUGGCAUAUAGAGUCUCAUAAUGUCAUCAAAUAAUUUUUUUUUUUUUUAAAAACAUAAAAUAUGAUACAUGUAUUCAUUUUUUUUCAAAUUAGGGUGUAUUAUUCUUAAAACUUAAGUGUUCUACUUAUAAAUAUCUUGAAGGUGUGAGUGUUUUCUUUUCGUAAACAAACCGUAAAAGAAAAAGAGGAACAAUAAUUUUUUACUUAUCCUUAGAGAUAAGAUUCAAUCGGGAUGUGAGUAAGUGUGUUUUUCUUUUUUUAUUAUGCUAAAUUAUCGAGUCACAAAGCAUAUUGAUUCAAAAGUAUAACUUUAUACUGAUGAUAGAUAAUUUCAAAACAAUGGAAUGAAAACAGAGGAGCUCCCCCCUCCCCCACCCCAAUCCCCGCCCCCCCCCCCCCCCCCCCCCAAAAAAAAGUUCUUCUUCUUUUAUAUAUUUUUCUUGGAAUUUUAGGUAAAAGAAAAAAAAAACUGAGAUUGAUUUCAAGGGAACAGGUGGAUAAUAACUAAAAUACUUAUUUUUAUAUAUUUGAUAUGUGCGCUCACUAUUAAUAGAACUUAUUAGAUACUACAACUUAAAUAACUUCCCAUGGUUGAUUGAGGGUAUGUUUGAGAUUUCCUUUACUUUCCAAGAAUUAAUUUCUACCUUGAUUCUGAACAAAAAAAUAAUUUUACAAAUAAUCUAUUAGGGUGUUUGGUAAAUGAUGAUUAUUUGACAAUCAAUUUUUAAACGGUUUACUAUACAAAUCUGGUAAAUGAAAAUUAAAAGUGUAAAAUGUUCAUGUACAAUGACAAAAAUGUACUUGUUUACUUGUUUGUAAUUUAUUUAGAAUAUUAUUAUUUAAAUCUUUUUUUAUUUACAAGAUUUUUUAAGAGCAUAUUCUAUUUUCUUUAUUACAUAUUUAAAUAAUUUUUUAUUAACUAUUUUAAUUUGCAAUAAAAUUAACUUCAAUAUCUUUUUAACUAAAAAAUUUGUUAUGUAGUUCGUGAUAUAACAAAUACUAACAUAUCAUUAGUUUGAUUAAUAAAUUAAGUGCAAAAAAGAAAAUGCAAAAAUUUAAUCUUUAUAUAAACUUUUAUGUACAUAAAAUCAUUGUAAUCAAACUAGUUCAUAGAAAUAUAAUAUUAUAUACAUGUGUGUAAAAAAAAAAAACAUAUGACCAUAAUAUUAUCCACUCAUUAAACUUGCUGCACUAUUAUUUCUCAAUCUCUCCAUCUCUCGACCUUCAAGAACAUUACUACCAUAAUCUUCUUCUUCUUGAAUCCAACCUCUAUUUCCUCAUCAUCAACAAUGCGACCAAUUUGCCUUGAUAGCCUUUCAACUAGAAUAGAGUUGGCAGUAGAUAUUUUAGUACUCUCAAACUAUGCCCAAACAGGGUCACCAGUGAUUGUUGUAUUAAAAGACAUUCUAUUUAAUUUUCCUCUGACUCUGGGUCGAUACCUUUUAUGCAAAAUCUAUUUACUUAAGGAAUUUUCUACACAUGUCGAUAUCAUAUUAAAGUGAAUUCAGAUCCUAUAUUAUUGACAUUAAAAUUUAGCCGAAUAGUAAAAAAUUUCCCUUUUUGUUUGUCACACAACCAUAUAGUCCCAUUUUUGGUUAUAAGCUCACAAUAUGUAAGGGAAAUGAAGAUCUAUUAAAACUUUCCCAUAAUAUUAAACAUUAAACAAUAUCAACAUUUUGUGCAUAUGGUGCCUCAUCAACAAUUUGAUGUUCAUUUUGUUGCUCGGAGGAAUAUGACUACCUAUUAAUUAAUUAGCAAGAAUUGCGUUGCGAGUCCAUGUUUUUGUCGUUUGGAUGGAGGAUGUGCCAUCUUUUUAUUGUAGAUGCUUUGUAAGGCUUUUGAUUUAAUGAUUUAAUGCAGUCAAUUAACAAAAGCUUACAUAUAUUAUUAUGUAGUUGCUGAGAUGUCUGUUCUUGAUAAAGUCGAUUUAUUUACACCCAAGCCAACGGAAUCAAAGCCUUUUCGUUAAUAAUAUACACGGUAAUUGUUUUUGUUAAAUUGAUUUCUGGCUAACAAGAUAUUUGAAAGCAUUUAGGUAGCGUUUACAUUUUGCGUUGGAGUGAGAAUCGUGAGAAAUGAGAAUCCUGGGAUUAGGAGUGUGGAGUGGGAGUCGAAGUAUGUUGUUUACUUACACUGAAAUGGAAGUAUGGAAUUGAAAUCAGAAUCCAAUUUAUUUGUUUACAUUGUCUUAGAUUGUGAGUAAUGAUUUUAAAUUACAGCUUUACUCUUAAAGAAUUAUAGUUAUUAAUUACAAAAUUAAUAAAAAUUAUAUUUUUAAAUUAAUAAUAAUUAUUAAUAUUCUUAACUAUGUAAAUCACAAUUAUUUUAUUAAUUUUAAUUUUAAUUAUAUAAAUAAAAAAUUAUUAAUAACAACAAUACAAAUGAAACAUUAUUAUUGAUAAUAUAGUACAAAAUUAAUUUUUUUAGAAUAAAAUAUUUAUUAUUAUUAAUUACUAAUAUUAAAUAAAUAUAAUAGUAUUAUUUUUAAAUAAGUAUAAUAAUAUUAUAUUUUCAAAUAAAAAUAGAAUAUAGUAAUAUUAUUAAUUCUUUAUGAAUAUAAUGAUAUUAUUUUUAAGUAAUUUUAACUUAGAAUCAAUGUAAAUUAUUAUUUUUAACCAAAAAAUUAAUAUUAUUUUAAAUAUGUUUAAUAUUAUUAUUUUUAAUAAAUUUAAUUUAUAAAAUAAUAAAAUAUUAUUAUUUAAAUAAAUAUGAUUUUACUUAUUUUAUUAAAUUUAAUAAAAUAAAUAUGUUUAAUAUUAUUAUUUUUAAUAAAUGUAAUUUAUAAAAUAAAAUAAUAAUAUAAGUUAAAUAAAUAUGAUAUUAUUUAUUUUAUUUUAUUAAAUAUAAGGGUGAAAAAGGAAGAGAGGCGAGUGAAUUUCCACUCCCACCUUCCUCCAUGGGAGUGGGAAUCUCACUCCCCCACUCCAAAAUUAGGUGGGAUCCACGGAGUGGAAUUCUCACUUCCCCUUUGAAAAUUGUAAGUAAACACUGGAGUAAGAGGAAUCCACACUCCUCACUCUCACUCCAAAAAGUAAACACUAUAUUAAAGAAGUCAUUGACUUAUAAGAAAGCCAUGAUUAAAUACACGGCGAAGCAUGUGAGCUCGUUUUUCAAUUUCUUUGAUCACUCAUAAGUAGGGGUGGGCAAAAUCGGAUUCGGAUUGGGUUCGGGUUGAUUUGAUCAAUUUCGGAUCAAUCGGGUUGGGGAAAAAAUCAUCCGAACUCAAUCCGAAUUAUUAACCCGAUCCAAUCCGAUCCGAAUAUAAUUCGGAUCGGAUUGGAUCGAAAAUUCGGAUUAAUUCGGAUUAGAUUCAGAUUUAAAAGCAUUCGGGUUAUAUAUCCAUUCUAUAUUUCUGGGUUAAUUUCAGAAGCAAUCAAGUAAAACAAUCAACCUUUUCUCAAGAUAUAGUUUUGUUUUAAGCUUUUUAAAUUAAAUUAUUUAAAACAAUAUAGUCAAUACCACCAAAAACUUGGUGACAGUGAAUGUGGAGGUGAAUUUAGUUGUAGCAGUUGUGGUAACCGGUGAAGCUAGUGGCAGCAAGCGGUAGCAGUCGAGGUGUAGUAGAUUCCAUCGGCACGUUGCGGUUGCAGCGAUGGCUUAGCUUUGAACGAUCGCGUCGGUGACUGAUGGCUGCUGGUUCACGCAGUUGCAUCUCCGAUUUGCUGGCUGCUGCUUCUUGCGGUUGCAUCUCCGAUCUGCUCGCCGCUGCUUCGCUGACAUCUCCGAUCUCCGAUGGUUUGGCUUCGCACGAUCACAUCGGUGAUUGCUGGCUGCUGGUUCGCGGCUUCGCGCGGCCGCAUCUCCGGUCUGCUGGUUGCUGCUUCUUGCGGUUGUAUCUCCAAUCUGUUGGCUGCUGCUUCGUUGUUUGGCAUCUCAACAUUUCCGAUCUCCGAGGCCAAACCUCUAUUUGUGUGUGACCGUGUGUGAUGUGAGUGUGUGUGUGUGCACUUACAGAUUAUUUUAAUUUAGAUCUAAGAUUUGCUUUUUGUGUGGUGUGAAUCCGAUUUUGUUGUGUUUGCCACUUUGUUAGUUUGUUACACAGUUUUUUUUUUAAGCCAACCCGAUCGGGUUUUCGGAUCGGAUCGGGUUUCAUCCGAUCCGAUCAUGAUCCGAUCGGGUUGGCAAAGUUACAUCCGAUUGGAUUUUGUUAACAAUCCGAUCCGAUCUGAACCCGAUAUUUUUUGGGUCAGAUCGGAUCGGAUCGGGUCGGAUAUUUUGCCCAACCCUACUCAUAAGCUUUUCUAUACCACUCACUAUAUCAUCCUUUUAAGUCAAUUUCGACUGAUCAUCAGAGAUCAUGCACCCCACCUUGAGAUGAUUGAUCACCAAUUUGGCAUUGUAACGUUGAUCACCUCUAAUUGCCCAUGCUAAAAUUGAGACCCCACAGCCAAUUGCUUCUACAGUUGAAUUUUAUCCACAGUGAGAUAAAAAUCCACCUAUUAAUUGAUAACUCGGCAUCAAUAAUUGUGGUGCCAUUCCAUCUAUUAUCAAACCCUUUUUACCGGCUUUACUAUCUAAACCACUAUGAAAAUAAGCUGGUUAAAUGACGUGGAGGAUCCAAUCUAUUUACAUCAGUUUGAAUUACCUAAAUAAUCGGUGGAUUUGAUGCUUCUAAAUCAUUGGCUAAUGUUGAAUAAUCAUUUAAGGUGGGACCCAUUUCGGUACCAAAUGACAUGUAUAACACUGAUCCACAUGAUUUCAAAUCUAACCAUUGAAUGAUCUCAUCUUUGGUCAUGUUAGAACUCCGCCGGUUGGUUCUCAUCUCACAAUCACGAAGCACUGAACCGGUCGAUUUGUAAAAUUGUUCAGGUAACAAUGGGCCCACUCCCCACACUAGCAUCAACACCAUCGAUCCCUCCACUUGCUUCAUCCAGUGUGGUUGAUCACUCGGUUCUGAUGGACCUAUUUUCUCUGAACCGGGUGCACCUCACAAAGGUUGUGGGCCACCAGGAAGGGACCCGUGAGGCCUGCGUUUAAGAUCUGAUUGGAAUAAAGCAACAUCCUUGGGUAACCCAAGAAGUAAAUGGGCCUCUCCCGGUUUGGCAUCCUGGAUGCGAGCCUGCCACAUGGCACACUCCACAGCUGCUGAGCAAGCAUCAGAAGUGAAGAACCCAACAAUGGGAACUUCAAAAUUCUUGAAAACAUCAGCCGUCCAGCCCAUCAUAACGCCGAUGACUACGCAAACAGGUCGGCUUUCGGGUUCCGGGUUGAAAGGAGGUUUCGAAGACCCUGAAGCAUUUGGUUGUGCAUGACAACAUGGAGGUAAGAAGGAGGCGAUGGUAGUAGUGGAGAUGAGGAGGGUAUUUCGGUAAUUUCACAUAGAGGGUAUUGGUGAAGAGAGGAAGGGGUGAUGCUGGUGGUGGAAACGUGAGAGGGAAUAAUGAGGGUAGAUUUGUAAUUACGAGAAGCAAUUUGCUUGCAUAAUUCAAUGCAUGGAAACAGAUGUCCCUGACCGAAGAACGGGACAAUCCAAAUCUCAGCCUCAGCAGCAUUCGCAACAGAGCUUGACAUCUUUUAUGAAUUAUUUGAGACUUAAUUGUUAUUGACUGCUUUUGCCAUCUUUCAUAAAACAUUCUUUGUUAUAUAUUCAAGUAAAUAAAUUUAUCGUUUAAAAUUAAUUUUUCAUGUGGUAAAAGCAAUACUAAAUAUGGGGUGGAGAGAAUAAUUUGUAGGGCAUACCCCCACCAUUUAUUUAAUUUCAUUAAAAAAGAAAGAAAAGAAAUAAAGGCUUGUUCAACAUUCAAUUAAAAUUAACAAUUCCAUGAUAAAAUUACUUGAGAAUAAAAAUUUUUAAAAAAAAAGUAACUCAAAAACGAGGAAUUUUUGAGUAACUGAAGAACCAUAGAUGUUUUUUGGUCAUGAGCAAUUUUUGAGUUGACACAGAACUUGUAUAAAAAAAAUAGUUUUGAAAACUUCUUUUCUUUUUUCGUAAAUAUAGAUAUAAAAUUUUAAAAUCACCAAACACAAAACCAGGAAAAUGGAAGGAGAGCCCCUGUUUCUCCUAUGUUGCAAGCACAAAUUCGGUUUCUAAAGUUGUACCUUCUAAAUGCACCAUUUGUAUUGCUUUGUCUCCACUUGAGCUAACGGAAUUUGAUGAAAACAAAAUAAUUGAACGAUAGGGAUAAAUAUCAAAGAAGGAGCUUACAUGCCCUAUAUAUUCUCUUUGGAUGAAUAACGAAGGUGAGCUUUCAAAGUACAGAGAUUUACAUGUUUUAAUUGUCAUUUACAUUGCUGCAUGCUAAUUGCUUGAUAAAAUACCGCAACAAAUACGCAUUCUCGAUUUCUUAUAAAUUUAUUUUCUUACUCUGAAAAAAAUUGAAUGUUUAGAGAAUUUUGAAGGUUUUGGUGUAUGCAUUAAUAUUUUGAUUCUAUUUAUGUUGUUUAACUAAUGAAGAUGAUACAUCUAGCCUCUUUUUGCCCCUUGUUGUUUUUAUUCUUGUGCUUUAUAUACGGUUCAAGUGUGAUACACUUUAGUUUUUCUCAAGUGUUUGUUAGUAUUUCCCGAAGCAAAAUUUGUCACAGACUUUUAGUUCAAAAGUUGAAAUCAUAACUAACAUACUUCGAUUUUUUAUUUUCCUUUUUUCUUCGGUAUCUUUCUAUAUGGCAUUGCUUGAGAAAUUGGUGUACUUAGAUCGUAAUAUUCUGUAGAAAUAAGCCAAUAUUUCAUUAUGUACAUUGUUUAAUAUGAUAAGUAUUGUAUGGAAGUUUUACAGAUAAGCUCCUUAUAUAUUAUGCAUUAUGUUUUUAUCAUAUUGUUGCUUGGAACUUUGAAGGAUUAGCCACAGGGCUUUAGUCCUACAUGGACAUUUUAUAUUUAACAGCUGGUUAGGCAUUUUAUUUGAUGUUAUUUGGACUUGUAGGUGUUAAAAGUUUUGUUCAGUAAUUUUAUAAUUCAGAUUCCCAUUGUGAAAAGAUAGCAAUUUUUAUUGUGGGUCAGAUUCUGUCAACUGAUAUUUAGCUAAAAUAUCUCACUAACCCCUAUUGGUUAGGUGUUUUUUUUAAUUCACAUACUUGAUUUUUAUUUUCUUUUUAUCUGUGGAAUCACAUGUAUCAUUCAUAAGAAACAAGCUAUUAUAUAAUCUAUUCUUUAGAUCCAUUUAUAUGUAGUGGGCACUCUGAUUUCUAUUAUUUGAAUUUUUUGCUACUGUUACUACUCUUUCGGCCCUUCAAAUAGGGGUUAACAGAAAGGGUGAGUAUAUUAAUACAAAUUCAAACUUUCUUUUUCUAAUUUUAUCCAAAAUAACCUACUAUAUUAUUUUAAUUUCCAACUUUUGUCAUAGUCUAAUGGGCAGUUGUCUUGUCAUUAUUUGGUUUUAGGUAAGAAGAGAGAAAGUUAGUGAGAGGAUGAAAAUUUUGCAAAAACUUGUUCAUAGCUAUGGUAAUUAAGUAAUUUGAGUUCUUUUUUUUUGUUAUUGUUUUUUAUUCACUUUUUCCUGUCUUAAAACAAAUAACGAGUUUUUGUGUUUUUAAUAUUUCUUAUAAACUUCAUGUUGUUUGGUAUAAAAUUAGGUAAUUGGAAAGGUCUCAUGUUGGAUGAAAUUAUCAAUUAUGUGCAGUCCCUACAAAAUCAAGUGGUCGUCAAUGUGUCAGCAUCACUUUCUUCUUCAGAUGUUACUUGUUUUUCACAUUUAUUUUUCUCUCAGUCCUUUUUAAAAGAACAUACACACACAUACUAUGUAGAGUGACCUUUUUUAAUGAGGAAUCUGUCAUUUUAAUAAAAUGAAGAAUAAACUAAAAGGUAGAAGUACACGAACUCUAAUGCAAUAUACCUUUUCUGUUCUUUUACCUUUACUAUAAGAUAGGGAAUGAUAUAAAACUGUUCGAUAAUAGUAAGUGAAAUAAUUAAAAGGCUACUGUUCUAGCUCAUUUAAUAUAUCAAACUUUUCUAGCUCAUUUAAUAUAUCAAACUGCUCGAUAAUUGAAUUGGCCUAGUUAAACAUAAUUUUCAGAUAAUCUUUUUAAUGGUUUAUUUAUUAAUAUUUUGUUUCUUUCCAGUAUGAACACUUUGUUUUGACACGUGGUUAACAACCUUCAACGAACUCGGAACAACCUUCAUCACAUGCUUUCUCACGUGGUUACUUAAACUGAUAUGUUAAACGUGCUCCAUCCACGCCGUUUCCACUAAAUCAUUUUCUGUUAAGAAUCAGCUGAGCAGCGCGUGAGCUAAUGAAGUUUUUCGUAUUGAACUCAACUCUGCUAUUUUCCCAAAGCUGGAAAGCAGAAACAUCAUCCCUUUGGUUUUAUUUCACCUCAACCUUUUUCUGAUCCCAUUUUCAUUGUAAUUUCUCAUUUACUUUGAGUGAAAGUCAUUGUUGCUUUCGAACGAGGUUUUGCAACUAAAAAGGAAAAUGGGGCGGCUACAAUACAUGCGUGCAUCUGAUACAUGCACAAAAACUGACCAUUGGAUUAAAUGGAGUGAUCUAAUGGCUGAGAUUUGUUUCAUUAUUAAGCAAUAAAAAAAUUUGAAACAACCAGAAACCUGUAAAACCGGUCAUUUGGUUUAAGGUAAAAAUAUAUAAAUGAAAAAAAAAAAAAAAAACCCACCACUCCCUCGCCUCACCUCUCUUCUUUUGGGUUUAGUAUUGCUGCUUUUAACAUAAUUGACCUAUGGCCCAAAUCAUUUCUAUAGGGCGAAGCAUAUGAAUGAUACAUAUUAUCUUUUUUUGGCCUUAUGUCUUGUUAUUUGCAGUGUGAUUUGGUCUAGCUUAAGAGCUUAAGCUUGCAGGUUGGAUUUGUCUGACAGGGAACAAUUUAAUUUGUUCAUCGUGAUGUUUAUAUCCAUUUUGUACUACUAUCAAUUUCAAUCAUGCCUAAUUUUUAUAUGUAUUUCUCGUGGACUCUCAGGUUCAGUGCACAAGAGGAUGAAGACGAUGGACACCCAAAUUUGAUGUGGAGAACAACUAUUGCAAAUGGUCCUUGAUUUACUUCUCCAAUUGACUUGAAUUGGUUUGACGCAAUUUAUACUGUAUUUUUGUCAUCUUUGUAUGACUUGCACGUCGUCCUGAUUUGGUACAUGACUGGACACAGGAAUUGGACUCAUAUUUUUCAAACCAGAAUGCCAACAAUCAAGCAUUUUCUUUUGAAAGCACUGGCGUCUUCUUCAAUGCCAAAAAGGUUAGAGAUUUUCUGUAUCCUGUUUUGUAUUUGAUCAGUUUAGCAUGUGGGUGGCAAUCAAGAAAAGUUAUUAUAACAUUUUUGUGUUCCCGAAAAACUGCUGAUGAUGUGUGACUUCUUUUUAUUUGUAUUCUUUCUUUUUCUUUUCUCCCCAACAGUAUUAUGCAUUUCGAAGAGCUUCUUGAAGUUGAUUACCAUGUAUGCCACUUUCUUUACUCUAUGCUCAGGAUGUGAUUUUGCCAAGCAUUAAAAUGGUUUAGGUCAGAACCAUCAUCUAAAGUUUACUUAAAGUUGACGGAUUAAUUCCUUUUAAUAAUGGUCUAGUUAAUUUUACUAUACUCAUAAAACUAUUCUUAUUCUGAUAAUGCCACAAAUGUUAUGAUGUUUUCUUCAGCUAAUGAUCUUCUAUCAGGACUAGUUAGAAAUCAAAUGCUUAAAACACCGAUUGAAUGAAUAAUGCAGAAGUUUAAACAGUAUCUAAUUGAAAAUUGCAUGAAACAUGAAACAUCAAUUCAAGUCCUUCCUUAAACAAAGAAUGCAUCAAACAAAUCCAAAGUGUCUUGCAUGUCUAUAGCAUGACAAAAAAGUUGUAAAUGCGUUUAGAACCAAAUUAUUCAAGUACAGGAGAACGAGCAAGUUGAAUCAUGUACACGAGAUUGGCCUGGUUCGAGAUAGCUUCUUCACUGUACCUGAAGGGUUGGCUCAAUCUUUUCUUUAGAAUUCUGCACAUUUUGUAAUUACUCGUGUAAGCAAGCAUACAUUACAACUCUUGUACACAAACAAUAUUGUAUAAACUAAUGCGACAUAAUAUGAUUGGUUAAACAAAAACAUUACAUAGCCCUCAUAAUUUAUUUAUUUAUUUAUUAUUAUAUAUUUUCAGUCAACCAAUCAUAUUAUAUUACAUUAGUUUCUAUAAAAUAAUUUUCUAAAUAGCACCAAAACUUAAUUGAUACUCACCAUUUCAUUGAACAAUUUUUUUAUGGUGUCAUUGAGGUUGCCUUCCCAACAUCCUUCAUCAUCAUCAUCUUCUUCAUCAUCAUCUUUUUCUUCUUCGGUGACGUUCACUUUGUUUAGCAUUGGUGUGUCUAAGACUCCUUGAGAGAAGAUCAUCAUUUUUGGACACUCUCUCACAACUACUUGUUUCAAGGACGGGAAUUCAAGAGCGUAAUUACCUAAACAAAAGCUUGUUAGGCUUGGCAAACAAUCAAGUCCCAAGUACUUUAAUUCCUUGAAAACAAUGCAAUCUUUCGCUUCUUCUGCAACCGGCGACUGUAUGAUUUCUUCCAUCAUUUUGCAAUCAACUAUCUUCAUUCUUCCGAGAUUCACUAGAUUUUUAGAUGCUGAGAGCGUCAACACAUUUAUCAACCCGUGACACUUCGAUACUUGUAGUCCCCACAGAUUUUCCAAAUGCCACGAAGGUGGUACUAAUUUUUGCAACUUACUACAUUCCGAUAUUUCUAGCCUUUUCAAGUUUGCAAACGCUUUGUUGGAUUCGUCAUUUUCCUUCCAGAGAUGCUGCACUUUGUGUAAUCUAGAUAGCUUUAACUCCUUCAAUUGAGGGAAUGUAAGCUGAAAAUCAACAAAAUUAAGUUGUAAAUGAAAGUAUGUAUCCAAUCUCUGCAGUCUUCCCCUGCAUAUUUUAUGGACAAGAUUAAUCACGGCAUUUUAUAUUUUAUUUCCAAAUUAGUAUGCUUUGCAGUAGGAUCCCAAAUAUAAGUAUCAAAUCGAUUACCCUUUGAAACACAUAAAUGAAAUCUGAUACUAAAUCCAAUAUGAAUUAGCUAGGAAAACAGAGAUGCGACAAGCAUAAUUGAUAUAGUUCAUCACCUCAUGUUACCAGUCAUCGAAAUAAUUUAAGACAUUUUUUUAAUUCAUACUAUAAAGUUAGUUCAUAACUGUAGUUGUAUUGUUAAUUCAUAUAUGAAUCAAGAUGACAUGCAAAAAGAUGAGUCAUAAAAUUUGAUUUGAUUCUAAUGAAAUUACAUCUGUGCGAACAAAAGUGAAGGGGAAAAUAAUAAUAAUAAUAAUAAUAAUAAUAAUAAUCACCUUUUCAUCGAAGAGGGGUUGUACUUGAUGAGCCAGCAAAAAGUUCUCUUCUGAUGUUAAUUUUUGAGGUUCCUUGUUAUUUGUUGUCACAUGCACUACAGAGUUGGAUAUGAAUGUUUCCAUAUCAGGGCAAUUCUCAAUAGUUAGAUUCUCCAACUCAGACAGUUCAAUUAUAUUCCCAGUGAAGUUGCAGAAUCUUUUGAGUUUUGGAAGAUCAAUGAGCCUUAGUCUGUUAAGCCUAGGAAACCGGGGGCCUAUAUGUUCUUCCUUAGCAUUUAGCUCUUCUAAAUGAAGCACCUCUUCUAUUAAAUCACAAUUCCUCACUUCCAGGCAUCUCAAAUUGUUCAAGCAACGUAGCAGAUUGGUAGGAAUAGCACUCGACAUAUUCGUGCAGUCAUCCACAGCCAGUUGUCGUAAAUUGUUGAAGAAGCUGACAGGCACUGCUUGGCCGUGCCAUAUUUCUCUCAAGCGUGGAAAAUGUGAGAGUUGCAAAUGCUCUAUGUCACGGAAUCCAAUCUGCAUAAACCAAAACAAUUGCACUGGAUAUAUAUAAAUUUCUUUUUUUGAAAGGCAUUAGAUAUAUAUAUACAUUAAACUUACAUGUUUUGUGCUUUAACUUCUAAAAAUAUAUUUACAACGCAGGUGUAUAUGUUUAAAUGUGGUAUAGUGGAAUUAAGCUUAUUGCCAUUACUUCGUAAUGGUGUUCGUAACACCAUUACUUCGUAAAGUGAAUCGAUUAACACAUACCAUUACUUCGUAACACUUUUGUAUAGUGGAAUUAAGCUUAUUGCCUUCCCAAUGGUGUUCACCCUCUUCCCUUUCAGUCACUUGCACUACGUAUAGCUUUGGUGUGGAUGAGAUUCCCCGAGAAAAAGUCUUCAUGUUCGGACAAUGUGUCAUAGAAACUUGUUCCAAUGAUGGGAAUUCAAGAGUGUAAUUCUCCAAACAAAAGCUGGUAAGCCUUGGUAAAUCAUCAAGUUCCAAAAGUUUUAAUUCGUUGAAAGCAAUACGAUUCUCCUUCGCUUCUUCUCCAACAUGUCCUAUGAUUUCUUCUAUUUUUGCACAGUCUGAUACAUCAAGAUUCACUAGACUAUUGGGAAUUCCAACCUGAAAAUAAAGAGUAGCAUUCAACUAGAUUCAAAGUAUGUCAAAAUCAUACAAUUGUUUUAUGAAAAAUAACAAACCAUGAAUGUCUACUAGAUAUUUUUUGUUAAAGAAAAAAAAGAAAAAAUAAAAAUAAAUAAAUAGAAGUCCAGAAAAACAAAGAUAAUGAAAAUGCAUUUACACUAUUUAGUAUUAGGAACGGAGAAAGAAUUUCAGGUAAUUUUUAAAUAUUCUAAAUUCAUUUUUCAUCUCGAUGCUAGUUUUUUAAAAUUUUUAAUUUUCAAACAUGCCUAUUUUUAAAAUAACUAAACUAAAACGCUGUAUUUCCCUUUUUUUUUUUUUCCCGAUAUUCAUGCUUUUAAAAAUGGAAAACAUUUCUGGAAAACACUUCCCAACGCCAUCAACAUGGGACUGUUAUAGAGUGAAUAUUUGAGGAAUUUUUUAAUCAACGGUCGAUUCAAAAUGACCAUCAUGAAUUUGUGCUUAAUCAAUGGCGUAAUCAAUUCAUAACUAAACUAGAGAUAUUAACUACAUUUGAACACUUUUCUUUAUUUUUUUUUAAAUCGAAAUUUGAAGACCCAAGGAAAAGAGAAAUAUAUAUGAAUUUGUGAGCUUAAAAGCUGAGUAACUAAGUAUCUUUUAAUUUCUAAAAAUCUUAUUUAUUAGGAUUUAAGGAAAAAAACAAUUAAAUUGAAUUAUAUUAUGCUGUUAAAUCGUGUUUAAAACAAUUAUAUCGUUGACUUUAAUGCGGGUGAACCUAUAAAUUAGAUUGACAAUGCAGAGUUCAGAAUGGUGAUUUGAAGUACACUACUUUUUUGCCCUCCUGAUGUUUGAAGUAAAAUACUUGCAAUAAAUAAUUUGUGAAUGAAAAUUAUUUGUAAACACAAAAAUGAUUAAAAUAAUUGUUGAAUGUUACUUGAAAUAAAAAUUCAAAAUGAAUAUAGCAAUCUUACCAAUGGAGGAAAAAUAUUCAGUAGAUUAUUACACCCAGAUAUCUUCAAUUUUUUCAAUUUGCUAAAAGACUUCGAAGCAAGCUGGUGGUGCCAUAUUUUUCUCAACUUAUCCGCCUCACUAAUAUGUAAUACCUCCAGACUUGGGAGUCGUACCUGAAGUUAAAAAUUCAAUGCAAUUAGAGAUGUAUAUUAAUUAAAUUUGAAGACUCAACGAAAAGAGAAUUUAAAAAUUCAAUGAAAAAAAACCUUUUCAUCAAAGAGGGAUUGAGGUUGCAUUUCAGUGUGAAUGACGUCUUCUGGUGAGGCAAAGCUACUUAGUUUUGGAAGCCAAUGGAGCGACAGGUAGUGUAGUUUGGGAAAAACCUUAAAUUCAUCUCUUCCUCCUAACGUCGUGGUGUUGACUACCCCUUCAAUUGACCGGCAAUUACGAAUCUCAAGAUGUUGGAGUUGCCCAAGACUAUUAACCAUAGAAUAUGAAAACAAAUACUUCAGACGAUGACAACUCCACACGGUCACUUUUGUUAAAUUUUGACAACAAUAUAUUCCCUGAAAUUGAUCGGACCAUAAUUUUUUUAUAUUUGUUAAACUGACAAGUUCCAGUUCCUCCAAGCGUGGAAAAGUAACCUGCAAAGAAAAACCAUACAUUUUUGUUCCUUCAACUACAACUUCUAAUAUAAUAUUCUUUCGAUGAUUGAAGAUCAAUCGUGAUAAUAUAUUAAUUAAUUAAUUAUUAAACAGAAAAUUAUUACCUGGUGAACAGGAUCAUCCUCUGCAUUGAUUUCUAUGAAUCCCUGAGUUGUUGUUGGUUUCUCCAUGUCGGGCCCUAUAAAUGAACCAAAACAAUAUAUAAUAAACAUCCGUUGUUUUUUUCCCCAAAAAAAGAAAAAGAAAAAAAGAAAGAGUCAAUGUCAAUAAUCCUACCAAUAAUUAAUUUCAACACUUACCAAUAAUCAUUUUCAAAUCAUCGCAGUCUUCCACUUUUACUUUUUGAAGCCGCAAUAGGUUUUUGGCCAUAGAGAAUGAGAAGAGAUACUUCAAUUUUCGACAGGAAUCUACGUUUAUAAUCCUUAAGUUGCUGAAGGAUUGAUCUUCUCUGAGUUGGCUGUAGCAUAUCGUCUCCAAAUUAGUUAAAAACAUAAGAGACAAUGCCUCCAGCAAGGGAAAGACUUCGCAACGAACCCUAACUGAACCGACAAUAUGUAAAAUCUCAGAACAGUCUGUUACGAGAAGACGCUUCAAUCGUGGAAAACCUUCCCCAUCGUCUAAUUCAUGAACAACACUUUGAACACCCUCCAAUGUUUCUAGCCAGAGAUCUUCAGUUCUCUGCAGCAACAUUUUUGUCCCAUCAUUCUCCUGAAGAAUGCUAACUUUUUUUAUCCCCUUGAGCAUCAUCAAUCUUGAUGCUUCAGAUUUGACGAGCAAUGGGUCAAACUCAUCUUCGGGCCCAUCUCCUAUACGUAUCUUAUAUCUUUGCAAUUCCACAGAGACAAAAUCCGGCGGCAGAAUUUCGGCAUCCGGAACUUCUAUCUCCAAAGUAGUUAGCUCUGUCAACCUCUCCAAUUCGACAAGACUGGCAUUACUUCCUCCUUCAACCUUCUCCCACCCUGAAAAACCGUUACCCAUAUACAAUUCUUCUAAUUGAGAAAAAUUUUUGGAUAUGACAUUUCGGUGCUAUUCACCUUCAAGCCCACCAAACAAUUGCUCUCAAAUCUAGGAAAUUGGUAACCGCGGCCAAUNNNNNNNNNNNNNNNNNNNNNNNNNNNNNNNNNNNNNNNNNNNNNNNNNNNNNNNNNNNNNNNNNNNNNNNNNNNNNNNNNNNNNNNNNNNNNNNNNNNNGCGAGGCUGAGAAUCUCUAUUUCUUUAGUGUCCCAAUUGCGCUAUAUCUGCUAGUCGCACCAGUCUAAACACAAUGUUUGAAGGUUAAUGAGGCGACCAAGUGAUGAAGGUAAUGAAGAAGAGCCAAUUCCAGGAAACUGUAAAACUUUGAGUCCUUCCAUCCCUUCAAAAAAGUGGUCUGAAACUUGCAUAGGGCCAUUACCCUCCGUAUACAACAAAAAUAACUGGAGAUUGGGACAUUGCAACCUUUCAGGGAGCUCUUGAAUAUCUCUAUGAGGUAAUGAAAUAGCAAUUGGAUCUUUCUGUAUUGUCUCUUCCAUCUUUUUCUCCAAGUCAGCAACAUUUGGAACAUUAAACAUGCGCUCCUCUCUGGCAAUUGAUACGGCAACAACAUGAAUGACGUCAUGCAUUUUAACUUCAUCUUCAGCAUCACCGUCCAACAAUAAGCAUGAAGAUUUGAGGUUGUCGAUCAACCGAUGCACUCUACUCCUUGCUUCUUCCAAUGUGUAAACAUUUUCAAACAAACCCCAACCCACACCACAUCUCAAUAAGUCAGAAACUUGUAUGACAUUACCUUCACUGUAUAGACUACAAAGACGGAACAGAGAUUUUGCCUCCUCACUUUCCAAGAAGUCAUAACUCAAUUUUAUGGAGGUGUACACAUUUGCUUGCAUGCCAUGAAUUUCUCUAGCAUCCGAUCUUCUUAGCUGAUUCAAUGCAUCUUUCCAAAAGUAACUAUCCUUAGUUUUCAGAGCAUUUGCAACUGUACUCAGUGCAACAGGCAAACCUCCGCAUCUUUCAACGAUCUCAUUUGCUAUACUUUGAAAAGCGGAUAUUUUAGUUGAAUCACCCACUAUCUUUUCAAAUAACUGCAAUGCUUCUUUUGGUGGCAAAGCAUCGAUCGGGAAAUUUUUCUGAGAAUUCAUAUCAAUGCGCAAUAAAUCUCGACUUCUAGACGUCAAUAUUAUUGUGCAUCGUCUCUGAUCAUCCUUUGUAUCUUUCUCAUCAACAUCCCCACAAGGAAUUCCAACUUUUUCGAACUCGAGUUUUUUCCAAAUAUUAUCCAAUAUAACGAGGACCUGCUUCUCGUUCUUCAAUCUUUCACGUAAUCGAUCUGCUCUUUCGAAUUUAUUCUCAUCCGAGCCAAAUUUCAUGCCUAAGUCAAAAGCAAGUUUCUUUUGAAUUUCCUGAUGAUCUGGGGUCUGUGUUACCUCAGCCAUAACGACCUUGUCGAACACCUUAUCUUCCAUAACUUGCCUUGCAACUUGCUUGACUAGCGUGGUUUUACCCACGCCGCCCAUCCCGUAGACCCCAAUUAUCUUGAGCUUAUCAUCCUUCAACGCCUCCACAACAUCUUCAAAUACUUUCAUUCUUGAAUCAAAGGCCUCGAAAUCUUUCACUUGCAUAUGUUCUGCCCGCUUUGGAGCAGGACGGUAGGAAACAUUAGAGAAGUUACAUUUUCCCAUGAGACUAGCAGCAGCUUCUGCGGCCUUUGCUGCUUGUCUACUGAGCUUGUAACGAGAAAUCAAGUUUGGGCACAAUCCUUUGAAACAGAACUUCUUAGCUCUAUCUUCAUCAUCAGUGAUGGAUUUCGCAGCUCCCUGACUGAAUUCCUUGACGCUAUUAAGCCAGUCUGCAACAUCCUUAUAAAUCUCAUCUCCUUGUUGAGUAGCCUGAUGAACGGGUAUUUCCACCCUUUCUCUUUUAUAUCCCAACUGUUUCACUUGAUCUUUUAGGCCAUCUAUGUAGCUCUGGUACUUGAACACAUAAGAGAUCUGCCGUAUAAUCGGUUUGAACAGUGACUUUGCAUCUUCUGAUACGAUGCUGGAAAAAGCAGCCAGACCCACUUCUGCAACCAUUGCCUGUUGCUUAACAAUAUAUGUAUAUAUAUGAAUAAAAUGAAUAAAAAUGUCAAAGAAAGGAAUACAAAUAAAUUAAAAUGAACUAGAGGGAAAGACAGAGAAAGAAAAGACCGCAAACAACAUCGCGAUAUUGAUUUUGAACCAACUGAUACAUAAGUAGAGAAUUUCUUUUUCUAUCUUAAGGAUCAGAGGUUUUGCUAUUAACAGAAAGGUAUCCUUUAAGGAAAGUUGAUGGAAAUUAAGAAAGAAUGGCUAUCAAGAUCAAGUAUUCUGCUACUAAAAAUAAAUGAUAUGACUUAAGAAAAGUAAAUGAUAUGAUUAAGAAAAACCAGAGAAUUUUUUCCUAGGAAAGUUGAUGGAAAUUAAGAAAGAACCGCUAUGAAGAUCAAGUAUCAGAGAUUCUGCUACUAAAAGAAUAUUACAGGUUUUAGAACAAGUGCACCUCUUUACCUGUCUGGGAUCAGAGUCGAUGAGCUGCUGUAUUCACCUUGAAUAUAGAAGAAAUAUUACAGGUUUUGACUAAAGAGGAAUGUGAGGAACGAGUUGAUGAGAGUAAUAACAAUGAAUUUCCAAAAGAAGACGACUUGAGCAUUAAGCAUGCACCCCCUUUAUCAAUCAAAUAUUGGUACGUAUGUACGUAGGGACCAUUAUGCGUAUAUGAAGUCCAUUAGUUGCAAUCAGAAACCCUGGCCCAAUUUAAUUGACACUCGAUUUUUGAUAAGAAGAAGGCAAGGAUAAGGACAAAGUCAAUCAAUCACCAACAGUAAUUACUUCAAUCUUUGUCAAUCUACUUAAAUUGUCGAUCAACAUGAAAAUUGUUUAAAUUGAUAUUUGUAAAUCAAUCAAUUUUCUAGUUACUAUGAUUAUAACGUUUCACCUUUCAUAUUGGAUUUUAUCUUUUCGAAAGUUUUCAAAUAUGAGUGUCAAUAAUUAUUGAGACUCCAAGCCGUGCUCUCAAGAUCGUGCUGACAAAUCACUAUUGACUUUGUUUAUGCAAAAUUCAAAGAAAAAAAGUUAUGGUUUUGUAUUGCCAGCCCUGCUACUUUUUGUUUUUUUCAUUUGUAUUAUUUACGAAUUAUUUUUUAACAGAAACAUGAGAACUCAUCAUCGUAUAAAAUUGCAUGAAAAAAUCUUCAAAUUUAUAAAAGUAAAUUUCAUUGACAGAUUGUGGAUAUGUUAGAAAGAAUAAGGAUAAGAAUGAGUUAAGAAAUAAUAUAUAUAUAUAUAUAUAUAUAUAUAGAUAGAUAGAUAGAGAGAGAGAGAGAGAGAGAGAGAGAGAGAGUGAAAGUAAACAAUGUUUUGGUACAUUUGGUAUUGUUUUCAAAAUAUUUUGAAAAGAAAAAUUUUCAAUUAUCCAUCUAAGAAUUAUCUUAUUAUCCAAAAAGUUAUAAAAAUUUAAAAAUAUUUAAUUUUAUACCCAUUAUUACAAUGUGUAUCAACUGUUUACUAAAAAAAUAAAGUUACUCCUAAAACAUAAUCACCACUACAAUUUUGUGUUCGGUUCUAUUUUGUCACUUUGAACGAAUAACUUUAUAUUUUUAACAGAUGUUUCAUACAAAUUGCAUACAUUGGAUGUAAAAUUAAAUAAAUUUAAAUUUUUAUAAUAAUUUUAAUAAUUGAAUAAACUUUGAGUAAAUGACUGAUAAUUUCUCUUUUAUAAGCUACAAGAAGUUAAAAAGAAAAAAGAAAAAAUAGGAUGAUAAUUUCUCUUUUAUAUGCCUCAGAUGAUUUAUUGUUUCGGGUCUAAGAUUUUAAUUAUUCAACUUAAAAGAUUAAUAUAUUAUAAAUUAAUUAAUUAAAUAAUCAUUAAGCAACUAAAUUGGGUCCCCUGGAUGUCAAUUCCUUUAAUAUUGACGCAACUAUUUUUUUCUGGCAAAUAAUUAUUAAUGCACUGACGGAACUUUUGCAUAUCUACACAGCGAUUUUAAAUAUUACUGGUAACUGCUGAGAAAUGUGCGAGAAAGAAGUUGAUGAGAGUAAUAACAGCGACUUGCAAAAGGAAAAGACAGAAUCAUUCACCCCUUUUUGUAUCACCUAUUUGGUUACUGUUUCCCUGUUGACGCAUGUAUAAAUUUGACUGGUUUUUCUGCACUUUUUUGGCUGUUGCUUAACAAUGUGUGUGUGUAUUUGCUGUUGAAAAAAUUGGAUUCAAAUAAAUUAACUGAAAGAUUAGAGUUUUGACUAUUAACUGAAAGGUUUCAAGGGUAUGAAUGAAAAGCAACAUUCUUUUUUAGAAACUAUUUUAGAGGAGAGAUGCAAAUUAACAAAUGCUAAUAACAAGAACACAGAAGUUAACAAUGAACAGUAACUUAAAUCAAGAAAAUUAAAUGACAAAAUUAAGACAAACAAGAGAUAUUUUUUUCUUGGACAUUAAGAAAUAACUGCGGUCAAGAUCAAGGAGAUUAUGCUAUUAAUAGAAAUUAUCAAAGGAUUUAGAACAAGUUCACCUCUUUAAUUAUCCGGGAUCAGAUAGUUGAUGAGCUUCUCUAUUUAGCCUUGAAUAUUUAAGAAUAAUUUUAAAGAGCAAAAAGAUCACUGGUAACUGCUGAAAAAUAAGUGAGAAAAGAGUUGAUGAGAAUAAUAACAAUGAAUUGAAUAAAAAAAGGACUUAAUCAUGCACCCCCUUUGCAUAUCAUGUAUUUGGUUACUGUUGCCUUGUUGACGCAUGUAUAGAAUAAUUACAUGUAUUAUUAUAAUUUUGGAUUCGAUAUCCUUGUAUUAGUGUCUAAGAUUUUCAUGAAGAAUUAAACUUGGAAUGACCAAAAGAGGAAGCUGCAGUGUAUUGUUGGACCCAAUUAAGUUGAAGAAAGCACUAGUUCACAACCUUACGUUUGGAUAUAUUCUAAAGAAAUAAUUAAACAGCAAAUCAUCACAUGCACUUUAAUGAUUUGAUCUAUUGUUUUCAAAAGAAAUUGCAAUUAACAGUUUUUGUCAAAAGUUCGCACAGCGUGAAACUAGUGUUAGUAUAAUUUAAAAAAUUAAUUUCAGUAUUAUUUUUUAAAAUGUUAAUUAUUAGAUUUAUUUUAAUAAUAUAUUUAUAUUUAUUAUAAAAAAUUUAGUUAAAUAUUUGUGUUAAAUAGAAUUUAUAAUUAAUUUAAUAUAUCUUAGGUAUUAAUAAUAUUAUAAUUAUUCUAUAUGCUAUUGAAAAUAAUUUAAAUUUUUAGACAUUUAUUUUAUAUUAAGUUUCUAUUUAUUACAAAAUUUAGUUUAAUAUAGUAUAAGCUUGUAAAGUAUUAAAAUAUUUUUUUCAUUUUUUUUAAAAUAUUAAAAUUAUUUUAAAAUAUAUAUAUUAACAUUGAAGCUAAUUUUUUGAGUUAAUAGAGCUAGUAGGUGUUAUAGUAAAAAAGAGUAUCUUAGUAUCUCUUAUUGAAAAUAUAUAGAUCUAUAUAAUCAUUUUUUCAAAUAUUGAGAUGUAGAAAAAUAAAUUAAAAAAUUUUAAAUUUUAAUAUGGCCAUCGUAGGGUUAGAAUCCCCGCUCCAACCCGAUUUGGAGAUUUAUGUUUUUAAAAAAAAAAAGAACAAAGAAAAAAUACACACCCGACCAAAUCAAGCACCUCAUCAAAUCAAAAAUAAAAAAGGAAAGAAAUUAAUGGCUUGCAUGCAAUUUUGGAUCUGAAAUUAAAAUUACAUAAAAAUUAAGGCUUACGUACCUUAAUAUUUACAGCUUGUUUGAUGGCCCCAACAAGUUUAAGCAGCAUCAAAAUGUUGUGGCUCCUUAAAUGACAACAUCGACUUGUUUGACAGCUCCAACAAGGCUACGAUGAUCAGAAGAUGAGCCCUCAAUCAACAAGGCUAAGAUUGGCUUCUCUAUCCUCUGCCGACAUGUCCUCUUCUCCCAACAACCAGCGCCUUGCUCUUUGUCAUUUUUCCUCUUGUUAGUUUUCUUCUACAUAUAAUUAUUACACUGGGAAGUAUACACACACUUCUUUUCUUUUUAUAGUACCUUACUAUUAUAUCUUUACAAAACAAUAUCACCCUAAGACAUAUAUGUAUGAAAUAAAUAUAUAAGGAACGGACGAAAUAAAAUUAGAUCUAACACUAGUUUCAUGUGGUGUGUGAACUUUUGACAAUCCUCUCAUACCCCAACAAAAACUUUGUCAUAUUACAAAAGUUAUCACGACCAUAGACUUUUCAAUUGCAUAUUGGAAUUGCAAUGUCAUUUUAUUAUAGUAAUGUCAUUUCCAUUAUUCAUAGUGGCAGACAAUGGACAUCACGGGACACGGCUAGAAGUUAUCACGACCAUAGACUUUUCUAAUUUAUGAAAUAAAUGAAAUUAGAUCUAAUUCUAGUUUCAAGUGGUGUGAACUUUUGACAAUCCUCCCAUAUCCUAACAAAAGCUUUGUCAUAUUGCGAAAAUACCUUUUCAAUGUUUCAAUUGCAAUGUCAUUGCCAUUAUUCAUAGUGGCAGACAAUGGACAUCACGGGACAUGGCUAGAAGUCUAUGUUACGGCUUCUGUAAGUAACAGCAGCCAAUGGGGAACUUCCAUGGGGGCUAUAGGAGAGAGAAAGAGGUCCCAAUACAAGUGUUAGAGUACAAUUUAUACACUAGUUUUGCAUUGUUUACUUCCCUUAAUAUCGAUGUUUUGCAUUUAAUAAUAAUGAUUUACUUGUGUUUUACUUUUGUAAGUGCAAUUCUAUUGAUUUGUGAUAGAAUUGAGGUAUAAGAUGAUGUUUAAAGAUGAUUGUUCUCUUGGAGAAAUUUAGAGCGUCAGAAGAACUUUAUAGAUAAGGCGUGGGCGCGUGCUGUCAACUGCGGACCUGCAGUUUUUAGUUUAAUGUGUUUUGUAUUUUUGGCUAUUUUUGUAAUUACGAAUUUAAUAUUUCAAAUAUUAUUAUUUUAUUUUAAAUAGAACUUUAAAAGAGAAGAGAGAGAGAGUAUUUAAGGGAGGAAUCUAUUGUGAAAAAGGGGGGAUUUUAAUUGGAGAAAAAGAAAGAAACCCUAGAUCUAAUUUUUCUCUUCUCUCUAUGAAAAACUAAACUUAUUUUUUCUAGUUGAAGGUUAAUGAAUUUUUGAUUCAUCACUACUGUGAGAUCUUUCUUAUGCUUUAAUUGUUUUAUUACUUUUUGGGUAUUUGUUUAUUCUCUGAAUUAGUUUCAUGAUUAUGUUUGUUAAUUAGGUAAUUGGCCACUAUUUAAUUAUCAACUUAAUCUAUUGUCAAUUAAAGAAUUCAUCGUAUGACGAGUUUAAUGUUUGUGACAAAUAACAUAGCAGUGAGUUGUGUUAUGGGAAUAAACAAUCUAAUUUAAAUGAAUCAUCAUAUGUGUUGAUUAGGAUUUGGGUCGCUCUGGUUUUUCAGGCUGUCAAUUGAUUAAAUCCUAUGAUCGUAUCUAGGGUUGUCUAUUAAUUAGGGAAAUAUCCAAUGGUCGUACCUUGGUUAUCGACUAGUUAAGGAGAGAUUGGCUAUUAGAGGGUCUCAAUAGCUAUAACCAGUUUAUUCAUAAGUAAUAAUAAUCUAUUUUUGAAUCAAUGAUCAGUAGUCGAAUCAAACUGAGUUAAUUCCUUCAACCAAAGCUUUCUCCAAUUUGAAUUACAACUUUAAUUUGCAUUUUUGUUAUUUUAAUUUGAUUUUUUAUUAUUGUCAACAAUUCUCCCAUUUUACGUUUUACGUUUCAAAAGAAUUUAAAUAAUUACCGAUCUCUGUGGACACAACCCUGCUCAAUCACUAUACACAAUUUAUUUAGAGUAGGAAUUUAUUUUUAUUGGCUUCAACAACCAUCAACAAGGUGAUGGAAAUGGGAAAGUUCGAAGCUGUUACUUUCAGCUUCUGCACCGUAGCCAUGUCCCACGGGACAAGGCUAGAAGUUAUCAUGACCAUAGACUUUUCUAAUUUAUUUUUUCCUUUCAAAAAGGGACAAGGAUAAGUUUGGGAGAAUGAUUAUAUUUUUAAUAAAAGAAUUCUUUUUUAUUAUAAUACUUUUUGUCUUUAUUAAUUUAAAAAUAUUAACUCUUAUAUUUUAAUAAAUAUAAAUAUAAUAUUAUAAUAACAUAUAACAAUAUAUACAAAUAUUUAAAAAAAUUUAAGAUUUUAUUAAAAUAAAUUUUAUAAUAAAUAAAAAUACAUUAUUAAUAUAAUUUUAAUAAUUUGCAUUUUAAAAAGUAAUACUGAUAUUAUUUUUUAAAUAUUAAUUUUUUAAAUUAUAUUACUCUACCAAAAAAAAUUAAACUAUUAAAUUAUAUUGAUAUUUAUUACAAAAUUUGCAAUUAAUUCUUAUUAUAUUUUUAAUUGGAAUUUGUUCCUGUGAUAUAACAACAAUUGCUACAGUUUUUUCCCUAAAUAAAGAUGGAGUUAUAAAUUAUUUGUGUAAGUGUCAUGAAAGUAAUAGUUGAAUAACAAUAAUGGGGCUUUAGGCAAUUUUUUUUAUGAGGUCUUCUUGCAAUUUCAACACUUAAACAGACUUGUCCUUGAUCCCAAUUUAUUUACCCCAUUUGGGCCCACGAUGAGAUAAAUAUAUUCCUGUGAGAUGAAAAACAUCAGGAGAAGAAAAUGUUUUAUUAUAAUAAAAAAACAAGUGGUCCAUAAGUCUAUUUAUUACUUUUUUUAUUCAAUACAAAUGGCCAACUUAAAAAAUGAUAAAAAUCACAUAACGCACAAGCAAAAAUUUAGAUUUACAUUUUUUAGUUCUCUCCGUGUCUCUCUUUCUCUUUUUUAAAAAAAAUAAAUAAAUGUCAGUGUAAAAUUAGAAAAAUUUUAGAUAUAAACUUUGGCGAUGACCAAACAAAAAUUGCAAGGGAAAGAAAAUAGAGGACCCUUGAUAUCAUUAAAAUACUGAUCAUAGACACUACAAUAUAAAUAACUUGUUGUGAUCCACUCAACUUGUAACACUUUAAUCCAUAUUCUAAAAUUUGUAUGUUUGUUAGGAAUUUUAUUAUUGACAUUACUGUACCAAUAAAAUUCUAAUUUAUUCAUAUGGAAAGAAAACAUCAAGAAAGGACCUCUGAUUUUUAUUAUAACAGAAAAAAGUGGUCCAUAAGUCUAUUUAUUAUUUUAUUUAUUCAAUACAAAUUGCCAACUUAAAAAAUGGUAAAAAUCACAAAAUGCACAAGUAAAAUUUUAGAAUUACAUUUUUUUUAAUUCUCUUUGAGUCUCUCUCUCUCUCUCUUUAAAAAAUAAACCUCACUGUAAAAUUAGAAAAAAUUUAGACAUAAAAUUUGACAAUCACCAAACAGAAAAUGUAGGGAAAUGAAAAUGGAGGAGCCCUAUUAUCAUUAGAAUAUUGAUCAUAGAUACUAUAAUGUAAAUGAUUUGUUGUGGUUCAUUCAACCUGUCACACUCUAAGCCAUUUUCUAAAAUUUGUAAGGUUUAUAGGAUUUUUAUUAUUGGCAUCAUUGUAUCAAUAAUAUUAUAAAUUAUAUAUUCUAUUGUAAUGAAAAUUUGUGUAAUCUUAGGUAUUUAUUGUAUUAAAUUGUGUGGAUUAAUUAAGAAUAUUUUUGGAGACAAAAGAGGUGUGUGUACGUAGGAUUAAUAAUAAAAAAUUUCUAAAUAAAGGUGAUUGCUUCAUUGACAAGUACAUAUUUAUAUUCUCUAUUAGUAUUUGGGUUGUAAACUUUGUUUAUAAAGUGAAUAUAUUGUGGUAAGCGAUGUGGGCAAUAUCGGAUGCAAAAUAUUGAGAGAUCAUUAACGCAUAUAUUUAUUGCAUAUAGAGGAAAGAGUGUAGAUCCGGCCGUAACAAUUAUGAAGCUUUCCCCAAGUAUUCUCACGCUUCCUUAACUGUUCCAAAGUAUUUUUCAUAGUGUGCAGAUUUACUUUAUGGUGUCUUAAUUCGUCUAAAAUGAUUACUUUAGUUCUUUUGGGAUGAAAGGUCAUUUAUUGUGUUAGGAUUAAACAAUAGAAAAAAUAAGUAAUGGUAACGAAAGACUAAUUUGUGAUAUUGAAGCAUACAUGCUUAACUCAAUCCAAAACUUAGUAAGUUAGCUCAAGAGUUAAGAGUUGUCCAAAUCUUAUAUGCUGAACCCAAGUUCAAUACUCAAUUGAUGCAGGAUGUUAUUCCUAACACCGCCCGUCAUGCGUAGGAUUGGCAAAAAAACUCGAGUCAAUCCCGCCUAGACCUGCAAGCUUUAUUUAUGGCCAGCAUGAUGAAGUUACAGAUAUUAACCUAAAAAUUUGAAACUUACUAUGAAUGGCCUUGGUUAAAGACUUUUGUAACUUUAAUUUAUAACAAAUAUGUAUACACACACACACAUGUUUAGAUUGCAUUUGGGUGACUUUUUUUAUCAAUGCAAACAAUAUCAAAUUUAUCGGAUUAAUUUGAAUCUGAUCUAUAUCCGAUUUUGCCCGCCAUAAGCCCAAGUGACUCUCUUUUACUAAUUAAUAAGGGAAUUUUUUGACCUCAUGUCCUUGCUGUGGCAUUAGACUGUUGGUCAUUUUGAUUGUUUCCUACCUUCCAUUUACGCCAGCUGUAACAUUGUAUUAUUCACCAUUUUAGCCAUUUAAAUGAAAUUUUAUUUUUGUCAAAAAUAAAAUGACACCCUUAAAAUAAAAAAAAAUAGUUAUGUAGACCUCAAAUUUUUAAUAAAGAAUGUCAAUACCUCUUUUAACUACAAGAUUCGUAGUAGAUGAUAAAAAGAAAAUUAACUUCAAAUUUUUUCAUUAAAUGUAAAUCUGAUUGAAGUAGUUUAAAUUUUUCUAGUAGACUAAUAUAUAUAACUUAAAUAAUUAAUUUCAUUAUUAAUUGUUAAAAUGUUAACCAAUAUAUUUUUAAUUUAUUAUAAAAAUUUUAAAUAAAUCCUUGGAUUAAAUAGAUUUUACAAUUAAUGUAAUACUUCUGAUUUAUUAAUAAUAUUAAAAUUAUUUUAUAUGAUAUUCAAAAUAAUUUAAACUUAUAUAUAUAUUAAUAUUAUGUCUAUUUAUUAUAAUAUGGUUUAAUAUUAUACGGGAUUGUAAAAUAUUAAAAUAUUUUUCAAUAUCCAAUUAUUUUAAUAUGUAUAUAUCAUUACAUUUAUUUUAGUAUCAUAUUUAUAUUUAUUAUAAAAUAUAAAAUUAAUAAAAUUAAAGAGUAUUGCAGUAAAGUAAAAAAGAAAAGUCUUAUUAUCUCUUAUUCACGAUAUGAGAUUCUACAAAAUUAUUUCCCGAAACGGGUGUCCUUUUCUCAUUUUCAAAAGAAAAAAUAAAGUAAGAAUAAGUCCAUGGGUUUCAAAAACUUCUAGUCUUAUCCCGGGACUACAUUGUCUGCCACUAUAACUAAUGGAAAUGACAAUACAAUUGACAUUGCCUUUCGCAACAUGACAAAUUUUUGGUGGGAUAUGGAAGAAUUGUCAAAAGUUCACGCCAUGUGAGAGUUUUUGGUGGGAUGUGGGAGGAUUGUCAAAAGAUCACACCACAUGAUAUAACCACAAUUGCUAUGGUUUUUAUUUUUUAAAUAAUGAUGGGAGUUAUAAAUUAUUUAUAUAAAUUUGCGUAGAAACUAAUGUAACAUAAAAGAAGUAGCUGAAUAACAAUAUUUGGUGCUUUAGGUAAUUUUUAUAUGAGCCUUUCUUUUAUUUAGCGGCUCUAGUGCUUAAACAAACUUGUUCUCGAUCUUAUAACAGAAAAGGCAUCCCAUUUAAGCCUAUGAUGACAUAAUUAAACAUAUUCUUUUGUGACGAAAACAUCAAGAGAAGACAUCUCAUGUUUUAUUAUAACAGAAAAGAAGUGGUCCAAACGUCUAUUCGUUAUUUUAUUUAUUCAAUAUAAAUGGCCAACUUUAAAAAAAUGAUCAAAAUCACACAACACUCAAGUAAAAAUUUAGAAUUACAUUUUUUAAUACUCUCUAAGUCUCUCUCUCCUGCCCCCCCCCCCCCCACCCCGUCCCCUUUUUUGAAAAAAUAAACCUUAGUGUAAAAUUAGAAGAAUUUUAGAUAUAAAAUUAGAAGAAUUUUAGAUAUAAAAUUUGGCAAUCGCUAAACAGAAAAGCAGCGGAUUGAAAAUAAAAAAACUCUAUUACCAUUGGAAUAUUGAUUAUAGACAAUAUAAUAACUUGUUGUGGUUCAUUGUAGCACUCUGAGCCAUAUUCUAAAAUUUAUAGGUUUGUUAAGGCAUUUAUUAUUGACAUUAUUGUGUCAAUACUAUUAUAAUGAUAAUUUGUCUAGUCUUAGGUACUUAUUAUAUUAAAUUAUGUAAAUUAAUUGAGGAUACUUUUAGAGACAAAAGAAACACGUGUAUGUAGGAUUAAUAAUCGAAGAAUUGUAAAUGAAGGUGAUUGCUUCAUUGAGAGGCAUAUUAAAUAAUUAUGGAGAGUUGCACUAUUUCGGAAGCACAUAAUUAUACUUCCCUAUCAGGAUUUGGGGUAAACGAAGUGCUUUAUCUAUUGCAGUAAGCAAUGUGGACAAUAUCAGAGGCGAAAUAUUAAAAGAUCAUAACGCAUAUAUUGGAGCCAUUUAUCUUCCGCAACUGUUCUGAACUAUUCUUCAUUGUGGGCAGAUUUACUUAAAUACCUGCACAAUGAUUCAAUACUUCAAAGGUCAAGGAAAUGUCAAAAUAUGAAAUGAAAAUACUUAAAUACCCUUCUACCUAACAAAACUCGCAGAGAAUCUAUAAAAUUAAAAAAAAAAUAUUCAUCCAUGAAAAGCUUCGUAACAGAAAAACCGUCUUUCAAAAAAUAAAAACAGAAAAACUGACUCAUUUAUCUGCAAAUGAACCAAUCGGGACUCAUUUAAAAAAGAAUACAAAGCAAAAGUAAAUGACACAAAUUGCAUAGAUAUCUAGGAGCCGCAUCAAAAGACAAAGGUGUUAAUUUGUCCAAGAAUAAAUUCUCCUAGGUCAAAAGCAAUUAACGAUGAAAACUUUCUUCAUUAAGGUUCUGGCCUACGUAAAAAAACAGAAAAAAACCACCCCAAGGUCAAAGCACAACGAUAAAUUUAGAAAUGAAGUUUUUAAUUUUUUUUUAAUAAAUCAACGUGUAUCAAAAAUAGAUAAUAAUUUUGGAUAACUUUUUUUGAUAAAUAUAGACAUAAAAUUUUAAAAUCACCAAACAGAAAAACAGGAGAAUUAAAACAAAGUCCCUGUUUAUCCUCUAUUUUGCUUGUUAUUAAAAAGGGAAAUGAAAAGAUUGCAAGCGGAAAUUUUGUUUCUGCGUUGUCUCUUCUCAAUGCUGCAUGCAUUCAAAUUAAACCUUACAUAUGCUAGCAAACUAGCUACGCUGCAUGUAAGUUCUCGAUAAGUCCAAAUAAUAGAAUAAUUGUAAAAUGUUCAAAUUCAGUAAUUAAUUUUAUUUAUUUAUUUAUUCAAAAAUUAUUAUUAUUAUUAAUUAUUGUCAAUAAUAUAUUAAUAUACUAAUUAAUUGUAAAAAAAUUUAUCAUUCAUAACAAUAAUAAUGAUGAUGAUGACGAUAAUAAUAAAAAUUCAAAAUAUAUUAAUUAAUUAUAAUAAUAUAUUAAUUAUUUAAUAAUAAUAUAUUUAAAAUAUAUAUAAAUUGAUUAGAAUAGUUAUAUUAAUAAAUUAUAAACAUAUAUUAAUUAAUCAUAAUAAUUUUUUAAUUGAGGACAAAAUAGAUAUUUUAUAGUUUGUGAGAGGGGGCAAAAUGAUCAAUCUUGGGAAUGGGGGAUUGAUUCCCACCACCUUCCUUAGGAAUCAAUCUUCCAUUCCUCACUCCUAAUUUGGGUGGUCCCCAUAGUUCUGAUUCGGAUCCCAGCCUCCAUUUUAUGAAGUAAACAUCAUUAAUGAUUUCGAUUUCGGAUUUCGAUUCUCCAGUCCAAGAAGUAAAGGCACCAUUAUUGUUAAUUGGUUCAAACACACAAAGAGAAUGUACCAUGUAGCUAGGCGUCAAGGUUGUGUGGCACAAGUAACCUUUUUCUUUUCUUUUUAUUUUUCUUGUUUUCCUUAACGGAUCAGAAGAAAUCGGUGCCUUUGAGAUACUACAAUGUAAAUAAGUAUUUGUGGUUCAUUGAAUCUGUAACACUCGGUACCCUAAGGUUGCUUUUGAAAAAGGGCUUUUCUCACUGAUCACCAAUAUCCAAGUAAGUUUGUUUCAUUUCAGAAGGUGCAAAGUUUCAAACUUUUUGUAUUGGGAUGUAACAAACUUUGGCCUUAUAUGCUUGCUGUGACGUUAGACUGUUCAUUUUGAUUGUUUCCUACCUUCCACUUGCGCCACUGUAGCACUGUAUUAUUCAUCAUUUUAGUUGUUUAAAUGAAAUUUUAUUUUUGUCAAAAAUAAAAUGACACCAUUAAAAUUUAGAAAAAUAAUCAUGUAGAUCCCAAAUUUUUAAUAAAGAAUACCAAUAUUCCCCUUGACUACAAUACCCUUAGCAGGUGGUAAUCAAACAAAUUGACUUAAAAUUUUUUACGAAAUGUAAAUAUGAUUUAAAUAAUUUAAAUUUUCCAGAAGACUAAUAUAUAUAAUUUAAAUAAUUAAUUUCAAUAUUAAUUUUUAAAAUGUAAAUUAAUUUAUUUGUACUUAUAAAAUAUUUGUAAUUAUUUUAAAAUUUUAACUAAAUCCUUAGGUUAAAUAGAUUUUACAAUUAAUAUAAUAUUUCUCAGGUAUUAAUAAUAUUAAAACUAUUUUAUAUGACAUUGAAAAUAACCUAAAUUUUUUAUAUAUUUAUUUGAAUAUUAUGUCUCUAUUUAUUAUAAUUUGGUUUAAUAGAAUACGAGAUUGUAAAAUAUUAAUAUUUUAGAUAUUGAAAUUAUUUUAAUAUCUAUAUAUUAUUAUAUUUAUUUUAAUAUCCUAUUUAUAUUUAUCAUAAAUUAUUAGAGUUAAUUUUUUUAGUUAAUAAAUUUAAAAAUAUUAUAAUUUAAAAAAAGUCUUAUUGGCCGUUAUUCACGAUAUAAGGUUCUAAUAAAUUAUUUCUCUAGACAGGUGCCAUUUUCUUAUUUUCAAAAGGAAAAACAAGUUCAGGGCCUCGGGGGUUUCAAAAAAUUCUGGUCCUAUCUAUCACUAUGACUAAUGGGAAACGGCAUUGCAAUUGACAUUGCUUUUCGCAAUAUGACAUAUUAUGGAGGGAUAUGGGAGAAUUGUCAAACAUUCACACCACGCGAGAGCUUUAGGUGGGAUAGGGGAGGAUUGUCAAGAGUUCACACCACAAGAAACUAAUGAUAGGUCUAAUUUCGUUGUCAGUUCUUUAUUUAUUUAUUUUUUUUAUUUCAUACAUUAUUGUUCUUGUAAAGGUAUAAAAGUAAAGUAAAAUACUAGGGGUGCUGUUAAGUUACAACUGAUGUAACUUGUAAUUUUUUCAAAAAUAAUGUAAAAAAUUUAAUAGGUGGUGGGACUCACAUAUUUUUUAAGAGACUUAAGUUAUAGUAGUUGUAACUUAACAAAAUCUAAAUAUUAUACAAUAAUGCAUAUUAAUAAUGCAUAUAAUUUGGGUUUGAUUUUUAAAAGAUUAUUUGAGUACCACCUAUCCUUAUGAUAUUAAUGUGAUUAUAUCUUAAUAUUAAAUAAUCAAAAUUUGUUUAAUUAUUAUUUGUAUUUCAUACAUUACAUAUUAGAUUUGUUUGAAUUUUAAGUUGUUGCUAAUAAAUAUUUAUGUUGUCAAAGUCAAAUUCAAUAGCUACAAAAGCAGAGAUAAUGGUAUUGUAUAUAGUUUUUAAGAAUGCAAGGAUAAGCUGGAUAAUUGACAUAAAUUCUAAUGAUUAAAAGAGCAACUAUCCCUUAAAUUAUAAUGUUAAUUUCUUUAAUUAGAUUUUUUUUUUCAUGUGAUAUAACCACAAUUGCUACAAUUUUUUUUUAUAAUAAUAAUGGGAGUUAUAAAUUAUUUAUAUAAAAUUUGGGUUGAAACUAAUGUACCAUAAAAGUGGUUGCUGAAUAACAAUAUUUGAAACUUUAGGUAAUUUUCAUGAGUCCUUUUUAUAUUCAGCAACCUGAAUUGGGGAAAAUCCGACUUGAAUUGGCGGUUGAUUUUGGUGAUGUGGCUUUUGGUUUAUGGCGGCUUUACUGUGGCGGAAGACUGGAUUUACGGUUGCCGACUGCUAGGGAUUAUGGUGGUGGUGUAAAUUGACGGAAAAAGAAGGUGUUUUGGUGGCGGCGCGUGUAGGAAGCACUCGUGGGUUGUCGUUUCGUGUGGUGACAGAGGGCGGCGAUCAAGGGCCGAAGUCGGUCAGUUUUUGGUCAACGAAGGCCGGCGAGUUUGUUGGUGGAGGUGGCUGGUGGAGAAAGUGGCUGAAUGGUGGUGGGUUGCUUGGUGGAGCCGCAGGUUUGGGUUGGUGAUUUGCGGCUGUUCAAGCGGCGGUUGAGGCAGCGAUGACUGAGGCUUGGUCGACGGUGGCUAGUGAGGUUUGUGGUGGUGUUGGCUGGCUGAUUGGCGGUGGUGGGCGGCGGUGGGGGUUGGUCUGACGGGUAGGGUUUUCAAAUUUGUAAUUUUUUUUUUUGAUGGAUUUGGUUUGGAUGGGUAUGGUGUAUCUAGGAAAGAUGUGUGAUUCGCACAGAAUUGCUUUGAUACCAAUUGAUGGAGCGAGCGUAGCGGAAGUGGAAUUGAUAAGGUAAGAAAUACUAAAUAUCAUUCUAGUACUGGAUCAAGCCAACACAAUUAACUUACGCUUUAAUCAAAGCGUGAUUAGAUAUUGUUUUAAUCUAAAUGAUUCAAUGAGAUUUUUAAUAACGCGUAAUACGAGAUUAGAUGACACUCUAAUUUAAAUAACUCUAUAAGAGAGAUUUUGAUAAAUAAUACUAGAGGAAAUUAUAAAAAAAAGAGUUUUAUUUAAUAAUUGAAUUUGAAGUCCUGAAAACAAUGACAAGACAUCUUUAUUUUUUUUAUUACAGACAUCUUUAUUUAUAAUAAAAGAAAUCCACUUUCCUAAGUUAACCUAAAAAGAAAAUUUAAAUUAUAAUUAUAAUGGAAAUAAAAGAUUAAGAUACAUACCAUAAUUGACUCAAACAAAAAUAGAAAACCAUAAAAUAAUAAAUAUUUUAGAAUUAUAAAUUAUCUAAAAUAACGUUAAUUAACUUCCUAAAUCACGUCUUUGGUGUAAACCAUUUUGCAUCCAACCUUGCUUUAAAGGUUUGAACCAACGUUACGAACAACAAUGUAUCAAAUUCCAAUCUAACUUAAGAUCCUGAUACAUCUACCGAUGUCCUUGUUUGAUUAGACAAUAAUGAGUCUAUCUCAUCACUUGUUACCUCUUUUUUGAAGCUGCAUCUGUUGAAGUGAUAGCCUCGCUUAGAGUUUAAAGAUCUUCUUCCAUGUUAAAUAAAGUGGGCAUUUGAUUAAAAAACUUUAUCUCUAUCUCCUUCUAUCAAAUAACGAAAACUAUCCAAAGGAAAAAAAAAAAAUUAGAAAAGUCCAUGGGUUGCAAUAAUUUAUGGUCUGUCCUCGGACCCCAUUAUCUGCCAAUAUCAAUGAUGAAAAUGAAAAUAAAUGGCAUCUUCCCAAAAUGGCGAAAGAUUUUUAGGAGAUAUGGGGAAUUGUCAAAAGUUCCCACAACGCGAAAUAAGUGUUACAUCCAAUUUUAUUUCAUCAUAUAAUGAUAAUAUCAAGUAAUGACAGCCAUCUAAAAGUAUAAUGGGUCUUCCAAAAUUUUGAAAAUGUCGUCAACAUUUAAUCUUCAAUGCUAAAGAAGAUGAAAUGCCCAAAAAUGACAUGCAGGACCCACUCACAGACUAAACGGCCCUGACCACAUGCAACAAACUUUGACUUUAUGUCCCUGCUGAGGCGUUAGACUGUUGGUCAUUUUGAUUGCUUUUUACAUUCCAUUUACGCCAUUGUAGCAUUGUACUAUUUACCAUUUUAGCUGUUUAAAUGAAUUUUUUUUUCCAAAAAUAAAAUGACACCCUUAAAAUUUUAGAAAAUAAUCAUGUAGACCCCAAAAUUUUAAUAAAGAACACCAAUACCCUUUUUGACUAUAGUACUCUUAUGGUAGCCACAAAAAAAAAAUGACUUCAAAAUUUUUUACUAAAUGUAUAUAUGAUUUAAAUAGUUUAAAUUUUCUAGUAGACUAGUAUGUAUAAUUUAAAUAAUUAAUUUUUAAAAUGUAAUUUAAUAUAUUUAUUUUAAUAAUAUAUUUAUUAUAAAAAUUUUAAACAAAUCCUUGGGUUAAAUGGAUUUUAUAAUUAAUAUAAUAUUUCUCAUGUUUUAAUAAUAUUAAAAUUAUUUUAUAUGAUAUUGAAAAUAAUUAAAAAUUUUAUAUAUUUAUUUGAAUAUUAUGUCUCUAUUUAUUAUAAUUUGGUUUAAUAGAAUACGAGAUUGUAAAAUAUUAAAAUAUUUUUAGGUAUUGAAAUUAUUUUAAUAUGUACAUAUUAUUAUAUUUAUUUUAAUAUCCUACUUAUAUUUAUUAUAAAAUAUUAAAAUUAAUUUUUUUAGUUAAUAAAUUUAAAAAAUAUUAUAAUUAAAAAAAAGAGUCUUAUUGUCUGUUAUUCACGAUAUAAGGUUCUACAAAAUUAUUUUCAAAAGGAAAAAUAAGUCUAGGGGUUUCAAUAAAUUCUAGUCCUAUUUGCCACUAUGACUAAUGAAAACGACAUUGCAAUUGACAUUACUUUUCGCAAUAUGACAAAUUUUUGGAGGGAUAUGGGAGAAUCGUCAAAUGUUCACACUACGCGGGAGUUUUGGAUGGGAUUGGGGAGGAUUGUCAAGAGUUCACACCACAAGAAACCAAUGAUAGCCAUAAUUUUGCUAUCAGAUCUUUGUUUAUUUAUUUUAUUUAUUUCAUACAUUGUUGUCUUGUUGGCAUUGUUUUGCAAAGAUAUAAAAGUAAAAUAAACUAUUAGGGUGCUGCUAAGUUAAGCUGUUGUAACUUACAAUCCCUUAAAAAAUAAUGUAAAAAAUUUAACACGUGGUGGGAUCGACAUAUGUUUGAAGAGGCUUUAAGUUACAGUAGUUGUGACAUAGCAAAAUCCAAUUAUUAGACAAUAACGCACAUUAACAAUGCAUAUAAUUUGGGUUUGAUUUUUUGAAAAAUUAUUUGAGUAUUAACUAUCCUUAAGAUAUUAAUGUGAAUAUAAUUUAAUAUUAAAUAAUCAAAAUCUGUAUAAUUAUAAUAUAUAGUUCAUACAUUGCAUGUUUAAUCAAAAUCUGAUUGCUUUUUACCUUCCAUUUACGCCCACUGUAGCAUUGUACUAUUCACCAUUUUAGCUGUUUAAAUGAAAUUUUUUUUUUUUCAAAAAUAAAAUGACACCCUUAAAAUUUUAGAAAAUAGUCAUGUAGACCCCAAAAUUUUAAUAAAGAACACCAAUACCCUUUUUGACUAUAGUACUCUUAUGGUAUUCACAAAAAAAAAAAAUGACUUCAAAAUUUUUUACUAAAUGUAAAUAUGAUUUAAAUAGUUUAAAUUUUCUAGUAGACUAGUAUGUAUAAUUUAAAUACUUAAUUUUUAAAAUGUAAUUUAAUAUAUUUAUUUUAAUAAUAUAUUUAUUAUAAAAAUUUUAAACAAAUCCUUGGGUUAAAUAGUUUUUAUAAUUAAUAUAAUAUUUCUCAUGUUUUAAUAAUAUUAAAGUUAUUUUAUAUGAUAUUGAAAAUAAUUUAAAAUUUUAUAUAUUUAUUUUAAUAUUAUGUCUCUAUUUAUUAUAAUUUGGUUUAAUAGAAUACGAGAUUGUAAACUAUUAAAUAUUUUUUGGUAUUGAAAUUAUUUUAAUAUGUAUAUAUUAUUAUAUUUAUUUUAAUAUCCUACUUAUAUUUAUUAUAAAAUAUUAAAAUUAAUUUUUUUAGUUAAUAAUUUUAAAAAAAUAUUAUAGUUAAAAAAAAGAGUCUCAUUGUCCGUUAUUCACGAUAUGAGAUUCUACAAAAUUAUUUUCAAAAGGAAAAAUAAGUCCAAGGGUUUCAACAAAUUCUAGUCCUAUCUGCCACUAUGACUAAUGGAGACGAUAUUGAAUUGACAUUGUUUUUCGCAAUAUGACAAAUUUUUGGAGGGAUAUGGGAGAAUCGUCAAGCGUUCACACCAUGCGAGAGCUUUAGGUGGGAUAUGGGAGAAUUGUCAAGAGUUCACACCAAGAGAAAUUAAUGAUAGGCCUAAUUUCGUUGUCAGUUCUUUAUUUAUUUAUUUUAUUUAUUUCAUACAUUAUUGUCUUGUUGGUAUUGUUUUGUAAAGAUAUAAAAGUACAAGUAAAAUAUUAGGGGAAGUAAAGUAAAAUAUUGGAGGUGCUGCUAAUUUACAGCUGCUGUAACUUACAGUUCCUUCAAAAAUAAUGUAAAAAAUUUAACACGUGGUGGGACCCACAUUAUGUUUGAAGAGGCCGUACAUUAUAGCAGUUGUAAAUUAGUAAAAUCCAAAUAUUAGACAAUAAUACACAUUAACAAUGCAUAUAAUUUGGGUUUGAUUUUUUAAAAAAUUAUGUGAGUAUUACCUAUCCUUAAGAUAUUAAUGAGAAUAUAUUUUAAUAAUAAAUAAUCAAAAUCUGUUUAAUCAUAAUAUGUAAUUGAUACAUUGCAUGUUAGAUUUGUUUGGAUUUUAAGUUGUUGCUAAUAAAUAUUUAUGUUGUGAAAGUCGAAUUCAAUAGCUACAAAAGCAGAGAUAACGGUAUUUUAUGUAGUUUUUAAGAAUACAAGGAUAAGACCAUAACGCAUGAGAUAAUGGUAUUUUAUAUAUAUUAAAAGACCAUAACACAUGUAUUUGAGCCAUUGAUAUUGAAGACACAUAUAGAGGAAAGAGUGCAGAUCCGGCCCUCAGUAUUGUGAAGCUUUCCUCAAGUAUUCUCAUGCACACAGACCUUAUCUGGUCAAGUUUUCUGAUUCAAUAUAAUCAAUUUCCGCGCAGUACUGACGACAGCUUCUCUGUAAAGCUCUUCAACCACAAGCAUUUCUACAAGGCAAAAGACUAGGACGUGUCAGAAUGAAUAUCAAUAAGGGAAUGUCUUAUGAAUUUAGUUUAUAUCCUAAUAUAAGACAAUCAGUAAAUAUUGGACUCAUUAGUUGCCCUUGCCUCAGACGUUUGGAUGCUAAGGGGAAAAAGGAAGUUUGAAUUAGUCAAUCUCAUUUCUAAUGGCAUUCACAGAGAACUUAUAAAACAAAAAAAUUAUAAAAAAAAAUUCAUCCAUAAAAAGCUUAGUAACGGAAAAACCGACUCUUUUAUCUGCCACUGACGAAAAAAAAACUGAAGUAUCAAAUAGAUAAAGAUUUUAAUUUUUUUCUUGGAAAAACUAAUAAUAAAUUAACAAUUGGAUAAUACUAUUAAUUAGAGAUCUUUAAUAUUAAGGUUAUCAAAGAUAGAAUGUGUAUAAAAAUUCUUAAUUAUAAGAUAAUUACUAACUAAAAAGAGGCCUAAAAAAGAAGAUUUGCUAUUAUAAGUAAUACCAAAAAUAAAAAAGGGAGACUUCCUAAUUGUUUAAUUGUUAAAAAAGAGGAUUUGCUAUUAUAGGCCUAAUUUGCCUAUAAGUAAUACCAAAAAUAAAACCGUUCCUGGAUGUAAAAAAUAAAAAUUAUUGUUAAAUUCCUGACUAAUAAGGUCAUUGAAAGUAUUCAAAGGACCUGAACUUAUAGGAAAGCCAGCCAUGAUGAACUAUACCACGUUGCAAGUGAGCUCGUAUCUUCAUCCCUUGAUCUGCCAUCGGCAUUUCUGUUCCACUCACUAUACCAUCCUUUUCAAUCGAUUUUUAUUGAUCAUAAGAGGCCAUGUGGCCCACCUUAUUUUUAUUUUGGAUCCAUAACCCAAAGCUGGCCCAAGUUCUGAUUCCAGAAUCAUUUGUCUACAAAGUGACCUCAUUCCGGCAAUUGGUUUAUGCUAAUAGCACGUGCAAUUUUCAUUUUCUUCUUUUUAUUAAUUAAUUUCAUCAUUAUUAUUUGCUUAUUAUUUUAAAUUAAUUAAUUAAAUUGUAUUAUUGAAAUUAGUCUUUCUUUUUUCUUUUCUCUUUCAAUGCACAAAGCCAAACAACCAUUCUUGCUUCAAAUACCGAAGAGCUCCUGACUACGGCUGUCAAUGCUUCUAUAUUUACGUGCUGUGCUGCAUCACUCUUAGCGAAAGCUUGAAUGAAUGAUUAAAGACAAAAGCUUAUAUAAAAGCAGAUGCCGGAGGCACUCAAAAAGCAUUUGAGAGAGAAGCUACACAGCAAAUCAUCAAACGUACUUCAAUGACUUUGAUUUUGAUUCUUUUUUUUUUCAAAAGAAGUAGAAAAGUCCAUGGAUCACGAUAACUGCUUGUCCUAUGCCGUGACCUCAUUGUCCGCUGCUAGUGUCAAAUAGAUUAAUCUUUCUAGUAGAUUAAUAUAAUUUAUAAUUUUAAUUUCAGUAUUAAUUUUUAAAAUGUUAGUUGUUAUAUUUAUUUUAAUAAUAUAUCUAUUUUUAGUAUAAAACUUUAAAUAUAUAUUUAGAUUAAAUAGAUUUAUAAUUAAUAUAAUAUAUCUCAUGUAUUAAUGAUAUUUAAAUUAUUUUAAAUAAUAUUAAGCCUAACUUAAAAUUUUAUAUAUUUAUUUUAAUAUUAUGUUUCUAUUUAUUAUAAAAUUUAGUUUAAUAUAAUAUAAGAUUGUAAAGUAUUCAAAUAUUUUUUAAAUAUUGAAAUUAUUAUAAAAUGUAUAUAUUGUUACAUUUUUAAUAUUGAAGUCAAUCUUUUUUAAGUUAAUAGAGUGAAAAGAUAUUAUAAUAAAAGGCUACGUAAUCUUUCACUUGCACAUAUUCUGUACUCUCUGGAGCAGGACGGUAGGAAAUAUGAUUACAAAUGUUAAAUUCGCCUUUCUUCACAAGUUUAUCAGCUUCGUUUGCGGCCUCUGCUGCUUGUUUACCAAGCUUGUAACAAGAAAUCAAAUUUGGGCACAACCUUUUGAAGCAGAACAUCUUAGCUCUAUCUUUAUCAUCAAUGAUUGAUUUUGCAACCCCUUCACUGAAUUCAGCAACUCUAUUUAGCCAGUCUCUGACACCCUUAUAAAUCUCAUCUCCUUGUAGAGUAGCCUCUCUAACCAGCAUUUGCACCCUUUCUCUUAUAUAUUCCAGCUCCUUCACUCAAUCUUUUAGCCCAUCUAUGUAGCUCUGGUACUCGGAACACAUAAGAUAUGUGCCACAUAAUCGGUUUGAAUAAUGCUUUUGAACCUUGUGAUACAAUGCUAGAAAAAGUAGGGAGACACCCUUCUGCAGCCAUUGCCUGUUGCUUAACAAUCUAUAUAAAUAAAUACAAGUGUCAAAGAAAGGAAUACAGAUAAAUUAAAAUGAACUAGUGGGAAAGACAGAGAAUGAAAAGACUGCAAACAAUAUUGCGAUAUUGAUCUUGAACUAACUAAUAAUUAAAUAGAGAAUUUCUUUUUCUUUCUUGAGGAUCAGAGAUUUUGCUAUUAACAAAAAGGUACUUCGAGGGUCUGAAUAAAAAACCAACCAUAAAUUAUCAAAAGCUAGUAAAAACACAGACGUAAAUAAUGAACAAUUACUUAAGCAAAACAGACCAUGAUACAAAGCAAAUCUAAUAAAAUGACAAAAAAAGAAAGAAAGAAAGAAAGAAAGAAAAUACAACAAAUAAUAUUGAAGUGUUGAUUAUGAGCCAACUGAUAUUUAAACAGAUUUUUUUAAAAUUUUUAGUCUUUUGCUAAAGGAUUAGAGUUUUUGUUAUUAAUAGAAAGGUUUUAAAGACCUGACAUUACUAGAAAAAUACUAAAUAAUGACAGAAAUUUUAUAACAUAUAUCGUUAUGUCACGAAUGUGUCAUGAAAAUAUGAUAGAUUCGUGAUAUAUAUUCAUGUCCAGAGUAUAUGACAUAUUCAUGACUUAUAACUUAACCAUCGUAAAUAAAUGAUACAUAUAAGUCAUGCUUAAGUUUUGUGAACUUAUAAGAUUGUAAAACAAUGCCGUUUAAAUUAACGACACCGUUUUGUAUAACUUAAAACCCAUUAACACUCGCAGCCAAAUUUUGGCUAAGCGUUGAAUUAAUCCCUCUCUCCACUGUAGAGAUGGCAGAAAAGCCCGCUCAGACCGGAUCCGGACUGGACCCGGUGCAUACGGUCCGGGUAAAACCCGGAUCGGAUGCAUGGAAAAAGCGGAUCCGGGCACGGGUCCGGUCACAGCACCAAGAAUCUGGAACCCGGACCCGUGCCCACUUUUUUAUUAAGUAAAAAAAAAAUAUAUAUAUAUAUAUAUAUAUAGUAGUUUUCCAAUCAGGGAUUAGUUAAAAGACAAAAUAAACACAUACUCCAAUGCAUUGUAUUUUAUCAUGUAGUGUAGUAAAAUUUAAAUUUUUUUGUCUUUUAGCUAAUCCAACUACUAUAUAUAUAUAUAUAACAACAAAAAUGCAUUUUGCUUUACCCAAUUUCCCCCAAACCCAACCGGCCAACCCUAAAUCGCAACAAGUCUCAGAAUCGCCACCUCCCUCCGUUUCUCCACCAACAACCACCACCCAUCUUCACCGAUGCAGUGUUGACGGCGCGGCCUCUUCCCCACUUACAGAAAAAUGCGCAUGCUUUUACCGAGAAAAGAAAGCUUUUAUUUUUUGUAUGACAUCUGGUCCUCCCAUCAAGCUUACCUGAGGCAGCGAGGCUGAAAGUCUCUGUUAUCAACCAUCAGGACACCAGAAAGAGUAAUUGCUCACAUCGUAAGCGCCAUGAACUAAUUUUUCCGAAAAGGAGGAAAUGAAGGUCACAAUGGAGCUCAUUUCCCGCGAUUCGAGAGCCCUACAGAGAGGUAGGACCCCUAACUCACUCCGUUUUAGUCACCUUUCAAUGGCUCCCUUAAUUUCCUAAAUCAAUAAGUGUUCUAAAAGGGCUUGAAAAAUCAAAAUGAUGCCCAACAUUAGUGCCAGGAUUAAGGAACUUUUCACUGCAAAGAAGUGAAUAGCUACGUGGAUGAAGUUAUGGGCCAUGCAGAAAUUCACACUUCACUCUCUCUUGAUUUGUACUCAAAAGUCGCCACCAACCUUCAAUUAUAUGGACUCAUGGAUUCAAUAUUUAGGCUUACAAUUGGACCUUCACAAAGCAAUUGGAGCACUCCAAGCUGCAAAAAAUGUCUCUUCUCUGUGACAUCUGCAGGUGGGCUAGAAGAAGGUUAUGCAUAGAUGGUCUAUGUGCGUGUGCUUACUAAAUGCAUACAAAAUGUAUAAGAACUGAGAUUCCUAUGUUUUUUCCUUUUUAAUUUUAAUAAUUAUGUUAGAUGUUUGCUUGGUAGUUAAGAUGUUUUGGUUUUGGACUGUUACGCUUUGUUAGAACUUAAAAGUAAACAAUUGUUUAGGCUGUAUUUUUUUUUACAGUGUUUUCACCUUUGAAAAUCCGGGUAGAGAAAACCCGGAAAAACCCGUGCCCGGAUAGUGCCGGGCAUGUACCCGGCCUGUAUAAAAAAAAUUCCGGACACGGUGCGGGUUCGGGUAGUUACGUGUGACAUCCGGGUCGGUCCCGGGCAGCCUCAAACCCAGACCCGACCCGGACUUUUGCCAUCUCUACUCCACUGGCCACUGCAACCUAAAAUAGUUUUUCACUUUAAUAACCCAAAAGCUUUCCUCUGUUUCAACUAAGCGAAAAUUUACAUAUUAAAGCCUGGCUCAAAUUCCUUUUUUCAAUCGAAAUUAAACGUAGCCACAAAACCCUAAUUCACCACACCAAUUUAUCUCUGCCCGGUAUUCAUUUAAACCCUACCUCGCGGUUCAAUGUCAUUCAAUACGAUUGCAGAUGCUGUUUCAACUUGUCAUUUAGUUAGCGCCAUCCAGUUCUCUAUGGUAAGCCUUAACCCUAACAACUAAUCGACUGCGGUAGCACGUUGCUUGUUAGGAGUGGGGAUACAUUAUUUGAAUAUAUGAAUUGGGUGAUGUUAGUGAUUCAUUCCCCUAUUUGUCGUGAAUUGAGAUUUGUGCAUAAUGCUAGUAAGAUUGCUAAAAAUUUCAUAUUUUGUAUUGUUCCAGUUGAAUUUCUUGCUUGUGGAAGAUAAAACAAAAGUUCAAUUUCAUGUUGAUUUAAUUCUUCUUUUCCUUCUUUUUAUUUUUCUUCUUUAUAGUCACGCUCUGGCUUUGGUGCUAUGCUUAGUGCAGUUUAUGGUUUCAAGAUUAAGUCAUGUUUAUUUGAUGGCAUCGAUUCCAUCGUUGAGGAUUGGAUUGUUGAUCAAAUGCACAUAGUAAGCUCUUCUUAUUUUAUCUCAAUUUUAAUUUUCUUUUAUUAUCUGCCUCUACCUGAAAAUGGACGUGUUUUACUAGUAAGCAUAGACCUUGUUUAUUUAAUUGAUAUUUUAAUUUUAUGUAUAAGAAUGGAGGUUUAUUUUGGAAAAAAAAAGAAAUAAAAAAAAUACUCUGUUGAAGCUAAUUAGUACUGAAUUUUUUUUGGUGGUGCGACCAGAGGUGGAAACAGGGUAUGAAAAUGUGUUACUGGUGAGGCUGCUGCUUAAGAUGAGAAUGCAUUCUUUUCAAAAAUCCUUGGAAGGUGUGAUCUAAUUAUAUUUGAUGGAAUAUUAAAUGGCUAAAAAUCUGUCAUACGUUCAAACUUUGUUUGUGUUUAGAAGAAUGGUGUUGACUGUAUAUUCGUUUGGAAGAAUGGUGUUGAUUGUAUAUUCAUUUGCUUAGCCUUUUGACAGAUGGAUUUGGAACUGACGAUAAAUGUGAUUCAAUUUACAAGGUUUUCGAGGGGCUCACAGUGGAAGGGAUAUUGAAGAACUGGUCGAAGUUAAAGCCUAUGAUUGUGAAAGAUUGGAGUGAGAAUAUAGAUGCUCAUUUAAAUCUUUUUGGCAAGGUCAGAGAUGAAUGGAUAGAUAAGGAUUUAUUUGACAACUUGGACUGGUGCUAAUAGGUAUUUUAAGCAAGCUUUUUGAGAUAACACUGAGCAAGUUAUACUACUAUUUUGCACAUGAUGAUCAAAACUCUCGAAAAGUAAAUAAAAUAAAGUAUUAACUUUUACUUUCAUCUUUUGCAUAGCAAUCAAUGUGGUGCUUGUUCUGUGACAACUUUGAUAAUCUACUUAAUUACUGGUUAGCAUUUGGACCAAAAAAGUUCUUAUGAUUUACAUGUUUUGUAGAAAUGCAUGAACCUUAAAUGUGCUGAUCAGGGAGUUUAAUUAUUGCACCUUGAAAUUCAUUUACUGUUAACUAAUUGGCUUUCCUUUGCAUAAAGCCGCUUAUAAGGCUUGAGUGGACGUCUUUAUGGGCAUAUUUUUUGUAUUUCUCGAUGCAUGCCUUUAUCAUUUAAUGUGGUGCUCGUAUUUCUUUAUGCAUGCCUUUAUCAUUUAAUGGCCAGCUCCCUUUCCUCUUUUGUAAUUUGAAUAGUAGUAUGGGCCUCCAUUUUACAAAUCUUUAACAUUUUUUGCUGUAAAUUAAUUUUUCUUUCAAAUAUUUUGGAGGUCAUUGGAAUUCCUGUAGGUCUAUUUACCAGAUUUUAGUAUGUUUAAGGUUAUAAUUUUGCUUAGACUUUAAUUUUUCUGAAAGAUUGUAGUAUUGAUCCUUAAAGUAAGAUCAUGCUACUUCAAAUUAUUUUGAAGUGUUGCUAGUUAUAGCCUUACAUAUCAAAUUCCAGUUGUCUGGAAAUUUAUUGAUAGCUGUUACAGCAGCAUAUUUUAUGACUCUACUUCUUAGUUAUGUAAGUUCAUUAUGUUUAGGUCAGAGGCAGUCAGCUGUGGGGAAUCGAUUUAUACACAGAUGACUUUGAUCUUGUUGCUGGUAUGUGGUUCUAUGAAUAAUUGUUCACAAUAAUUGUGUUUGCCUCACUGUUUUUGUUUUAUGAGAUCUAUAAUUGAUCUUGGGAUAUUACUUUUUAGUUCUCAUGCAGGCAAGUUACUACCUUCCCACUGCAUCUCCUCCUUUAUCUGCUACUCAAGAGUUGCGUGCCAUAAUCUGGUAUUACCUCUGCAAGAUUGUGAAUGAAUAUGAUGCCUCUAAAUUUAUUUUAUACAUAAUGCUAAUGCUGAAUAAUAUAUUGUAGCUCCUGUCAUAUUCUACUUUGACUUUUUAUAUUCCGUUUCAAAUAAAAAUCUUAUUCAACUUUAGUUGUUCAUGAGCAAAUGUCACAUGUAUAAGCCCAAAUGAUGUUUAAAGGUAGCGCCGCUACCUUCAGUUUGAGCUUACAAUGGGUGAAAAAGAAAUUGAAACUGAUAUUUUGCGGUUUUUCUUAUUUUUCAAAGUAUUUUAGAUCAUGACUUUUGUUUGGACUUGAUGGUUAUAGAUUGUGUCUAGAUUUGUUAAGUCGUUUCCAACACCUCGUGCCAAAUCAAAGCACAAUCUUUCUGAUUCAGAUGUUUUGUUAAUUGUGCUUCAUUUUUUCGUUAAAGGUUGGAUGGUUGAAUGGAUUGAUGGAGUUGGAGUUCAACCAAUAAUUCUAAUUUUUUGGACUUAAAAUGCCUUUUUCUUCUGUAUAAAAGCUUUAGUAAGUGCUAUUGAGUUGACAGAAGUUGAAUACUUACAGGUUGUUUCACACUUUUUAAUAGUUUUACAUAUAUGAAUUUCUGUUUUUUGAAUUGCAGAAAGGAGGUGGAACUAUUGAUUUGGAGCCUUAUCUUACUCACUCAUCAACAACGGAGCCUACCCUCGCUCCUAUGGCAGUGGAACGGACAAUGACUACUAGGGCUGCAACAUCAGUUGGUUCGGGUCUGUUUUGAUAGCGAAUUUUGAUAUGUCAAUAUAAUGUGUAAUUGUUUUGGGUUGAGCUGGUAAUUAUGCUGGAUUAGAUUGGUUUGGUUUUGGUGCUUCGCUGAUGGAACACUGGUUUUUUAGAAAAUUUGAAUGUAAUAUGAGACUACAUUUAGUUUAAUUGAACACUGCAUCUAGUCUAAUUACUAGAAGUGUGGCAUUUGGUUUGGUUUAUCCGAUAUUCUCCAGAAUUUCACUUGCAUCUGGUUUUGUUGCAUAUGUUUGCUUGCAUUUGAUGGCAGUAGCAGACUGUUUGGUUUUGUGGCAUUUGAUGGCAGUUUGGUCUGUUCUUGGUGCUGAUUUACGAUUGUUCCUGAUGUGUUGAUGUUAAUUGCAGGUGCUUGAAUCAGCUAGGGUUGCUGGUUUUUUCAGAUGGUUGACUCAGGCGUUGUUACUGGUUGAUUCAGGUGGCUGGCUCAAGUUGUUCAUUUAAUGUUAGGAAGCAAAUUAAGAAUUAAUGAAGUAUUCAUUUAACUAUAAUUAUUGUAGUUAUUUUAUUUCAUAACUGAAUUAUAAUCUAUGAUACUUGUGAACAAAUUAGAGAAUUUUUAUAUAUAAAUUAUAUAUAUGUGUGUGUAUGUACAUUUUGCUUUUUAUAUAAUAAUUUAAAGAAUAUAUUUCAAUUCCCACAAAAAAAUGGCCCCAAUUUCAAUAAUUCCUGCCAAAUAAUUAAUUUUUUUUAAUUUACCGCCAAAAUAUAUCUUAAAGAAAUGUUAGUUAUUCUUGCUAGAUUUAACAAAAAUAAUUUAUAGGAUUAACAUUUAAUUAAAAUAAUUAAAUAAUUUUACUAUUUCAAUUAAAUGUCAUGUUUAUAUCACAGACAAUAGUCAUGAAUGGGAAGUAUUAGUUACAUAUUUUUCCUUGUAGUUAUUUUAUUUCAUAACUGAAUUAUAAUCUAUGAUACUUGUGAACAAAUUAGAGAAUUUUUAUAUAUAAAUUAUAUAUAUGUGUGUGUAUGUACAUUUUGCUUUUUAUAUAAUAAUUUAAAGAAUAUAUUUCAAUUCCCACAAAAAAAUGGCCCCAAUUUCAAUAAUUCCCGCCAAAUAAUUAAUUUUUUUUAAUUUACCACCAAAAUAUAUCUUAAAGAAAUGUUAGUUAUUCUUGCUAGAUUUAACAAAAAUAAUUUAUAGGAUUAACAUUUAAUUAAAAUAAUUAAAUAAUUUUUCUAUUUCAAUUAAAUGUCAUGUUUAUAUGACAGACAAUAGUCAUGAAUGGGAAGUAUUAGUUCCAUAUUUUUCCUUGGGAUUUCAGGCAAAUGAAAAAAAGAUUGAGAAUGAUUUCAAGAGGACAGGUGGAUGAUAAGUAUUCAUUUUUGUAUAUUUGGCUAAUGUCCUCAUUAGUGGAUUUUUAUGGUAUUGAUUUUUUUUUUUUUGGUUUAUAAUUUUCAAUUAGUUGUUACCCUAGAGGAAGAGCAGGCUGAUCAAAUUGAUUUGUCUUAUUUUUCCGGCAAUCUGCGACACGAUGACUGUGAUAAUGCUCGUGACUGCUGGAAACUUUCUGGUGGAAAUAACUUUAGAGUUCGUAGCAAGCAUUUUUGUUAUGACAAAACAAAGGUUCCCCCAUAUUUUGGUUGUUUGUUAUGGUAUUUAUAUAUCCUGCAUAUGCUAGGUCGACAGGUUAUGAUGUAGUUUGGUUGGCUCUUGUGCUUUGUGCAAUUUGUAACUGCAGAUACCUGCGGGAAAACAUUUAAUGGAUCUUGUUGCUGUUGAUUGGUUCAAAGACACAAAGAGAAUGGACCAUGUAGCUCGGCGUCAAGGCUGUACUGCACAAGUAACUGAAGAAAAAUGUGAAUUGGUUCCUCUUUUUCUUACUUUCCAGAACAGUAUGUACAGGGAAUAUAUACAGCAAAAUAGGAGAGAAAAUAGGAGACUACAUCUAUCCUUUCCUAAAUAAUAGGAAACAAAAUCUGGAAAGAAUCCUAAUGAAUCUUCCCAUUAUAAUUUAACUUAUUCCUAAAAUAGCCUAGAUUACAAAUAAAUCAUAACUUUGAAUCUUUAUUUUCAACACUCCCCCUCAAGCUAGUGUGUGUAUAUCAUACAAACCCAGCUUGUUACUUAAGUCUUCAAAGUUAGGUCUUGGCAGUGCUUUAGUAAGGAUGUCUGCAAUUUGUUGUCUAGUUGGAAUGUACUUUAGUUCCACACUUCCACUAGUGACCUUCUUUGAGAUGAAGUGCCUAUCAAUCUCGACAUGUUUGGUUCGAUCAUGAUGCACUGGAUUUUUUGCGAUGCUGAUUGCUGCUUGAUUGUCACACCUCAUUAGAAUGGAUGAAGGGUUGCACACACCGAGUUCUUUGAGUACACGCUUUAUCCAAAUUCCUUCACAGAUUCCAUUUGCCAAAGCUCUGAACUCUGCUUCUGCACUACUCCUAGCUACAACUGAUUGUUUCUUACUCCUCCAGGUUACUAGAUUUCCCCAGACAUAGGAACAGUAAGCAGAUGUUGAUAUUCUAUUUGUGAUGUCUCCAGCCCAGUCUGCAUCAGAGUAGAUCUCAAUAUUCCUAUAUUCUGAUUUCUUGAAAAACAAUCCUUUUCCAGGUGUCAUCUUUAGAUACUUCAAAAUUCUAAAGACUGCAUCCAUGUGUUCCUCUGUAGGAUUGUGCAUGAAUUGGCUCACAGCACUAACAACAAAGCCUAUGUCCGGACGGGUAUGUGAGAGAUAAAUUAAACGACCAACCAGUCUUUGAUAUCUCUCUCUAUUGACUGGAACACUAUUCUCAACUGAGCCUAGUUUCUUGUAGGGAUCCAUAGGAGUAUCUACUGGUUUGCACCCAAUCAUACCAGUCUCCUUUAGUAAGUCCAGGGUGUAUUUCCUUUGGGAGACAACAAUUCCCUUCCUAGAUCUUGCCACCUCCAUCCCAAGAAAAUAUUUCAGAUUCCCUAGAUCUUUAACUUCGAAUUCCUGAGCUAGCUGUUUCUUCAACUUCUGCAGUUCUUCCUCAUCAUUUCCUGAGAGAAUGAUGUCAUCAACAUAUACGAUUAGGAGAGAGAUCUUCUUUGCUUGUGAUGUUCGGAGGAAUAGAGUGUGAUCUGCCUGACACUGAGUGUAACCAAGUCUCACAACUGCCUUCGCAAAUCUAUCAAACCAUGCUCGAGGGGAUUGUUUAAGCCCAUACAAAGAUUUCUUGAGCUUGCACACUUUAUUUCUAGUAAGAUUCAGAUCAAGACCCUGGGGAACUUCCAUAAACACUUCUUCUUCAAGAUCGCCAUUGAGAAAUGCAUUUUUUAUAUCUAGUUGGUAUAAGUACCAAUCUAGAUUUACUGCUAAGGAGAGCAAGAUUCUAAUGGUGUUGAGCUUCGCAACCGGAGCAAAGGUUUCAAGAUAAUCAAUCCCAUAUGACUGUGUGAACCCUUUAGCUACAAGACGAGCUUUGAGCCUCUCAACACUUCCAUCUGCCUUGUAUUUAACAGUAAAAAUCCACUUACAUCCAACUGGUCGUUUCCCUGCAGGAAGAUUUGUUAUAACCCAUGUAUCAUUUUUCUCAAGAGCAUUUAUUUCUUCAUGAACAGCUCUCUUCCACUCAGGAUGACCGAGAGCCUCUUGUAUAUUGUUGGGAACAUGUAGAUUAUCUAAAGAAGAAACAAAGGCUCGGUAUGAUGGGGACAAACCAUCAUAUGAGACAUAUUUGGCAAUUGGAUGAGUGGUGCAACUUCGAACCCCCUUUCUUUCUGCAAUUGAUUUAUUAGAAUCAUCCACACUUGGAACCAUGAACUCAACCGAGGCAAGACUAUCCAUACCUGUGUUGUCUUCAUAAGAGCUUGGAUUUGGUUCAGUUUCUUGGACAUGUGGCUGAGUUCUGUGCUCUAUCUGCUCUCCAGUUCUUCUCCUCCUAUAAACAUUAAGAUUAUCAACAGCAAGCUGUGGAAGAGGUGAGAUUAGAGGUUGUAGUUGAUGAGCUGAUGGAUGACGGGGUGACUCGGCUGGUUGUGGUUGGGAGGACUCAGAUGACUCAAAAGGUUGUGAAGAUGUUGGGAGGAUUGCUGAUUGUGGCUGUUGGAUAGAUUGAUCAUGUGUGGUGGUUGAGUUAUGAGGGUUUUCAUGAGGGGUUUCCAGCCAAGAUUGCCAAGAAGAUUCCCAAGGCUGAUGUUCGCUCAUACUCUCUCCCUGAACAACAGUUUUGGAAUAGAAAGGCAGGUUUUCAACAAAUGUUACAUCUCUGGAAAUGUAUAUUUUUCUGGUAUGAGGAGAAUAGCAUUUGUAUCCUUUUUUAUGUGGAGAAUAGCCUAAAAAUAUACACUUGAGAGAUCGGGGAUCAAGUUUAGUCCUGUGUUGAGAGUGAACAUGGACAUAUGCUGUGCAACCGAAUAUUUUUUGUGGUAAAUCUGCUGAAACAAUCCUAGUGUGUGGAAAGAAAUUGAGAAGAACUUUUCUUGGGCAAUGAAACCCCAAGACUCUAGAAGGCAUUCGGUUGAUUAAGUAGGCUGUAGUGAGAACAGCUUCACCCCAGAAAAAAUUAGGAACAUGAGAUGAGAACAAAAGACAGCGAGCCACUUCAAGAAGGUGUCUGUUUUUGCGUUCAGCGACCCCAUUUUGUUGUGGGGUGUCAACACAAGAACUGAUGUGAAGAAUGCCUUGAUGGAGAAGAUAUGAGCUGAGGGAGUCUUUGAAAUAUUCCUUGGCAUUGUCGGUUUUAAGGACUUGGAUUUUGGUAUUGAAUUGGGUUUGAAUCAUGGCGUUAAAGUUUUGGAAGAUUUGACUAACUUCGGAUUUGUUUUUCAUGAGAAACACCCAAGUGAGACGAGUAUGAUCAUCCACAAAUGACAAAAACCAGCGAGCCCCAGAAACAUUUUUAAUUCUUGAGGGACCCCACACAUCAUUGUGAAUUAAAGCAAAUGGACGAGAAGGCUUAUACUUAACGCUUGAAUAAACAUUUCGAGUAUGUUUUGCAAAUUGACAAAUUUCACAAUGAAAUGAUAAAGGGUUUUUAUUGAUGAAUAGAUUGGGAAAAAUUUUUGCGAGAUACAUGAAACUAGGAUGACCUAAUCGAUAGUGUAACAGAACAAUUUCACUAUCGUUAUUGACAUUUGGACUAACAAUAGAAUGAGGAUAACUAGUUGACAGACUAUUGGACUUGGCACAGUUUGCUCUCGAAUCUUGUAUGAAGGAGGAUUGAUCGCUUUUGAGUAGAUAGAGUCCAGAACAUAGCUCAGCACUGCCAAUCGUCUUCGCGAAUCCAAGUCCUGAAAAACACACAUAUUUGGAUAGAAUUUAGUUACACAAUUCUGAUCACGAGUGAAUUUACUGAUUGAAAGUAAAUUGCAAGCCAAAUUAGGCACAUAAAGUACAGAAUUAAGGUGUAACUCCUUAGUGAGUCUGAUGGAACCUGUCCCUGCUAUAUUGUGUGAGAGCCAUCUGCGAUCCGGACUGAAGUGCUGUUGAUGCUAGCUUUAUAAUCCUGCAACAUUGAGGCAUCUCCAGUCAUGUGAUCAGAAGCACCAGUGUCAAUUAUCCAGGGUUUGCUUGCUCCAUUAGUGGCUGCAAAUGCUGAAUGAGUCUCUUUCUAAGCCACUAGACUUGUCCCUGCAUUGGAGUUCAAAGUGGCUUGAUCGAAAAGCUUUUGAAGAAUCUCCAUUUGCUCCUUGCUGAAUGGAUUUGGCUCGGGUAGGGCCUGAUUGUCCGUGGUGGAUGCUGCAUGAGCACGAGAUUCACGGUCACCUUUGGAACGAGGUUUCCAAUCAGCAGGUUUGCCAUAAAUUUUCCAGCAACUCUCCUUAUAGUGGCCUGCCUUACGACAGUGAUCGCACCAUGGUCUUUCUUUCUUUGUACGAUUUUCACUAACCCCUACAGAGUUGGAUGCACGGGCAACAAGUGCAGAGGCGCCCAGUGUUGGUUCUGAUGACCCCAUCAUCACCUUUUUCCUACUUUCUUCAUGCCUAACUUCAGAAAAGGCUUCACGAGGGCGCGGUAGAGGCUUUGUCCCGAGUACACGGCUCCUAACCUGAUCAAGAUCUUUAUUGAGUCCGAGGAGAAAUUUAAACGUUCUCUUCUGUUCCACAAUCUUCUUGUACAAGGUUGUAUCGUCGGUGCACUUCCAAGGGUAUGUUUCAAAUAGAUCAAGGUGUUGCCAAUGCCUAGUCAGAGUAUUAAAGUAUUGAGUGACAGAUUGUUCUCCUUGGCGGAAGUCAUGGAGGAUGGUUUCAAUCUGGAAUAACUCUGAUGUGUUCUCAGAGCUAGAAUAGGUUUCCUUUGCAGCAUCCCAUAUGUCAUUUGCAGUCCCAAACAGAAGAAAAUUCUCACCAAUAUCAUUGUUCAUGGAAUUGAUAAGCCAUGACAUGAUCAUGUUGUUCUCUGACUNNNNNNNNNNNNNNNNNNNNNNNNNNNNNNNNNNNNNNNNNNNNNNNNNNNNNNNNNNNNNNNNNNNNNNNNNNNNNNNNNNNNNNNNNNNNNNNNNNNNNNNNNNNNNNNNNNNNNNNNNNNNNNNNNNNNNNNNNNNNNNNNNNNNNNNNNNNNNNNNNNNNNNNNNNNNNNNNNNNNNNNNNNNNNNNNNNNNNNNNNNCACGUAACAGAGGUUGAUGAGGAAGCCAUCCCGUAUUUUGCCACAGAGAAUACAACUGAUGGGAGAGGAAGGAAGGUAGAUUGUUCAAUUUAUGAGAGAAGAAGGAAAUGGCGGCUGAUAGGAGAACUAGGGUUUAGAGCCAGGCUCUGAUACCAUGAAGAAAAAUGUGAAUUGGUUCCUCUUUUUCUUACUUUCCAGAACAGUAUGUACAGGGAAUAUAUACAGCAAAAUAGGAGAGAAAAUAGGAGACUACAUCUAUCCUUUCCUAAAUAAUAGGAAACAAAAUCUGGAAAGAAUCCUAAUGAAUCUUCCUAUUAUAAUUUAACUUAUUCCGAAAAUAGCCUAGAUUACAAAUAAAUCAUAACUUUGAAUCUUUAUUUUCAACAGUAACUAUUCUUUUCUUUUUAUUUUUCCUUUUCUGAAAGAAACUUAGUUUUGUAUUGUUUGGCAAGCUAGAAAAUGAAAGAAAAUAAAAGAAAGCGCUGUAAAGAAGUUUGUAGAACCUUUAUUACUCUAGCAUUACAACUGAAUGAAUACAGACUGAUAUUUCUAUUAAGCUACAAUUUUCUCAACACACACACAAGUUUGUUACAUCACAUAACCAUUUGCUGCAUAACUAAUUUGACACAUCAGCUCAACCAGCUAACUAACUUUGCCAGGUCAAGCCUAGUGAGUUGAUCUGCUAAAGUCAGCUACACAGCAACAUCAUGCUCUGCUCCAACUUCAUUCAAUUCACUAACAUCCCCCCUCAAGCUGAAAUGUUUAGGAUGAACAUUCAGCUUGCUUCUUAAGUAACUAAACUGUUUGAGAGUAAGCCUUAGUCAACACAUCUGCUGUUUGAUCUUGACUGGGCACAAAACAUACUUCAAUCUCUUUUGCAGUAACUUUAUCUCGAAUAAAAUGUAUAUCCAAUUCGACAUGCUUAGUUUUAGCAUGAUAGACUGGAUUGUAAGCUAAAGCAAUUGCUUCUUGAUUAUCACACCACAUCAUAGGAGUAGAGCUCAAUUUGAUGUUAAGUUCACCAAGUAAAGAUUGUAUCCAGGGAACCUCUGAAGCAGCAUGAGCAAGAGAUCUAUACUCAGCCUCUGUGCUGGACCUGGAAACAACAACUUGUUUCUUUGAUGACCAUGAGACUAGAUUAGGGCCUAGGUAAACAGCAAAGCCAGCCACUGACUUCUUAUCAUCACGAUCACAAGCCCAAUCAGAAUUUGAAAAACAAUGUAGUUGCAAAGUUCCUUUGUUAUUAAAUUGCAGCCCAAGAUGUAUAGUGCCUUUUAAGUACCUCAAUAACCUUUUGCAUGUUUCCCAAUGUUGUGUUCUAGGACUUGAAAUGAAUUGACUUAGGUUGUUUACAGAGAGAGCAAUGUCAGGUCUGGUAAGAGUAACAUAUUGAAGAGCUCCUAUAACACUCCUAUAUUGAGAAACAUUAUCAAUUAGCUCUCCUGAUUCUUUUGUGAGAUAAUAACCAGUAGACAUUGGAGUAGGCACAGGACUGCAAUCUGUCAUGCCAUGUUUAUCCAGAAUGUCAGUAAUAUACUUUGCUUGUGUCAAGGAAACCCCUUGUGAAGACUUGCUGACUUCAAUCCCCAGAAAAUAGCUAAGUUCCCCCAUGUCUUUUAAAGCAAAGGCUUGAUUCAUAAUCUUAAUAACUUGCUGAAUUAGUGUUGGACUGGAACUAGUGAUGAUAAUAUCAUCAACAUAGACCGAAACAAGAGUUAGAUGACCACUGUUCCAGGCAUGAAACAGAGAGUUAUCAGACCUUGAAUGCUAGAAAUGCCGUUUAGAGAUCAUUGCAUCCUUGAAUCUAUCAAACCAGGCUCUAGGUGCCUGUUUUAAGCCAUACAAAGCUUUAUUCAGCUUGCAGAUAUGAUUAGGUUUAGUUGAGUCAACAAAACCUUCAGGUUGAGCCAUGUACACCUCUUCAAUUAAAAUGCCAUUUAGAAAGGCAUUAUUAACAUCUACUUGCCUAAUCACCCAUUGAUUCAAUACUGCUAAGCUAAGAAUAACUCUAACAGUUGAAGCUUUAACUACUGGACUAAAAGUUUCUGUAUGGUCAAUCCCAUGUGUCUGAUGAAACCCCUUUGCAACAAGCCUGACUUUAUAUCUUGAAACUGAACCAUCUGAGUUAUACUUUAUUCGAAACACCCAUUUGCUGCCAACUAUCUUCACUGGAGUAGCAUGUAAAACUAAAUCCCAGGUGUGAUUAGUUUUAAGUGCUAGAUACUUUUCUUGCAUAGCCUUAUACCACAUAGGAUCAGAAAGUGCUUGGGAAACAGAAGUUGGUUCUGAUUUCUGGGCUAAUAAAGCUGACAAAUAAAUUUUUGGCUUGAAAAUACCUGCUUUUGACCUGGUUAUCAUUGGAUGACCAGUUGAUGCAGGUUGUGGCAAUGUAUGUGGAGGUGAAUUAUGUGGUAGUGAAGAAGAAGAAGCUGAGUUGGAAUUAUCAGAAAAAUAAAGUGGAGUAGAAUUUGGUGAGGGAGUAGGAGCAUCUGAAUGAUGAACAUUUUGAUGGUGUUCUGAUGAUGCUGCUAAAGGUGCUUGUAACUGAGUAAUAGAAGGAACAGAGGAAUUGAAAGAAGACUUAUAAUUUUUUGUUGACUAACAACUUGAAGAGAGUGAAGAAAAAUCUGCUCCAGACUCAUAAGGAAAAGAAUUUUCAUCAAAGGUGACAUGAUUUGAAAUGUAAACCCUCUUAGAAGAGUGAAGACACUGAUAUCCCUUGUGUUGUGAAUUGUAGCCAAUGAAUAUACAUCUGGCAGUUCUGAAAUCAAACUUAUGUCUAUUGUAUGGUCUGAGUGUUGGAUAACAAGCACAACCGAAGGUUUUAAGUGUUGAAUAAUCUGGUUGAUGAUGAAAUAACUUUUGGAAAGGAGAAAUGUUGUUUAGAAUUGGAGUUGGAAGUCUGUUUAUCAAAUAGACAGCUGUGUGGAAUGCAUUCCACCAAAAUUUGAGUGGUAAAUGUGCUUGAGCUAAUAAGGUCAGACCUACAUCAACUAUGUGUCUAUGUUUCCUCUCAAUUCUUCCAUUUUGAUGAUGAAUAUGUGGGCAAGGGUGUCUAAAAUGGAUACCAGAAGCAGUGAGUAAUGAGGAAAAUGUUCUGAACUCUUCUCCCCAAUCAGUUUGGACAGUUUUGAUUUGAAGUUGAAGAUGCUUUUCAAUAAAAAUUUUGAAAUUGGUAAACACUUCAAGAGCAUCAGAUUUGGCUGACAAUGGAAAUAUCCAGGUAAAUCUACUAUAAUCAUCUAAGAUUGAUAAGUAGUAAUUAUAUCCUUGGGUAGAACAGACAUGAGAAGGACCCUGAUGGCUGUCGAAGCCAACAAAAAUAAAUUCCUACUCUAAAUAAAUUGUGUAUAGUGAUUGAGCAGGGUCGUGUCCACAGAGAUCGAUAAUUAUUUAAAUCCUUUUGAAACGUAAAACGUAAAAUGGGGGAAUUGUUGACAAUAAUAAAAAUCAAAUUAAAAAUAACAAGAAUGCAAAUUAAAGUUGUAAUUUAAAUUGGAGAAAGCUCUGGUUGAAGGAAUUAACUCAGCUUGAUUCGACUACUGAUCAUUGAUUCAAAUAUAGAUUAUUAUUACUCAUGAAUAGACCGGUUAUAGCUACUGAGACCCUCUAAUAGCCAAUCUCUCCUUAACUAGUCGAUAACCAAGGUACGACCGUUGGUUAUUUCCCUAAUCAAUAGACAACCCUAGAUACGAUCAUAGAAUUUAAUCAAUUGACAGCCUGAAAAACCAGAGAGACCCAAAUCCUAAUCAACACAUAUGAUGAUUCAUUUAAAUUAGAUUGUUUAUUCUCACAACACAACUCUCUGCUAUGUUAUUAGUCACAAGCAUUAAAUUCUUCAUACGAUGAAUCCUUUAAUUGACAAUAGAUUAAGUUGAUAAUUAAAUAGUGGCCAAUUACCUAAUUAACAAACAUAAUCAUGAAAAUAAUUCAGAGAAUAAACAAAUACCCAAAAAGUAAUAAAACAAUUAAAGCACAAGAAAGAUCUCACAGUAGUGAUGAAUCAAAGCUUCAUUAACCUUCAACCAGAAAAAUGGGUUUAGUUUCUCAUAGAGAGAAGAGAAAAAUUAGAUCUAGGGUUUCUUUUUCUCCAAUCCAAAAUUCCCCCCUUUCACAAUAGAUUCCUCCCUUAAAUACUCUCUCUCUCUUCUCCUCUAGAAUUCUAUUUAAAAUAAAAUACUAAUAUCUGAAAUAUUAAAUUCGUAAUUACAAAAAUAACCAAAAAUACAAAACACGUUAAACUAAAAACUGCAGGUCCGCAGUUGACAGCACGCGCCCACGCCUUAUCAAUAAAGUUCUUCUGCCGCUCAUAAUUUCUCCAAGAGAACAAUCAUCCUUAAAAAUCAUCUUGUAGCUCAAUUUUAUCACCAAUCAAUAGAAUUGCACCUACAAAAGUAAAACACAAGUAAAUCAUUAUUAUUAAGUGCAAAACAUCGAUAUUAAGGGAAGUAAACAAUGCAAAACUAGUGCAUAAAUUGCACUCUAACAAAUUCCCCCACACCAAGAUGAUGCUUGUCCUCAAGCAUAUAACUCAAGAUUAAUCCCAAAUCUCCACUCAAUUCUCAUCUCAACUCAUCCAAAAAUAGAAAUUAAGUCGAUCAACAUUCGAGAGACAAGGAUUUUAAAGCAUAGAAUCUCAUAAGAUAGAAUAAGAACAUUCAACCACCAAGAAGAUCCAUUCAAAAUUCAAGUGCAACAAGAUGUAAUAGCCCUCUCAAUAACUUCACUCCAUGCACUCAAAGUGUUUAGGGUGUCAUUUAUCCACUCAAAUCAAAUCAAAGAAUGCUAUUACCAUAAGCUUGCUCAUAUAUCACAUCUCAAUCCACAAAACAUGAAUAAAAUGCAAAAAUCUAAGGGUCUUAAAAGGAUUGUAAUGGGGUUAAAUGGGUUAAAUGAAAAAGAAAGGUUUACGAAAGAAAAAGAGAUCAAAAUGAGAAGAAUGAACUCAUUGAAUGAACUUAUGAUAUCAAAAUGCUUAUUUCUACUCAAGUCACCAAGAAUGUAAACAUUUUUUUUUUCGAUUUUUCUUUUUCUUUUUUUUUCUUUUUCCUUUUCUUUUUCUUUUUUUUUUUCAUUUUUUCAUUUUUUUUUGUUUUUUGUUUUUUGUUUUUUUCGAAUCAAACAAAAGAAACGAACCUUGCACAAUUUAAUUCAAGCAUAAUGCUUGUUGAUCUAAUUGAGAAACUUCAAUACAAGGUAGAAAAAGCAACAAAAUAUAUCCACACAAUGAGUCCAAAAAUCUCCUUAAAUUGAGGCUCAAAAAGAAGAAAAAUGGUUAAGUAGACGGAGAGAAUUAGAUGGGUAAUGGUUAAGGCUCAAACAAAGGUAGCAAAUAAAGGUCUUCGGGUAGAGAAAAAGGAAAAUGCGAGAAUAGAAAAAUGGUAAAUGGUUUGCCCUUAUCAUUUUAAUGCCUAAAAUCCCGUAAUGUGGCUUCAAUAUGCAUAACAAAGCAAAUUCUAGAAUAAACAAACUAGGAUUGAUAUUCACAUAACAAAAAUAAUUAGAGCAAAGUGGUUGCUCAUAGGCUCAAAUCCUCACAAAGUUGGUAAAUUUGCCAUCAAAUCAUGUACACUCUUCAAAUGAAUCAACCAUCAAUAGUGGUGUAGAAUGAGAAGAAGGUAUGAGUGAUAUAUAAAAGAAAAGGUAAAAAUUAUAAGAAGUGAGAAAGAUGUAUGUAGUAAUAUGAAAAGUGAAAGAUAAAAUGUGAGUGAUGAAAGAGUAUGGUAAAAUAAAAAUAGAUAUGAAUAGUUUGAGAUAGAUGGGAAAAAAGUAGUGAGAAAGAAAAGAAAAGAAAAUUAAUAAUAUAUGAAGCAUACUAACUCCAAAAUCAUUUAAGGAUGAGUAGAGUGAAAAUAGAUGAGUAGAGUGAAAAUAAUAAUUCCAGACAUCAAUAAUGCAAAAAUCCCUCCCCCACACCAAGAACUUACAUUGUCCCCAAUGUAAGAUAAUCAAAGCUCACAUAAAAAUUAAAGCGUAAGGAUAAAAGAUUAAGGGCAAAAAAAAAAACUUCCCUGAAUUGUGAGCUUUGAUCCACAUAACGUCUAUGGGCUUGGCGGAAAUGGUGGGGUAAAUCCCACACUCUCGAAGUAUGCGGCCAAAUUCUGCUCCAUCUUGUUCAGCUUGUGCUCCAUUUUCUCUAACUGAAUACUCAAAGGUGGUGCGGAUGUAGAAGGAAUAGUUGGCGGGGCAGCAGUGUCGUCGUCAAACUCGUCAUCAGAGGUAGCACCACUCCUAGCAUAAAGCUUCUUCGGAAGUUGAGUGGGUCCUGGUUCAGUAAACUGAAAUCUCCCCUCCUUGAAUUCAACCACACCUGUUCUUUCAAACACAGACAUAUCCAAAAAUUCCUUUUUGCAAGCAGGAUGCAAAUCAUUAUUGUCGGGAUCAAGAACACAUAGGUUUAUAGCUAACAGAGUAAUGUAUGGACCAAGAAAUAAAGUCCUAUACCGUUUAAGCACAUUUUGAAAUUGAUCCGCUAACCAAAAACCUAAAUUAGGCCUCACAUCAUUUAACAUGCACCAGAUAAAAUAAAAUUCAGUUUUAGAGAAAAUUCCCGAGUGAUCUUUCUUGCCUAAAAAAUUAUAUGCUAAGAAUCGAUGCACACAUUUCAAAACAGGAUCACGUAAGAAAGAACUCUUUGAUUUACUCGGGUCAUAGGCAUUGUGAUCAACAGAUAAAUUACGCCAAAGACCAUAAGGCUCAAAAUUUUCGCUAAAGUCACAAGUUGUUCCUAAAUAUGCAUCACUAGAAGAAUAAUCAUCAUCAAUGAAUCCUAAAGCUAGGUUAAAAUCCGUGAUAGAGUGUGAAAAAUUUCGUCUCAUUAACCUAAACUUAAUGACAUUCGGGGUAUGCAAAGUAAAAUCAUUCGGCAUAGUAAAUUGAAAAGUAGCAUAAAACUCCCUAAUCAACUCAACAUAACCCAAACAAUCAACAUCAACAAAUUUACGCAACCCAAUCUUAUCUAUCAAAGAAUCAAAAUUAUCCUUAACAUUCAAUUUUUCAAGAGUCGGGUAAUGAAUAUACUUAGCUGGAAGUAUUUUGCAAGUGGAAAUAUCUUUGUACCUCUCUUUCUCUUGUUGAGUCGCGAACGCGAGGCACCCUCCGAGAUUGGAUUCCGCAAGUGGCAAAACACUCAUGCCUUUUCCAUGCUUCGAUCUUUGUCUCACGGCUUUGCGUGAAUCUGAAAUUGUGUUCCAUGGAACCGUAGUGGGAGCGGCAAUCUUAGAUUUCUUUACGACGGGUUUCUUUUUCGAUGACUUGGAAGUAGAUGCUUUCCUCUUCGGCAUUGUUACAAUAAUUGCACUCACGGAUUUCGAUUUACCCGGCUGGAAUACAUGACGUAGGCUGGUUGCGUUGCGUUGCUGCUCGACUGGAGCUUGCUGUGCGGGUUGGAGCUGGUUGCGCACUGCUGGGCUGCGAGACACGGGAUGCUGGUGCUGCGCUCGCGGGGGCUUGCGUUGCGAGCUGGUGAUUCGCGUUGCUGGUUCGUGCUGCGUUGCGGGGCUGCUGGUGGGACUGAUGUUGCGCGUUGCGGCUGGGGCUGGAUCUACGCACUGCUGUGUGAUUCGCGAGAGCCGGUUCGUCUGCGUUGCUGUGCUGCACUGAGGUUGAUUCGCGUUGCUGCUGGUUGCGGUGCGCGAUGCUGCGCCCGGCGGCUGGGGCUGGUGGGGCUUGCUGCUGGAAAACGAUAAUCAACAGUAAUUUUUUUGAAUUAGGGAUUUGUGAACAGUGAUUUUCGAAUUUUUUUUUUUUUUUUUUUUAGUGAUGAAUCACUUUGAGACACUAAAAAUUUCAGAAGUACUUUUUUAAUAAGCACGUGGGCACGCCUUAUCAAAAAUUUUCUUCUGGCCAAAAUAAGCAAACACAUUAUUUUAAAAAAAAAUCUGAAUCAAAAUUAAAAGAAGAUAUAACAAAAACCAAAAUAAAUAAAUCAUUUGGGUUGCCUCCCAAAAAGCGCCUUUGUUUUAUGUCUUUGGCUAGACACGUUUAUGCAUCAAUCUCCAUAAUUGGGACUCUCGAGAGCCACAUCCUCCACAAUAUUCACCGAAAAACCUUCAUAAAAAGGUUUUAAGCGAUGACCAUUAACCUUAAAAACUUUGUCAGAGGUCGGACUCCGAAUCUCAACUGCACCAUGAGGAAAAACAUUAGUAACAAUAAAAGGUCCAACCCAGCAAGAACGUAAUUUACCCGGAAAAAGUUUAAGCUUAGAAUGAAAAAGAAGAACUUUUUGACCAACAGAGAACUCCUUUCUCAAAAUCAUUCUAUCAUGAAAUGUCUUCGUCUUUUCCUUGUAAAAAAUUUCCUGCGCUAUAGGGUUAAUAACAUCCACAGAAAAUACCGAAUGUUCCUCACUAGGAUAUUUCAUGGUAUCAUUCAUAUUGAAUCCUAUAACCUCUCCAUCAAACUCCAUAGUGAGAGUCCCUUUAUGUACAUCCAUUUUAGUCAUAGCAGUCUUAAGAAAAGGUCUUCCUAGCAAAAUUGGGACAGAAUUAGAGGAGUUAUCAUCUUCCAUAUCAAGUACAUAAAAAUCAGCAGGAAAAACCAACUCAUUAACUUGUACUAAGACAUCUUCUAAUACCCCAUCAGGAUAUGCAUUAGACCUAUCAGCUAGUUGAAUUAUCACGCCAGUUUCUUUUAAUGGACCAACAUUCAAAGAUGAAUAAAUGGAACGAGGCAUGACAUUAAUAGAAGCUCCUAGAUCUAACAUAGCCUUUUCAACUCUAACACUACCAAUUUUACAAGGGAUAGUAAACAUACCUGGAUCCUUGCACUUAGGAGGUAGUUUCUUUUGGAAAAUUGCUGAAACAUUCUCCCCCAUGUGAACUUUUUCAUCUCCUCUUAAUUUUCUUUUGGAGGUGCACAGUUCCUUAAGGACUUUAGCAUAUCGAGGUAUUUGUUUUAUAGCAUCUAAUAAAGGAAUAUUUACCUCAACCUUGCGAAAUGUCUCAAGGAUGUCUUUCUCUUGUUCUUCCUUCUUGGAUUUUGCAAACCGGCUUGGAAAAGGAGGAGGUAUCACAAUAGGUAGGGGUUUCGCUCCGGUGGGUUGUGCAUCUUGAGAUUGAGGCAUCAAUUCAUUCUUCUCAAGCUCAUCUUCUACAUGCUCUGUCACUUUCUUACUAGGCUCUUGCAACUCCUUCCCACUUCUAAGGAUGAUAGCACUAACGUUUUGCUUUGGAUUCACCUCAGAUUAUGAAGGCAAUCUUCCUAAUACUCGAGACUCCAGAUGGCUUACUGUAGUCGCCAAUUGACUCAUUUGGUUCUCCAAGUUCUGAAUGCUUGCUGUAGUUGCCUGCUGAAAUUGUUGAGUGUUAGUCGCAAGUGAUUUAACAAUUUCUUCAAGAGAUAUACCUGACUUGGAGUUUGACUGUGGAGGUGCUGGUUGUCUUGGUGGAUACUGUUGUGGGAAUCCUGACGGUUUAACUCCAUAGCUGAAGUUGGGAUGAUCCUUCCAUCCCAGAUUGUAUGUUUGUGCAUAAGGAUCAUACCUCCUCUGAGGCAUGCCUGGAAAUCCUCCAACUGCAUUGGCUUGUUCAACGAGUUCUUCUUGGAGUGUAGGACACAUAUAAGUUGAAUGACCCAUAUUGUAACAAAUGCCACAAGUCUUCACCUGUUGCACAUUACCUACAACAAACUUUUCCACAAGAGAAGUAAGUUUAUCUAAACGUUGUUCAACAAAAGAAAUAUUUACCUCAUUCACCUUCCUUGAAGUGGGAUCUUGCCUGCUACUAAAUUGUUGUGCAUUGGCAGCCAUAUUUGAGAUCAACUCCCUUGCUUGAGUAGGGGUUUUGUUCACCAACACACCUCCACUAGCAGCAUCUAUCAUACUUCUAUCCAUUAAUGAUAGUCCUUCGUAAAAAUAUUAAAUAAGAAGUUGAUCAGAAAUCUGAUGCUAAGGACAGCUGGCACACAAUUGUUUGAAUCGCUCCCAAUACUCAUACAAAGUCUCCCCAGGAAGUUGUCUGAUCCCACAAAUAUCUUUUCUGAUGUUGGCAGCUCUUGAAGUAGGAAAGUACUUCUCAAGGAACUGCUUUUUCAAACCAUUCCACGUUGUAAUUGAUCCAGGAGGCAAGUAGUACAACCAAUCUUUAGCUAGCCCAUCUACAGAGAAUGGAAAAGCACGCAACUUAAUCUGCUCUUCAGUCACGCCUUGUGGCCUCAUACUUGAGCACACAACAUGAAACUCCUUGAGAUGUUUAUGAGGAUCUUCACCUGCAAAACCAUGAAACUUGGGUAAUAAAUGAAUAAGCCCAGACUUUAAUUCAAAAUUUACCUCCAAGUCUACAUAUUGAAUGCAGAGUGGUUGUUGAUUCAAGUCUGGUUCAGCUAACUCUCUAAGAGUUCUUUCUACAGGUGCAGGUCUAUCCAUCACUUGUUCUUCUGAAUCGCUAGAUGAUUCAACUAAAUCAGGCACUGUAUCUGUUUCAGAAAGCAAAGGCGACGAGGAUCGUUGCUUAGCUCGCUUUGUCUGCUGUCUCAGUUGGCGAGCUGUCUUCUCAAUUUUAGGAUCAAACGAAAGUGUACCUGUACGAGAAGAACGAACCAUACACCAAGUAAAACGUAAAAAAGAUUAAAUAAAUGACACCAAUCCCCGGCAAUGGCGCCAAAAUUUGAUGGGUGUCGAAGCCAACAAAAAUAAAUUCCUACUCUAAAUAAAUUGUGUAUAGUGAUUGAGCAGGGUCGUGUCCACAGAGAUCAGUAAUUAUUUAAAUCCUUUUGAAACGUAAAACGUAAAAUGGGGGAAUAGUUGACAAUAAUAAAAAUCAAAUUAAAAAUAACAAGAAUGCAAAUUAAAGUUGUAAUUUAAAUUGGAGAAAGCUCUGGUUGAAGGAAUUAACUCAGCUUGAUUCGACUACUGAUCAUUGAUUCAAAUAUAGAUUAUUAUUACUCAUGAAUAGACCGGUUAUAGCUACUGAGACCCUCUAAUAGCCAAUCUCUCCUUAACUAGUCGAUAACCAAGGUACGACCGUUAGUUAUUUCCCUAAUCAAUAGACAACCCUAGAUACGAUCAUAGAAUUUAAUCAAUUGACAGCCUGAAAAACCAGAGAGACCCAAAUCCUAAUCAACACAUAUGAUGAUUCAUUUAAAUUAGAUUGUUUAUUCUCACAACACAACUCUCUGCUAUGUUAUUAGUCACAAGCAUUAAAUUCUUCAUACGAUGAAUCCUUUAAUUGACAAUAGAUUAAGUUGAUAAUUAAAUAGUGGCCAAUUACCUAAUUAACAAACAUAAUCAUGAAAAUAAUUCAGAGAAUAAACAAAUACCCAAAAAGUAAUAAAACAAUUAAAGCACAAGAAAGAUCUCACAGUAGUGAUGAAUCAAAGCUUCAUUAACCUUCAACCAGAAAAAUGGGUUUAGUUCCUAAUAGAGAGAAGAGAAAAAUUAGAUCUAGGGUUUCUUUUUCUCCAAUCCAAAAUUCCCCCCUUUCACAAUAGAUUCCUCCCUUAAAUACUCUCUCUCUUCUCCUCUAGAAUUCUAUUUAAAAUAAAAUACUAAUAUCUGAAAUAUUAAAUUCGUAAUUACAAAAAUAACCAAAAAUACAAAACACGUUAAACUAAAAACUGCAGGUCCGCAGUUGACAGCACACACCCACGCCUUAUCAAUAAAGUUCUUCUGCCACUCAUAAUUUCUCCAAGAGAACAAUCAUCCUUAAAAAUCAUCUUGUAGCUCAAUUUUAUCACCAAUCAAUAGAAUUGCACUUACAAAAGUAAAUCAUUAUUAUUAAGUGCAAAACAUCGAUAUUAAGGGAAGUAAACAAUGCAAAACUAGUGCAUAAAUUGCACUCUAACAGACCCCAAAGAUCUGCAUAUAUCACUUGUAAGGGUGCUGAAGUUUUUGUUUCAACUGAAUCAAAAUGCAGCAUAUGAUUUUUCCCAUAUUGACAUGCUGAACAAAAUUUCAAGCUUUCAAUUUUAUUAUAAGCAGUAGAGUUGUUACAAGUUUUGAGUAUAGUUUUGAGAGUAUAAGAUGCUGGGUGUCCUAAUCUUCUAUGAAGAAGAUUUACAUCAAUAGAACUCUUUGUAACAACUGACAGACAUGGCUUUUUAUUCAAUUCAUAAGAACUAACAGCAGUGAGCUGAUCAGAAUUGAAAACAGGAGAACAAGCAAAGAGAGUGAAUUUUAUUUUGACCAACUGAAUUGAGAAAGACUGAAUGAGCAGCAACAUGUGAAGAGACUCUAUACAAGUCACCUUUAGCAACACCUUCAAGUAAAAUUUUCCUUGUGUUCCUAGCCUUUAUAAAAAACAAAUCACCAAGAAAUUCCAACAGUAACUGGAUUGUCAGCCAAUAAUUUUGAAAUGCUAAGCAAAUUCUUAGUAAUAAAAGGGACAUGAAGAACAUGGUUUUUAAAGGUUUAGAAGUUGAAGUAUUUAGCACAACUGAUCCUACAUGUGUAAUAGCUAAUGCAUUUCCAUCUCCAACAAACAAUUUUUCAGUACUAGUAUAAAUUUGUGAAUCCAGAAGUUUACCUAGAUCAUUUGUAAUGUGAUUUGUUGCUCCACUAUCAAUAUACCAUGAAGGAUCUUCAAUGUGUUCUGGUGGAAGUGAAGAAGGCAUAGCUGAGGAAGAUGAAGCACUUGACUGUCCAGGAUUAUUAUUUCCUUGACCAGAAACAAAAGUAGAUGGUCUAGGGGUGAAUGAGUAAUAAGCAGAAGGAUUACUAUCUGGAUACACCAUAUUUCCUUGAUAGCCAAAACCAGCAUUUAAACCAAAACCUCCAAAACCUCUGCCACCAUUACCAUUAAAAGCUCUUCCUCUACCAUAUUGCCCUUGAUUAAAACCUCUGCCACCAUUCAUAUUACCUCUGCCAUAGUUUCUCUGUGGAACAAAAGAUGAAUUGUACCUAUUUUUGCAUCUAUUGGCUGCAUGACCAGGUAUGAAGCAGAUUUGACAAACAGUUUCAGAGGAAUUACCACCAUUAUUAAACUGACCAUAUCCAUAUCCAUUAAAACCUCCAUACCUAGAAUUAUUUCCAUAAUUUUUUUGAAAAUUGCCAUUAUUCUUUCCAGCAUAUGAGUUCUUCUGAGCAAUAUUUGCUGUCAUAUUGUGCAUCACAUCACCAGCAAUUUUUCCUUUCUUUUGUUCAACUCUAUUUUCAUGAUUCAAUAGCAAAGGAUAUAGUUCAUCUAAUGUUAUCUUCUCACCUCGAGCUAAAACACCUGUGACUAAAGAUUCAUAAUCUGAUGAAUCAAGACCAGUUAAUACAUGAAUCACAAGAUCACUUAACUCAACAGGUUUUCCAGCUAGAGCUAAAGUAUCAGCUAUACGUUUUACUUUUGCAAAGUAAUCAGACAUAUGCAUUGCACCUUUCUUAAUAGUUUGAAUCUGCAUUCUAAGUGUUUGAAUUCUAGCUUGUGAUUAAGAAAUAAACAUACUAGUAAGAGUCUUCCAAAGCUGUUUUGAAGUUGUGGAGUCAAUCACAGUAGCAAGUAGAUUUUGCUGUAUCGACGACAUCAUCUAACUCAACAGAAGUUGAUCAGUCUUCAUCCAAGCUAUGAACUCUGGAUUAAUAGAUUUGGAUUCAGAUUCAGUAAAAAUUUCAGCUCCAUUGUUGUUUCCAAAAGAAAGAAACUACUCAGGACAUUCUUGAUCACCAUUGAUAAACCCUUCCAGACCGUUUCCUUUGAUCGAUGCUAAAAUUUGUGCCCGCCAUAAAAUGAAGUUGUUUUGGUCUAGCUUUGCAGGCGUAACAAAACUAAAAGAGUUGUUAUUUUGAACUGUAUUCGCCAUUUAUGGCUCUAAUACCAUGAAAGAAACUUAGUUUUGCAUUGUUUGGCAAGCUAGAAAAUGAAGAAAAUAAAAGAAAGCUCUGUAAAGAAGUUUGUAGAACCUUUAUUACUUUAGCAUUACAACUGAAUGAAUACAGACUGAUAUUUAUAUUAAGCUACAAUUUGCUCAACACACACACGAGUUUGUUACAUCACAUAACCAUUUGCUGCAUAACUAAUUUGACACAUCAGCUCAACCAGCUAAUUAACUUUGCCAGGUCAGCUUAGUGAGUUGAUCUGCUAAAUUCAGCUACACAGCAACAUCAUGCUCUGCUCUAGCUUCAUUCAAUUCACUAGCAUUUUCCCUUGAUACAUUAGGAGAAAAGACUGCCUGUGAGAUACAACAAUGUAAAUAACUUCUCAUGGUUCAUUGAAUCUAUAACGCACUGAGCCCUAUUCUAAAAUAUGUAGGUUGCUUCUGAAAAAGGGCUUUUCUCACUGAUCUUUAAUCUUCAAGAAAGUUUGUUUCAUUUCAGAAGGUAUAAGUUUCAAACUUAUUGUAUUGGGAGGUUGUAUAGUUGUAACCUAAGCAUCUGCAGGUUCCUGGUUCAACACAUUAUAGUAUGGUAUUUUAUUUUGUCACAAGGCAAUUGGUUACGGGAUCACUUUUGCAACGGUUUGUUGAUGGCGAUGAUGAAUUUCGCAAUAGUAGGUUGAAACUUAUUCCAUCUGUUCCUAAGGUAUCCAUCUUGGCCUUCAUGUAGUAGGACUAUAUUAACGUAUACUUACCCUUUACUGCAUGGUACACUUCAAUUUGUACAAAGAAGGCAUGCAUUUAGGUGUGAAUGUAUUGAUGGGUUGUACCUUCAAACUUUAUCUCCUUUUUACCCUCUUGAAUUUGUUUUGCACUUGUUCUUGAUUUUCAGCACUGAAUCAUGCAGGGGUCAUGGAUAGUGCGCCAGAGUGUUGGAAGCACCCCUUGUUUAUUGGGGAAGGCAGUUGAUUGUAACUAUAUUCGCGGUCCCAAGUACUUAGAAGUAAAUGCUCUUGGAAUUUCUAUAGUACAUGAGAUGUUCCCCUUUCAAAUAGCGUCCAAUACCUUUAACAUGGUUUAACAUUGUUCAUCUUUCUGUAGAUUGAUGUUGACAUCGAUUCUUCUACUGUUGCUAAUGGAGUUUUGGGCCUUGUAAUUGGUGUAAUUACGACAUUGGUGGUUGAGAUGGCUUUCCUUGUACAGGUAUGUAUGAUUGUUUUUUUCCCCCACUGCUAAAUGGACACAAGGGAAAAGACAUGAUUUUGAGAUAUUGCACUGCAACUUGCAUUUUUGCAUACUUGAAUGUUCUCAGAAUGAUAUAAUGCUUCUGUGUGUGUCUUCUUUAUCUUGCUCUUCUGUAUGCAGGCAAAUACUACAGAUGAAUUACCGGAGCGGCUGAUUGGUGCUGUACGUGUUUCUCAUAGAGAACUCAAGUCUGCUGUUGUCCCAAAGCUGGAACCAGAGAUAUCAUGACUCUGGUUUCAUUUCAGCUCAACUGUGUUUUUUUUUUAAUUAAAAAAAUCAUUUGUUUUAGGUAUACAUACAUGUAUUUUGAUUCUAUUUUCAUUGUAAUUUCUCAUUUACUUUGAAUGAAAGUCAUUGGUGUUUUCGAAUGGGAAUUUUGCAUUAAAAAAUGAAGAAUAAUGAAUAGGAAAUUUCCUGAUUCUUUAGUUACUAUUUUUGGUAUGAGUGUAAUUAGUAGUAAAGUAGGUUUCUACUCGCAAACAAGUGAACUACUCGAUUCCCGAGUGGUAUCAACCAGUUUCCAACUUUUUAAUAUACACUAAUUGUUAUUGUUUAAUAGCUACUACUAUUAAAACUCAACAGCUAGCAAAAAUACUUAAAAAAAAUGAUUUUUCUUAUGAUGCUGUGAAAAAAAUUACGGGUGUACUUCUUUCCAUGAGAUCUAUAACAUGGUCUCGACUUCACGAAAUUCUUUUAAUUUAAAGCGUGCUGGUGUGAGGUCAGUUUAACUGAUUAAUUCUUUUUAACAGUGGUCGAGAUAAUUUUACUAUACUAAAAAAUAUUCUUAUUCUGAUAAUGCCACAAAUGUUAUGCUGUUUUCUUCAGAUAAUGAUCUUCCAUUAGGAGAGGUUAGAAAUCAAAUGCUUAAAAGACCAAUUGAACGAAUAAUACAGAAAUUUAGGCAGAAUCUAAUAGAAUAUUGCAUGAAACAUGAAACAUCAAUUCAAGUCCUUUCUUAAACGGAGAAUGCAUCAAACAAAAUCCAAAGUGUCUUGCAAGUCUGUAGCGUGAGCAAAAAAUUGUAAAUAUGUAGAACCAAAUUAUUCAAGUACAGAAGAACGAGCAAGCUAAAUCAUGUAUAAGAGAUUGGCCUGGUUCGGGAUAGCUUCUUCACUGUAUCUGAAGGGUUGGCUCAAUCUCUUCUUUAGAAUUCUGCAGAUUUUGUAAUUACUCGUGUAAGCAAGUAUACAUUGCCACCAUAAGAAUAAUGAAGCUAGAGUAAUGAUAUGACCACCACCUCUUGUGCACAAACAAUAUUGUAUAAACUAAUGCGACAUAAUAUGAUUGGUUAAACAAAAACAUUACAUGGCCCUCAUAAUUUAUUUAUUUAUUUAUUAUUAUUAUUAUAUAUUUUCAGUCAACCAAUCAUAUUAUAUCACAUUAGUUUCUAUAAAAUAAUUUGCUAAAUAGCACCAAAACUUAAUUGAUACUCACCAUUUCAUUGAACAAUUUUUUUAUGGUGUCAUUGAGGUUGCCUUCCCAACAUCGUUCAUCAUCAUCUUUUUCUUCUUUGGUGACGUUCACUUUGUUUAGCAUUGGUGUGUCUAAGAGUCCUUGAGAGAAGAUCUUCAUUUUUGGACACUGUCUCACAACUACUUGUUUCAAGGACGGGAAUUCAAGAGCGUAAUUACCUAAACAAAAGCUUGUUAGGCUUGGCAAACAAUCAAGUCUCAAGUACUCCAAUUCCUUGAAAACAUUGCAAUCUUUCGCUUCUUCUCCAACCUGCAAUUGUAUGAUUUGUUCUAUCAUUUUGCAAUCAACUAUCAUCAUUCUUUUGAGAUUCACUAGAUUUUUAGAUGCUGAGAGCGUCAACACAUUUAUCAAUCCGUGACACUUCGAUACUGCCAAAGCCUCAAGAUUUUCCAAAUGCCACGAAGGUGGUACUAAUUUUUGCAACUUACUACAUUCCGAUAUUUUUAGACUUUUCAAGUUUGCAAACACUUUGUUGGAUUCGGCAUUUUCCUUCCAGAGAUGGUGCACUUUGUGUAAUCCAGACAGCUCUAACCAUCUCAAUCGAGGGAAUGAAACCUGAAAAUCAACAAAAUUAAGUUGUAAAUGAAAAUAUGUAUCCAAUCUCUGCAGUCUUCCCCUGCAUAUUUUAUGGACAAGAUUAAUCACGACAUUUUAUAUUUUUUUUCCAAAUUAGAAUGCUUUGCAGUAGGAUCCCAAAUAUAAGUAUCAAAUCGAUUACCCUUUGAAACACAUAAAUGAAAUCUGAUACUAAAUCCAAUAUGAAUUAGCUAGGAAAACAGAGAUGUUACACACAUAAUUAAUAGAGUUCAUCACCUCGUGUUACCAGGCAUCCAAUUAAUUUAAGACAUUUUAAUAAUUCAUAUUAUAAAGUUAGUUGAUAGCGGAGGUUAUAUUGUUAAAUCAUAUAUAAAUUAAGACGACGUGCAAAAAGAGGAGUCAUUAAAUUCGAUUUGAUUCUAACGAAAUUACAUCUAUGCGAAUGAAAGUGAAGGGAAAUAAUAAUAAUAAUAAUAAUAAUCACCUUUUCAUCGAAGAGAGGUUGUACUUGAUGAGCCAGCAAGAAGUUCUCUUCUGAUGUUAAUUUUUGAGGUUCCUUAUUAUCCGCUGUCAUGUGCAGUACAGAGUUGGAUAUGAAUGUUUCUAUAUCUCGGCAAUUCUCAAUAGUUAGAUUUCUCAACAUAGGCAUUUCAAUUAUAUUCCCAGUGAAGUUGCAGAAUCUUUUGAGUUUUGGAAGAUCAGUGAGCCUCAGCCUGUAAAGCUUAGGAAACAGGGGGCUUAUAUGUUCUUUGUCAGCAUUUAGCUCCUCCAAAUGAAGCACCUCUUCUAUUGAAUCACAAUUCCUCUCUUCCAGCCAUACCAAAUUGUUCAAGCACCGUAGCAGAUUGGCAGGAAUAGCACUCGACAUAUUCGUGCAGUCAUCCACAGCCAGUUGUCGUAAAUUGUUGAAGAAGCUGACAGGCAGUGCUUGGCCAUGCCAUAUUUCUUUCAAACGUGGAAAAUGUGAGAGUUGCAAAUCCCAUAUGUCACGGAAUCCAAUCUGCACAAACAAAAACAAUUGCACUGGAUAUAUAUAAAUUUUUUUUUUGAAUCAACUUACAUGUUUUGUGUUUUAACUUCUAAAACUAUAUAUACAAGGCAGGUGUAUAUGUUCAAAUGUCCAAGUGCAAGGGAGAUGCAUAAGUAAUUUCGACGAAUCGAUUUAACACAUACCAUUUCUUCGUAACACUUUUGUAUAGUGGAAUUAAGGUUGCCUUCCCAAUGGCGCAAUUCACCCUCUCCCUGUUAAGAAUAGAAUUAGUUAGUUAAUGAGUAUGCUGACAUGGCAGCUGAGUCAGCUAAAGGUUGUUAUAGAGGUUGUUAGUAGUAAACUGUGCGUGUGUGCAAUGUGUGUAGAAUCUUCUAUGCACAUAUAAAAAGGCUUGUAAUUUCCAGAUUCAUUAGAUCAAUAAUAACAGAAUUCUCAGCUUACAGAAGUUUUCUUUCUUCCUAUUUUCUUAGUAACCAAACAACAUCACAGUUUCAUAUAAAACUUAAUACUUCCUUUUUACUCACAUGCACUUCGUGCAGCUUUGGUGUGGAUACGAUUCCCUGAGAAAAAGUCUUCAUGUUCGGGUAACAUGUCAUAGAAACUCGUUCCAAUGAUGGGAAUUCAAGAGUGUAAUCCUCCAAACAAAAGCUGGUAAGCCUUGGUAAAUGAUUUCAGGUAAUUUUUAAAUAUUCUAAAUUCAUUUAGAAUAUUUAAAUGAAUUUAGAAUAUUCACUAUUUAGUAUUAGGAAUGGAGAAAGAAUUUCAGGUAAUUUUUAAAUAUUCUAAAUUCAUUUUUCAUCUUGAUUCUAGUUUUUUAAAAAAAUUUAAUUUUCAAACAUGCGUAUUUUUAAAAUAACUAAACUAAAACGCUGUAUUUCCCUUUUUUUCCCGAUAUUCAUGCUUUUAAAAAUGGAAAACAUUUCUGGAAAACACUUCCCAACGCCAUCAACAUGGGACUGUUAUAGAUGAAUUAAGGAAAAGAGAAAUAUAUAGAUGAAUUUGUGAACCUAUAAGAUGAGUGACUAUCCUUUAAUUUUUGAAAAUUGUACUUAUUAAGAUAUGAGCAGAAACAAUUAAAUUGAAUUAUAUUAUGCUGUUGAAUCGUGAUUAAAAAAAUUAUAUUGUUGAUUCUAAUGCUGGCGAACCUAAAAACUGGACUUAAAAUGUAGAUUUGAGAGUGGUGGUUCGAAGUACAAUACUUGAAAUAAAUAAUCAGUGGCUGAAUAUCAUUUGUAAACAAAAAAUGGUUAAAAUAUUGUUGGAUGUAAUUUGAAAAAAAAAAAAAGAUUCGAAAUGAAUACAGCAACCUUACCAAUGGAGGAAAAAUAUUCUUUAGGUUAUCACACUCAAAUAUCUCUAAAUUCUUCAAUUUGCUGAAAGACUCCGAAGCAAGUUGGUGGUGCCAUAUUAUUCUCAAAUUAUUCAUCCAGCUAAUAUGUAAUACCUCCAACCUAGGAAGUCGUACCUGGCAGUUAAAGAUUAAAUAACUAAUUAAUCAAUUAAUUGCAUAAUCAAUUGAUAACUAAAUUAGAGGCAGAUAUUAACUAAACUUGAAGACUCAAAGAAAAGACAAAUUAAAUAUUGUGACUAAAAUUAAUUUUUUUUAUUAAAAAAAAAACCUUUUCGUCAAAGAGAGGAGGAGGUUGCAUUUCAGAAUGAUUGGUGUCUUCUGGUGAGCUCGUAGAGAUGAAUCUUAACAUAUUCCAGCAACUCUGAAUCUCGAGGUUUAGCAAAGAAGGGAAUUCAACAACUAAAUCUGAAUUAAUAUGUCCCGUAUUGGCAAAGCUUGUUAGUUUAUAAAGCCAAUAGAGCUCCAGGGAGUGUAGUUUAGGAAAAACCUUUAAUUCAAUCAACUUUCCUUCUUCUCUUUCUGACCACCCCGUGGUGUCGACUACCCCUUCCAUUGACUCACAAGAUCUUAUCUCAAGAUGCUGGAGUUGCAAAAGACUAUUAACCAUAGAAUAGGAAAACAGAUACUUCAUACGAUGACAACUGCUCACGUACAGCUUUGUUAAAUUUCGACAACAGUACAUUCCUUGAUUAUGAUCGGCCCAUAAUUUUUUCAUGUUUCUUAAUGACCUGAGAUCCAAUUCCUCUAAGCUCGGAAGAAUAACCUGCAAAGAAUACCCGUACAUUUUUGUUCCUUCAAGUACAACCGUCUAGUAUAAUAUUCUUUUGAUGAUCGAAGAUUAAUCGUGAUAAUAAAUUAAUCAAUUAAUUAUUGAACAGAAAAUUAUCACCUUUGGAGCAGGAUCAUCAUCAGCAGUGAUUUCGUUGAAUCCCAAAGAAGUUGUUGGUUUCUCCCUGUCGGGUCCUAUAAACAAACAAAAACAAUAUACAUAAUUAAUCUUUGUUUUUUUUUUCAAAAUAAUUGAGGCGAAGUCAAUUAUCCCACCGGUACUUAAUUUCAACACUUACCAACAAUCAUUUCCUGAUCAUCGCAAAAAGCCACUUCUACCUUUUGAAGCCGCAGUAGGUUUUUGGCUAUGGAGAAUGAGAAAAGAUGCUUCAAUUUGUGACAGAAUUUUACUUCUAUAAUCCUUAAGUUGCUGAAAGAUUGAUCUUCUGUGAGUUGGCUGUCACAUAUUGUCUCCAAAUUGAUCAAACGACGAAGAGACAAUGACUCCAGCAAGGGGAAGACUUUGCGACGAACCCGUCCAACUGAACAGACAAUAUGCAAAAUCUCAGAACAACUUUCUGCAGAAAGAUGCUUCAAUCGUGGAUAACCUUCCCCAUCAUCUAAUUCAUGAACAACAUUCUGAACACCCUUCAGUUCUUCUAGAUAGAGAUAUUCAGUUCUCGUCAACAACAGUUUCAUCCUGUAAUUCUGCAAAAGAACGCCAAACUUUUCCAGCCCCUGGAGCUUCAUCAAUCUUGAUAAUCCAGAUUUAACGGACCAGCUGCUCCACCACUUAUUUCCUAUACAUAUCCUAUAGCUUUGUAAUUCCACAGAGACGAAAUCCUGCGGUAAAAUUUCGGCAUCCCGAACAUGUAUCUCCAAAGUAGUUAGCUUUGACAGCCCAUUCAAUUCAGCAAGACUGGCGUUACUUCCUCCUUCAACCUUCUCCCACUGUGAAAAGCUGUUACCAAUAUAUAGUUCUUCUAAUCGAGAUAAUUUUGAUAUGACAUUUGGAGCUAUCACCACAAGACUGCUACAAUUUCUCAAAUCUAGCAACUGUAAUCUCGUCAAUUGUCCAAUUACAACUGGCAACUCCUUAACAUCAGAAUCUCGGAAGCUGAGAAUCUCUAAUUUCCUUAGCUGUCCAAUUAUAGUUAUUUCGUUCAGUCGGCAACCGUCUAAACACAAUGUUCGAAGGUUAAUGAGGCGACCAAGUGAUGAAGGUAAUGAAGAGAAAAAUAUGCCAGUAAAAUCUAAAACUUUGAGUUCUUCUGUCCCUUCAAAAAAGAGGUCUGAAAUUUGCAAAGAGCUAUCACGCUUUGAAAACAACAAAAGUAACUCGAGACGGGGACAUCCCAACCUUUCGGGAAGCUCUUGAAUAUCUCUAUAAGGUAAAGAAAUAGCAAUUGGACCUUCCCGUAUUGUCUCUUCCAUCUUUUUCUCCACGUAGGCAACAUUUGGAAUAUUAAACAUGAGCUCCUUUUCUGCAAUUGAUACAGCAACAGCAUGAAUGAUGUCAUGCAUUUUAACUUCAUCUUCAGCAUCACCGUCCAACAAUAAGCAUGAAGAUUUGAGUUUGUCGAUCAAUGCAUCCACUCUAUUCCUUGCAUUUUCCAAUGUGCGAACAUAUUUAAACAAACCCAAACCCAUACCCAUACCAUAUCUCAACAAGGAAGCAACUUGUAUAGGAGUACCUUCACCAAAUAGAGAACAAAGAAGGAACAAAGAUUUUGCUUCAUCACUUUCCAAGAAGUCGUAACUCAAUUUUAUGGAAGAAUACACAUCUGCAUCCAUACCAUGAAUUUCUCUUAGAUUGGAACUUCUUAGCUGAUUCAACGCAUCCUUCCAAAUGGCAAGACUCUUAUUUUUCAGAGCACUUGCAACUGUUCUCAGUGCAACAGGCAAUCGUCCGCAUUUUCCAACAAUCUCAUCCGCUAAAGGUUGAAAAGCAGAUGCUUUUGCGGAAUUGCCCACGAUCUUUUCAAAAAAUUGCAAUGCUUCUUCCUUUGAUAAAACUUCAAUUGGGAAAAUCUUCUGAGAAUUCAUAUCAUUGAUCAAUAAAUCUUGACUUCUAGACGUCAAUAUUAUCGUGCGUCUCCUUAGAUCUUGCUUUCUAUCUUUCUCAUCAACAUCCCCAGAAGGAAUUCCAAUUUCUUCCAACCUAAGUUUUUUCCAAAUAUUAUCUAAUAUAAUGAGGACUCGCUUCUCUUUCGUCAAUCUUUGACAAAGUUGUUUUGCUCUGUGGGGUUUGCUAUCAUUCAAGUCAAAGUUCAUGUCUAAAUCGGAAGCGAGCUUGUCUUGAAUUUUCUGAACAUCUGGGUUCUCUGUUACCUCAGCCAUAACGACCUUAUCGAACAACUUAUCUUCCAUAACUUGCUUUGCAAUUUGCUUGACUAGCGUGGUUUUACCCACGCCGCCCAUACCGUGGACCCCAAUUAUGUUGAGCUUAUCAUCCCUCAAUGCCUCCACAACAUCUUGAAAUAAUUUCAUUCUUGAAUCAAAGGCCUCGAAAUCUUUCGCUUGCAUAUGUUCUGUACUCUCUGGAGCAGGACGGUGGGAAACACUAGAGAAGUUGCCUUUUCUCACGAGACUAGCGGCAGCUUCUGCGGCCUUUACUGCUUGUUUACUAAGUUUAUAACGAGAAAUCAAGUUGGGGCACAAUCCUUUGAAGCAGGACUUCUUAGCUCUAUCUUCAUCAUCAAUGAUGGAUUUUGCAACCCCUUCACUGAUGCAUUCAUCAACGCCAUUAAGCCAGUCUGCAACAUCCUUGUAAAUCUCAUCUCUUUGUUGAGUAGCCUGACGAACGGGUAUUCCCACCCUUUCUCUUUUAUAUUCCAGCUGCUUCACUUGAUCUUUUAGCUCAGCUAUGUAGCUCUGGUACUUGAACACAUAAGAUAUCUGCCGCAUAAUCCGUUCGAGCAAUGCCUUUGCACCUUCUGAUACAAUGCUUGAAAAAGCUUCGAGACCCACUUCUGAAGCCAUUGCCUAGCCUGUUGCAUAUAUAUAUACAUUAGCCGAUGGAAAAAUUGGAUUCAAAUAAAUUAAAGUGAUCCAGAGGGAAGGACAAAGAAAGAAAUGACAACGAAUGACUUUUUAAACAAAGGUUUCAAGAGCCUGAAUCGAAAACCAACAAUUUGAAAAAAAAAAAAAGAAUUGGAAGAUGGAUGCAAAUUAACCAUUGCUAAUACUACAUAAGAACACAUAAGUUAACAAUGAACAGUUACUUAAGAAAAUUAAAUGACAAGAUUAAAACAAACAAGCGCUAUUUUUUCUUGGACAAAUGUACCUGUUUAAUUAUUAAAGACUUAAUGAGCUUCACUAUUGGCCUUGAGUAUAUAAGAAUGAGCAAGAGAUCAAUGUCAACUGCAGAGGAAUGUCAGUAAAGGUUUCAUGAGAGUGAGUAAUACAAAUGAAUUGUAAAAGAACAAGACUUAAGCGUGCACCCCCUGUUUUGUUUUAUUCGUUAUGAAAAUGAUAUUGUACCCAAUUUUAAGAGAGCAUAAUAAUAACCAUUUAAUGCAUAAAUUUAGAAUUAGCUUUUUUUUUUGUAAUUCUUUAUUUAAAUAUACACGUCAAUGGAAAAUUUUGAAAAUUUGGAUACAAAAUUUUAAAUCACCAGAAAAAAAAAAGCACGGGAACGGAAAUAGAGGAAUCUUGUUUUACCUUUUUUUUUCCCCCCUUUAACUCUCGUUCUUAUAUAAAUAAUCUUGUUUUGAUGAUUGUGACUCGUGACUGCGGGAAAAAUUCUAAUGGAAACAACUCAAUUUCGGAAGAUAAGCUUAAUUCUGCAAGUGAUGAAUUUGUUCAAUAGACUCUGUACCUGAACUCGUUGGAUUGGUUGAUUGAUGAUUGACUAAAUUUGAAUUAAGUUUAAUAGCUUAGCUAUCAUGUACUCCUUAAAAGCAAACGUAAAUCUUUUUUAGAUUUGACUGAAUUUGGGAACCUGUUGGAUUGAUUGUUUUUAGAUCAUUAAUAUCAGAUACUACAAACGUAAAUAUUUUCUUGUGGUUGAGUCCUAUUCAAAUCACACAAAAUUGCACGACCAAAUAUUAAGAGAACGUAAUAAUAAUCACUCAGUGCGUAAGGGUAAAUUUAGAAUUACGUAUUCUUUUUUAUUUAAUAAAAUCCCAGCGAGAAAAUCAUAAAAUUUAGAUAUAAAAUUUUCAAUCACCAAACAAAAAACAGGGGGAAUGAAAACACAGGAAACUUGUUUUACCUUUUUUUCAUCUAACUCUUGUUCUUAUAUAAUAUUUUCCCUAGUGUUUCAGGCAAGCAAAAAAAAAAAAAAAAUCAAUAAAGAGCAAGUUGCUCAAAUUGAUUUAUCUUGUUUUUCAGGCAAUCUUGUGAUAUGAUGAUAAUGCUUAUGAAUGCUAGAAAAACUUCUAAUGCAAACAACUCUAUUUGGGAUGAUAAGCUUAAUUUUACAAGUGAUAAAUAUAAAUAACUUUUUGUGGUUAAUUCAAUUUGUAAUUACCCUUAGCCCUAUUCUAAAAUUUGUUGGCUGCUUCAGAAAAAAAAAAAAAAAAAUUUCACUCAUCUUUAAUCUUCAAGUAAAAAACAAAUCUAAUAAAAUGACAAACAAACAAACAAAUAAAAGACAGCAAACAAACAACAUUUAGCCAACUGAUAUUUAAACAGGGAUUAGAGUUUUUGUUAUUAACUGAAAGGUUUCAAGGGUCUGAAUAAAAUCCCAGACUUUUUUUUAAAACUUUUUUUUUAAUUAACCAAAGCCAUAUAAUAAGAUCACAGACUUUAACAAUGAACAAUAAUUUGAAACUCAAGCAAAACCAAUCACAAGAUUAAAACAAACCAGAGAAUUUUUUUCUUGGAAAGUAGAUGAAAAGCAAGUAAGAACUGCUAUUAAAGGAUAUUAUUAAAGGAUUUAGAACAUGUAUACCUCUUUAUUUAUAUGGGAUCAGAGAGUCGAUGACCUUCUCUAUUCGCUUCGGAUAUUUAGUAAGAACUGCUAUCAAAAGAAUGAAUUGAUGAGUAAUAACAAUGAAUUGCAAAAGAGGAAGACUUAAUCACGUACCCCUAUUGUACCCGAUUUUUAAGAUUUAAUUUUGAAGUCCAGAAUCAAGACAAAAGACGAAGCCUUAACAAAUAUGCAGUGAGAAUAGUUAAGUUGAAGAAAGCACUAGUUUAUGGCUCUGUGUUUCAUAUGCCGUAUUGAAAUAAUUAAGUUGAAGUUUUCAACGAAUAAAUACCUGGUGUGCUGGAAUAAUUUUAGAAGAAUAUUGGCUUAUAGAGAUUAGAGCAUAUUAGGAGGGAUCAGAUUUGUAAGAUGCCUGAUAAAAGAUAAAGCGAAUGUUAUUAUGGACAUACCAAUUUCCGACUUUUCGGAGUGCAUCCGUCUAUCCAUGACUUGAAAAGAGACCCAAUGUGUGGACAGACUUGAUUACAUNNNNNNNNNNNNNNNNNNNNNNNNNNNNNNNNNNNNNNNNNNNNNNNNNNNNNNNNNNNNNNNNNNNNNNNNNNNNNNNNNNNNNNNNNNNNNNNNNNNNNNNNNNNNNNNNNNNNNNNNNNNNNNNNNNNNNNNNNNNNNNNNNNNNNNNNNNNNNNNNNNNNNNNNNNNNNNNNNNNNNNNNNNNNNNNNNNNNNNNNNNNNNNNNNNNNNNNNNNNNNNNNNNNNNNNNNNNNNNNNNNNNNNNNNNNNNNNNNNNNNNNNNNNNNNNNNNNNNNNNNNNNNNNNNNNNNNNNNNNNNNNNNNNNNNNNNNNNNNNNNNNNNNNNNNNNNNNNNNNNNNNNNNNNNNNNNNNNNNNNNNNNNNNNNNNNNNNNNNNNNNNNNNNNNNNNNNNNNNNNNNNNNNNNNNNNNNNNNNNNNNNNNNNNNNNNNNNNNNNNNNNNNNNNNNNAUUUAAUAAUUAUAGAAGAAUAUUGGCUUAUAGAGCAUUUUAGUAGGGAUAAGAUUUGUGGACAGAAUAAAUGAAAUAAUAAAAAGCAUAACUGAUCAAGUCAUUAUUGAUCUUACUUUGAUUAUUACAUUGCACAUUAGUUUCUUUCUAAAAAUGCCAUUCUUCAUUCAAGCUUUCGCUUUAUCUUUUAUCAGGCAUCCUACAAAUCUUAUCCCUACUAAUAUGCCCUAUAAGCCAAUAUUCUUCUAAAGUUAUUAAAUGCCAUUCUUCAUUCAAGCUUUCAUGGACAUUAUCUACAAACUGAAUCUUCAAUGUAAUAAAAUAAUGAUCAGCCUCACAGGAUACAUAAAAAGCUCAUUUAUCACAAUCAUUUCCUAGUGCAUCAUAAACUUAGAUUAUUUAAUUUUACUAUUAGGAAACCUACUUAUAAAAGGCGCACACUACAAAUUCUAAAUUAAAUUUCUAACUAAGAAUAAAAGGUAAACCCUAGCAAUUUUCCACCAGGUGCCGUGUAGCCUGCAUCAUAAAUUUUGAUUUAAAUCUUUGUAAUCACCGAACAGAAAAACCGGGGAAUGAAAACAGAGGAGCCCUAUUUUUCCAUUUUUUUAACCCUUAACUCUUGUUCUUCUAAUUAUAUUUUUGCUUGGAAUUUCAGGCAAACGAAAAAAAAUAGUGACAACUAUUUAGAGAGAACAGGUGGAUGAUAGCAAAAAUAUUUUUAAUUAAUAUGCAUGAUUAACUCUUGUUCUUCUAAUGUAGUGGCUUGAUUAAUUAAUAUUUUUAAUCAAGCCAUUACAUUAUUGGUAGUCUCUGUGGGCUCAUUUCGUCUCCAGACCUGAUAUUGUAUAUCUCUUUUUGAAUAUGUUUAAUUAAUAUGCAUGCUGCUGAAUAAAGACGAUGAUUUCCAAAUUUUUGUUGCUUUUUUUUUUUCUUUUUGCUGCUUUGGUACAUGAAGAAUGUGGAAAUAGAAAUAGCUUUCGAAGUUUAAUGGCUUGCUUCAUUAGUAAAGAAAGACUAGGAUAUCCGUCCUUUUUGUUACUGAAUUAUUGAUCAAUUGACGGUUGAAGUUAGUUAUAUUAAUUUGUUGUACAAGAAUUGAAGCUUAUAUCUUUACCGUUUCGUGAAAGUGUCAAAUAUGUUCUUUCCUUGCAAUUGUUCAAAAUAUGUUACACUUUUGAAGUCACUAUUACAUAAAGGGUGUUGUAAAAUAGGGAAAGGCGGGUUUAUGAUUAGAUUUUAAUAUGUUUAAUUCAAGGAUUAACCGAAGCUAUUAACCAACGGCUACUAACCGAAAACCGAAUUUAACAAUAAACACUAACUCAGAAUUCAAGAAAAUUAAAUGACAAGAUUAAGACAAAUGAGAGAUAUUUUUCUUGGACAUUAAGAAAGAACUACUAUCAAGAUCAAGGAUUAGAGAUUAUAUAUGCUAUUAUUAAUAGAAAUUAUUAAAGGAUUUAGAACAAGUUCACCUCGUUGAUUAUCUGGGAUGAUGAGUUUCUAUAUUCACCUUGAAUAUAUAAUAACAAUUUUAGUGAGCAAAAGAUCACUGGUAACUGCAGAGGAAUGUGUGAGUUUAAGAGCUUAUUAGAGUAAGCAAUACAAAUGAAUUUUCAAAUUAUGUACUUGGUCAUUGUUGUCCUACUGACGCACGUUUUUUUUCAUGAAUAAUUGCCAGAUCAGAAAAGAAUAAGUUCGGUGGAUUGAAAGAUUGCUGAAGCAAGUAAAACAAUCUUCAUAUCGAACAUGAUUCCAAUUAAAUUAAUCUUUUUAUAAGAUGACUAAUAAAAGACAAAAGUAGAAGCUUUGAUGAAUGAACGAUGACCAAAACUUUUGUAAAAGCGGAUGCCGAUAAAAUAAACAAAAGGCACUUUAAAAAGAAACUAAAGUGCGAUCAUCAAAGUAAGAUCAAUAAUGACUCGAUUUAUUUCACCUAUUCUGUCCACAAAUGAUGCUUCGCUAUUACAAGGUCCGAAUGGACAUUAUUUACAAAUUGUUCUUAUGUUUCACAGAAAAAUGAAAAACCGUUCAUCAUCAUAUAAUUAUGAAAUAAAUAAAUUUUAUUAAUGGAUUAUGGGGAUAUGUUAAUGUUAGGGAUAUGUUCAAAUCAUCAUAUAAGUUACUAAACGCUUCAACAAGAACAAGAAUUAAUGAGUUAAAAGUAAAAAAAAAAAAUUUUAAAAAAAGUUAAAUAAAUAAAACUUAGAAGUAAAGAAUGUUAUUUGCAAUCACCAAAAUGAAAACAGUGGAACCCUGUUUUUCCUCUCAUUUCUCUUUCUCUCUUUUUCAUUUGUUGGGAAGUGUCGCCUAAAACACUUCCUCUGCUAGGUGGAAUUAUUGGCUUGAAGAGAUGAGUUCUUGUCACAAGCACAAAUUUUAUCUGUACAUUAUUUCAUUUUAAAUGAUGAGUUCUUGUCACAUGAUCAUUACUUUUUUUGUUUUGAUUUGGUUAGUUCAUGAUAACAAACAAAUUAUUUUGCAUCACAUUAUGGUAAAAAGUUGCCCUCUUUGUUACUUCCACAGCUAUAUAGUUUAAUAUUUUGUAAUAAGAUCACAAAGUGCAUGGGAACCACUGUUCGAGUACUUCAGCCUAAUAUGAAGAUCUAUUGAAAAUUUUCCUGAUGUCAUGAUAUUAAACAAAAAAAGGUACCUCUUUUACUAAUUAAUAAGAGAAGUUUUGACCGAUUUCAUGUGACUCUCUUUUACUAAUUAAUAAGAGAAUUUUUGGCCUUAUAUCCUUGCUGUGGCGUUAGACUGUUGGUCAUUUUGAUUGUUUCCUACUUUCCGUUUACGCCAGCUGUAACAUUGUAUUAUCACCAUUUUAGCCAUUUAAAUGAAAUUUAUUUUUGUCAAAAAUAAAAUGACACCCUUAAAAUUAAAAAAAAAAUAGUUAUGUAGACCUCAAAUUUUUAAUAAAGAAUGCCAAUACCCCUUUUAACUACAAGAUUCUUAGUAGAUGAUAACUAAAAAAAUUAACUUCAAAAAUUUUCACUAAAUAUAAAUCUAAUUGAAAUAGUUUAAAUUUUCUAGUAGACUAAUAUAUAUAACUUAAAUAAUUAAUUUCAUUAUUAAUUUUUAAAAUGUUAAAUAAUAUAUUUUAAUUUAUUAUAAAAAAUUUAAAUAAAUUCUUGGAUUAGAUAGAUUUUACAAUUAAUGUAAUACUGCUGAUUUAUUAAUAAUAUUAAAAUUAUUUUAUAUGAUAUUCAAAAUAAUUUAAACUUUUAUAUAUUUAUUUUAAUAUUAUGUCUAUUUAUUAUAAAUUUAUAAUUUGGUUUAAUAUAAUACGGGAUUGUAAAAUAUUAAAAUAUUUUUCAAUAUCAAAUUAUUUUAAUAUGUAUAUAUCAUUACAUUUAUUUUAAUAUUGCAUUUAUAUUUAUUAAAGAGUAUUGCAGUAAAGUAAAAAAAAAAAAAGUCUUAUUAUCCCUUAUUCACGAUAUGAGGUUCUACAGAAUUAUUUCCCCAAACGGGUGUCCUUUUCUCAUUUUCAAAAGAAAAAAUAAAGUAAGAAUAAGACCAUGGAUUUCAAAAAACUUAUAGUCCUAUCCCGGGACCAAACGUCUAUUCAUUAUUUUAUUUAUUCAAUAUAAAUGGCCAACUUAAAAAAAUGAUAAAAAUCACACAAAGCUCAAGUGAAAAUUUAGAAUUACAUUUUUUAAUACUCUCGGAGUCUUCUCUCCUGCCCCCUUUUUUUCUUAAAAAAAAAAACCUUAGUGUAAAAUUAGAAGAAUUUUAGAUAUAAAAUUUGACAAUCGCUAAACAGAAAAGCAGCGGAUUAAAAAUAGAGGAGCUCUGUUAUCAUUGCAAUAUUGAUUAUAGAUAAUAUAAUAACUUGUUGUGGUUCAUUGUAGCACUCUGAGCCAUACUUUAAAAUUUACUGGUUUGUUAAUGCUUUUAUUAUUGACAUUAUUGUGUCAAUAUUAUUAUAAUUUAUUCAUUUUAUUGUAAUGAUAAUUUGUCUAGUCUUAGGUACUUAUUAUAUUAAAUUAUGUAAAUUAAUUGAGAAUACUUUUACAGACAAAAGAAACACGUGUAUGUAGGAUUAAUAAGCGAAGAGUUGUAAAUGAAGCUGAUUGCUUCAUUGAGAUGCAUAUUAAAUAAUUAUGGAGAGUUGCUCUAUUUCAGAAGCAUAUAUUUAUACUUCCCUAUCAGGAUUUGGGGUAAGCGAAGUGCUUUAUGUAUUGCAGUAAGCAAAUGUGGGCAACAUCAGAGCCGAAAUAUUAAAAGAUCAUAACGCAUAUAAACGAUUAGUAUAUUCAAGGCACAUAUAGCGGAAAGAGUGCAGAUCUGGCCGUAACUAUUAUGAGGAUUUCCUCAAGUAAAUAUUAAAAGAACAACUAUUCUGAACUAUAUAUUCUUCAUUGUGGGCAGAUUUACUUAAAUACCAACACAAUGAUUCAAUACUUCAAAAGUCAAGGAAAUGUCAAAAUAUGAAAUGAAAAUACUUAAAUACCCUUCUCCCUAACAAAACUUAGUACUUCUAACUGCCAUCGCAGAGAAUAUAUAAAAUUUAAAAAAAAAAUCAUCCAUGAAAAGUUUCGUAACAGAAAAACCGUCUUUCAAAAAAUAAAAAAUAAAAAAUAAAAACAGAAAAAUUGACUCAUUUAUCUGCCAAUGAACCAGUCGGGACUCAUUUAAAAAAGAUUACAAAGCAAAAGUAAAUGACACAAAUUGCAUAGAUAUCUAAGAGCCGCAUCAAAGGACAAAGGUGUUAAUUUGUCCAAGUAAUAAAUUCUCCUAGGUCAAAAGCAAUUAACGAUGAAAACUUUCUUCAUUAAGGUUCUGGCCUACGUAAAAAAACAGAAAAAACCACCCCAAGGUCAAAGCACAACGAUAAGUUUAGAAUUGCAGUUUUUAAUUUUUCUUUUUAAUAAAUCAACGUGUAUUAAAAAUAGAUAAAAAUUUUGAAUAAUGUUUUUUUGAUAAAUAUAGACAUAAAAUUUAAAAAUCACCAAACAGAAAAACAGGGCAAUUAAAAGAGAGCCCUUGUUUCUCCUCUGUUUUGUUUGUUAUUAAACGGGGAAAUGAAAAGAUCGCAAGCAUAAAUUUUGUUUCUGCGUUGUCUCUUCUCAAUGUUGCAUGCAUUCAAAUUAAACCUUAUAUAUGAUAGCAAACUAGCUACUCUGCAUGUACGAUAAGUCUAAAUAAUAGAAUAAUUGUAAAAUGUUCAAAUUCAGUAAUUAAUUAUACAUAUUUAUUUAUUCAAAAAUUAUUAUUAUUAUUAAUUAUUGUCAAUAAUAUAUUAAUAUACUAAUUAAUUAUAAAAAUUUUUAUCAUUCAUAACAAUAACAAUGAUGAUGAUGAUGAUAAUAAUAAAAAUUCAAAAUAUAUUAAUUAAUUAUAAUAAUAUAUUAAUUAUUUAAUACUAAUAAUAAUAAAAAUGUAAAAUGUAUAAAUUGAUUAGAAUAGUUAUAUUAAUAAAUUAUAAACAUAUAUUAAUUAAUCAUAAUAAUUUUUUAAUUGAGGACAAAAUAGACAUUUUAUAGUUUGUGAGAGGGGGCAAAAUGGUCAAUUUUGGGAAUGGGAGAUUGAUUCCCACCACCUUCCUUGGGAAUCAAUUUUCCAUUCCUCAUUCCUAAAUUUGGGUGGCCCCAUAAUUCUGAUUUGGAUCCCUGCCUCCAUCAUUAAUGAUUUCGAUUUCGGAUUCCGAUUCCCCAAUCCAAGAAGUAAAGGCACCAUUAUUGUUAAUUGGUUCAAACACACAAAGAGAAUGUACCGUGUAGCUAGGCGUCAAGGUUGUGUUGCACAAGUAACCUUUUUCUUUUCUUUUUAUUUUUCUUGUUUUCCUUAACGGAUCAGAAGAAAUUGGUGCCUUUGAGAUACCACAAUGUAAAUAAUUAUUUGUGGUUCAUUGAAUCUGUAACACUCGGUACCCUAGGGUUGCUUUGGAAAAAGGGCUUUUCUCACCGAUCGCCAAUAUCCAAGUAAGUUUGUUUCAUUUCAGAAGGUGCAAAGUUUCAAACUUGUUGUAUUGGGAUGUAACAAACUUUGGCCUUAUAUGCCUGCUGUGACGUGAGACUGUUCAUUUUGAUUGUUUCCUACCUUCCACUUACGCACUGUAGCACUGUAUUAUUCACCAUUUUAGCUGUUUAAAUGAAAUUUUAUUUUUGUCAAAAAUAAAAUGACACCAUUAAAAUUUAGAAAAAUAAUCAUGUAGAUCCCAAAUUUUUAAUAAAGAAUACCAAUAUUCCCCUUGACUACAAUACCCUUAGUAGGUGGUAAUAAAAAAAAAUUGGCUUAAAAUUUUUACGAAAUGUAAAUAUGAUUUAAAUAAUUUAAAUUUUCCAGUAGACUACUAUAUAUAAUUUAAAUAAUUAAUUUAAAUAUUAAUUUUUAAAAUGUAAAUUAAUUUAUUUGUAUUUAUAAAAUAUUUGUAAUUAUUUUAAAAUUUAACUAAAUCCUUAGGUUAAAUAGAUUUUACAAUUAAUAUAAUAUUUCUCAUGUAUUAAUAAUAUUAAAAUUAUUUUAUAUGAUAUUGAAAAUAACCUAAAUUUUUAUAUAUUUAUUUGAAUAUUAUGCUCUAUUUAUUAUAAUUUGGUUUAAUAGAAUACGAGAUUGUAAAAAAUUAAAAUUUUUAGAUAUUGAAAUUAUUUUAAUAUGUAUAUAUUAUUAUAUUUAUUUUAAUAUCCUAUUUAUAUUUAUCAUAAAUUAUUAGAGUUAAUUUUUUUAGUUAAUAAAUUUAAAAAAUAUUAUAAUUUAAAAAAAAGUCUUGUUGUCCGUUAUUCACGAUAUGAGGUUCUACAAAAUUAUUUCUCCAAACGGGUGUCCUUUUCUUUUUUUCAAAAGGAAAAACAAGUUCAGGGCCUCAGGGGUUUCAAAAAAUUCUGGUCCUAUAUACCACUAUGACUAAUGGGAAACGACAUUGCAAUUGACAUUGCUUUCCACAAUAUGAUAGAUUAUUGGAGGGAUAUGAGAGAAUUGUCAAACGUUCACACACGCGAGAGCUUUAGGUGGGAUAGGGGAGGAUUGUCAAGAGUUCACACCACGAUAAACUAAUGAUAGGCCUAAUUUUGUUGUCAGUUCUUUAUUUAUUUAUUUUAUGUAUAUCAUACAUUAUUGUAUUUUGUCAAGGUAUAAUAGUACAAGUAAAAUACUAGGGGUGCUGUUAAGUUACAACUUAUGUAACUUGCAAUUUUUUCAAAAAUUAUGUAAAAAAUUUAAUAGGUGGUGGAACCCACAUAUUUUUUAAGAGACUUAAGUUACAGCAGUUGUAACUUAACAAAAUCUAAAUAUUAGACAAUAAUGCAUAUAAUUUGGGUUUGAUUUUUAAAAGAUUAUUUGAGUACCACCUAUCCUUAUGAUAUUAAUGUGAUUAUAUCUUAAUAUUAAAUAAUCAAAAUUUGUUUAAUUAUUAUUUGUAUUUCAUACAUUACAUAUUAGAUUUGUUUGAAUUUUAAGUUGUUGCUAAUAAAUAUUUAUGUUGUCAAAGUCAAAGUCAAUAGCUACAAAAGUAGAGAUAAUGGUAUUGUAUAUAGUUUUUAAGAAUGCAAGGAUAAGCUGGAUAAUUGACAUAAAUUCUAAUGAUUAAAAGAGCAACUAUCCCUUAAGUUAUAAUGUCAAUUUCUUUAAUUAGAAUUUUUUUUUCAUGUGAUAUAACCUUAAUUGCUACAAUUUUUUUUAUAAUAAUAAUGGGAGUUAUAAAUUAUUUAUAUAAAAUUUGGGUUGAAACUAAUGUAACCUAAAAGUGGUUGCUGAAUAACAAUAUUUGAAACUUUAGGUAAUUUUCAUGAGUCCUUUUUAUAUUCAACAACUUGAAUUGGGGGAAAUCCGACUUGAAUUGGCGGUUGAUUUUGGUGAUGUGGCUUUCGGUUUACGCCGGCUUUACAGUGGCGGAAGACUGGAUUUACGGUUGCCGACUGCUAGGGAUUAUGGUGGUAGUGUAAAUUGACGGAAAAAGAAGGUGUUUUGGUGGCGGCGCGUCUAGGAAGCACUCGUGGGUUGUUGUUUCGUGUGGUGACAGCGGGCGGCGAUCAAGGGCUGAAGUUGGUCGGUUUUUGGUCAGCAGAGGCCGGCGAGUUUGUUGGUGGAGGUGGCUGGUGGAGAAAGUGGCUGAAUGGUGGUGGGUUGCUUGGUGGAGCCGCGGGUUUGGGUUGGUGAUUUGCGGCUGUUCAAGCGGUGGUUGAGGCAGCGAUGACUAAGGCUUGGUCGACGGUGGCUAGGGAGGUUUGUGGUGGUGUUGGCUGGCUGAUCGGCGGUGGUGGACGGCGGUGGAGGUUGAUGUGACAGGUAGGGUUUUCAAAUUUGUAAAUUUUUUUUUUGAUGGAUUUGGUUUGGAUAGGUAUGGUGUAUCUAGGAAAGAUGUGCGAUUCGCACAUAAUCAUUUUGAUACCAAUUGAUGGAGCGAGGCGUAGCGGAAGCAGAAUUGAUAGGGUAAGAAACAUUAGAUAUCGUUCUAGUACUAGACCAAGCCAACACGAUUAGUUUACGCUCUAAUUGAAGCGUGAUUAGAUAUCGUUAUAAUCCAAAUGACUCAGUGAGAUUUUUAAUAACGCGUAAUACGAGAUUAGAUGACACUCUAAUCCAAAUGACUCUACAAAAGAGAUUUUGAUAACUAAUCCUAGAGGAAAUUAUAAAAGAGGGGGUUUAUUUAAUAAUUGAACUUGAAGUUAUGAAAAUAAUGACAAGACAUCUUUAUUUUUUUUAUUACAGGCAUCUUUAUUUAUAAUAGAAGAAACCCGCUUUCCUAAGUUAACCUAAAAAGAAAAUUUAAAUCAUAAUUAUAAUGGAAAUAAAAGAUUAAGAUACAUACCAUAAUUAACUCAAACUAAAAUAGAAAAUCAUAAAAUAAUAAAUAUUCUAGAAUUAUAAAUUAUCUAAAAUAACGUUAAUUAACUUCCUAAAUCACUUCUUUGGUGUAAACCAUUUUGCAUCCAUCCUCGCUUUAAAGGUUUGAACCAACGUUACCAACAAUAAUGUAUCAAAGUCCAAUCUAACUUAAGAUCUUGAUACAUCUACCGAUGUCCUUGUUUGAUUAGACAAUAAUGAGUCUAUCUCAUCACUUGUUACCUCUUUCUUGAAGGCUGCAUCUGUUGAAGUGAUAGUCUCGCUUAGAGUUUAAAGAUCUUCUUCCAUGUUAAAUAAAAUGGGCAUUUGAUUAAAAAACUUUAUCUCUAUCUCCUUCUAUCAAAUAACGACAACUAUCCGAAGGAAAAAAAAAAUAGAAAAGUCCAUGGGUCACAAUAAUUUAUGGUCUGUCCCCGGACCCCAUUAUCUGCCACUAUCAAUGAUGAAAAUGAAAAUAAAUGGCAUCUUCCCAAAAUGGCGAAAGAUUUUUGGGGGAUAUGGGGGAAUUGUCAAAAGUUCACACAACGCGAAACAAGUGUUACAUCCAAUUUUAUUUCGUCAUAUAAUGAUAAUAUCAAAUAAUGACAACCAUCCAAAAGUAUGAUGGGUCUUCCAAAAUUUUGAAAAUGUCGUCAACAUUUAAUCUUCAAUGCUAAAGAAGAUGAAAUGACCAAAAAUGACACGCAUGACUCACUCACAGACUAAAUGGCUCUGACCACAUGUAACAAACUUUGAUCUUAUGUCCUUACUGAGGCGUUAGACUGUUGGUCAUUUUGAUUGCUUUUUACCUUCCAUUUAUGCCAUUGUAGCAUUAUACUAUUCACCAUUUUAGCUGUUUAAAUGAAAUUGUUAUUUUUUUUCCAAAAAUAAAAUGGCACCCUUAAAAUUUUAGAAAAUAGCCAUGUAGACCCCAAAAUUUUAAUAAAGAACACUAAUAUCCUUUUUUACUAUAGUACUCUUAGUAGAUGGUAACAAAAAAAAAAAUGACUGUAAAAGUUUUUACUAAAUGUAAAUAUGAUUUAAAUAUUUUAAUUUUUCUAGUAGACUAGUAUGUAUAAUUUAAAUAAUUAAUUUUUAAAAUGUAAUUUAAUAUAUUUAUUUUAAUAAUAUAUUUAUUAUAAAAAUUUUAAACAAAUCCUUGGGUUAAAUAGAUUUUAUAAUUAAUAUAAUAUUUCUCAUGUUUUAAUAAUAUUAAAAUUAUUUGAUAUGAUAUUGAAAAUAAUUAAAACUUUUAUAUAUUUAUUUGAAUAUUAUGUCUCUAUUUAUUAUAAUUUGGUUUAAUAGAAUCAAAUGAAAGUGUACAUGUACAAGAAGAAAGAACCAUACACCAAGUAAAACGUAAAAAGGAUUAAAUAAAUGACACCAAUCCCCGGCAACGGCGCCAAAAUUUGAUGGUUGUCGAAGCCAACAAAAAUAAAUUCCUACUCUAAAUAAAUUGUGUAUAGUGAUUGAGCAGGGUCGUGUCCACAGAGAUCGGUAAUUAUUUAAAUCCUUUUAAAACGUAAAACAUAAAAUGGGGGUUUUGUUGACAAUAAUAAAAAUCAAAUUAAAAUAACAAGAAUGCAAAUUAAAGUUGUAAUUCAAAUUAGAGAAAGCUCUGGUUGAAGGAAUUAACUCAGCUUGAUUCGACUACUGAUCAUUGAUUCAAAUAUAGAUUAUUAUUACUUAUUAAUAGACCGGUUAUAGCUAUUGAGACCCUCUAAUAGCCAAUUUGUCCUUAACUAGUCGAUAACCAAGGUACGACCGUCAGAUAUUUCCCUAAUCAACAGACAACCCUAGAUACGAUCAUAGGAUUUAAUCAAUUGACAGCCUGAAAAACCAGAGAGACCCAAAUCCUAAUCAACACAUAUGAUGAUUCAUUUAAAUUAGAUUGUUUAUUCUCAUAACACAACUCACUGCUAUGUUAUUUGUCACAAACAUUAAAAUCUUCAUACGAUGAAUCCUUUAAUUGACAAUAGAUUAAGUUGAUAAUUAAAUAGUGGCCAAUUACCUAAUUAACAAACAUAAUCAUGAAACUAAUUCAGAGAAUAAACAAAUACCCAAAAAGUAAUAAAACAAUUAAAGCAUAAGAAAGAUCUCACAGUAGUGAUGAAUCAAAGCUUCAUUAACCUUCAACCAGAAAAAUAAGUUUAGUUCUUCAUAGAGAGAAGAGAAAAAUUAGAUCUAGGGUUUUUUUCUUUUUCUCUCAUCCCCCUUUUUCACUAUAGAUUCCUCCCUUAAAUACUCUCUCUCUCUUCUCUUUUAGAGUUCUAAUUAAAAUAAAAUACUAAUAUCUGAAAUAUUAAAUUCGUAAUUACAAAAAUAACCAAAAAUACAAAACAUGUUAAACUAAAAACUACAGGUCCGCAGUUGACAGCACGCGCCCACGCCUUAUCAAGAAAGUUCUUCUGACUCUCUAAAUUUCUCCAAGAGAACAAUCAUCUUUAAACAUCAUCUUAUAACUCAAUUUUAUCACAAAUCAAUAGAAUUGCACCUACAAAAGUACAACACAAGUAAAUCAUUAUUAUUAAGUGCAAAACAUCGAUAUUAAGGGAAGUAGACAAUGCAAAACUAGUGCAUAAAUUGCACUCUAACAAGUUCACACCACGAGAAAUUAAUGAUAGGCCUAAUUUCGUUGUCAGUUCUUUAUUUGUUUAUUUUAUUGAUUUCAUACAUUAUUGUCUUGUUGGUACUAUUUUGUAAAGAUAUAAAAGUACAAGUAAAAUAUUAGGGGAAGUAAAAUAAAAUAUUGGAGGUGCUGCUAAGUUACAGCUGCUGUAACUUACAGUUCCUUCAAAAAUAAUGUAAAAAAUUUAACAUGUGGUGGGACCCACAUUAUGUUUGAAGAGGCCGUAAGUUAUAGCAGUUGUAAAUUAGUAAAAUCCAAAUAUUAGAUAACAAUACACAUUAACAAUGCAUAUAAUUUGGGUUUGAUUUUUAAAAAAAUUAUGUGAGUAUUACCUAUCCUUAAGAUAUUAAUGAGAAUAUAUUUUAAUAUUAAAUAAUCAAAAUCUGUUUAAUCAUAAUAUGUAAUUCAUACAUUGCAUGUUAGAUUUGUUUGGAUUUUAAGUUGUUGCUAAUAAAUAUUUAUGUUGUGAAAGUCGAAUUCAAUAGCUACAAAAGCAGAGAUAAUGGUAUUUUAUGUAGUUUUUAAGAAUACAAGGAUAAGACCAUAACGCAUGAGAUAAUGGUAUUUUAUAUUAAAAGACCAUAACACAUGUAUUUGAGCCAUUUAUAUUGAGGACACAUAUAGAGCGAAGAGUGCAGAUCCGGCCGUAACUAUUGUGAAGCUUUCCUCAAGUAUUCUCAUGCACGCAGACCUUAGCUGGUCAAGUUUUCUGAUUCAAUAUAAUCAAUUUCCGCGCAGUACUAACGACAGCUUCUUUGUAAAGCUCUUCAACCACAAGCAUUUCUACAAGGCAAAAGACUAGGACGUGUCAGAAUGAAUAUCAAUAAGGGAAUGUCUUAUGAAUUUAGUUUAUAUCCUAAUAUAAGACAAUCAAUAAAUAUUAGAUGCAAUCUAAGGGAAUGUCUUAUGAAUCCUGAUUGAUGGCCUCUCACAGUCAGUUAUAUGACAAAGUAGCCACCACAACAAACUUGAACUUGGCUGGAGGUCUCAUUAGCAGUAUACCUCAGAAAUUAAGACAAAGACUUUAAAAUGCAAACUUAUGGAGCAAUUUAAGCACUGAAACUAAUAACAGUACUGUAUUAGCAAUUGACCUCUGCUUUUUUCUUGGACAAAGGUUCUCAUCACAAGGGACUCAUUAGUUGCCCUUGCCUCAAACGUUUGGAUGCUAAGGGGAAAAAGGAAGUUUGAAUUAGUCAAUCUCAUUUCUAAUGGCAUUCACAGAGAACCUAUAAAACAAAAAAAUUAUAAAAAAAAAAAUCAUCCAUAAUUCGCCAAACCGAAAAGAAAAACAGGGGAAUGAAAAGAGAGCCCACGGGAAUGAAGAGAUCAGCUCUUGUCGCGAAAAUGCAGUCGACUGUAACUAUAUCCGGGUCCCUAGUACUUAGAAGUAAAUGCUCUUGGAAUUUCUAUUAUAGAUUGAUGUUUCCCGUUCAAAUAGCUCUUCCGAUACCAUUAACAUGUUCAUCUCUCUAUAGAUUGAUGUUGACAUAGAUGUUAUUCUACUUUUGCUAGUGGAGUUUUCCUUGUACAGGUAUGUAUGAUUGUUUUUUUUGCACUUCUAAAUGGACACUGUUGAAAAGCUUAAAAUUGAACUGAUAAUUUUGUUUGGAAGCUCAGAAAAUUCAUGAGAAAGUGAAAUAGAAUAUUCUGGAUUUCUUUUCUUUCCAUAAUAUACAAAUGACAAACGUAGCAGUAUUUAUACUCGUUGCUUACAUCAUAAAAACAGAAUUAAAACAAGGUACACAACUAUAACAGAAUCAAAAGCGUGCUUAACUAAUUGGCAGAGCUGGCAUAUACUUCUUUAACUAACAAUGCUGCUGACUGGACUUUAGCUCACACAUGCUUAUCGUGCAGCUACUCUUAGUUCACACGUGCUCAGUCUGCUGUUGGCCCAAAGUUGGAACCAGAGAUAUCAUGACUCUGGUUUCAUUUCACCUCAACUGUGUUUUUUUUUUUAAAUUAAAAAAAUCAUUUGUUUUAGGUAUACAUACAUGUAUUUUGAUUCUAUUUUCAUUGUAAUUUCUCAUUUACUUUGAAUGAAAGUCAUUGGUGUUUUCGAAUGGGAAUUUUGCAUUAAAAAAUGAAGAAUAGUGAUUUUUGGAGUGUAAUUAGUAGUAAAGUUGGUUUUUACUCGCAAACAAGUGAACUGCUCGAUUCCCGAGUGGUAUCAACCAGUUUCCAACUUUUUAAUAUACACUAAUUGUUAUUGUUUAAUAGCUACUACUAUUAAAACUCGACAUCUAACAAAAAUACUUAAAAAAAAUGAUUUUUCUUAUGAUGCUGUAAAAAAAAAUUACGGGUUUACUUCUUUCCAUGAGAUCUAUAACAUGGUCUUGACUUCACGAAAUUCUUUUAAUUUAAAGCUUGCUGGUGUGAGAAGGUCAGUUUGACUGAUUAAUUCUUUUUAACAGUGGUCGAGAUAAUUUUACUAUCUAAUCGAAUGUUAUGCUGUUUUCUUUUUCUAAUCUGGUGUGAGAUAAUUAAUUCUUUUUCACAAAUGCUAUGCUGUUUUCUUAGGCUAAGGAUCUUCUAUCAGGAGAGGUUAGAAAUUCAAUGCUUAAAAGAGAAUAAUACAGAAAUUUAGGCAGAAUCUAAUCGAAUAUUGCAUGAAACAUGAAAAAUCAAUUCAAGUCCUUUCUUUAAACGGAGAAUGCAUCAAACAAAAUCCAAAGUGUCUUGCACGUCUGUAGCAUGAGCAAAAAAUUGUAAAUAUGUAGAACCAAAUUAUUCAAGUACAGAAGAACGAGCAAGCUAAAUCAUGUAUAAGAGAUUGGCCUGGUUCGGGAUAGCUUCUUCACUGUACCUGAAGGAUUGGCUCAAUCUCUUCUUUAGAAUUCUGCAGAUUUUGUAAUUACUCGUGUAAGCAAGCAUACAUUGCCACCAUAAGAAUAAUAAAGCUAGAGUAAUGAUAUGACCACCACCUCUUGUGCACAAACAAUAUUGUAUAAACUAAUGCGACAUAAUAUGAUUGGUUAAACAAAAACAUUACAUGGCCCUCAUAAUUUAUUUAUUUAUUUAUUUAUUUAUUAUUAUAUUUUUUCAGUAAACCAAUCAUAUUAUAUCACAUUAGUUUCUAUAAAAUAAUUUGCUAAAUAGCACCAAAACUUAAUUGAUACUCACCAUUUCAUUGAACAAUUUUUUUAUGGUGUCAUUGAGAUUGCCUUCCCAACAUCCUUCAUCAUCAUCAUCUUCAUCAUCAUCAUCAUCUUCUUCAUCAUCAUCUUCUUCAUCAUCAUCUUUUUCUUCUUCUGUGACGUUCACUUUGUUUAGCAUUGGUGUGUCUAAGACUCCUUGAGAGAAGAUCUUCAUUUUUGGACACUGUCUCACAACUACUGGUUUCAAGGACGGGAAUUCAAGAGCGUAAUUACCCGAACAAAAGCUUGUUAGGCUUGGCAAACAAUCAAGUCCCAAGUACUCCAAUUCCUCGAAGACAACGCAACCUUUCGCUUCUUCUCCAACCUGCAAUUGUAUGAUUUGUUCUAUCAUUUUGCAAUCAGCUAUCUUCAUUCUUUGAAGAGUCACUAGACUUUCAGAUGUUGAGAGCGUCAAUAAAUUUAUCAACCCAUGACACUUCGAUACUUCCAGAGUCGCAAGAUUUUCCAAAUGCCACGAAGCUGGUACUAAUUUCUGCAACUUACUACAUUCAAAUAUUUCUGGACUUUUCAAGUUUGCAAACACUUUGUUGGAUUUGGCAUUUUCCUUCCAGAGAUGCUGCACUUUGUGUAAUCCAGAUAGCUUUAACUUCAUCAAUUGAGGGAAUGCAACCUGAAAAUCAACAAAAUUAAGUUGUAAAUGAAAAUAUGUAUCCAAUCUCUGCAGUCUUCCCCUGCAUAUUUUAUGAACAAGAUUAAUCACGACAUUUUAUAUUUUAUUUCCAAAUUAGUAUGCUUUGCAGUAGGAUCCCAAAUAUAAGUAUCAAAUCGAUUACCCUUUGAAACACAUAAAUGAAAUCUGAUGCUAAAUCCAAUAUGAAUUAGCUAGGAAAACAGAGAUGUAACACGCAUAAUCGAUAUAGUUCAUCGCCUUAUGUCACCAGGCAUCUAAUUAAUUUAAGACAUUUUUAUAAUUCAUACUAUAAAGUUAGUUAAUAACAGAGGUUAUAUUGUUAAAUCAGAUAUAAAUUAAGACGACCUGCAAAAAGAUGAGUCAUUAAGUUUGAUUUGAUUCUAAUGAAAUUACAUCUGUGCGAACGAAAGUGAAGGCAAUAAUAAUAAUAAUAAUAAUAAUCACCUUUUCAUCGAAGAGGGGUUGUACUUGAUGAGCCAGCAAGAAGUUCUCUUCUGAUGUUAAUUUUUGAGGUUUCUUGUUAUCUGUUGUCACGUGCACUAAAGAGUUGGAUAUGAAUGUUUCCAUAUCAGGGCAAUUCUCAAUAGUUAGAUUCUCCAACUCAAGCAUUUCAAUUAUAUUCCCAGUGAAGUUGCAGAAUCUUUUGAGUUUUGGAAGGUCAAUGAGCCUUAGCUCGAAAAGCUUAGGAAACAGGGGACCUAUAUGUUCUUUGUCAGCAUUUAGCACUUCCAAAUGAAGCACCUCUUCCAGUGAAUCACAAUUCCUCACUUCCAACCAUUCCAAAUUGUUCAAGCACCGUAGCAGAUUGGCAGGAAUAGCACUCGACAUAUUCGUGCAGUCAUCCACCACCAGGUGUCUUAAAUUGUUGAAGAAGCUGACAGGCAGUGCUUGGCCAUGCGAUAUUUCUUUCAAACGUGGAAAAUGUGAGAAUUGCAAAAACUCCAUGUCACGAAAUCCAAUCUGCUCAAACCAAAACAAUUGCACUGGAUAUAUACAAUUUUUUUUUUGAAAGGCAUUAGAUAUAUAUAUAUACAUUAAACUUACAUGUUUUGUGUUUUAACUUCUAAAAAUAUAUUUAAAUGUGCAAGUGCAGGGGAGAUGCAUGAACAAUUUGGAUGAAUCGAUUAACACAUACCAUUUCUUCGUAACACUUUUGUAUAGUGGAAUUAAGCUUAUUGCCUUCCCAAUGGUGCAGUUCACCCCCUUCCUUUUCAGUCACUUGCACUUUGCAUGGCUUUGGAAUGGAUAAGAUUCCCUGAGAAAAAGUCUUCAUGUUUGGACAACGUAUCAUAGAAACUCGUUCCAAUGAUGGGAAUUCAAGAGUGUAAUUCUCCAAACAAAAGCUGGUAAGCCUUCGUAAAUCAUCAAGUAUCAAAACUUUUAAUUCGCUGAAAGCAAUACGAUUCUCCUUCGCUUCUUCUCCAACAUGUCCUACGAUUUCUUCUAAUUCUUUGCAAUCCGAUACUUUAAGAUUCACCAGACUACUAGGAAUUCCAACCUGAAAAUAAGCAAAAGUGUGCGCAUGUGUGGUGUAUUAAAAAAGUAUGUUAAUCAUACAAUUAUGCAUUUUAUAAACAUAACAAACCAUGAAAUGUCUACUAGAUAAUUUUUUGUUAAACAAAAACGGAACAAGAUAAAUAAAUAAAUAAAAUCCAGAUAAACAAAGAUAAUAAAAAUACAUUUACACUAUUUAGUAUUAGAAACGUAGAAAUAAUUUAAGGCAAUUUCUAAAUAUUUUAGACUUAUUUUGCAUCUUGAUAUCAGUUUUUAAGCAUAAAUUUGCAAAUUUCAACUAUUCCUUCUUUUUUUUUUAAAAAAAAAGGGACCAUUUUCCUUGGUCCCUUUUUUUUAUGUAUAUUUAAAAAUGGAAAAAAAAAUUUGGAAAAGACUUCCCAAUACUGUCAACGAGGGACUGCUGUAAAGUGGAUCUUUAUUAAGUACUUCCAGACUAGAGGAAAUUUCUUUACAAUCAAGGGUCAGUUGUAAAUAAUCAUGAAUUUGUGGUUAAUUAAUGGCAUAAUCAAUUCGUAACUAAACUAGAGAUAUUAAUUAAAUUUGAAGACUUUUAUUUUCUUUUUUUCUUUUUCCAAUCGAAAUGUGAAGAAUUAAGGAAAAGAGAAAUAUAUAGAUGAAUUCGUGAACCUAUAAGAUGAGUGACGAUCCUUUAAUUUUUGAAAAUCGUACUUAUUAAGAUAUGAGCAAAAACUAUUUAAUUGAAUUAUAUUAUGCUGUUGAAUCGUGUUUAAAAAAUUUAUAUUGUUGAUUCUAAUGCUGACGAACCUAAGAUACUUGAAAUAAAUAAUCAGUUUGCUGGCUGAAUAUCAUUUGUAAACAAAAAAUGGUUAAAAUAUUGUUGGAUGUAAUUUGAAAAAAAAAAGAUUCGAAAUGAAUACAGCAACCUUACCAAUGGAGGAAAAAUAUUCAUUAGGUUAUCACACCCAAUUAUCUCCAAAUUCUUCAAUUUGCUGAAAGACUCCGAAGCAAGCUGGUGGUGCCAUAUUUUUCUCAAAUUAUCCAUCAACCUAAUACGUAAUACCUCCAACCUAGUAAGUCGUACCUGGCAGUUAAAGAUUAAAUAACUAAUUAAUCAAUUAAUGGCAUAAUCAAUUGAUAACUAAAUUAGAGGCGGAUAUUAACUAAAUUUGAAGACUCAAGGAAAAGACAAAUUAAAUAUUGUGACUAAAAUUAAAUUUUUUUAUUAAAAAAAAAACCUUUUUGUCAAAGAGAGGAGGAGGUUGCAUUUCAGAAUGAAUGGUGUCUUCUGGUGAGCUCGUAGAGAUGAAUCUCGACAUACUGUUGCACCAACUAAUCUCGAGGUUUAGCAAAGAAGGGAAUUCAACAACUAAAUCUGAAUGAAUAUGUCCCGUAUUGGCAAAGCUUGUUAGUUCUGGAAGAAAAUGGAGCUUGAGGGAGUGUAGUUUAGGAAAAACCUUUAAUUCAAUCAACUUUCCUUCUUCUCUUUCUGACCACCCCGUGGUGUCGACCACCCCUUCCAUUGACUCACAAGACCGUAUUUCAAGAUGUUGGAGUUGCAAAAGACUAUUAACCAUAGAAUACGAAAACAGAUACUUCAUACGAUGACAACUGCUCACGUACAGCUUUGUUAAAUUUUGACAACAGUACAUUCCUUGAUUAUGAUCGGCCCAUAAUUUUUUCAUGUUUCUUAAGUCCCUGAGAUUCAAUUCCUCUAACCUCGGAAGAAUAACCUGCAAAGAAAACCCGUACAUUUUUGUUCCUUCAAGUACAACCGUCUAGUAUAAUAUUCUUUUGAUGAUCGAAGAUUAAUCGUGAUAAUAAAUUAAUCAAUUAAUUAUUGAACAGAAAAUUAUCACCUUUGGAGCAGUAUCAUCAUCAGCAAUGAUUUCGUUGAAUCCCAAAGAAGUUGUUGGUUUCUCCCUGUCGGGUCCUAUAAACAAACAAAAACAAUAUAUACAUAAUUAAUCUUUGUUGUUUUUUUUUUUCCAAAAUAAUUGAGGAGAAGUCCAUAAUCCCACCAAUACUUAACUUCAACACUCACCAAAAAUCAUUUCCAGAUCACCGCAAAGAGCCACUUCUACCUUUUGAAGCCGCAGUAGGUUUUUGGCCAUGGAGAAUGAGAAAAGAUGCUUCAAUUUGUGACAGGCUUCUACUUCUAUAAUCCUUAAGUUGCUGAAAGAUUGAUCUUCUGUGAGUUGGCUGUCACAUAUUGUCUCCAAAUUGUUCAAAUAGCUAAGAGACAAUGACUCCAGCAAGGGAAAGACUGUACAAUGAACCCGUCCAACUGAACCGACAAUAUGCAAAAUCUCAGAACAACUUUCUACCCAAAGAUGCUUCAAUCGUGGAAAACCUUCCCCAUCAUCUAAUUCAUGAACAACAUUCUGAACACCCUUCAGUUCGUUUAGAUGGAUCUCUUCAGCUUCCUUCAGCAACAUUUUCGUCCCAUAAUUCUCCAAAAGAGUGCUAACAUUUUCUAGCCCAUCGAGCUCCACCAUUCUUGAUGUUUUAGAAUUAACGCCUCACAUGCGCCACGCUUCUCCUAUACAUAUCUUAUAUCUUUGCAAUUCCACAGAGACCAAAUCCUGCGGUAGAAUUUCGGCAUCCCGAACGUGUAUCUCCAAGGUAGUUAGCUUUGACAACCCCUUCAAUUCAGCAAGACUGGCGUUACUUCCUCCUUCAACCUUAUCCCACUGCGAAAAGCUGUCACCCAUAUAUAGUUCUUCCAAUCGUGAAAAUUUUGAUAUGACAUUUGGUGCUAUCACUACAAGGCUCCUACAAUUGCUCAAAUCUAGCAAUUGUAACCGCGUCAAUUGACCGAUUUCAAGUGGUAACUGCUUAAUGUCGGAAUAUCGAAAGCUAAGAAUCUCUAAUUUCUUUAGCUGUCCAAUUGCCGCUACAUCUUCUUGUUGGCACCAGUCUAAACACAAUGUUUGAAGGUUAAUGAGGCGACCUAGUGACGAAAGUAAUGAAGAGAAAUGAAUUCCAGUAAAAUCUAAAACUUUGAGUUCUUCUGUCCCUUCAAAAAAGAGGUCUGAAACUUGCAUAGGGCCAUUACCCUCCGUAUACAACAAAAAUAACUGGAGAUUGGGACAUCCCAACCUUUCGGGAAGCUCUUGAAUAUCUCUAUAAGGUAAAGAAAUAGCAAUUGGACCUUUCUGUAUUGUCUCUUCCAUCUUUUUCUCCACGUCAGCAACAUUUGGAAUAUUAAACAUGCGCUUCUCUGCUGCAAUUGAUACAGCAACAACAUGAAUGACGUCAUGCAUUUUAACUUCAUCUUUGGCAUCACCGUCCAACAAUAAGCAUGAAGAUUUGAGAUUGUCGAUCAACCGAUGCACUCUACUCCUUGCUUCUUCCAAUGUGUAAACAUUUUCAAACAAACCCCAACCCACACCAUGUCUCAAUAAGUCAGAAACGGGUAUGACAUUACCUUCACUGUAUAGACCACAAAGACGGAACAGAGAUUUUGCCUCCUCACUUUCCAAGAAUUCAUAACUCAAUUUUAUGGAGGUGUACACAUUUGCUUGCAUGCCAUGAAUUUCUCUUGCAUCCGAUCUUCUUAGCUGAUUCAAUGCAUCUUGCCAAAAGUAACGCUCCUUAGUUUUCAGAGCAUUUGCAACUGUACUCAGUGCAACAGGCAAACCUCCGCAUCUUUCAACGAUCUCAUUUGCUAUACUUUGAAAAGCAGAUAUUUUAGUUGAAUCACCCACUAUCUUCUCAAAUAACUGCAAUGCUUCUUUUCGUGGCAAAGCAUCGAUCGGGAAAUUUUUCUGAGAAUUCAUAUCAAUGCUCAAUAAAUCUUGCUUUCUAGACGUCAAUAUUAUUGUGCAUCUUCUCUGAUCAUCCUUUCUAUCUUUCUCAGCAACAUCUCCAGAAGGGAUUCCAACCGCAUCCAACUCAAGUCUUGUCCAAAUAUUAUCCAAUAUAAUGAGGACCCGCUUCUCUUUCUUCAAUACUCGACGUAGUCGAUUUGCUCUGUCGAAUAUAUUCUCAUUCAACUCAAACUUUAUGCCUAAAUCUGAAGCGAGUUUGUUUUGAAUUUGCUGAUUAUCUGAUUCAUGUGUUAGCUCAGCCAUAACGACCUUAUCGAACAACUUAUCUUCCAUCACUUGCUUUCUAACUUGCCUGACUAGCGUGGUUUUACCCACGCCGCCCAUGCCGUAGACCCCAAUUAUGUUGAGCUUAUCAUCCUUCAACGCCUCCAUAACAUCCUGUAAUACUUUCUUUCUUGAAUCAAAGGCCUCGUUAUCUUUCCCGCCCCUAGGUGAUUCGCUCUCUGGAGGAGGAUCGUAGGAAACAUCACUCUUCAGUUUGUCGCCUUUUUCCAUGAGAUUAGCAGCAUCUUUUGCGGCCUUUGCUGCUCGUUUACUGAGUUUGUAACGAGACAACAAAUUUGGACACAAUCCUUUGAAGCAGGACUUCUUGGCUCCAUCUUCUUCGUCAAUGAUAGAUUUUGCAACCCCCUCCGUAGAUUCAACCCUACUUCGCCAGUCUUUGACACGCUGAUAAAUCUCUUCCCCUUGUCGGGUAGCAUGAUAAACAUGUUGUUGCACCAUUUCGUUUAUACCUCCCAACUCCUUCACUUGAUCUUUCAGCUCUUCUAUGUAGCUCUGGUACUUGAACACAUAAGAGAUCUGCCGCAUAAUCGGUUCGAACAAUGCCUUUGUGCCUUCUGAUAUAAUGCUUGAAAAAACACCUUGACAGAAUUCUACAGCCAUUGCCUGCUGCUUAACGAUAUAUAUGUAGUUUUUGGCUGUUAAAAAAAAAAAAAUUGGAUUCAAAUAAAUUAAAUGAACUAGAGGGGAAGAAAAAGAAAGAAACGACAACAAACAACUUUUUAGAGAAAGGUUUGACAGGCCUAAAUGGAAAACCAACAACUUUUUGAAGAAAGAAAACUUUGGAAGAUAGAUGCAAAUUAACCGUUGAUAAUAAUACUACAUUAAGAACACAGAAGUUAACAAUAAACAGUAACUUAAAACUCAAGAAAAUUAAAUGACGAGAUUAAGACAAACAAGGGAUAGUUUUUGUUGGACAUUAAGAAACAACUGCUAUCAAGAUCAAGGAUUAGAAAUUAUGCUAUUAAAAGAAGUUAUUAAAGGAUAGUGCUCGUGACUGCAGGAAAAUUUCUAAUGGAAACAACUCAAUUUCAGAAGAAUUUAUCCAAUUGACUCUGUACUUGAACUCGUUGGAUUGGUUGAUUUAUGAUUGACUGAAUUUCAAUUCGGCCCAAAAGAUCUUUAACCAAAGUUUAAUAGCUAUCAUCUACUCCUUAAAAGCAAAUGUGUAUCUUUUUUAGAUUUGACUGAAUUUGAUCUUGUUGGAUUGGUUUUUUUUUAGACAAAGUUGUUUUCCUACUGAUUUUUAUUCUUCAAGUAAACUUAGAUACAAAGUAAAUCUAAAAAAAUGACAAACAAACAAUGAAAUAAACGACAACAAACUGGCAAUUUUGAUACAAAGCCAACAAAUAUUAAAAUUUAGAACAUUUUGUUUUCUUGCUUUCUUUUGUUGGAGGAUUAGAGAUUUUGGUAUUACCCGAAAGGUUUCAAGGGUCUGAGUAGAAACCUAUAAUCUUUUUAAAAACUUUUUUUUAAAAAAUUUUUUUUGGGGAAAAGGAUGCAAAUUAACCAAAGGAAAUAAUAAGAGCACAGGCUUUAUCAAUGAACAAAAACUUAAAACUCAUGCAAAAUAAUUCAAUAUUAAAACAAAUCACUGAGGAAUAUUUAAGAACAACUUGAAAGAGCAAAAAGAUCACUGAGGAAUGUGUGAGAAAAGAGUUGACGAGAGAAAUAACAAUGACUUGCAGAAGAAAAACCAUUAAUAAUUAUGUGCAUUUUUAUUUUAUUUUUAUCCGCAUGCACUUUAAUGAUUAGUGCUCCUUUCAUAAAGCAGCUACCGGAAACACACAAAUAUCAUUUGAGAGAGAAACUAAACAGCAAAUCAUCAAAGUAAGAUCAAUAAUAUAUUAUUUGGUUAAUGCAUAUUCAAGAACAAAAACAAAAAUAAAUAAAUAAAUAAAGAAGGUUUGAUUUUGUAUUGCCAACGCUGCUUUUUUGUUAUUUCAUUUGUUCUUUCCACAAAUGAUGCUUGGUUAUAAUUAAGUUUCACAUGGCCAUUACUUACAAACUGUGUUUGUGUUAACAGAAACAUGAAAUUCACAUCACACAAAAUUGCACUAUCAAUUCUUAAUAGAACAUAAUAAUAAUUACUCAACGCAUAAGGGUAAAUUUAGAAUUACAUUUUCUCAAUGCAGAAGGGUAAAUUUAGAAUUACAUUUUCUGAUUCUUUUUUAUUUAAUAAAACCCCAAUGGAAAAUCAUAAAAAUUUAGAUAUAUAAAUUUUCUCCACCAAACAAGAAAAAAAAAGGGGGAAUGAAAACACAGGAUUUAUUUUACCUCUCUUUCAUCUUAACUCUUUUUCAGGCAAACCAAAACAAAAAAAUUUCAAUAAAGAGCUAGUUGUUGAAAUUGAUUUAUCUUGUUUUUCAGGCUAUCUUGUGACGUGACGAUAGAUAAUGCUCGUGAAUGCUAGAAAAUUUCUAAUGCAAACAACUCAAUUUGGGAUGAUAAGCUUAAUUUUGCAAAUGACGAAUGUAAAUAACUUGUUUUGAUUAAUUGAAUUUGUAAUACUCUUACCCUAUUCUAAAAUUUGGAGGUUGCUUGAGAAAAAAGGGUAUUUCUCACUCAUCUUCAAUCCUCAAGUAAAAUUAGGUAAAAAUCAAAUCUAAAAAAUCACAAACAAAUUAACAAAAAAAAAAAAAAAAACAACAACAUUGAUCUUGAGACAAGUGAUAUUUAAACAGAGAAUUCUUUAUUCUUUUUUACUUCCCCCUCCCCCCCCGGGGGGCUCGAGGAUUAAAGUCUUGCUAUUAACAGAGAGGUUUUAAGAGUCUGGAUAAAACCCGUGCUUUUUUAAAAAACCACUUUUUUUUUUCUUUUCUCUUUUUUUUGGGAAGAUAGAUUCAAAUUAACCAAAGCUAGUAAUAAGAGCACAUACCUUACAAAUGAACAAUAACUUACAACUCAAGCAACAUAAAUGAUAAGAUUAAAACAAACCGGAGAAAUUUUUCUUGGAAAAUAGACGGAAAUUAAAUAAGAACUGCUGUUAAAAGAAAUUAUUAGAGGAUUUAGGAGCAUGUGUACCUCUUUAAUUAUUUGGGAUCAGAGAGUUGAUGAGCUCUCUAUUCGCCUUUAAUAUUGAGUAAGAACUGGUAUUAAAAGAAAUUAUUAAGAACAAUAUUUCAGUGAGCAAAAGAUCACUGUUAACUGCAGAGGAAUUUGCGAGUAAAAAUUAAGCUGAAAAGAGCAGUAACAAUGAAUUGCAAAAGAAGGAGACUUAAUCAAGCACCCCUUUUAUACCCGAUUUUUAAGAUUUAAUUUUGAAGUUCCCAAUCAAGAACAAAGACGAAGCUUUAAUGAAGCAUGCAGUGAGAUACAAGAAAUGGAUCGGGCAAAAUACCUUACGAAGCGUUUCAUAUUUUCUAAUGAAAUAAUUAAGUUGAAGUUUUCGACGAAUAAAUACUUGUUGUGCUUGAAUAAUUUUGGCAUAUACAUUACUUGUAUCCGGCGAAAUUGAAAAGCACAUUCAUUUACAGAGCUUGUUAGUAGGGAAAAGCUUCGUAAGAUGCCUGAUAAAAGAUAAAGCAAAAGCUUGAAUGAAGAAUGACAUUUUAGAAAGAAACUAAAGUGCAAUCAUCAAAGUAGGAUCAAUAGUGACUUGAUCAGUUAUGCUUUUUGUUAUUUCAAUUGUUCUGUCCACAAAUGAUGCUUCGUUAUUACUAAUUCCACAUGGACAUUAUUUAGAAACUGAUCUUAUGUUUAACAGAAAAAUAAAAACUCGUCAUCAUAAGCAUUCUUGGUUGUCCUAAACCAGAAGUAGGUGUUUUGCCUGAAAGUACCACUUUGCUAGCAAAUCUAGUGGGUAUACUGAAUAAAUUUUUACAUUAUUCUAUUUGAUCUCUCUGUCUUUAUCCUAAGCAUUCUUGGUUGGGAUCGCUGCAUUGUCCUGUAAUCUGUGUGACUUAGUGAAAAGAGGAAUGGGUAACUGUGGUUAUGGGUACGUGAGAGGUAACGAUGAGGGUAGAUUGUUAAUUUUGAGGAGCGAUUUGCUUGCAUAAUUCAAUGCAUGGACAGAAAUGUCCCUGACCAAAAAAAGGGACCAUCCAUAUCUGAAUCUGAGCAUCAGAGCUUGACUUAUUUGAUAAAUAGAUAUACUUGAACUGUUUUUGCAUAAUAACUAAAAUAUUUAUUUUUAUAUAUUCGAUAAACGAGCUCACUAUUGAUAGAACUUAUUAGAUACUACAACUCAAAUAACUUCUUGUGCUUGAUUGAGGUUUUUAUAUAUUCGUAUGUUUGAGUUUUUUUUUUUUUUUUACUUUCUAAGAAUUAACUUCUACCUUGAUUCUAAAAAAAAAUAUAUAAUUUUACAAAUAAUUUAGUUCGGCAUUUGGUAAAUGAUAACUAUUUGAGAAUAAGUUUUAAAAUGGUUUACUGUACAAAUCUGGUAAAUGAAAAUUAAAAGUGUAAAAUGUUCACAUAAUGAAAAUUAAAAGUGUAAAAUGUUCACUUGCAAUGACAACAAAUACUUAUUUACUUAUUUGUAAUUUAUUUUGAAUAUUAUUGUUUAAAUCAUUUUUUUUACUUACCAGAUUUUUUAAGAGCAUUCUAUUUUCUUUAUUACAUAGUUAAAUAAUUUUUUAUUAGCUAUUUUAUUUUGCAAUAAAAUUAACUUCAAUAUUUUUUUAACUAAAAAUUUUGUUAUGUAGUUCGUGAUAUAACAAAUACUAACAUAUCAUUAAAUUGAUUAAUAAAUUAAGUGCAAAAAAGAAAAUGCAGAAAUUUAAUCUUUAUAUAAACUUUUAUGUACAUAAAAUCAUUGUAAUCAAACUAGUUCAUAGAAAUAUAAUAUUAUAUACAUGUGUGUAAAAAAAACAUAUGACCAUAAUAUUAUCCACUCAUUAAACUUGCUGCACUAUUAUUUCUCAAUCUCUCCAUCUCUCGACCUUCAAGAACAUUACUACCAUAAUCUUCUUCUUGAAUUCAACCUCCAUUUCCUCAUCAUCAACAAUGCGACCAAUUUGCCUUGAUAGCCUUUCAACUCCUCCCACUUUCCUCCCUUUUUGCAGACACUCUUUUUCUUUUUCUUUUUCUUCUUUAAUAGCUUCAAUGGGAACAACCUCAUCUAACGACAAGUCCAUUCUUCAACUAGAAUAGAGUUGGUAGUAGAUAUUUUAGUACUCUCAAACUAUGCCCAAACAGGGUCACCAAUGAUUGUCGUAUUAAAAGACAUUCUAUUUAAUUUUCCUCUAACUCUGGGUCGAUACCUUUUAUGCAAAAUCUAUUUACUUCAGGAAUUUUCUACACAUGUCGAUAGCAUAUUAAAGUGAAUUCAGAUCCUAUAUUAUUGACAUUAAAAUUUAGCCGAAUAGUAAAAAAUUUCCCUUUUUGUUUGUCACACAGCCAUAUAGUCCCAUUUUUGGUUAUAAGCUCACAAUAUGCAAGGGAAAUGAAGAUCUAUUAAAACUUCCCCAUAAUGUUCAUUUUGUUGCUCGGAGGAAUAUAACUACCUAUUAAUUAAUUAGCAAGAAUUGCGUUGCGAGUCCAUGUUUUUGUCGUUUGGAUGGAGGAUGUGCUAUCUUUUUGUUGUAGAUGCUUUGUAAGGCUUUUGAUUUAAUGAUUUAAUGCAGUCAAUUAACAAAAGCUUACAUAUAGUAUUAUGUAGUUGCUGAGAUGUCUGUUCUUGAUAAAGUCGAUUUAUUUACACCCAAGCCAACGGAAUCAAAGCCUUUUCGUUAAUAAUAUACACGGUAAUUGUUUUUGUUAAAUUGAUUUCUAGCUAACAAGAUCUUUGAAAGCAUUUAGGUAGCGUUUACAUUUUAUGUUGGAGUGAGAAUCAUGAGGAGUGAGAAUCCUGGGAUUAGAAGUGUGGAGUGGGAGUCGAAGUAUGUUGUUUACUUACACUGGAAUGGAAGUAUGGAAUUGAAAUCAGAAUCCAAUUUAUUUGUUUACAUUGUCUUGGAUUGGGAGUAAAUGAUUUUAAAUUACAACUUUACUCUUAAAAAAUUAUAGUUAUUACUUACAAAAUUAAUAAAAAUUAUAUUUAAAAAAUAAAAUAUUUAUUUUAUUAUAUUUUUAAAAUAAUAAUAAUAAUUAAUAUUCUUAACUAUGUAAAUCAAAAUUAUUUUAUUAAUUUAAAUUUAAAUUAUAUAAAUAAAAAAUUAUUAAUAACAACAACACAAAUGAAACAUUAUUAUUGUACAAAAUUGAUUUUUAGAAUAAAAUAUUUAUUAUUAUUAAUCACUAAUAUUAAAUAAAUAUAAUAGUAUUAUUUUUAAAUAAGUAUAAUAAUAUUAUAUUUUCAAAUAAAAAUAGAAUAUAGUAAUAUUAUUAAUUCUUUAUGAAUAUAAUAAUAUAAUUUUUAAGUAAUUUUAAAUUAGAAUCAAUAUAAAUUAUUAUUUUUAACCAAAAAAUUAAUAUUAUUUUCAAUAUGUUUAAUAUUAUUAUUUUUAAUAAAUGUAAUUUAUAAAAUAAUAUAAUAAUUUAAUUUAAAUAAAUAUGAUAUUAUUUAUUUUAUUUUAUUAAAUAUAAAGGUAAAAAAUGAAGAGAGGCGAGUGAAUUCCCACUCCCACCUUGCCCCAUGAGAGUGGGAAUCCCAUUCAGUCACUCCAAAGUUAGGUGGGAUCCACAGAGUGGAAUUCUCACUCUCCCUUUGAAAAUUGUAAGUAAACACUAGAGUAAAAGAAAUCCACACUCCUCACUCUCACUCCAAAAAGUACACACUACAUUGAAGAAGCCAUUGACUCAUAAGAAAGCCAUGAUUAAAUACAAGGCGAAGCAUGUGAGCUCGUUUUUCAAUCUCUUUGAUCACUCAUAAGUUUUUCUAUACCACUCACUAUAUCAUCCUUUUAAGUCAAUUUUGACUGAUCAUCAGAGAUCAUGCACCCCACCUUGAGAUGAUUGAUCACCAAUUUGGCAUUGUAACAUUGAUCACCUCUAAUUGGCCAAGCUAAAAUUGGGACCCCAAAACCAAUUGCUUCUACAGUUGAAUUUUAUCCACAGUGAGAUAAAAAUCCACCUGUUAAUUGAUAACUCAGUAUCAAUAAUUGUGGUGCCAUUCCAUCUAUUAUCAAACCCUUUUUACUGGCUCUACUAUCUAAACCACUACGAAAAUAAGCUGGUUAAAUGACGUAGAGGAUCCAAUCUAUUUACAUAAGUUUGAAUUACCUAAAUAAUCGGUGGAUUUGAUGCUUAUAAAUCAGAGGGAAUUGCAGCAGAUACACCUUCAUACUUUAAAAAUUACCUCAAUACCUUAAAAUUUGAUUUUUCCAAAAUUUUCAUCAAUAUCCUUUAAAAGCUGAUAGGAAAUGACUAAGUUAUCCUCGUUUUAAAACACUUCAACUCAACUGGCAGCACCUCUCCCUCCCUCUACUCAAACAAACAAACACUCAUAUAUGCUACAAUUCCCUCCACUACCUUUACUCAAACAAACAAACAUUCAUUCUCCAUACAUGCUAAAUCGAACUUCAACACGAGCAAAUUGAGCUGAGAAAGGGAAGCUGCUACAACUGAGAAAGAGAAGCCUAGUUCGUCGCUACAUAAUCGCCAGCGAGAGUUGAUCCUUUAUUGCAAAAUGGUCAGAAUGUAACUAGUUGAGGUAAGUAAUUCCCUAUAAUUUGUUUUCUUGUUGAUAUUCAAGGGAAAAAACAAAAAGUUAGGGUUUUAUAUUGAAAAAAUAAUUAAUUAGUUGCGGGUCUCUCAUAACAUGUUCGAAAACACAUUUCUAGUUGUUUUGUUGCAUGCAAAUUGUGAAAAAUUAAUGGAUUGUGCCGAUUAUAAUUUUUUCAUGUAACACACGAUUUGGUCAUGUAAGGUUAUGUAAGAUUCAAGGUUGUGUAUUACACGACCUUCAUGUAUUGCACGAUUACAUGACCUUCAUAUAUUGCACGAUUACACGAGCUUUAUGUAUUACACAAUUACAUGACCUUCAAUUCCAGAUUGAGGAGUAAAAAGUUUAUCAUCUCUCCAGGUGUGUUCUGUAAUUUAAUUUUUUGUUUCUUGUCGAUAGAAUAUACACAUUACAUUUAGUUUAAUUAGGCUCACAAUUGGGGACAAUAAAUUGGAAUGGUACAUAUGCCUUUACCUUGUGGAAUGUCAUUACUUAGAGAGAUCCUUAAUUUGCAAUUAUAAGCCAUGGUAAGUCAUGGUAUGUCUAGUUAUGAGUGGAAACACUUUGAUCAUUGCGAAUGGUGUUCUUAUGUGUAUAACAUUACAUUAAUUUCCUAUAGUUAAUUUUUUUUCCUAAUUGAUUUCAUGGAUUAAUUAUAUGCAGGCAUUCCUCAUGUAUGCAUGUAUGUUUGGGCAGAGGAAGAAAGCACUUUGAAGAUUAAAAAAGCUUUUUAAAUGGUUGUACUAUGUUUAAUAGCGAUGUUCAUUAGUGUAUCAUAUCCAAAUAUUGAAAAAUUUGUACACUGAUAACUUUGUUUAUUUAUACUAAUUAAUCUAAUCAUUUCUCAAACUGUCGGAUGUUCAAAUUUAGUUUUUUUUUUCUGCAAUUUAUGAACACACGAUUUGGUCGUUUAAGGUCAUGUAACAUAGGAUUCAAGGUCGUGUAAUAUACUCAUGUAUACAUGACCCUCAGUCGUCUAUGACAUGACUUUGUAUAUUAUUACGCGAUCUUGAAUCAUGUGUUACGAGUCUUUCAUGACCUUCAGUUAUAUAUUACACGACUUUCAUGUACUACACGACUUUAUGUAUUACAUGACUUUAUAUAUUGCGCGAUUAUACAGCCUCCAUGUAUUACACGACCUUAAAAUUACACGAAAUUUUCCAUUAAUCAUUAGAUUAAUUUAGUUCAUUAAAGACUUAAUUUGUGCUAAGAAUUUAUAUUUGCUGCUAUGCAGAAAAUGUCAACGAAAAUUAUUAAAAAAAAGAAGUGAAAUUAAAUUGGAAUCUAAAAAAAUUCCACAUCAUCAUUGGUUUGAAUUGUAAGUGGUGGCAUAGGAUCAGAUGUCUUAAGCUUGAACUUCAUUGUGAUUUCGAAUUCCGAAGUAUCUAUAUCAAUAAAUUGAGCUAAUCUUCACCAAUCCGGCAUAUGUUGUCGAUCGUGGUAUCAUUAUCCCUUUAGCCUUGGAACCUUUGAACUUAUACUCAUCAUUUUGGUCAAUCCAUUCACCAUUGAAGAGAAUAGGUACACGUACCAAAACCAUAUCUGAUGAUACAAUAAAAACAAUAAUAUCAAAUUUCAUAUACAAGUAACUACACGACCUACAUGACUACAUUACUUACAUGACUUACACGACCUACAUGACUAUAUUACUUACAUGACCCACAUGACUUACACGACUAUAUUACUUACACGACCUACAUGACUAACUACAUGACGUGCACGGUAUCAAAAGGAAUGCACGACGCAAAACAUUUUCACCAUAAAUAAAUUAUAUUGCUGAAAAAAAUAAUUAAACAACCUACAUUGCAUAUAAUUCUACAUAUAAGAAAAAAUGGUGAAAAUACAACAUUAUAGAGUGAGGAAAUUUUCUAAAUUUUCCUAAAAAUUAAAAAAAAAUUAAAACCCAACAACAUUAACAUAUCUUAUUGGGUUGUUUAAUGAGCAAUGCACCUAAUUUCAGUUAAAGAAAGAGUGGGUGUUAAAGAAAUGAAUAUAUAAUUGUAUUUGUGUAAGAAGUUAUGAGAGAUUUUGAGAGAUUCUAGGAGAUUUUGAGAAAAUUUCGGCAGCAAGAAAAGAUUUGGGUGAAAGAAAUAUGAAGACAAUGAAGUUGAGUGAAUUUGAUGCAUUCAUUAAGGACAUUUCAAACUUUACUUACAUUUAUUAGGGUAUCCAUGAAAACAAAAAAGGGAGGGGAUAUUUAAAUAAUUUUGAAACUAUUAAAGGGUAUUUAAUUAAAAAACCCUCUAAAUCAUUGGCUAAUGUUGAAUAAUUAUUUAAGGUAGGACCCAACAUGUAUAACACAGAUCCAUAUGAUUUCAAAUCUAAUCAUUUAAUGAUCUCAUCUUCGGUCAUGUUAGAACUCCGCCGGUUGGUUCUCAUCUCACAAUCACGAAGCACUGAACCGGCCGAUUUGUAAAAUUGUUUAGGUAACAAUGGGCCCACUCCCCACACUGGCAUCAACACCAUCGAUCCCUCCACUUGCUUCAUCCAGUGUGGUUGAUCACUCGGUUCUGAUGGACCUAUUUUCUCUGAACCGGGUGCACCUCACAAAGGUUGUGGACCACCAGGAAGGGACCCGUGAGGCCUGCGUUUAAGAUCCGAUUCGAAUAAAGCAAUAUCCUUGGGUAACCCAAGAAGUAAACGGGCCUCUCCCGGUUUGACAUCCUGGAUGCGAGCCUGCCACAUGGCACACUCUACAGCUGCUGAGCAAGCAUCAGAAGUGAAGAACCCAACAAUGGGAACUUCAAAAUUCUUGAAAACAUCAGCCGUCCAGCCCAUCAUAACGCCGAUGACUACGCAAACAGGUCGGCUUUCGGGUUCCCGGGUUGAAAGGAGGUUUCGAAGGCCUUGAAGCAUAUGGCUGUGCAUGACAACAUGGUGGUGAGAAGGAGGUGAUGGUAGUGGUUGAGAUGGGAGGGUAUUUCGGUAAUUUCACAUAGAGGGUAUUGGUGAAGAGAGGAAGGGGUGAUGCUGGUGGUGGAAACGUGAGAGGGAAUAAUGAGGGUAGAUUUGUAAUUACGAGAAGCAAUUUGCUUGCAUAAUUCAAUGCAUGGAAACAGAUGUCCCUGACCGAAGAACGGGACAAUCCAAAUCUCAGCCUCAGCAGCAUUCGCAACAGAGCUUGACAUCUUUUAUGAAUUAUUUGAGACUUAAUUGUUAUUGACUGCUUUUGCCAUCUUUCAUAAAACAUUCUUUGUUAUAUAUUCAAGUAAAUAAAUUUAUCGUUUAAAAUUAAUUUUUCAUGUGGUAAAAGCAAUACUAAAUAUGGGGUGGAGAGAAUAAUUUGUAGGGCAUACCCCCACCAUUUAUUUAAUUUCAUUAAAAAAGAAAGAAAAGAAAUAAAGGCUUGUUCAACAUUCAAUUAAAAUUAACAAUUCCAUGAUAAAAUUACUUGAGAAUAAAAAUUUUUAAAAAAAAAGUAACUCAAAAACGAGGAAUUUUUGAGUAACUGAAGAACCAUAGAUGUUUUUUGGUCAUGAGCAAUUUUUGAGUUGAGACAGAACUUGUAUAAAAAAAUAGUUUUGAAAACUUCUUUUCUUUUUUCGUAAAUAUAGAUAUAAAAUUUUAAAAUCACCAAACACAAAACCAGGAAAAUGGAAGGAGAGCCCCUGUUUCUCCUCUGUUGCAAGAACAAAUUCGGUUUCUACAGUUGUACCUUCUAAAUGCACCAUUUGUAUUGCUUUGUCUCCACUUGAGCUAACGGAAUUUGAUGAAAACAAAAUAGAUAUGAGUGGUGCUAUUCACAGCCCUCAAUAAUUCUCUCAAAACCCCUUUUCUAAUUAUACCCCGUUGAAUAAGUUCAAGACCAACUUUUCCUCUUAUAACACCACCUUCAAUUCCGUUAAUACCCUUGUUCGCUAUGAAAAUGAGGAAAAUGCCUACAUAAAAAGCUGGCUCUGAUAAUCUACCUGAAUUUACAUUAGAAAAGAGUGGACUUUGAGAAAUAAGAAGACAAUAUAGGGAAUUUUACCAAAAUAAUCCAUUUUUAUAUACAGGGAAUGGUAUUUUCUGAUAUAGGGAGGAGUGGAGAAAUUAAAUUCAGCAAAAUAAAGAACCUCCAUCGAGAAGUAAAAAUGAUGAUAUCUUUGUCGUGAAGAGAUUUCUGCCUCAUACAAAUUUUUUAUUCUAGAAUGCUUGAAACCGAAAAGUUCUGUAGUUGUUUCAAUUCAAUUGCAUACAUUGACGAAACAUUAAAUACGGAAAAAAACAAAAAAGAAAUAAUAGGACAGGGGGAUUUCGAGAAGUUCUAAAGAGAGAAAUCUAUUUAUAAGCAUUGAAAAUUAGCUCAUUAAAUUUGACAGAAUAAUAUACAAUCUCACUGUUGGCCAGAAAAUAAUAGUAAGAACUUGUGAACAUAUAUAAUCAAUUGUUUAUUACUUAAGCUCUUUUUCUUCGUUAUUUUGAAUGGGUGCAAAGAAGAGAAGUUUUGUACCCAAAUUCCAACUCGAAUUGUGUAGGCUGCUUGCAAGAGCUUCAUUAGAUUUUUAUUUGUCUUUUAAUAGUGCUUCUCGACAAAUACAGCUAGCUAUCUGUCCUUUUUGUUACUGGACUAUAGAUCAAUUGACAGUUGAAGUUAUAUUAAUUUGUUGUGCUGGAAUUGAAGCUUGUAUCUUAGCCAUUUGGUGAAGUGUCAAAUAUAUUUUUAAUUUCCUUAAAAUUGUUCAAAAUAUGUUUACACUUUUAAAGUCACUAUUAUACAUGAGUGCCCUAAAAUUGGAGAAGGCGAUUUGCCUGACAUUACCUGUAUUCGCUUGUAUAGAGAGGACGAUUUAGAUAAGUCGGAACGGAACAACCUUCAUCACAUGCUUCCUCACGUGGUUACUUAAACUGAUAUGUAAAACGUGCUCCAUCCAUGUCGUUUCCACUAAAUCGUUUUCUGUUAAGAAUCAGCUGAGCAGCACGUGAGCUAAUGAAGCUUUUACGGCUUCAAAACGCAGCCGUUUCUGGGAACCAAACUUGAUUCAUCACCUCACAACUACAGAUGAAUUAUCGAAGUGGCUGAUUGGUGCUAUACGUGUUUUUCGUAUUGAACUCAACUCUGCUAUUUUCCCAAAAGCUGGAAAACAGAAACAUCAUCCCUGUGGUUUUAUUUCACCUCAACCUUUUUCUGAUCCCAUUUUCAUUGUAAUUUCUCAUUUACUUUGAGUGAAAGUCAUUGUUGCUUUCGAACGAGGUUUUGCAACUAAAAAGGAAAAGGGGGCGGCUAUAAUACAUGCGUGCAUCUGAUACAUGCACAAAAACUGACCAUUGGAUUAAAUGGAGUGGAUCUAAUGGCUGAGAUUUGUUUUAUUAUUAAGCAAUAAAAAAAUUUGAAACAACCAGAAACCUGUAAAACCGGUCAUUUGGUUUAAGUUAAAAAUAUAUAAAUGAAAAUAACAAAAAAACCCACCACUCCCCCGCCUCACACGCGCCUCACCGCUCCCCGCUCCCUCGCCUCACCUCUCUUCUUGUUCCACGGCCAUCAACGGCGGCACGAGUCGGCGACGAUCGACUGCGGCUGUAAAUUGACCACGAUCAUCUCUCUCUCUCGGCUUGCUCAAAUUUGGCCGAUCUGUGCGCUUGCUUAAGCUUGGCCGAUCUAUGCUUGCUCGAUUACUCUUCCUAUCUUCAGUCAGAGUCAACUGUUUGACAAGAGUCGAAGUCCAAGGUUCUUUUUUACAGGAUUUGAGCUAUUCCUUUUAUUCUUCUUGCAUGUUCACUGAUAUGAAGCUUUGAUGUGGUGUUCUGAUAGCGGGUGGAAUUUGAGAUUCUCCUUUCUUCUCUAUAUGAAGGUGCUUGUCAUGUGUCAAGAAAAAUAAAAUUAUUUACCAAAGAUUAUUUUAAGGAGAUUUAUUAUUAUUCGUGGAUCGGGAAGUUUAUUUUGUUUUUUGGUCUCUUAUUUAUUUAUUGUUUUCACGAGGAAAUUGCUGUGCUUUUGGAAAUUAAUAUGCUGUGUUGUCAAUGUUGUGUGAAAUCCUUUUAUUGGUGUCUAUGUAAAGUGUUUCAGAUUUCAGACCUGAGAGUUAAUCUUCGCGUACCAGUUGGCUUUUGGGUUUAGUAUUGCUACUUUUAACAUAAUUGACCUAUGGCCCAAAUCAUUUCUAUAGGGCGAAGCAUAUGAAUGAUACAUAUUAUCUUUUUUUGGCCUUAUGUAUUGUUAUUUGCAGUGUGAUUUGGUCUAGCUUAAGAGCUUAAGCUUGCAGGUUGGAUUUGUCUGACAGGGAACAAUUUAAUUUGCUCAUCGUGAUGUUUAUAUCCAUUUUGUACUACUAUCAAUUUCAAUCAUGCCUAAUUUUUAUAUGUAUUUCUCGUGGACUCUCAGGUUCAGUGCACAAGAGGAUGAAGACGAUGGACACCCAAAUUUGAUGUGGAGAACAACUAUUGCAAAUGGUCCUUGAUUUACUUCUCCAAUUGACUUGAAUUGGUUUGACGCAAUUUAUAGUGUAUUUUUGUCAUCUUUGUACGACUAGCAGGUCGUCCUGAUUUGGUACAUGACUGGACACAGGAAUUGGACUCAUAUUUUUCAAACCAGAAUGCCAACAAUCAAGCAUUUUCUUUUGAAAGCACUGGCGUCUUCUUCAAUGCCAAAAAGGUUAGAGAUUUUCUGUAUCUUGUUUUGUAUUUAAUCAGUUUAGCAUGUGGGUGGCAAUCAAGAAAAGUUAUUAUAACAUUUUUGUGUUCCCGAAAAACUGCUGAUGAUGUGUAGUGCAGGAAAUGAAUUGUUUUUGACUUCUUUUUAUUUGUAUUCUUUCUUUUUUCUUUUCUCCCCAACAGGAUUAUGCAUUUCUGAAGAGCUUCUUGAAGUUGAUUACCAUGUAUGCCACUUUCUUUACUCUAUGCUCAGGAUGUGAUUUUGCCAAGCAUUAAAAUGGUUUAGGUCAGAACCAUCAUCUAAAGUUUACUUAAUGCAGCCGAGAAGCUGUAGUAGAGCAAGGAAGGCUGUUGGUGUUAUGAAGGCCAGCUGUGAAGAAAUAUUUGAACUUGUAAUGAGCAUGGAUGGGACACGAUACGAGUAUGCUUCUUUUCUAUUUUUUAUUUUUAGUUACUUUAACAUAAUCAAGACUAUAUUGGCUGUCUCUGUAAGCUGAGUAUUAUAUUUCCUCUUGCAUGCUGUGAAAUUCACAUUGUCUCCAGUCCCGAUUCUGUAUGUGCCUUUUUGAAUAUAUUUAAUUAAUCUGCAUGGUGCUUUCUAAAGAUUAUUACAAACUUUUGUUGCUUAAGUAUAUGAAGAAUGUAGAAAUGAAAACAGCUUUUGAAGUUUGAUGGAUUGCUUCAUUAAUAAAGAAAGACUAGGACUCAUUUUUAUAACUUUUCUCCACUUAGCUAAUGGUAUUUGAUGAAGACAAAAUAGAUGUAGCUAUCUAUAUUUUUUGUUGCUGAACUAUAGAUCAAUUGACGGUUGAAGUUAGUUAUAUUAAUUUGUUGUACUAGAAUUAAAGCUUGUAUCUUAGCCAUUUCAUGAAGUGUCAAAUACGUUCUUUCCUUUUUUUUUUUUUUUUUCAAAACAUGUUACACUUUUGAAGUCACUAUUACAUAAAAGAGUGUUCUAAAACAGGAGAAGGCGUGCUGCCUGAAAUUACCUGUUUCCUAGCAAAUCUAGCUGGUUUGCGAAUUAGAUUUUAACAAGUCUCUUGGCAAGGUUUGCUAGUAAUGUGUUCAAAUUAUUCUAUUUAAUUUUACUGUCUGUACCCUAAUAAUUCUUGGUUUGCACCAUUGCAUUGUUCCAUAAUCUCUGUGCGUUGGCUUAUAAAGGCCAGCAAGGCUGAUCAUUUGUCGAAUAGUUAUUUCCAUGAAAUUCCUAUCAAUUUGACUCAGUAUUUAGAGGUCUUGAAGAGGGCAGUGUACUAGACAUGGAUUUCUACCUCUUUUGGUUGUACAAUUGUUGUAUUUCUUGGCCAUCAGAUCUUUUUAAUGUACCUUUCUCAAAGUUCAUGCCGCACGUACACCGUUUUUCAUGUUUUGUGCAUGUGGGAUUGUAGUCUUCUGUAUCGCAGCUUAGUUGAAGAGGUAGAUGGUCAUACGGCUAUUCUCUAUCAUAGGCUUCAGCUGGACUGGUUUCCAAUGUAAUAGUCUCUUGAUUCAAUCAUCUCAUUUAUGCUUUGGUCAGAAUAGAACAUUUAUUGUUUCCUUCUUUCCCCUUUCCUCUCUUCUGAUGUAAUAUGUGAGGAAAUUACCUAAAAUUUCUGUAUCCCAAUGUAAUUGUUGGAAUUCAGAAAUAAAAUAAAUACACCGUCUUGUUUUUCCCUCGGUUCAGUCCCAAGUUCUCUUUGGGCCUUCUGCAAGUUUUUAAACAUACUGUGACAGUAAAAAAUCUAGUGAUUGAGAUCAUUUUGAUGAAUUUAAUUUUAAUUCUUAGCUGAUACUUUUUCUGGAAUUUUUUUCUUAUGUUUCCUCAAUAUGACUUAAAUAUAGGGCUUAGUUUGGUUUAGAAGUUCAUCUAAAACCUUCUCCUUGAUUCCAAAAAAAUUCUCUAGAAAGGUCUCAGAUGGAUUUUAGGGGAGUUUUGUGGCAAAUUUGAAAAGUUCAGGGGAAGGGUCUAAUGAAUUUUAAAACCACAUGGGUUAUCUGUUUUAUUCAGAGGAUAGUGGAAUUCCCUGAAAUUUAUCAUUUUUAUUUAAAUAAUCUUCCUACUUUCCUCUGCAGAAUUUAUUUAUAUAUAUGAAUUCAUUUGGUUGCAGGUUUGUUUGGCCCCGCGGCCUUUGUUAAGUGCGUUAUUGGCGUUGAAAUGACGCUGCGAGUUAUGGUAAGGUUCUUGCUUCCCCACUUCUUGAAAUUAAAUCUAUCUUUUCUGGCACUAGAAGUUUCCAUAAGCUGUGUUUUGUUAUCGCGCAGUUGUGUUAUUUCAUUCUAGGGAGCAUAUGAACUGUGGUCCACAACCCGGAUAUGUACGAGCUCACAUGGAGAGUUAGUUUUCUGUCCUUUACUUUGGUUGAUGUAGAGAAUUAACAAGUGACUAAGUCAUGCCAAGUUGCACCACUUGCUUCCUGUAUUCUGAUUUCUCAGGUGGUGGAUUCAACAUUUCCCCACUAAAACCUCAAAAUGGUAGGCCCAGAACACAAGUACAGCAUCUUAUGCAGAUUGAUCUAAAAGGGUGGGGUGUUGGUUAUGUGUCAAUGUUUAGCAACACUGUCUUCUGCAGAUGUUAAAUAGCAUUGCUGGUAAGUUUCUUGCUUUCACAUUUUAUUUUGCGCUGUUAUGGGUUAAUAUGUUUCUGUUGGGUGGCCAUUUUAAGUCAUAUUUUUACGUGUUACUGUAUUUUCUUCAGUCCUUUUAUAGGGAACACACACAUACACGUAUGUAGAGUCACCUUUUAAUGAGGGAUCUACCAUUUUAAUGAAAUGAGGAAUGAGCUAAAAGAUAAAAAAUUCACGAACUCCAAUGCAAUAUGUGUGUGUGCGCGUGUACACCUUUUCUAACUCUUGUUCUUAGUUAGAUAUUUUUUGGGAUUUCAGGCAAAUGAAAAAAGAGAUUAAGAGAAUGAUUUCAAGAGAACAGGUGGAUAAUAACUUAAAUAUUCAUUUUUAUACAUUUUGUUAAUGUCCUCUUUAAUGGAUUUCUAUGGAAUUAACCUUGUAAUUGGUGUAAUUACGGCAUUGGUGGUUGACAUGGCUUUCCUUGUGCAGGUAUGUAUGAUUGUACUGCAAUUUGCAAAUUUGCAUACUUGAAUGUUCUCAGAAUGGUAUAAUGCUUCGUGUAUGCAGGCAAAUACUACAGAUGAAUUACCGGAGCGGCUGAUUGGAGCUGUACGUGUUUCUUAUAUAGAACUCAAGUCUGCUAUUGUUCCAAAGUUGGAACCAGAGACAUCAUGACUCUGGUUUCAUUUCACCUCAACUGUUUUUUUUUUUAAUUGAAAAAAAAAAAUCAUUUGUUUUAGGUAUACAUACAUGUAUUUUGAUCCCGUUUUCAUUGUAAUUUCUCAUUUACUUUGAAAGAAAGUCAUUGGUGUUUUCGAGUGGGAAUUUUGCAUUAAAAAAUAAAGAAUACUUAAUAGGAAAUUUCAUAAUUCUUUAGUUACUAUUUUUGGAAUGUGUGUAAUAGUAUUAAAGUUGGUUUCUACUCGCAAACAAGUGAACUACUCGAUCCCCAACUGCGACCACGCUAGUUGUCAUUUAAAACUCAACAACUAACAAAAAUACUAAUAAAAAAAUGAUUUUCUUAUAUUGCUGUGAAAACAUUUAUGGGUUCAUUUAUUUCCACAAGAUCUAUAAUUUGGUCUUGACUUUACGAAAUUCUUUUAAUUUAAAGGGUUUUGGUCUGAGAAAGUCAGUUUGACGGAUUAAUUCUUUUUAAUAAUGGUCGAGUUAAUUUUACUAUACUCAUAAAACUAUUUUUAUUCUGAUAAUGCCACAAAUGUUAUGAUGUUUUCUUCAGCUAAUGAUCUUCUAUCAGGACUAGUUAGAAAUCAAAUGCUUAAAACACCGAUUGAAUGUAUAAUGCAGAAGUUUAAACAGUACCUAAUUGAAAAUUGCAUGAAACAUGAAACAUCAAUUCAAGUCCUUCCUUAAACAGAGAAUGCAUCAAACAAAUCCAAAGUGUCUUGCAAGUCUGUAGCAUGACAAAAAAGUUGUAAAUGCGUUUGGAACCAAAUUCUUCAAGUACAGGAGAACGAGCAAGUUGAAUUAUGUACAAGAGAUUGGCCUGGUUCGAGAUAGCUUCUUCACUGUACCUGAAGGAUUGGCUCAAUCUUUUCUUUAGAAUUCUGCACAUUUUGUAAUUACUCGUGUAAGCAAGCAUACAUUACAACCAUAAUAAUAAUAAAGCAAGAGUAAUGAUACGACCACCACCUUUUGUACACAAACAAUAUUGUAUAAACUAAUGCGACAUAAUAUGAUUGGUUAAACAAAAACAUUACAUGGCCCUCAUAAUUUAUUUAUUUAUUUAUUUAUUAUUAUUAUUAUUAUUAUUAUUAUAUAUUUUCAGUCAACCAAUCAUAUUAUAUCACAUUAGUUUCUAUAAAAUAAUUUGCUAAAUAGCACCAAAACUUAAUUGAUACUCACCAUUUCAUUGAACAAUUUUUUUAUGGUGUCAUUGAGGUUGCCUUCCCAACAUCCUUCAUCAUCAUCAUCUUCUUCAUCAUCAUCUUUUUCUUCUUCGGUGACGUUCACUUUGUUUAGCAUUGGUGUGUCUAAGACUCCUUGAGAGAAGAUCUUCAUUUUUGGACACAGUCUCACAACUACUUGUUUCAAGGACGGGAAUUCAAGAGCGUAAUUACCUAAACAAAAGCUUGUUAGGCUUGGCAAACAGUCAAGUUCCAAGUACCUCAAUUUCCCAAAAACAAUGCAAUCUUCCGUUUCUUCUCCAACCUGCGACUGUAUAAUUUCUUCCAUCAUUUUGCAAUCAACUAUCUUCAUUCUUCCGAGAUUCACUAGAUUUUUAGAUGCUGAGAGCGUCAACACAUUUAUCAACCCGUGACACUUCGAUACUUGUAGUCCCCACAGAUUUUCCAAAUGCCACGAAGGUGGUACUAAUUUUUGCAACUUACUACAUUCCGAUAUUUCUAGCCUUUCCAAGUUUGCAAACACUUUGUUGGAUUCGUCAUUUUCCUUCCAGAGAUGCUGCACUUUGUGUAAUCCAGACAGUCUUAACUUCCUCAAUUGAGGGAAAGCAACCUGAAAAUCAACAAAGUUAAGUUGUAAAAGAAAAUACGUAUCCAAUCUCUGGAGUCUUCACCUGCAUAUUUUAUGGACAAGAUUAAUCACGGCAUUUUAUAUUUUAUUUCCAAAUUAGUAUGCUUUGCAGUAGGAUCCCAAAUAUAAGUAUCAAAUCGAUUACCCUUUGAAACACAUAAAUGAAAUCUAAUGCUAAAUCCAAUAUGAAUUAGCUAGGAAAACAGAGAUGUUACACACAUAAUUAAUAUAGUUCAUCACCUCGUGUUAUCAGGCAUCCAAUUAAUUUCAGUCAUUUUUAUAAUUCAUACUAUAAAGAUAGUUAAUAACUGAGGUUAUAUUGUUAAAUCAUAUAUAAAUUAAGAUGACAUGCAAAAAGAUGAGUCAUUAAAUUUGACUUGAUUCUAAUGAAAUUACAUCUGUGCGAACAAAAGUGAAGGGAAUAAUAAUAAUAAUAAUAAUAAUAAUUACCUUUUCAUCGAAGAGGGGUUGUACUUGAUGAGCCAGCAAGAAGUACUCUUCUAAUGUUAAUUUUUGAGGUUCCUUGUUAUCAGUUGUCACAUGCACUACAGAGUUGGAUAUAAAUGUUUCCAUAUCAGGGCAAUUCUCAAUAGUCAGACUCCACAACAUAGGCAUUUCAAUUAUAUUCCCAGUGAAGUUGCAGAAUCUUUUGAGUUUUGGAAGAUCAAUGAGCGUUAGGCUAAAAAGCCUAGGAAACAGGGGGCCUAUAUGUUCUUUGUCAGCAUUUAGCUCUUCCAAAUGAAGCAUCUCUUCUAGUGAAUCACAAUUCCUCACUUCCAGCCUUGCCAAAUUGUUCAAGCAUCGUAGCAGAUUGGCAGGAAUAGCACUCGACAUAUUGGUGCAGUAAUCCACCUCCAGCUCUGCUAAAUAGUUGAAGAAGCGGACAGGCAGUGCUUGGCCAUGCCAUAUUUCUUUCAAACGUGGAAAAUGUGAGAGUUGCAAAUACUGUAUGUCACGGAAUCCAAUCUGCACAAACCAAAACAAUUGCACUGGAUAUAUAUAAAUACAUUAAACUUACAUGUUUUGUGUUUUAACUUCUAAAACUAUAUAUACAAGGCAGGUGUAUAUGUUCAAAUGUGCAAGUGCAAGGGAGAUGCAUAAGUAAUUUCAACGAAUCGAUUUAACACAUACCAUUUCUUCGUAACACUUUUGUAUAGUGGAAUUAAGGUUGCCUUCCCAACGGCACAAUUCACCCUCUUCCUGUUAAGAAUAGAAUUAGUUAGUUAAUGAGUAUGCUGACAUGGCAGCUGAGUCAGCUAAAGGUUGUUAUAGAGGUUGUUAGUAGUAAACUGUGCGUGUGUGCAAUGUGUGUAGAAUCUUCUAUGCACAUAUAAAAAGGCUUGCAAUUUCCAGAUUCAUUAGAUCAAUAAUAACAGAAUUCUCAGCUUACAGAAGUUUUCUUUCCUCCUAUUUUCUUAGUAACCAAACAACAUCACAGUUUCAUAUAAAACUUAAUACUUCCUUUUUACUCACCUGCACUUCGUGCAGCUUUGGUGUGGAUACGAUUCCCUGAGAAAAAGUCUUCAUGUUCGGGCAACGUGUCAUAGAAACUCGUUCCAAUGAUGGGAAUUCAAGAGUGUAAUUCUCCAAACAAAAGCUGGUAAGCCUUGGUAAAUAAUCAAGUAUCAAAACUUUUAAAUUGCUGAAAGCAAUACGAUUCUCCUUCACUUCUUCUCCAACAUGUCCUAUGAUUUCUUCUAUUUUUUCACAGUAUGAUACAUUAAGAUUCACUAGACUAUUGGGAAUUCCAACCUGAAAAUAAAGAGUAGCAUUCAACUAAAUUCAAAGUAUGUCAAAAUCAUACAAUUGUUUUAUGAAAAAUAACAAACCAUGUCUACUAGAUAUUUUUUGUUAAAGAAAAAAGGAAAAAAAUUAAAACAAAAAUAAAUAAAUAGAAGUCCAGAAAAACAAAGAUAAUGAAAAUGCAUUUACACUAAAACGCUGUAUUUCCCUUUUUUUUUUCCCGAUAUUCAUGCUUUUAAAAAUGGAAAACAUUUCUGGAAAACACUUCCCAACGCCAUCAACAUGGGACUGUUACAGAGUGAAUAUUUGAGGAAAUUUUUUAAUAAACGGUCGAUUCAAAAUGACCAUCAUGAAUUUGUGCUUAAUCAAUGGCGUAAUCAAUUCAUAACUAAACUAGAGAUAUUAACUACAUUUGAACACUUUUCUUUAUUUUAUUUUUAAAAUCGAAAUCUAAAGACCCAAGGAAAAGAGAAAUAUAUAUGAAUUUGUGAACUUAAAAGCUGAGUAACUAAGUAUCUUUUAAUUUCUGAAAAUCUUAUUCAUUAGGAUUUAAGGAAAAAAAACAAUUAAAUUAAAUUAUAUUAUGCUGUUAAAUCGUGUUUAAAAUAAUUAUAUUGUUGACUUUAAUGCAGGUGAACCUAUAAAUUAGAUUGAAAAUGCAGAGUUCAGAAUGGUGAUUUGAAGUACAAUACUUUUUUUCCCUCUAGAAGUUUGAAGUACAAUACUUGCAAUAAAUAAUUUGUGAAUGAAAAUUAUUUGUAAACAAAAAAAUGAUUAAAAUAAUUGUUGAAUGUUAUUUGAAAUAAAAAUUCAAAAUGAAUAUAGCAAUCUUACCAAUGGAGGAAAAAUAUUCAGUAGAUUAUGACACACAGAUAUCUCUAAUUUUUUCAAUUUGCUAAAAGACUUCGAAGCAAGCUGGUGGUGCCAUAUUUUUCUCAACUUAUCCGCCCCACGAAUAUGUAAUACCUCCAGACUUGGGAGUCGUACCUGAAGUUAAAAAUUCAAUGCAAUUAGAGAUGGAUAUUAAUUAAAUUUGAAGACUCAACGAAAGAAGAAAUUAACUAUUAAGAAUAAAAUUAAUUUAAAAAAAAAACCUUUGCAUCAAAGAGAGGUUGAGGUUGCAUUUCAGAAUUAGCUUCUGGUGAGGCAAAGCUACUUAGUUUUGGAAGACCAUCGAGCUGCAGGAAGUGUAGUUUAGGAAAAACCUUAAAUUCAUCUCUUCCUCCUAACCCCGUGGUGUUGACUAUCCCUUCCAUUGACCAACAAUUAAUAAUCUCAAGAUGUCGGAGCUGCCCAAGACUAUUAGCCAUAGAAUAUGAAAACAUAUACUUCAGAGGACAACACCUUGUCACGGUCACUUUUGUUAAAUUUUGACAACAAUACAUUCCCUGAAAUUGAUCGGGCCAUAAUUUUUUGAUGUUUGUUAAACUGACAAGUUCCAGUUCCUCCAAGCGUGGAAAAGUAACCUGCAAAGAAAAACCAUACAUUUUUUUUCCUUCAACUACAACUUCUAAUAUAAUAUUCUUUCGAUGAUUGAAGAUCAAUCGUGAUAAUAUAUUAAUUAAUUAAUUAUUAAACAGAAAAUUAUCACCUGAUCAUCCUCUGCAUUGAUUUCUGUGAAUCCCUGAGUAGUUGUUGGUUUCUCCAUGUCGGGCCCUAUAAAUGAACAAAAACAAUAUAUGAUUAACCUCUGUUGUCCCCUCCCAAAACAAAAAAAAAAAAAGAAUGAGCCAAUGUCAAUAAUCCUACCAAUAAUUAAUUUAAACACUUACCAAUCAUCAUUUUCAAUUUAUUGCAAUUUACCACUUCUACUUUUUGAAGCCCCAAUAGGUUUUUGGCCAUAGAGAAUGAGAAGAGAUACUUCAAUUUUGGACAGGAAUAUACGUAUAUAAUCCUUAAGUUGCUGAAAGAUUGAUCUUCUCUGAGUUGGCUGUAGCAUAUCGUCUCCAAAUUAGUUAAAUUAAUAAGAUCCAAUGAUUCCAGCAAGGGAAAGACUUCGCAACGAACCCGUCUAACUGAACCGACAAUAUGUAAAAUCUCAGAACAACCUGUUACAUGAAGAUGCUGCAAUCGUGGAAAACCUUCCCCAUCGUCUAAUUCAUGAACAACAUUCUGAACACCCGUCAGUGAGUAUAGACGGAGAUCUUCAGUUCUCUUCAGCAACAUUUUCGUCCCAUCAUUCCCCAAAAGAAGGCUAACUUUUUCUGGCCCCUUGAGCACCAUCAAUGUUGAUGUUUUAGAUUCGACGAGUCGUCGGUUAGACAUUUGUCCUAUAAAUAUCUUAUAUCUUUCCAAUUCCAUAGAGACAAAAUCCGGCGGCAGAAUUUCGGAAUCCGAAACAUCUAUCUCCAAAGUAGUUAGAUUUGACAACCCCUUCAACUCGACAAGACUGGCAUUACUUCCUCCUUCAACCUUAUCCCACUGUGAAAAGCUGUUAUGCAUAAACAGUUCUUCUAAUCCAGAUAAUUUUGAUAUGACAUUUGGUGGUAUCAACUCAAGGCUCCAACAAUUGCUCAAAUCUAGCAACUGUAACCGCGUCAAUCGUCCAAUUUCAAGUGGUAACUGCUUGAUAUCGGAAUCUGCAAGGCUGAGAAUCUCUAAUUUCUUUAGCUGUCCAACUAUUGCUAUAUCUUUUAGUCGGCAAUAGUCUAAACGCAAUGUUUGAAGGUUAAUGAGGCAACCAAGUGAUGAAGGUAAUGAAGAGAAUUGAAUUCGAGUAAAAUUCAAAACUUUGAGUCCUUCCGUCCCUUUAAAAAAGUGGUCUGAAACUUGCAUAGAGCCAUCACCCUCCGCAUGCAAUAGCUCAAGACAGGGACAUUGCAACCUUUCAGGAAGCACUUGAAUACCUCCAUAAGGUAAAGAAAUAGCAAUUGGACCUUCCUGUACUGUAUCUUCCAUCUUUUUCUCCAAGUCGGCAACAUUUGGAAUAUUAAACAUGAGCUCCUCUUCUGCAAUUGAUACAGCAACUACACGAAUGACGUCAUGCAUUUUAACUUCAUCUUCAGCAUCACUGUCCAACAAUAAGCAUGAAGAUUUGAGUUUGUCGAUCAACGUAUGCAAUCUCCUCCUUGCUUCUUCCAGUGAGUAAACCUUUUUAAAAUAGUCCAUACCCAUACCAUAUCUCAAUAAGUCUGGAACAGGUAUAGCAUAACCUUUACUAAGUAGACCACAAAGACGGAACAGAGAUUUUGCCUCCGCACUUUCCAGCAAGUUGUAACUCAAUUUUAUGGAGGUGUACACAUUUCUUUCCAUUCCAUCAAUUUCUCUUGCAUCGGAACUUCUUAGCUGAUUCAAUGCAUCCUUCCAAAUGUCAAGAUCCUUAGUUUUCAGAGCUUUUGCAACUGUACUCAGUGCAACAGGCAAUCCUCCGCAUUUUUCAACGAUCUCAUCUGCAGUGGGUUGAAAAGCAGAUAUUUUAGUUGAAUCACCCACUAUCUUCUCAAAUAACUGCAAGGCUUCUUCUUUUGAUAAAGCAUCGAUCGGGAAAUUUUUCUGAGAAUUCAUAUCAGUGCACAAUAAAUCUCGACUUCUAGACGUCAGUAUUAUUGUGCAUCGUCUCUGAUCAUCCAUUCUUUCGUUCGGAAUCCCAACUUUAUCGAACUCCAGUUCCCCCCAAAUAUUAUCCAAUAUAAUGAGAUGCCGCUCCUUGUUCUUCAAUACUCGACAUAGUCGAUUUGCUCUGUCGAAUAUACUCUCAUUCAACUCAAACUUUAUGCCUAAAUCAGAAGCAAGUUUGUCUUGAAUUUUCUGAUGAUCUGGGUUCUCUGUUACCUCAGCCAUAGCGACCUUAUCGAACAACUUAUUUGUUUCCAUCACUUGCUUUGCAACUUGCUUGACUAGCGUGGUUUUACCCACGCCGCCCAUGCCGUAGACCCCAAUUAUGUUGAGUUUCUCAUCCUUCAACGCCUCCAUAACAUCCAGUAAUACUUUCUUUCUUGAAUCAAAGGCCUCGUUAUCUUUCCCGCCCCUAAGUGCUUCGAUAUCUGCAGAAGGAUCGAAGGCAAUUUCUUCACUCUUCAGUUUGUCGCCUUUUUCCAUGAGAUUAGCAGCAUCUUUUGCGGCCUUUGCUGCUCGUUUACUGAGUUUGUAACGAGACAACAAAUUUGCACACAAUCCUUUGAAGCAGGACUUCUUGGCUCCAUCUUCUUCAUCAAUGAUAGAUUUUGCAACCCCCUCCGUAGAUUCAACCUUACUUCGCCAAUCUUUGACACCCUGAUAAAUCUCUUUGCCUUGUCGAGUAUCAUGCUUAACACGUUGUUGCACCAUUUCGUUUAUACCUUCCAACCCCUUCACUUGAUCUUUUAGCUCAUCUAUGUAGCUCUGGUACUUGAACACAUAAGAUAUUUGCCGUAUAAUCGGUUUGAACAGUGACUUUGCACCUUCUAAUACAGUGCUGGAUAAAGCAGCCAGAGCCACUUCUGCCAUUGUCUGCUACUUAACAAAUCUAAUAAUAUAUCAAAGAAAGGAAUACAAAUAAAUUAAAAGGAACUAAAGGGAAAGACAGAGAAAGAAAAGACGGCAAACAACAUCGCAAUAUUGAUCUUGAACCAACUGAUACCUAAAUAGAGAAUUUCUUUUACUAUCUUAAGGAUCAGAGGUUUCGCUAUUAACCGAAAGGUAUCGCUUCUAUUUUGUCACUUUGAACGAAUAACUUUAUGUUUUUAACGGAUGUUUAAUACAAAUUGCAUACAUUGGGUGUAAAAUUAAAUAAAUUUAAAUAUUUAUAAUAAUUUUAAUAAUUGAAUAAAACUUUGAGUAAAUGACUGAUAAUUUCUCUAAGAUGAUUUAUUGUUUGGGGUCUAAGAUUUUAAAUAUUCAACUUAAAAGAUUAAUAUCUUAUAAAUUGAUUAAUUAAUUAAUCAUUAAGCAACUAAAUUGGUCCCUGGAUGUCAAUUUAUUUAAUAUUGACGCACCUAUUUUUUUUUUCUGGCAAAUAAUUAUUAAUGCACUUAGGNNNNNNNNNNNNNNNNNNNNNNNNNNNNNNNNNNNNNNNNNNNNNNNNNNNNNNNNNNNNNNNNNNNNNNNNNNNNNNNNNNNNNNNNNNNNNNNNNNNNNNNNNNNNNNNNNNNNNNNNNNNNNNNNNNNNNNNNNNNNNNNNNNNNNNNNNNNNNNNNNNNNNNNNNNNNNNNNNNNNNNNNNNNNNNNNNNNNNNNNNNNNNNNNNNNNNNNNNNNNNNNNNNNNNNNNNNNNNNNNNNNNNNNNNNNNNNNNNNNNNNNNNNNNNNNNNNNNNNNNNNNNNNNNNNNNNNNNNNNNNNNNNNNNNNNNNNNNNNNNNNNNNNNNNNNNNNNNNNNNNNNNNNNNNNNNNNNNNNNNNNNNNNNNNNNNNNNNNNNNNNNNNNNNNNNNNNNNNNNNNNNNNNNNNNNNNNNNNNNNNNNNNNNNNNNNNNNNNNNNNNNNNNNNNNNNNNNNNNNNNNNNNNNNNNNNNNNNNNNNNNNNNNNNNNNNNNNNNNNNNNNNNNNNNNNNNNNNNNNNNNNNNNNNNNNNNNNNNNNNNNNNNNNNNNNNNNNNNNNNNNNNNNNNNNNNNNNNNNNNNNNNNNNNNNNNNNNNNNNNNNNNNNNNNNNNNNNNNNNNNNNNNNNNNNNNNNNNNNNNNNNNNNNNNNNNNNNNNNNNNNNNNNNNNNNNNNNNNNNNNNNNNNNNNNNNNNNNNNNNNNNNNNNNNNNNNNNNNNNNNNNNNNNNNNNNNNNNNNNNNNNNNNNNNNNNNNNNNNNNNNNNNNNNNNNNNNNNNNNNNNNNNNNNNNNNNNNNNNNNNNNNNNNNNNNNNNNNNNNNNNNNNNNNNNNNNNNNNNNNNNNNNNNNNNNNNNNNNNNNNNNNNNNNNNNNNNNNNNNNNNNNNNNNNNNNNNNNNNNNNNNNNNNNNNNNNNNNNNNNNNNNNNNNNNNNNNNNNNNNNNNNNNNNNNNNNNNNNNNNNNNNNNNNNNNNNNNNNNNNNNNNNNNNNNNNNNNNNNNNNNNNNNNNNNNNNNNNNNNNNNNNNNNNNNNNNNNNNNNNNNNNNNNNNNNNNNNNNNNNNNNNNNNNNNNNNNNNNNNNNNNNNNNNNNNNNNNNNNNNNNNNNNNNNNNNNNNNNNNNNNNNNNNNNNNNNNNNNNNNNNNNNNNNNNNNNNNNNNNNNNNNNNNNNNNNNNNNNNNNNNNNNNNNNNNNNNNNNNNNNNNNNNNNNNNNNNNNNNNNNNNNNNNNNNNNNNNNNNNNNNNNNNNNNNNNNNNNNNNNNNNNNNNNNNNNNNNNNNNNNNNNNNNNNNNNNNGGGAUUAUGGGGGUAUGCUAAUGCGGCAACCUGACUGUGAGUCGGGAAAAGCUAAUGAGGCAACUUUGCUUGUGCUGCUUCUUUUUUUUUUUUCUUUUGCUUUCUUUUUUGCUUUUUUUUAAUAAUAUUAAAUAAUAUAAAUUUUAAUUUAAUUUAAUAGAAUAUUAUAUAAUAUUAAUUUUUAUUUUCUCUUAUUUUGACAUCAUAAUUAUUAAUAUAAAUUAAUUAUUUUUAUUCAUAUUUUAAUUUUUAUUACUAAAUAAUAAUUAUAUAAUAAUUAAUAUAUAAAAUUGAUUAAUAAAUACUUAAAUAAUAUAAAAAUAAGAAUAUAACUUGAUAUUACAUUAUUUAAUUAUAUUAUAGUAAUUAAUAUAUAUGAAAAUUUAAUAUAACUAAUAAAAAUAUUUAUAUAUGAAUAAAUUUAAAUAAUAUUAAUUUAAAAUUAAUAUUAAUAAAAAUAAUAAUAUAAAAUAUCAUUAUGUUAUGAUAUUAUUUAGGUAUUAAUAAAUAUUAUUUUCUAAAUAUAUAAUUUAAGUUAAUCACAAAAAAUUAAUACAGUACAGUGUAGCACCAAACAUUGUAUUAUGCUGUAUGCCUGUAUUGUAUUAGCACUGAUUGGGUGUAAAGCGUUUGUAAGUGGCUUUUUAAGUCUGCCGUCAAAUCCCCUGCAAAAGCUUUUUUCUUAAUAUCACGCGUGUUGGUACUACAUAAAACCGUAAACUCUAACAAUUUCUUUGUUCUUUCUUAAUAUCACGCGUGUUGGUACUACAUAAAACCGUAAACUCCAACAAUUUCUUAGUUCUCAACACCCCUUAAUUUACAAGAAUUAAUCACUUCAAGGGUGGAUUAGGUAUAUCUUUAGUUCAUAUAUAACUAGCAAUAUCUAAUAUCCCAUAUACAUGUUUUUCUCCCAGAAUGUAAACCAACUAUUCAUAUCUUAGACUCCAAGUAUUCGUAUCUUAAAGUCAAUCGAUAAUAUUAAUUUAAAUUUAAUAAUAAUAUAAAAUAUUAAUAUAAUAUAAUAUUUAAUUUAAAUUAAUUACAAACAAAUAAUAUAGUACAAUGUAGCACCAAACAUUGUAUAGCAUUAUUAUAAUACAAUGCUAAUGCAAUACAAUAUAAUAUAAUCCACCAACAUUAAAAUAAUAUAAUAUAGCAUAAUACAAUACAGUGUGUCAAAUGCACCCUUAGGGUGUGUUUGGUAUGUGGUAUUGCAUAGCAUUAAAUGUGGGCCCAACAUUAAUUUAAACCAAUAACAUGUUUGGGAGCAAUUGAGGCUUAUUGGGAUUGGGUAUUGAGGGGUGCGCUAAUGCGGGAACCACCGCAUUAGCUUGUCUUUUUUUUUUUACUUUUACUUAAUAAUAAUAUAAAUGAAUAAAUAUAUAAUUUUUAAUUUUUAAUAUAAUAUUAUUUUUAUUUUUAUAUCAUAAUUUAUUAAUAAAUUUAUAAUUUAAUAUGAUUAAUAAUAAAUAUUUAAAUAGUAUAUAAAAUAUAAUAUAAUAUUACACUGUGUAAUUAUUGUAAUAUAAUUAAUAUAUAUAAAUUAUUUAUUUUUAAAUAAUUUAAUAUAAAAAAUAAAAAAAUAUUUAAAUACAAAUGAAUUUCAAUAAUAUUGAUAUACGAUUAAUAAUAACAUAAAUAAUAAUAUAAAAUAUUAGCACAAUUCAUUUUGCUAUUAAAUAUGUUAUAACAAUUUUGUCAUUUUAUAAUUUUGUGGUGUAUAUGAACAUAUGUCUUAAGAUUAUUUUUGAACAAAUCUUGUAGGUUUUAACUAUUUAUUUUUCUUGUUAUAUUAUUUCAAGAUUAUUUGAUUAAAUUAUUUGCUUCGAUAUUUAACAAGUUAUAUAUUUAGAAAAUAUAGAAAAUAAAUGUUAUGCUUCCAAAAAUUAAAGGAUAUAACGUUCGAUCUUUAUGAAGAAUUAUGAUAUUUUUGAACAUUUAUACUAAAAAAUUAUUAAAUUUUUAGAAAAUUAAAAGAUAUAACAUUCGAUCUUUAUGAAGAAUUAUGAUAUUUUUUAACAUUUAUACUAAAAAAAUAAUUAAAUUUCUAAAAUUUAAGACCUCUAUAUUUAGUUUUUUUUAAGUACUAUUAAUAUUAUUUUAUAAAUAUAUAAUAUAAAUUAAUUACAAAAAAUUAAUACAGUACAGUAUAACACCAAACAUAAUAUAAUUAAAAAUUAAUACAGUACAGUGUAAUACCAAAUAUUGUACAAUAUUAUUAUAAUACAGUACUAAUGUAAUACAACAUAAUACAAUACACUGCAUAAAAAUAAUGUAAUUUAGUGUACCAAACACACCCUUACAGAACUUUUGCAUAUCUACACAGCGAUUUUAAAUAUUACUGAUAACUCCUGAGAAAUGUGUGAGAAAGGAGUUGAUAAGAGUAAUAACAGCGACUUGCAAAAGGAAAAGACAGAAUCAUUCACCCCUUUUUAUAUCAUGUAUUUGGUUACUGUUGCCCUGUUGACGCAUGUAUAAAAUAACCGUAUGUAUUUUUUUUGGCUGUUGCUUAACAAAAUGUGUGUUUGUGUGUGUAUAUAUAUAUAUUUGCUGUUUGAAAAAAUUGGAUUCAAAUAAAUUAAAAUGAACUAGAGAGGAAGAGAAAGAAUGAAAAGACAACAAACAAUUGAUAUUGAUCUCGAACCAACUUCUUUCUUUCUUUCUUUCUUUUUUGUGUUUUUUUUUUCGCCCGUACCCCCUCUCAGAUUAGAGUAUUGGCUAUUAAAUGAAAGGUUUUAAGGGUAUGAGUGAAAAACAACAUUCUUUUUUAGAAACUAUUUUAGAGGAGGGAUGCAAAUUAAAUGACAAGAUUAAGACAAACAGGAGAUAUUUUUUCGUGGGCAUUAAGAAAUAACUGCUGUCAAGAUCAAGGAGAUUAUGCUAUUAAUAGAAAUUAUCAAAGGAUUUAGAACAAGUUCACCUCUUUAAUUAUCCGGGAUCAGAUAGUUGAUGAGCUUCUCUUCUUGGCGUUGAAUAUUUAAGAAUAAUUUUAAUGAGCAAAAAGAUCACUGGUAACUGCUGAAAAAUAAGUGAGAAAAGAGUUGAUGAGAAUAAUAACAAUGAAUUGAAUAAAAAAAGGACUUAAUCAUGCACCCCCUUUGCAUAUCAUGUAUUUGGUUACUGUUGCCUUGUUGACGCAUGUAUAGAAUAAUUAGUGACUUCUUUCAUGAAGAAUUAAACUUGGAAUGACCAAAAGACGAAGCUGCGGUGUAUUGUUGGACCAAAUUAAGUUGAAGAAAGCACUAGUUCACAACCUUACGUUUGGAUAUAUUCUAAAGAAAUAAUUAAACAGCAAAUCAUCACAUGCACUUUAAUGAUUUGAUCUAUUGUUUUCAAAAGAAAUUGCAAUUAACAGUUUUUGUCAAAAGUUCGCACUGCGUGAAACUAGUGCUAAUAUAAUUUAAAAAAUUAAUUUCAGUAUUAGUUUUUAAAAUGUUAAUUAUUAUAUUUAUUUUAAUAAUAUAUUUAUAUUUAUUAUAAAAAAUUCUGUUAAACAUUUGUGUUAAAUAGAAUUUAUAAUUAAUAUAAUAUAUCUUAGGUAUUAAUAAUAUUAUAAUUAUUCUAUAUGCUAUUGAAAAUAAUUUAAAUUUUUAGACGUUUAUUUUCACAUUAAGUUUCUAUUUAUUAUAAAAUUUAGUUUAAUAUAGUAUAAGCUUGUAAAGUAUUAAAAUAUUUUUUCAUAUUUUUUGAACAUAUUAAAAUUAUUUUAAAAUAUAUUUAUAUAUUAACAUUGAAGUCAAUUUUUUAAGUUAAUAGAACCAGUAGGUGUUAUAGUAAAAAAGCGUUUCUUAGCAUCACUUAUUGAAAAUAUAAAGAUCUAUAUAAUCAUUUUUUCAAAUAUUGAGAUGUAGUUAUAAAAGAAAAAAUAAAUUAAAAAAUUUUAAAUUUUAAUAUGGCCAUCGUAGAGUUAGAAUCCCCGCUCCAACCCGAUUUGGAGAUGAGCUUGGUCUAUUUAUGUUUUGGAAAAAGAAAAACCAAAGGAAAAAAAAGGCACCCGACCAAAUCAAGUAACUCAUCAAAUAAAAAAUAAAAAAAGGAAAGAAAUUUAAUGACUUGCAUGCAAUUUUGGAUCUGAAAUUAAAAUUACAUAAAAAUUAAGGAUUACGUACCUUAAUAUUUACAGCUUAUUUGAUGGACUCAACAGGUUUAAGCAACAUCAAAAUGUUUGUGGCUCCUUAAAUGAGCCCCCGACAUGGUGCAAAUGACAACAUCGACUUGUUUGACAGCUCCAACAAGGCUACGAUGAUCAGAAGAUGAGCCCUCAAUCAACAAGCUAAGAUUGGCUUCUCUAUCCUCUUCGCCCCACAACCAGCGCCUUGCUCUUUGUCAUUUUUCCUCUUGUUAGUUUUCUUCUACAUAUAAUUAUUACACUGGGAAGUAUACACACACCUCUUUUCUUUUUAUAGUACCUUACUAUUAUAUCUUUACAAAACAAUAUCACCCUAAGACAGCUAUGUAUGAAAUAAAUGAAAUAAAUAUAUAAGGAACUGACGAAAUAAAAUUAGAUCUAACUCUAAUUUCACGUUGCGUGAAUUUUUGACAAUUCACCCGUAUCCCAACAAAAGCUUUGUCAUAUUGCGAAAAUACCUUUUCAAUGUUUCAAUUGCAAUGUCAUUGCCAUUAUUCAUAGUGGCAGACAAUGGACGUCACGGGACGGUAGAAGUCUAUGUUACGGCUUGUGCAAGUAACAGCAGCCAAUGGGGAACUUCCACGGGUGCUAGAGGAGAGAGAAAGAGGUCCCAAUGCAAGGUGAUGGAAAUGGGAAAGUUCGAAGCUGUUACUUUCAGCUUCUGCACCUUAGCCAUGUCCCACGGGACAAGGCUAGAAGUUAUCAUGACCAUAAACUUUUCUAAUUUAUUUUUUCCUUUCAAAAAGGGACAAGGAUACGUUUCGGAGAAUGAUUAUAUUUUUAAUAAAAGAAUUCUUUUUUAUUAUAAUACUUUUUUCUUUAUUAAUUUAAAAAUAUUGACUCUUAUAUUUUAAUAAAUAUAAAUAUAAUAUUAUAAUAAAAUAUAACAAUAUAUACAAAUAUUUAAAAAAAUUUAAGAUUUUAUUAAAAGAAAUUUUAUAAUAAAUACAAAUAUAUUAUUAAUAUAAUUAUAAUAAUUUGCAUUUUAAAAAGUAAUACUGAUAUUAAUUUUUUAAAUUAUAUUACUCUACCAAAAAAAUUAAACUAUUAAAUUAUAUUGAUAUUUAUUAAAAAAAUUGAAGUUAAUUCUUAUUAUAUUUUUAAUUGGAAUUUUUUCAUGUGACAUAAUUACAAUUGCUACAUUUUUUUCCCUAAAUAAAGAUGGGAGUUAUAAAUUAUUUGUAUAAGUGUCUGUGUGUAAACUAAUGUGACAUGAAAGUAAUAGCUGAAUAACAAUAAUGGAGCUUUAGGUAAUUUUUUAUGAGGUCUUCUUGCAAUUUCAACACUUAAACAGACUUGUCCUUGAUCCCAAUUUAUUUACCCCAUUUGGGCCCCUUAUGACAAACAUAUUCUUGUGGAAUGAAAAACAUCAGGAGAAGAAAAUGUUUUAUUAUAAUAGAAAAAGUUGUCCAUAAGUCUAUUCAUUUUUUUUUUAUUCAAUACAAAUGCGGGCCGCGUUCUGUGGGUCUNNNNNNNNNNNNNNNNNNNNNNNNNNNNNNNNNNNNNNNNNNNNNNNNNNNNNNNNNNNNNNNNNNNNNNNNNNNNNNNNNNNNNNNNNNNNNNNNNNNNNNNNNNNNNNNNNNNNNNNNNNNNNNNNNNNNNNNNNNNNNNNNNNNNNNNNNNNNNNNNNNNNNNNNNNNNNNNNNNNNNNNNNNNNNNNNNNNNNNNNNNNNNNNNNNNNNNNNNNNNNNNNNNNNUAAGUAGAGUGAGACUCUGGCAUCCUCUAAAUAUCUCUCAACACUCUUUCUUAUUAACCCCAUUAAAAUAUUUAAAAAUAUUAUAAAAUUCUUUUAACACCUUUUUUAUGGCAAAAAUACCCUUAGUUUAAAUUUAUUAAUAUAAACCCCAUUUUAAUUUUUGACCCCUGAUUGUGAUUUUUUUUUAAAGCACCUGAAUUUUGAAACAAUUAAUUAUCUAUUGAAAAAGAAAGAAAGAAAAGGAAAACAAAAGGAAAAGGGCACUUGCUCCAAGAAAGUUCUACUUUAAUGUGGCAAAUCAUUGAAACACCACAUGGCCAAAACUUUACUCUAUGCAUGACAACUCAUUGUAAUUGAUAAUGACCCUCGCAAACACUUGGCUACCAUGCGUGUAAUUCUAAGGCCAAGUGCUAAUUUGGUUUACUGAUGAAGAUGCUGAGCACAAGCUUCUGAAAAUGCAGAAUUACGAAUUUUUCGAAAGACUGCGAACCUUUAUGGAGAAAGACAACUAGGCCACUGGAAAACAUGUCGGUGGGAAAAUAAUUCUGAUGAUCGUUCAGCUCGUCCUUUGCUUCAUAAUUACUUUCUUCUUUCUUAAUUUCUCUCAUGGGUCUCGGUUUCUUCCUGAAGCUUGUUGAUGAUGAGUUGCAUAUGCCGAUAAUUCCUCACCAGAAAAUAAGAUGAAAAGGUAACUUUCUUAAUUUUUAAAAUGCUGAAUUUCAAUUUAAGGUACUAUUCAUUUUGUCUCUUUCAAGUUAUUUUUCAUUUUUCUGCUGAUAUUUUAAUAUUUACAGUCAAUUGUAGCAUUACUUAAAUUUAUAGUAUGUAGAUCAUAAUUCAUAAAUUAGUUUGCAGUUGGAGUAAACUCGAAAAUGUUAAAAAAAUAAUAAUAACAACAAAAAGAGUAGAGACAAGUUGUCAUCUUGAGUAACAAUAAAAUAAAGAAUUGCAGCUUUUACAAAGUCUUUCUUUAAAAAUAUGAAAUGAAUAAAAUGACUAUUAAAAUGGUUCAAAAUUUUCUGAUAGUGUCAUUGACUAGCUAGAUCAAUUGUUUCUUGUGUGGUAACUUCAAACACCAAAUCCUUGAAAGCAAGUAUAUUAGUUUUGUAUGGUGUUGCCCAGCCUUCUGCACAUGGUUCAUGAUAUUUGAUCCAACUAUUCGCAAUAGGAGGAAUAGGUGAAGCUGGAAGCAUGAACACCUGUAAAAAAAAAAAAAAAGCCAUAGAAAAAUUAGUCCAAUAAUUAAGAUAUUGCAGCAUAAUUUGAAUUUCUAAACUUUUACAUACCUCUAUGAAAUGAUUUCUAUUAACAAAUCCAAUAGCAAUGAUUUUAUGCGAGGAGCGUGAUAAUGGAAUAGAUCUAAGUGGAAGGAAUGUGACAAUCAGCACAUCUGAUAUAUGUAGUAAUACCACAUUAUAUUUAGAAGCAAUAAUAUGACCAAUUUCAGGCAUGGUCAUCCAAUACUCUCUUCCUGGGUUAUUCUCAAAGUAUAAAAGUGAAUGAAGCACCUCCUCUGCUCUACCAGCAUAUUCAAAGACUCUUUUAUAAUCAUUAAAGUGACUUUGCAACUCAACAACUAAGACUUUCCUGACUUGUGCCCAGUUAUCUUCACCAAUACCUAUUAGGUCAGCCACUGCCUGAAAACCACAAUUACCAUCUGCAACAACAUCUCUAACACCACAAAUAUAAGGCCUCAAACCAAAUGGAAAUGAAUCAAUAUAAGAAGCAUGCUUUGGUGCUUUUGUUUGAGAAACACUCAUUUUUCGUUGCCCUUUUGGUUUUUUUGUAGUUGUACUUGAAGACAUAAUGUCUGGAGAAUGAUUAUCCUGUGCGGAUACUACAUACUCAAAUCUUGAUGGAUCUCGGCGGGUAGAUUUAUCAAGCUUUUGGGAGGGUCGUCCUCGAGUCUUAGCUUUAACAGGUAGCUCAAUUAAAAAAGUUAAGAAUGGAUCAGCUAAUUCUUUCAGUUUUCUUUUUAUUUGCAUUUUUCCGAAACCAUCUGAAUCUUCAAAACGCUUGAUAAUCAUUUCCAUUUCAGGGGUACAACUCAACUCUGCUGAUUUUUCAUAGCUGGUGCAGACAAGGUCUAAUUUCCUCCAAUGCAAAUGUACAGAAUCUAAAGGUAUCGGUCGACCUUCACGCUUAUACUCUGCAAUUUCAUGUGCACACGGUAGCCCAUAAGUGUGUCGAACUACACAACCACAUGCUGAAAUAUCUAUACCAAUUAAAUCAGCUCUUUUUGACUCACUUAGUAUCAUAUCUAAUGCAUUUCUAGCAACUAACCCCCUUAAUUCUUUAAAAACUGAAGGUGUGAAACUAUGUUGCACAGUAGUCAAACUCUUCUCAAAUGAUGCCUUAAUUUUUGUAUGUUGCAACUCUACCAAAGAAUGAAGUUUUGUCCAUAAUGUUACAAAGUUUCCUUGGGAUGAACAUAGUUGCCUUUUUAAUUUUGAAUGUGCAGUCUCAGCCCUAAAAAUAAACCAACAAAAAAAUAAUAAAAAGAUAUAUAAAAAAAUGGUGUUGAGUUUAUUUAUAAAAUCAUUGAAAACUAAAUAUUGGUUACCUGUUGGUUGUCAUAUUUCCGAAAUGCAUAAUAAAGUCUGUCCAUGCUGCAAUAAAUUUUUCUUUAUACUUAUCAAGCCAUGUCUACUUCACAUAGACAAGUGCUUUCGGAUAUCUAGCAUAAUCACUCUAAAAAAUACUCAAGUGUUGUAUGUACUCUUGUUCAGUGGCUGAGAACACCAGUACAUUCCAGUUGCUGUUAAAGGCUUCCCAUCUUUCAUUAGUAUGAAAUAGCCUCUUAUAAUUAGCUAACACAUUUUUUGAAAUAUGCCAUCUACAAAGUAAAUUAGUUGCACUUGGAAAUAUCUUUUCAAUGGCAUUCAUCAGAGCUAAUUCCCUGUCUGUCACAAUCACAGCUGGUAACAUAUCAUCUUGCAUAAUGGUUUUCAAUCUUUCUAAUGCCCAAAUAUAGUUAUCUUCUCGUUCGGACUCAAGAUAUGCAAAACCAACAUUAAAUGUCUUUGCAGUCGAUGUGUCACCAACUAUUUCUAACAACGGAAACUUAUACUUAUUGACUUUAUAAGUGCAGUCCAUUAUCAGAACACUUGGAAAAGCUUUUAACAAAUCAAAAGUAAGAGGAUGUGCCUAAAAUAUGUCUUUCACACAAUUUGUAUCAUCAUCACUCCGAUGCCACUCAAUGUAAUUAUGAUCAUGCAAUUUACUCAUAAGCUGUUGCAUUUGUGACCGUCCGCCCAAUUCGCGAACCUUAUAUUUAUACCGAGCAUUAUAAACCGUCUUCAUUGUUGUAACAUUAAAUGUAUCCCUAGUCUUUAAAGUAUGUAAUAUCUCUUUUGGCCGAACAUUAUUUUUAGACAAAUCAACCAAUAUACUAACAUCUUCAUUAGUAAGUCUACCUGCAAAUGAGUGGCCCUCAAGAUAUUGUGCAAAAUGAUGGUUAUGCAAUCCACAGAUUACUUUUAACACCCAAUCUUGAUUAUUCACCAACAUUUGACCCUUUAAUAAAAAUGGACAGCCACACUUUUUUGUUCCAAUUGCAUUCGGUCUUUUCUUCUUUUCCAAGUCGCUAUUCUGCUUAGACAUGUUGGUACUUCUUUUCGGAUAUGCACCACUUCUUUCACAAGCAAAAAUUAUCCUUGGUCUCCUUCCAAUCACAUUCACGUCAGAUCUUUUAAUAAUAAUCACAAGUCCAUUUUUUUCCCAACAUCAUGCAUCCAUCGAAUCAACUUGUCUCUACUGGUGAAAACCUAUGAGAAAGACAAUAAUAUAUUAGUUAAUGAUACAAAGAAAAGAGAAUAUAUGUAUGAAAAUUUAUUUAGCAUUUUACCUCUUCAGUAGUGAAUGCAGCAGUGUAAUCCAUAACAUCUACUUUAUUAUCAAGAAUGACAACUAUGGUAGAACUUUCCUCCUUUACAAUCAUUGUAAGAUAUUACAUAAGUUAAUACAAGACACAAAACUAGAAUAAUAGCAAUUUAUUCAGCAAUAAUCAACCAAACAAUUGACAUUUGUUAAGGGAUAUUUGUUGAACAUUGUUCAACGCUCUCCCAGUCAUUAUAAUUCUAAAACAAUAAAUUAAUAGCAAACUUACUUUUUUAUUAUCAUCCCCAUCUAUUUGCAUGAUUAUUUUGCCCUAAAUUUGAAACUCUUAGAUUAGGGUUUAAGAAAGAAAAGAGAGUUUAUAUCGUAUGCCACACAAAGAAUUUAAAACUCUUAAACAAAAAUAUGCCAUAUAAGAAAUUUUUAAGGGGAAAAAAAUAUUUGAUUUUGAGUGGGGGUUUAAUUAGAAAUUGUCUUAUUAUGUAAUUUUAAUAAAGGUUAAAAUUGUAAAAUAACUAAAGGGGUGUUAAGAGGUAUUUAGAGGGGUGCCAAUAGUCCCACUCAAAUAAGUAAUGGUAACAAAAGACUAAUUUGUAAUAUUGAAGUGUACGGGCUUAACUAAAUCCAAAAAUUAGUAAGUUAGCUCAAGAGUUGAGAGUUGUCCAAAUCUUAAAUGUUGAACCCAAGUUCAAUACUCAAUUGAUGCGGGAUGUUAUUCCUAACACCUCCCGUCAUGUGUAGGAUUGGUAAAAAAACUCGGGUCAGUCCCGCCUAGACCUACGGGCUUUAUGCAUGGCCCGCAUGAUGAAGUUACGAAAUUAACCUAAAAAUUUGAAACUUACGAUGAAUGGCCUUGCUUAAAGAUUUUUGCAACUUUAAUUUAUAACGAGUAUGUAUAUAUACACACACAAAAGUUUAGAUUGCAUUUGGAUGACUUUUUUAAUCAAUUCAAACAAUCUGAAAUUUAUCAGAUUAAUCCGAAUUUGAUCUGUAUCUGAUUUUGCCCGCCCCUACUAUUUAUAAGCCCAAGUGACUCUCUUUUACUAAUUAAUAAGGGAAUUUUUUACCUUAUAUCCUUGCUGUGGCGUUAGACUACUGGUCAUUUUGAUUGUUUCCUACCUUCCAUUUACGCCAGUUGUAACAUUGUAUUAUUCACCACUUUAGCCAUUUAAAUGAAAUUUUAUUUUCAUAAAAAAUAAAAUGACACCCUUAAAAUUUAAAAAAUAGAUAUGUAGAUCUCAAAUUUUUAAUAAAGAAUGUCAAUACCCCUUUUAACUACAAGAUUCUUAGUAGAUGAUAACCAAAAACAUUAACUUCAAAUUUUUCACUAAAUGUAAAUCUGAUUGAAAUAGUUUAAUUUUUUUCUAGUAGACUAAUAUGUAUAACUUAUAUAAUUAAUUUCAUUAUUAAUUUUUAAAAUGUUAAUUAAUAUAUUUUUAAUUAUUAUAAAAAUUUUAAAUAAAUCUUGGAUUAGAUAGAUUUUACACUUAAUGUAAUACUUCUGAUUUAUUAAUAAUAUUAAAAUUAUUUUAUAUGAUAUUCAAAAUAAUUUAAACUUUUAUAUAUUUAUUUUAAUAUUAUGUCUAUUUAUUAUAGUUUGGUUUAAUAUAAUACGGGAUUGUAAAAUAUUAAAAUAUUUUUCAAUAUCAAAUUAUUUUAAUAUGUAUAUAUUAUUACAUUUAUUUUAAUAUCACAUUUAUAUUUAUUAUAAAAUAUAAAAUUAAUAAAAUUAAAGAGUAUUGCAGUAAAGUAAAAAAAAAAGUCUUAUUAUCCCAUAUUCACGGUAUGAGUUUCUACAAAAUUAUUUCCUCAAAUGGGUGACCUUUCCUCAUUUUCAAAAGAAAAAAUAAAGUAAGAAUAAGUCCAGGGUUUCAAAAACUUCUAGUCUUAUCCCAAGACCUCCAUUGUCUACCACUAUGACUAAUGGAAAUGACAUUGCAAUUGACAUUGCUUUUCGCAACAUGACAAAUUUUUGGUGGGAUAUGAGAGAAUUGUCAAAAGUUCAUGCCGCGUGAGAGUUUUUGGUGGGAUGUGGGAGAAUUGUCAAAAGAUCACACCACGUGAUAUAACCAUAAUUGCUACAAUUUUUUUUAAUAAUGAUGGGAGUUAUAAAUUAUUUAUAUAAAUUUGUGUAGAAACUAAUGUAACAUAAAAGAAGUAGCUGAAUAACAAUAUUUGGUGCUUUAGGUAAUUUUUAUAUGAGCCUUUCUUUUAUUUAGCGACUUUAGUGCUUAAACAAAUUUGUCCUCGAUCUUAAUUUACUUACCCCAUUUAAGCCUAUGAUGACAUAAACAUAUUCUUUUGUGACGAAAACAUCAAGAGAAGACAUCUCAUGUUUUAUUAUAACACAAAAGAAGUGGUCCAAACGUCUAUUCAUUCUUUUAUUUACUCAAUAUGAAUGGCCAACUUUAAAAAAUGAUAAAAAUCACACCACGCUCAACUGAAAAUUUAUAAUUACAUUUUUUAAUACUCUCUAUACUCUCUAGCCUCUCUCUCCUGCCCCCUUUUUUUUUUAAAAAAUAAACCUUAGUGUAAAAUUAGAAGAAUUUUAGAUAUAACAUUUGACAAUCGCUAAAUAGAAAAGUAGGGGAUUGAAAAUAGAGGAGCUCUGUUAUCAUUGGAAUAUUGAUUAUAGAUCAUAUAAUAACUUGUUGUGGUUCAUUGUAGCACUCUGAGUCAUAUUCUAAAAUUUAUAGGUUUCUUAAGGUUUUUAUUAUUGACAUUAUUGUGUCAAUACUAUUAUAAUUUAUUCAUUUUAUUGUAAUGAUAAUUUGUCUAGUCUUAGGUACUUAUUAUAUUAAAUUAUGUAAAUUAAUUGAGAAUACAUUUAGAGACAAAAGAAACACGUGUAUGUAGGAUUAAUAAUCGCAGAGUUGUAAAUGAAGGUGAUUGCUUCAUUGAGAGGCAUAUUAAAUAAUUAUGGAGAGUUGCACUAUUUCGGAAGCAUAUAUUUAUACUUCCCUAUCAGGAUUUGGGGUAAGCGAAGUGCUUUAUGUGUUGUAGUAAGCAAUGUGGGCAAUAUCGGAGGCGAAAUAUUAAAAGAUCAUAACGCAUAUAUUUGAGCCAUUUAUAUUGAAGACACGUAUUGAAGACACGUAUAGAGGAAAGAGUGCAUAUCCGGCGGUAACUAUUAUCAGGCUUUCCUAAAAUAUUCUCAUGCUUCCUCAACUGUUCUGAACUAUUCUUCAUAGUGGGCAGAUUUACUUAAAUACCCUUCUACCUAACAAAACUUGGUACUUCUAAUUGCACUCGCAGAGAAUCUAUAAAAUUAAAAAAAAAUUCAUCCAUGAAAAGCCUCGUAACAGAAAAACCAUCUUUCAAAAAAUAAUAAUAAAAUAAAAACAGAAAAACCGACUCAUUUAUCUGCCAAUGAACCAAUCGGGACUCAUUUAAAAAAGAUUACAAAGCAAAAGUAAAUGACACAAAUUGCAUAGAUAUCUAGGAGCCGCAUCAAAGGGCAAUGGUGUUAAUUUGUCCGAGUAAUAAUUAAUUUCAAUAUUAAUUUUUAAAAUGGAAAUUAAUUUAUUUAUAUUUAUAAAAUAUUUGUAAUUAUUUUAAAAUUUUAACUAAAUCCUUAGGUUAAAUAGAUUUUACAAUUAAUAUAAUAUUUCUCAUGUAUUAAUAAUAUUAAAAUUAUUUUAUAUGAUAUUGAAAAUAACCUAAAUUUUUAUAUAUUUAUUUGAAUAUUAUGUCUCUAUUUAUUAUAAUUGGGUUUAAUAGAAUACGAGAUUGUAAAAUAUUAAAAUUUUUAGAUAUUGAAAUUAUUUUAAUAUGUAUAUAUUAUUAUAUUUAUUUUAAUAUCCUAUUUAUAUUUAUCAUAAAUUAUUAGAGUUAAUUUUUUUAGUUAAUAAAUUUAAAAACUAUUCUAAUUUUAAAAAAAAGUCUUAUUGUCUAUUAUUCAUGAUAUGAGGUUCUACAAAAUUAUUUCUCCAGACGGAUGUCCUUUUCUUAUUUUCAAAAGGAAAAACAAGUUCAGGGUCUCAGGGGUUUCAAAAAUUCUGGUCCUAUCUACCACUAUGACUAAUGGGAAACAACAUUGUAAUUGACAUUGCUUUUCACAAUAUGACAAAUUAUUGGAGGGAUAUGGGAGAAUUGUCAAACAUUCACACCACGCGAGAGCUUUAGUGUGGGAUAGGGGAGGAUUGUCAAGAGUUCACACCACGAGAAACUAAUGAUAGGCCCAAUUUCAUUGUCAAUUCUUUAUUUAUUUCAUGCAUUAUUGUUUUUCUAAAGGUAUAAAAGCAAAGUAAAAUACUAGGGGCGCUUUUAAGUUACAAUUGAUGUAACUUACAAUUUUUUCAAAAAUAAUGUAAAAAAAUUAAUAGGUGGUGGGACCCACAUAUUUUUUAAGAGACUUAAGUUACGGCAGUUGUAACUUAACAAAAUUUAAAUAUUAGAUAAUAAUACAUAUUAAUAAUAUAUAAUUUGGGUUUGAUUUUUAAAAGAUUAUUUGAGUACCACCUAUCCUUAUGAUAUUAAUGUGACUAUAUCUUAAUAUUAAAUAAUCAAAAUUUGUUUAAUUGUUAUUUGUAUUUCAUACAUUACAUAUUAGAUUUGUUUGAAUUUUAAGUUGUUGCUAAUAAAUAUUUAUGUUGUCAAAGUCAAAUUCAAUAGCUACAAAAGCAGAGAUAAUGGUAUUGUAUAUAGUUUUUAAGAAUGCAAGGAUAAGCUGGAUAAUUGACAUAAAUUCUAAUGAUUAAAACAGCAACUAUCCCUUAAGUUAUAAUGUCAAUUUCUUUAAUUAGAUUUUUUUUUUUAUGUGAUAUAACCACAAUUGCUACAAAUUUUUUUUUUUAUAAUAAUAAUGGGAGUUAUAAAUUAUUUAUAUAAAAUUUGGGUUGAAACUAAUGUAACCUAAAAGUGGUUGCUGAAUAACAAUAUUUGAAACUUUAGGUAAUUUUCAUGAGUCCUUUUUAUAUUCAGCAACUUGAAUUGGGGGAAAUCCGACUUGAAUUGGCGGUUGAUUUUCGUGAUGUGGCUUUUGGUUUAUGGCGACCUUACAGUGGCAGAAGACUGGAUUUACGGUUGCCGACUGCUAGGGAUUAUGGUGGGGGUGUAAAUUGACGGAAAAAGAAGGUGUUUUGGUGGCGGCGCGUGUAGGAAGCACUCGUGGGUUGUCGUUUCGUGUGGUGGCGGGCGGCGAUCAAGGGCUGAAGUUGGUCGGUUUUUGGUCAACGGAGGCCGGCGAGUUUGUUGGUGGAGGUGGCUGGUGGAGAAAGUGACUGAAUGGUGGUGGGUUGCUUGGUGGAGCCGCGGGUUUGGGUUGGUGAUUUGUGGCUGUUCAAGCGGCGGUUGAGGCAGCGAUGACUGAGGCUUGGUCGACGGUGGCUAGUGAGGUUUGUGGUGGUGUUGGCUGACUGAUCGGCGGUGGUGGGCGGCCGUGGAGGUUGAUGUGACGGGUAGGGUUUUCAAAUUUGUAAAUUUUUUUUUUUGAUGGAUUUGGUUUGGAUGGGUAUCGUGUAUCUAGGAAAGAUGUGCGAUUCGCACAGAAUCCCUUUGACACCAAUUGAUGGAGCGAGGCGUAGCGGAAGCGGAAUUGAUAGGGUAAGAAACAUUAGAUAUUGUUCUAGUACUAGACCAAGCCAACGCAAUUAGCUUACGCUCUAAUCGAAGCGUGAUUAGAUAUCGUUCUAAUCCAAAUAACUCAAUACGAUUUUUAAUAAUGCGUAAUACGAGAUUAAAUGACACUCUAAUCCAAACGACUCUACAAGAGAGAUUUUGAUAAAUAAUCAUAGAGGGGUUUUAUUUAAUAAUUGAACCUGAAGUUAAUGAAAAUAAUGACAAGACAUCUUUAUUUUUUUUUAUUACAGACAUCUUUAUUUAUAAUAAAAGAAACCCGCUUUCCUAAGUUAACCUAAAAAGAAAAUUUAAAUCAUAAUUAUAAUGGAAAUAAAAGAUUAAGAUACAUAUCAUAAUUGACUCAAACUAAAAUAGAAAAUCAUAAAAUAAUAAAUAUUCUAAAAUUAUAAAUUAUCUAAAAUAACGUUAAUUAACUUCCUAAAUCACUUCUUUGGUGUAAACCAUUUUGCAUCCAAACUCGCUUUAAAGGUUUGAACUAACGUUACCAACAACAAUGUAUCAAAUUCCAAUCUAACUUAAGAUCUUGAUGCAUCUAUCGAUGUCCUUGUUUGAUUAGACAAUAAUGAGUCUAUCUCAUCACUUGUUACCUCUUUCUUGAAAGCUACAUCUGUUGAAGUGAUAGCCUCACUUAGAGUUUAAAGAUCUUCUUCCCUGUUAAAUAAAAUGGGCAUUUGAGUAAAAAGCUUUAUCUCUAUCUCCUUCUAUCAAAUAACGACAACUAUCCAAAGGGAAAAAAAAAAUUAGAAAAGUCCAUGGGUCACAAUAAUUUAUGGUCUGUCUCCGGACCCCAUUAUCUGCCACUAUCAAUGAUGAAAAUGAAAAUAAAUGGCAUCUUCCCUAAAUGGCAAAAGAUUUUUGGGGGAUAUAGGGGAAUUGUCAAAAGUUCAUACAACGCGAAAUAAGUGUUACAUCCAAUUUUAUUUCGUCAUAUAAUGAUAAUAUUAAAUAAUGACAACCAUCCAAAAGUAUGAUGGGUCUUCCAAAAUUUUGAAAAUGUCGUCAACAUUUAAUCUUCAAUGCUAAAGAAGAUGAAACGCCCAAAAAUGACACGCAGGACUCACUCAAAAACUAAAUGGCCCUCACCACAUGUAACAAACUUUGACCUUAUGUCCCUGCUGAGGCGUUAGACUGUUGGUCAUUUUGAUUGCUUUUUACCAUCCAUUUACGCCAUUGUAGAAUUGAACUAUUCACCAGUCUAGCUGUUUAAAUGAAAUUGUUAUUUUUUUUCCAAAAAUAAAAUGACACCCUUAAAAUUUUAGAAAAUAGUCAUGUAGACCCCAAAAUUUUAUUAAAGAACACUAAUAUCCUUUUUUACUAUAGUACUCUUAGUAGAUGGUAACAAAAAAAAAAUGAUUGCAAAAUAUUUUAGUAAAUGAAAAUAUGAUUUAAAUAGUUUAAAUUUUCUAGUAGACUAGUAUGUAUAAUUUAAAUAAUUAAUUUUUAAAAUGUAAUUUAAUAUAUUUAUUAUAAAAUUUUUAAACAAAUCCUUGGGUUAAAUAGAUUUUAUAAUUUAUAUAAUAUUUCUCAUGUUUUUAUGUUAUAGAAAUAUUAAAAUUAUUUGAUAUGAUAUUGAAAAUAAUUAAACAUUUUAUAUAUUUAUUUGAAUAUUAUGUCUCUAUUUAUUAUAAUUUGGUUUAAUAGAAUACGAGAUUGUAAAAUAUUAAAAUAUUUUUAGGUAUUGAAAUUAUUUUAAUAUAUAUAUACAUAUUAUUAUAUUUAUUUUAAUAUCCUACUUAUAUUUAUUAUAAAAUAUUAAAAUUAAUUUUUUUAGUUAAUAAAUUUAAAAAAUAUUAUAAUUAUAAAAAGAGUCUUAUUGUCUGCUAUUCACGAUAUGAGAUUCUACAAAAUUAUUUUGAAAAUGAAAAAUAAGUCCAGGGGUUUCAACAAAUUCUAGUCCUAUCUGCCACUAUGACUAAUGGAAACGACAUUGCAAUUGACAUUGGUUUUCAUAAUAUGACAAAUUUUUGGAGGGAUAUGGGAGAAUCGUCAAAUGUUCACACUACGCGGGAUUUUUGGAUGGGAUCAGGGAGGAUUGUCAACAGUUCACACCACGAGAAACCAAUGAUAGCCCUAAUUUCGCUGUUAGUUCUUUGUUUAUUUAUUUUAUUUAUUUCAUACAUUGUUGUCUUGUUGGCAUUGUUUUGUAAAGAUAUAAAAGUAAAGUAAACUAUUAGGGUGCUGCUAAGUUAAGCUGUUGUAACUUGCAGUCCCUUAAAAAAUAAUGUAAAAAAUCCACAUUUGUUUGAAGAGGCUGUAAGUUAUAGUAGUUGUGACUUAGCAAAAUCCAAAUAUUAGACAAUAACGCACAUUAACAAUGCAUAUAAUUUGGGUUUGAUUUUUAAAAAAAUUAUUUGAGUAUUAGCUAUCCUUAAGAUAUUAAUGUGAAUAUAAUUUAAUAUUUAAUAAUCAAAAUCUGUUUAAUCAUAAUAUAUAUUUCAUACAUUGCAUGUUUAAUCAAAAUCUGAUUGCUUUUUACCUUCCAUUUACGCCCACUGUAGCAUUGUACUAUUCACCAUUUUAGAUGUUUAAAUGAAAUUUUUAUUUUUUUUCCAAAAAUAAAAUGACACCCUUAAAAUUUUAGAAAAUAGCCAUGUAGACCCCAAAAUUUUAAUAAAGAACACUAAUAUCCUUUUUAACUACAGCACUCUUAGUAGAUGGUAACCAAAAAAAAAAAAUUGAUUGCAAAAUUUUUUAGUAAAUGUAAAUAUGAUUUAAAUAGUUUAAAUUUUCUAGUAGACUAGUAUGUAUAAUUUAAAUAAUUAAUUUUUAAAAUGUAAUUUAAUAUAUUUAUUUUAAUAUUAUAUUUAUUAUAAAAUUUUUAAACAAAUCAUUGGGUUAAAUAGAUUUUAUAAUUUAUAUAAUAUUUCUCAUGUUUUAAUAAUAUUAAAAUUAUUUUAUAUGAUAUUAAAAAUAAUUAAAAAUUUUAUAUAUUUAUUUGAAUAUUAUGUCUCUUUUUAUUAUAAUUUGGUUUAAUAGAAUACGAGAUUGUAAAAUAUUAAAAUAUUUUUAGGUAUUGAAAUUAUUUUAAUAUAUAUAUAUAUAUAUAUAUAUAUAUUAUAUUUAUUUUUAUAUCCUACUUAUAUUUAUUAUAAAAUAUUAAAAUUAAUUUUUUUAGUUAAUAAAUUUAAAAAUAUUAUAAUUAAAAAAAGAGUCUGAUUGUCUGUUAUUCACGAUAUGAGGUUCUACAAAAUUAUUUUGAAAAGGAAAAAUAAGUCCAGGGGUUUCAACAAAUUCUAGUGCUAUCUGCCACUAUGACUAAUAGAAACGACAUUGCAAUUGACAUUGCUUUUCUUAAUAUGACAAAUUUUUUUAGGGAUAUGGGAGAAUCGACAAAUGUUCACACUACGCGGGAGUUUUAGAUGGGAUCAGGGAGGAUUGUCAACAGUUCACACCACGAGAAACCAAUGAUAGCCCUAAUUUCGCUGUCAGUUCUUUGUUUAUUUAUUUUCAUUAUUUCAUACAUUGUUGUCUUGUUGGCAUUGUUUUGUAAAGAUAUAAAAGUAAAGUAAACUAUUAGGGUGCUGCUAAGUUAAGUUGUUGUAACUUACAAUCCCUUAAAAAAUAAUGUAAAAAAUCCACAUUUGUUUGAAGUGGCUGUAAGUUAUAGUAGUUGUGACUUAACAAAAUCCAAAUAUUAGACAAUAACGCACAUUAACAAUGCAUAUAAUUUGGGUUUGAUUUAAAAAAAAAAAAUUUUGAGUAUUACCUAUCCUUAAGAUAUUAAUGUAAAUAUAAUUUAAUAUUAAAUAAUCAAAAUCUGUUUAAUCAUAAUAUAUAUUUCAUACAUUGCAUGUUUCAUCAAAAUUUGAUUGCUUUUUACCUUCUAUUUACGCCCACUGUAGCAUUGUACUAUUCACCAUUUUAGAUGUUUAAAUGAAAUUUUUAUUUUUUUCCAAAAAUAAAAUGACACCCUUACAAUUUUAGAAAAUAGUCAUGUAGACCCCAAAAUUUUAAUAAAGAACACCAAUACCCUUUUUGACUAUAGUACUCUUAUGGUAGCCACAAAAAAAAAUUGACUUCAAAAUUUUUUAGUAAAUGUAAAUACGAUUUAAAUAGUUUAAAUUUUCUAGUAGACUCGUAUGUAUAAUUUAAAUAAUUAAUUUUUAAAAUGUAACUUAAUAUAUUUAUUUUAAUAAUAUAUUUAUUAUAAAAAUUUUAAACAAAUCCUUGGGUUAAAUAUUUUUAUAAUUAAUAUAAUAUUUCUCAUGUUUUAAUAAUAUUAAAGUUAUUUUAUAUGAUAUUGAAAAUAAUUUAAAGCUUUAUAUAUUUAUUUGAAUAUUAUGUCUCUAUUUAUUAUAAUUUGGUUUAAUAUAAUACGAGAUUGUAAAAUAUUAAAAUAUUUUUUGGUAUUGAAAUUAUUUUAAUAUAUAUAUAUAUAUUAUAUUUAUUUUAAUAUCCUACUUAUAUUAUUAUAAAAUAUUAAAAUUAAUUUUUUUAGUUAAAAAUUUAAAAAAAUAUUACAGUUAAAAAAAAAGAGUCUCAUUGUCCGUUAUUCACGAUAUGAGAUUCUAUAAAAUUAUUUUCAAAAGGAAAAAUAUGUCCAGGAGUUUCAACAAAUUCUAGUCCUAUCUGCCACUAUGACUAAUGGAGACGACAUUGAAUUGACAUUGCUUUUCGCAAUAUGACAAAUUUUUGGAGGGAUAUGGGAGAAUCAUCAAGCGUUCACACCACGCGAGAGCUUUAGGUGUGAUAUGGGAGAAUUGUUAAGAGUUCACACCACGAGAAAUUAAUGAUAGGCCUAAUUUCGUUGUCAGAUCUUUAUUUAUUUUUUAUUUAUUUCAUACACUAUUGUCUUGUUGGUAUUGUUUUGUAAAGAUAUAAAAGUACAAGUAAAAUAUUAGGGGAAGUAAAGUAAAAUAUUGGAGGUGCUACUAAGUUACAGCUGCUGUAACUUACAGUUCCUUAAAAAAUAAUGUAAAAAAUUUAACACGUGGUGGGACCCACAUUAUGUUUGAAGAGGUCGUAAGUUAUAGCAGUUGUAAAUUAGUAAAAUCCAAAUAUUAGACAAUAAUACAUAAUAACAAUGCAUAUAAUUUGAGUUUGAUUUUUAAAAAAAUUAUAUGAGUAUUACCUAUCCUUAAGAUAUUAAUGAGAAUAUAUUUUAAUAUUAAAUAAUCAAAAUCUGUUUAAUCAUAAUAUGUAAUUCAUACAUUGCAUGUUAGAUUUGUUUGGAUUUUAAGUUGUUGCUAAUAAAUAUUUAUGUUGUGAAAGUCGAAUUCAAUAGCUACAAAAGCAGAGAUAAUGGUAUUUUAUGUAGUUUUUAAGAAUACAAGGAUAAGUAGGGGUGGGCAAAUCGGGUUUCGAUUCGGGUUGUUCGGGUUUCGGAUUGGGUUUCAACCCGUUCGGGUUGGAGAAUUGAACCCAAUCGGGUUGAAAGCACCAACCCGAACCAAACCGAACCGAAUUUAAUUCGGUUCGGUUCGGUUUGGGUUGGCAAUUCGGAUCGGAUUGGGUUGAUAAUUCGGGUUAAAAUUUCGGUUCGGGUUAAUUCGGGUUAGAAUGGGUUGGAACAAUUUAAUCUAAAAAUUCUAACAACAACCACUUAAAAUCUAAAAAUUUAAAUUUCAAACAUUCUUAACAACAAAUAUCAAUUACAAAUCAUCCUUAAUAACAUUUCAACAAUUUAAAAAUCUCAAUUCCAAACAUUCCAAACAUCCUUAAGGAACGAUUUAAUCUAAAAAUUAUAACAACCUCUUAAAAUCCAAAAAUCUUAAUUCCAAAUAUCCUUAAUAACAAAUAUCAUCUACAAAUCAUCUUUAAUAACAUUUCAAUAAUUUAAAACUCUCAAUUCCAAACAUCCUUAAUAACAAAUAUCAACUACAAAUCAUCUUUAAUAACAUUUCAAUAAUUUAAAACUCUCAAUUCCAAAUAUUCCAAACAUCCUUAAGGAACAAUUUAAUUCAAAAAUUAUAACAACCACUUAAAAUCUAAAAAUCUCAAUUCCAAACAUCCUUAAUAUAUAUAUAUAUAUAUUUUUUUUUUUAAUUUAAAAGCUGAAUCUUAAAAAAAAAAAAAAGCUUCAACCCGAACGGGUUGAAACUUUGAAUCCGUUCGGGUUUCACCGGUUAACCCAAACCGAACCGAACGCCCACCCUAAGGAUAAGACCAUAACGCAUGAGAUAAUGGUAUUUUAUAUUAAAAGACCAUAACACAUGUAUUUGAGCCAUUUAUAUUGAGGACACAUAUAGAGCGAAGAGUGCAGAUCCGGCCGUAACUAUUGUGAAGCUUCCCUCAAGUAUUCCCAUGCACACAACCCUUAUCUGUUCAAGUUUUCUGAUUCAAUAUAAUCAAUUUCCGAGCAGUACUGACGACAGCUUCUCUGUAAAGCUCUUCAACCACAAGCAUUUCUACAAGGCAAAAGACUAGGACGUGUCGGAAUGAAUAUCAAUAAGGGAAUGUCUUAUGAAUUCAGUUUAUAUCCUAAUAUAAGACAAUCAGUAAAUAUUGGAUGCAAUCUUAGGCUAACAUUUGGUUGAUCAUUAUACAAAAAAAAAGGUACAAAAAUACAAAACAGAGCUGAUUGAUGGCCUCUCACAGUCAGUUAUAUGACAAAGUAGCCAUCACUACUUGAACUUGGCUGGAGGUCUCAUUAGCAGUAUACCUCAGAAAUUAAUACAGAGACUUUAAAAUGCAAACUUAUGGAGCAAUUUAAGCACUGAAACUAAUAACAGUACGGUAUUAGCAAUUGACCUCUGCUUUUUGCUUGGACAAAGGUUCUCAUCACAAGGGACUCAUUAGUUGCCCUUGCCUCACACUUUUGGAUGCUAAGGGGAAAAAGGAAGCUUGAAUUAGUCAAUCUCAUGUCUAAUGGCAUUCACAGAGAACCUAUAAAACCAAAUAAAUAAAUAAAGUUUUCAUCCAUGAAAAGCUUAGUAAUGGAAAAACCGACUCUUUUAUCUGCCACUGACGAAAAAAAAACUGAAGUAUUAAAUAGAUAAUGAAUUUAAUUUUUUUCUUGGAAAAACUAAUAAUAAAUUAACAAUUAGAUAGUACUAUUAAUUAGAGAUCUUUAAUAUUAAGGUUAUCAAAUAUAGAAUGUGUAUAAAAAUUCUUAAUUAUAAGAUAAUUACUAACUAAAAAGAGGCCUAAAAAAGAAGAUUUGCUAUUAUAAGUAAUACCAAAAAUAAAAAGGGAGACUUCCUAAUUGUUUAAUUGUUAAAAAAGAGGAUUUGUUAUUAUAGGCCUAAUUUGCCUAUGCUUAAAACCGUUCCCGGAUGUAAAAAAAUAAAAAUUAUUGUUAAAUUCCUGACUAAUAAGGUCAUUGAAAGUAUUCAAAGGACCUGAACUAUACCACGUUGCAAGUGAGCUCGUAUUUUUAUCCCUUGAUCUGCCAUCGGUAUUUCUCUUCCACUCACUAUACCAUCCUUUUCAAUCGAUUUUUAUUGAUCAUAAGAGACCAUGUGGCCCACCUUUUUUUUAUUUUGGAUCCAUAACCCAAUGCUGGCCCAAGUUAAACAGCAAAUCAUCAAACGCACUUCAAUGACUUUGAUUUUGAUUUUUUUUUUCAAAAGAAGUAAAAAAAUCCAUGGGUCGCAAUAACUGCUGGGAAAUUUAUAAAAAUAGUCAUAAAAUAUUUGUAUUUUUUAACUUUAAUCCCUUAAAGUUUUUUCUAUCAUAACUAGCCAAAUACCCUACUUUUGGACUAGAUUACCCUCAUCACUUUUAUCAAAUUUAUAAAGACAUGCCACUUUUUCAAUUCCAGCACAACUAAAUACGGUUCUUCUUCAAUAACUUAACAAACAUUUAUCACUCUCAACAAACUUCAUCACUCUCUAUAAAUCAAUUACAUAAUUGAAUAUAAUCAUCAAUGGGAGAGCUUCUUAAAAUUAGUUUAUGCUUUUACACAAUGUAAAUCUUUAAUCUAUUGAUUUUAUCAACUAAAUUUGAAAUUAAAGUGGGUUUUGUUACAAAUAUUGUUAUUUUUCAUUCAUAAAACAAUGUGAUUUGUUAAAGUACUUAGUUUGAGUUGAGAAAUGAAGAAAAAUCAUUGAAAAUAUAGAAAAAUCGGGCAAAAAACGAAGUUCAGAACAAGUGAGAUAGGCAAGUGGGACAGGUGCAUGUCUCACAUAAACGCACUGCAUUUAUGUGCGACAGGCACCUGUCCCACUGCUUGUCGCACAUAAACCCAUAAAUUUUAUAGAGUACAUGAUUUUGGAUUUGAUUUGUCUCGUCAUAAGCUUCGAAACAGUAUAUUAUACGCCUAAAACGAACAUAUGUAGCUCAAGUUAUAGCUUUUGCAAUAUAUAUGAAAUUUAGUGAGACAGGCACCUGUCCCACUUGCCUGUCUCACUAAAUUUCAUAUAUGUUUCAAAAAUCAUAACUUGAGCUAUAUAUGUCCGUUUUAGACGUAUAAUAUAUCAUUUCAAAGUUUAUGAUGAGACAAAUCAAAUUCAAAAUUAUGUACUCUAUAAAAUUUGUGGGUUUACGUGCGAUAGGCAAUGGGACAGGUAAAAUGAAUAAACUCUGAGCCUCUCUCUAUAACACUAUAUAGAACCCUAAGCCUAAGUCUCACAUUCGCAACCGCCCCACAUAUCAGAACCACAGCGAACUGCCUCCGACCCUACGGACCCAAAAAAAUUAUUGUAUUCCUGCUCUUUCACUUCAAUAAUUUUUUGUAUUAUUCCAUAUCUUUCACUUUAAUAACCCAAAAGCUUUCCUCUGUUUCAACCCAAAAGCUCAAAUUCCUUUUUUCAAUCGAAAUAAAACGUAGCCACAAAACCCUAAUUCACCACACCAAUUUAUCUCUGCCCGGUAUUCAUUUAAACCCUACCUCGCGGUUCAAUGUCAUUCAAUACGAUUGCAGAUGCCGUUUCAACUUGACAUUUAGUUAGCGCCAUCCCGUUCUCUAUGGUAAGCCUUAACCCUAACAACUAAUCGACUGUGGUAGCACGUUGCUUGUUAGGAGUGGGGAUACAUUAUUUGAAUAUAUGAAUUGGGUGAUGUUAGUGAUUCAUUCCCCUAUUUUUCGUGAAUUGAGAUUUGUGUAUAAUGCUAGUAAGAUUGCUAAAAAUUUCAUAUUUUGUAUUGUUCCAGUUGAAUUUCUUGCUUGUGGAAGAUAAAACAAAAGUUCAAUUUCAUGUUGAUUUAAUUCUUCUUUUUUUUUUCUUCUUUAUAGUCACGCUCUGGCUUUGGUGCUAUGCUUAGUGCAGUUUAUGGUUUCAAGAUUAAGUCACGUUUAUUUGAUGGCAUCGAUUCCAUCAUUAAGAAGCUCUUCUUAUUUUAUCUCAGUUUCAAUUUUCUUUUAUUAUCUGCCUCUACCUGAAAAUGGACGUGUUUUACUAGUAAGCAUAGACUUUGUUUAUUUAAUUGAUAUUAUAAUUUUAUGUAUAAGAAUGGAGGUUUAUUUUGAAAAAAAAAAAGAAAUAAAAAAAUAGACUCUGUUGAAGCUAAUUAGUACUGAAUUUUUUUUGGUGGUGCGACCAGAGGUGGAAACAGGGUAUGAAAAUGUGUUACUGGUGAGGUUGCUGCUUAAGAUGAGAAUGGCUAAAAAUCUGUCAUACGUUCAAAUUUUGUUUGUGUUUGGAAGAAUGGUGUUGACUGUAUAUUCGUUUGGAAGAAUGGUGUUGAUUGUAUAUUCAUUUGCUUAGCCUUUUGACAGAUGGAUUUGAAACUGACGACAAAUGUGAUUCAAUUUACAAGGUUUUCGAGGGGCUCACAGUGGAAGGGAUAUUGAAGAACUGGUCUAAGAUAAAGCCUAUGAUUGUGAAAGAUUGGAGUGAGAAUAUAGAUGCUCGUUUAAAUCUUUUUGGCAAGGUCAGAGAUGAAUGGAUAGAUAAGGAUUUAUUUGACUACUUCGUCUGGUGCUAAUAGGUAUUUUAGGCAAGCUUUUUGAGAUAACACUGAGCAAGUUAUACUACUAGUUUGCACAUGAUGAUCAAAACUCUCGAAAAGUAAAAUAAAAUAAAUUAUUAACUUUUACUUUCAUCUUUUGCAUAGCAAUCAAUGUGGUGCUUGUUCUGUGACAACUUUGAUAGUCUACUUAAUUAUUGGUUAGCAUUUGGACCAAAAAAGUUCUUAUGAUUUACAUGUUUUGUAGAAAUGCAUGAACCUUAAAUGUGCUGAUCAGGGAGUUUAAUUAUUGCACCUUGAAAUUCAUUUAUUGUUAACUAAUUGGCUUUCCUUUGCAUAAAGACGCUUAUAAGGCUUGAGUGGACGUCUUUAUGGGCAUAUUAUUUGUAUUUCUAUAUGCAUGCCUUUAUCAUUAAUUUAUGUGCUGCUUGUAUUUCUUUAUGCAUGCCUUUAUCAUUUAAUGGCCAGCUCCCUCUCCUCUUUUGUAAUUUGAAUGGUAGUAUGGGCCUCCAUUUUACAAAUCUUUAACAUUUUUUGCUGUAAAUUAAUUUUUCUUUCAAAUAUUUUGGAGGUCAUUGGAAUUCCUGUAGGUCUAUUUACCAGAUUUUAGUACGUUUAAGGUUUUAAUUUUGCUUAGACUUUAAUUUCUCUGAAAGAUUGUAGUAUUGAUCCUCAAAGAAAGAUCAUGCUACUUCAAAUUAUUUUGAAGUGUUGCUAGUUAUAGCCUUACAUAUCAAAUUCCAUUUGUCUGGAAAUUUAUUGAUAGUUGUUACAGCAGCAUAUUUUAUGACUCUACUUCUUAGUUAUGUAAGUUCAUUAUGUUUAGGUCAGAGGCAGUCAGCUGUGGGGAAUCGAUAUAUACACAGAUGACUUUGAUCUUGUUGCUGGUACGUGGUUCUAUGAAUAAUUGUUCACAAUAAUUGUGUUUGCCUCACUGUUUUUGUUUUAUGAGGUCUAUAAUUGAUCUUGAGAUAUUACUUUCUAGUUCUCAUGCAAGCAAGUUACUACCUUCCCACUGCAUCUCCUCCUUUAUCUGCUAUUCAAGAGUUGCGUGCCAUAAUCUGGUGUUACCUCUGCAAGAUUGUGAAUGAAUAUGAUGCCUCUAAAUUUAUUUUAUACAUAAUGCUGAUGCUGAAUAAUAUAUUGUAGCUCCUGUCAUAUUCUACUUUGACUUUUUAUAUUCUGUUUCAUAUAAAAAUCUUAUUCAACUUUAGUUGUUCAUGAGCAAAUGUCACAUGUAUAAGCCCAAAUGAUGCUUAAAGGUAGCGCGGCUACCUUUAGUUUGAGCCUACAAUGGAUGAAAAAGAAAUUGAAACUGAUAUUUUGCUGUUUUUCUGAUUUUUCAAAGUAUUUUAGAUCCUGACUUUUGUUUGGACUUGAUGGUUAUAGAUUGUGUCUAGAUUUGUUAAGUUGUUUCCAACACCUCGUGCCAAAUGAAAGCACAAUCUUUCUGAUUCAGAUGUCUUGUUAAUUAUGCUUCAUUUUUUUCGUUAAAGAAUGGAUGGUUGCAUGGAUUGAUGGAGUUGGAGUUCAACCAAUAAUUCUAAUUUUUUGGACUUAAAAUGCCUUUUUCUUCUGUAUAAAAACUUUAGUAAGUGCUAUUGAGUUGACAGAAGUUGAAUACUUACAGGUUGUUUCACACAUUUUAAUCGUUUUACAUAUAUGAAUUUCUGUUUUUUGAAUUGCAGAAAGGAGGUGGAACUAUUGAUUUGGAGCCUUAUCUUACUCAAUCAUCGACAGCGGAGCCUACCCUCGCUCCCAUGGCAGUGGAACGGACAACGACUACUAGGGCUGCAACAUCAGUUGGUUUGGGUCUGUUUUGAGUUUAUUGUCAUUUAUUUGGCAAUGUUUUGAUAGCGAAUUUUGAUAUGUCAAUAUAAUGUGUAAUUGUUUUGGGUUGAGCUGGUAAUUAUGCUGGAUUAGAUUGGUUUGGUUUUGGUGCUUCUCUGACGGAACACUGCUUUUUUUAGAAAUUUUGAAUGUAAUAUGAGACUACAUUUAGUUUAAUUGAACACUGCAUCUAGUCUAAUUACUAGACGUGUGGCAUUUGGUUUGGUUUAUCCGAUAUUCUCCAGAAUUUCACUUGCAUCUGGUUUUGUUGCAUAUGUUUGCUUGCAUUUGAUGGCAGUAGCAGACUGUUUGGUUUUGUGAGAUUUGAUGGCAGUUUGGUCUGUUCUUGGUGUUGAUUUAAGAUUGUUCCUGUUGUGCUGAUGUUAAUUGCAGGUGCUUGAAUCAGCUAGGGUUGCUGGUUUAUUCAGAUGGUUGACUCAGGCGUUGUUACUGGUUAAUUCAGGUGGCUGACUCAAGUUGUUCAUUUAAUGUUAGGAAGCAAAUUAAGAAUUAAUGAAGUAUUCAUUUAACUAUAAUUUUUGUAGUUAUAUUAUUUCAUAACUGAAUUAUAAUCUAUGAUACUUUUGAACAAAUUAGAGAAUUUUUAAAUAUGAAUUAAAUAUGUGUGUGUAUGUACAUUUUGCUAUUUAUAUAAUAAUUUAAAGAAUAUAUUUCAAUUCCCACAAAAAUAAUGGCUCCAAUUUCAAUAAUUCCCGCCAAAUAAUUAAAUUUUUUUAAUUUACCACCAAAGUAUAUCUUAAAGAAAUUUUAGUUAUUCUUGCUAGAUUUAACAAAAAUAAUUUGUAGGAUUAAAUUUAAUUAAAAUAAUUAAAUAAUUUUAUUAUUCCAAUUAAAAAUGUCAUGUUUAUACGACAGACAAUAGUCAUGAAUGGGAAGUAUUCGUUACAUGUUUUUCCUUGGGAUUUCAGGCAAAUGAAAAAAAGAUUGAGAAUGAUUUCAAGAGGACAGGUGGAUGAUAAGUAUUCAUUUUUGUAUAUUUGGCUAAUGUCCUCAUUAGUGGAUUUUUAUGGUAUUGAUCUUUUUUUUUUUUUAAUUUUCAAUUAGUUGCAGCCCUAGAGGAAGAGCAGGCUGAUCAAAUUGAUUUGUCUUGUUUUUGGGGCAAUCUACGACACGAUGACCGUGAUAAUGCUCGUGACUGCUGGAAACUUUCUGAUGUAAAUAACUUUAGAGUUCGUAGCAAGCAUUUUUGUUAUGACAAAACAAAGGUUCCCCCAUAUUUUGUUUAUUUGUUAUUUAUGGUACUUAUUUAUGGUAUUUAUAUAUCCUGCAUAGGCUAGGUAGACAGGUUAUGAUGUAGUUUGGUUGGCUCUUCUUGUGCUUUGUGCAAUUUGUAACUGCAGAUACCUGCGGGAAAACAUUUAAUGGAUCUUGUUGCUGUUGAUUGGUUCAAAGACACAAAGAGAAUGGACCAUGUAACUAGGCAUCAAAGCUGUGCUGCACAAGUAACUAUUCUUCUCUUUUUUAUUUUUCCUUUUCCAUUGACGGAUUAGAAGAAAAUACUGCCUGUGAGAUACUGUAAUGUAAAUAACUUCUCAUGGUUCAUUGAAUCUAUAACACACUGACCCUCUUCUAAAAAAUGUAGGUUGCUUCUGAAAAAGGGCUUUUCUCACUGAUCUUUAAUCUUCAAGUAAGUUUGUUUCAUUUCAGAAGGUAUUAAGUUUCAAACUUAUUGUAUUGGGAGGUUGUAUAGUUGUAACCUAAGCAUCUGCAGGUUCCUGGUUCAACACAUUAUAGUAUGGUAUUUUAUUUUGUCACAAGGCAAUUGGCUAUGGGAUCACUUUUGCAACGGUUUGUUGAUGGCGAUGAUGAGUUUCGCAAUAGUAGGUUGAAACUUAUUCCAUCUGUUCCUAAGGUAUCCAUCUUGGCCUUCAUGUAUUAGGACUAUAUUAAUGUAUACUUACCCUUUACUGCAUGGUACACUUCAAUUUGUCCAAAGAAGGCAUGCAUUUAGGUGAAAAUGUAUUGAUGGGUUGUACCUUCAAACUUCAUGUCCUUUUUACCCUCUUGAAUUUGUUUUGCACUUGUUCUUGAUUUUAAGCACUGAAUCAUGCAGGGGUCAUGGAUCGUGCGUCAGAGUGUUGGAAGCACCCCUUGUUCGUUAGGGAAAGCGGUUGAUUGUAACUAUAUUCGCAGUCCCAAGUACUUAGAAGUAAAUGCUCUUGGAAUUUCUAUAGUACAUGAGAUGUUCAUCUUUCAAAUAGCAUCCGAUACCAUUAACAUGGUUUAACAUUGUUCAUCUUUCUGUAGAUUGAUGUUGACAUUGGUUCUUCUACCGUUGCUAAUGGAGUUUUGGGCCUUGUAAUUGCUGUAAUUACGACAUUGGUGGUUGACAUGGCUUUCCUUGUACAGGUAUGUAUGAUUGUUUUUUUCCCCCACUUCUAAAUGGACACAAGGGAAAAGACAUGAUUUUGAGAUAUUGCACUGCAAUUUGCAUUUUUGCAUACUUGAAUGUUCUCAGAAUGGUAUAAUGCUUCGUGUGUGUCUUCUUUAUCUUGCUCUUCUGUAUGCAGGCAAAUACUGCAGAUGAAUUACCGGAGCGGCUGAUUGGUGCUGUAGGUGUUUCUCAUAUAGAACUCAAGUCUGCUGUUGUCCCAAAGUUGGAACCAGAGAUAUCAUGACUGUGGUUUCAUUUCACCUCAACUGUGUUUUUUUUUUAAUUAAAAAAAAUCAUUUGUUUUAGGUAUAUACAUACAUGUAUUUUGAUUCGAUUUUCAUUGUAAUUUCUCAUUUACUUCGAAUGAAAGUCAUUGGUGUUUUCGAAUGGGGAUUUUGCAUUAAAAAAUGAACAAUAGUGAAUAGGAAAUUUCCUGAUUCUUUAGUUACUAUUUUUGGUACGAGUGUAAUUAGUAGUAAAGUUGGUUUCUACUCGCAAACAAGUAAACUGCUCGAUUCCCGAGUGGUAUCAACCAGUUUCCAACUUUUUAAUAUACACUAAUUGUUCUUGUUUAAGAGAUACUACUAUUAAAACUCAACAGCUAACAAAAUUACUCAAAAAAGAUGAUUUUUCUUAUGAUGCUGUGAAGAAAAUUACGGGUUUACUUCUCUCCACGAGAUCUAUAACAUGGUUUUGACUUCACGAAAUUCUUUUAAUUUAAAGCAUGCUGGUGUGAGAAGGUCAGUUUGACUGAUUGAUUCUUCAAAAAUAUUCUUAUUCUGAUAUUGUCACAAAUGUUAUGCUGUUUCGGCUAAUGAUCUCCUAUUAGGAGAGGUUAGAAAUCAAAUGCUUAAAAGACCGAUUGAACGAAUAAUACAGAAAAUUUAAGCAGAAUCUAAUCGAAUAUUGCAUGAAACAUGAAACAUCAAUUCAAGUCCUUUCUUAAACGGAGAAUGCAUCAAACAAAAUCUAAAGUGUCUUGCACGUCUGUAGCAUGAGCAAAAAAUUGUAAAUAUGUAGAACCAAAUUAUUCAAGUACAGAAGAACGAGCAAGCUGAAUCAUGUAUUAGAGAUUGGCCUGGUUCGGGAUAGCUUCUUCACUAUACCUGAAUAAUUUGCUAAAUAGCACCAAAACUUAAUUGAUACUUACCAUUUCAUUGAACAAUUUUUUUAUGGUGUCAUUGAGGUUGCCUUCCCAACAUCCUUCAUCAUCAUCAUCUUUUUCUUCUUCGGUGACGUUCACUUUGUUUAGCAUUGGUGUGUCUAAGACUCCUUGAGAGAAGAUCUUCAUUUUUGGACACUGUCUCACAACUACUUGUUUCAAGGACGGGAAUUCAAGAGCGUAAUUACCCAAACAAAAGCUUGUUAGGCUUGGCAAACAAUCAAGUCCUAAGUACUCCAAUUCCUCGAAACCAUUGCAAUCUUUCGCUUCUUCUCCAACCUGCGAUUGUAUGAUUUCUUCUAUCAUUUUGCAAUCAGCUAUCUUCAUUCUUCCGAGAUUAACCAGAUUUUUAGAUGCUGAGAGCGUCAACACAUUUAUCAACCCGUGACACUUCGAUACUUCCAGUCCCCACAUAUUUUCCAAAUGCCACGAAGGUGGUACUAAUUUUUGCAACUUACUACAUUCCGAUAUUUCUAGACUUCCCAAGUUUGCAAACGCUUUGUUGGAUUCGUCAUUUUCCUUCCAGAUAUGCUGCACUUUGUGUAAUCCAGAUAGUGUUAACCAACUCAAUUUAGGGAAUGCAACCUGAAAAUCAACAAAAUUAAUUAAGUUGUAAAUGAAAAUAUGUAUCCAAUCUCUGGAGUCUUCCCCUGCAUAUUUUAUGGACAAGAUUAAUCACGGCAUUUUAUAUUUUUUUUCCAAAUUAGUAUGCUUUGCAGUAGGAUCCCAAAUAUAAGUAUCAAAUCGAUUACCCUUUGAAACACAUAAAUGAAAUCUGAUCCUAAAUCCAAUAUGAAUUAACACGCAUAAUUAAUAUAGUUCAUCACCUCAUGUCACUAGGCAUCUAAUUAAUUUGAGACAUUUUAAUAAUUUAUACUAUAAAGUUAGUUAAUAACUGCGGUUAUAUUGUUAAAUCAUAUAUAAAUUAAGACGACAUGCAAAAAGAUGAGUCAUUAAAUUUGAUUUGAUUCUAAUGAAAUUACAUCUAUGCGAACGAAAGUGAUGGGAAUAAUCAUCAUCAUCAUAAUAAUAAUAAUAAUAAUAAUAAUAAUAAUCACCUUUUCAUCGAAGAGAGGUUGUAGUUGAUGAGCCAGCAAGAAGUUCUCUUCUGAUGUUAAUUUCUGAGGUUCCUUGUUAUCUGUUGUCACGUGCACUACAGAUGUAGAAUUGGAUAUGAAUGUUUCCUUAUCAGGGCAAUUCUCAAUAGUUAGAUAGUCCAACUCAGGCAGUUCAAUUAUAUUCCCAGUGAAGUUGCAGAAUCUUUUGAGUUUUGGAAGAUCAAUGAGCCUUAGAUUGGAAAGCUUAGGAAACAUGGGGCCUAUAUGUUCUUCCUUGGCAUUUAGCUCUUCCAAAUGAAGCACCUCUUCUAGUGAAUCACAAUUCGUCACUGUCAGGUAUUGCAAAUUGUUCAAGCACCGUAGCAGAUUGGCAGGAAUAGCACUCGACAUAUUCGUGCAGUCAUCCACCACCAGGUCACUUAAAUUGUUGAAGAAGCUGACAGGCAGUGCUUGGCCAUGCCAUAUUUCUUGCAAACGUGGAAAAUGCGAGAGUUGCAAAUACUCUAUAUCACGGAAUCCAAUCUGCACAAACCAAAACUAUUGCACUGGAUAUAUACAAUUUUUUUUAAAGGCAUUAGAUAUAUAUAUAUAUACACACACACACACAUUAAACUUACAUGUUUUGUGUUUUAACUUCUAAAACUACAUAUACAAGGUAGGUGUAUAUGUUUAAAUGUGCAAGCGUAGGGGAGAUGCAUGAACAAUUUGGGUGAAUCGAUUAACACAGACCAUCUUUUUGUAACAUAUUUUUAAAUGUGCAAGUGCAAGGGAGAUGCAUAAGCAAUUUGGACGAAUCGAUUAACACAUACCAUUUCUUCGUAGCCCUUUUGUAUAAAGGAAUUAAGGUUAUCGCCUUCCCGAUGGUACAAUUCACCCUCUUCCUUUUUACUAACUUGCACUUUGCAUGGCUUUGGAAUGGAUAAGAUUCCGUGAGAAAAAGUCUUCAUGUUCGGACAAUGUGUCACAGAAACUCGUUCCAGUGAUGGGAAUUCAAGAGUAUAAUUCUCCAAACAAAAGCUGGUAAGCCUUGGUAAAUCAUCAAGUAUCAAAACUUUUAAUUUACUGAAAGCAAUAUGAUUCUCCUUCGCUUCUUCUCCAACAUGUCUUAUGAUUUCUUCUAAUUUUGUGCACUUCGAUACAUUAAGAUUCACCAGACUACUAGGAAUUCCAACCUGAAAAUAAGCAAAAGUGUGUGUAUAUUAAAAAAGUAAAAAUGUAAGAAUAUCAUUCAACUAGGUUCAAAGUAUGUUUAAUCAUACAAUUAUACGUUUUAUAAACAUAACAAACCAUGAAAUGUCUACUAGAUAAUUUUUUAUUAAACAAAAAAAGCAACAAGAUAAAUAAAUAAAUAAAAGCCAGAUAAACAAAGAUAAUAAAAAUGCAUUUACACUAUUUACUAUUGGGAACGUAGAAAGAAUUUAAGGCAAUUUCUAAAUAUUUUAGACUUAUUUUGCAUCUUGAUAUCAGUUUUUAAGCAUAAAUUUACAAAUUUCAACUAUUCCUUUUAGGGAAAAAAAAUUCAACCAAAAUGCCGCUUUUUCCCUUUUCCUUGGUCCCUUUUUUUAUGUACAUUUAAAAAUGGAAAAAAAAAAUUGGAAAAGACUUCCCAAUAUUGUCAAUAAGGGACUGCUGCUGUAAAGUGGAUCUUUAUUAAGUACUUCCAGACUCAAGGAAAUUUCUUUACAAUCACGGGUCAGUUGUAAAUAAUCAUGAAUUUGUGGUUAAUUAAUGGCAUAAUCAAUUCGUAACUAAACAAGAGAUAUUAAUUAAAUUUGAAGACUUUUAUUUUCUUUUUUUCUUUUUCCAAUCGAAAUGUGAAGAAUUAAGGAAAAGAGAAAUAUAUAGAUGAAUUUGUGAACCUAUAAGAUGAGUGACGAUCCUUUAAUUUUUGAAAAUCGUACUUAUUAAGAUAUGAGCAAAAACUAUUUAAUUGAAUUAUAUUAUGCUGUUGAAUCGUGUUUAAAAAAUUUAUAUUGUUGAUUCUAAUGCUGACGAACCUAAAAACUGGACCUAAAACGUAGAUUUCAGAGUGGUGGUUCGAAGUACGAUACUUGAAAUAAAUAAUCAGUGGCUGAAUAUCAUUUGUAAACAAAAAAUGGUUAAAAUAUUGUUGGAUGUAAUUUGAAAAAAAAAAAAAAAGAUUCGAAAUGAAUACACUCAAAUAUCUCCAAAUUCUUCAAUUUGCUGAAAGACUCCAAAGCAAGCUGGUGGUGCCAUAUUCUUCUCAAAUUAUCCAUCGACCUAAUACGUAAUACCUCCAAACUAGGAAGUCGUACCUGGCAGUUAAAGAUUAAAUAACUAAUUAAUCAAUUAAUGGCAUAAUCAAUUGAUAACUAAAUUAGAGGCGGAUAUUAACUAAAUUUGAAGAAGACUCACGGAAAAGACAAAUUAAAUAUUAUGACUAAAAUUAAUUUUUUUUAUUAAAAAAAAAACCUUUUCGUCAAAGAGAGGAGGAGGUUGCAUUUCAGAAUGAAUGGUGUCUUCUGGUGAGCUCGUAGAGAUGAAUCUUAACAUAUUACUGCAACUCUGAAUCUCGAGCUUUAGCAAAGAAGGGAAUUCAACGACUAAAUCUGAAUGAAUAUGUCCCGUAUUGGCAAAGCUUGUUAGUUCAUAAAGCGCUUCUAGCUGCAGGGAGUGUAGCUUAGGAAAAACCUUUAAUUCAAUCAACUUUCCUUCAUCUCUUUCUGACCACCCCGUGGUGUCGACUACCCCUUCCAUUGAAUCACAAAGCCUUAUCUCAAGAUGUUGGAGUUGCAUCAGACGAUUACAAUUCCCCACGUACAGCUUUGUUAAAUUUUGACAACAGUACAUUCCUUGAUUAUGAUCGGCCCAUAAUUUUUUCAUGUUUCUUAAGUCCCAGAGAUUCAAUUCCUCUAAGCUCGGAAGAAUAACCUGCAAAGAAAACCCGUACAUUUUUGUUCCUUCAAGUACAACCGUCUAGUAUAAUAUUCUUUUGAUGAUCGAAGAUUAAUCGUGAUAAUAAAUUAAUCAAUUAAUUAUUGAACAGAAAAUUAUCACCUUUGGAGCAGUAUCAUCAUCAGCAAUGAUUUCGUUGAAUCCCAAAGAAGUUGUUGGUUUCUCCCUGUCGGGUCCUAUAAACAAACAAAAACAAUAUACAUAAUUAAUCUUUGUCGUUGUCUUUUUUUUUUCAAAAUAAUUGAGGCGAAGUCCAUAAAUCCACCAACACUUAACUUCAACACUUACCAACCAUCAUUUCCAGAUCAUGGCAAAAAGCCACUUUGACCUUUUGAAGCCGCAGUAGGUUUUUGGCUAUGGAGAAUGAGAAAAGAUGCUUUAAUUUGUGACAGGAUUGUACUCCUAUAAUCCUUAAGUUGCUGAAAGAUUGAUCUUCUGUGAGUUGGCUGUCACAUAUUGUCUCCAAAUUGUUCAAAUUGCGAAGAGACAAUGACACCAGCAAGGGGAAGACUUUGCGACGAACCCGUCCAACUGAACCGACAAUAUGCAAAAUCUCAGAACAACUUUCUACAGAAAGAUGCUUCAAUCGUGGAAAACCUUCCCCAUCAUCUAAUUCAUGAACAACAUUCUGAACACCCUUCAGUUCGUUUAGAUGGAUCUCUUCGGCUUCCUUCAGCAACAUUUUCGUCCCAUAAUUCUCCAAAAGAGUGCUAACAUUUUCUAGCCCAUGGAGCCCCACCAAUCUUGAUGUUUCAGAAUUAACGGGCCAAAUGCGCCACCACGCUUCUCCUAUACAUAUCUUAUAGCUUUGCAAUUCCACAGAGACCCAAUCCUGCGGCAGAAUUUGGGCAUCCGGAACUUGUAUAUUCAAAGUAGUUAGCUUUGACAGCCCCUUCAAUUCAGCAAGACUGGCGUUACUUCCUCCUUCAACCUUAUCCCACUGCGAAAAGCUGUCACCCAUAUAUAGUUCUUCCAAUCGAGAAAAUUUUGAUAUGACAUUUGGUGCUAUCACUACAAGGCUCCUACAAUUGCUCAAAUCUAGCAAUUGUAACCGCGUCAAUUGUCCAAUUUCAAGCGGUAACUGCUUAAUGUCGGAACCUCGAAAGCUAAGAAUCUCUAAUUUCUUUAGCUGUCCAAUUGCCGCUAUAUCUUCUAGUUGGCACCAGUCUAAACACAAUGUUUGAAGGUUAAUGAGGCGACCAAGUGAUGAAGGUAAUGAAGAGAAAGGAAUUCUAGUAAGAGUUAAAACUUUGAGUUCUUCUGUCCCUUCAAAAAAGAGGUCUGAAAUUUGCAUUGAGCUAUAACGCUUUGAAAACAACAAAAGUAACUGGAGACGGGGACAUCCCAACCUUUCGGGAAGCUCUUGAAUAUCUCUCUGGGGUAAUGAAAUGGCAAUUGGAUCUUUCCGUAUUGUCUCUUCCAUCUUUUUCUCCACGUCAUCAACAUUUGGAAUAUUAAACAUGCGCUCCCCUGCAGCAAUUGAUACAGCAACAACAUGAAUGACGUCAUGCAUUUUAACUUCAUCUUCAGCAUCACCGUCCAACAAUAAGCAUGAAGAUUUGAGAUUGUCGAUCAACCGAUGCACUCUACUCCUUGCUUCUUCCAAUGUGUAAACAUUUUCAAACAAACCCCAACCCACGCCAUAUCUCAAUAAGCCAGAAACUUGUAUCGCAUGACCUUCACUGUACAGACCACAAAGACGGAACAGAGGUUUUGCCUCCGCACUUUCCAAAAAGUCGUAACUCAAUUUUAUGGAGGUGUACACAUUUGCUUUCAUGCCAUGAAUUUCUCUUGCAUGCGAUCUUCUUAGCUGAUUCAAUGCAUCUUGCCAAAAGUAACGCUCCUUAUUUUUCAGAGCAUUUGCAACUGUACUCAGUGCAACAGGCAAACCUCCGCAUUUUUCAACGAUCUCAUUUGCUGUACUUUGAAAAUCAGAUAUUUUAGUUGAAUCACCCACUAUCUUCUCAAAUAACUGCAAUGCUUCUUCUUUCGAUAAAGCAUCGAUCCAGAAAAUUUUCUGACAAUUCAUAUCAUUGCACAAUAAAUCUCCACUUCUAGACGUCAAUAUUAUUGUGCAUCUUCUCUGAUCAUCCUCUCUAUCUUUCUCAUCAACAUCCCCAGAAGGAAUUCCAACUUCAUCGAACUUCAGUUCUCUCCAAAUGUUAUCCAAUAUAAUCAGGACCCGCUUCUCUUUCUUCAAUACUCGACGUAGUCGAUUUGCUCUGUCGAAUAUAUUCUCAUUCAACUCAAACUUUAUGCCUAAAUCAGAAGCAAGUUUGUCUUGAAUUUUCUGAUGAUCUGGGUUCUCUGUUAUCUCAGCCAUAGCGACCUUAUCGAACCACUUAUCUUCCAUCACUUGCUUUGCAACUUGCUUUACGAGCGUGGUUUUACCCACGCCGCCCAUCCCGUAGACCCCAAUUAUGUUGAGCUUAUCAUCCCUCAACGCCUCCAUAACAUCUUGAAAUACUUUCAUUCUUGAGUCAAAGGCCUCGAAAUCUUUCACUUGCAUGUGUUCUACCAGCUUUGGAGUAGGACGGUGGGAAACAUUGGAGAAGUUGCCUUUUCCCAUGAGACUAGCUGCAGCUUCUGCGGCCUUUGCUGCUUGUCUACUGAGCUUGUAACGAGAGAUCAAGUUUGGGCACAAUCCUUUGAAACAGAACUUCUUAGCUCUAUCUUCAUCAUCUGUGAUGGAUUUUGCAGCGCCCUGAGUGAAUUCCUUGACGCUAUUAAGCCAGUCUGCAACAUCCUCAUAAAUCUCAUCUCCUUGUUGAGUAGCCUGAUGAACGGGUAUUUCCACCCUUUCUCUUUGAUGUCCCAGCUGCUUCACUUGAACUUUUAGGCCAUCUAUGUAGCUCUGGUACUUGAACACAUAAGAUAUCUGCCGUUUAAGCGGUUUGUACAGUGACUUUGCACCUUCUGAUACAACGCCGGUUAAAAAAGCCAGACACGCUUCUACAGCCAUUGCCUGUUGCUUAACGAUAUAUAUGUAGUUUUUGGCUGUUUAAAAAAAAAAAAUGGAUUCAAAUAAAUUAAAUGAACUAGAGGGGAAGAAAAAGAAAGAAACGACAACAAACAACCUUUUAGAGAAAGGUUUGACGGGCCUGAAUGGAAAACCAACAACUUUUUGAAGAAAGAAAGCUUUGGAAGAUAGAUGCAAAUUAACCGUUGAUAAUACUACAUAAGAACACAGAAGUUAACAAUAAACAGUAACUUAAAACUCAAGAAAAUUAAAUGACGAGAUUAAGACAAACAAGGGAUAGUUUUUGUUGGACAUUAAGAAACAACUGCUAUCAAGAUCAAGGAUUAGAAAUUAUGCUAUUAAAAGAAGUUAUUAAAGGAUUUAGAACAAGUUUACCUCUUUAAUUAUCUAGGAUCAGAGUUUAUGAGCUUCACUAUUGGCCUUGGAUGUAUAAGAAAAACUUUAAUGAGCAAAAGAUCACUCUUAACUGCGGAGGAAUGUGAGUAAAGAGUUUAUGGGAGUAAAGCAAUACAAUUGAAUUGUAAAAGAACCAAGACUUAAGCGUGCGUCCCGUGUUUUGUUUUAUUAUAUAAACAGAACAUAUGUUCAUUUUUAACAAAUUGAUCAAUAACUCUAUUCGCUAUUUAAUUAAUAAUGUAAUCAAUUUUAAGAGAAUAUAAUAAUAAUCCUUCAAUGCAUAAAUUUAGAAUUAGAUUUUUUUUUACUUUUUAUUUAAAUGUAAAUCUCAGUGGAAAAUUAUAAAAAUUUAGAGAUAAAAUUUUUCAAUCACCAAACGGAAAAACAGGGGAAUGAAAACAGAGGAAUCUUGUUUUACUUUUUUUUUCUUUUUAAACCUUAACUCUUGUUCUUAUAUAAAUAAUCUUGUUCUGAUGAUAGUGCUCUUGACUGCAGGAAAAUUUCUAAUGGAAACAACUCAAUUUCGGAAGAUUAGCUCAGUUUUGCAAGCGAUGAAUUUAUUCAAUUGACUCUGUACUUGAACUCGUUGGAUUGGUUGAUUUAUGAUUGACUGAAUUUCAAUUCGGCCUAAAAGAUCUUUAACCAAAGUUUAAUAGCUAUCAUCUACUCCUUAAAAACAAAUAUGUAUCUUUUUUAGAUUUGACUGAAUUUGAACUUGCUGGAUUGGUUUUUUUUUAGAUUAUUAAAAUUUGGAAUAUUUUUUUUUCCUUGCUUUCUUUUGUUGGAGGAUUAGAGAUUUUGGUAUUACCAGAAAGGUUUCAAGGGUCUGAGUAGAAACCUAUAAUCUUUUGAAAAACUUUGUUUUUUUUUUUUUUUAAUUUUUUGGGGAAAAGGAUGCAAAUUAACCAAAUGGAAAUAAUAAGAGCACAGGCUUUAACAAUGAACAAUAACUUAAAACUCAUGCAAAAUAAAUUCAAUAUUAAAACAAACCAGAGAAAUUUUUUUCUUGAAAAGUAGAUGGAAAUUAUGAAAGAACAGAUGUCAAGAUCAAGGAUCAGGGAUUCUACUACCCAAAAAAAAUAAAAAAUAAAAUUAAAGGAUUUAGAAAAUGUGCACCUAGAGUUGGUGAGCUUCUCUCUCUAUUCACUUGAAUAUUUAAGAACAACUUGAAAGAGGAAAAAGAUCACUGGUAACUGCUGAGGAAUGUGUGAGAAAAGAGUUGACGAGAGAAAUAACAAUGACUUGCAGAAGAAAAACCAUUAAUCAAGCACACCUUUUUAUAUCCUGUAUUUGGUUAUUGUUGCCCUCUUGACGCAUGUAUAGAAUAAUUACGUGCAUUUUUUUUAAUCCGCAUGCACUUUAAUGAUUAGUGCUCCUUUCAUAAAGCAGAUACCGGAAACACACAAAUAUCAUUUGAGAGAGAAACUAAACAGCAAAUCAUCAAAGUAAGAUCAAUAAUAUAUGACUUGGUUAAUGCAUAUUCAAGAACAAAAACAAAAACAAAUAAAUAAAUAAAUGGAGAAGGUUUGAUUUUGUACUGCCAACGCUGCUUUUUUGUUAUUUCAUUUGUUCUUUCCACAAAUGAUGCUUGGUUAUAAUUAAGUUCCACAUGGCCGUUACUUACAAACUGUGUUUGUGUUAACAGAAACGUGAAAUUCACAUCACACAAAAUUACACUAUCAAUUCUUAAGAGAACAUAAUAAUAAUCACUCAACGCAUAAGGGUAAAUUUAGAAUUACAUUUUGAAAUUGAUAAAAUGUUUUUUAUGGGAUUUCAGGCAAACCAAAACAAAAAAAAUUUCAAUAAAGAGCUAGUUGUUGAAAUUGAUUUAUCUUGUCUUUCAGGCUAUCUUGUGACGUGACGAUAUAUAAUGUUCGUGAAUGCUAGAAAAUUUCUAAUGCAAACAACUCAAUUUGGGAUGAUAAGCUUAAUUUUGCAAAUGACGAAUGUAAAUAACUUGUUUUGAUUAAUUGAAUUUGUAAUACUCUUACCCUAUUCUAAAAUUUGGAGGUUGCUUGAGAAAAAAAGGGUAUUUCUCACUCAUCUUCAAUCCUCAAGUAAAAUUAGGUAAAAAGCAAAUCUAAAAAAUCACAAACGAAUUAACAAAAAAAGAAAAAAAAAAACAACAUUGAUCUUGAGACAAGUGAUAUUUAAACAGAGAAUUCUUUAUUCUUUUUUACUUGCCCCCCCCCCCCCGGGGCUCGAGGAUUAAAGUCUUUGCUAUUAACAGAGAGGCUUUAAGAGUCUGAAUAAAAACCCGUGCUUUUUUUAAAAAACCACUUUUUUUUUCUUUUUUCUUUUUUUUUGGGAAGAUAUAUUCAAAUUAACCAAAGCUAGUAAUAAGAGCACAGACCUUACAAAUGAACAAUAACUUACAACUCAAGCAACAUAAAUGAUAAGAUUAAAACAAACCGGAGAUAUUUUUCUUGGAAAAUAGACGGAAAUUAAAUAAGAACUGCUGUUAAAAGAAGUUAUUAGAGGAUUUAGGAGCAUGUGUACCUCUUUAAUUAUUUGGGAUCAGAGAGUUGAUGAGCUCUCUAUUCGCCUUGAAUAUUGAGUAAGAACUGGUAUUAAAAGAAAUUAUUAAGAACAAUAUUUUAGUGAGCAAAAGAUCACUGUUAACUGCAGAGGAGUAAAAUGCUGAAAAGAGCAGUAACAAUGAAUUGCAAAAGAAGAAGACUUAACCAAGCACCCCUUUUAUACCCGAUUUUUAAGAUUUAAUUUUGAAGUUCCCAAUCAAGAACAAAGACGAAGCUUUAAUAAAGCAUGCAGUGAGAUACAAGAAAUGGAUCGGGCAAAAUACCUUACGAAGCGUUUCAUAUUUUCUAAUGAAAUAAUUUAGUUGAAUUCUUCGACGAAUAGAUACCUGUUGUGCUAGAAUAAUUUUGGCACACACAUUACUUGUGCCCUGUGAAAUUGAAAAGCACACUCAUUUACAGAGCUUGUUAGUGGGGAAAAGCUUCGUAAGAUGCCUGAUAAAAGAUAAAGCAAAAGCUUGAAUGAAGAAUGGCAUUUUAGAAAGAAACUAAAGUGCAAUCAUCAAAGUAGGAUCAAUAGUGAGUUGAUCAGUUAUGCUUUUUGUUAUUUCAAUUGUUCUCUCUUUUUUCAAUCUCUCUUUAUGUUAUAAUUGAAUAAUUGUAUAGAAAGUGUGACGGUUGCUGCAGCAUUAUGAAGUCAAAAUUGAGAACGACAUUAAAUAAUCAAUCUCUUUAUGUAUUUACUCGAAUGUCUGAUAGUGUUCAGACUUGGAUUUUCAAUAAACACAGAUUCGAAAUCCAAAUAAUUGAAUAAUUGUGUACGUUCAAAUUCAGCAUUUAAUUACUAUAUAAUUAGACAUAAAUGUGUAUAUAAUUUUACUUUCUAAGAAUUAACUUCUACCUUGAUUCUAAAAAAAUAUAUAUAUAUAAUUUUACAAAUAAUUUAGUACGGCGUUUGGUAAAUGAUAACUAUUUGAGAAUAAGUUUUAAAAUGGUUUACUAUACAAAUCUGGAAAAUGAAAAUUAAAAGUGUAAAAUGUUCACAUAAUGAAAAUUAAAAGUGUAACAUGUUCACAUACAAUGACAAAAAUAUAUUUAUUUACUUAUUUGUAAUUUAUUUUGAAUAUUAUUGUUUAAAUCAUUUUUUUACUUACUAGAUUUUUUAAGAGCAUUCUAUUUUCUUUAUUACAUAUUUAAAUAAUUUUUUAUUAACUAUUUUAAUUUGCAAUAAAAUUAACUUCAAUAUUUUUUUAACUGAAAAUUUUGUUAUGUAGUUCGUGAUAUAACAAAUACUAACAUAUUAUUAAAUUGAUUAAUAAAUUACGUGCAAAAAAGAAAAUGCAAAAAUUUAAUCUUUAUAUAAACUUUUAUGUACAAAAACCGUUGUAAUCAAACUAGUUCAUAGAAAUAUAAUAUUUUAUACAUGUGUUUAAGAAAAACAUAUAACUAUAAUAUUAUCCACUCAUUAAACUUGCAGCACUAUUAUUUCUAAUUCUCUCCAUCACUCGACCUACAGGAACAUUACUACCAUAAUUUUCUUCUUGAAUUCAACCUCCAUUUCCACAUCAUCAACAAAGCGAUCAAUUUGCCUUGAUAGCCUUUCAACUCCUCCCACUUUCCUCCCUUUUGCAGACACUCUUUUUCUUUUUCUUUCUUUAAUAGCUUCAAUGGGAACAACCUCAUCUAUCGACAAGUCCAUUCUUCAACUAGAAUAGAGUUGGUAGUAGAUAUUUUAGUACUCUCAAACGAUGCCCAAACCGUGUCACCAGUGAUUGUUGUAUUAAAAAACAUUCCAUGUAAUUUUUCCUCUGACUCUGGGUCGAUACCUUUUAUGCAAAAUCUAUUUACUUCAGGAAUUUUAUACAUAUGUCGAUAUCAUAUUAAAGUGAAUUCAGAUCCUAUAUUAUUGACAUUUAGCCAAAGGUAAAAAAUUUUCCUUUUUGUUUGUCCCCCAACUAUAUAGUCCCAUUUUUGGUUAUAAGCUCGCAAUAUGCAAGGGAAAUGAAGAUCUACUAAAAACUUCCCCAUAAUAUUAAACAUUAAACAAUAUCAACAUUUUGUGCAUAUGGUGCCUCUCCAACAACUUGAUGUACAUUAUGUUGCUCGGUGGAAUAUGACUACUUAUUAAUUAAUUAGCAAGACUUGCGUUGCGAGUCCAUGCUUUUGUUGUUUGGAUGGAGGAUCUGCCAUCCUUAUUGUGAAAUAUGAACUAAAUAUACACUCACGACAUGUCAUAUGUUGAGUCUGUAGUAGCACGACAUGUCAUCUGAUAAGCAUUUGGAACAAAACCGACAUGAGCCAAAAUGUCGUUCUUUGUUUAAGUAGCUCACGUGUUUGGCAUGUGAGCUGAACAAGACUCUUACUCUCAGAAACGACUGAACCAGAAGCCGUUUUGAGCAUGCUUAUUCAAGACACGUUGCAAGCACGUGGCUGAGGCUGAAUCUGUUAUGUUAGCGGGAAAAGCCGCUGAGGAAGGCAUCCAGAAUCAGUUAAUAAAGAACUGGAGUUCUGGGUUUUUCACAACAGGGCCAGAAAACAGAGAGAGAGCAGAGAAAGAGGGAAUGCGAGAGAGAGAGAGUUCUGAAUAGGCUUGUAAUCUCCAUUUGUGUUUGCUCUCUGUAAACUCUUGAACAAGCAAUAAAGUGAAAUCACAGAGUUUGUUUCCAGUGGAUGUAGGCAUCAUUCAUUUGGUGCUGAACCACUUUAAUUCGUGUGUGUUUUGUUCUUGAUCUAUUUGUUAUUCUUGAUUCUUAGUAGGUUGACUUCUUCUUGGUUGAAUCUUGAGUAUAAACCAGUGAGUGAAGUGUUCUUGGGGUGGGUUUAGUCUUGAUAGUUAGGGCUUAAACCAAAACACUUUUAUUUUAGAUGCUUUGUAAGACUUCUGAUUUAAUGAUUGAAUGCAGCCAAUUAACGAAAGCUUACAUAUAGUAUUAUGUAGGUGCUGAGAUGUCUGUUCUUGAUAAAGUAGAUAUAUUUACACCCAAGCCAACGGAAUCAAAGCCUUUUCGUUAAUAAUAUACACGGUAAUUGUUUUUGUUAAAUUGAUUUCUGGCUAACAAGAUCUUUUUUUUUUUUUGAAAGGGCUAAAAAGAUCUUUGAAAGCAUUCAAAGAAGCCGCCGAACUCAUAGGAAAGCCAUGAUUAAAUAUACGGUGAAGCAAGCGAGCUCGUUUGUUAAUCUCUUGAUCACUCAUAAGCUUUUCUAUACGGCUCACGAUAUCAUCCUUUUGAAUCGAUUUUGAUUGAUCAUCGGAUAUCAUGUCCCCACCUUGAGAUGAUUGAUCACCAAUUUGGCAUUGUAAUGUUGAUCACCUCUAAUUGGCCAUGCUAAAAUUGGGAGCCCACAACUAAUUGCUUCCAUAGUUGAAUUCCAUCUACAAUCAAAUAAAAAUCCACCCAUUGAUUGAUGACUUAGUAUCAAUAAUUGUGGCGCCCACCCAUCUAUUAUCAAUCCCCUUUUAACCAAUAAAGUGUUGGCUCCACUGGCAAUGGAGUCCCCUUAAGUGGUUUGACUGGGUUUGCUCCCCAGUUCGAGUCGCAGGGAAGUCGCCUUUGUUGGGAGAACCUGUGCCUCUCGGUUCGAGCGGGGACUUCUAGUCUGGGUUGUGGUACGGGCUUAAAGGUGCCUCCCACAGUUGGGGCCCUCCCCAGGAUACCUCGUGGUCAAAACCAAAAAAAAAAUCAAUCCCCUUUUACCGACUUUACUCUCCAAACCACUGGAAAAAUAACUGCCUUCUACUGGUCUGUCUAAACCGGUUAAAUGACGCGGAGGAUCCAAUCUACCUGCACUAGUUUGAAUUACCCAAAUAAACUGUUGAUUUGAUGCUUCUAAACAUUGGCAAGGCUGAAUACUCCUCUAAGGUGGGACGCACUUUGGUACCAAAUUAUAUGUAUAGCACAGAUCUACGUGAUUUCAAAUCCAACCAUUAAGCGAUCUCAUCUUCAGUCAUGUUAGAACUCUGCUGGUUGGUCUCGUCUCACGAUCAUGAAACGCUGAACCGACCAAUUUGUAAAAUUGUUUAGGUAACAAUGAGCCCACUCCCCACACCGGCUUUCCCAUUUGAUUGGCUAAAUAAUUAAUAAAUGGUCCCUCAAGAUCAUUACAUGUGUUAGAACAUCAACGCCAUCGAUCCCUUCACUUCCUUCAUGCAGUGUGGUUGAUCAUCGGGUUCUAGUGGACCUAUUUUCCCUGAACCGGGUGCACUCUGCAGAAGUGGUGGACCACUAGGAGGGGGCCCACAAGGCCUACGUCUAAGAUUCGAUUCAAAUAAAGCCGUAUCCUCAGGUACCCCAGGAAGUAAAUAGGCCUCCCCUGAUUUGACAUCUUUGAUGCGAGCCUACCACAUGGCACACUCUACAAUUGUUCAACUAAAAUUAAUAAUAUUGUUCUAAUUAAUUACUCGAUAAGCAAAUAGUCAUAGACAAAUCUAUCCCUAAUCCCACAUUUACAAAAUAAAGAAUUGAAAUGAGUUUAUGUGGCUUUGAACCCAAGCCCUCAAGCCUAGUGGCUGGAUCUUGACCACUUUGACAUAAUUAUUAUAACAAUUUUUUUUUUCAUAUUUCACUAAGCAUCUUUUGUUAUAUAAUGAGGAAGAUAAGUUGACGGAGAAGGGUUCUACUUUUACUAGUAGAUGAGAUUUAAAUUAAGAAGGUUAGUUUUAGAUUGUUAAAUUUCCUUAGACGAUUAUUCAUGUGAGAUGUUUAACAUAUACUUGAGUUAGUCGGUGCCUAACAAUUCUUGUGAUACAUGAAACCAACCAAUAUGAAAACCAUAUGAAGUUGGUAGGAUUAGAUUAAUUUAAAUGAAAAUAAAAAUUAGUUUAUGCUAUUUAUUAAUCUUAUACUGUUGAAAAUUGAAAGUUAAUUCUUUAGCCUGUCAAUUGGUUCAUGACAUAAUUAAAAUAUUCAAGUAAAUACAUUUAUCGUUUAACAUUAAUUUUUCAUGCGGUAAAACCAAUACUAAUUAUAGAGUGGAGAGAAUAAUCUGUAGGGUAUACCCCCACCUUUUAUUUCAUUUCAUUUAAAAAAAAAAGAGAGAGAGAGAAAAGUAAAGGCUUGUUCAACAUUCAAGUAAAAUUAACAAAUCUAUGAUAAAAUUACUUCAGAAUAAAAAUUAAAAUGUUUAAAAAAAAAACGGCAACUCGAAAACGACAUACAAAUACCGCAUAGAAGGUUUUCGUCACGAGAUAUUUUUGGGCUGAGACAACACUUGUAUAACUUAGCAUAUAGCUUGGAUGACGGUGAGAAUAAGAAGGAAAACGGCACCGCAGACCGAAAUGCCAGCCCAUGGAGUAUUGAAGUAAUUUUUUUUCACAAUUCAAAGGAGGUUUUGGAACUUACCACAAGGCUGAGUAUUUCAACAGUUAUGGAUGACAUAAUCCAGCUAAGCAGAAGCUGAUCUUGGCGUUUCCACACAGCAUAUUCUGGAUUUUCAUGACCUUCAGAGAUUGACGAAGUGCCUUCAAAUCCAGGUGAAAGAAAUUGAUCAGGACAUAGCUUUGAUCCAUCGAUAUAAGACUCAAGUCCAUUGCCUCGAACUGAAGAGAGCACCUGAUGUUUCCAGAUCGUGUAAUUUGUACGAUCUAAUUUGACUGGUGUAGUGAAGGUGAAAGAAGCUAUGGCACUGGUAUUAGAUUGUGAAUUUGAGUUCGUUAGAGCCAUUGGAUCUAGCUCUGAUACCAAGUUAAAGAAGCUUUUCCUGUUUGUUUACUCAGAAAGUGAAGGAAAAAUACAGAGAAAAUUAUGUAGCUAGAAUGAAUCUAAAACCAUCUUAUUAAUCUAUAUUUGGUUCAAUAUACAACAAUAUUUAUGCUACUCACUGGAACCUUCUAUAUGAAACAAACACGUGAACUCAAUACAAUUCAGCUUAACAAACUUUUAACGGGAAAUAACUAAACAGAGCAACGGCUUGCCAGCGUGGCUGCUGACUCAGCAGCCGACUAAUCAUACUCUGAAAAAAAAUCACCAAACAGAAAAACAGGGGAAUGAAAAGAUAGCCUCCGUUUAUCCUCUGUUCUGUUUUCAUUGUUAUUAAACAAGGGAAUGAGAAAAGAGAGCCCCUGUUUCUUCUCUUUUUUGAUUUUUUUAAUUACUAAACUGGGGAACGCACGGAUCACCUCUUGUUGCAAGCGCAAAUUCUUGUUUCUACUUUAGUACCUUCUAAAUGCUGCAUGCAUUAAAAUUAUUCUUACAUAUGCUAACAUAAUAGCUACUGUACAUGUAAGUUCUUGAUAAAUCCAAAUAACAUAAUAAUUUUAAGAGUUCAAAUUUAGAAUUUAAUUAUAUAUAUUUAUAUAAAUCCAAUGUGCAUAUCGGAUAUUGCAUGCUGCAAUGAUCUCAUAUGUUUCCUCAAUAUGACUUAAAUAUAUAGGCCACAACUUGGUUUUGAAGUUAGUCUAAAGCCUUCCCCUUGAUUCUAACAAAUUCACUAGGGAAGGUUCAUAUGGAUUUUGGGGGAGCUCUAUGGCCAAUUUUAAAAGUUCAGGGGGGAUCAAAUGAAUUUCAAAACUGCAUGGGUUAUCUAUUUCAGUCAGAGGAUAGUGGAAUUCCCUGAAAUUUAUCCUUUUUAUUAAAUUAAUCUUCCUCCUUUCCUCUGUGGACCUUUGCUAUGUGUGUUAUUGGCGUCCAAAUGACGAUGGGAAUUAUGGUAAGGUUCUUGCUUCCCCACUUCUUGAAAUUAAAUAUAUCUUUUCUGGCACUAGAAAUUUCCACAUGCUGUGUUUUGUUAUUGUUUGGGAGAAAUACGUCAACGAGACCAGGCGUGGUGAGCAGAUAUCUGAUAGCAGAGUUCCGCGAACCGGUGUGUUCCGUAAAAGCCUGGUGCGCGGAGGAACAGGAGCAGAAGUAUCCCGCUCGUCCACGAACACGUCAUCCGCGAGGCCAAUUUCCCGUAAGAGGCAUAAGGUCAUUCCGGCUAGAGGUCGAGAGGCGAGGAGACCCGGUCGACGGCAGUUGGCAAGACAUGCUCCCCAGCCCGAGAAUCUAGGCACGACAGCCACGCUUUCCCCAGAACUGUGGCGUAACACGCAAAAUCUCACGGAACCACGACAACCACGCUUUCCCCAGAACCGUGGCGUAACACGCAAGAUCUCACAGAACCACGACAGCCACGCUUUCCCCAGAACCGUGGCGUAACACGCGAGAUCCCACGUUUGCCCAUAACGCAGCAGUCAGAGUCCCAUACCGUCUCGAAAAAAGCGGAAAACUGGGAUUCAGGGGAGGCCUAUAAAAAGGUAGCCAACGAAGGUAAAAGGGUUAGCAUUUUUAAGAUUAGAAAAGAAAUAAAAAAAGCCAUAAGACCUGUGGCAAGCGUUCCCCGAACCUUGAUAUCUGAAUUGAGCGUCGGAGGGUUUGCGCCGGGAAAACAACCGGCGUACUCUGACUUGUCUGUGUGCGCAGGAACCUCUGGAGAAGAAGCCUCACGAGGAGACCUCCUGGUCGUGAAGAAGUUGAUCGGGCAGAGAUCCUGGUCGUAGAACGAGGAGACCCGGAAUCCCGCAUCAACAUUUUGGCGCCGUCUGUGGGGAACAGAGCAAAAAGCUUCUGUUGAUAGCAAGAGGAGGGGCGAAGCAAGUGAAAAGCAAUGGAGACAUGAGGAAGUAGUGGACAAGGGGGUGAUAGGAGGCCUAACGAUUCCGUGACGCUGAGGGAGAUAGUCAGUGAAGCACGGGAAAAAGUCAUGUUCGACCGGAUGGAACGGGUGGAAAAGCAGAUGGAGACCUUGACAACCAUCCUAGAUGAGCUGCGGAGCGAGCGAAGUAUAAUCCAAGAGGGAAGGGGGAGAGGCGGUGGAGUGGCACCAGGUCCCGAUAGUGCGGGGAGAAGUCAAACCACCGGGAGAUUUGGUGGUGAGAGAGGUAACGUACCUCUGCGGGGAGAAUUUCAUAGAGAAAGAGAGCGGUCCCCGGCAAGGCAGACUGGCGACGAGGACGAUGGAGUGGUGAAUGCAGAGGAAACGAAGUUGAGACAACACUUGCAUGAUGUAGAGCAAGAGCGGGAUCAAGUUGCAGCACGUGACCCUGGUCGUGCAGUGCAGCUGGAGGAGGAAGUGCGCAGACUAGCGCAGAUAAUCGACGACAUGCAAGGAAGGAACAGAGCCCCUGGUUGGAGGAUAAUGCUAGACGGAGAAUCACCGCUCGCAGCAGAGAUCAUGAGGGCAGUUAUUCCGAGAGAUUUCCGCCUCCCAGACCUCAGAUACUCGGGAAGAACUGAUCCGUUGGUGCACAUAGAGCGCUUCAACGACAUAACUGGGGUACAAGGAUUAUCUCAAUCCCAAAGGUGCAGAGUGUUCCCACUAUCCCUUGAGGGACGUGCACGAGAAUGGUACAGGAAACUUCCUCGGGGCAACAUUAAAACCUUCGAGCAGAUGUGCCAGGAAUUCGCGGAGCAGUUCAGUGGGGCAAUGGCGCCGGAAGAUGACAUGAUGGAGCUGAAAAGCAUGAAACAGGGGGAGCAAGAAACCCUUCGGGAAUUCAUCAAGAGGUUUCAUCGGGCUGUCCUCGACUUGGGAGCCUUCAACCACCCUCAGGCGUUAAGGGGAUUGAAAGAAGGGGUGAAGAUAGGAAGGCUGUGGUACAAUUUGAGAAGCCCAGCUAUUCAAACGUAUGCAGCCGCAUACGAACAGGCUAAGAGAGACAUCGAGAUUGAAGAGGAGAAGGCUGCACGGAUUAAGACAGACCAGUUACAAGGGUUGGGGAGGAAAGAGAAGAAAGCAUUACCGGGGAAUGGGCCGAUCAGGAGGAGGGACCACCAGGCCUCCGGUAGCGGAGCAGGAGGUCGGGUAGCCGCUUACCAUUCUCAUCAAAGGCCACCACAGUAUCAGCGCAGCAGGGCGCAACCUCCUCGUUCCCCAGUUAGGGAGCCUUGGAGAAGACAUGAGUCGGCAUCUGGUGGUCUCCAUCAACACCCCCACGGUAGCAGAGCGAGCAGACCAGAAGUACUUCCACCGCCCCCAACUCAGAGCGGGGCAAACGGAGAAAGAGUAGUGCACCUGAUCGACCAGAACCCGGACUAUGGGCGGUACACUUCCUUGAAGAUGUCCCUGGAUGAGGUGUACGAGGCCAUAAAGGAUCGAGGGCUGUUGCACCUCCCUACACCAAUAACAAAGCUACCCAACAGGAGGGAUAGAGGGCGUUAUUGUAAGUUCCAUGGCACCCAUGGCCAUACCACAGCAGAGUGUAGAGAUCUCAAGACCCAGGUCGAAGAUUUGGUGAGAAAUCGGUACCUGGACGAGUUUAUGGAUGGGACUUUCCCGAUGGGGGCCGCAACAGGUGAAGGGGAGCAGAGUGGCGGAAACGUGAGGCACGAGCAGCCUGCAGUAAGGGUGAUCGCCGGGGGCCCGACAUUGGCCGGAGAUUCCAACAGAUCGAGAAAAAAUUAUGCUAGGUACGCCAUGACCAGUAAAGAGGUACUCCUCAACACCCCAGCAGCCAAACGAGCAAGGGUCAGGCAAGUGCCAAUCAUGUGGACGGAUGAGGAUGAGGAAGGGAUUCUAUACCCCCACGAGGACGCUUUAGUCAUCAAGGCUACUAUCGCUAGCAAGAAGUUUGACCGGAUACUGAUUGAUACAGGGAGCUCAGUUGAUGUGUUAUUUAAGUCAACCCUGGAAGAGAUGGGAAUAGCCGACCGGAAGUUGGAAUACACCAAUACCUCCUUGAAGGGGUUCGGAGGAGGGAAGCUGGUCCCUCUGGGCGUGGUCGAGCUGCCUAUCACAAUUGGGAGCUCCCCGACAGAAAGAACAAUGAUACUGGACUUUGUCGUAGUGGAUGAGGAAGGUCCUUACCAGAUGAUCUUAGGUCGGCCAUUUUUAAGGAUGAGCAAAGCGGUGUUGUCCAACCAUUAUCUGGCCCUGAAGUACCGGGUGAAUGGGGUAGUAGGAGUGGUACGAGGAGACCAGAGGAUCGCAAGAAGCUGCUACUCCUCGGCAGCAAGGGAAGCAAUGCAGAUAACAUCCCUCGAUACCCGAGUGGAAAGCAGGAAGGGCAGACAAGAACCUGUAGAGGAUCUGGAAACAGUAAGCCUGGGACCAAAGAACCCGGAAAAGACGAUCAGAAUCGGGUCGAGACUUAGGGGAGGGCAAAAGCAGGAGUUGGUGAAAUGCUUACAGGCUCAUGCUGAUGUGUUUGCUUGGACACAUGAAGACAUGCCAGGGAUUGACCCUGAGGUAGCAUGUCAUAAGCUGGCAAUAAAGAAAGGUGCUCGGGCAGUAAGGCAGAAGAGGAGGUGCUUCAACCAGGAGAGGUAUGAGGCUAUAAAUGGCGAGGUGGAGAAGCUCCUGAGAGCAGGGUUCAUUCGGGAAGUCAGUUACCCUGAGUGAAUAUCGAAUGUGGUGUUGGUAAAGAAGGCAAACGGCGAGUGGAGGAUGUGUGUGGAUUUCACAGACCUCAAUAAGGCGUGCCCAAAAGACAGCUUCCCUUUACCAAAGAUCGAUCAGCUGGUAGAUUCAACGGCUGGACAUGAUCUGCUCAGCUUCAUGGACGCGUUCUCGGGAUACAACCAGAUCCCCAUGUACGGGCAGGAUGAGGAGAGCACGGCUUUCAUCACUAACCAAGGUUUGUUCUGUUACAGGGUAAUGCCAUUCGGUCUCAAAAAUGCGGGGGCCACCUAUCAAAGGCUGGUGAACAAAGUCUUUAAGCCGUUGAUUGGGAAAACCAUGGAGGUGUACGUGGAUGACAUGAUCACCAAGUCCAAAAUCCCGGAGGAACAUGUCAGACACCUCGAGGAGACAUUCGAGCUUUUGAGGAAGUAUAAGAUGAAGCUCAACCCGGAGAAGUGUGCUUUUGGGGUCGAGUCAGGGAAAUUCCUUGGAUUCAUGGUGAGCCAUAGGGGGAUUGAAGCAAAUCCCGAGAAAAUCCAGGCGAUUGUGCAAAUGACGUCUCCUCAUAACCUGAAGGAGAUGCAGAGCCUCACGGGGAGGUUGGCGGCGUUGAGCAGAUUCAUAUCCAAGGCUACAGAUAAGUGUCAGCCAUUCUUUCAAGUAAUAAGGAGGGGAAAGAAAACAGAAUGGACCCCAGAAUGCGAGGAAGCCUUGCGGAACUUGAAGCAAUACUUGCAGCAAGCUCCGCUGCUGUCCACACCGAGGGAUGGGGACAUGUUGUAUCUGUAUUUGGCGGUAUCGGAUCGGGCCGUCAGUUCUAUUCUGGUGAGAGAGGAAGAAGGAGUUCAGUAUCCGAUAUACUACACCAGCAAAGCCCUGCUCGACGCUGAGACCAGAUACCCACCGUUGGAAAAAUGGGCACUUGCCCUUGUGGUUGCUGCUCGGAAGUUGAGGCCAUAUUUUCAAGCAUUCCCGGUUUCGGUAGUAACAAACCAGCCAUUGCGUCAAACUCUGCACAAGCCAGAUGCCUCUGGUCGGCUCGUCAAGUGGGCUGUAGAGCUGAGCGAGUUCGACAUAGACUAUAAACCCCGCGCAGCGAUAAAAGCCCAGGCAAUGGCUGAUUUCGUAGCCGAAUUCACAGAGCCCGAAGUAUGCUUAGAUCAACAAGAUGCAGAUAUAGGCAAUGACGAAACUCAAGUAUGGCAGAUGUCUGUGGAUAGGUCAUCAGGGGAGCGGGGUUCAGGAGCAGGGAUUGUCUUGGAAGGCCCAGAGGGGGAGGAGAUCUCUUAUGCUGUAAAGUUGGAGUUUGCAGCCACGAAUAACCAGGCAGAGUAUGAAGCCUUGAUAGCAGGUCUGGAAUUAGCUAAGGCCGUGAAAGCAAACAGAGUUAAGAUCAGAACUGAUUCCUAGCUGGUUGCAAAUCAUGUCAGUGAAAGAUUCCAACCAAGAGAGGAGAAGAUGGAGCAGUACCUGAAGAUAGUCAGGCAGAUGAUGGGGAAGUUUGAAGCAGUGGAGGUAAUACAAAUCCCCAGGGAGCAGAAUAGUCGAGCAGACAUUUUGGCUAGGAUGGCAGCAGUAGCCGACCCAAAAAUGCCAAAGUCGGUUCCUCUGGAGGUGAAGUCCAGCCCAAGUAUUGGUCAGAAUUUGGGGGUGUUGCGGAUAGAACAAAAAUGCUCGUGGAGGGAUCCGAUAGUUUCAUACCUUAGGGACGGGGUAUUACCACCAGAUAAGGUGCGAGCUCGCAAGCUUAGAGCCCAGGCCUCGAGAUACACGAUGAUUGAUGGGGUACUGUAUCGGCGAGGAUAUACACUAUCGAUUACUUCACGAAGUGGAUAGAGGUAGAAGCCCUUAGCAGGAUCACAGAGUCGAGCAGACAUUUUGGCUAGGAUGGCAGCAGUAGCCGACCCAAAAAUGCCAAAGUCGGUUCCUCUGGAGGUGAAGUCCAGCCCAAGUAUUGGUCAGAAUUUGGGGGUGUUGCGGAUAGAACAAAAAUGCUCGUGGAGGGAUCCGAUAGUUUCAUACCUUAGGGACGGGGUAUUACCACCAGAUAAGGUGCGAGCUCGCAAGCUUAGAGCCCAGGCCUCGAGAUACACGAUGAUUGAUGGGGUACUGUAUCGGCGAGGAUAUACACUAUCGAUUACUUCACGAAGUGGAUAGAGGUAGAAGCCCUUAGCAGGAUCACAGAGAAGAAAACAACGGACUUCGUGUGGAGAAACCUGGUCUGUCGAUACGGGAUCCCUUAUGCCUUGGUAACGGAUAAUGGCAGGCAGUUCGAUAAUCACAGCUUCAGGGAUUUCUGCCAGAACCUCGGGAUAGAGCUGAAGUAUUGCUCGCCUGCUCACCCUCAAUCGAACGGACAAGUAGAAGCAGCCAACAAGACCAUCAAGAGGCUUUUGAAAACCAGGCUUGGAGCAAAAAAGGGUGCGUGGGUUGACGAGCUGUCAGGUGUGCUAUGGGCAUACAGAACAACCCACAAAACAGCAACUGGGGAGACACCGUUCGCUUUGGCUUUCGGACAUGAAGCGGUCGUGCCGGCCGAGAUAGGAACGACCACACACCGGACAAAUCAUUUCAAUGAGCAGGAGAACGACGAGCAGAUAUGUUUGAAUCUUGAUCUGCUAACGGAAAGGAGGGAGCAAGCAGCCGAGCGAUCGGUCAUUUACCAACAGAGGGUUGCUCGGUAUUAUAACCAGAAGGUGAACAUACGGCAAUUCAGGGUCGGAGACUGGGUACUGAGAAGAGUGAAUCAGAGCACCAAAGACUCGACUCAAGGAGUGCUGGGACCGAAUUGGGAAGGGCCAUAUAGAGUCAAGCAGAUAGCGGGACCUGGAGCUUACAAGCUGGUACGCACGGACGGCCACGAGGUGAAACGCCCAUGGAACGCAGCACACCUCCGAAAAUACUUCCAGUAAGACUUGUUCACAUGUGAAAACUAUUUUUGCUCAUGUUCAUUACCGUUUAUCUUUCACACUUAUUGUCCAAACAAUCUCAUGUAAGUCGAAUCUUGCCAUUAAUGGAACGUCGAAGAAUUUCUUUCGCUUGAAACCGAGAAAGUUGCCUAAGGCAUGCAAAGGCUCGACAAAGUCUCAAAGCCUGUCUUAUGGCGAGACAGAAGCCAAGCAUGCCAGGAUCUGCUCGGCCACGAGAAGGCGAACAGAAUCCCAAUCCUUGAAGAAAUGCCUAAGGCAUGCAAAGGCUCGACAAAGUCUCAAAGCCUGUCUUAUGGCGAGACAGAAGCCAAGCAUGCCAGGAUCUGCUCGGCCACGAGAAGGCGAGCAGAAUCCCAAUCCUUGAAGAAAUGCCUAAGGCAUGCAAAGGCUCGACAAAGUCUCAAAGCCUGUCUUAUGGCGAGACAGAAGCCAAGCAUGCCAGGAUCUGCUCGGCCACGAGAAGGCGAGCAGAAUCCCAAUCCUUGAAGAAUCCAAGGCAUGCAAAGGCUCGACAAAGUCUCAAAGCCUGUCUUAUGGCGAGACAGAAGCCGAGCGUGCCAGGAUCUGCUCGACCGUGCGAAGGCGAGCCGAAUCCCAGGCAUUGAAGAAUCUCCAAAGGCAUGUGGCGAAACCAUGAGCCAAGCCGGAACCUGCUCGUCUAGACAGACACAAGCAGAUUCUCAACCGAAAAUUAAUUCAUAAUUACAACACAAGAAAGUAAUCAAAAACCAUUUUUAUUAAUUUGUUAAUAAUUAACAGAGGGGACAAUCUCAAUGAACAUUGUUCAUUACAAUACAAGAAAUAUAUCAAGAAGAUGAUGGACCAGUAAGCCCGGCAGCAUCGGUUGGCUGGACCUCCUCAGGUGCUGGAGGGGUAUCACCAGUUGCGUCCGGGGGGGUACUUGCCUCGCCGACAUCAGCAGGGACUGCAUGAGCAGGAGAGUCUUCCUCCUCAAUCACGAUCGGCUCUACCCCAUCAGUAUCUUCCUUAGCCGCCUCCUCGUCCAUGUGUUGAGCAACACCAGCUGCAAGGUCAUCCAUCUUCAGAUCAGGGUGUUGCUUCCCGAGGACGGCCAUGAUGCAACGAUAGGAAUGCCGAAGGCCCUGGUCGUACUGGUUGUCAGCCUCCCUCUCCAAGUUCUCGACCUGAGCUCGGUGGGAGUCGCGGAGAGAUUCGAGCUGAGCCUCAUACGUAGCCUUCUGCCUUUGCAGAUCCUCCUUGACCUUGGUAAGCUCCUCCUCGAGGGAAAUGGCUUUUGCUUGAGCAAGUGAUUCUUGCUCUAUCAGCUUCAGAUUCUCGAGAUUCAGCUCCCCUGCUUUCUUCUCGGCAACGUCAGCCCUGGUCGUCGCCAAUUGAAUAUCCUCCUUCAUCUUCCGGUCGUAGCGGCCAACCUUAGCCUUGUAAUAGGUGGUCAGGCAGCUGAGGUGGAAAGCGUUAUGCUGCAUGGCCCCCACCAGCUCACCCAAGGUGCGGCCGUCAAAGUCCUCCAGGUCCUUCUUGCUCACGAGUUUAGUUAACUCAUUGAGGUAAGGGACCAGAUGUUCUGCUCGGCUGUCAGGUAAGCGAGACCAAGGCCCGACAGGAGGAGAAGAAGAAGCAGGAUCUGUGGCUGCUCCACUAGCUUCCCCGACUUUCACAGAAGCAGGAGGUAAAGUCUUCAAGGGUGGGACCUGCUGCACGAUGUUGGCCCGCUUUGCAGCAGGGGCAUCCUUACUCUGGUCCCUCUUCGUGGUUGGAGGUCGGGAACGUUUUCGGGUCAAAGCCCCAAUCACAGCGUCCUCCAUCCUAUAGCCAGGAAGUAUCAAGCGAGACUCGAGCAAGUUGUAUGUAGUUAACAGUUCUCGGCUCGAGCAGGAAUUGGCUGGUCAGGUUCAAGCGGGAAGUGGACACCCCAAGAAACUACAACACAAACAGACACUUGGUUAGAGACAAGCCAAUAAAGCAAGAACAAUUAUGAACGCAAGACAUCUAGAGCGAGCAGGCAACCUGGGACCGUGAAACGGGGUGGGACGCGACAAUCCUUCCCGUCUAUUUGUGCAAUUUGACCCCAAGGACCCCCAGCAAAAAAGAAUUUCCUCUUCCAAGCCCCACCACCACCGGUUGGAAGAUCGGUUAUGGGUUUCCGGCUCUUGGUGCUAGAUUGGAAGUAGUACCAGCCGGCAUCUUUGGGGCUGCUCUUUAGCUGGUACAAGUGCUUCACCUCAUCAACCGUGGACUCGCUUCCGAAAAAGGACUUUUCUCAUUAAUUUUUGAUCUUCAAGUUAAGUUUGUUUCAUUUCAAAAGGUAUUAAGUUUCAAACUUGUCGUGUUGGGAGGUUGGAUAGUUGUAACGUAAGACAUCUGCAGGCUUCCGGUUCAAAACAUUACAGUAUGGCAUUUUAUUUUGUCACAAGGGAAUUAGUUAUGGGAUCCCUUCUGCAACGAUUUGUUGAUGGCGAUGAUGAACUCCGCAAUAGUAGGCUGAAGCUUAUUCCAUCCGUUCCUAAGAUAUCCAUCUUGGUCUGCAUCUAUUAGGACUUUGUUAACAUGUCGUAACCUUCACUGCAUGGUACACUUCAAUUUGUUCAAAGAAGGCAUACAUUUAGGUAUAAAUGUAUUGAUGGGUUGUACCUUCUAACUUAAUGACCUUUUUUCACUCUGUUGAAUUUGUUUUGCACCUGCUCUUGAUUUUAAGCGCUAAAUCAUGCAGGGGUCAUGGAUCGUGCACCAGAGUGUUGGAAGCACCCCUUGUUUAUUAGGAAAAGCAGUUGAUCGUAAUUUUAUCCGCGGUCCCAAGUUCGUAGAAGUAAACGCUCUUGGAAUUUCUAUAAUACAUGAGAUGUUCCCCUUUCAAAUAGCUCGUCCGAUACCAUUAACAUGGUUUAACAUUGUUCCUCUGUCUUUAGAUUGAUGUUGACAUCGGUUCUUCUAAUAUUGCUCUUCUUUAUCUUACACGUGUCUCUUCUUUAUCUUACUCUUUAGUAUGCAGUCAAACACUACAGAUGAAUUACCAGAACGGCUGAUUGGAACCAGAAACAUCAUGACUGUGGUUUCAUUGCACCUCAACUUUUUUUAAUACCCGAAAAAAAAAAAUCAUUUGUUUUAGGUAUACGCACAUGUAUUUUGAUCCCAUUUUCAUUGUUUUCUUUGGAUGAAAGUCAUUGAUGUUUCCAAAUGAGACUUUUGCAUAAGUAUAGCUAGUAGGAAAUUUUCUGAUUCUUUAUUUACUAUUUUUGGAAUCUGAGUGUAAUAGUUUUAAAAUUGUUUAAUCGGUCUCUAAAUGUCGUACUCACAAGCAAACAAGUGAACUGAUUGAUUCCCAACCGUCACUCAACCGGUUUCCAACUUUUUAAUAUACACAAUAACUGUGUUUGUUGAAUAGCUAAUACUAUUAAAGCUCAACAUUAACAUAGAUACUAAUGGAAAAAUUGAUUUUCCUAUGAUGCUGUGUAAAGAAUAUGGGUUUACCUACUUCCAUAAGAUCGAAAACAUGAUCUUGACUUCACGUGAUUCUUUUAAUUUAGAGAGUGCUGGUUUGAGAAGGUCAGCUUGACGGAUUACUUCCUUUUAAUAAAUGUCAAUACACUAUAUUUGAUAAUACUAUAAAAAUGUAAUAAACAUUGUCUUGUGCUGUUUUCUUCAACUACAGAUCCUCAAUUGAAUCAGUCAAUCAGGUUAGAAAUCAAAUGCUUAAAAUACCAAUUGGAGAAACAAUAUAGAAGUUGAAUAUUGCAUGCAUAUGAAACAUCAAUUCAAGCCCUCACUUAACCAGUGUGCACCAAGCAAAUCCAAAGUGUCUUGCAAUUAUGUAGCAUGACCAAAAUGCUAUAAAUGCAUCUGGGAACAAAUUUUUGAAGUAGAGGAAAACGUGCAAGUUGAAUCAUGUAUAAGAGAUCGGCUUGGGUCGAGAUAGCUUCUUCUUUAUACUUGAAGGGUGGGCUCAAUCUUGUCUUUAGAAUUCUGCAUGUUUGUAAUUAUACAUGUGUAAGCAAGCAUACAUUACCAUAAUAAUAACAAUAAGAAAAAAGAAGCAAAUGUUAUGAUACGACUAUAAACUCCAUCAGACAAACAAUAAUGUAUAAAUUAAUGUGACAUAAUAUGAUUGAUUAAACAAAAACAUCACAUGGACCACUUGAUUUAUUUUUUAUUAUUAUAUAUUUUCAGUCGACCAAUCAUAUUAUACCAUAUCAAUUUCUACAAAAUAAUUUGGUAGUUAGCGCCAAUACUUAGUUAAUUAAUACUGACCAUUUCAUUGAACAAUUUAUGUAUGGUGUCAUUGAGGUUGCCUUCCCAGCAUCCUUCUUAUUUUUCGGUGAGUUUCACUUUAUUUAGCGUUGGCGUGCCUAUGAUUCCUUGAGAGAAAAUCUUCAUCUUUGGGCACUGUCUCACAAGUACUUGUUUCAAGGACGGGAACUCAAGAGUGUAAUUACCUGAAUAAAAGCUUGUUAGGCUUGGCAAACAGUCAAGUCCCAAGUACUCCAAUUUCCCGAAAACAAUGCAAUCUUUCGCUUCUUCAUUUAAUAAUUAUAGAAGAAUAUUGGCUUAUAGAGCAUUUUAGUAGGGAUAAGAUUUGUGGACAGAAUAAAUGAAAUAAUAAAAAGCAUAGCUGAUCAAGUCAUUAUUGAUCUUAUUUUGAUUAUUACAUUGCACAUUAGUUUCUUUUUAAAAAUGCUAUUCUUCAUUCAAGCUUUCGCUUUAUCUUUUAUCAGGCAUCCUACAAAUCUUAUCCCUACUAAUAUGCUCUAUAAGCCAAUAUUCUUCUAAAAUUAUUAAAUUCCAUUCUUCAUUCAAGCCUUCAUGGACACUAUUUACAAAUUGUUCUUGUAUUUGACAGAAAAAUGAAAACUCCUCAUCAUACAAAACUGCAUGAACAAAUCUUCAAUUUAAUUAUGAUAAAAUAAUAAAUUCCAUUAAUAGAUUAUGUUGUAUUUUUUUUUUUUUUGACCACGAGAUAUCCUGAGGAGGGCCCCAAUUGUGGGAGGCACCUUUAAGCUCGUACCACAACCCAUACUAGAAGUCCCCACGGGAACCGGGAGGCACAAUUUCUCCCAACAAAGACGAUUUUCCUGCGACUCGAACUGGGGAGCAAACCCAGUCAAGCCACUUAGAGCCAACACUUUGUUGGUUAUGUUGUAUGUUAAUGUGAGGGAUUUGAUCAGGUGAUCAUAUAAUUUAGUAAACGCUUUAAGAAGAACAAGAAUUAAUAAGUUAAAAAUUAAAAAAAUAAAUAAAUAAAGAGUAGAUGGAAAGAAUGUUAUUUGCAAUCACUAAACCAAAGAACAGGGGAAUGAUAAGAGAGGACGGUUACUGCAACAAUAUGAAGUCAACAAUAUAAAGUGUUUACCAACUUAAAACCAGGGCUAUAAAGUGUUUGAUGAAUUAUUUUUUAAUUAAAAAAAAAAAACUGAUUUAGCGGGAUAAAACAAUGCUCCAUUCCGUUUAGUAUGUGAAGUCCAGAGUAUUACCUACUACUAACUAAAUCCGCUUGAUUCACAAGACUACCAAGAGAUAACUGAAUCAUUAUUUAAUUUUACUAUUAGGAAACCUACUUAUAUAAGGCGCAAACCACAAAUUCUAAAUUAAAUACCUAACCAUAAAUUAAGAUCAACCCUAACAGUCAUCCACCAGGUGCCGUGUAGGCUGCAUCAUAAAUUCUGAUUUAAAUAUUUGCAAUCACCGAACAGAAAAACAGGGGAACGAAAACAGAGGAGCCCUAUUUUUCCAUUUUUUUAACCCUUAACUCUUGCUCUUCUAAUUAUAUUUUUCCUUGGAAUUUCAAGUAUGAGAUGAAUUUGGAGAAAGUAAAUAAAUUUGAAUUACGUGAAAAAUUCUAAUUUUUUUAACCCUUAACAGUUGGUAUAUUUUUUUUAGGUCAUAGAUUAAUAAAUUUCUUUUAAAAAAAUUUAUAAUAUCAAUUAAUAUUAUAACCUAUAGAUUAAUACAGAUAAAAAUAUGAUUGAUUUAUCUCCACCACCUAAGUCUUAGCCAAAUUUAAUUAAAGAUUAAUUUAAUAAAUUACCGAAAAUAAUAAAGUAAACGAAAAAUAAAGCACGCAAUUAAGUAAUCAUGCUUCUAAAGGGCUAAUUAACCAUAAUAGGCAUAGGUAUUAAUUUGACUUCUAUGAAAGUCCCUUCUAGUUUCUCAAAAUUCAAAAAUUACAAUAAAAAGCCAAAGAAAAAGUCAAUGCUUCUAAAGUAGAAAAGUUUGAGUACUAGAUAGGCUGCCCAAAAUACAUUUUCAUUACUCACAUAUCUCUAUAGAAAGUAAUUUUUUUAAUAAAAACAACCUAUUUGGCUAAUAUUCAGUAGUCUUUUUUGUUGAUGGAAUUAUCCUCUUAACAAUAUUUUAAAAAGUUUACAUGAAUAUUCCUUUUUUAAAAAAAAAAAGAAUAAUAACGUGUAUUGUUAGGAUAAAAAUGAUCAUCAAUACGUAUGUAUAUAGGCACAAAUAUAUGAAAAAAAAUCAAGUUUAAGUACAAUGUAUAGGUCAAUGCCUAAGAGUCAAGCCUAAAUUAGGGGUAUAAAAAACUACAAAAUACAAUUUCGUACACUACAAAAUUUUGAUAUCAGCAGUAGGGGUAUAAAAAAAUCAUUGUUGCCAAAAAUCCAAAAGCUAACUAGAGGUUUGGUUUUGUUUCAAAAAUUAAAAAAACAAGUCAAUUCGUAAAAUCAAAAACAGAAAAAGAAAAACAAAAUAUAGAGGAAUUUACAGUUUAAAAAGAAAAACCAAGCCAAAACGAAAUUGAAUCGAAAGUCGAACCAACUCAGUUCAGUUUGAUUUGAAUUUUAUUUUAUAAAAAAAAAUGAUCGGAACCAACUAAACUGUAUUAUGUUAUAAAUUAUUAUAUAACAUAAAUUUUUGAAUACCUUUGUGACGAGCACAAUUUAAAAUUUUAUGAUUUUAAAUUUUAACAUUAAUGGAGAGUUAAUACUCCACCAUUUUCCAAUUUUUACAAUACAUAUUACCAGUUUAGAUAUGCUGUAUAUUAUUGUUAUAAUUUUUCGAGCAAGAUAAUAUUUGUCAAUUGGUGUUAUGACAUCAAAAUACUUGGUAUUAGUUAGUGCUAAGUGCUUCUUUUUCUUAAAAAAAGCGGUUCCUUAGUUUUAAAACAAAAAUCAUUAUCCUGAAAUUCUCCAUUUGCUUUGUUAACAGAUAUAACAAAAUAAAGUGAUAAAAGUUUAAUUUAUAAAACUUCGGCAUUUAUAUCUAUCAGAUUCAACACUUUAGUGUCAUAGAUUUAUUUCGGUGGAGCACGAUGUGGGUUGGGCCAGGCUUAGAAUUUUAAGCACGAGAGCCUUAAAAAUAUGAUAUGAUUAGAGAUGGACUGAGCACAGCACGAUGAAAAUGCCCACAAUAAGCACAUUAUAUUUUUUUAUUGAAAAUAAACUUAAAAUUUUAUGUUUUAUAAAUAACUUGAAGUUGAAUUUUUUAAAUUCAUUUAAUUCUUAGUUUAAAAAAAUAUUAUAAUUAAUUUAUAUUUAUAAUUUAUUAAAUAAAUAAUUGAUAUCAUGAUUUUAAUGAAUAAAAUUAUAAAUAUAAUGAUUUUAUAAAUAUGCAUUAAUAUUAUUGUGAACUAUGAUCUAUGACUCUAUGUAACUCUAAGUUAACAAUUAAGUUAACCCUUAAGAAAAUAUUAUUAUUAUUAUUAUUAUUGUUGUUGUUGUUGAGUAUUAAAAAAAUUAUAAUACUAAGAGGUCAAACUUAGAUCUAUUAAAUAUUACAUUUUCUUACUAUUAUUAGUUUAUUAUUAUUGAAUAUAAACUUGAGUUUUGAUUUUUUGAUUCUAUUAAAUUUGAAUAAAAGUAUAGACCUAAGAAAAAUAUAUAGACUUGAAAAAAAUACGCCAACAGUUUAGUAUGCCCUUUAAAAAUUAAAAAAAAAAAAAAACUUAGUGAGCUUUUUUUCUUAGGCAUAGCACGGCAUGUAUCGGCAUGUGUGUUAGGCCGGACCUAAACAAAAAAAAUAAAAUAAAUCUCGACACGACACAACACAAGCAUAAGCACGCAUGGGCCUUACUUACUGGCCCGACCCAUUGAGCAUCUCUAACUGUAUCUAUCUCCGCCAUAAUAAAUUAAACAUCGGGUAACUACUAGACUAGGCAUUAGCAUAUAAACUAACUAACUAUAGUACCAAAAAGAAUGAUGCGACAUUGUAAAAGAGAUGGGGCAAAGGGCAGAAUGGGAAACGAAUGAACCAAAUAAUAGUAUAUAAUAAUAUGGAUUUGGUAAAAAUAAAAAAUAAAUAAAAUAAAGUGGUGACACGUACCUCCUUUUAUUUCUCGAUCGAGUAGUGCAGAAAGUGGAGUGUGUGUGUGUGUGUUAAUUGUGAAAUGUCAGCCAAUUUUUUCUCUCUCAUUCUGAAACAGCUCAGCAGGAAUAGUGUACACUAGAGACGUCUGUCUGUCAGUCAGAACUGCCAAAAGAGCAAAACGGGUGCACGUACAAAUUAAAUCAGCCAAUCAGCGAUAUAUUUCAGUUACUAAAAGCUAGCACAGAGGGAACAAGCAAUAUGCAGGGCCAAAAGAGAUGAGACCCCUGAACCCGAACCCUCCUGAAUGAUCUGAUCACAUCUGAUUCGAUGUCUCGAGUCAUUAGAUUUAACAUAUUUUAACAAUAUUUCUCAGUUAAUAUGUGAUUUAAUUAAAGGUCAAGUUUACAUCUGAAAAUGAACUUAUUAAAAAUUAAUUUGAAAUAACAUCUAAGAUAUCUAUUUGUUUAUAAUAAAAUUUAAUUGUCAUAUCAGAAUUAUUUUCCGUUAGACUUUACAAUAAGUUAAUCCCAAAUAAAUUGACAAUUUCAAUUUUAAAGUUAGUUUGUAACUUUAAAAUAAUUUUCUAAUAAAAAUUUAAUCUGAAACAUUUGCAAUAAUAUCAAGUAUUUUGAUGUAAUAACACCAAUGUUUCACAUGCACACACAAGUCAUAUAUAAGUUAACAAAAACAUCAUUUGUUAUUAACAAAAUCAUGUUAAUUUUUAAUUCUUAAAUUAACUCCCUAUUAAAUUUUGGCUAAAUGUUAGAGUGCAAUUUAUGCACUAGUUUUGCAUUGUUUACUUCCCUUAAUAUCGAUGUUUUGCACUUAAUAAUAAUGUUUUACUUGUGUUUUACUUUUGUAGGUGCAAUUCUAUUGAUUGAUGAUAAAAUUGAGCUAAAAGAUGAUGUUUAAGGAGGAUUGUUCUCUUGGAGAAAUUAUGAGCGUCAGAAGAACUUUGUUGAUAAGGCGUGGGCGCGUGCUGUCAACUGCGGACCUGCAGUUUUUAGUUUAACGUGUUUUGUAUUUUUGGUUAUUUUUGUAAUUACGAAUUUAAUAUUUCAGAUAUUAGUAUUUUAUUUUAAAUAGAAUUCUAAAAGAGAAGAGAGAGAGAGUAUUUAAGGGAGGAAUCUAUUGUGAAAAAGAGGAUUUGGAUUGGAGAAAAAGAAAGAAACCCUAGAUCUAAUUUUUCUCUUCUCUCUAUGAAGAACUAAACCUAUUUUUCUGGUUGAAGGAUAAUGAAGCUUUGAUUCAUCACUACUGUGAGAUCUUUCUUAUGCUUUAAUUGUUUUAUUACUUUUUGGGUAUUUGUUUAUUCUCUGAAUUAGUUUCAUGAUUAUGUUUGUUAAUUAGGUAAUUGGCCACUAUUUAAUUAUUAACUUAAUCUAUUGUUAAUUAAAGGAUUCAUCGUAUGAAGAAUUUAAUGUUUGUGACAAAUAACAUAGCAGAGAGUUGUGUUGUGAGAAUAAACAAUCUAAUUUAAAUGAAUCAUCAUAUGUGUUGAUUAGGAUUUGGGUCUCUCUAGUUUUUCAGGCUGUCAAUUGAUUAAAUCCUAUGAUCGUAUCUAGGGUUGUCUAUUGAUUAGGGAAAUAUCCAACGGUCGUACCUUGGUUAUCGACUAGUUAAGGAGAGAUUGGCUAUUAGAGGGUCUCAAUAGCUAUAACCGGUCUAUUCAUAAGUAAUGAUAAUCUAUAUUUGAAUCAAUGAUCAGUAGUCGAAUCAAGCUGAGUUAAUUCCUUCAAUCAGAGCUUUCUCCAAUUUGAAUUACAACUUUAAUUUGCAUUCUUGUUACUUUAAUUUGAUUUUUAUUAUUGUCAACAAUUCCCCCAUUUUACGUUUUACGUUUCAAAAUGAUUUAAAUAAUUACCGAUCUCUGUGGACACGACCCUGCUCAAUCACUAUACACAAUUUAUUUAGAGUAGGAAUUUAUUUUUGUUGGCUUCGACACCCAUCACUAAAUCAUUAUUGCAAUUUAUAAAUUAAUAUUUAUAAAAAAUUAUGAAUCAUCCAAAAAGCUGCUUGAUAUAGAUUAAUUUCAUGGUCAUCAAUUUUUUUUUAUUUAUAUACCUUUAAAUUAUCACUUGUAUCAUAUGAAAAGACCAUAUUACCCCUCUAACGUCAUCAUAUUUAAACGGCAACUAAGCUAUGGUGAACGACAUUAUAUUUUGUCAACUUAAGAUGAAUGACUGAUAUACCCUAAAAGUAUUGUAGUAAAUUUGAUAAUAAAGUAUACAAUUGAUAAUUUUCCUAUUUAUAAUUUAUCCCCUUAAUUAUGAGUAAUUUUGUUUUUGUCUUCAUUUGUCCCUUUCCUACAAAACCGUACAAGUUACAUAUAUAAAACAUUCUUCUUUAAUCAAGUUUGGAAUAUUUUCAUCCUUAUGUAAAAUUAUGCAUAUAUCUUUUGAGUUUCUCAAUUGUACUUGAAAAAAAAAAUUACAUUUAAUCACGGUUGGUUAUCCAUAAAAAAUUUUAGGUGGAAAGUUCACGCGUUUUAAAAUUUAAUUGUGGAAUUAUAUUACAUUUAUUAUUUAGUUUCAAUUUAAUCAUGUAUCAAAUUCAUAUUUUAAAACAUGUGGAAAUUUAUAAUAUAUAAUGAUUCUAUGUAAAUAUAUUAUCUCAUUUCUUCAUUCUUUUGUUAUUAGUUCUCCUCCACCACAUUAGAUAUAUUUUGAAGUUUUCUAAUGUAAAUGUUACUAACAAAUACGCAUUGAAUAAUUAUCGGGUAGUUUAUAUUAUAAUUUAAUAAUAGCCACAACAUAAAUGUACAAUUUGGUGAUAGUAAAUGCCAUUACAUGAAAAUGAAAUCAUCAUGUUGCAAACAAGAUGCAACCAAGGGAUUGCAAACAAUGUUAAGUUACUAUUGGGUCACUUGAACUCCUGGGCUCUCUCCUGUGUAAUUUAUAUUAGACUGUCGCGUACAAAACGCAGACAUAUAUAUACAUACAAGUAGUGCUUUGGCAACAGACACAAUAGCCAAGAAGCAGCCCUUGUUUUCAAAUUCAUUCAAAUGCCAGCCUGCAGUUUUGAAUCCUUCAAAUUGUGCUCCACCUUUUGAGGGGACGAUGAAGAGUGAAAGAAGAGACAAAUGGCAGAAAUAUCAUCCAUUGCAAUGCCUCGUUUCUUAUAUUUCCAUGCCCGAACAGCACAUUCCACCAAUCUUUUUGCUGCCUUUUCCCUAUCCACUACUGAAGAAACAAUCUCCACCGCCUCUUGGUUCGAAAUCACAUCCCAAACCUGAAGAACAAUCCAUAAUUGAUCUUUCAAACAUUGACGUUAGUUCAGAUCAAAAGAUAAUUCCAAUAUGUGGAUACGUAUCCCGUCUGAUGCCAGAAUGAUAAAUUGGUCUCGUGUUGUUAUGUUUCUUUGCGUUACAUGGGGCACGGAGAUUAGGCCAUAGUCCUUGACACAGUAAUCACCCAAGGCUCUUGAUAUGGCUAGUCCCGGAGUCUCACCAUUCGGCAUCCAGACUCUGUAUACGCCUGGCUCAUCAUUUAAGCAAAACACAAGCCCUUUGGACUGCGUUAUUCGCUCCGCUUCCUCUGUAUAGGCCAGUGAAGACAAGAACCCGUACGCAGACCUUAAAACACACCCAUAUAUACACCUACACGAGGCAGAAAUAUUUAAGAGACAAUGAGAUAAUUGAGAUCUGAUUGGUAAAAUAUUGUUAAUUAAUAAAAAAUAAUUAAUAUACUUGCUAUUUAAGUAUUUUACUAAUACUUUAAACAUCAGUAUUCAAUGAUGUUAAUAUGUGAUUUUAAUAUUAAAUUUAUGUUCUCAUUUAUAACAGUAUGGUCAUCAGUAUUCACAACACAUCAUAUAUUAAUGUAUGGGUUUAUUAAUAUUAACAAACAUUUAUUUCCAAAUAAAUAUGGUAGCCUUAGUAUUUAAGAAUAUUCUUUAUUGUCUAGUCGUCUGUCCAAGGAAGAACGGGCCAUCAUCAAAUUUAUCAACGGCCUUCUCUAAGUAAUCAAAAGCAGGACCUGUGACAAAUUAAAACUUUUUCCGUGAGUUCAGCACAUAUAUAUACAUAUUCAAAAUGCAUUCCAUUAUAAACAAGUAAGCAAGUUUCAAAUCCUACCAGCUUGUUUUGCUGGGUCUCCUUUGAAUGAAGUAUACACAUCGUUGGUGAAGGUAUCGAUGUGGGAAAACAGUUCAUCAGCAAACUUUCGUUUCUCAGGAUCCUACAAUAUUUUCACAACAUUACUUUACUCAAAGUUGAGAGAGAGAGAGAGAGAGAGAGAGAGAGAGAGAGAAGCUUUUAUUAAAAGCAACAAUGUAAUCAGCAAAAUCUUACAUCAGGUAAAAGUGAAGGCCCUUCAAAAUUGCUGUCAACAUAUUUAAUCAAAUCAAGAGAUUCUCCAAUAACUUUGCCAUUGUGCUCCAGUGCUGGAACCUGUAAAGAACUCUAAUAGGUAAAUAUACUUCAUAACUCCAGCAAUGAUCUCUAAUCUUGCACGAAAGUGUAACAAUCAGUUUAACUCUUUCGUUGUGUUUUCUUGCAAGCAAGCAACUUGCUCAAAUCAGAAUAUGUUAAGAUUUUACUAGGCACACAAAGCACAAAGACACCAUUCCAAUUUUAUUCAGGAACUCCUCCGCACAGAUUACAAGCAUUUCAAUUUCAAAGAUGGGGCAUAAGGACACAGAGUCACAUAAUUAGGCUAUUUGGUAUUGAGGUGCUGUGGUUUUUUUAGCUACAGCUGCCACACGUACCCAAAAAAAAAAAAAAAACUGUAACUAUAAAAUAAAAAUUAAAAAUGCGUAAUAAAUAUGAAUUUUAAAUUAAGAUUUUGACAAAAAUAGUAGAAAUAUUAUAAUUUUACAAAACACUUUAACUCUGUACCUUUUAAUCCAUAGCCGCCCUACCUCAAUACCAAACACAACUAAUCUCUUCCUUUUCUAUAUCUGAAUUGGUCUAUCAACACCUUGAUUAGAAAAAUUCCUAAUUAUUAUUCAGAAACUUUCUAAUACUAUUCAAAAUCUUCCCAGCAGAUUCUAAGCUCCAUGUUAACCAAAAGAAUGCACAUAUUGUUGAUCUAUCAAAUUACUUAAAUGAUCAAUCAAAUAAAAUCAAAUAUUAUUAUUGAUCACACAUCAGCAUCAGCAUCAGCAUCACCUUGUUAACAGGAUAAACCUUCUCCUUGUACCAAGCGGGCCUAUCUUGGAGGUUCAGUGGAACUAACUUAAUCUUGUCUUGUAAUCCCUGCAGCAGCACACCAAAAGUUGUCAAAUUCAAAGAGAGUAUUACGACAAAGGCGAAACGAAUAAACCAUAAAUUACUGUUAUUGUUAUUAUUAUUAUUUUAAUUAAACCUAGAAAGCAGAGACGGGUCAACAGUGAUAAAAAAAAUAUAAUAAAAAUAGUAAAUAAAAAUAAAACCUUGUAGUUCCUGGUGAUCCACACACGCUGAGCAAAUGGGCACGAGUAAGAAAUGUACAACCUGGGAGUUCCAUCGAACAGAGGUGGUAGCUCGGCCUUCGAAUCCAACGGUGGAGGAAGAUUCUCUUGCGCUCUAUCAAAGAUGACACAUGAUCGUUAAAAUAAUGAUCAUAAUUAAUUAUGAAAUUCCAAAAAAAAAAAAAAACCAAAUUCUUGUUGUGGCCAUCGAGGAAGGUAAGACUCUAGAGGUUUCCUGAAUGCUUUUCUUUUGCUUUGAAGAAGAAAGUCAUAUGAUACCGAAAUGUGUCUCUACGCAGAAUGAGUGCGCUUAUAUAUAGAAGCUUUAAAGUAACCUUCUGAAGCCAGCAGUGACGCAAUGCGCACGUGUUAGGGUGUCAUGAUAAUAAUGCAUGUUGCCAAAAAAAAGGGCAAAAUUCUUAUCAGUUUUAGGCAAUUGCCAUGCAUAUUAGUUGGAUUCAAUGGCUGCAAGGGAGAAGCAGUGAGAAUAUCGCUGAUUAAUUAAAUUUGUAUAAUAGAAAAAAUUUGGUAUAUUUUUUUAUGACAUAUUGCUAAAAAUGUGGAGGCUUUGAUAUUAAAAAAGAGUUAUUUAUAAAUAAUGUUAUUAUGUUAUUGUUGAUUAUUAACAAUAAAUUUUUAGGAGAUAUCAUUUGGUUUACAAGUAGUUCAUCAACCGUGUUUAUUAAAAUGUUACAAACAGGAUUACAAAAUAUUAAAUUAUCCUAAACCCAAUUAAUAUCUGCAGGGAUCAGACGACUGUUAGAACAUAUGUUCUAUAAUUUUUCUCUGGAAAAAUAUUAUUUCUUGUACAAACAUAAUAAAUAGCUAUUUAUAACUUAAUAAUUCAAAAAUAGUUAAUUUAUAAAAAGACUAUUCUUGGUGUUAACUAAUGCAGUGGAACUGAUAUAAAUUAACUUAUUGUAAAGAAUUCACUGUAAAGAUAUCAUUUGUUAAUUGUUAAUUAUAAAUAUCCAAUAUUAAAAUUAAUUUCUGAUUUAAUCCAUGAUUGUCAAGCUAUUGUUUUCAUGGUUUACAAUUUUUUAAAAUAGAAGAGGUAAAACAUUAAGUAAAAAGUUUUCAAUCUCGUAUAAAACAAUGUAGAAUGUUUUAACCAAUUCAAAAUUUUUUAUAAUAAAGCAGUUAUUUUCAAAAUUCACAUUAUGUUUCUAUUACUCAUAAAAAAAAAUCCCUUCAAUGAAUGCAGACAUCCUUGAAAGAAACUUCACUACUCUAACAAAAAGGCCAAAAUUUUAGAAAAUGACAGGAAAAGAGAACACCAAUUGUCAACUAGAGUACCCUUUGUGAAAAACACAAUAAUAAAUAGCUGAUAUAUGAUUAGGUUAAUUAAUUGAUUGGAUUGGAAUCAACUUCGGACUGUUUUGCCCUUCCCUGCAGUGCAGCGUAUUAGGUGGCGAAUGAAGUAACUGGCCUCACUAAUUUUAAGUAAAAAGAUUGUUAAUAUUUAACCGCGUCUUAUCAACAUUCUUUGUUUUGAUUAAAAUAUACGACAUCGUUUGCAGAAGAGGCAGCAAGGGCAACAACGUGCCAAGUAUAAUAGACAAAUUUUUUAUCAUAUUAAUUGAGAAGGCUUGAGUUCUGGCCGAUGUUAAUAAAAUUUAAAACACAAAAAAACUGAUAAUGUCACGGCUGGUGAGAUGAUAUAUAAAUAUUAAAAAGAAAAAAAAGAAUUAUCAAUAUUUAAUUUUUGAAGAUUAAACUCAUUAAUUAAAGUGAAUCGUGCAUGCUUUGCUAGCUGAUAUCGCGCGCGCGUGUGUAUGUAUAAAUAUGUUAGAUCAAAUCCAAAGCUAAUUCCAAGUAUUAUAUUAUAUAUAUGUUACUAUUAUUAAUUAGAAUUCCCAAGCUCAAGCUAAUUAAUUGAUGGUAAUCUUUUGGAUGCACUUAAUUGUAAUUAACCGGAUCAAAUUUUGAAACCAAAAUAAUUCACGGGGCAUUCUAGCUUCUAGCUAAUUCAUCCAAAAAAAUAUAAAAUUAUAUAAAAAUAAUAAAAAUACGUGUGAUGUCAGCUUGAUGCGUACAUUCAAAGUUCCAAUUGAAAACAAAUAGAUAUUCAUUUUUCUUGUCAAAUUAUUGAAAGAGACAUCUCUUAAUUUCUUCCAUCACCAGCAACGGUUGAGUGACCUUGUCUUACAUUGUGCAGCAGCCUCCUCGAAGUAAAAAAAAAAAAAAAAUAUAGCCCAUUAUCUUGGCUUUUGGCUGGAUCCAAAUUUUUGUUAAAUACAAAUAAAUAUAAUAUCAAAUUAAAUAUUCCAAUAAACCUUCUAAUAUCUUCUUUGAACAGUUUUAUUUUUAUUUUAUGAGGGAAGAGUAAACCAUUAAAACUAUAAUUCAUCAUAAAUUUAUUGUGCCAAUUUUUUUUUAAAUCCAUAAUUUUGUGAAAUAUAAAUUUUAAGAAUUGAAAAAUAUCAUUAUAGCUUUCAUAUCCAAAGUUAAUUUUGAUAUUUUUGUACAAAUACAUAAUCUUCAAAUGUGGAUAAUGUAAAAGAUGAAAAUUGUCAAAUUAUUAGAUAAUUGUUUUUACAAAAUUUUAACGAUCAGAAAAAUCUUAAUUUAUAUGUCUUAGUUUAAAGAAUUGGUAUUAUCAAAUGUUACUUAAAUGUAAAUAUAAUAUAAAUAUUUUAUGUAUUUAUAUGUUACGUUUAUGAUUUGGUCACUGUUUAUCUAAAUUUUAAUAAAAUCAGACAUAUUUAUGUAAUUUACUCAUUAAAAAAAAAAUCCAUGAUUUAAUUUGCAAUGAUCAAAUUGUUGUAUUUUGUCAUAUCAAAAUACAUAUUUUUGUACAAUUACCCAUUAAGUUUAUGCUACAAUCAAGCUAUUUAUAAUAUAAGUGUGAUUUUUGAAUUUAAUAUUGAUAUUAGUAUUAAAUAUGAUAAUAAAAAAAUAUUUUAUUAGAUAUUAAUUGGGUCAUUUGUGUUAUUGUUUUUAAAAAUUAAUGACCUGCAACAUUAAUUGUCAAUAAUGGGUUUUUUUAAAACAUGCUGGUGCCCGGAUGUAAAUGCCGGUACCUCCCAAGUCAGUAGCCUUAUUAUAAUCCCGUCAGCAUAUUGGCCUGCCCCUGUACCAUUACUCCAAUUGAUGCUGAAAAUAUAACAACAUCAGUGACCGCGUUGUCGUUUCCCGUGAUGUUUAUUCCGAUGCCGGAGAAAUCCUUUUCGCGAUCAUCCCCGCCGAUGUUGAUGUGUUGGCCGAUGAAGGAAUUUCUUAUAUACGUUUCGUGGCCAUCUUGGAUGGAAAUGCCAGCGGUAGUGAAAUGCGAAACGUAACAAUUGUCCACUGUGGUUCUUAUUGAAUUUAUAAUGGCAAUGCCGCCACCCCUAAAAUUGGAGUCCAACAUAAGCUCCUUCAAAGUAAUGUAUUCGUAUAAUGACGAUGAUGAUGACGAUCUUAACUCUAUGAGAUGUCCGUUGCCCGAAAAAUCAUCCGAUGCUCGGAGGGACCCACCGUGUAUCUAUGUAUACAUAUAUAGAUGUUAAAAGUAAGAAUUAAAAGUAAGAAUUAAAUUUUAAAUUAAUAUGUGAUUUGGUAUGAUUCCUGGCAUUUUGUAUUCGGUUUUGUAGUCCUUCAUAAGACUGGCAAAAAUCAUUAUCAAUUAAACAUUAUGUUGUUAUAUUUUUUUAUUAUAUUUUUUUAAUGAUCUUUAUUUUAUUUGCUUUAAACAAUAUCUAUUUUUCAAAAACAAUACUUUUGACAAACAAACCCUAAAGUGAUGAAAGAGAAAGCAUGCAUUUUGCACAUGUUUAUAAAAACAAGAGAGUAUAUUUAAUCUCAAUCUGUAAUUCUGUAUAAUGUAUUAUUCUUAAGUUUGAAUCAAAUUAUUCUUGAUUCCAUCCGCCAAUCCAUCUCGGGCCAUUGAAUUAUGCAUAGCUAUUAUGGUAAUGGUCUCUUUAUUCUCCUCACAAUCAAUUAAUUGUGAUGACCAUACUGUUCUCACGAUUCUCAACCGCAAAAAAUUUAAAUAUUGUAUUGUACAUUUUUAUAAACAAAUUUUAUGUCAUCUCCAUUAUUGUGGAAUUUUAAUAUCCUAAUACAAUAUUAUGAUAGUAAUUGGGUCAAUAUGGGUAUUGGAUCAUAUUAUCGUUAUAAAUAUUAAUUUAUUAUAACUGAGUGUGUAAAGUAUCUUUUUUUAUUGUUGUACCAUAUUUAACUUUUGGCUGCAAAUAUAUAUAUAUUUAGCAUUAUUUAUAUCAAUAAGUUAAUAUAUAUAUCCUUUUCUUUAACAUCAAAUUUAAGUUUUUAAAAAGUUAUGAUAAUUCACUAAUUUGGUAUUUAGGAAAUUAAAUCCAUAUCAAUUUAUUAGAUAUCUUAAACCGUAUGUAAAAAUAGAAUAUUGACCAUUAUUCUAUUAGUAAUAUAUCCAUUAAAGAUUUUGACGUGCUAUGGUCUAAAAAAAUUAACUUGGCGGGAUGUUAUGAUUAUAUUCAAGGUGAUAGGGAAGAAAGUUAUGAGGAGACCCCAUUGAAGCCUAUAUAUUAUAGUAUGCAUAAAGACUCAAAAUGUGCACUUGAAAUAACAGUUGUCACUGACAGGUUAAGAUAAACUACCAAAUUGGCACUUAAAGGAAGAAAUUCUAGUAUUAGUGUCAUAUUUUAUGCCAUAUUAUGUAAUGCAUAUUAGUAAUGAUUUCUUCAUAAUAUCGCAGAUAUAUAAAAGUUCAUCUAGCUAGAUGCAUUGUAGAUUUUGUGAGAAUUAUUUUAUUCCGUCCAAAUGAGUUCACAUUAUUAUCCAAUUUUCCUUUUUUUAAGUUGAUUUAUGAAAGAAAAAAAAAAUGACACCAAUGUUUUCCACGUCGCCGCAAGUCUCAUCGAUAAAAGUCCAUCUACAAAUUAGUUCAUAAUUCUUUUUGUAACUUCGCUAAAAGCUAGUCAAGUCAUUGCUAGCAAGCCUCAAAAGCACGAAGUACGCGAAUCACGGCGAUAACUGAUAAUAACUUGGUUGUCCGGUUUCGCAUACUAAUUAGCUUGAUUGAAAAUCGUGAAGUAUGGGGCACGACUAACGCAACGCAUACGUCUCAUGCAUUAGGCAAAUAUUGUACGCGACCCAUGUUGAGAGCACAAAUCCACUAUCUACAAGUACUAUAUAUAGAGCUGCAAUGCGUGCUUCAAGUAUUCACAACUUACCCCCAGCUGGCUAGCCAGCCUCUAUAAUUUGAAGGGAAAAAAAAAAAAAAAACAACAACCUUGUUCAACUUGCAAAUACCUACCAAUUAUUAUGGAGAAAAGCUUUGAUAUCAUUGCCCUGUCUAUGAUCAUUCUGGUGACUUAUUCAUCUAAAAUGGUGUCGGUCGCCGGCCGGUCGCUGCAUGAACCAUCCAUUGUUGAGAAGCAUGAAAAAUGGAUGGCUGAGCAUGGGCGCACUUACAAGGACGACCUGGAGAAGGAAAAGCGGUUUAAGAUAUUCAAAGAAAACCUUGAAUACAUUGAGAAAGCCAAUGAGGAGGCGAAUCGGACGUACAAGUUAGGCACCAAUGAAUUUUCAGACUUAACUAAUGAGGAGUUUCGUGCUUCAUAUACAGGAUACAGGGUGCCAAGCCAGUCAUCUUCAUCACGGCAAUCCACAACAGCAUCCUUCAAGUAUCAAAACCUGACUGACGUUCCAACUAGCAUGGACUGGAGAGAGAAAGGAGCUGUCACUCCUAUUAAGAACCAAGGUCAAUGUGGUAAGUAAAUCGUAUACUAAAUAUUUAUGAAGUAACUAUAAUAGAUUAUUUAGCCUCCAACCUCUUUCAGAACUCAAACUCAGUUGACCAUCAGCUAAUUAAUAAAAACAGCUUGACAACCGUCUGCCAAACCCCUGCUGGGGCAUGUUUCAUGUAACUUAAUCAAGCCUUUUUUUUUUUUUUCCUUAAUAUGUACGAUGCAGGAGACUGUUGGGCAUUUUCAACUGUGGCGGCGGUGGAAGGGGUGACUGAGAUUAGUAGUGGUAAUCUUAUUCCACUUUCGGAGCAGCAAAUACUAGACUGCUCAAUAGAUGGUAACCGUGGAUGCGGUGGCGGUUGGAUGGACAAUGCCUUUAAAUAUAUUAUAAAAAACCAGGGUAUUGCCUCAGAAGCGGAUUAUCCAUACAAGGAAGUCCAAGGGACUUGUGAAGACGCACAGGUCAAGGCAGCUGCUAAAAUUAGUAACUUUGAAGAUGUAAAACCCAAUGAUGAGCAGGCUUUACUCCAAGCUGUAGCCAUGCAGCCAGUAUCAAUUUGCAUUGAAGGAAGUGGACCAGACUUCCAGAGUUACAAAGGCGGUAUUUUUAACGGAGGAUGUGGAACUCAGUGUUCUCAUGCUGUUGCUAUCGUUGGAUUUGGGGCAACUGAAGAUGGAAUGAAGUAUUGGUUAAUUAAGAAUUCAUGGGGGGAGAGCUGGGGUGAGGCCGGCUACAUGAGGAUUCUCAGAGAUGUUGAAGCACCUGAAGGUCUCUGUGGCAUUGCCACUAAACCUUCCUACCCAGUUGCAUGAGUAGCAGUAUUUUAUAUUAUAAAUAGCCGCCUCUUAAUAAUGAUGUCUUCAAGCCUACACAUGCAUUAGCCUCGAAAGGCUUAUACGAACCGUAUGAAUCGUAUGAUUCUGUGGUUUUACCUAUGUUGAGUAUUUCAUAAGUUGUAAUUGAACGCCAAUAUUUGGUAUUAGUUAAUGUUAAAUCUCUCGUUUAAAUAUAAGUUUGAUCUUUGCAGUAAUUAGUCAUUUACAUUUAAUGCCACGGAUACUCAAUUCGACCAAGAAAUACAUAGUUUAUAUCUUAGUUACUCUGAUAUUUUAUGUGGCAUGUUAUAUGUCGUUCAUUGAUUAAGUUGUAAGAAUAGUAUGUAAAUAAUUAAUAAUAAAUUUAUUUAUUAUCAUUUAUGAGACAAUAAAUGAUUAGUGGAACAUUAAUUAAAAUACAAACUAUUAUUAUUUAUUUAAGAAAUAUAUAUUGGUCAAUGAAAUUAAUGCAAGACAAAAAGUAACUGAAUUUUGAUUACACGCUUGAUGUCUGGAAGUACAAUGAUUAUGAAUUUGUGUUAAAUUAGGUCAAAGUUUUAAGUUAAAAUAAUCAAACCUAUAUACUCACACUAACUUUUAAAGUUUGAGUGGAAUUUGCCCGCUUUAAUUGGGGUCUCAUACAGCAAAAAAAUUUUGGCCAUCUUGAAUUUCUUUUUCUAAUUACUUAUAAAAAUUUAAAGGCUUGGUAAUUUCCCUCCCCCAAAUUCUGUCUUUAUUCCUAAGUAAAUUAGUUAGUCAUUAUUUCAAUAAUUAAAAUUAUUCUAAGUUCUAAAUUUUGGGCGUGGAGGGAAAGUUAAGCGCAAGUAGCCGUGACUGAUUAAUAUUAAACAAUAUAAUUUAAUGCAUUUUUAUUCUUCAUCUAUUUUUUUAAUAUUAGUUUUUGAACAAAAUAGUAGAACGAUAGUUAUAAUUUAUUAAUCAAAUUUUUUUACUUUCAUAUCCAUAUUAUAUUGUCAGUAAUAGUGUCAUGUAAUGAUAAUUAAAAGUAUUAGGAGAUACUUUUAAAAGUCGACCGCCUCAUCAAAAAAUCAGGAUGGCCAAGUGGUCUAAGGCGCCAGACUCAAGUUCUGGUCUUCGAAAGAGGGCGUGGGUUCAAAUCCCACUUCUAAGUAAUUUUUUAUUUUUUAUUCAUUUUUUUACAACGUUACGACUAAACGACGUCAUUUUCAUUAAACGGCAAGUCGUUUCAGUCGUCUUCUUUAACGGAAUAAAAAAUAUCUAAACCGAAGACCAAUGUUUCCAAACCCGCUGUAAACCCUACAGAUAACCCUCAUUGCCACUCGCAUCACUGAGUUCUUAACCUGAGUUAAAAUGGCCGAGUCCGCAUCCGAACUCAGUGAGUUCCGGAUUUUUCCGGCGGACUCACCGCCACCACAACCGAAUUCAACCGGAGUUCCGGUUCAUAAUCUAACACCAGAGGAGCUCGUGGCCAAAGCCAUAGCUCCAGUUAAGAAACAGUUUCUUCGUCAUUAAAUUCCAAAAUAAAUUUUAACAUAAUAAUUAAUUCUUUUAAUAGAUAAAAUUGUCUAUAUGCACGAUUGAAUUCAGCCCCAAAAUGUUAAUUAAAAAACAAUUAUCCAAUAUUCAAGAUAGUUUGAAUCGUCAUUCUCAUAUCGUUAUAAUGUCAUGAAAUAAUUGUACAAAAACAAAUGACCAAUAAAUUCACAAACGUAUAAUAUUGCCUAAUGUAAAUAACUUAUUAAUUAAUAUUGAUAUAUUAUUAAUUACUUAAUGUUUUACCUUUUUAUAAAACAUAAAAUUAUGUUUACUUCCAUUCAAGAUAUCCCAAAAAAAUUAAUCUUUUUGGAUGAUUCAUAAUUUUCAAGAGGAUGUUUUUACACCAUACCAUCGUCAAAUUGAUAAGGGCCAUGUUAUUUUUUAUUUAAUUAAUUUAAAUUUCAACUAGAGAGCUAUUGGAAUCGAUCACUGUAAAAGUUAAGUUGUGAUGUAAUCACACAAUCUUGAGAUCUGCUAUUAGAAAAAUAAUUGAAGAACCAAAUCCCAAUGAAAAUACAUCCAAAAUGAUGUCGUUUUGAAUUUGUUCCAAAAAAAUAAAAUAAAAUCAAACUCACUAAAAAACAACAUGUGUGUUUUUGUUAACCUUUUAUCGAGUUUUAAUUUAAAUAUUUAUCAUGUACUUUUAUAUUCUAUUCAGGACCGGCUCAACCAUAUUUGAGGCCUUAGGCAAAUGGUUUUAAUUAGUUUUUCUUAAAAUUUAAGACAAAAAAUAUGUAUAUUAGUUAUGAGUGAUGAUACAGCCACAAACUCUUGUACAAAUUGACGUGGUAUUAAUUUAUUGGUUGAAUAAAAAUAUAAAAUAAUAAAAACAAAAUCACGUGAGCCAAGUGAUAUUUAAUUCAACCAAUCUUAUCAUGCCACAUCAGUUUAUACAAGAGUUUGUGGUUAUAUCAUUACUCAUAAGUUAUAUAAUAUUUAUUGAAAAUCAAUUCUUCAAACACUCUCUAAAAUGUAAAAUUAUUAAAUAAAAUUAUAUUACACUAUUGUCAAUCCUUGAAAUUUUAAUUCAAUUAUAAUAUUUUUACUUUUUUUUAACUCAAAUUACAUCUUUUAUACUACUUCUUUUCUACAUUAAAUUAAUUUUUUUAUUCUUCUAUUUUCUAAAGUUUUUUUAUAUAGUUAUUUAUUUCACAAUAGAAAAAAAAGCACACAAAAAUAGUAGAUGAAUAAAAGAAUGUAUUAAAAAGAAAUAAGAACACAUAAAUAAUACAAUUAAUUAAGAGAAUAAUAAAAAAUAAAAUCUGAAAUUUGAAAUUUGAGAUGAAAUCAUAAAUUAACUUUAUCUUUAUAUUAAUUAUUUGAAGAUUUGAGUAAUGACUAAUAGCCAUAGAGAAUAGAAAAAAACUAUUAGAUUUUUUCUUUUUUUUCUUGAGUGGAAAGUAGAGGAAGCAAGAUUUUUUUUCCCCUCUCUCUCUUUCUUUCUCUCAAAAACGAAGAACAUAUGGUGUCUUCAUUGUUAGAAGAAAAAUUUAAUGGAUAAGUAAUAAAAUGUGGGGCUUUUAUAGAGGUUUAAAAUGAAUAUAAAACUUUUUAAUUAUAAGUUGUUAAUUCUAACAAUGAAAUAUCAAAUUUAUAGGAUUGAAACUAUUAAUUUAUCGGUUUUGUAGGAAUUAAAACUACUAAGUACUACAUUAAAUAAACUUUAUAGGAACUCGGUAGUUUAUUUGAGAAAAGAUAAUUACAAAAUAAUAAUAAAUUAGAUGCAUAAUAAUGAUUUUUAAAUUCACUUUCCUCUUUUAUAUACAAAAUAAUCAUCUUAUAGGAUCUUCAUGUAAAGUAGGGCCCUAAGCAACCGCCUAAGUUGUCUAGAGAUCGAACCGCUACUGAUUCUAUUACUAAUUUUGAAAUUUUCAGACAUAUUUAAGCUCCACUAUUUUAUUUUUUUAAUCAAAAUAGUAUGUUUAUUAAUAAUGAUUAUAAAAAAAAGAUAAUGAUUCAAUAAUGUUGUUUAUAUAUAUUGAAUCAACUUUAAAAGUCAACAUUUACUUUACACACUCAUAUAAAUGCUAAAAUAACCCUUUAUUUAUUUAUUUUUUUAAGGCUGUAGAAUGUAUUCAUUACAAAGAUAGAGUAAAUUUAAUUUGUGGUAUUCAAAAUUUGAUGAUUACAAUUUUUGAGUUGAUGGUCUUAUGCUUCAUAUUUGCAUUAAUUUUAUGUUUAAUGGUAGAAUUAUCAAGCUCAAUGACAGUGAUUUCAUGUAAAGCUUUAUUUCCUAAUUACAAUUUUAAGUUAAUGGUCCUAGAUUUCAUAUUAACAUUAGUUUCAUAUAUCUUUUAGGUUCAAUAUUAAUGAUUUCAUGUAAUACUCAAUGAUUUCUAGUUUAAUGAUUACAAUUGUAAGUUGAUGGUCAUAUAUUUCAUGCUUAAUAGUAGAAUUAUAUUAAUGGAUGAAGCUGUUGCUAUCAUUUACAUUAAUAUUUAUUUCCUGGAACUCAUUUAUAGCACAUCUCAAUGUCAUUAUUUAAAAAUUUAAAUUGAUGGUUGGUUUUGUAUUCAUUACAUCGGAUGAUUUAUAUUUAAAUAAAUUAUUUCAAUCUCAUAUCGUUUUAUUAUGGGUGAUUUUAUAUCCACAUUAAAAUUUUUAAAGUUGUUAUCAUAACUUUUUAAAAUCAGAGUUGUGUUUAUUUAUCAAUUUAAAACGUCAAUAAUCUACUAUUGGCUUAACAAUUGAUAUUCUCAUUUGGGAAUCAUCAAGAUUUUAAAAUUUUUCAAAGCCCCCAUGCUCAAUUUAUACGCAAAAAAGAGGGGGGGGGGGGUGGGUGGUAAGAUGCAUGAUCAGAAAUGAAUUUGGCAAGUAUUUGAUUGAGUUGAGAGGUCACUAAUCUCACUUAAUUUGCGAAUCACAAUAUGAUUGUUUUCAAUCGGCACCAAAACGAAGGGCUGGUUUUGGUUAUUAUAGUGCCUUGUUCUAUGAAGGAUUUUGGUUACCCACAUAUGGGAUUGAUCUUUGCUUCUACUCAGUAUAAAUUCUUGAAUUAUACUAUAUAUGGGAUUGAGACUUUCGUUAAAUUUUAAUUUAUAAUAUUUUUCCGGAGAAAAGUAAUUAGCAUGAAACACAACAGCGGUGAAUCAUCUCAUUUUUCAAGAAAUAAUAUUUGUCAGAGCUUUUUUUUUAUAUUAGUUUAUAAUUAACUUUUUUUUUUAUAUUAAUCACGAGGUAUCCUGGGGAGGGCCCCAACUGUGGGAGGCACCUUUAAGCCCGUACCACAACCCAGACUAGAAGUCCCCGCUCGAACCGGGAGGCACAGGUUCUCCCAACAAAGGCGACUUCCCUGCGACUCGAACUGGGGAGCAAACCCAGUCAAGCCACUUAAGGGGACUCCAUUGCCAGUGGAGCCAACACUUUGUUGGUUGUUUAUAAUUAACUUUAAUAUGUAAUAAUAUAGCAUAUUCUGGGAAACCUGUUGGGAUAAUUGUUUUUAAUAUUAUUAUGAUAUUACGCAUGAUUGGCAGUCGCAACUCAUCAUCAUCAUCAUCUGAAACCAUAUUAACAAACAUUUAUUUAACAAUAUUCUUUAUGUAAACAGGAUUACCCUAAACCCAAUUAAUAUCUGCAGGGAUCAGAUGACUGUUAGAACAUAUGUUAAAUUUGUAUAAUAUAUGAUUUAAAAAUUUAAAAAAUAAAUUUUUCUUUUUUGGAGAUAACAGUUGGUAUAUUUAUGAUUAGUAAAACUAAAAGUUUUAUUUUUAUUCUAUGUGCUCCAUCAUGGCAGUAGUUAUUUUUUUUGCGAUUAAACAUACUAUUUUGAUUUAAAUGGAUUACAAAAUGGCACAUUUUUUUAACCCUUAACAGUUGGUAUUUUUUUUUAAUAAGAUUAUUAAUGCAUCAAGUAAUCUUGUUUUGAUGAUUGUAACUCGUGACUGCGGGACAAUUUCUAAUGGAAACAACUCAAUUUCGGAAGAAAACUUAAUUUUGCAAGUGAUGAAUUUGAACUCGUUGGAUUGGUUGAUUUAUGAUCGACUGAAUUUCACUUUUCCUCAUAAGAUCUUUAACCAAAGUUUAAUAGCUAUCAUGUACUCCUUAAAAGCAAUUUUUUUUUAGAUUUGACUGAAUUUGAACUUGUUGGAUUGGUUGCUUUUAGAUUAUUAAUAUGAGAUAUUACAACGUAAAUAUUUUCAUGUGGUUGAGCCCUAUUCUAAAAUCUGUAUAGUUAGCUUUAGAAAGAGGGCUUUUCCUGCUGAUCUGUAAUCUUGAAAUAAACUUAGAUAUAAAUAAUGAAAUAAAAGACAACAAACAAGCAAUACUGAUACAAAGCCAACAGAUCAGAGUUUUUGGUACAAAUCCAAUAAAAGACAAUAAACUUAGGACCUUUUUUUCUUGCUUUCUUUUGUUGAAGGAUUAGAGUUUUUGGUAUUAUCAGUAAAGGUUUCAAGGAGUAAAGCCUAUAAACUUUUUUUUUGGGGGGGGCGCCGCCGCGGGGAUUUUACACCAUACCAUCGUCAAAUUGAUAAGGGCCAUGUUAUUUUUUAUUUAAUUAAUUUAAAUUUCAACUAGAGAGCUAUUGGAAUCGAUCACUGUAAAAGUUAAGUUGUGAGGUAAUCACACAAUCUUGAGAUNNNNNNNNNNNNNNNNNNNNNNNNNNNNNNNNNNNNNNNNNNNNNNNNNNNNNNNNNNNNNNNNNNNNNNNNNNNNNNNNNNNNNNNNNNNNNNNNNNNNGAAAAAUUAAGUUUUCAUAGAAUAAAAUGGUACGAUUUUUAAUUGAACAAUUGAGUGCAAUCAGUAACAAAGGCUUUACAUAUGCAAGUAAAAUUUGUAGGUUGCUUCAGAAAAAAAGGGCAUUUCUCACUCAUCUUUAAUCUGCAAGUAAAAUUAGCUACAAAGCAAAUCUAAUAAAAUGACAAACAAAAGAACAAAACAAAGAAAAGACAGGAGGCAAACAACAUUGAUCUUAAGCCAACUGAUAAUUAAACAGAGAAUUCUUUUUUUUUUUUUUUUUAACCUGUUGCUCAAGGAUUAGAGUUUUUAUAUUAACAGAAAGGUUUAAGGGGUCUGAAUAAAAGCCCACAAUUUCUCUAUUUUAUUUUUAUUUUUAUUUUUUGAAAGGAGCUUCACUAUUGGCCUUGAAUAUAAAAGAAUGAGCAAAAGAUCAAUGUCAACUGCCGAGGAAUGUGAGUAAAGAUUUCAUCAGAGUAAGUAAUACAAAUGAAUUGUAAAAGAACAAGACUUAAGCGUGCACCCCGUGUUUUGUUUUAUUGUACGUAUAAACAUAACAUGUUCAUUUUUAACAAAGUGGUCAAUAACUCUUUUUUUUUGGUACAAAGACGUGCCUAGCAUAGACUAGGGCAAAACAAAACGGGGGUGUGAAACCCCAAUACAAUCAUGACGAAUCCAAAACCCAGCCCCUAAAGGAAGAGAAUUGAAAAGGUGCAAUUCAACAGGUAGUGAAAGAGCAGAGUUUGCAGGAAAGUCAGCUGCAAAAUUUGAUUCUCUGUAAACAUGCUUGACCUGCACUUGCCAGGUUCUGUUAAGCAAUUCCUUAAUACCCCUGACAAGAGAAGCAUGUGCAUUUGGCCUAAUCUCGUCAUCCGCCACCAAACGAGUAACACAAAGGCUGUCAACCUCCACCUGAAGCUGCCGAAUUCCAUUAUCCCAAGCCAUACAUAACCCUUGAUAAAGGCCCCAUAACUCAGCACCAAUGAUGGUAACCACACCAACAUUCAUUCCAAAACCAAUUAUCCACUCUCCAUAACAGUUUCUAAUCAAGCCACCCGUACUAGACAGACCAGAACUUUUACGAGCUCCAUCUGUGUUGAGUUUAAAACAAGGCCAAGUAGGUGCCACCCAUCCAAAAUAUUUCUAAAUCUUCAUGGCAGCAGGAACCAAACAACUCUGAUUAACCUUUUGAAUUUCUUCUGUACGGAUCUUAAUAUCCAUUACAACAGUACUCUUGCUGGUAAAAACACCAUUAUGCAGAUUUUGGUAACGCCAAAACCAAAGCCUCCAAACUGUGACCCCAAAAAGACACGGCCAGUCAAACAUACCAUCAUACUUCCACAAGUUCCUCAAAUUAUAUAACGCCCAAUCUCGGAGAUUCAAACUAAAAAAUUGAUGACUAAUCCCAUGGGGUAUCAAUGACGACCAUACAUGCUUAGCACUGGGGCAAUCCCGCAGCACAUUAAGAGUAUUUUCAACAACACAGCCACACCUUGCACAACUCAUAUCAUCAACAAUAUGUCUCCGGAAAAGUUCUGCUUUAGUUUUAAGUCUAUUUUGACCCACCACCCACAGAAAGGUUUUGAUAUGUUGGGGACCUCUCCACUGCCAAAGAAUGCGCCAAAAGGAUUCUUCAUUGUGAACCUCCAUUUUUGACAAAGCCCUAUAUGCUGAAUUAGUAGUGAAAUCUUCUGACUUAGAAUAUGCCCAGUACAUGUAAUCAUCCUCAUCAUUUACACUGGGAGGCUUGGUGGCUGCAAUUUUGAGAAGUAAAUGAUGGGGAAAUAAAUUCUCAAAAAGCCGCCAAUUCCAAGUACCCUCAACAGUGAUAAACCUCGCCACACACUCCUCAAGCUGCUGUAAACGUAUCGGCUGCAAAGCGAAAGUAUACAAAGGGUAUUCCUCUGUUACCCAAUUAUCCCACCAAAAUCUAACUCGGUUGCCAUUUCCAAUGUCCCAUUUGAUCCCUUUUAAAACCUCAUGCCAAAUGCCUCCCACAGCCUUCCACAUGUAAGAGCCAUAUUUCGUAGGUAAUGUGCCGGGGAGGGCUUUAGGAGCCAGCCCAUACUUAGACAAGAGAACCUUCACCCAUAAACUAUUUGGAGAAGCAAUUAAAACCCACCCAAUCUUCAUGAGCAGAGCAUCAUUCAUUAAAUUAAGCUGCUUAAGACCAAGGCCUCCGCUAGGUUUCAGUUGACAUAUUGUAUCCCAUUUCACCAAACUGAUUUUCUUCUUGUCUGCUGCCCCGCUCCAAAUAAACCUCCUACAAGCCUGAUCAAUUUUCUCCCGAAUACCAAACGGAAUCUUCGUGGUCUGCAUUGCAUAAAUAGGAAUUGCCUGGAUUACCGAUUGAGUGAGAGUGAUCCUACCCGCCAAGGACAAAUGUAUCGCAUUCCACCCCGACAAACGUUGGUUCACUUUGUCCAAAAUUCCCUGAUAAGUCAGCUUAUUAACCCGUGAAUGAAUAAUUGGCAUUCCUCAAUAUUUCCCUAGGUUUUUUGUGACAGAAAAACCCAAGGAAUCACCAAUUUCCUUAGCCUCAGCAGACUUUAUGUUGUGGGAGAAAAAAACUUGUGUCUUUGUUUUACUAACUUUCUCUCUAGAGCUCAUACAACAAACAUUCAACACUUCAUUAUAACCAUUGCUUGCCUACAGGAAGCCUCUGCAAGCAAGAUAAGAUCGUCAGCAAAAAAUAAGUGAGAUAAAGAGGUACCUCCACGAGACAGUUUAAUAGGUUUCCAGUGCCCUCUCUUCACAGCGUCAUUUAUUCCAUGGCUUAACCUUUCUAUACAUAACACAAAGAUAUAUGGGGAAAUGGGGUCUCCCUGUCUAAUACCCCUAGAAGGGGUAAAAAUCUCUGUAAUUUCUCCAUUCCAUAGAAGUUGCAUAGUCGCCGUUGUAAUACAUUCCAUAAUAAGCCGAACCAAAAUAGUAGGCAAUCCAAACUCCCUCAAGGUUUCAUAAAUAAAAUCCCAGCUUAAACGAUCAUACGCCUUUUCCAAAUCCACCUUAAUGGCCAUCUGCCCAAUCCUCCCUUUCUUACGUCUCAUCAAAUGAAUAACUUCCUGAGCAACCACUAUGUUUUCCGUUAUGUGUCUCCCCCGGAUAAAACUAGUCUGGGUAGGUCCAAUGAGGUCAGGCAAGAUAGAUUUCAGCCGGUUAGCUAAUAACUUAGUGAUAGUUUUAUAGAUAACCGGGCAAAGACUAAUCGGACGAAAAAGCUUAAGGCUAAUAGGAUUAUCCGACUUAGGAACCAACACAAUCAGAGUUUUGUUCAACUCCUUAGGGAUCUCGUUGCCAUUAAAAAUACCUUUUAUAAGACUACAGACAGAUUUUCCCACUACAUGCCACUGGGUCUGGUAAAAGAGAGCAUGCAACCCGCCUAUUCCAGGGGCUUUCAAAGCCUUCAUGCCGAAGAUCACAUUCUUAAUUUCCUCAUCCUCCACUGCUUGUCCCAAAGCUUGCAUUCGACUUUCCUCAAGGACUGGGAAGGCGUUAACAACAUGGUAUGGAUGAUAGAUUGCAUCCUCUUUGGAAUAGAGCUUUGAAAAGAAGGACACAGCAUAAUCUCUAAUCUCAUCAUUAUUCAACAACCAAUAACUCUAUUCGUUAUGAAAUUGAUAUUGUACCCAAUUUUAAGAGAGCAUAAUAAUAACCAUUCAAUGCAUAAAUUUAGAAUUAGGAUUUUUUUGUAAUUCUUUAUUUAAAUAUAAGCUUCAAUGGAAAAUUAUAAAAAUUUAGAUAUAAAAUUUUAAAUCACCAGACCAAAAAAAAAAAAAAAAAAAAAUAGGGGAACGGAAAUAGAGGAAUCUUGCUUUACCUUUUUUCCCUUUAACUCUUGUUCUUAUAUAAAUAAUUUUGUUUUGAUGAUUGUAACUCGUGACUGCGGGAAAAUUUCUAAUGGAAACAACUCAAAUUCGGAAGAUAAGCUUAAUUAUGCAAGUGAUGAAUUUGUUCAAUUGACUCUGUACUUGAACUAGUUGGAUUGAUUGAUUGAUGAUUGACUAAAUUUGAAUUAAGUUUAAUUGCUUAGCUAUCAUUUACUCCUUAAACGCAAACGUAAAUAUUUUCUUGUGGUUGAGCCCUAUUCUCAAAUCAGUAGGUUGCCUUUGAAAAAGGGCUUUUCUCACUGAUCUUUUUUUUUUUUCUUUAAUUCACACGCACUUGAUUAUUGAAUUCUUUCAUGAAGAAAUAAACUUGUAAUGACUUAAAGAUUUAAUUUCAAGUUAGAAUCAAUACCAAAAGACGGAGGUUUAACAAAGCCGUUUAGUGUGAUAAAAGUACUUUAAAAAAUGUUGUUCGACCCAAUUAAGUUGAAGAAAUAAUAAAGUUUUCAUGGAAUAAAUACCGGUUGUGCCUUAAUGAUUUUGGCAUAGACGUUGCUUGUGUACUGUGAAAUUGAAAUGAAUAUUAAGUGACUGCGCGAUGUAUAUGCCUAAUAAAAGAUCAGCAAAAGCUUGGAUGAAUGUUUGAGGACCAAAACUUUUAUAAAAGCAUUUUUGAGAGAAACUAAACACCAAAUUAUCAAAGUAAGAUCAACAGUAUAUGAUUUGAUUUAUACAUAUUCAAAAACAAAAUAAUGAUUAAUAAUAAAGUUUGAUUUUGUAUUGCCAACGAUGCUUUUUUGUUGUUUCAUUUGUUCGACGUGGCCUUAUUUACAAAUUGGUUUAUGUUAACAGAAACAUGAAAUUCACAUUACACAAAAUUGCAAGAACAAAUAUUAAGAGAACGUAAUAAUAAUUACUCAAUGCGUAAGGAUAAAUUUAGAAUUACAUAUUCUUUUUUAUUUAAUAAAGUCCCAACGGGAAAUCAUAAAAAUUUAUAUAUAAAAGCUUUCAACCACCAAACAAAAAACAGGGGGAAUGAAAACACAGGAACUUGUUUUAACUUUUUUUCAUCUAACUCUUGUUCUUAUAUAAUAUUUUCCCUAGUAUUUCAGGCAAAAAAAAAAAAAAAAAAAUCAAUAAAGAGCAAGUUGCUCAAAUUGAUUUAUCUUGUUUUUCAGGCAAUCUUGUGAUAUGAUGAUAAAGCUCAUGAAUGCUAGAAAACUUCUAAUGCAAACAACUCUAUUUGGGAUGAUAAGCUUAAUUUUACAAGCGAUAAAUAUAAAUAACUUUUUGUGGUUAAUUGAAUUUGUAAUUACUCUUAGCCCUAUUCUAAAAUUUGUAGGCUGCCUCAAAAAAGAAUAAAAAAAAAUUUCUUACUCAUCUUUAAUCUUCAAGUAAAAAAAAAAUCUAAUAAAAUGAAAAACAAACAAACAAGUAAAAGACAGCAAACAAACAACAUUUAACCAACUGAUAUUUAAACAGGGAAUUCUUUCUUCUUCUUCCCCCCCCCCCCCCCCCCCCCCGGGCUCAUGGAUUAGAGUUUUUGCUAUUAACUGAAAGGUUUCAAGGGUCUGAAUAAAAUCCCAGACUUUUUUUUUUUAAUUAACCAAAGCCAUAUAAUAAGAUCACAGACUUUUAACAAUGAACAAUAAUUUGAAACUCAAGCAAAACCAAUGACAAGAUUAAAACAAACCAGAGAAAUUUUUUCUUGGAAAGUAGAUGAAAACUAAGUAAGAACUGCUAUUAAAGGAUAUUAUUAAAGGAUUUAGAACAUGUAUACCUCUUUAUUUAUAUGGGAUCAGAGAGUCGAUGACCUCCUCUAUUCGCUUCGGAUAUUAAGUAAGAAUUGCUAUCAAAAGAAUGAAUUGAUGAGAGUAAUAACAAUGAAUUGCAAAAGAGGAAGA
rnacentral:lncRNA from 1 species